rnacentral:lncRNA from 1 species
GAUCGAUGAUGGUAUCUAAUGGAACGUCUUCAUUAUCACUACCAAACCUCAUUGAAUCCAACUUCUUCAUGUGGACAUUGGUCAGGUAAUGUAGGGGUUGCCCAUAUAACUCCUUCAUGGAUGCAGCCAAUCCAACCCAUGAGGUGAGAGGGAUAACAAAGCCACGCUGUGUGGGAAGAGGGACCACCUUCAUGUACUCUUGGUACAUUCUUGCUCUUCUUAGGAUUGAAUCUGCAAUAGAGAGAGUGUAAUACUAGUGAUAUGAAUUAAGUAAAGAUACAUCGUAACCUUGCACUGUAGUCACUCAUGUGUCAAUUAGUUUGAACCAAGACCUGAACAUAAAAUCUUUGAAACAAUAUCCGUACUCACAAAACAAAAAAGUAACUCAUUUGAGAAUCAAUACUAUCAUCUAAGAGACCUCUCAGACUUGCGCUUUGACAUCAGGAAGGAGAUGUUUUAAUUGAACUGAACAGAGAUUUGUGCAUGAGAAUUUUCCUUGGGACAUCCAGCUUCUAUUAAAUGAAAGCUACUUCUAGCCAGAGAUCGUCGGUCAAUUGGUACAGAUCACAAGAAAGCAAAUUAGAUAUACACCUUAUCUUCCUAAUUUGACAAGGCUAAAAAAUUGACAUGGAUGGGUAUCUACUAAACUUUCCCAUCUAAUUUUCUCAUUUUUGACUAACCACACCAAAAAAAAUAAGUACGCCUCCUCUUUUGCUUCCCCUCUCCACCAGCCCUUCUUCUUCUCAUCUCAACUGAAACUCAAUUGUUGUUAGGCGAUAGAGUUUCUUGAUGCAAAGUAGCCUCUUUUUUUCUUAUUUUAUUUUAUAAGUAGUAACAUUUUCUUCUUCUGAUAGGUUUUCUUGAAUCAAAGUAUACUAAUUGUCUCAUGAUCUAUUUAAUGGAGAAGAAAAACAAAAGCAAUACAAGCAAGCAUCUAACAGUUGUCCAGAUGCAGCAUUUGCAUUUUAUGAAAAUCUCCUAAUUCUAAAAUUAUCUGUACUUUGUUAUUACCAUUUUCAAGGUUGCAAAAAACUUGUUCGAAAGAAGAGAACAAGUUAUUCAGCAUUUUCAGCCCAAAAUGAAGUUAAUGCUCCAUUGUUCUUAAAACUCAUACAGAUCCAAAAUCAAGUUCUCUUAAUACUCAUACAGAUCCAAAAUCAAGAAUGAACAAACAGAAAAUCUAUGUGCAUUUGCAAUUGGAAGCAAAAUGAUGAAAUAAGAGAUAUGAAAACUAAGAGGAGCUUAUAUGUCCUUUUGCAUUCUCUUUGUGCACACUCAAAGAGCAGCCUUUCUGGUAGCUGGUGGUUGUGUUCUGGACAUAAGCUGGAGAAAAAGGGAAAGAGACCAGAUGGGAGAGGUCAACCUACAGGAUAGACAAGAAAACUAGGAUCUCUGAUGAAGUAGGUACUUCAAUUAAUAUGCAGUCAAGAAUAUCUUGUUGCACCACAAAAAAAAGAAGAUAAAGGCUAACUGCCUCUAUCAAAAAGCUAUUAGUCAAAAAAUGUGCUUUCCCACUUCCCUAAGUUUUCAAUGUUAGAUGAAUUAUAGACAGACUUUUCAGCUGGUUAUUGGCUCUGGAAGUGGCUGUAAUGGUGUUCCAGGAGUUGAUGCACUACCAUUGACUAGCUUUGGGGUUGGGCAAGACAUGUCAAGCUGGGUAGGAGAGAAAUACCCUAUAGGAUAAGAUGUUAAAAUUGCUACAAGAAAUUGAAAAAGAAGCAAAUGGGUUAGGGAAAAAGAGAUAGAUGAUCUCAGAGAGGGGAAGCAAAGGAGUUUGGGUGUUAACAAGGACGGGGGACUCUAAUACCAUUCAAUUCUCGAAUCCAUUCUCGAAGGAGAGGUUUGGGUAUUGGGUGGUGUCGAGACUCUAGGGCCAUAGAGGAGUUUCCGGAGUUCAUUGAUAACCACCACCUUUUUGGUUUGCAUGUGACCGGUACCUCUUUUACUUGGUCCAGGUCAGAGGAUUCAACUUUUAGAUCAAGAAUAAACAGAUUCCUUGUGUCUACUUCGGCGAUCCUAGAGCUUCCAGGAAUGGAGAUCCUGGAGCUCAUGAAUUUGAAUGUUGAUGCCUGUGUCCCUUUUGUUUCCCAUAUGUGCUCUACAUCACUAGAAGAGGUGUCAUGAUGUACAGUUCCGGGGAUUGGUAUGUUCUUCACUCUCCCUGAAGCAUUUAUGAAUCUGGUGAUUUUCUGGUCUACAUCCGACCAUCCAGCAUUAAAUGUCACCUCUGGAGUAAUAAUUACGGCUUGACUACCCCCUUAUAUUGCAAUAAAACUGAUGUACCUUCCAUAUUCAUUGCUUUAAAGAGUGCAGAAAAAUUCACCAAAAUGGUCCUUUUUUUUUACCCCUCCCUAGGAACUCCCACCCCUUUUGCUCCCUCGGUGACUUGAACCCACAAUCUUAGGGUUGGAGGUGAAGGGUGUUUAUCAUCCUAGCAACCCCCUCUUGUCACACAAAAUGGUCCCUUAUUUUCCAUAUUCUGACUGUCAACGGUUGUUCCUUGGAUGAUGUAUUAAUUACAUCACCAACCCACUGCAUAACUUUAAGGCUUAAAAUUACUCACCUCUAUGAAUUUUUGUUGUGUUUGAUCCUAUCUUGCUCGGACUCUUCCAAAAUGUCGACGGGUGCGUGUCGGAUCCUCCAAAAAUAGUGGAACUUUGAAGGAUCCGACACAGGUCCGGCAUCAUUUUCGGAGAGUCCGGGCAACUUAGGUUUGACCCAUUCGAACAACGUUCUGAUUUUCGAGAAAAUCUUUGUGAUAUCAAAAGAAUCAAAACUGGCAUGGGAAUAAGUCGUACUUCCCCAUGUUGUAAAAAAACCUUAAGUUUCUAAGCAGUCACUAGAAAAUGAUUGAAGAGAAACAGUGCUUGCCACAGUGAAAAUCCACUGAAAAGAACUAAAACUGACCGGAAAGAUGAAAGGAGGUGGCUGAAAGCUAUCACAGAAGGUAUAUGAGCAUGGCAGCAUAGUUCCAAGAAGAAAAAAGCAAUUAUCCCCCUUUUAGAUUUUAUUAGCCCUCUUACUCUGGAUCAGCAGCAAACUUUUAUACUUUUGGUUAGAUUCCUGUUUUACUGUAUAAGGGAUUAACCAAGUUUAUCUUCUACUUGUAUUGCAUCUUCUUGAUACCAUUAAUGCAACACCUUACAUCAUCAAAGGAAAUAAUGGAAGUUCAGCUUUUGCGCAUAUUCUAACCAUAGACAAUACAAUUUUUUAGGACGGAAAAUCAAACUGUUUACGAAGAGUGUUUCAAAUCACUUCUAUUGGGAUGCUCUUAGCUUACAUUAAACAAGUGGAACCGAAGAGCUAUUAGAUGAUAUAUGUUAGCAUAAAAGCUUCAUAUUAAAAAGAUCCAGCAUGUUUGAACUUCAUUACAGAAUGCCAUAACACCAAAGACUGUAAGACAAACUGCGGGAAAGAUGUAAGAUGGAAUUAACAAGUUCUAGGCAACAUUCUACCAAUCUUUACUUAUGCAUGAGCUGCUUGCUAAUGCAACUUUCAGCAAUCAACAGUUUGAUGUGAUAAAUCUUGACCAGAUAGUUGAAUUCCUAGGUCCAUCUAUGAUUCCCAAGCUUCCAUAUUAAAGGAGGAUACAACAUUAUGCUAACAGUCCAAUAAGAUCCUCAGGUACUGAGGAUAAACAUAAAAAUUAUCUACCUACACAAUAAAUCCCAAACUUAAUAAAGAGAAGAUUUUUUGUCUUUUUAUUUGGCAGUAACAAAGCAACACAAGUCUGUUUCCACAUAUGCAGACACUUUUUCAGCAAGUAGAUUGAGAGAAUCACUAGACAAUCACAAUUAUGUGAAUUAUGACACUAACCUUCAGAAUCCCAUUCGCUAACAGGUUGAUCGACGGUGAUAGUAUUUUUCAUCCAUUUGCUUUCCGUUUUACGGUCAUCUGUAUUAGAGGAAGAUGAGUCACCCGAUGAUAUCUCUACCUGGUCACCAAAUGACACUGCUCCCUUCAUAACUGUAACUGUGUAGAGAAAAAGAAAAGCAAAAAAAACAUAUUAGCAGCUUAUACAAAUGAAAAACUUUGAUGAAACUAUAUUAAUUUUAAUUUCUAUAGACGGCUUCUGCACAUAACAACAACCUGAUUGUCAAGUUUAAUACACAAACACUUAAAUUCAUCUCAAAUAGCAGAUUCAACGAUAUGCAUGUGUGCGUACAAUACAAUCUACCUCCCCUCAAGGGCGGCUCAACCCUAAACCACUGCUUUAAGACCCAAAAAAUUACAAAUCCUCUAAAAAACCAAAAAAAACCCCAAAUUCAGUUCGAAAAAACAGCUCAAAUACGAAAACAGAUACAUACCUCCAAAGAUACACACAAAAAAAAGAUAUAAAAUCGACCAAGAGGCAAGAUUACACGAAGAACCAAAUGCACUGAGCAGACAACGAUGAAGGAGAUACAUACCUAAAAAGAGAAGACCAGAUCUGAUGAAGGCGAUGUAAAAUGGAGUGUUCUAAUUGUGAGAAGCAGCGUAUUAAAUACAGUAAAUUAAUACUCGGUUAAUUAAUAUUGGUAAAUUAAUAAUUUCUUUAAAAUAAUAUUUUUCUCAGUCACGACUUUGAUCAAUGAAAAAAAUCAUCAAUUUCAAUUUCAAUAAAAUAAUAUAUUUCCAGAAUAUCCCUAUAUAAAUAUAUGGUUCCAUUAAUAUCAUAAAUUAAUAAUUCUUUAAAAGUACAAAUAUAUUUAAGACAAUUUAGUAAAAUAUGAUUCUAUUGUGUAAAGUUUUCUUUUAAAAAAUUUAAAUCUAGUUUAAGCUCAUCUCUAACUUUUUUUUAGUGCAUCCAAGAGCUCCGGUGUUGUAUUUUCGAACUGCACCAUAAAAUUGUGAAGAGUUUUAGAUGCGAUAAGUGCUUCCUUAUGCGUAACUGGUUUCAAAGGUAUAGUAUCGUCUUCAACUUCAUUAUCAACAUUGUUUUUUUCGAUGGUAUUCACAAUGUCUUCUAAGCUCUGGGCCUUUGAACAUGUAUCACUUUCACCCGGAUAAUCCAACAGGUUAUUGACAUCCAUUUUAUUAUGGUAAUCGAGAUCACUAAUCAUGACCUCAAGUUCAUGAAUGACGUUUUCACAAGUGGGUUCAUUCAAAUUCUUUGAGAUUGCAUCCCCCGAACGAAUUUUGCACUGUAAAAAACAAUUUGCUAUUGUCUCUUGCUGAACAAUUGUUGUUCAAGCAAGGAUUGCAAAAUUGAUAGCAUCCAAAACAUUUGUUGAAUCAGUUUGUCCCACUUCAUAGCCUUCUAAUAUCCUACGAUAAAAUCUAUCUUGAAAGUUCUUAUUAUCCCAUCAUCACAAGGUUGAAUUUUGGAUGUCAUGUUGGGUGGCAAGAAAAACAAUUCAACAUUUUGUAGUCCUUCAAUAUUUCUAUUAUGGGUUGGACAAUUAUCUACCAUAAGCAAAACUCAUCUACCAAGCAUUUUGUCGUCAAACUAACGAAUAUAUUCAUCAAUAAGCACAUUUGUCAUCCAUACUCUUGUUUGCACGAUAAUGGCAAUUCAAGUUGUUCAUGUUGACAUUUUUGAAGUAACAUGGCUUUGCAUAUUUUCCAAUAAUCUAUAAAGGAUUUUUUCAGAUCCAUCUUCAUUGCAACAAAAAACAAUUGUGAGUCUUUCUUUGUCCUACUUUCUUUCUUCAAGUUGUUUCAUAGCAAGAGAAUGAACAACUUGUAACUUGUAAAAUAAACCAGUUUCAUCCAUAUUAAAAACAUCUUUCAUAGGAAAUUGAUCUAUUUUUUUAUCUUAUGGAUUCCAAUUUCGUCUCCAUGUCUUGUAUAUCAAUUAAACCACUCUCUGAAAUGAUAAAAUGACUUGAUACCAUGUCUUAGCUUGAAUUUUUCAAGUCAACCUAGAGAUAAUUUGUGCUCAAAAUUUUGUUGAGGAUAUAUGUCACGACCCAAACCGUCGUGAUUGGCAUCCACACUAACCCUCCGGUGGUAGAACCAUUACUAUAACCCAAACCAAACAACUUAACCAAAAACUACACAACUAGAUCAAAACUAAGGCAUUUAAAGUUACGGAAGCAGGUUUAAAUGACAAUAAAAAUGGAGUCCCCAUAAACUCCAAAGGUUUUAACAAAUAACUAACCAAACUAAUAUGGAAAUUCAACCCUUAGAACCUGAAAGUCAUUGUACUAAAACUCUACAAACGACAAAUCUAAGAAGAAAGGGUACAACCCCGAAACUAAACAAACACCUUAAACAAAUAGUCUGAGUUCGGAAAGAGUGGACUUAAAUCCAUGGCAGCCUGAAAGAACUGACUCACCCUUGAAUCCGAUCACGCUUAAUAGUCACCUAGCUGAGGUCUAUCAAUAGCCGCCUGAAAAUGCCCUGUACUCAACAAAGAACAAGCAAGUGCAGUAUUAGUACACAACUACAAUAUACUGGUAAGAUCACGUGACUAUUCCAGUAAGCACAAUAUAUAUCAUAAUUACAACAAGGUAAACACAUACAUGCAUAGAAUAUAUAUAUACACAUCGAUUAUCAUUUCAAAAGCAAUGCAUGAUUCCACAUUCUCAAUAUAUACAGUUAAGUCAAGUAGAUAUUAAAAUUAAUGGUUCUCUCAUGGAACCCAAUCCAAUGGUCCUCUCUUGGAACCCAUACCCAAACUGUUAGUGUACCGGUACGUGGUACCCGAUCCAAUGUUUAUGCCGGAACGUGGCAACCAAUCCCAGGUUUAUGUCGGAAUGUGGCAAUCGAUCCUAUUUAGUGUGUCGGAUCGUGACACUCGCCCAUUCAACAAACCAAAAUCACAAUCACAAUGUAUAUUCUCACAAUCAUACAACUAGAGGUGAUUCAUGGCAUGUAGUUCUUUGUUCAUACUUAUUUACAUUAGGUGUGAUCAAUAGGCUUCAUUCACAUACAUGCAUGUAUUAAAAUGAAUCAAUUACUAACAUACAUCACGCAAAACAUCAAAUCACAACUAUCACCUACCUCGAAUCCAAGCUUGAAUCCCCUAAGGCUGUAAUGACCCUCCAGGUCAUUUCUGUGUCUUGCCUUCUAUGUGUUGUUUAGAGCGUUCCUGUAGCGACCCCAAGUCAUUUAUGAGUUGCUUGGACUGACAAUUCGGUCACCUGGUCGUUCGUUUGGUCUUGGUGCGAGUUUUUGUGUUUUGGAGCUUAUGAACCUUGAACGAUCAUUUUCGAUCAAAAGUUCAAGAAGAUGACAUCAGAAUCCAUUUCUAACGAUUCCAUCAACUUCGAAAGGGUCAUUUUAGGCUAGUAGCAUGGUCGGCAUGACUCCCGACGUUUUCAGUGUGAGUCGGUGCGAUUAGGUGUUUUAACUUUAAGUUUAAGCCUAAGUUUGACUUUGGUCAACAUUUUGAGUAAACGUGCUCGGAUGAGAAUUCCAUCAGCGCGGUUAGCUCCGAAAUGUCGAGUUUGGUCUAGAUUGACCCUUCUUUUGUGUCCCGAUGUUUUCGAUAUCUUUUCGAGCCCUUUUGUGGUUUUUGACUUGAAAUGACUUUUGGAAAUGGGACCCACUUUUUAUCAAGAUGACCUCUGAUGGAAAUUUUGACUGCGCUGUUGAGUCCGGAAUAUCGAAUUUGGUAUGGUUGCAUAUCUCGUUUGCGUGCACGGGGUUCUGAACGAGUUCAGAGCACCCCGUCGGAGUUUUAGUUUUUGGAAAAUUGCAGAAAAUCUGCUAUAAAUGCAGAAAAACAACAACAUUUUCCAAACCUUAAAACCCCCAUAACUCUCUCAUCUUUUGUCCGAAUUAGGCGAUUCGAAGUGUGGGAGCUUUGUUUUUUUAGGUGGCUUUUCUGUAGAGUGUUUGGAAGUUAUUGAGUGCGCGUAGUUCGAGGUAAUUUCGCGAUUAGCCUGACUGCAGUACCUUUUUCGAGCCUUUGUUUUUGGCAUUCUUGUUUUGGUCAUAUCUCUUUCAUUCUAGCUCGGUUUUGGGUGAUUCAAAGUCCCACAUAUUGGGAAUUGUCGUGGCUUCAUCGUAGAGUGUUCAAAGAGUGCUGGACACCUUUCGAUUCUCGUUUAUUCCGAGUUUAGACUGCUGCUGUAGGUUUUCUUUUAGUUGAUUAAAGUGUGGUUUCUUGCUUGUUGGUUUUUGCUGUGUUUUGAGCCUCGAAUUGUGUUCCAUUUUGGAACACAAGUUUGGGGUGCUAUUUAGGGUCUCUUGACGGAGUCAAAUUCGGACAAUUCGGUGCGGGUCCCACGAUUCCCGUUUUGACUCUAAAAUUGACCCUCCGUUUGUUGUGAGUUUGGUGUCUAAACGACCGUACUAAUGUUGUGACCCUAUAUUUGAUAGAGUGACAGCUUUCAAAGGUCGUUCGGGAAGGAAAAUGAAAAACUCCGAUAAAGUGAUUUGGAGUGCGCACGGUCAGCCUUAAGGUAGGCUACAACUUCCUUUCUUUUAGAUUGAGCUUAAUUGUGUAAAUGCAUGUCGAUUGGAAUGAAUUGUGGGUGGGUACCAGUUUCCUACCUUACUUUGAUUAGAUACCUCAUGUUAGGAUCGAUUGGCCAUAUUUAGGGUAUAGUAUCAUGUUAACCAGUUUAGUAGAGUUGCAUGCUUAUGUGCUAAAUGCUAUUGUAUGCUUGUAUGCUAUAUAUUGUAUGCCUUGUUCAUCCUUAACCGUAAACAUGAUGUCCUUAGUCUAGGUUAGGCUAGCAUUGCCUUAGACUUAUGACCUGUGUGGGCUGGAUAGCCUUGACUUUCUGUCGACGUCGUUCGAUUGACUUAGCUCCUUGUAGACUGGAGUAGCAGACUUGAGUCUGAUAGUUUGAGCCUUAGAUUAGGCGUUAUCGCUGCUUGCUGCACGUCUGUAUCUUCUCCCUCUCAUUCUGCGGUUCCGACGCAUUCUCAAAGGUUUGGCGCAUCACUAGAGGCGUGGGAUUGAGAUGGUAUAGGCUUGGAGCCUUUUUUGUGAUUUCUUAGAGUGGACGGCGUUCCACGGUGGUUGUUGUUGGAUUGGAUCCUAUUGGAGAUACUAUCACCCUCGGGGUCGUUCUUUUUAGUUGGGCUGGGAACGUAUCGCUGGCUGGGUAGAUUCGUUGAUAUCGGCGACCGGCCCUGGGCCUCUCUUUCUAGCUGGGCUGGGAGUGCACUGUUGGCUGGGUGGAGUCUGAUGGAUUAUCUUAGUUACUUUGGGCUGGGAGCCCGGUUUUCUUCUUUUUCAGUAGACUUAGCUAUUCUGUGUACCUGUCGGGCUUUUAGGGGUCUGUUCAGGUUUUAUUUGAACUUGCGCACGAGUGUACCUUUUCGGCAUAUGGGGUCCAGUUAGGUUUAGUUUAGUUGUACUUAGUUUGUUUCUGGUAUGCUCAUGUGCUUUCUUUUCAUAUCCGCUUUGACCUCUCUGUGUCUAGAUUCUAUCGUUUCUUAUUGUUUUUAGCCUUUUUGCUCAGUCGGCCUAUGAUGCCUACUGAGUACCUGUUGUGUUGGUACUCAUGCUACGCUCUGCAUCUAUUUCGUGAUGCAGGUCCCAGUACCAGUUACCAGCGGUGAUUAGUUCCAGCCUUUUUUUGCAGUUGUGAUUCAGAAACGAGGGCGAGCACUUGGCGUUUUGGGUUUGUUCUGUCUCCUUCUUUUGUUUUAGCUAGUCUUGUUGCCUUUGAGACACGCUCUGUUGUGGUCCACUUUUGGGACUUGUACUCUUUAUUAGAUAGCUCUGUACUAGUGACUUCCAGGUUCUGGGAGGGAUUUCUGUAUAUAUUUAUUUUGGGUUGCUUCCGCCUUGUUAUUCUUGUUUAGAUUAUUGUUAUCGUUAGUUUCUGCCCUUUCGCUCAUUGCUUGAUGUUCUGGGUUACGGGUUGACUUACCUAUUGGUAGGGUAUAGUAGGUGCCAUUAUGACUCGAGAAAUCGGGUCGUGACAAAGGCACUUGAAUCUUUCCUUUCCGGAUUCGUUCCGCUUGUUCUAGGUCUACAAACAACAAUUUAUACGCAAAGAUUAAUAAUUAGAGGUCUAAUUAUCCGGAUUAUAACAAACUCAGUAACCCUAGACCAAAUCCAUGAUCCCCAUACCCAGAUUAGGGUUUUUCAACCAUAAUUCCAAUAUCAAAGCCCUCCCCCAUCGAUAAUUACCCAAGAAACUAAGUUCUACGGAUUGAAACAUGGAUUCAUGGAGUAAAAGCCUUACCUUUAGCAUCAAGACUGGUGAAAAAAGGUCAAUAACACACCUAGGGUCGGUCCUUAGCUCUCAAAGUCGAAAAGUACAGAAUAAAACGUUUUUGGAAUUUAUUUCCGACUUAAGUCGCGUUUGUCCCGCUACAGCGAGACCCAUCCUGCUACAGCGGCCCCGCUACAAUGACAACCAUCUCUCUACAACGGCAUGCACAGAGACAAAAUGUUGAAAUUUGAAUUCCAAGCCCCUAUUUCACAACACACCUUCAACCCUUGACCUUAAAAAAUCACCUAUUCACGCUACGAUCAUUUUUGGGAGUUCUACUCGUCCGAAUUCGAUUCCGUAAAGUCUUACGGGUUCCUUAACGUCUUAGCUAUCCAUUCAUGUAAUCAAAUUCAUAAUUAGAUCUCUCAUUCGUUACCAGAUUACCCUAGACCUUACUGACUCCGAUUUCGUCCAAAUCUGGACUAGGUUAGAAAAUUCCAAGUUACUACCAAAAAGUUUUCUGACCCCAAUUCUUUUUCCAUUGGCUUUUCCCUAACGACGGAAUCAGGUCGUUACAAUAGAUACCAAUUUACCCAUCACUCUUUUCCCGAGUGAUCAACUAGGGAAGACUGGCUAAAGUAAGGGUAGAGUAGUAUUUGAAACGUUGAACAACAGGGGAUACUUGUCUCACAUGCCCUUAGCUUACGGACAUCGCGAUCAAGAAUUUUAACAGGUUCUUCUUCCUACAGAAGGUCUUGUCUAACACAACUGAGUCUCACUUUAUGAUAUAAUCUUCAUCCCCAAACCAACCAAUUGAAUACCUGCACAUCCUUCCAUACAAUGACUCAAUGAAGUCAUCAUAAUACUCGAGUGAUAAUUAAUGUUGUAUGUGCACUUAACUAACAACAAAUGUAUUCCCUAUAACCACCAAAGUUGAUUGUUCACAUGUCUGCAACAUGGUAUCAAGGACUUUGACACAACAUCAGGAUGAAUCUUUUCUCACAUAACCAUGAUAAAAUCCUAAGUCCAAACUCGCCACAAUUAGAGGGUGAACCGGAACCAACCAACACACAAUCAUAAUACCCAAACAAUCAUAGUUCUUAUCAACAUCUCCAUUUCACAACCCAUAUUCACAUGAGCUUAAGUUAUAACAAUUUGAUCUUUACACAUCAGAUACUCAUCGAGGGAUAUGUCCAAGCAUACCAACCCUCUAACAACACUAUCGAAAUGUUAGAUUUAGUAAUUCUGAUUGUAGAUUACCCUUAAGAACAAUAGAAUUGGACCCAAUGAUCCCCACAUUCAACCACACAUAAUCGAUACAUGACCUCAACGACAAGAUGAAAAUUAAUAUUGUCGGAUGACCAUAAAUACGCAUGGUAGCUCUUCUAUAAAUUCGCAUAAGCAAGUGGUACAAGUAGAACCACUAAAAUACUUUAACAACUCCAAAACAACACCAAAUAUGUCAUAUGAAAUAACCAAGUCAUCCCAAUCAUCUUACUCAACCAAGAGAACAUCGCAGGAUCAGUACACCUGAUUCACCACUAGGGAUCCACCCACACAAGUGAAAACACAUGUGAGCAUAGCUAGUGCAUCAUAUUCACAACCAUCAUGAGCACUCCGACCAUUUUCCUUACUCUAAACCAACAGUUUUAAAUGAAAAUCUUUCUUAGGUACUUAACAAUCAACAGUAAUAAACUUUACGACUUAAUACAGGGGUAAGUCCUUUUCAAUGCUCAAUACCGGAUACAGUUGAUCGUCUCUCACAUUACCAAUUCAUACCUUGACAAAAUAUAUCACCACAAAUGUAGACUUAUAAUGAAAACUCUGAAUUGUAAAUUCAACCGUAUAACACAAUCCCCUUAUCUAUCAACAUUAGCUUGUACCUUGAGGAUUUUUAUGAAUUCAUGGAUCUUCGCUUAUCAUUUAUUGCAUCUUCAUCGAUCUUACAAUAUAUUUCGCUAAUAUUGCAAUCAUACUCAUUACUAAACUCAAAAACAAAACCAAGCACUUAUCAUCACACUCGAGCUAAUGCAUGUACACUCAUUUCUUAAGUCUUUUCCAAUAGUUUUUAACCAAUCUGACGAUUUGUGACACUAUUACCAUAGACACAUCAAAACGAAUGAAAUCACGUGUCUCUGAACCCAAUUAUCUACCCCUCUGGAGAUCUCUUUAGCCUUUGCAAUAAAUAAAAUAUUCUUGCUCCCGCCUCUCUCUAAAGGUUGUACUACAUCCCACUAUUUUUCUUCAUUAUGACUCUUAACUCUUUAAAAUUCUAUUCGAGUGGUGUCCCACCAUCUCUUAAAACUUUCCAUACAACCAUGUUACUCACCAAAUAUUAGAAAACCACAACCUUAGAUACUAGCAAAUCGUAAUUACUGUACAAAUUUUGCUUAACCAACAAUUAUAUAUUUGCAUCCCGUCACAAUCCAUCACAAACUCUCAUUACCAUUAUGCUCAGUCAGCCCUGACUAUUACUACGAAGCUAACCUUUUCAUCAACACGACACCUCAAACUCAGGUAUACUCACCAAAUUCAAAGGACUAACCCAAUUUUUAUACACACUUUCUUACUAAAAUCUUCCAUUGCCUUAUGGCUUAAGAUAAAACCAUCGGUCCUCGUACUACCCUCCUUCUUCUUAACAAACAAGAUAGGAGAACCCCACGGGGAAGCACUGGGAUGGAUGAAACCUUAUCAAGAAGCUCUUGGAUUUGAGCCUUAAGCUCUCUUAAUUCUGCCGGAGCCAUACAAUACGGAGGGAUGGAAAUAGGGUGAAUGCUAGUUUCCAAGUCAAUGCAGAAAUCUAAAUUUCUAUCCAGAGGCAUACUAGACAAAUCCGUUGGAAACACUUCUCUAAAUUCUGACACCUCAGGAAAUAGACUCAAUAGAGGGAGACUCAACCUCAACAUCCUGAAUAUGAGCCAAUUACGCUAAACAAUCCUACCCCACCAGUUUCCUACCCCGCACGAAAGAUAUUACCUUAGCUGACUUAGGCUUAUACCCCCUUCCCACUCUAACAUUUCCCUACCCGGGAUCUCUAGAGUUACCGACUAGCAUUACCAUUAAGCACAACAUAAUAGGGGGACAACCAAGUCAUGCCUAAGAUUAUAUCAAGUCAGUCAUAUCCAGCAUAACCAAAUCAACCCAAAUCUGAAAAUCCAUAACACAAUAGGACCACACGAUAUACAUGGGUGACUAUGACUAACUCUUCAACUGGGAUAGAAACAUGGACGGGGGCAUCAAGUAUAUCACAAAUCAUAUCAAAUUCUGAGGUAAAUUGCACGGACACAUAAGAAUAAGUAGAACCCGGAUCAAACAACACAUUAGGCAUCCGGUCACAAACAAUAAUAGUACUUGUGGUCACUGCAUUAGACCCUCAGCCUCGGUCUUGCCCGGAAAAGCAUAACACCGAGCCGUAUCAUCUGGAUAUACAAUCAAUCCAUGAAAUCAUAGUAUAGCUUCUAACCUCAAUUGGCAUAACUUAAUUCCAUCAUUCGCUAAACAACCCAUACAUGUUAUGACAACAAUACUAAAUGCAUUUUCCAAAGUAAUGGUGUUCAUUAUCUAACCAUUCCUUACCAGAACUUCUUGAAUGUUGUCACCUAUACACUUGAAUCUUCAAAUCUGACCUUAAUCCCUUCGCAAGCGACGAUAGUAGCUAGCGAGCCCCACAAAAUUCUUAAUUUCAGUCACAGAACUAGGUCGGACCCAAUUCCUGACUGUUUCAAUCUUUUGGGGAUCUACCAUUACCUUUUCCCUUGAAACUACAUGCCCCAAAAAGGCAACCGAAGUCAACCGAAAUUCACACUUAGAAAAUUUUGCACAUUCUUUUUUGUUUUUGUAAGCACAUGGAUGCUAGUUUUUCUGCUCUUUUUGACAACAUUCGAUUAUUACAAGGUUUUAUAGUCUAUCCUCGAUUGCUGAACACUGAUUGGAUUGCAGGGGUUAGUUCGGAUUUGAUUUGGGUUCUAUAAGAGACUCGAGAAAAACAGAGGAGAUAGGGCUGAGGUUCUGUCUCGCCCUGUCCCGCUCUAAUGGGGAAUUUCCACUCUAGCGGCCUCGCACUGGCGGAAAAAUCCCGCCCCAACGACUCAGACGGAAAUAGUACCCAUGCAAUAAUUUUUUCUGGGGUUUUUCUAUUUUCUAAAUCUCUCAACGGUUUUUAGCUUUACUAGCAAUUUAGGAUAAUCCUCUGAACUAGGAUAAUCAUUGUCAACACCGAGUCAAUCCAACGAUACAGAAUCCAACUCAUUCUCAUUAAUUCAACACCAUAAUCCACACAUCCCCAGGAUACACCCAGACACUCACGCGGUUAUUACUCAAGCGCAAGACACGUCCAGAUCUUUCUUACGAAUCACCUCGUGCAUUAUCUAGACCCUUGCAUCGAACUUAGUCGUGAAACUUGUUGUGGUGACGACCCAGACUUAUUGUGCACAUGGUCAUAUCAUCACAUCCAAGCAAAUACAACUUCCACAUUCACAGUUAAUUUAGGCAACAAGGAACACACAUUCACAAUUUUCAAGUUACAACUCAUAGACAAGCCCGAUUUCUAAAUUAGUUUGUUCCAUAGAUGACCAUUACGGUCUCCCAGUACAAGAGAAAAGAUGUAAAAUGAUGCACCCUGCAACUGGUCAAAAGAUCAUUUAUCCGAGGCAGUAGAUACUUGUUCGGAAUGGUGACCCUAUUCAACUGUCGGUAGUUUAUACACAUCCUCUCUUGCUAGUGAUGGUGUUACCAUUUUUGUUGCUCUAGUUCGGACCAUAGAGUGAAAGAUACCAAUUUGUAUCACCCACAUACCAAUUGGAUUCAAGUCAUAGCACGAAGGAGUAAAAAUAAGUGAGUUUUUCCUAACAUCCUAUAGCCUCUCGAAGGAAAGUACAAGCGUCUUCGUACCGUUCCGCAAGACUCUACUAGACUCGUUUUGGUACAAUGAGAUCAAUGAACCUAGGGCUCCGAUACCAACUUUGUCACGACCCAGACCUUCAUGAUUGGCACCCACACUAAUCCUUCGGUGGGAGAACCAUUACUACAACCCAAACCAAACAACUUAACCAAAAACUACACAACUAAAUCAAUACUAAGGCAUUUAAAGUUACAGAAGCAGGUUUACAUGACAAUAAAAAUGGAGUGCCCAUAAACUCAAAAUAUUUUAACAAAUAACUAACCAAACUAAUGCGGAAAUUUAACCCCUAGAACCUGAAAGUCAUUGUACCAAACUUCUACUAUCGACAAAUCUAAGAACAAGGGGUACAACCCCAAAACUAAACAAACACCUUAAACAAAUAGUGUGAGUCCGGAAAGAGUGGACUUAAAAAAGAAAGAUCCAUGGCAGCCUGAAAGAACUGGCUCACCCUUGAAUCCGAUCACGCUUAAUAGUCACCUAGCUGAGGUCUAUUAAUAGCCGCCUGAAAAUGCCCUGUACUGAACAAAGAACAAGCAAGUGCAAUAUCAGUACACAACCACAAUGUACUGGUAGGAUCAUGCGGUUAUUCUAGUAACCACAACAUAUAUCAGAAUUACAAUAAGGUAAACACAUACAUGCACAAAAUAUAUAUAUACACAUCGAUUAUCAUUUCAGGAGCAAUGCAUGAUUCCACAUUCUCAAGAUAUAUAGUUAUGUCAAGUAGAUAUAACAAUCAAUGGUUCUCUCAUGGAACCCAAUCCAAUGAUUCUCUCAUGGAACCUAUACCCAAACUGUUAGCGUACCAGUACGUGGUAUCCGAUCCAAUGUGUAUGCCAAAACGUGGCAACUGAUCCCAUGUUUAUGCCGGAACGUGGCAGUCGAUCCUAGUUAGUGUGUCUGAUCGUGACACCCGCUCAUUCAACAAACCAAAAUCACAAUCACAAUGUAUAUUCUCACAAUCAUACAAUAAGAGGUGAUUCAUGGCAUGUAGUUCUUCGUUCAUACUUAUUUACAUUAGGUGUGAUCAAUAGGCUUCAUUCACAUACAUUCAUGCAUUACAAGGAAGCAAUUACUAACAUACAUCACGCAAAACAUCAAAUCACAACCAUUACCUACCUUGAAUCCAAGCUUGAAUCCCCUAAGGCACUUGAAUCUUUCCUUUCUGGAUUUGUUCCACUUGUUCUAGGUCUACAAACAACAAUUUAUACGCAAAGAUCAAUAAUCAGAGGUCUAAUUAUCCGGAUUAUAACAAACUCAAUAACCCUAGACCAAAUCCAUGAUCCCCAUACCUAGAUUAGGGCUUUUUCAACCAUAAUUCCCAGAUCAAAGCCCUCCCCCAUCGAUAAUUACCCAAGAAACUAAGUUCUACGGAUCGAAACAUGGAUUCGGGGACUAAAAACCUUACCUUUAGCCUCAAGAAUGGUGAAAAACCAUCAAGAACACACCUGGGGUUGUUUCUUAGCUCUCAAAGUUGAAAAGUGUAGAAUAAAACGUUUUUGGGGUUUAUUUCUGAUUUAAGUCGCGUUUGUCCCGCUACAGCGGGACCCAUCCAGCUACAGUGGAAACCAUCCCGCUACGGCGGCAUGCAUGGAGACAAAAUGUUGGAAUUUGAAUUCCAAGACCCCAUUUCACAACACACCUUGAACCCUUGACCUUCCAAAACCACCAGUUCACGCUAAGAUCAUUUUCGGGAGUUCUACUCAUCCGAAUUCGAUUACAUAAAGUCGUAUGUGUUCCUUAACGUCUUAUCUAUCCAUUCAUGUAAUCAAAUUCAUAAUUAGAUCUCUCAUACGUUACCCGAUUUUCCUAGACCUUACUGACUCCGAUUUCAUCCAAAUCUGGACUAGGUUAGAAAAUUCCAAGUUAAUACCAAAAAGUUUUCUAACCCCAAUUCUUUUCCCAUUGGCUUUUUUCUAACGACGGAAUCAUGUCGUUACAAUAUAAAAGUUUCAUUGCAUCUAUUGCCUUCUCUAAAAUUAACUCUCCUGUUAUAUUCACACGGUCUUGAUAUUGGAGAAACCACUCAUAAACAACCUUCUCCAUGUCUGGAUAUUUUGCUGGUUGUGUCGCUUGAUAUCCUUUCUUUUUUCUAAAUCAGCCGAAAGAUAUUUAGUUGAUCGUUUGAGUGUGAUUGAAAUUGUACCUUGACUAACUUUCAAAUGAAAGUUUUCAUUAAGCCACAACUGUAAAUCUUUUUUAGUGCAUGUGGAAUGAUCUCUUUUGUACUCACAUAAUGCUUUACGUAUUUGAUAUUCAUUUUGAUUUUGUGACGCCUUUUAAAUGAGAAGCCAUUUUUGGAUAGGGUUUAAAGAAAUUUCCUAUGUUGCUUAUACAUGUUUUUUUUCUCACUAUCAUACAUCGAAUAUUUUUAAUAAAAAUACAAUGAAUGAUAAUUGAUUAUUAAGAAACAAUGAAAAUUAUGUAUAAUUUUACAAAGAAUGAUUGAAUUUGUGAAUUUCUUUACAAUGAAUCAUUUAACAAAAAAAUAUAUAACAAUGAAUCAUACACAUAUAUUGCACUUUAUGUAUAAUAAAUUAAAUAUUUAUGUGAAAUCAAUAAAUAUGAUACAUAAAUUAGUAAGAUACAAUGAUUUGAUGUAUUCAUUGUACUUUAUGUAUAAUAGUUUUUUAUGUGAAAUCAAUAAAUAUGAUACAUAAAUUAGUAAGAUACAAUGAUUUGAUGUAUUCAUUGUACUUUAUGUAUAAUAGUUUUUUAUGUGAAAUCAAUAAAUAUGAUACAUAAAUUAGUAAGAUACAAUGAUUUGAUGUAUUCAUUGUACUUUAUGUAUAAUAGUUUUUUAUGUGAAAUCAAUAAAUAUGAUACAUAAAUUAGUAAGAUACAAUGAUUUGAUGUAUUCAUUGUACUUUAUGUAUAAUAGUUUUUUAUGUGAAAUCAAUAAAUAUGAUACAUAAAUUAGUAAGAUACAAUGAUUUGAUGUAUUCAUUGUACUUUAUGUAUAAUAGUUUUUUAUGUGAAAUCAAUAAAUAUGAUACAUAAAUUAGUAAGAUACAAUGAUUUGAUGUAUUCAUUGUACUUUAUGUAUAAUAGUUUUUUAUGUGAAAUCAAUAAAUAUGAUACAUAAAUUAGUAAGAUACAAUGAUUUGAUGUAUUCAUUGUACUUUAUGUAUAAUAGUUUUUUAUGUGAAAUCAAUAAAUAUGAUACAUAAAUUAGUAAGAUACAAUGAUUUGAUGUAUUCAUUGUACUUUAUGUAUAAUAGUUUUUUAUGUGAAAUCAAUAAAUAUGAUACAUAAAUUAGUAAGAUACAAUGAUUUGAUGUAUUCAUUGUACUUUAUGUAUAAUAGUUUUUUAUGUGAAAUCAAUAAAUAUGAUACAUAAAUUAGUAAGAUACAAUGAUUUGAUGUAUUCAUUGUACUUUAUGUAUAAUAGUUUUUUAUGUGAAAUCAAUAAAUAUGAUACAUAAAUUAGUAAGAUACAAUGAUUUGAUGUAUUCAUUGUACUUUAUGUAUAAUAGUUUUUUAUGUGAAAUCAAUAAAUAUGAUACAUAAAUUAGUAAAAUACAAUGAUUUUGAUAUAAUCAAAAUUAAGCUUCAUUAAAUCUCAAACCAUUCUUUAAAUUAGUAAAUAUUAAUUUAUCGAUUAAAAAAAUAUCUCUAUAAAUUAAUAAAAUUUCAUGUUCCAACCUAUAUAAAUUUAUAGAGGUUUUACUGUAGCACAGAACAAAAUAUGUAAGGGUUUGUUUGGAGAGUCAUCUUGUAAUUGGAUCUAUGUGAUUUGAUGUAAUUACACUAUUUGGGAUAUUUGGUUGGCUAUGUAAUUACUUGGUCAACAGAUAAUUGUGUGUAAUUGGCCGAAUAAUUACACUCUCCAAUUCUCAACUAGGGGUGUGAAUUGUUCAUAAUUACAUGGUUUAAUUAUAAGCUAAUUACUUUUUUAUUUCUUCUUUUUUUUUAUUUUUUUAUUUUUUAUUUUGUUUGUUCAUUUUAAUUUAAUUUUUAUGUCUAUUAUUUUUAAUUCAUUCUUUUUAUUUUUAUUAUCCUAUUUUUUAUUUUAUUUUAUAUGAUUUAUAUUUCAUUUCUUUCCCAUUCUCAACCUUUACUUCAUAUGAUUUAAUGCAUUUUUCCGUAUUAUCAAUUUUUUUAUGUCAUAUUUUUUUUUCAUUAGCAUAAUUUUGUCUGUAAUCUAAUUUUUAAAUUAAAGUGGAACUCAUUGUUGAAUAAGAUUUUCAACUUAUGUUAUGUUGAAAUUUGACAUAAGAGUAUUAUGUCAAACUUUUUUCUUCUUCUUUAGAACGUAUGUUAUAUUUUCAGUUUCAUUUGUUUUUGUAGUAUUGACUUGAGACUUCACAUUGCAAGUCAGUUAUUUUUUAGUUAGACUUGAUAGAUUAUAUUUUUGUCAAAUAAUUUAAUAAUUUAUGACAUUUUAUUUAAAAUAUUAAUUUUCUUGUCAAACAUGCAUUUAUGGUGUUCAUAGAAAUCUUGUACAUUUAGUUUUUAUGAUUAAUUUGAUUGAAAUAAACUAAUUUGAAAAAUAUUAAUCAAUUACUUUUUCAUAGUACAUAUGUUUAUUAAUUAAUAUAUUUUCAAAUAGACAAUUGUAUCUUAAAUAUAUAAUUUAAUAUCAUUUAUAAAGUUUCUUUGUCUAAUAUAAAUUUUAAAUAAUCUACUUUUGUGUUGAAAGUUUAAUUUUAUCUUAAGAUUGCAAUUGUCCAUCCAAAUAGCAUAUUUGUAGUUACAUUGUAAUUAGGGUGGUAAACAAACAUGUCAGUGUAUUAAUAGGCUGUGUAAUUACUAUGCUAAUAAUUACUACCCUAAUAAUUACACCAAUUUCAAUUACUAGAUAGAUUUUCAAACAAACCCUAAGAAAAAUAUAAGAAAAUUAUGUAUUUAUUGUUACUAUUAAUUAUAGUUUUCUUAAUAGUUUAUUGGUGAUCUCUUACCAAUUAUUAUGCAUGUAUUUUAAGAAAUUUAUUACUGGUGUAAUUAUAAUUAAAAAUUGUAGAUAACUAAAUUUACAGUUACAAGAAAAUGUUAUACUGUCAAUUGAAAAAGGAAAAUUACUUAUUAAAUUAAUUUUAGCUUUAGGCCCCUCAUUCUAUUGAGUCUCCCUUGUCUCCCCUCUCUAAUGUAAAGAUAUAGUACAAUGAUAUGUACAAAAUAAAUAAAAGACGUGCAAAUGACAGUUCAGAUAUACAUAGAUACAAAAGCUCACACAAUUUCAAUAGACGACUAUUUGAUUUCUUUGCAUUAAAACCUGUUUGUCAAGUCUAAUAUCAAAAAUCAUCUCAAAUAGACAAAAUUCUAUCAGGUUAAAUAAAAUUUCAUGCUCAGAUCAUUUUUUUCUUAAACCCUAAUAGGGAAUAUAGAUUAGGGUAUAUAACAGGAAAUUUGGCGAGAAGUGUAACUUUCAUUUGAAUUUUGGUGGAGAAAGAGAUAAGCAUGGAGAGCACUAAGUUUGCCUCACUACUAAGCUUUAUCCAUUUGUAGAGAAUGUCAAGUGCAAAAGACAAAAAAUUAUUGUUUUAAUUGGGUCAAACAAACAUAUGUCCCGACUGGUUAAUAAUUUAUUAAUAUCUCAAUAUAAUAUAUAGAAAAUAUAUGUUGUUAUUGUUGUUAUUAUUAAUAUUAUUAUUAUUAUUAUUAUUAUUAUUAUUAUUAUUAUUAUUAUUAUUAUUAUUAUUAUUAUUAUUAUUAUUAUUAUUAUUAUUAUAGUUAUUGUUAUUAUUAUUAUUGUUAUUAUCAUUAUCAUUAUCAUUAUCAUUACCAUUACCAUUAUCAUUAUCAUUAUCAUUAUCAUUACCAUUAUUAUUAUUAUUAUUAUUAUUAUUAUUAUUAUUAUUAUUAUUAUUAUUAUUAUACUCCGUUAGAACUGCUAGACACAUGGGCUCACUAACAAUACGUAUUUGAAUCUCGACAGACCCUUUGCUUGGGUAAAAGGAUAAAUCACAUUUAUAAAAGGGGUUCCAAGUAUAAUUGGAGGGUAUAACUGAUUUUAACCAAGAAAAAGAAAUGCGGAAUGCAAACUUUAUUUUGGCAAAUACGAGUAUUAGGCAAUUUAUACUGUAUAUCUAAAGCAUGUCCAGAAGCAGAUUUGACCAUAUGAGUAGUUUUUUCAAAAUAUUUGGUAGGUACAAGACCUUCCUGAAUACAACUUACAUCAGCUCCACUGUCAAUCAUUGCAAUAUCAGUGAUAGAGAAAGUAUUAUCAAUCAAUAUGGUGAAUUUAACAUACCAAUUAUGAGCAGUAACUAUUUGCAUCAUUCCUAAAGACAUAUCUUGUCUAGAAUCAAAUUUAACAGGUUUCGCAAGAGUAUUUUCUUCAAUAAUAUUUUUACCUUUGUUAAUAGCAGACUCAAUCUGAGUAAGGUGGUGAUCACAAAUAAUUUGAUUUCUCUUAAGAGAUUUAAUCUCUUGCUUCAGCUGUUCAAUCUCUUCUUUUAAAUCAUCAAAAGAAGUAUCACGUAUAACAACAUGCUGUCUAGAAAGUCUAUUAUUGACUUCAGAUAAAGAAUAAGGAGCAGAAUAUUCAAACUCAUUUUUUGAUUUUUCAAUAACAUUAGAAGAACUAGCCUUAUUAUUGGCAGCCAGCUGAAUAAUCUUUUCACGCAUUGUAUUAUCAGUAACUUCUUAUAAAAGUUCUAUCAUAUUAUCAGAAGUAAUAGUAUUAAUAUUCAAAUCUUCAAAGUGAGAUUGUAAUUUAUAAAAUUCAUCAUUUUUACAAGAGCACAUAUCACCUCUACACCUGCAAGCAUUUGUAUUAACAUGAUGAUUAUUAUCAGAGGACUCAGGCAAAUCAAUCUGUUCUUCAGAACCUGAAUCAGAGUCAUAGUCGGACUCAGAACCAGAGGUGUAUAAGAAACUAUAAAUAUUAUCAUGAACCUAUUCAUCUAGUUCUAAAGCUUUCAGCUUUUCAAGCUUACAAUUGGGUACUAUAUGCCCAAACUUUCCACACUUGUAGCACUUGAUCUUAGCGAGUUCACGUCUAGACCGAUUCUUUGUAAAUCAAUUAGCUUUACGAUGAGCUCUUCGCUCUUCCCGUUCGUCCCUAGAUCUUCGUCUAGACCUUUUUCUUCUUUAAGGUUUAUCGGGAUUAGAGUCUCUAGAAUCUCUAUGGUUGGUCUGCUUACCUGAAUCUGGUAAACCAAACUGGGUGCAGAAGUCUCCUAAUUGAGAUCUUUCUCUAAGCUUAUCAAUCUUAAGCUACCUAAAUAGCUUCAAUUCGUUGCACAUGUUUAUGCCUUCUUGAGUGCAGGCUCCUAUCAACUUACCAUAAGUAUAGGAAUUGUACGGAAUAACCCUUAUGUGCAUCCCUGAAGGUUUUCUUAACACUUUCCACAAAUAAAAGAGGAAGGCCAUCACCCCGACUUAAAUAAGUAUCUUUAUGCAAUCGGAAUUCUCCGAAAUGUCUACAUCGAAGACCAUUUAGCAAAAAUCAAACAUUUUCAUAUUGAUUAGUGAAUCUACCAUUAAAAUGUUCGAGAAUAGUCAAGACUAGGGUAUAAAUAACGUCUUCUCUAUUUUUCACUAGGGAAAAAUCUAAGUUAUCAACAACAUCAUUCACAGCCUUAGCAUUAAGUACAGCGGCUUUCGCCUCAAGGGUCAUAUAAUUAUCCCACCAACCUCUGAGUUGACCAGUAAACCUGCAAUUAUCAUCUUGCAAAUAGUUCUAUCGGUGUUAUUAACACUCUUACAAAUAGUAGCAUACAUAAGCAUUCUAUGAACAAGUAUAGUUAAUUGCCUAUCAGUUAAACCGUCGAGAUUCCAUUCAUAUAUCUCAAUUCCACUAUAAGAAGUAUUAGUUUGGUUCCAAUUACGUUCCUUUAUCAAAACAUCUUUGAGGGGUCGGUUAGGGAUAAUAAUAAGUUUGCAUACUAGGUUGAUGAGCAUAUUUAGUAUUACCACUAUUCUUCAUGGGAUAACCACGAAGUUUAUUAAUUUCCAAAUCAACUUGAUUUUUAAAAUCAAAAGUGGUUUCUAUCUCAUCUACGAAAUCUUCAAAUAAAUUAAUACGUUGAGCACCAUAUUCCGAAAACUUUUUACCAAGAAGUUUUUCAAGAUCAUAUAAGGGUUUAAAAACAAAAUCUAGAAUUUCAGGAGGUCUCUGAAUAUGCGUAGGAAGAACAUUUGGCUGUUUUGACGUAGAAACCUGUUCAGAAGAUUUUAAAUCAUUUUUAAUCUGAACAAUUAAAGUCGUCAAAUCAUCUAACUUUUUAUCAAGAGAACUAAUAUGUUCGCCUAAGACUUUAACACAAAGUCCUAAAUAGUUGUUUUGAGAAAUGAUAUUAUUAAUCUCGUUAAUGCUUACCACAGCCACAUCAUUUUCAAUAAACUUCUUAAAAGCAAUAAAAGUAAUAACUGUAUUAUUAGGUAUUAUAAAUUGAGCCUGAGGAGGAUAAAUAGCUUUAAUAAUAUUACCUAAUUCAUCUUUAUAAGAUCGGUCAAAAAUGUUGAUGAACAAAGGUAGAUAAGUGGUUAUAAACCAAGGUACAAAGAACAUAAUAUGAUUAUGCAAAGCACAAGUCUCAUAAAAAUCUUGAGAAAUAUUAUGCAAAUCUUCCAUACUGUAUGUGUCAAAAAACCAAGUUUUAAAUUGGCUCCAUUUAUCACUUGCAAAUUCAUUUUGAAUAUAUUUUCUUGCCAGUCAACCUAGACUAAAAUCAAUCUGGUGUGCAUCCAUCAUCAAGUAUCAUUAAGGUUGAAAUCCAUUUCAGUUGCAUAAGGAAUAUCCUUAUCAGAAAUAUCAGAUGAUUUAUCAUUUGAUCUUAUAAUAUUUAAUCGAGGAUCAAUUUUAAUUUUAUUUUUAUCUGCAGAUAUAACAGAAGAUAAUGUAUGCAGAGAGGCAGCACGAUUUCGAGCAGGACCAUAUAACGGCUCAAUCGGAGAAAUAUGUUGUACAGCAACUGAUCUUCUAUCAGAAAAUGAAUGUCUAUUAUAAGGAACACUUUUUUCAUUAAACUGAAUACAAAUCUUACCAUCAGAAUUUUGCAUAAUAUGGGAAUAUUCUGAAUUAGUGACAGCAUCAGUCAUUUGUUCAGGAGGUAUAACAGAAUCUAAAGUCCAAGUAGUAGGAAAAUUAAUUUCUUCGCAAUUUAUUGGUCUUAUAGUAGUGACGUUAGACUUAGCAAAAUUAGUUUCCACCAAGAUAGUUUGAUCAGAUGUAUCAUAUAAUUUAUAUCUAGGAUUCAAAGUAGCAAGUUAUUUGAAAUAAAUUCUAUAAGAUAAACAAAUUAAAUUGAAUCCAGGUGCAUAAUUAUAACCAUGGGUUUUUACAUUCAAAGUUAAAGCACCUAAUAUAGUAGAAUCAGUUAAAGAUAGCUGCAAAUUCGGCUGAGUAUUAAAAUAAAAUGGAUCAUAGGCCACCGUAGAUUCGAUCGAACCCAUCAAAGAUUGUCGAAAAUUUAAAUUUCUUGCAUCUCGGAAAGCAACCAAGAAAGUCUCUGGUAACCCUUUAAGAGCUAAAGGCUUAAAAGCAAUUUGAACCAUGCCAAAAUGCACGAACUUCUAUUGAGAUUUAUAUAAAUCAAUAUCUCACUUAUUUAAUAAGCGAAUAGUUUGUUCUGAUGAGUUUAACGCCAAAGAUUGCUCAGUUGUUUUAAUCAACUGUUUAUGAGAGAUUUUAUCAAACCAACCAUAAUCAUAAAUGGUUUUAAUAUCAAUUUUCAGAAUAGUCCAUUUGUUUAACAAAUCAAGGUUUUGAGGUAUAUCUACCUCUUCCAAUCGAGUACUUUUAGUAAUAGUAUCUCCUAAAUUGAUGAUUAAGAGAAUAUUUCUAUGCCGAAAUACUUCACAUCAAUCUCAUAUGUCCUCCGCAAAUAAAGAAGGAAGGACAUCUAUAAAUUGAGCCUUCCAAUGCUCAAGACCGUUUUCCGAUAGUUCCAUCACCCGACUUAAAUAAGUAUCUUUAUACCAAUGGAAUUCUCCUUAAUGUCUACAUCGAAGACCAUUUAGCAAAGAUCGAAGAGUUUCAUAAUGAUUGAUUAAUCUACCAGUAAAAUGUUCGAGAAUAGUCAAGAAUAGGCUAUAAACAACGUCUUAUCUAUUUUUCACUAGGGCAAAACCUAAGUUAUCAACACCAUCAUUAACAGCCUUAGCAUUAAGCACAACGGCUUUCGCUUCAAGGGUCAUAUAAUUAACCCACCAACCUAUAAUUUGACUAGUAAAACCUGCAAUUAUCAUCUUGCAAACAGUUCUAUUGUUGUUAUUAACACUUUUACAAAUAAUAGCAUACAUAAGCAUUUUAUGAGCAAGUAUAGUUAAUUGCCUAUCAGUUAAACCGUUGAGAUUCCAUUCAUAUAUCUCACUUCCACUAUAAGAAGUAUUAGUUUGGUUCCAAUCACGUUCCUCUACCAAAACAUCUUGAGGGGUCGGUUUGGGAUAAUAAUAAGUUCGCAUACUAGGUUGAUGAGCAUAUUUAGUACUACCACUAUUCUUCUUGGGAUAACCACGAAGUUUAUUAAUUUCCAAAUCAACGUGAUUUUUAAAAUCAAAAGUGGUUUCUACCUCAUCUGUAAAAUCUUCAGAUAAAUUAAUAGGUUGAGCACCAAAUUCAAAAAUCUUUUUAACAAGAAGUUUUUCAAGAUCAUGUAAGGGUUUAAAAACAAAAUUCAGAAUUUCAGGAGGUCUCUGAAUAUGCGUAGGAAGANNNNNNNNNNNNNNNNNNNNNNNNNNNNNNNNNNNNNNNNNNNNNNNNNNNNNNNNNNNNNNNNNNNNNNNNNNNNNNNNNNNNNNNNNNNNNNNNNNNNCCAUUUAGCAAAGAUCGAAUAGUUUCAUAAUGAUUGACUAAUCUAUCAGUAAAAUGUUCGAAAAUAGUCAAGAAUAGGCUAUAAACAAUGUCUUAUCUAUUUUUCACUUGGGCAAAACCUAAGUUAUCAACACCAUCAUUAACAGGCUUAGCAUUAAGCACAACGGCUUUCGUCUCAAGGGUCAUAUAAUUAUCCCACCAACCUCUAAUUUGACUAGUAAAACCUGCAAUUCUCAUCUUGCAAAUAGUUCUAUUGUUGUUAUUAACACUUUUACAAUACACUCUUACAAAUAAUAGCAUACAUAAGCAUUUUAUGAGCAAGUAUAGUUAAUUGCCUAUCAGUUAAACCGUUGAGAUUCCAUUCAUAUAUCUCACUUCCACUAUAAGAAGUAUUAGUUUGGUUCCAAUCACGUUCCUCUACCAAAACAUCUUGAGGGGUCGGUUUGGGAUAAUAAUAAGUUCGCAUACUAGGUUGAUGAGCAUAUUUAGUACUACCACUAUUCUUCUUGGGAUAACCACGAAGUUUAUUAAUUUCCAAAUCAACGUGAUUUUUAAAAUCAAAAGUGGUUUCUACCUCAUCUGUAAAAUCUUCAGAUAAAUUAAUAGGUUGAGCACCAAAUUCAGAAAACUUUUUAUCAAGAAGUUUUUCAAGAUCAUGUAAGGGUUUAAAAACAAAAUCCAGAAUUUCAGGAGGUCUCUGAAUAUGCGUAGGAAGAACAUUUGGCUGUUUUGACGUAGAAGCCUGUUCAGAAAAUUUUAAAUCAUUUUUAAUCUGAACAAUUAAAGUCGUCAAAUCAUCUAACUUUUUAUCAAGAGAACUAAUAUGUUCACCUAAGACUUUAACAUAAAAUCCUAAAUAGUUGUUUUGAGAAAUGAGAUUAUUAAUCUCGUUAAUGCUUACCGUAGCCACAUCAUUUUCAAUAAACUUCUGAAAAGUAGGAAAAGUAAUACAUGUAUUAUUAGGUAGUAUAAAUGUUGCCUCAGGAGGAUAAAUAGCUUUAAUAAUAUUACCUAAUUCAACUUUAUAAGAUCGAUUAAGAAUGUUGAUGAACUAAGGUAAAUAAGUGGUUAUAAGCCAAGGUACAAAGAACAGUAAUAUGAUUAUGCAAAGCACAAGUCUCAUAAAAUUCUUGAGAAAUAUUAUGCAAAUCUUAUGUACUGUAUGUGUCAAAAACCCAAGUUUUAAACUGGCUCCAUUUAUCACUUGCAAAUUCACUUUGAAUAUAUUGUCUUGCCAGUGAACCUCUACUAAUAUCAAUCUGGUGUACAUCCAUCAUCAAGUAUCAUUAAGGUUGAAAUCCAUUUCANNNNNNNNNNNNNNNNNNNNNNNNNNNNNNNNNNNNNNNNNNNNNNNNNNNNNNNNNNNNNNNNNNNNNNNNNNNNNNNNNNNNNNNNNNNNNNNNNNNNNNNNNNNNNNNNNNNNNNNNNNNNNNNNNNNNNNNNNNNNNNNNNNNNNNNNNNNNNNNNNNNNNNNNNNNNNNNNNNNNNNNNNNNNNNNNNNNNNNNNNNNNNNNNNNNNNNNNNNNNNNNNNNNNNNNNNNNNNNNNNNNNNNNNNNNNNNNNNNNNNNNNNNNNNNNNNNNNNNNNNNNNNNNNNNNNNNNNNNNNNNNNNNNNNNNNNNNNNNNNNNNNNNNNNNNNNNNNNNNNNNNNNNNNNNNNNNNNNNNNNNNNNNNNNNNNNNNNNNNNNNNNNNNNNNNNNNNNNNNNNNNNNNNNNNNNNNNNNNNNNNNNNNNNNNNNNNNNNNNNNNNNNNNNNNNNNNNNNNNNNNNNNNNNNNNNNNNNNNNNNNNNNNNNNNNNNNNNNNNNNNNNNNNNNNNNNNNNNNNNNNNNNNNNNNNNNNNNNNNNNNNNNNNNNNNNNNNNNNNNNNNNNNNNNNNNNNNNNNNNNNNNNNNNNNNNNNNNNNNNNNNNNNNNNNNNNNNNNNNNNNNNNNNNNNNNNNNNNNNNNNNNNNNNNNNNNNNNNNNNNUCAACGCCAAAGAUUGCUCAGUAGUUUUUAUCAACUGUUUAUUAGAGAUCUUAUCGAACCAACCAUAAUCAUAAAUGGUUUUUAUAUCAACUUUCGUAAUAGUUCAUUUGUUUAACAAAUCAAGGUUUUGAGGUAUAUCUACCUCUUCCAAUCGAGUACUUUUAGUAAUAGUAUCUCCUAAAUUGAUGAUUAAGAGAAUAUAUCUAUGCCUAAAUACUUCACAUCAAUCUCAUAUUUACCAUGAAAGUUCCUAGGCUCUGAUACCAACGAAACCAGGAUCUCCGAAAACUGGCGGUAGUCCGCGCGGUCAUCUUCAAUCUAGCUUGUUAACAUCCAAAUUCAAGGAAUAAAUUUGAAUAGAAAUACAUACAAAAUUUUAUAUAGUUUGAUGACUGUAUGGAAGGAUCUGAUCCUUUUACCCAAGCAAAGGGUCUGUCGAGAUUCAAAUACGUAUUGUUAGUGAGCCCAUAUGUUUAGCAGUUCUAACCGGGUAUGAGGCGCCCUUUUACUCUUUAUCGGGCUGAGACCACGGCUGGCCAGACGGAGUCACUAAGACAAAGCCACUAACUUGUUGUAUUGAAUCUGACUGUACCACCAUCUCGGAACCAAGUCAAGAAACCAUAUAUAAAUUUAUGCAUAUUUAGAUAAAGUUGACAUCUUUCAUGGUAGAUACAAAAGUGAAGUUAGUUAUCCGACAUAGAUAUAAUUCUUUAGCCGGACAUAGUCACGACUUAGAUCAGAGAAGUAGAGAAAGUAAGGAAAAGGAAGAAUAAUAGAAAGUAACUUUUGGCCAACACCAGGGGCUAUAUGAGAACUAUGCUUUAUUAACAAACUCCGGUAAGUCUCUGACAAACUCACAACUUACAAUACAAUACAAGAGGGCAAGAGAGAGAGAGAGAUAGCAUCUUUCCACCUGCUCUUCUCCAACUACAAAAGAACUUAUUUAUAGAAGAAAAAGGAAUCUAGCUACAGUGAUCUACAAUGAUUGUGGGUCCCUUAUCACCGGGUACCAUAUGUACAGUAACAGUUUUUCUACUGUUGUUCAAUAGUGUAUCUACUAUUGAUAGUGACCUUUACUUGUUGUAGAUCAACUUCACACGUGAUCUUUUCCCUUUAGUUUAUUGCGGAGAUCUUCUGCUUUUUCUAGCACAUCCUCUAUGGUAGGUUCACAUAAUUGAGCCUCUUGAAUAUCUGUAACGUCAUCACUUGUUUCACUUCGCAUUGAAGUGUCUGACUUCUCGUAUUGGGUAAUAUUGAGAAGUAUGUUUUUUCUUACUUCGUCAAGAUAAUUAUUAAUCAUCUCUUCUUUAUUUCCAUCCUGAAUAGAGAUAUUUUGAGCAAUAUGUCGGACGGAGCUAUGCUGUAUAAUUCCAUUUUGAGGAACAAGACAAUAUUCUUGAAUUCUUUGUUUAAUAAGAUCCAAUAAUUCCUGUCCGUAUAACGAUUUUGUCUUGGGAUCUUGUUUUAUUAAUUUAUCCCAAAAAUUAUUAUAAAAUGUCCUGUAUAGACAAGGAAUUUGUUCGUUGGUGAAUCCCACCUCCGGAGUCCAUUUGUGAAUUCAUGGGAUCGAGAAUUCAAUAAAGAAAUAGAUUUGUUCGAUCCUUUCAAUAUAACAGAUAUGAUCUGUCUGAUAUAAUUCGUUCAGAUUUGGUGAGAUUUUUACCCAUUCAUUGUAUAACUUAAGAAAUGGAUCUGGUAAAAUCUUAGUUUUUGGGCCGUGGUAUGACCACCAAUUUAGGAACCAAUUAGGGAUUGGUUCUGCAAAUAUUUUUGCACAAACCUUUAUGAACCAUGUAUGCUUGUGUCUGUCAUUAUUGUAGAUGAGGACCUUAUCAAAAGCAUGAAUAUAGUUCCAAUAUGUAAAAUUCAUCGAGACUUUAUUUAGACUUAUCUGUCUUUCUUUCAUUGUGGAGAUACCCCAAUCUUCAACCGAUAUAAUUUGUUUAAUUAUCAUUUUGGAGAAGUUAUAAACAUUCUCACUGGUGUUGUAGCCUUAAAAGUGCUGAAAUUCAACGCUACCUGUGCUCAUUAAAAUAGUCUCGUAAUAAGAUCGGGUUUUGUAUGACUCUCCCGAAAAAUAUAAUUCGUUAACCAGAUAUCUCUGGAAUAUCUUCCAGGGCUCUUCUUUUCUCUGAAUAUCAGAAUUUCCUAAAAGAAAUAUCAUUUGUUUCUUUGAUAGCUUUUUGUAAGAUUUGAUAUCAUCAACCUCUUCUUUAGCUACUGAUGCAAAAGUAUCACUUUGCUUUUGGGAUAAAUACGCUUGUAGUUGUGCGUAUAAUGGAUUAUUUUCUGGAAUAUCGUCUAGAUGUAUUGAAGAAGCAGCUUCUUUUGAAGGGCUUGUUAGUUUUACCAAGCUCAUUCCUCCCUUUGUAUAAUUGGAGAGCUGGACGAGGAUCUGUAUGACGAUCCGAAUGAUUUUGAGGAUGAUUUUCCCCUUUCACGAUUAUAACUUCCCCUUUCUCUAGCCUUGGUUACCCAAGGAGGGUCCAUUCUGCAAACAAAACACUUCAUUUUAUUCGAAUACAUCAUAGUAAUAAUUAUGGUAAUAAUAAAUUUCGCCGUCAAAUUCGAUGAUCUUUUUCGCAACUAAGAAUAUCAGAGAUGAUGUCUAUUACCAUCCCAUCUAUGAUUUUCCAUAUAAUCAAUUCCUGUACAUCUCUAUUGAGAGGGAUUACAUUUAAUAUAGUAAUUAAGGUUUUUUCUGUAAAGAAGGGAGAAAGGAAGCUCAUUAUGACGAUAAAUAUUCUCUAGAUAAGAAAUCUGGAAGGGAGUUAUCACUUCCCUUUUUAUAAUGGUUUCCAAAAUCAAAAGGUGCUAGCUGUGCUUGCCAUCUAGCCAAAAAUCAAUUUUGACGCAUCAUGUUUAAAAUCUUUAUUAAACAUAUACUUCACAGAUUGAGCAUCAGUUUUAUUAAAAACUUUUGAUUAUAUAGAUCAUCUUGAAAUUUUAAAACGCAUUUAACAAUGGUUAACAUUUCAUGCGCCACCGUAGCAUAUUUCUUCUGAGCAUCGCUCCAUUUUCCAGAAUGAAAUCAAAUUAGAUAUUCAGUUUUAUCAUGAGGAUUGAUCUGUUUCAAUAUUCCACCAUAACAAAUAUUAGACGCAUCUGUCUCAAUAAUCUUUUGCCAAGUAGGGUUAGCAAGAGUUAAACAAGGUAAAGAUUGAACACGAAGUUUAAUAUCUUUUACCAAAGUUGUAUGACUAUUAGUCCAAAGUGAUUUGUAAUCCUUUUUUAGCCUGUCAUACAAAGGGGCCAAAUCACGAGAUAAAUUUUUAUAGAAGGGUGAUAUUUAAUUUAAACUCCCUAAAAAUCUCUGUAAUUGAGUUCGAUCCGUGAUAACAUCAGGAAAUUUUGAGGCAAAGUCGAUGGCUCUUUGAAUUGGGGUGACCUUCCCUGGACAAAUAUGAUGUCCCAAAAAUCGAACAUCCGUUUGAAAUAAACUCAUUUUUGGUUUAGAAAUUACCAAACCAUUUUGUAUAACUAUUUUUUUGAAAAUGUCUAAAUGCUUGAUAUGCAUUUAGAAUGUUUUUGAGUAAACCAAAAUAUCAUCAAUAUAAACAAUGAUAAAAUCCAGAUGUGGGUUAAAAAUAUCAUUCAUAAUUUUCUGAAAUUUAGAAGGAGCAUUUUUUAAACCAAAUGGCAUAACAUUCCAUUCAUAUUGUCCAAAUGGGACAUUAAAAGCUGUUCAAUAAGAAUGCUCUUUAAAUAACUGGAUAUGCCAAUAUCCUGAUUUUAAAUCAAAUUUUGAAAAAAUAUUGGCAUCAUAUAAUCUUGAUAAUAAAUCUCUUUUAUUUGGAAUAGGAUACCUAAUCCACUUUAAAUAUUUGUUUAACGGUUUAUAAUUGAUAACCAAUAUGGGGACCCCUCGUUCCCUUUCUGCAGCAUUAUUCACAUAAAAAGCAGUACAAGACCAAGGAAAUUUUGAAGGUUUUAUCAAACCCUUUUGUAAUAAAUUAUCAAUUUCUUUUUUGCAGAAUUCUACCAAUUCGGUGUUCAUCUGAAAAGGACGAGAUUUGGUCGGAAUAUCAUUCUCAGAGAAAUUAUCAUCAUAUGGAAGAGUAACAAUAUGCUUUUUACGAUUCCAAAAAGAACUAGGAUGAUCAUCACAAAUAUCAACAACGAUUUGUUCAGAAAUUAAUUUAAUUUUUUCCUGUACUUUAAAUGAUUUUAAAGUAUCAAAUAUAUUUAUGCUGAACAAUUCAAGUUGCAUAGAGUCAACAUGCUUUUGUUUCAUAUUAAUCAAAACAUUAAUAUAACGAGAAAUAGGGUCAGUGAUAAAAGUAUAACUAAUAUCUCUAUCUUUAUAAGUGGCAGAAAAAUCCUUAGCAUUUAUAUUAGUAAAAGGAUAAAUAACAUUUAUAAAAGGGGUUCCAAGUAUAACUGGAGGGUAUAACUAAUUUUUAACCAAUAAAAAGAAAUGCGGAAUGCAAACUUUAUUUUGGCAAAUACGAGUAUUAGGCAAUUUAUACUGUUUAUCUAAAGCAUGUCCAGAAGCAGAUUUGACCAUAUGAGUAGUUUUUUCAAAAUAUUUGGUAGGUACAAGACCUUCCUGAAUACAACUCACAUCAGCUCCACUGUCAAUCAUAACAAUAUCAGUUAUAGAGAAAGUAUUAUCAAUCAAUAUGGUGCGUUUAACAUACCAUUUAUGAGUAGUAACGAUUUGCAUCAUUCCUAAAAACAUAACUUGUCUAGAAUCAAAUUUAACAGGUUUUGCAAGAGUAUUUUCUUCAAUAAUAUUUUUACCUUUGUUAUUAGCAAACUCAAUCUGAGUAAGGCAGUGAUCACAAAUAAUUUGAUUAUUUUGCUUAAGAGAUUUAAUCUCUUGCUUCAGUUGUUCAAUCUCUUCUUUUAAAUCAUCAAAAGAAGUAUCACAUAUAACAACAUGCUGUCUAGAAAGUCUAUUAUUGACUUCAGAUAAAUAAUAAGGAGCAAAAUAUUCAAACUCAUUUUGCGAUUUUUCAAUAACAUUAGAAGAACUAGCCUUAUUAUUGGCAGCCAACUGAAUAAUCUUUUCACACAACGUAUUAUCAGUAACUUCUUUUAAAAGUUCUAACACAUUAUCAGAAGUAAUAGUAUUAAUAUUCAAAUCUUCAAAUUGAGAUUGUAAUUUAUAAAAUUCAUCAUUUUCAUAAGAGCACAUAUCACCUCUACACCUGCAAGCAUUUGUAUUAACAUGCUGAUUAUUAUCAGAGGACUCAGGAAAAUUAAUCUCUUCUUCAGAACCUGAAUCAGAGUCAUAGUCGGACUCAGAACCAGAGGUGUAUAAGAAAUUAUAAAUCUUAUCAUGAACCUCUUCAUCUAGUUCUAAAGCUUUCAGCUUUUCAAGCUUAGAAUUGGGUGCUAUAUGCCCAAACUUUUCACACUUGUAGCACUUGAUCUUAGCAAGUUCACGUCUAGACCUAUUCUUUGUAAAUCGAUUAGAUUUACGAUGAGCUCUUCGCUCUUCCCGUUCUUCCCUAGAUCUUCGUAUAGACCUUUUUCUUCUAUAAGGUUUAUCGGGAUUAGAGUCUCUAGAAUCUCUAUGUUUGGUCUGCUUACCUGAAUCUGGUAAUACAAACUGUGUGCAGAAGUCUCCUAAUUGAGAUCUUUCUCUAAGCUUAUUAAUCUUAAGCUGCCUAUAUAGCUUCAAUUUGUUGCACAGGUUUAUGCCCUCUUGAGUGCAGGCUCCUAUUAUCUUACCAUAAGUAUAUGAAUUGAACGGAAUAACCCUUUGUGCAUCCCUCAAGGUUUUCUUAACUCUUUCCGCAAAUAAAGGAGGAAGGCCAUCUAUAAAUUUAGCUUUCCAAUGCUCAAGACCGUUUUCCGGUAGUUCCAUAACCCGACUUAAAUUAGUAUCUUUAUACCAUCGGAAUUCUCCUAAAUGUCUACAUCGAAGACCAUUUAGUAAAGAUCGAACAAUUUCAUAUUGAUUGAUGAAUCUACCAUUAAAAUGUUCGAGAAUAGUCAAGACUAGGGUAUAAACAGUGUCUUCUCCAUUUUUUACUAGGGCAAAACCUUAGUUAUCAACACCAUCAUUAACAACCUUAGCAUUAAGUACAACGGCUUUCUCCUCAAGGCUCAUAUAAUUAUCCCACCAACCUCUAAGUUGAUCAUUAAAACCUGCAAUUAUCAUCUUGCAAAUAGUUCUAUCGGUGUUAUUAAGACUCUUACAAAUAGUAGCAUACAUAAGCAUUCUAUGAACAAGUAUAGUUAAUUGCCUAUCAGUUAAACUGUCGAGAUACCAUUCAUAUAUCUCACUUCCACUAUAAGAAGUAUUAGUUUGGUUCCAAUCACGUUCCUCUAUCAAAACAUCUUGAGGGGUUGGUCUGGGAUAAUAAUAUGUUUGCAUACUAGGUUGAUGAGCAUAUUUAGUAUUACCACUAUUCUUCUUGGGAUAACCACAAAGUUUAUUAAUUUCCAAAUCAACUUGAUUUUUAAAAUCAAAAGUGGUUUCUAUCUCAUAUGCAAAAUCUUCAGAUAAACUAAUAGGUUGAGCACCAAAUUCUGAAAACUUUUUAUCAAGAAAUUUUUCAGGAUCAUAUAAGGGUUUAAAAAGAAAAUCCUGAAUUUCUGGAGGUUUCUAAUUAUGGGUAGGAAGAACAUUUGGCUGUUUUGACGUAGAAGCCUGUUGAGAAGAUUUUAAAUCAUUUUUAAUCUGAACAAUUAAAGUCGUCAAAUCAUAUAACUUUUUAUCAAGAGAACUAAUAUGUUUGCCUAAGACUUUAACAUAAAGUCCUAAAUAGUUGUUUGGAGAUUUGAGAUUAUUAAUCUCGUUAAUGCUUACCGUAGCCACAUCAUUUUCAAUAAACUUCUGAAAAGUAGUAAAAGUAAUGCUUGUAUUAUUAGGUAGUAUAAAUGGUGCCUGAGGAGGAUGAAUAGCUUUAAUAUUAUUACCUAAUUCAUCUUUAUAAUAUCGUUCAAGAACGUUGAUGAACAAAGGUAGAUAAGUGGUAAUAAACCAAGGUACGAAGAACAUAAUAUGAUUAUGCAAAGCACAAGUCUCAUAAAAUUCUUGAGAAAUAUUAUGCAAAUUUUCCAUACUGUAUGUGUCAAAAAACGAAGUUUUAAACUGGCUCCAUUUAUCACUUGCAAAUUCAUUUUGAAUAUAUUUUCUUGCCAGUGAACCUCGACUAAAAUCAAUCUGGAGUGCAUCCAUCAACAAGUAUCAUUAAGGUUGAAAUCCAUUUCAAAUGCAAAAGGAAUAUCCUUAUCAGAAAUAUCAGAUGAUUUAUCAUUUGAUCUAACAAUAUUUAAUCGAGGAUCAAUUUUAAUUUUAUUUUUAUCUGCAGAUAUAACAGAAGAUAAAGUAACAGAAUCUAAAGUCCAAGUAAUAGGAAAAUUAAUUUCUUCCCAUUUUAUAGGUCUUCUAGUAGUGACCUUAGACUUAGCGAAAUUAGUUUCCACCAAGAUAGUUUGAUCAGAUUUUUCAUAUAAUUUACAUUUAGGAUUCAAAGUAGCAAGCAAUUUGAAAUAGAUUCUAUAAGAUAAACAAAUUAAUUCAGAUCCAGGUGCAUUAUUAUAACCAUGCGUUUUAACAUUCAAAGUUAAAGCAUCUAAUAUAUUAGAAUCAGUCAAAGAUAACUGCAAAUUCGGCUGAAUAUUAAAAUAAACUUGACAUAGGCCACCGUAGAUUCGAUCGAACCCAUCAAAGAUUGUCGAAAAUUUAAAUUUCUUGCAUCUCAUAAAGCAGCCAAGAAAGUCUCUGGUAACCCUUUAAGAGUUAAAGGCUUAAAAGCAAUUUGAACCAUGCCAAUAUGCAAGAACUUUUAUUGAGAUUUAUAUAGAUCAAUAUCACGCUUAUUUAAUAAAUAAAUAGUUUGUUCAAAUGAGUUUAACGCCAAAGAUUGCUCAGUUGUUUUAAUCAACUGUUUAUGAGAGAUUUUAUCAAACCAACCAUAAUCGUAAAUGGUUUUAAUAUCAAUUUUCAGAAUAGUCCAUUUGUUUAACAAAUCAAGGUUUUGAGGUAUAUCUACCUCUUCCAAUCGAGUACUUUUAGUACUAGUAUCUCCUAAAUCCAUGAUUAAGAGAAUAUAUCUAUGCCGAAAUACUUCAUAUCAGUCUCAUAUUUACCAUGAAAGUUCCUAGGCUCUGAUACCAACGAACUUUCAUUUCGAUUAUUAUUACUAUUAAUACCCUGACAAGUAUCCGACGAUCUUACAAAAACUAAAAAGAAAGUUUUACAAGAUAGAAACUAAAAGGGAGAGAGAGUGAUUCUGAACCUGUCCUUUACUAAAAACAUACUUAUUCAUAGACAAGAAAUAAAACAACAAGCAUAUUUGUAGUGUGCUAUCUGGUCCCAUCGGCCCCCUAUGAACAGUAUGUCUACUGUUGAAAACAGUGUAUGUUCUGUCUUUAGUGCCUUCACAUCUGGCCCUUCUUUGUCAUCCCGAAUAGAAAGUCUUCUGUCUCUUUUAGCGUAGCUCCUAAAUCUGGUUCUUUCGGUUCAGAUGGUUGAGCUCCUAUAAGAUCCUCUCGAGUAUCGUUACUCGUUUCACUCCUCAUAGAAGUGUCAGAUUUUUCAUAGUGAAUGAUAUUAAGAAGUAAAUUUCUCCUAACUCUUUAUAAGUAGUCAUUAAUUAAUUCUUCUUUAUUUCCAUCAAGAUUGGAAAUUCUUUUGGCCAUAUGCUUAACAGAGCUAUCAGCAAUUAGUUCCUUUGGAGGAGCUGUUCCAUAUUCAUGAAUUGUCUGAGAAAUAAAAUCCAGAAGCUCUUGUCCAUAUAAGGAUUUUGUCUUGGGAUCCUUCUUUAUUAGUUUGUCCCAAAAGUUAUUAUAAUAACAUCGAUAUAGGUAAGGAAUUUACUCCUCGAUAAAGCCUACUUCAGGAGUCCAUUUAGGAAUCCAUGGAAUAGAAAAUUCUAUAAAGAAAUAAAUUUGAUCAAUUUGAUCGAAAUAGCAGAUAUGAUCUUCGUGAUAUAGAUUAUUAAGGUUUGGGGAAACCUUAACCCAUUCUUUGUAUAACUUUAAGAAGGGAUCAUGUAGAAUUUUUGCUACCGGACCGUGAUAUGACCACCAGUUCAAAAACCAAUUAGGGAGUGGUUGAGCAAAGAUCUUUGCACAUACUUUAAUGAACCAAGUGUGCUUGUGCCUCUCAUUAUUAUAAUAGAGGACCUUAUUAAAGGCAUUAAUGUAAUUCCAAUAUGUGAUGCUAGUGGGAAUCUUGUUAAGGCUUAUCUGCCUUUCUUUCAUUGAAGAUAUACCCCAAUCUUUUAUAGUCAUAACCUGUUUAAUAAUUAUUUUGGAGAAGUUAUAAACAUUCUCGCUAGUGUUAUACCCUGAGAAGUGUUGAAAUUCAGCGCUACCGGUGCUUAUCAAAUUAGUCUCAUUAUAUGAAUGGGUUUUAUAUGAUUCACCCGGGAAAUAUAAUCCAUUAAUCAAAUAUCUCUGAAAUAUCUUCCAUGGUUCAUCUUUUAUCUGAAUCUCAGAGUUUUCUAAAAGAAAUAUUAUUUCUUUCUUUACUACUUUCUCAUACGAUUUGAUAUAAUCAAUAUCGUCUUUAGCAAUUAAAGUAAAGGUAUCACUUUUCUCUUUUUGGGUCAAAUAUGCUCGCAAUUCUGCAAAUAAAGGGUUGUCUUCUGGAAUAUCUUCCAGAUGUAUUGACGACGAAGAAGAAUCUUCUUUUUGAGAAGUCUUCAGCUGUACCAAGCUCAUUCCUCCUCUUUGUAUAAUUGGGGAGUUAGAAGAGGAUCCAUAUGAUGAUCCGGCUGCGGAUGAUCCAGGGAAUGUUCUUCCCCUUCCACGGGAAUUAUUUCCCUUUCCUCGACCCUUGGUUACCCAAGGAGGGUCCAUCCUGCAAACAAAACAUUUUGUUUUAUUCAUCAAGGAGGUUAUAACAUUCAUAAUAAUCAUAACUCUCAUAGUGUGCUUCUUCUAUCAUGUAAUUGGUGACGAUAUCCAUCAUCAUUCCGUCUAUAAUUCUCGAUAAAAUAUGUUCAUGUAAAUCUCUAUUUAGAAGAACUGCCUUUAAAAUUGUAAUUAAAUAUUUAUCAGGAAAGAAGGCUAAGAAACCCAUUUUUAAGAAGCAAGAUAUUCUCUAGAUAGGAAGUCUGGGAGAGAAUUAUCACUUCCCUUUUUAUAAUGAAUUUCAAAAUCAAAAGGGGUUAAUUGUGCUUGCCACCUGGUGAAUAUCAGCUUUGAAGCAUCAUGUUUGAAAUCUUUGUCAAACAUAUAGUUUACAGAUUAUGCAUCUGUUUUUAUCAAGAAUUUUUUAUUAUACAAAUCAUCUUGAAAAUUUAAUACACAUUUAACGAUAGUUAGCAUUUAAUGCGCUACCGGUAGCAUACUUUUUCUGAGCAUGCUCCAUUUUCUAGAAUGAAAUCGAAUCAGAUAUUCAGUUUUAUCAUGAGGAUUGAUUUGUUUUAAUAUUCCUCUAUAUCCAAUGUUAGACACAUCUGUCUCUAUAAUGUUUUGCUAGGCUGGGUUAGCAAGAGUUAGACAAGGCAAAGAUUUAACUCGAAUUUUAAUAUUUUUUACUAAAUUAGUGAGACUAUCAGUCCAAGAUGCUUUAUGGUCCUUUUUUAACCUGUCGUAUAACAGAGCUAAAUCGUGAGUUAAAUUUUUGUAGAAAGGGGAAAUAUAAUUUAAACUUCCCAAGAAUCUCUGUAAUUGCGUCCUGUAUGUAAUAACAUCAGGAAAUUUUGAAGCAAAAUCAAUCGAUCUUUGAAUAGGGGGUAACCUUCCCCUGAAAAAUAAGAUGUCCUAAAAAUCUGACUUCAGUUUGAAAUAGACUUAUUUUUGGUUUAGAAAUCACCAAACCGUUUUGUAUAACUAUUUUCUUGAAAAUGUCUAAAUAUUUAAUAUGCAUUUCAAGAGUCUUUGAAUAAACCAAAAUAUCAUCAAUAUAAACAAUGAUGAAGUCCAAAUAUGGGUUAAAGAUAUCAUUCAUAAUUUUCUGAAAUUCAGAAGGAGCGUUUUUCAAACCAAAUGGCAUAACAUUCCAUUCAUAUUGUCCAAACGAGACAUUAAAAGUAGUUCUAUAAGAGUGCUCUUUAAAUAUUUGAAUCUGCCAAUAGCCUGAUUUUAAAUCAAAUUUAGAAAAUAUAUUGGCGUCAUAUAAUCUUGACAAUAAAUCCUUUUAUUUGGAAUAGGAUACCUAAUCCAUUUCAAGUAUUUGUUCAAAGCUUUAUAAUUUAUAACUAACCUGGAAACACCUAGUUCCUUUUCAGCUGCAUUAUUGACAUAAAAUGCAGUACAAGACCAAGGGGAUUUAGAAGGUUUUAUCAAACCCUUUUGUAACAAACUAUCAAUUUUCUUUUUGCAGAAUUCAACCAUUUCAGAGUUCAUCUGGCAAGGGCGAGAUUUUGUUGGGAUAUCAUCCUCAAAGAAAUUAUCUUCAUAUGGAAGAGUCACAAUAUGCUUUUUUCGAUUCCAGAAAGAACUAGGAUGAUCAGCACAAAUAUCAAUGGCCAUUUGUCCGGAAAUGAAUUUAAUUUUUUCCUGCACUUUUGUAGAUUUUAAAGUGUUGAAUAUAUUCAUACUAAAUAUUUCAAGUUGUAAAGAAUCAACAUGUUUUUCUUUCAUAUUAAUCAAAGCAUUAAUAUCACGAGAAAUAGGAUCAGUGAUAAAAGUAUAACUAAUAUCUUGAUUUUUGUAAGUAGCAGAAAAUCCUUUAGCUGUUAUUUUAGUAAAAGGAUAAAUCGCAUUUAUAGGGGUUCCAAGUAUAAUAAGAGGGUAUAACUGAUUUUUUACCAAGAAAAAGAAAUGUGAAAUGCAAACUUUAUUUUGACACAUUUGAGUAUUAGAUAGUUUAUACUUUAUAUCUACAGCAUGUCCUGAAGCAGAUCUGACCAUAUGAGUUGUUUUCUCAAAAUAUUUGGUAGGCACAAGACCUUCCUGAAUACAACUUACGUCAGCUCCACUAUCUAUCAUAGCAACAUCAGUUAUAGAGAAAGUAUUAUCAAUUAAUAAGGUAUAUUUAACAUACCAUUUAUGAGCUGUAAUAAUCUGUAUCAUUCCUAAAAACAUAUUUUGUCUAGGGUCAAUAUUAAUAGAUUUUGCAAGAGUAUUUUCUUCAACAAUAUUUUUACCUUUGUUAUUAGCAGACUCAAUCUGAGUAAGGCGGUGAUGACAAAUAAUCUGAUUUUGUUUAAGAGAUUUAAUCUCUUGUUUCAACUAUUCAAUUUCUCCCUUUAAGUCAUCAAAAGAAGUAUAACGAAUAACAACAUGCUGUCUAGAAAGUCUAUUAUUGACAUCAGAUAAAGAAUAAGGAGCAGAAUACUCAAACUCAUUUUUUGACUUUUCAACAACAUUAGAUGAGCUAGCCUUAGUAUUAGCAGCAAGCUGAAUAAUCUUUUCUCGUAACGUAUUAUCAGUAACUUCUUUUAAAAGUUCUAUCACAUUAUCGAAAGUAAUAGUAUUAAUAUUCAUAUCUUCAAAUUGAGAUUGUAGUUUAUAAAAUUCAUCAUUUUCACAAGAGCAAAUAUUACCUCUACAUUUACAAGCAUCUAUAGUUGCUGACUGAGUAUUACCAGAUGGUUCAGAUUUAUCAGUUUCAGAACCUGAUUCAGAAUAAUAGUCAUCAUCAUAAUCAGACUCAGAACCAGAGGUGUACAAGAAACUACAGAUCUUAUCGUGCAUAUCUUCCUCUAACUUUAGAGUUUUAAGCUUUUCAAGCCUACAAUUUGGUGCUAUAUGCCCAAAUUUUCCACACUUGUAGCACUUAAUCUUUGCGAGAUCUCGCCUAGACCUAUUCUUUGUAAAUCGAUUAGAUUUACGAUGAGCUCUUCGCUCUUCCCGUUCUUCCCUAGAUCUUCGUCUAGACUUUUUUCUUCUAUAAGGUUUAUCGGGAUUAGAGUCUCUAGAAUCUCUAGGUUUGGUCUGCUUACCUGAAUCUGGUAAACCAAACUGGGUGCAGAAGUCUCCUAAUUGAGAUCUUUCUCUAAGCUUAUCAAUCUUAAGUUGCCUAGAAAGCUUCAAUUCGUUGCACAGGUUUAUGCCCUCUUGAGUGCAGGCUCCUAUUAGCUUACCAUAAGUAUAGGAAUUGUACGGAAUAACCCCUUGUGCAUCCCACAAGGUUUUCUUAACUCUUUCUGCAAAUAAAGGAGGAAGGCCAUCUAUAAAUUUAGCUUUCCAAUGCUCAAGACCAUUUUCCGGUAGUUCCAUAACCUGACUUAACUAAGUAUCUUUAUACCAUCAGAAUUCUCCUAAAUAUCUAGAUCGAAGAAAAUUUAGCAAAAAUCGAACAGUUUCAUAUUGAUUGGUGAAUCUACCAUUAAAAUGUUCGAGAAUAGUCAAGACUAGGGUAUAAACAGCGUCUUCUCUAUUUUGACUAGGGCAAAACAUAAGUUAUUAACACUAUCAUUAACAGCCUUAGCGUUAAGUACAUCGGCUUUCCCCUCAAGGCUCAUAUAAUUAUCCCACCAACUGUUACGUUGACCAGUAAAACCUGCAAUUAGCAUCUUGCAAAUAGUACUAUCGGUGUUAUUAAGACUCUUACAAAUAGUAGCAUACAUAAGCAUUUUAUGAACAAGUAUAGUUAAUUGCCUAUCAGUUAAACCGUCGAGAUUCCAUUCAUACAUCUCACUUCCAUUAUAAGAAGUAUUAGUUUGGUUCCAAUCACGUUCCUCUAUCAAAACAUCUUGAGGGGUCGGUCUGGGAUAAUAAUAAGUUUGCAUGCUAGGUUGAUGAGCAUAUUUAGUAUUACCACUAUUAUUCUUGGGUUAACCACGAAGUUUAUUAAUUACCAAAUCAACUUGAUUUUUAAAAUCAAAAGUGGUUUCCAUUUCAUUUGCAAAAUCUUCAGAUAAAUUAAUAGGUUGACCACCAAAUUCCAAAAACUUUUUAUCAAGAAGUUUUUCAAGAUCAUUAGGGGUUUAAAAAGAAAAUCGUGAAUUUCAGGAGGUCUCUGAAUAUGCACAUCUGUUUGUUUUGACGUAGAAGCCUGUUCAGAAGAUUUUAAAUCACUUUUAAUCUGAACAAUUAAAGUCGUCAAAUCAUCUAACUUUUUAUCAAGAGAACUAAUAUGUUCAUCUAAAACUUUCACAUAAAGUCCUAAAUAGUUGUUUUGAGAAAUGAGAUUAUUAAUCUCGUUAAUGCUUACCGUAGCCACAUCAUUUUCAAUAAACUUUUGAAAAGCAGUGAAAGUAAUACCUGUAUUAUUAGGUAGUAUAAACGGUGCCUGAGGAGGAUAAAUAGAUUUGAUAAUAUUACCUGAUUCAUCUUUAUAGGAUCGUUCAAGAACAUUGAUGAACAAAGGCAAAUAAGUGGUUAUAAACCAGGGUAUGAAAAACAUAAUAUGAUUAUGUAAAACACAAGUCUCAUAAAAUUCUUGAGAAAUAUUAUGCAAAUCUUCCAUACUGUAUGUGUGAAAAAACCAAGUGUUAAACUGGCUCCAUUUAUCACUUGCAAAUUCAUUUAGAAUAUAUUUUCUUGCCAGUGAUCCUGGACUAAAAUCAAUUUGAUGUUCAUUCAUCAUUAAGUAUCAUUAAGAUUAAAAUCCUCGGAUGCAGAAGGAAUAUUCUUAUCAGAAAUAUCAGAUGAUUUAUCAUUUGUUUGAACAAUAUUUAAUCGAGGAUUAAUGUUAAUUUUAUUUUUAUCAGUAGAUAUGACAGAAAAUAAUGUAUGCAAAGAAGCAACACGAUUUCGAGCUGGAUCAUAUAUUGGCUCAAUCGGAUAAAUAUGUUGUAUAGAAAGAGAUCUUCUAUCAGAAAAUGAAUGUCUAUUAUAAGAUACACCUUUUUCAUCAAACCGAAUACAAAUCUUAACAUCAGAAUUUUGCGUAAUAUGAGAAUAUUCUGAAUUAGUGACAACAUCAGUCAUUUGUUCAGGAGGUAUAACAGAAUCUAAAGUCCAUGUAAUAGGAAAAUUAAUUUCUUCCCAUUUUAUAGGUCUUCUAGUAGUGACCUUACACUUAACGAAAUUAGUUUCUACCAAAAUAGUUUGAAUAGAUGUAUCAUAUAAUUUACAUCUAUGAUUCAAAGUAGCAAGCAAUUUGAAAUGGAUUUUAUAAGAUAAACAAAUUAAUUCAGCUCCAGGUGCAUAAAUAUAACCAUGCGUUUUAACAUUUAGAGUUAAAACAUCUAAUAUAUUAGAAUCAGUCAAAGAUAACUGCAAAUUUGACUGAGUAUUAAAAUAAACUAGACCAUAGGCCACCGUAGAUUCGAUCGAACCCAUCAAAGAUUGUCAAAAAUUUAAAUUUCUUGCAUCUCGUAAAGUAGCCAAGAAAGUCUCUAGUAACCCUUUAAGAGUUAAAGGCUUAAAAGCAAUUUGAACCAUGCCAAUAUGCAAAAACUUAUAUUGAGAUUUAUAUAAGUCAAUAUCACGCUUAUUUAAUAAACGAAUCGUUUGUUUGGAUGUGUUUAACGCCAAAGAUUGCUUAGUAGUUUUAAUCAAUUAUUUAUGAGAGAUUUUAUCAGACCAGCCAUAAUCAUAAAUGGUUUUAAUAUCAAUUUUUGGAAUAGUCCAUUUGUUAAGCAAAUCAAGGUUUUGAGGUAUAUCUACCUCUUCCAAUCGAGUACUUUUAGUAAUAGUAUCUCCUAAAUUGAUGAUUAAGAGAAUAUAUCUAUGCCUAAAUACUUCACAUCAAUCUCAUAUUUACCAUGAAAGUUCCUAGGCUCUGAUACCAACGAAACCAGGAUCUCCGAAGACUGGCGGUAGUCCGCGUGGUCAUCUUCAAUCUAGCUUGUUAACAUCUGAAUUCAAGGAAUAAAUUUGAAUCGAAAUACAUACAAAAUUUUAUAUAGUUUGAUGACUGUAUGGAAGGAUCUGAUCCUUUUACCCAAGCAAAGGGUCUGUCGAGAUUCAAAUACGUAUUGUUAGUGAGCCCAUGUGUCUAGCAGUUCUAACCGGGUAUGAGGCGCCUUUUUACUCUUUAUCGGGCUGAGACCACGGCUGGCUAGACGGAGUCACUAAGACAAAGCCACUAACUUGUUGUAUUGAAUCUGACUGUACCACCAUCUCGGAACCAAGUCAAGAAACCAUAUAUAAAUUUAUGCAUAUUUAGAUAAAGUUGACAUCUUUCAUGGUAGAUACAAAAGUGAAGUUAGUUAUUCGACAUAGAUAUAAUUCUUUAGCCGGACAUAGUCACGACUUAGAUCGAAGAUAAAUUUCUAAAGGAUUGAAACAGAAAAUAAAAGAAAGAAGUACCUUGUUGUAAACACCAAAAGACUGCACUCUUUUAUUAAUACCCCGGCAAGUAUCCGUCGAUCUUACAAAAACUAAAAAGAAAGUUUUACAAGAUAGAAACUAUAAGAGAGAGAGUGGUUCUGAACCUGCUUCUCCUUUACUAAAAACAUACCUAUUUAUAGACAAGAAAUAAAACAACAAGCAUCUUUGUACAGUGCUAUCGGGUCUCAUAGCCCCUAUGAACAACAUAUCUACUGUUGAAAACAGUGUAUCUUCUGUCUUUAGUGCCUUCACAUCUGACCUUUCUUUGUCAUCCCAAAUAUAUAGUCUUCUGUCUCUUUUACCGUAGCUCUUGAAUCUGGUUCUUUCGGUUCAGAUGGUUGAGCUCCUUUAAGAUCAUCUCAAGUAUCAUCACUCGUUUCACUCCUCAUAAAAGUGUCAGAUUUUUCAUAGUGAGUGCUAUUAAGAAGUAAAUUUCUCCUAACUCCUUCUAAGUAAUCAUUAAUUAAUUCUUCUUUAUUUCCAUCAAGAUUGGAAAUUCUUCUGGCCAUAAGCUUAACAGAGCUAUCAACAAUUAGUUCCUUUGGAGGAGCUGUCCCAUAUUGAUGAAUUGUCUGGGAAAUAAAAUCCAGAAGUUCUUGUCCAUAUAAGGCUUUUGUCUUAGGAUCCUUAUUCAUUAGUUUGCCCCAAAAGUUAUUAUAAUAACAUCGAUAUAGGCAAGGAAUUUGUUCCUCGGUAAGGCCUACUUUAGGAGUCCAUUUAUGAAUCCAUGGAAUAGGUAAUUCUAUAAAGAAAUAAAUUUUAUCAAUUUGUUUGAAAUAGCAGAUAUGAUCUUCGUGAUAUAGAUUAUUAAGGUUUUGGGAAACCUUAACCCAUUCUUUGUAUAACUUUAAGAAGGGAUCAUGUAGAAUUUUUGUUGUCGGACCGUGAUAUGACCACCAGUUCAAAAACCAAUUAGGGAGUGGCUGAGCAAAGAUCUUUGCACAUACUUUAAUGGACCAAGUGUGCUUGUGCCUCUCAUUAUUAUAAUAGAGGACCUUAUUAAAGGCAUUAAUGUAAUCCCAAUAUGUGAAGCUAGUGGGAAUCUUGUUAAGGUUUAUCUGCCUUUCUUUCAUUGAAGAUAUACCCCAAUUUUCUAUAAUAAUAACCUGUUUAAUAAUUAUUUUGGAGAAGUUAUAAACAUUCUUGCUAGUGUUAUGCCCUUAGAAGUGCUGAAAUUCAGCGCUAUCGGUGCUUAUCAAAAUAGUCUCGUAAUAUGAACGGGUUUUAUAUGAUUCACCCGGGAAAUAUAAUCCAUUAAUCAAAUAUCGCUGAAAUAUCUUCCAUGGUUCAUCUUUUGUCUGAAUCUCAGAGUUUUCUAAAAGAAAUAUUAUUUCUUUCGUUACUACCUUCUCAUACGAUUUGAUAUCGUCAAUAUCGUCUUUAGCAAUAAAAGCAAAGGUAUCACUUUUCUCUUUUUGGGUCAAAUAUGCCCGCAAUUCUGCAUAUAAAGGGUUGUCUUCCGGAAUAUCUUCCAGAUGUGUUGACGACAAAGAAGAGGCUUCUUUUUGAGUGUCUUCUGGAAUAUCUUCCAGAUGUAUUGACAACGAAAAAGAAGCUUCUUUUUGAGAAAUCUUCAGCUUUACCAAGCUCAUUCCUCCUCUUUGUAUAAUUGGGGAGUUAGAAGAGGAUCCAUAUGAUGAUCUGGCUACAGAUGAUCCAGGGGAUGAUCUUCCCUUUCCACGGGAAUUAUUUCCUUUUCCUCGACUCUUGGUUACCUAAGGAGGGUCCAUCCUGCAAACAAAACAUUUUGUUUUAGUCAUCAAAGAGGUUCUAACAUUCAUAAUAAUCAUAACUCUCAUAGAGUGCUUCUUCUAUCAUGUAAUUGGUGACGAUAUCCAUCAUCAUUCCGUCUAUAAUUCUUGAUAAAAUACGUUCUUGUAAAUCUCUAUUAAAAGGAACUGCCUUUAAAAUUGUAAUUAAAUCUUUAUCAGGAAAGAAGGCUAAGAAACCCAUUUUUUAAGAAGCAUUAUAUUCUCUAGAUAAGAAGUCUGGGAGAGAAUUAUCACUGCCCUUGUUAUAAUGAAUUUCAAAAUCAAAAGGGGGUAAUUGUGCUUGCCACCUGGCGAAUAUCAUCUUUGAAGCAUCAUGUUUGAAAUCUUUGUCAAACAUAUACUUUACCGAUUGAGCAUCUAUUUUUAUCAAGAAUUUUUUAUUAUACAAAUCAUCUUGAAACUUUAAUACACAUUUAACGAUAGUUAGCAUUUCAUGCGCUACUGUAGCAUACUUUUUCUGAGCAUCGCUCCAUUUUCCAGAAUGAAAUCGAAUAAGAUAUUCAGUUUUAUCAUGAGGAUUGAUUUGUUUUAAUAUUCUUAUUAUUAUUAUUAUUAUUUUACUCCUCAUUUCUAUUUCUCCAUUUACAAUCCUCACACUUUACUAGUGUUCUCCUGCCGAAAUCUUGAUUAUUACAUUCACUAAUAUAAAUGUUUGUAAGUCUAUAUCAAUUCAAAAGUUGUUCAUCUACUUCUCUAAAAUGAGUUAUUGCUUUCUUUCAUAAAUCUGAUGAAUCUUUUCAUUGCAGCAGACAUAAAUUAAGACAUUGAAACUUGUAGUACUCAAUUUAUUGCACCAAACUUUAAAAUUAACACUAACCAAUAAGCAUUCUCAACCUCAACGUGAAGGACAACAAUAUUCUCAAAUAUUAAAUCGGUCAAAUAAACUAAAGAUGAUAGAAAGAGUGUGCUCGAAGAGACAUUGAUGUUGAAUACGAUAAUGAGACGAUGAUAACAAAAUUUGAAUAGAAUCUAACGGUGAGAAAUUAUUGUUGCCUUUUGUCACGCCUCGAGCUUAUACCCUGGGCGGAACUGCACUUGAGAAUCAUUGCUGGCCCCAAGUGAACCCUUGACCUAGAUAGACUCUCAGCAGAAGACUUUAAGCAUUAAUAAAAGCAAUCAGUAAUGCAACUUUACUCAAGAUAACCUGGAAUGUUUUAGACGUAAACAUUCAACUAGCCAAAGUGGUAACUCAAGUAUGGUAAUCAAUACAACUAAAAUACAAGACUAGAGAACUAAUAACUAACUGUCUAUGAAGUCUCUAAAACUAUGAGGGAUAUCGGGAAAAAACCCCCGAUCAUCCUAACAACUGAAAAAUACUAAAGCGAUGUAAAAAGGGGUCCUCUUGAAAGCAAAGAGGCUCACCAAAUGACACUGAAUGCUCAACUAAAUCAACGAGGCGCUGGAUGCUGAUUCCAAUUACCAGUAUCUGCAUCAUAUAACGAUGUAGGCCAAAUGACAUCAAUACAUUGAAUGUACGAGCAUGUGAGGGGAAUUCUAAAACAAAGCAUAAGCUUGAAAAGGAACUGAAGAAACUUACCUCGUCUCAAAUCAACUCAACUAUUUAAUAUAAUGCAGAAAUAAAGGUGCAAUAUAAAGAAAACUUUAAAGCAUGUAGAUAACAACUCAGUGUAUAAAAGAAACAACAAUAACUUAGUUUUGUAUAUGAAAAUACAAGCAACUCUGUGUAUAUAAGAAUACAAAAUAUCUGUAAAAGAGUUUCUCUAAUCAACAACCAUCUCUAUGACCUUAAGUGAUGGUACAUCGUCUUGCCUCAUGCUGUCUGGGCCGUCCUAUACCUUGCCGGGGGUAUAGAACCUAAUUCACCAAGUGGAUCCACUAGUCAUACUAAAAGCAUUAAGGAAUCAUCUAAAAAGUAUGACCCUUUUCUACUCAUGUUGGCUACACGGUUUAUGGAGACUUUGAAUUAUCUGAACUCAAAUAUAUCCCCAAAUCGGUGCUCAAUACUACUCCCAAAAUAUACUAGCUCAUAUGUUUAAAAACAUAACUCUUUCUGUGGUUUGAGAUUAUUACUCAAAAACUAGCUCAAAAGCUCUCUUGGAAAUCGGUAUUUCCUUUUUUGUUUAAAUGUGAAAACAUUUUAACUCUUUGGAAUACGUAGUUCCCAUAUAAUCUUUUGAAGAAAUGAACUUCGCUCUUACUCUUACUCAACUCAAUGUUCAAGCUUUAAAACAAGUUUUAAACAAUUGCAAAAGACUUUUGAAAGAAUCAAAGAACUCUUUAGACUUGGCUCUUAACUUUCUUUGAAUUUGAAUUAUGGAUUCAAGAUUUAUGAUCUCAUGUUAUGGAUGAUCUCUCGAUAUUUAUAUGUACCUUAGAGUGUAGACAUUGACUAGAAAACAUAGGCAUGAUUAGAGGGAACUCAAACAGAAAGAAUUGGGAAAUGGUAGAGGACCUGGCGACCCUAGCGUACUGAGUGGCGCCAGACCCUGAACUAUAGACGCUGGCUUGGUGUGAACUAAGUGGCGUGGCUCCCUAGUGGCCAAACUACAGGCACCUUCUUCUAGCGCACUGUGUGGCGCGGUGCGCCAGCCCCCUGCCCAGAAAACCUAUGAAUUUUCUUGCUCGUUUUUCAACUCUAAACCAUCUAGAUUCAAUUGGAUUCUUCCCCAACCACUUAGAUUUGAAUACACAAACAAAGUAUACAAAAAUCUACUAAAAAACAACCUUAAAUCUCAUGCAAUUAACUCAAGAACUCCUCCAAAAUUCAACAAGCAAGAUUCAAAGGAAACUUUCAACAAAAUUCAUCAAGAACUCAUAAACUCUUCUUCCAAGAAUAUAAGUAUGCUGAAUUUAAUCAUGAUUAGCACGUGGCUGAACGAACCGAACGCUAUGUGAUCUCACAUACCUCGUAGGGAUUAACCCUUGGCGAAAUCCACAAGCGAAACUUCAAGAACGCGAUGAACUUAGGCUUCUUCUCCUCUUCUCUCUUCUCUCAAAACCUUAGCGUAAUUUUAUGAAGCGUAAACUGAACCAAAUUAGUUUAGACCCAAAUAAAUUACUAAAAAUUAAUUUAAUUAAUUGGGUAAUUAAAAGUCCAAAAUACCCUUCUAAAAUUUGAUUGGCUUUCCUUAUCCAAACAACCCGACUUCAAACAGACAUAUCUCCCUCAUACGAACUCAAAAACCACUAAACUUGGUGACUUUGGAAAGAUAAUUCAAAGACCUUUAAUUUGAUAUCUUGUAGGCCACCUAACUUAUCUUGUGCUAUUUGUUUUGGUCAUUUGAAGUUAACCUGAAACUCAUACUUAGCUUAACUUGCCAAAAUUUCCAAAAAAUAGUUUCUUUCUAAUUCUAGUUCUUUCAAGUAGUGGGGUGUUACAAUAUCUACCCCUUGGGAACAUUCAUUCUCGAAUGAGAUUAUUCUUAGUAGGCUAAGGGUGUAACAUCUAACAUUCAGCUCAAACAUCCAACAUACAAAAUAUAAAUGCAACAUGCCAACUUAAAACAAAUACCAAGAAAAGGAUUAGUACCUUAGUUUGGAAUUUCUUCGGAUUUGAAGAGAUGUGGGUAUCUCUUGUUCAUAUCCUUCUCAGCUUCCCAAGUAGCUUCCUCAACAAAUUGAUUUCUCCACAGAACUUUAACUGAUGCUACUUCCUUGGUCCUCAACAUGCGAACUUGGCGAUCUAGAUUCUGAACAGGAAUCUCCUCAUAAGAUAAGCUAUCCUUAAUACCAAUGUCUUCAGUAGGUAUGAUAAGUGAAGGAUCGCCCAUACACUUUUUCAACUUGGAAAUGUGGAAUACCAGAUCAACCACUGCUAACUCUUGGGGUAGCUCUAACUCAUAAGCUACAUUGCCAAUCCUCUUGGAUAUCAUGUAAGGACCAAUAUAUCGAGGACUAAGCUUUCCCAUCUUACCAAAUCUCAUAACACCCUUCAUGGGUGAAACUUUCAAGUAAACCCAAUCAUCUACUUCAAACUCUAAGUCUCUUCUCCUAACAUUUAUAUAGGAUUUCUGAUGACUCUGCACUAUUUUUUUUAUCUCUCUUGAAUAACUUUCACUUUCUCCAUAGCUUGAUGGACUAAUUCUGGUCCUAUCAACCCAGCUUCACCAACUUCAAACCAUCCAAUAGGAUAACUGCAUCUUCUCCCAUAAAGAGCCUCAUACGGAGCCAUUUGGAUGCUAGAGUGGUAACUAUUGUUAUAAGUAAACUCUAUGAGAGGUAGGUGAUCAUCCCAAUUACCCUUGAAACCAAUCACUCAAGCUCUUAACAUAUCCUCUAAAGUCUGAAUGGUGCGCUCUGAUUCACCAUCAGUCAGAGGAUGAAAACCAGUACUCAACUUCACUUUCGAACCCAAACCUUUCUGGAAUGACUUCCAAAAUUGUGCAGUAAAUUAUGCACCUCUAACUGAAAUAAUCGAUAUCGGAACUCCAUGAAGUCUGACUAUCUCUUGAAUAUAUAACUUAGCAUAAUCCUCUGCUGAAUGGGUAGUCUUUAUUGGCAAAAAGAGGGAUGAUUUAGUCAUUCGAUCUACAAUCACUUAAAUGGAAUUAUAUUGUCUGUGAGACCGUGGUAAACCUGUAAUGAAUUCCAUAUUGAUCAUCUCUCACUUCUAUUCUGGAAGAUCUAUAUUCUGAGCCAUACCACAGGGUCUCUGCUGCUGUACUUUAACUUGUUGGCAAUUCAGACACUUGGCAACGAACUCUGCAAUCCCCUUCUUCAUACUACUCCACCAAUAAACUUCUCUCAAGUCAUGAUAUAUCUUUAUGAAACCUGGAUGGAUAGAAUAUCUGGAGCUAUGAGCUUCCUCCAUGAUUCUCUCUUGAAGUUUAUCAACCCUUGGCACACACAACCUAUCUUGAUACUUUAAUACACAAUCUCCCCCUUAUUCAAAAUCCAUCACUUUUUGCUUAUGAACAUUUGCCUUCAAUUCAAGAAAAAUAGAAAUUUGGUCUUGUUUCUCUUUUACUUAAGACACUAAUGAUGAUUCAACCCCAUUCAUCACCCCUACUCCUCCUUUGUCGGAAUCCCUUAAUCAAACUCCUAAUCGUGCAAGUCUAUGCACCUAUUUUGAUAACUCAUUCUUAUCUUCUUCAAAAUGGGCGGUACUACAUGCCCAUAGACAAUCUACUCAAGGCAUCAUCAACAACAUUAGCCUUACCUGGGUGAUAGAGAAUACUCAUGUCAUAAUGUUUGAGUAAUUCUAACUGCCAUCUUUGUACGAAAUUAAGCUCCUUUUGACUAAACACAUACUGAAGACUCCUGUGAUCGGUGAACACAUCUACAUGAACACGGUGAUAGAGAAUACUCAUGUCAUAAUACUUGAGUAACUCUAACCACCUUCUUUGUAUGAGAUUAAGCUCCUUCAGACUAAACACAUACUGAAGACUCUUGUGUUUGGUGAAAACAUCUACAUGAACACCAUAAAUAUAAUGAUGCCAUAUUUUCAAAGCAAAUACUAUGGCAGCCAACGCUAAAUCAUGGAUUGGGUAAUUCUUCUCGUGAAUCUUAAGCUGUCUUGACGCAUAAGCUAUAACUUUGCCAUUUUGCAUUAACACACAACCCAAUCCAACUAUGGAGGCAUCACAAUAUACUAUGAAACCUUGCUACCUUCUGUUAAAGUCAAUACUGGGGUAGUAGUCAACCGCUUUUUCAACUACCGAAAGCUUUUCUCACAAGCUUCAGACCAUUGAAGCUUAACCGUUUUCUGAGUCAACUUAGUCAAUGCGGAUGAAAUAGAUGAAAAACCCUCGAUGAACCUUCUAUAAUAGCCCACCAAUCCCAAGAAACUCCUAAUGUCAGUUGGAGACGUGGGUCUAGGCCAGUUCUGCACUGCCUCUAUCUUUUGGGUAUCAACUCUAAUUCCAUCAUCGGAAACAAUAUGGCCUAAGAAUACCACAGACUCAAGCCAAAAUUCACACUUAGAAAACUUGGCAUAUAGCUCGUUAUCCUUGAGAGUUUGGAGAACUAUUCUGAGAUGACUAGCAUGAUCUUCCUCAUUCCUCAAAUAGAUUAGAAUGUCAUCAAUGAAUACGAUAACAAACAUAUUUAAAUAAGGCUUGAAUACUCUAUUCAUAAGGUCCAUGAAUGUUGUAGGAGCAUUGGUCAAACAAAUGAUAUAACUAGGAACUCGUAAUGACCAUAGCGGGUCUUGAAUGCUGUCUUAGGGAUAUCACUUUCUCUUACUUUGAAUUGAUGAUAGCCAGAUCUGAGGUCUAUCUUAGAAAAACAAGUGACACCCUGAAGUUGAUUGAAAAGAUCAUCAAUUCUUAAAAAAUGAUACUUAUUAUUAAUAGUAACCGUAUUCAACUGAUGGUAAUCUAUGCACAUUCUAAGAGAACCAUCUUUCUUUCUCACAAAUAAGACCGGAGCUCCCCAAGGUGAGACACUUGGUCAAAUAAAACCUUUCUCAAGAAGAUCUUUCAACUGUUCUUUUAACUCUUUCAACUCUGCUGGUGCCAUUCUAUAUGGCGGAAUAGAAAUUGGAUGAGUAUCGGGAAAAAUAUCUAUACCGAAGUCUAUUUCUCUCUCAAGAGAGACUCUGGGUAGAUCAUCUGGAAAGACUUCUAGAAACUCACUAACAACUGAAACUGACUGAAUAGGAGGUGUCUCAACACUAGAGUCAUUAAUUCGGACUAAGUGAUAGACACAACCCUUGAAAACUAACUUUCUCGCCUUAAGGUACGAAAUGAAACGACCCUUAGGCACUGCUGAACUACUCUUGCACUCUAUAACUGGCUCAUUAGGAAACUAAACUAAACAACUCGAGUUCUACAAUCAACUGAGGCAUAACAGGCAUGAAGCCAGUCCAUACAUAGAAUGACAUCGAAAUCUACCAUGUCUAACUCAACUAAAUCAACCAUUUUUUUCUUGUAAUUGACAGAAACUAUGCAAUCACAUAGACUCUGUCAGCUAGAAUAGACUUACCAAUAGGUGUAGAAACACUGAAGGGCUCAAAAAGUUUCUUAGGAAAAACAUCAAAAUUCAUCGCCCAUUAUGGAGUCACAAAAGAUAGUCUCGCUCCUGAAUCUAGCAAAGCAUAAACAUCAAAAGUAAAGACUUUGAUCAUGCCAAUGACAGCAUCUGGAGAAUCCUCUUGCUCUUGGAGACUAGUGAUAGCAUAAAGAUGGUUUGAUCAUCCGCUUGCCCCUGAAGUAGCUCCUCUAGGUGGAACUCUGUCUGGUGGAGAAACUGAAGAAGAUUGGGCUCUAUUCCCCCCAUUACCAUUUUCUUCUCUGUUCUUAGGGCACUCUUUCAUAAAGUGACCAUUCUGACCACACUUCAAGUAACCAGUGGAGCCAUCACGACACACCCCUGAGUGGGUCCUGUUACCUCCUUGUGCAACACUACCUUGAGACUGUACAGGUCUAGAUCUGAAGAAUUUUGAUUGUUGAACUCACUUCUGUUCCUUCGUGCAGGUGCACUAGCAGAUGAUGGAGCAGGUCCCUUUUGCUUAUGUUUGAAUAAAGACUGGUUCGCAUUACUCUUUUGCUGCUCGGACUCAUUCCUUGAUGUCUUAGCCCUCUUAUAUCUAAACUCUUUUUUAUCCCUUAGCUUGUCCUCCUCAACCUGUUGCAUAUGGAUCAUUAGCCUUGCUAUGUCCAUAUCUCAUAUUAGCAUAGCUGCCUUGCCUUCCCUACUUGACAGACGAGACAACCCGCAACGAAUAAACUCAUACUACUCCUCAUGUUAGCAACCAUCUCUGGAGCAUAGCGGGAAAGUUGGGUGAAUUUCAGAUUGUUCUCAUAAACACUCAUAGAUUCCUUCUUGAGAGUGAGGAAUCCUCUUACCUUUGUUUCUCUUGAAAGAACUGCCCCAUGAAGGCACUCUCGAAUACAGCCCAACUCACAAUUGUUGCAUCCUCAACCCUAUUCUUUUUUCAUUGGUCAAACUAGAUCCUAGCAACACUCUUUAGUUGUUAUGAAACUAGUUCCACUCGCUCAGCGUCGACAACAUGCAUAAUCUCAAAAACCUUCUGAAGCUCCUCAACAAGGUUUUCCAGAUCCUCAGUGAAACUUGAGCCAGUGAAGCUUGGAGGAUGCAUCCUUAAGAACUCACGGAUCCUAGAAGUAUCAGCCACUUCCUAACGAUUCUCUCUUUGUUGCCCAGUUUGGUUGGUCACAACUUGGCUCAACAUCUGGAUGGCCUCACAAAACUCAGCAUUGGUGACCUCUCCUUAGGGUUGCACUUCUGGUGCAUUAGGUACCCCUUUUCCCUCAACAUUCCUUCUAGCAGAACGACCUCAGACAGCUCUUCAUGGAGGCAUGAUCUGAAAGAUACGCGCAAGCACGAGUUAGAAAGAAACUUUAUAGAGAUAAACUCUAUCGCACGAAAUGAGUAUAAAAGAAGUGAGGUAGUUCCUAAAUGUUGCAGCCUCCUAAUUAUAGAUGUGACGCGCUUCAAACCGAUGACUAGGACUAUACAUACACGGCUUCAUAGACUCCUUAGGACUCUUGGACUCUGUACUCUGAUACCAAGUUUGUCACUCCCUGAGCCUACACCCUAGGCCAGACUGGCACUCGAGAACCACUGUUGGCCCCAAGUGAACCCUUAGUCUGGCUAGACUCUCAGCGGAAAACUUUAAGCAUUAAUAAAAUGAAUCAGUAAUUCAACUUUACUCAAGAUAACCUGAAAUGUUUAGAAGUAAACAUUCAACUAGAAAAAGUGGCAACUCAAGUCUAGUAAUCAACACAACUGAAAUAACAAGACUAAAGAACUAAUAACUAACUGUCUAAGAAGCCUCUAAAACUAUGAGGGAUGUCGAGAAAAGACCCCCAAUCAUCCUAACAAUUGAAAAUACUAAAGCAAUGUAAAAGGGGGUCCUCCGGAAAGCAAUGAGGCUCACCAAAUGACUUUGAAUGCUCAAUUGGAUCAAUGAGGUGAUGGAUGCUGAUCCUGGUUACCUAUAUCUGCAUCAUACAAUGAUGCAGGCCAAAUGGCAUCAGUACAUAAUGAGUCCACGAUUUGGACUCUUUUAGGGAUUUAUUUUGAUAGAUUUAGUGUCCUCAAACGCAUAUUGUCUCAAUAACAGAUGAAAAGCCUUGAGUUUAAGGUAUUUGGAGUUAGAGGCAAAGCAUGGACACUAUUGGGCAAAAAGGAACAAGACAGCUGAAAAGAUGGCCUGAGGAUCGCCUAAACCAUUAGGCCAGUCACCAAAUGGCUAUGGUCUCGCCUAAUGUUCCAAUGUGCUAAGCUCUGAAGGAGAAAAUCGAUUCGACAAGAUAAAGGAGCAGUCGACGAGUCACCAAAUUGUUCCGCGAUGCAAUAUUCCAUCGCCCAACGUUACAGAACCUGAAUUUACUAAAGGCUGUAGAAAGGCGAUGAUCUAGCGAAAAGGGCGGAUCGCCGAGUGGAUCGGCGAUCCUAACUAACUGCGCUGAAGUGGUCCUUCACAACACUCUUUUUACAAACUAUAAAUACUUGUUUAAAUUUUUAGCUUAGUAUCAGAUUUUGUAGGGAAAUCAUAUUAUUUUUCAAUUUUUAGAUCUUAGGGUUUUGGAGACAUUGUUCUUGAACUUAGAAGAUUUGAAGAUUUCCAUUUCUAAGCAAUUGAAAGUGGGUAUUGAAGAUUCUUCAUCUUAGACGUGUGUAAAGACAAUAUCUAUCGUACCCAUUUGAUGGAAACACUUUUCAGUAUCGAUUUCUAUCUCUUUACUAUGUCUAGCUAAAACCCCAAUUCUUGGGGUGUGAUUAUGUGAAUAUGGGUUGAAUUUACUGCUGGGUAUUGCUAAUUGAUAGGUAUUUUGCUGUUAAAGGUUAUUUCGUUCUGUAGUUGUGUUUGAAUUUAAUGGGGUUGUAGUUGCAAACACAAGUUUAUCUUCGUGUUUUUGACUUGCUCGAGAUAGAGAUUUUAAAACCAAAACUACUGAAUUUAUAGUCGGUGGUUAUUGGGUUGUCGUGGGUUCAGCUCGAGAGAGUGAAUCCUAAACCCUCUCCCACACACUCAGCUCGAGAGAGUGAAUGGACUAAAGCGAAGGUUGUGCUAAAUUGCUACUUAUCGGUGUUCGAGAGAAACAGAUUUGAUUCGGGGUAAAUUGUUCAAGAGAAAAUUUACCCCCACUAAAGUCUAGCUUAGUUACCAAUUUACAGCGAUUUACUAUCAAUAACAUUUACCCGGUUGUUUAUAUUAGCCCAUACUCCUUUCACAUCCAAAGAAUACCGUCUCCAUAUUCGUAUUUCGUAUUAAUUAUUUUUUUAGUUCAUAAUUGAUUACAAAUCCCCCCUUGAUAAUUGACACUUGUGUCACCCUUUAAUUUGAUAUGUUUUUCUUCGUAUAUUUCUUUUGCUAUAAUUGACUUGAACAAAGUUCUUCAUUUCCUAUUAAUUCUCAAUUACAAACCGCUCCCUUGGGACUCGACCCUAACUCACUAGUUGGGUUGUAUUACUAUUGAACGAUCGUUGAUGCUUAGUAUUGGAUGAAACGUCACUAGUACAUCAAAUCAAAAUGGCGCCGCUGCCGGGGAGUGAUGCUAAUUAAGAAUUUGUAGUUAAGUUGAAUGUUGCUCUUUUUAGUUGUAGUUCUACUUGCUUAACUUUUAGUUUUAGUUUUUGUGUCGCUGUUUUCAGUAGGAAAUUGGAACAUGUUUGGUAGCAAUGGUGACCAAAUGGACCUCUCUCUUUUGAGGAUAAUGUCUCUUAGGGACAACAUCCUAAGUUUUAGACAAUUGGAGGGAGCGUCCAUCAAUGAGUUGUAGCUGAGAUUUAAGGCACUCUUCCUGCAAUGCCCAGCUCAUGGAAUCUUAGAAAACGUGCUAUUGGACUGCUUCUACAAAAGUCUUGGCCCAGAAAACAAAAGAAUGGCUGACCAAAUAUUUCCAGGGGGCCUCUCAAGACUACCCUACGCAAUAGCAGCCCAGCUCAUUGAUCACAUGGCCAUGACCAACAAGGAGAUUGAGAAAGACCAUAUUUUGGCCACACUGUUGACUCCGUUAGAUCUAGUGGCUAAGAAGAUCAUGGAAUUGGGAACACCGGAUAAAAGGAAAGACCGGUACAAUCUCCCUCAUGAGCGUAUAAAUCCUAACACAAAUGAGGGUGGACAAAUAGAGGAGAUACUCUCACUCAUUCUCCACAAAGUCAAAAGUCACGACAAAAUGUUGAAUGAGAUAAAUGAGCAUGUCUUACUGCUGAAUGAAAUAACUACUUCCCAAUUCAUAUCUGUUCAGCAAUUGGAGACCCAAAUGGGUCAUGUACGGUCUCGUCUCUACCCCACAAAUCAAAAUUAAGUGGGAGAGUCGUGCCACGACGUUAAAUAAGGCGCUUCUUGGGAGGCAACCCAAGGUUUUAUCGUUUUAAAUAAUUAUUUUAGAAUAAUGGUGUGUUGAUUGUGCAAGUUAAAGUGUGGGAAAUAUUUGAACAAUGCAUAUUGGCGAGCUGAAGUCCAGUCAGCAAAACGCCGAAGAGGUCGGCGACCCCAACCUAGACUGCUGUUAGACUCAAGACAACUUUAAGGUAGAUUCUGUAAAACUCGGCGAGCCCAAGAAAUUAUUGGUGAUUAGUUGAUCAAGUCAGUGAUAUCGAUCUUGUCCGCCGUUUGCAUCCCACAUCAGUUGAGGAUCCUGUAAAAUUUGGCGAGGUAAGUGACCACUCGGCGUGUUGCCGAGUGGGUCGGCGAUCACGAGUAACGUCACCGAAUGGGCAAGAACUGGACGGUUUAUUAAAGGGCCAAAGGUUUAAAUUUCAAACUAGCCCAUUUUCCCUAAGUUUUCAUCUUCCCAAACUCGCACCUAUCUAGUAAUUUGGAUUUUUCUGCAUUCUAUAAAUAUUUUAGUUGAUCGAUUGGUGGUUGGAUUUGGAUUACAUUACCGCCUAGCUUUUCAAUCUUAUUUUUAUCGGCAUUUAAGGUUGGUUUUCCGAACUCCGCAUUUAUUCUUAGUAAUUUGUACUCUUAUGCAAGAAAUAAUAUGUUGAUGAUAUGUGAUGGGCCUCUUUGAUAGGAUUAGAAUGUUUAAAUGCCUAUUUUAAUCUGAAUAUAUUGCCAUUAUUGUGUAGGUUAUUUAAUUCCCAUCGUUUUGUGCUCUAAAAUGAAGUAUAUUUAUGAGGUUGUGCUUAUAUGUAAUGGGUCUUGUUUAAAUUUGAGUCGUGUAUGGUUUGAUUUUGUUUUCGGGGGUUACGGGGUUGUAUUCGAGAAGUUAGGUUGAAAAUAGGCACGUUGGGUCGUUUGGCGAGCUGGGUCGAGCUUGCUGAACCACUCGGUGGUUCGCCUAAUGUCCCCAUCUCACUUUUAAUUUCAUGCUUUAUGUGUUGUUAGAUUCUGUAACUUUCGGCGAGAAGCCUGAGGUCACCGAAGGCACUUGGGGACUCGUCGAACGUGUUCUUGAUCACCCUUUGUCUGCACCCCUGCAUCCUUUUGGCACUGUAACUUUUGGUGAGACAACUCUUGCUCGCCGAAUGAUAUCGGUGAUUCGCCGAAAGGUUUGGCGAGUUUGCCUGCAACUGAUUUUCUGUGCUUUUGUCGAAUGUUUUCUAACUUUGUCUCAAGGCUUUCCAGACAUGGUUAGACCUAAAGUUGCUGGGAGAAUCAUGCCACCUCGACUGAUAAGAGCAUGAAAUUUCAAAUUAAAUGAAGGGAGGUCAAAUCCUCCGAAAAAGGGAAAGCAAGAACCUCCACCUGGAAACAAAGGCAAAUGCAAGAGGCCCAGUUCUAACAAGAAGACUAAUCCACGAGACCUCUCUAUUCCUUCAUGGGCCCGGGGAAUCUAUGCAACUUUGUAGAAAUUUUUGGCGGAUACACCUAUAGCAAAUCCUGAUGAGUUUGGUGCUAUUGUUCCUUUUGAAGGGACUCCAGGCACUGAUGCCUAGACAGAUGGAGCGACUGCGUAGACAUGAUCCCCUCUUUACCUCCAUCUCUCUCUUUUCUUCAUUUUGACUUAUGGAUAUUAUAUUUUUGUUGCAUUUGAGGACAAAUGUUUUUAAUUAUGGUGGCGUGAGGCUCACCUUUUGUGUGACAUUCAGAAUUCUUGUUUUGUUUAUAUAUUUGGGUUUUGAGCUAAAUUUGUGCUAUACACUGCCUUUUGUGGAUGCUUGAGCUUGUGGCUCCUUGUUUUUAAUUGUAAACGAUUUUUAAACCUUCCAAAAAAAUUUAUGUGUUGAAUGUGGCUGUUCUCUUGUAAAUUUGAGUACCGGUUUUGAUCAAUAUCGAUAACUUGAAUAGUGCUCAUAGUCGAACAAAAAUGAAUGUGUGGCUACGACAAGGCCAAUUGAAGUUGCAUAGAUAAUAUGUGAACUCUUUGAAUCUCGUUGUGACUAGCCAAGUAUCGAAUUGAGUCUCUCGUAAUGAACAUUGCACACUAGAGAAAGUGUGGAGUCUUGUUUGACAUUGGUGUCAAUGCCUUGUUUGAUGAGCUUACCGUGAACCAUGUGUGAUGACACCUAGAAUUUGCCCCGUUGGUCCGGUUUUGACUAAGUGAUGCAAAUUUCUUGAGAUGAUCUUAGGCAACUUUAAAGAGUGUGAAACAAUUGAAAUUAUACCUCUUUUGUGGCCUACCUUGUGAGUGUGUGAACCUUUUUUGAGCACCCCUUGAGCCUUACCCUUUUCUCGGAAGAAACUUGAUGAAAGCUUAACCUUUCUUGAUCCAUUACCCAGAAUCCUCAUGAUUUGUUUGAAUAGCCAACUUAGGCCAAACGCCUAAGUUGGAGGUGUGGUGAAAAGAGAAGGUAAAUCAAGAAAAUGCACAGAAGUCCCUUUAUUCCACGUUUUGAGAAAAAUGGAACCCCUUCAUAUAACAAAAAAUAAGAAGAAAAGAUUGAAAAAGAAAAAGAAAGAAAAAGUUGUGGAAUAAAGUUAUGAGAAUACAAAGAAAAUGGGGUUUCCAAUGAUCCAUGGAAGAUGAAUAAGAGGUGACUUUUGAGCUUGAAUGAAAAUAAUGAAGAAAAGGAAAGAAAGUGUUGUUCACAUCACAUUUCAUGAGGAUUUCAACCUAUAAGCCUAAAUGACCAUACCUUUACACUCAGCUCCAUUACGAGCCUUGAAAAGACCUUUUUGAUUAUGAAUGAGCUGAAGAAAAAGUCGAUUGGAAAAUAAGGGCAAGCCUAUGGGUGAAAUCAUGCAUUGUGUUUAUCUUUGUGAGUGUGAGUGUUGAUCUUGAUUCCGAAACUUUAAAUUAUUGAACCAUUGAGUGAAUAUGGAAUCAUUCUUUGUGUGAGGGCAUUUGAAUACCUUUGUUAAGCUUGAACUUGCAUUUGAAGCAAGUAUAGUGAGCUUGAGAUUCUUUGGUAAUGGUGAGUCACAACUUGAAUCUUUGAGUGCACAAUUGAUCCUUGCACGAAUAAGUUGAGUCUUUUUGUAUGUAUUCAUGAUUGAGUCUUGUGUAGCACUCUUUGAGACAUCCUUUUUGAACUGUUCACCUUGAGUUUUACUUGAGGACAAGAAAAGUUUAAGUUGGGGGUGUUGAUGAGUCCACGAUUUGGACUCUUUUAGGGGUUUAUUUUGAUAGAUUUAGUGUCCUCAAACGCAUAUUUUGUCUCAAUAACUGAUGAAAAACCUUGAGUUUCAGGUAUUUGGAGUUAGAGGCAAAACAUGGAUACUAUUGGGCAAAAAGGAACAAGGCAGCUGAAAAGACGGCUUGAGGAUCGCCUAAACCUUUAGGCGAGUCGCCGAAUGGCUAUGGUCUCGCCUAAUGUUCCAGUGUGCCAAGCUCUGAAGGAGAAAAUCGAGUCGGUGAAAUAAAGGAGCAGUCGACGAGUCACCAAACGAUUCCACGAUGCAGUAUUCCAUCGCCCAACGUUACAGAACCUAAAUUUGCUGAAUGCCAAUGCAAAAAGGUGAUGAACUAGCCCAAAAGGCGGAUCGCCGAGUGGAUCGGUGAUCCCGAUCCCGAUCCCGACUAACAGUGCCGAAGUGGUCCUUCACAACACUCUUUUGACAAACUAUAAAUACUUGUUUAAAUUUUUAGCUUAGUAUCAGAUUUUGUAGGGAAAUCAUAUUUUUUUCAGUUUUUAGAUCUUAGAGUUUUGGAGACAUUGUUCUUAAGCUUAGAAGAUUUGAAAAUUUUCAUUUCUAAGCAAUUGGAAGUGGGAAUUGAAGAUUCUUCAUCUUAGACGUGUACAAAGACAAUAUCUAUCGUACGCAUUUGAUGGAAACACUUUUCAGUAUCGAUUUCUAUCUCUUUACUUUGUCUAGCUAAAACCCCAAUUCUUGGGGUGUGAUUAUGUGAAUAUGGGUUGAAUUUACUACUGGGUAUUGCUAAUUGAUAGUUAAUUUUCUAUUUAAAGGUGAUUUCGUUCAGUAGUGGUGUUUGAAUUUAAUGGGGUUGUAGUUGCAAAUACAAUUUUAUCUUCAUGAUUUUGACUUGCUCGAGAGAGAGGUUUUAAAACCAAAACUACUGAAUCGAUAAUCGGUGGUUAUUAGGUUGUCGUGGGUUCAGCUCGAGAGAGUGAAUCCUAAACCCUCCUCCCACACACUCAGCUCGAGAGAGUGAAUGGACUAAAGCGAAGGCUGUGCUAAAUUGCUGCUUAUCGGUGUUCGAGAGAAAUCGAUUUGAUUCGGGGUAAAUUGUUUCAAAGAAAAUUUACCCCCACUAAAGUCUAGCUUAGUUACCAAUUUACAGCAAUUUACUAUCAAUAGCAUUUACCCGGUUGUUUAUUUUAGCCCAUACUCCUUUCACAUCCCAAAAAUGUCGUCUCCAUAUUCGUAUUUCGUAUUAAUUGUUGUUUUAGUUGAUAAUUGAUUACAAAACCCCCUUGAUAAUUGACACUUGUGUCACCAUUUAAUUUGAUAUGUUUUUCUUCGUAUAUUUCUUUAGCUAUAAUUGACUUGAACGAAGUUCUUGCUUUCCUAUUAAUUCUCGAUUACAAACCGCUCCCUUGGGACUCGACCCCAACUUACUAGUUAAGUUAUAUUACUAUUGAACGAUCGUUAAUGCUUAGUAUUGGAUGAAGCAUCACUGAUAAGUCAAAUUAGUACAUUGAAUGUACGAGCAUGUAAGGGGAAUUCUAAAAUAAUACAUAAGCCUGAAAAGGAACUGAAGAAUCCUACCUCGUCUUAACUCAACUCAACUCUUUAAUAUAAUGGAGAAAUAAAGGUUCAAUAUAAAGAAAACUUUAAAGCAUAUAUAUAACAACUCAGUGUAUAAAAUACACAACAAUAACUUAGUUUUGUAUAUGAAAAUGCAGGUAACCUUGACCGACAACCAUCUCUAUGAGCUUAAGUGAUGACACAACGUCUUGCCUCACGCUGCUAGGGCCCUUUUAUACCUUGCCGGUUGUAUAGAAUCUAACUCACUAAGCGGAUCCACUAGUCUAUGCUUAAAGCAUUAAGGAAUCAUCUAAAAAGUAUGACCCUUUUCUACCCAUGUUGGCUACACGGUUUAUGGAGACUUUGAAUUAUUUGAACUCAAAUAUGUCCCCAAAUCGGUGCUCCGUACUACUCCCAAAAUAUACUAUCUCAUAUGUUUAUAAACAUAACUCUUUAUGUGGUUUGAAUGUGAAAACAUUUUAACUCUUGGGAAUACCUAGUUCCCAUAUAAUCUUUUGAAUAAAUGAACUUCACUCUUAUUCUUACUCAACUCAAUGUUCAAGUCUUUAAAAUAAGUUUUAAACAAUUGCAAAAGGCUUUCGAAAGACUCGAAGAACUCUUUAGACUUGGCUCUUAACUUUCCUUGAAUUUGAAUUAUGGAUUCAAGGUUUAUGAUAUCAUCUUAUGGAUGAUCUCUCGAUGUUUAUACGUACAUUAGAGUGUAGAAAUCAACUAGAAAACAUAGGUACGAUUCGAGGGAACUGAAACGGAAAGAAGUGUGAGAGGGUAUAUGACCUGGCGACCCUAGCGUACUAAGUGGCACAGGGCGCUAGACCCUGAACUGUAGAUGCUGGCUUGGGGAGCACUAAGUUGAGAGAUGCCCCAGAGACCAAACUAUAGGCGCCUUCUUUUGGUGAACUGAGUGGCGCGGUGUGCCAACCCCCUGCCCAGAAAACCUACGAAUUUUCUUUCUCGUUCUUCAACUCUAAACCAUCUAGAUUCAAUUGGUUUCUUCCCCAAACACUUAGAUUCGAAUGCACUACCAAAGUAUAGAAGAAUCUACUAAAAAACAACCUUAAAUCUCAUGCAAUUAACUCAAGAACGCCUCCAAAAUUCAACAAUCAAGAUUCAAACGAUACUUUUAACAAAAUUCAUCAAGAACUCAUACACUCUUCUUUCAAGAACAUAAGUAUGCUGAAUUUAGUCAUGAUUGGCGCAUGGGUGAACGAACCCAAUGCUAUGUGAUCUCACAUACCUCGUAGGGAUUAACCCUUGGCGAAAUCCACAAGCGAAACUUCAAGAACGCGACAAAUUUAAGCUUUUUCUCCUAUUCUUCUCCUCUUUUCUCUUCUCUCAAAACCCUAGCGUAAUUUUAUGAAGCUUAAACUGAACAAAAUCAGUUUGGACCCCAAAUAAAUUACUAAAAAUGAAUUUAAUUAAUUAGGUAAUGAAAAGACUAAAAUACCAUUCUAAAAUCCGGUUGACUUUCCUUAUCCAGACAACCCGACUUCAAACGGGCAUAUCUCCCUCACACGAACUCGAAAACUAGCAAACUCAGUGGCGUUGGAAAGAUAAUUAAAAGACCUUUAAUUUGAUAUCUUGUAGUCCACCUAACUCAUUAUGUGCUGUUUGUUAUGGUCGUUUGAAGUUGACCCAAAACUCAUACUUAGCUAACUUGCAAAAAUUUCCAAAUUUGAUUAUUUCCAAAAAAUGGUUUCUUUCUAAUUCUAGUUCUUUCAAGUAGUGGGGUGUUACACCUUUUCCAAAGUAAGGAGGUCUCACCAAAGUUGGAUGAGAGUGAGAUCCUGGUGAUGUGUGAUGCCGAUCUAAACUAUUUAAAUGUGCAUCAUAAAUGAUGCAACAUCGAAUUGUGUCAGUUAGGGGUGGGUGUUGGAUUCUUCAGUACGACUAUAUCAAAUUAUGAUUUAGUUUUUUUAUUUUUGAUUUUCGAAGAGUGUGCACCAAAGAUCGAACCAAACUAAUUUGAUUUAGUUAGAUUGUUCAACUUCGAUCUGAUUUAGUUCGAUGUAUCUAAAUCAAUUUUUUUGAUGUAAAUAACAAAUAAAAUGAAAACAAAAUAAAAAUAUAAAACACUAAAAAAUUUAAAGCAUUGUAAGCAUACUACCUAGUGAGGACAACUAUCAUUGUAUUACUCCAUUUUUCAUAUAACAAUGAUGAUAACUGCAAAUUCAUGUAGUUUUUGUACUCCAUUUAUCAUAUCACAAUGAAAAAAAAACUGCAAAUUCAUAAUACUACAAUGUCUAGUCAAGAAAAAUGUUAUGUCUAGCAGAAUAUGAUAAGAUACUACAAAGAAUAAGAAUAUCAACCCUUUUAUUUCCUAAUUUUACUUUCAUAUUUUUUAUUUUUCAAUUAUUUUUUCUUUCCCCGUAAGGUCCUAAAUAAUCAACAUUAUACAAGGAAAAAUAAUGAAGAAAAAAAAUGAGAGAAGAGUCAAUUAAUGUUAGAAGACUUCAAAAAUAUCAUCUUAUUCUACCCAAUGCUUAGUGGAAAUUAGGAAUUACAAUUAGGAAACUGUAAAUGUAAUGGGCUGGAAGAAAAAUGUUGGAUGAGGUAAUUAGGUAUGGGUUUUGGGGCUUGGUCUAGAAAGGUUUCUGCCAAAUAUGAGUUGAGUGAUACUUUUUAAAACUUAUUUUAGUAAAAUUUUGGUUGUUUAGUGCGCCAAAAAAUUGUGACCCUUACACCGAGCACCGAAUUGAAGAAAUUUUCAUUUGAAAAAAGAAAAUUAAAACCGAACCAAAAAACAAAAAAAAUGAAUUAGUUUGAAUUGGAUUUUUCGGUUAUUAUGCCCAUCCCUAACUUCAGUACUUGAUGUAAUGACCUCCAAGUCAUUUCUAUGUUUAUGCCUCCUAUUCGUCAUUUAGAGCUUUCUUGUAGUGACCCAAGGUCAUUUAUGACUUAUAAGGAUUACCAAUUCGGUCACCUAGUUGGUCAUUUAGUUGUUGUGCGACUUUUAGUAUUUUGGAAGCUUUUGAACAUUAAACGGUCAUUUUUUACCAGAAUUUCAUGAAGAAGAUCUCAGAAUCCAAUUAUGACGAUUCCACCAACUCGAGAAUGGUCAUUUUAGGCUAGUAGCAUAGUUGUCAUGACUCCCGAGGUUUUCAGUGCGAGUUUGUGCGAUUGGGCGCUUUAACUUUCAAAUUGAAGCCUAAGUUUGACUUUAGUCAACAUUCUGGGUAAACAAGCUCGGAUGAGGAUUCUGUCAGCAAGGUUAGCUCCAAAAUGUUGAGUUUUGUCUAGAACAAUCCUUCGUUUAGAUCAUGAGGCCUCUGGGCUAAUUCAGAGUCCCUUGCAUAUUUUGACUUAAAAUGGAAUUCGGGUGUCAGACCCACUUUUUGCCGAGAUGCCCUCGCUUGGGAAUUUCAAAAUUUCAGCUGAGUCCAAACAUUGAAAAUGGUUGGGUUGCUUGUCUCGUUUGCGUGUAUGGGGGUUCAGAAUGGAUUCGGAGCACCUUGUUGGAGAUUUGGAACUCGACUAAAUCACCUGAUGUGCAUCAGCUGGUGCAAGCCAAUUUUCUCUUCGCAAUCACGUACUCCUUGAUUGCGUUCACGAAGUCCUAGACCUUAGUGCUUCGCGACCGCGUGGCCCGUUUCCUCAGUCGCAAUGAAAUGUUGACCUUUAUUGGUCAUCGCGAUUGAGAGGUAGGCUCUCCACGAUCGCGAUGGUCAGACUCUUAAUGAGUUACGAUCAUGACCCUCCUUCUCACGACCACAGUGAAGAGUUGAGGUCUGUCUUUAUAAAUAAAGACAGACGCGAUCACCCGUUAGUUGGAGAAGUGUAUUUGUGAUUUCUUUGGUCAUUUUGAAUCUGAUUUGGGUGAUUCGAAGUCCCACACAACUGUAAUUAUUGAGGCUACACUGUGGUGUGAUUAGGUUGUGUUGGUGAGCCCUUGUUUGAGGUAAAAUUGGUGUUUUAGUUGCUUCCCGAAGCCUAUGUAGCUUGAGUUUAGUGCUUGCUUUGCAUGUUGUUGUUGUGGCUGCUUUGGGCCUUAAAUUGCAUUAAAUGUUGGAACACAAGUUUGAGGUAAUAGUUUAGGACCUCUUGACGGGGUCAAUUCAGGAAUUCCUGACACGGGUCCAACAAUUCUUGUUUGACUCGAACAUUGGUUUAUUUCCAUUUUAUGUGUUUUCUGUUUCUAAAUGACUGUACUUACAUAGUAAUCCCAUUUUUGAUAGUGUGGCAACAUCCGAAGGCCGUUUAGAAAGGAAAAGCUUCGGCCUUAUGAUUUUGAGAUUACGUGGUUGACUUAGAGGUAGGCUACUGCUUACUUUUUAUUUAGAUUGAGCAUGAAUGUGUAAAUUCAUGAUUAUCAUGUAUGGGAGUACCUGGUUAUUUUUUCUUUUCUUCUUAGAAACCAUGAUUUAGGGUUGAUUAGUAUUGCAUCGAGGGUAGCACCAUGCUAGUAGGGUUGGAUGUGUGAAUUGCAUGCUAUGUGAAAUUACUUGAGUUUUAUUUGUUUUCUGAUGGAUGUUUGACCUUAGACUAGGAUAGGCUAGUAUUGCUUUUGAACCUUGUGGCUUACUUUGUCUCUAACGUCGAUUUGGACAGACUAGGUCCUUGUAAAUUGGAAUAGCAAACUUGAGUCUGAUAAUUUGAGCCUUAGCUUAGGCAUUAUCAUUUCUUGUGGACCUUCUAUACUCUCACUCUGUAUUUCUUCAGCUUUGAGGUGUUACCGGAGGUUCGUGCUAUUGCGAUGUUUGGAAAUUGAGUUGUGCUUGGCUGGGAGCUUUCUAUUGAUACCAUUGGGUGUGAAAAUGGAUCCACGAUGGUUUGAAGCCUACUUAAGGUCCUCUUCGGAGUUGAUAUGCCCCCGAGUCACUCUUGCUAAUUGGGUGGUAUGCCCCUUGGAAUGGACUGGCUGGUUGGGCGGCCUUGGUAUCUGAGAUCCUCUACAGAGUCGACACGUCCCCAAGUCAUUCUUACUAGCUAGGAGUUAUGCCCAUGUGAGUGGACUGUUUGGUUGGGCGGCCUAGAUCGGUUUUCAUUCUGGCUAGCUGAGUUGGGAGUUGACUGGUUUUGUUGAUUGUCACUGUUGCUAGCUGGUCUAGGAGUUGGCUGGUUCUUGGUUACUUAACAAAGUCACCUAGGGCCCAAGUAACACCUGGGGUGCCUAGCUCGUGAUUGCGGCCAGAGCUAUGCUACUAGAGGACCAAAAAAUGCUUAAAGUAUUCUUUAGACUUUCACAUCCAAGGUUUUUUUAGGGCUGUGAGUGAGGAUGCCACGAGUUUCUUAUUACCUGCCGGGAGCGGCUUCAUAUCUUGGGGUUAGUGGAGUCAAGAAGAGCUGACUUCACUACAUAUCAGCUUGAUGACCUGGUCAGACAAUGGGGGCGUACAUUUAUUGAGACCAGGGUAGUUGGUUCCCCUCCGGUCACGUGGACCGAGUUCUCUAAGCCCUUCUUGGCUGAUUCAUCCCUCACAGCGUCAGAGAUCACCUCUGGGAUCGGAUCUCUAUGUUGGAGUAGGGCUAUAUGACCGUGUCAAAGUAUGAAGUGAGGAUUCACGAGUUCUCUCGUCAUGCUACUAUGAUUUUACCUACUGAGGAGGAGAGCCUUCAGUGUUUUGUUCAUGGAUUGAGUCUCCAACUUUGGAUUGAGACUUAGUCCCUGUCUCCGCAGGUCACUUUUUUCUGCAUUUUGUAUAUUAUUGAUGAGCUACAUCGUGAGGCCCAUGGGGGCAGUUACAAGAGAGAAAGACAUGGGGGUAGCUAUAGUGGGUCCUGCUCUAGGCCUAGAGAGGCAUAUGAUAGGGUUCAAUAGCGAUUUCAGCAAGGACAACCCACUCGGCCUGUUCAGGUUAUAUGGCAAAGCUUAGAUAGAGAUCAGUAUAGCUGGAGUGAGAUUGGAUCUACCCAGAUUCAUAGGUCCUAGGCUAAUGCUUCAUGCCAUGGUGGCCAUUCUUCUGGGAGUAGAAUAUCUUUAGGUUGUUUUAAUUGUGGUGAGUUAGGUCACUGAGCCAAAGAUUUCCCUUUGCAUAGACGGAUUGAUCUAGUUCCACAACCAAGUCUACCAGCACAACCUCUAAUAUCUCCAGCUAAGGGUCGAGGUUAGCGUCACGACCAUCGUGGUGGAAACAAAGGUAUUUUGGGUGUUCCCAGGGAGGUACUGAUGGCAAGGGCAGAGGCGGGCAGGGUCAUUUCUAUACAGCUCCAGUGAGGGUUGAGGCUGAGGCAUCAGAUGAUGUGAUCACAUGAACGAUUCUUUUAUGCCAUCAGCCAAACUCGACUUUAUUUGACCUUGGUUCUACAUAUUCUUGUGUGUGUGUAUUAUUCUUCUCAUUUUGGGUAUGAGUUCUAAGCCUAUGGAAGCAUUGUUACGUGUGUCGAUCCCCGUGGGUGAGUCUUUAGUAGUGGAUCAAGUGUUUUGAUCUUGCUUAGUUACUAUCUAGGGGCGUGACACCUGAGAUGAUAUUGUAUUGUUAAAUAUGUUGGAUUUCAAUGUGAUUCUGGGCACGGAUUGGUUAUCCCCCUAACAUGCAAUUUUAGAUUAUUUCUCUAAGACUGUUACCUUAGCCAUGCCUGGUAUUCCUCCGGUGGUGUGGCAGGGCUCUAUUAGUAGCACACCGGUAGUAAUGAUCUAUUUUAUUCAGGCUCGGAGGUUAGUGGCUAGCAGAUGUCUGUCCUAUUUAGCCUAUGUGCGGGAUGUGAGUAGGGUGGUCACUUCAGUUGAGUUUGUGCUUGUUGUCCGAGAUUUUGUAGAUGUGUUUCCUACCGACCUACCUAGCCUACCCCUAGAGCAUGAUACUAACUCUCCUUUUGAGCUUGAGCCGAGUACUCGGCCUAUUUCUAAUUUGCCGUACUGGGUGGCCCUUAUAGAGCUCAAGGAUCUCAGUGUUCACCUUCAGGAUCUCUUAGGUAAGGGAUUCAUUAGGCCUAGUGUAUCACCUUGGGGCACUCCCAUUCUUUUUUUGAAGAAGGACAAUAUGAUGCGUAUGUGUAUUGAUAAUAGGAAGUUGAAUAAGGUAACUGUGAAGAACCGCUAAUCCAUGCCUAGGAUUGAUGAUUUAUUUGACUAGCUUUACAGUGCCACAAUGUUUUUCGAAGAUUGAUGUGACGUCUGGUUACCAUCAACUGAAAAUUAGGGUAGCAGACAUCCCUAAGACCAUAUAGGACUCGAUAUGGCCACUAUGAGUUCCUAGUGAUGUCUUUUGGGUUGACUAAUGCCCCUGCCGACUUUAUGGACUUUAUGACACAAGUGUUCAGGCCUUGUCUUGAUUUGUUCUUCAUCGUGUUCAUAGAUGACAUUUGGUAUAUCUGCAGAGAAGAGUGAUCAUGAGCAACAUCUAAGGAUUGUGCUCCAGACUUUAAGAGAUCAAUGACUUUAUGCAAAGUUCUCAAAUUGCGAGUUUUGGCUUGAGUCUGUAGCAUUCUUGGGGCACAUAGUGUCUAAGGAUAGCAUCAUGGUAUCUACGAUUAAGAUUGAGGCUAUUCAUGAUUGGACAAAGUCUACUUCAAGUACUAAGGUUCAGAGCUUCAUCAGUUUGACAGGCUACUGCAAACGGUUUGUGGAGGAUUUCACCACCAUUGCUGCACGUUUGACUUGGUUGACUCACUUUCAUGUGCCUUUUGAGUGGACUGAGGAGUGUGAGUUGAAAUUUUGGAAGAUCAAGGAGUUGCUGACUAUUGCGCCUAUAUUGACUCUUCCAGUUGAUGGAGAGGGCUUCAUGGUCUAUUGUGAUGCAUUCAACAUCGAUUUGGGUUGUGUUUUGAUGUAGAGUGGCCAGGUUAUUUCUUAUGCAUCAAAGAAGCUUAAACAUUAUGAUCACAUCUACCCCACUCAUGACUCGGAGUUGGUGCCGGUAGUGUUUGCACUUAAGAUCUGGAGGCAUUACCUGUAUGAUGUUUUUUGUGAUAUCUACACUGAUCACAUAAGUCUUUAGUAUAUUAUGAGCCAGAGGGACUUUAAUUCGAGGUAGCAUUGCUAGAUUGAGCUUUCGAAGGACUAUGACCUCUCUAUUCUCUACCAUCCGGGAAAGGUGAAUGUAGUAGGGGAUGCCUUGAGUCGGAAGGUAGUGAGUAUGAGUAGUCUAGCCUUCCUAUCUACUGUGGAGAGACCCUAAGUUUGGAUAUUCAAUCCUUAGAUAAUUAGAUGGUUUGAUUGGAUGUCUCAGAUUCUAGGCGUGCUUUAGCCUAUGUGGAAGUUUAGUCCUCUCUACUUGAUCAGAUUUAAAGCCGUCAGUUUGAGGAUGAGGCCUUGGUGGCACUUCGAGAUCCGGUGUUAACGAGUGAUUCGUGUCAGGUUAUCUUUGAUUUAGACAGGGUUUUGAGGUUUGUAGGCCGUAUUUUAUGUUCCGAGAGUUGGAGGUUUGAUACAGUUGAUAUUUUGUGAGGCCUAUGAUUUUAGACAUUCAAUUCAUCCGGGCACCACAAAGAUGUAUCAUGACUUAAGGAAACAUUACUGGUGGGGCGGUAUGAGGAGAGAUAUUGCAGAUUAUGAGUCCCGUUGUCUUAGUUUCCACCAGGUGAAUGUGGAGCAUUUGAGACCUAGUGGUGUGUUUCAAAGAUUACCCAUUUCGGAGUGGAAGUGGUAUCACAUCACAAUCCACUUUAUGAUAGUUUUGCCUUGAACUGCUAGAGGUGUUGCUAGCAUUUGGGUCAUUAUUGAUUGAUUAACCAAGUCAACACAUUUUCUCCCUAUUCAGUCUUCAUUCAGCACCGAGAGGGUAACCCGUAUCUACAUUUAUGAGGUGGUUCGUCUUCAUGUUGUGCCAGUUUAUAUUAUAUUAGAUCAGGAUGCUUAGUUUACUUCUAGUUUUUUAGAGGACCUUUCAGGAUGAGUUGGGUACUCACAUUAACCUUAGCACAACCUUCCACCCGCAGACUAAUGGUCAGUUAGAGCGUACUAUUUAGGUCCUUGAGGACACAUUGUGGGCUUGUGUAUUGGAGUUCGGAGGUCAGUGGGGCCAGUUAUUACCUUUGGUGGAGUUUGUGUAAAACAACAACUACCAUUUUAUCAUUCAGAUGGCCCUGUUUGAGGCCUUAUAUGGUAGGUGUUGUCGUUAUCCAGUUGGUUCGUUUGAGACUACAGAGCCUAAACCACAUGGCACUAACUUGAUACAUGAGGCUUUGAAGUAGGUGAGGGUGAUUUAGGAUAGGCUUCAGACAACUUAAAGUACACACCAAAGUUAUGCAGAUCAUAGGCAUCGACCUUUGAGGUUCUCAAUUGGUUUUUCUCCGUGUUUCUCCUAUGAAGGGAGUGAUGAGAUUUGGGAGGCGGGGCAAGCUUAGCCCUAGGUAUAUUGGGCCUUUUGAGAUCUCUCGGACAAUUGGGGAGGUUUCAUAUGAGUUAACUUUACCUCUGAUGUUCUCAACUACCCACUGGUCUUUCAUGUUUCUAUGUUGCGUCUGUAUUUUCCAGAUGAGUCUCAUGUGCUCCAGUAUGGUGCAUUAGAAUUGGAUAAUCGCUUUACCUUUGUAGAGGAGCUAGGUGCUAUUCUUGCUAGAGAUGUGUAGAUGUUUCCUUUGAGAGCUAUUCAUGUGGUUAAGGUUUGUUGGAUACAUCAUUUAGUUGAGAAGGCUACCUCGGAGACCGAGCAUGAUAUGCAGGAGCAAUUUUCUAACUUGUUUGAGCCUUCAAGUACUUCUUGACCUUUUUUUUCACGAAUAACAGUCUUUUUUUAGUAGUGGAUGUUGCAAUAACAUCCUGGUCAUUUGUGUGUUUAUGCCUCAUUUUCGUCAUUUAGAGCUUUCUGUUUGGUCACUUGGUCAUUCGUUUAGUUUUUGUGCGAGUUUUAGUGUUUAGGGAGCUUUUAAACCUUGCACGGUCUUUUUUUAUCAGAAGUUCAGGAAUAUGACCUCAGAAUUCAAUUCUGAUGCUUCCAUCAGCUCUAGAAGGGUCAUUUUAGGUUGGUAACAUAGACUCCCGAGGUUUUUCAGUGGGAGUUUGUGCGAUUAGGAAUUUUAACUUUCAAGUUGAAGCCUAAACUUGACUUUAGUCAACCUUCUGGGUAAACAAGCUCGGAUGAGGAUUGCGUCAACAUGGUUAGCUCGGGAAUGUUGAGUUUGGUCUAGAAUGAUCCUUCAUUUAGAUCUCGAGGCCUUCGGGCUAAUUUCAAGCCCCCAAGUGGAUUUUGACAUAAAAUGGAGUUUGGGUGUGGGACCUACUUUUUUAUCAAUAUGACCUCGUAUGUGAAUUUUGACUACUCCGUUAAGUCCGGAAUAUCAAAUUUCUUUGGGUUGCAUAUCUCAUUUGGGUGUACGGGGUUCCGAACAAAUUUGAAGCACUCUGUCGCAGAUUUGGAACUUGGAAAAACUAGUUGAUGUGCAUCAGCUGGUGUAGGACAAUUUGCUCUUCGUGAUAAUCUGCCCCUUGGUCGCGUUCGCAAAGGCCUGGGCUUUAGUGCUUCACAACCACGUGGCUCAUUAUCGUGAUCACGAUGAACAAUUGACCUUCCUUAGUCAUCGCAAAGCAAGGUCUCCGCAAUCGUGAUGGUCAGCCUCUUAAUGAGUCACGAUCACGAGCCUCCAUCUCGUGAAUGCGGUAAAGAGUUGAGCUAUGUCUUUAUAAAUAAAGAGAGAUGCAAUCAACAAUUAGUUGGAGAGGUGUAUUUGCGAUUUCUUGGUCAUUUUGAGUCAGAUUUGGGUGAUUCAAAUUUCGACUCAUCUGUAAAUGUUGAGGCUACACUGUGGUAUGAUUAGGUUGUGUUGGUGAGCCCCCGUUCGAGGUAGAAUUGGUGUUUUAGCUGCUUUCCCAAGUCUCUUUAGCUUGACUUUUGUGCUUUCUUUGCAUGUUGUUGUUGUGGCUGCUUCAGGCCUUAAAUUGCGUUCAACUUUGGAAAAAAGUUUGAGACAUACUUUAGGACCUUUUGAAGGAGUCAAUUCUAGAAUUCCCAACAUGGAUCCCACAAUUCCCAUUGGACUCUAAAUUGGUCCAUUUUUGUUUAUGUGUUUUUAGUGUCUAAACGAUCGUACUUACUUUGUGAUCCUUUUUUCUAUAUAGUGUGGCAGUGUUCAGAGGUCAUUCGGAAAGGAAAAGCUCUGGUCUUGUGAUUUAGAGCAUGUGGGGUUGCCCUACAAGUGGUCUUUGACUUCUUUUUUUAUUUAGAUUGAGCAUGAAUGCAUAAAUUCAUGAUGAUCAGUGUGAAUUGGGGGCCAGUACCAAGAUAUUUCUGCUUUUCUUCUUAGAACCCAUGAUUUAGGGUUUAUUACUAUUGUAUGAAGGGUAGCACCAUGCUACUAAGGUUGGUUAUGUGACUUGCAUGCUAUGUGAAAUUACAUGAGUUUUAUUUGUUUUCUGAUGCAUGUUUGGCCUUAGGCUAAGAUAGGCUAGUGUUGCCUUAGACUCUCAAACCUUGUGGCUUGCUUUGUUUCUGACGUCGAUUCGAACAGACUAGGUCCUUGUAGAUUGGAAUAGUAGACUUGAGUCCAAUAGUCUGAGCUUUUUCUUAGGUGUUAUCGUUGUUUAUGGACCUUCUAUACUGUCUCUCUUCCUAUUUUUGUGGCUCUGAGGAAUUGUAGAGAGGGAGAUCGGGAGUGAGGUCGAGAAGAGAACUAAGAGGAGAGAGGGAAGUUCACGCGAGAGAGAGAGAGGCGGAGAGUGGCGAGUGAGAGAGGAAGAGAGAUGAGAGAUUUACUAUAAAAUCCUAAUAUAUAGCUAUGUUAGAUAAUUUUCUGAAAGUAUCGCCAUAUUAUCUAUAUAUUAUAGCUCUGUAGUUUUUCCUAAUUCAAUUAAUUCUAUAAUAAGCAUUAUUAUUCUUUACAUUAUCAAUUUAUAUAAGUUAAAUUAAGCGUACCCAAAAAAGACAUCUAUAAUUUAGGCUAAUAAGACCGUAUCUAUUUUGCAUGUAGUCACCAAUCAGUUGCCUAACCAGCUAACCUCAUGAAGGCUCAUGUUAUUCUUUUAGGCAUCCACUAUCCAAAAUACACUUGCCAAGUUGGUCGUACCAAGUCAAACUAGGUUAUUCUUUUUGAAAUAGAGAAAGUAUAAUUUAAGAACAUUUUUUACCUUGUUCCGAAAAGACCAUCACUAGAGAAACCCUACAAAUAAAUUCACCUCUAAUUCUACUAAUUUGAAAUAAACACAUUUAACUUUCAACCAAUUAACAAAAAAAUGGAGCUAACAAAUAUUCAUCAAGGAUGUGGUGCAGUGGAUGAGAUUGCUCUUUAUUCAAUGAGAGGUCUUGAGUUUGAACCAUGAGUAUGAAAAAAACCUUUGUAGGGAGCACUUCCCUAUGAAUGGAGCUUAUGUAGAGCAAAUCCAGAUAUAGUCAAACUCCAAUAUGGGUACUGAAGUGGAAAAAAAAAAGUGCAUCUUUUCAGUCCUAAACUCUGGCUAAAAUGAUGGGUUGGGCCUUUCUUCACGGGGAAAAUUUACAUAGUAACUGCAAAUUAUCAUUUUCCAUGAAUAAAGGAACUUUUAAGUGGGUUUGAUUGAUAUGAGAAGAUUUAAGGGUGAUUUGAGCUGGUUCAGAGUCCAAAUUAAUAGUAACUGAAAUCGAGUAGAAAAAUGUGUCACACUUGUAUAUCAUUGAUAUUCAUGUAUAUUACAGACAGAUAUACAUAAAUAUACACAUAUAUAAGGGAUAUACAUAUACACCCGAAAGUUAUACAUGCUAAAUAUUUAUUCUUCGUUCCUACGAAUUGUAGCUCAAAUUUCAGAAAUAGUAUUUCACAAUUCUAUCUAAAGUAUGUGAUAAAUUAAGAGUUGAGUCAAAAUAAAUAUUUAUUUUUCCAUUUUAGCCAAACAACAUAAAAAAUUUUAGACCAAAAAAAUUACCAUUGGAAGUAAAAUGGUGAAUUUAGUAGAGUUGUUCAUCUUAGAAUCUCACACGGAAGUGACAUGUCUGUAAUGAUUUUUGUGAACAGAUUUGCACGAGUUCGUAGCGCCUUGAACUCUUGCAAGUCUUUAUACAAUAUUUUGAAGAAAACAUAUAAUUAUAUCGUAUUUACAAAAUGUAGCUAUAGUUUAAAAAAAUGAAUGUAGCUAUUUUAUUUACGAAAUGUAGCUGUCAACGUUGAUACAACUCUUUCGCACAAAAUUUCAGCUGAUACGACUCUUUGAUGCUAAUUUGAUGUGAUACAAUAUGUGCUAAUAGAGCUGAUACUUAUCUGCUACAACCGAGUUGGACCCAUUUCCGAGUCACUUGAUAACUUUCAGGUUGACGUGGGGUUUGUGUAAAAUAUAAGAUUGAACAAACCAUGUCCUGCAAAACAUGUCAAUGUCUCUUUUGAAGUUACUAGACCGUCGCCUAUUGAGUGUCUGUUAGAUCGAGAAAGAUUUUGAUGAUUGACAAAUAAGGGAACAGAUGAAAGGAGAAGGUUGCGUCGACAUGUUCCUUUCAGACUGUAUCCGACUGGAAUAAGGAGAAUGUCAACCACGCGAAUUAGAAGUUAUAAAACAGUGGAGGGAUUGCUUUUUCGACAAGAAACCAGUAGAGAAAGUUUCCUUUUAUAAAGGAGUCCUACAAGAGGAAGCACAUAAUGAAUAACCUACUUAAAAUAGGAUGCCUAAUCCUACAAGAAGUAGGAACCACUACAAAAGUAACCGAGAUCCAAUUGAAGAAGGAAAGAUCCUUGAUCUAUAAAUGAGGCAAGAUUUACUCCAAAGAAACCUGUGCACUUAAACAGAGAGUUACAAGCAGAAUACAAUCAAAUAUAGGGAGUUUAUAUUUGAGUGAUUUUAUAUUACAAAGUGCAUCGAAUGCAAGGAAACAAGAUUGAAGAACCUGAUCCAUAUUCAUAGACAUAUGUUUUAUAGUUCUUCAGUCAAGUUUUCUUGUAUUGUGAUUUUAUCGAGUUGUAUUUUUGAUCCAAUGAAGUAUAAACUGGAGUAGGAAUAGUGUCUUCAAGUUGGGGCGACUUAAAGACUUGGGAACAUAAACCUUGGGGGGUUUGUGUUGGAGUUUAGGAAUUAGAGCUAGUUCCUACGAUUGCAAGAGUUUUAAUCUGAAUUCAUAACUUGAAGUUGGGUCGACAAUCUAGGUUGUUGUUGGCAUCUAGGACUUAGAGUUUAUAAUUCCUUAGGUUACAUAGCUUUGUAUUCUUUUGUUGAGGUGAAGGUCGUGGUUUUUUACCCUUUAUAAGCCGCAGAUUUCCGCAAUGAAAUAUUGUAUCAUUACUUUAUUUGUUUUACAUAACAUAACUCUUGUAGUCUUUAAAGGAACAUAUAAAAUAUACCUGUUUCUUAGGAAAAUUUGGGGGUCAGUAUUCCAAGAGUGUCCAAAUCAAGUUUAAUUGGGACUCUAGCCAACUGGCUUUAAAAUCCCGACUUUAACAGAUCAAACAUGGAUGAAAUAAUUCCUUCUGCACCUCUAAAUACCAUGGCUUCACUGCUUAAAAAUGACGAUCAAGUCUUUUCUGUCUGUCAUUCUCCACAAACAGUUUAUACAGGAAAUUUCCAGAUCGGUGCGACACUUGGUGCUAAUUUGCCUUGAAAAUGGGUUCUAAAAAGCACUAUUUGGUACAUAUUCUAGAGGUGAACGCCAAUUAUCUCCCAACGCCAAUUAUCUCCCAAUCUCAGAGUGUUUAUGAGAGUCCUAAUACCUCGUGACAAGCUAUCCAUUUGAGUUGUCUCCACCUGAUUGUUGGGCCAAGUAAGCAAAUAGAAAAAAAUUUAAUUUCAGUUAGUUUAAAAGAUUUAUCACCUUUUAUUUGUAGCAUGAUUGUAUUUUUUACGUUGUUGAGAUUUGAAACCCUUUAAUUAUUGCAUCAAUGUGUCUGAUUCCUUUCUUUCUGAAAAUUACUUUUCGGAGCAUCUCACAGGUCUUGUGGUUAUAACGUGUAGCACCAUUUUUUCUACCAUUUAAUAAAAAAGUGAUAAUGUAAACCAUUUCCUUUUUGUAUUAGGGAUAACUUUUUCGAGAUAUAUACUAAAUUUUGAACACCCUUAACAAAUUUCUUAGCUUUGUCAUUGCGUCAUACAAAGUUAAUUUAAUAAAGACUAAGGCCUCAUUUGUUUGCACUUAAUGGAGGUCUAAAUCUGAAUUGCUCAGAUCUUAACCCAUUAAGUACAUUUGUUUUUAUUAAGAUCUUGCCGCUAAUUGAGUCUUAAUGGCUCUGUUUCAGUCAGAUCCAUAAAUAUGUCUUAAUAGUAUUUAGACCUUAAUUAGCAAUUAUAUAUAGAUUAUUUAGUUUUGCAUUAAAUGCUUUAAAUAAAAUUACCGUGUUCUUCCACAAACCUUUAAAAUUGCUUUCUUUCACAUUUUUUUUUACCACUUUGUUCUCUUCUAGAAAACUCACAGCCUCAAUCCUAUAAACCUUCCUUGCACUUCAUGUGUUUGAUGUUUUCCACGUAUUCCUAUGAUGAGGCAUUUUUAAAGUGAAUUAGUAUAAUCAUUAAGAAUCAAUAAAGAACAUAGAUCAUGAAUAAAUAUGUAUAGUCUAGUAAAGAAUACACGAUAAGAUUAUGACAUAUUAUAGUAAUUUUUUAACCUUCAAUGAUUUUGGUGCUCCUAUUCUUUACCGUCACCAUUACUAUUACUAGCAUCUAACACCAACUAUUAUCAUCACCAUAAUUAUAAAUUAUCUUUAUCAUCACUAGCGAACAUAAAUAUUUUAUAAUUUAUCAAAUAAUAAUUUAAUUUUAUUAAAUUCAAAUUUUCUAAUAUUUAAUUACUUUUUACUUGACAAAUGUAUAUAUAUUUAUUAUUUUUACAAAUAAAUAAAUUAUACACUUUCAUAUGUUGAAAAACAAACAGUCUUAAUCAUCUAGUGUUCAGAUCUAGAGAAAAUAUCUUAAUAUUCAAAUUUGCAUUCAGAUUCAGAUGUCUUAAUUUUAAUGAAAACAAAUGAGGCCUAAAAGAACAAGAAAUAGUGUGUAUUUUGAAAUACUUUUAGUUUCUAAUGUGAAUUUGGAGUAUUAAAAUAAAAAUUCUGAAAACUUGGUAAGUAAUUUGUUGUUUUAUAACAACGAAAUAAUGAGCUUAUGAUUAAUACAAAAAAACAUUGCAUUCUUAACAUCCCCGUACGAGAAAAUAACGAGUCUCACUAAUUAAUUACAGGGUUAAACAAUGAACAAAACUAAAUAAUGAUGUUUCUAAGAGUUACUUAAUCAUUAUCACAAUUUUAGCUAAUAUGAAAUACACAUACGAAAAAGAAAAAGUUCGAUCAACAUAUCUAUUAGAGUCUCAGAUAUGAGUUCACAAUUAAAUAUUUAUGGUAUAAUUUCGUGCAGGAACGUUUUAAAAAUGACUAUCAUGUGUUUAUAUCCUUCUUAGAAAUUCCGAAGAUGUACAACAAAGAGCACAACAAGAACUUCGAUGAAGUCUACAAUGAGGUGAUGAAUCAUUUUAAAUUUGGAUACACAAAUAUUAUUAGAUGAUCUUCAUGUUAUAAUUUGCGAAUAUCUUUUUGUUUUAUGUGUAAGUUUCCAUAUGUCACAAUGAUCAUUCAAAUUUACUUGAUGACUUCACAAUUUUUUUACCAGAUUCUUCAAUAUUUAUCGCACUGGUUAUACAUCAUAUCAAUCAAUUACCCAUCCUCUUUAAUUCCUUAUAAUAAUUUUAUUAUCAUGACUAAAGCUUGGUAAUUUUUCUCAAAAAAGUGUUAGGCAGAUUGGUUGGGUUGUUCAGAAUUCUUUUGUCAAUUUUGUUAGCAAUAAAUAUUGUUAAAUGGUGUCUUCAAUAUUAUCAUCUUCACUUCUACCAAAUUAAGAAAAAAAUCAUUCAUUCUUUGUUUUUCUUCUCAUAUAUAUAAGGGAAUAAUUUUAUUGGUAAUUGUUUAUUCAUAUGGAAAGUACUGAUGUAACUAAAAUAGGUUUAACCUCCUUGUCCAGAUUGACUUUUCAUUUUUUACUUAUAAGCUAAAAGCUAUAAAUUAAAAUUUUUAACUAAUGACUUAAUUUUAAGCAAUUUGACUUAAAACAAAGUGCUUAUAAGCAUUUUUAACUCACUCACACACACUCCAAAAGUGCUUUAAAAUUAUUUUAGCUUAAAAUAGGCCAAUUCAAACAAGCUCUAAAUCAGGGGUUCGAUGUAAUUGAAAGAAGGUUAAAUUUGUGCUUCUUUAAUAAUAAUAAUAAAAAUAACAAUAACAACACCAACACCAAUAAAUUUUUUGAUGAGGUUUGAUAUUCCAUAAAUUAUUAUGACAAACGUGGUAUAUUGAUGAAUAAUUUUCGAUGUUAAUCCUCAUUUUAUGCUUGAGUUUGUUUAUGGAUGUUAAAUUGAGUUGCAUAGUCGUUCGCUAGUUUGUUCAAUCAAAAGAGAUAUAAAUUAGCAAAUAUUUCUUCACUAUCUUGUUUGGAUUGAAUCGUUAUUUCUUUCAAGUAAUUGAAAGAGCUUUUUGAAAUUAUCUAUUGAAUCAAAAGGAGAUAUUUUUUUCUCCAGACUAUCCCCUAACGGUUUUAGUCACACACAUUCAUUAAUGGUUAUAUAAUUAGUUUAUAGAGAAUUUUGAUGCCGUUAAAGUCUCUUUAUUAGAAAUGGUUCCAAAAUUAAUAAUUGAGGAGCUAAUUUACUUAAUAUUGUAACACCCCAGAAUUUUUUUGAGCUAAGACUCGAACCAUUCUUCGUUGUAAGUAGGAUUUUACCGAGGAAUUUAAAAUUUCUGAAGUGAUAAGGUCAUUAGAUAUAACACCAUGAGUUCCAAAAAGAAUUAAAGAGAAUUCGUUCUAGUCAUUCCUAAGUUCUUCUAAGAUUUGGGUCAACUUCAAACAAUCAUACCUCUUAGUACAAGAUGAGUUAGGUGUGCCAUGAGAUAAAAAAUGAAAGGUCUUUGAAUUAUAUUUUCAACGCUACCGAGUUUACUAGGUUUUGAGGUCGGAUGAGUAAGAUAUGUCCUUUUCAAGGUUAAGCAAAAGUACCGGAAAAUAGUAAGGGGUAUUUUGGUCUUUUCCUUACCCAAUCAUAUUUAAUUCAUUUUUAGUAAGGUUUUAAGGGUCUAAUCCAAUUAGGUUCAGUUUUAUAAUCCUAAUAUACGCCUAGGGUUUUAGUUGAGAGCUCAAGAAGAGAAAAGAAAAGAGGAAAGGAUCAAGGCUUCCGUCGAGGUUCUUGAGUUUUGUUGCGGAUAUUCGCCAUGGGUUUGAUCCCUAAGAGGUAUGUAAGUUUCCAUAAUGUUGGGUUUGUUCACCCACACACCAAACAUGAUUUUCAUAUUCGAAUUUGUUCAUAAAGAUUGAAAGAUUUAAGUUCUUGACAAGUGUUCUUGAAUUUCAUUCUAAAUCUUGUUGUGUUGGGGUUUUGAUGAUUUGUUGAGAUGAAAGUAAGUGUUUUGGGGGUUUUAUUGAGUAUAUUAGAGUGUAAUUAUGUUGAAUAACCGAAUCCAAGGGAUUGUGGAAGAAGCCGUUCGAAUCUAGGCAAACUAGGGUGAGAAAAGGAGAAAAAAGUCGUCGAGGUCUUCUGGGUUGGGGCCUGGGGCCCUACGCCAGCCAGUGUGCCCCAACCACACCUUUGUAGGUAGAGGGCUGGCACCCCGUGCCACUCAGUGAGCCAGGGUCUCCUCCCCACCCGUUCUUCAUCGUUACUUUACUUUCACUCAACAACCUAACUCUAACAAGCCAACUCCAUUCCUAGUUUCGCUACCCUACUUUAGCCUCCCCCCUUAUAAUGAGCAAGUAAGUAUACUAGCAUCCGUUUGAGUUCUUUCGAAGGGUACCUUUAUUUCCCUUUGAUUCUAAACACUCUAAACUACUUCUAAACACCUAGAAAUCAUUCAUAACUUAAAUCAAAACCUUGAAUUCAUAAUUCAAAUUCAAGGUAGAGUUAAGAGUCAAGUCUUGAGAGUUCUUCGAACAUUUCUUUUAAACAAAAUGUAUUGCACCAACCGGGGAUCGAACCCGCUUCUGAACAUUUUGAGAAAGUCCCUUUGAGUCUUUUAAGGAGUCUUCUUCAACUUCAAAUAACUUGUUUCAAGACUCAAGUAAGUGAACAUGUGAGUGAUGAGAAUGUAUUCAUGAGUCUACACUAUCACCAAGAUCCUUCGUAUCAUAAAUCCUAAAUCUUGAAUUCAUAAUUCAAAUUCAAGAGAGAGUUUAGAGUAGAGUUCAAGAAAGGCUUUGAGUUAAAUUGUGAAUCCUUCGAGAUAAACUAUUGAUUUGAACUAUGUUUUGAGGAAGUAAGUAAGAGAAUGAGAAGAGUUGUAUACAUGAGUUCCAUGUUGGUAUGAAGACCUUCGAGUUGAGUCGUUCAUGCCCAUAAAUUCCGCAUGGACUCCAUAAUUGAGUAUCAUUGAGAGGAGUAGCAUCUUCAAGUUCUAAGUCUUGAGUAUUGAGUUCCUAACCCUUUUGAGAUUAUAUUCCUAAUCAUGGGACUAUUACAUGUUACCCAUGAAGUCUUUGAGUUGAGUAGUUCAUACCCAUAAUUCCGCAUGAACCCUAUAAGUCAGUAGUCUUGAGAUCAGAAGUAUCUUUGAGUCUUUGAGUUGAGUAGUUCAUUCCCAUAAUUCCGCAUGAACCUUCUGAGUUGAGCAUUCUUGAAAUGAGUAUUAUUAUUGAAGUUCUUGAGUUCUGAGUUGUUGAGUCUCGAGUAUUGAGUUCUAGUUAUGGUUAUUGAAAACCUUGAAUUGCGUCGUUCACGUCCAUAAUUCGGCAUGAACUUUAUUCCAAGAAGUCUUUUACAAUUUUUUUUAAAACUUGUUUUAAGACUUGAGCAUUGAGUUGAGUAAGAGUAAGAGUAGAGCUGAGUUCAUUUCCUUAAAAUGAUUAUAAGGGAACUAAGUAUUCCCAAGAGUAAAAUGUUUUCACUUUUAAAGAAGAGAGGAAACACCGAUUUCCAAGAGAGGUUUUAAGCUAGUUUUUGAGUAAUAAUAUCAAACCACAGAAAGAGUUAUAUUUUUAAACAUAUGAGCUUAGUAUUUUUAGGAGUAGUAUUGAACACCGAUAUGGGGACGAGUUCAGAUAAAUCAAGUUUCCACAAACUAUAUAGCCAAUGUGGGUAGAAAGGGUCAUACUUUUUAGAUGAUUCCUUAAUGCUUUUUAGCAUAGACUAGUUGAUCCACUUAAUUGAGGCGUUCUAUAUACCGACAAGUUACAGGACAGUUCUGGCAGCAUGGGCGAGACGAUGCAUCAUCACAUAGCUCAUAAUGAUGGUUGUCGGUUAGAUAAACUCCCAUAGAGAUAUUUUGUAUUUUUAUAUACACAUAGUUUACUUUGUAUUUUCAUAUACAAGCAAAGUUUAUCUGGUAUCCUUGCAUAAAACUGUGUUACUUUCUACUGUUUUAAAAGUUUUCCAUAUAUUGCAUAUGUAUUGUUGCUUUAUAUUGAGUUGAAUAUCCAAAGUUGAGUAUCUAAAGUUGAGUACCCAGAGUUGAAUAUCUUAUCAUUGAGUUGAGCCUUAUUUCAAUGAGUUGAACUAUGUUUGUUUGAGUUUAGUUGAGUGAGUUGAGAAGAGGUAAGUAUGUUUCUUUCCCACCAGUUCAAGCUUAUGUUUAUGCUUUAGAAAUCCCCUUACAUGCUCGUACAUUCCAUGUACUAGCUAUCCAUUUGUCCUGCAUCGUUUCAGGAUGCAGAUACAUGUAUUCAGGGUCAUUAACAGGAGCUUUGUGGAUACCACAUGGAGUUCGAGUUAGCUAUGGUGAGCCUCCUUCCUUCCGGAGGAUUUCAUUUACUUUUCAAUUUCGUCAGGAUGUCGUGGGUCUUGUCCCGACUUCCAUCAUUGUCAUUUAGAGGCUUCAUAGAUAUACAAUAGAGUUUGUGAAGUUUGUUUCAUUUAUCUUGUUAAAUGUUUUAAAGACUUGAGUUGCCUAGUUUUGGCUAGUUGAAUAUACGAUUAUAUUUUGAGUUAAUUAUUUGAGUUUCAAUGAAUUUUAUUCUUUUUAAAGCUUUGUAUGCUCGAUUUAGUCUUCCGCUUGUAGUCAACCAGGAUGAGGGUUCUCUUGGGACCAACAAUGGUUCUCGAGUGCCUGCCAUGUCGAGGGUGUAGGUUCGGGUCGUGACAAAUAUAUUUCAUGUUCUGCUGAUGAAGUCAAAAUGGUGGUUUUUAAGCUCAAUAAAAAUAGUUUCAAUGUGCCAAUUGGUUUAAAUGACCAUUUUAUCAAUUAUGUUGGGAGAUUAUUGGUGACAAUGUCUGUAUAGUGGUGAUUGUUUUCUUUAAUGGAUAUAUCAUUCCUAAGUCCAUUACUCACACAAAAUUGAUAUUUAUACUAAAAAAAAGCUAAUUCAAACCUUCUAUAAGGCCUAUUAGUCUAAGAUUUUUUUAAAAUUUAUAUUGAUAUAUGAUAGACUAGAAGCUUAACUAUCCAAACUAAUCCCUCAGAAUCAGUCAGGAUAUGUAAGAAGGAGAAAUAUAUCAUAAAAUGUUUAAUCGGCCUAGAAAAUCAUUUUAGGUAUAAAAAGAGGUAAGAAAAUUAAUACUGUUUUCAAGUUGAAUAUGACAAAAACUUAUGACCGAGUAGUGGGGAAUUUUCAUAUAGGUGAUGGAAAAAUGGGCUUAAAUUCUAUGAUAAUAAAUAAGUUGUGGAAAUUAUUAGUUAAUAAUAGGUACUAUGUAUUGAUUAAUAGUCGUGCUUAUGAUUUUUUUUCACUAUACUAGAGGGGUAAAACAAGUAAAUUCCUUGUGUCCAAUCUUAUUCAUUUUAUCUGAGAAAUUUUUUAACGACUUUAAAUGUUCUUUUUAAACAGACCAUUUAAGAGCUUUGGGUUUCCUAAAUGGAGUGAGAAUAUUAAUAUGAUACUAUUAUUUUUUGCCUCUGCUGAUAAAACUAGUGUUCAAUUGAUCAUGAAAAUCACUGGUGAUUAUGAGAGACAAUCUGUACAAAAGCUAAAUAAAGACAAAAGCUCCUUUUAUGUUUUUCAUAAAACUAUUAGGAAUAUCAUUCAAGAGAUAUAUAGAAGAUUAUACAUGCUGUAAUAAAGGAAUUUUCCAUCUUUAAUUUAUUUUGAUUGUCCCAUUAGACAUGCUAGGAAAAGAAAGACAUUUUUUUAAACUUAUACAAAAGGUACAGAUUAAAUUGCAUAUUUGGAAAGAGAAAUUAUUCUUCUUAAAUGAUACAUAUGCGCUCAUUAACAAUGUUCUAUAAAAUUUACCUAUUUAUCUUCUUUCUUUCAUCAGACCUCCUAAGUGUGAAAUUUAUGAUUUGCAUAGAUCAUUUGCAAGGUUUUUGUGGAACUUUAAAGAAGAUGACAGGAGUAAACAUUGUGUUUCAUGGUCUGAUUUUUGUAUGGCUAAAGAUGAAGAGUGAUUAGGCUUGAGAUCUCUCUUCGAUGUUUUCAAAGUAUUAGUUUCUAAGCUUGAAUGAAACUUUAGAAUAAAAAAAACUAUGUGUUCCAAUUUUAUGUGGAAUAAAUACUGCAAGAGGCAUAGACCUCAAGCAGUUGAAUGGUGCAUAGGGUCACAAACUAGGAAGGUUGUGUUUGAGCUAGAGGGAACAUCGACUAGGAAAUUUGGUGGGAAAUUAAGAGUGGUCAUGCUAAUGUCUGAUUUAAUAAUUGGACACAAUUAGGAUCAGUGUAUUAUUAUCUUUCUAUUUCAGAUCUCUUUCAAUUGAAAUUAGAGUAUAUCUGACAACUUAGACAGAAUAGGCAAUGAAAUAAUAAACUUUUUACUGGAAAUGUUCCUAUAAAAUGUCUAUCAAUACAUUCAAGAAAAAGUUAAUGUUUUUGUUGAUCAAAAUUGUUGGGACAACCUUGGUGGAUGGAUAACAGUUAAAGUAAAUUCUCUGUGGCGAGAUUUUGUAGGAUGUUAAGGCAUAGAGGAGGUUCAACAAUAUUAUAAGCAUAUACGGAUCGAAGGAGAUCCUUUCAAACUUUUUUUCUUCUUCCAGAGGUUGUGUAAGAAAAGAAUUCCUAUUAAGACUAUAAGAGUAAGGAGGACGAAAAGUUCUAGUUCAAAAAUAUAAAAACGGUAAAUUAGAUAUUAGGGAGUUAACUUUCAAGGGUAAUGGCUUUAGCCUUUUAAGGCUUUAAGCCUUUAAGUCUUCAAUGUACUAGUACUAGUAAUCUAGUAUAUGUUUUAUCAAGCUUCAAGGGUCAAGGAUUUACUUGGGUCAUGAUUAUAAGCCCUGAAUUUAAAUGGGCUUAAAUUUUUUUUAUUCCAACCUUACCCUAAUAACAAAUUGGAUUGGAUCGACCUUAUGGGCCAAGUUCAUUUUGACAACCCUAAAUGUCUAUACCCUAAACCUAGUCGAUAGGAAAUAAAACGACCAACUUUGAGGGGAAUCUUAAUAAGCAGUGGCAAGAGCAAUUGCAGUAACAUAGAGAUCCUUUCUCAAAACCUAUAUGCUCACCAUUAAUUUGUAUCUCUGUCUUCCUCGACAUUUGAAGGUCUAAUCUUUAACUCUCCCUCUCAUUUAUAUAUUCGAAUGAUGUCUUUUUUUUGCUCUUUGAAUGAGUUGAUUUUAUUACAUACUUCUUUUUGUUGUUUGUUUAAGAAAUACUUUCUUUUCAUUUGUGGUCAGAUUUGAGUGCAAAAAGACUUCCUAAUAUUAAAAUAUUGUUUUUCUUUAAUCAAAUGCCUGCAGUAGCUAAUCAUAAUUAGGUUUUAUUUGUCGGCUUUGUUUUGGUUUCCUUGCCAAAUAAUUCAAGAAUUUGAAUAAUCCUUAAUUAAUUAAUGUCUCUGUUGUGUGUUUAGUUUCUCGUUUUGAUUAAUAUUGAAUCAUCUUCCAAUUAAAUUGGUUAUUUCUUUCCAAUUUGUUGUUGCUAAACUUGAAAUAACCGUAAAUUUGAGACAUUAGUUUCUUAAGUUAGAAAUUUUCUAGGCCUAAAAUUAAUGUUUAUGGCCUAAACUUAAAUUUAAUCACUAUGAGAACAAAGAAAGAAAGACCGAUAAAAUCAAUUGUCCUAGUUUAUUAAAAUAAUCUAUCCAAAUGAUAGGCACUAACGAGAUCAUUCAUAAUAUAAUGUCUUAACAAAAGUCUCAACUUUGUGCCUUAUAUAAAACAAACAAUAAAAUGGGAUGGUUGCAUUUGUAUGUCUUGACCCAAAACCUCUUUAAAAUAUAAUUUUUUGAUUCAACGAACAUGUAAACUCUAUAUUUAGGCGUGAUACACAAAGAGAGAUUGGAUAUACUCAUCUUGAUAAGUGUAUGUCGAAGUUGAGGUCGCAACUUUGUUUCUUAGUCAAGAGUCAAGACUAAUAAAAUUUAACAAUUUAAGUGAAACAUAGGCAAAUGAUCUAUCUGGAAAUAAUUUGAAAAACAAUUGUUUAAAAAAGGUGACUUGGAACAUUAUAACACAAUUCCAAGUGACAACUCUAUAAAUAAAAAAUCUCUAUUCAAUACCAUCACUUAAAUUGAAAAACCAUUUCUUAUUCGUCUUCGAUGAUGAAAAAAGAGGUGUGACAACUAGUAAUUAGCUUUCUUAUUAACUAAGAAUUAUGAGUCAUUAUUCAACUAAUUGAAACUAGUAUAUAUAAUUCUUAUUAUUUUUUCUUCAAUUAGUUUCUUGUCUCUUAUGACUUUUAAUAGAUAUAAUAGGCUUAAAAUACUACCACAACUAUAUAAAUGAAUAAGUUAACUAUUUUUUCAUGGAAACAACACAUUUUAUUCUUUUUAUAUAGAUUUUGUCAGUUAAACUUAAGUGAUGACAUGUUUAUUUCAAAAAUCCUGACGUAGUCCAUAGUUAUGUCGGAAUAGGGUUAAAUAAGUUAACUUCACACUAUGCAAAUGUUGCAAUAUGGUUCAUGUUUUCUUCUUGCCUGAUUGUGAAAACGAUUUUGCCUCCUAUGCAUAGUUUCUAAGGAGCAAGUUUGAAAAAUCAUGUUGGGAUUGUAAAACUUUGUGAUGGAACCAACAUGUUCUUGGUGCCAUCGCAACCCUAGCAUGAUCUUUUAAAUUCAAGUUCCCCCGAAAUUCUGUAUGUAAGGAAAAGUCUUUUUUACUUUCAGGCAAGAAGAAAAUAAAUUGAACCUGAAAACAACAUCUGCAUAGUGUUUAGUCAACUUGUCUAACCCCGUUCCGCCGUAGAAAUUGACUAUGUCAAACAUGUUACCACUUGAGGUAGUUGGAAAAAUCCAACUAAUUUGAAAUAAUAUAUAUAAUGUAACAUCCUGCCUUAGAAAGAGCUAAAUUUAGACAACGUUAAAUUAGAAAUUGCCAAAUCUGGAAUUUUACAAGUUAUGCUUGAGUUAUAAGUUUUGGGUCUACUUCAAACAACCAUAACUUUACAGGAUGAGUUCGGUGGUUCAUAAGAUAUCAUAUGAAAGGUAUUAAAAUCCUCUUUCCAACGCCACUGAGUUUGCUAAUUUUCGAGCACGUAUGAGGGAGAUAUGCCCGUUUGAAGUCGAGCUUUCUUGUUAAGGAAAGUUACCCAAAAAUAUGGGGUAUUUCGGUCUUUUCCUUACCCAAUCAGAUCAAUUCGAUUUUUAGUAAUAUUUUGGGGGCAAAUCUGAUUUGGGUCAGAUUUCAUAAAUCAAAAUACGCUUAGGGUUUUGAGAGGAGUUCGAGAAGAGGAGAAAUAGAGAAAAGUUCAAGGCGUUUGUCAAGAUUCUUAAGUUUUGUUGCGGAUUUCACCAAGGGUUUGAUCCCUCAGAGGUAUGUGAGUUGUCAUAGUGUUAGGUUCGUUCACCCACACGCCAAUCAUGUUUUUUUUAAGCAAUUUCGUUCUCAAAAUUGAAGGAAUUGAGUUCUUGCUUAGUGUUCUUGAAAUAUUGUGUUCGUUCUUAAAUUAGGAUGGGUUUGAUGAGUUCUUGAGAUAAUGGUACGGAGUUUAAGAGUUUAAGAUAAUAUAUCUAUCAACGUUGAUACACCUCUUUCACACAAUUUUCAGCUAAUACGACUCUUUGACGCUAUUUUCAUGUGAUAAAAUAUGUGCUAAUAGAGUUGAUACUUAUCUGCUACAACCGAGUUUGACCCAUUUCCGAGUCACUUGAUAACUUUCAGCUUGACGUUAGGUGUGUGUCAAAUAUAAGAUUGAACAAACCAUGUCCUGCAAAGCAUGUCAAUGUCUCUUUUGAAGUUACCAUACCAUUGCCUAUUGAGUGUCUGUUAUGUCGAGAAUGAUUUUGAUGAUUGACAAAUAAGGGAAUAGAUGAAAGGAGCAGGUUGUGUCGGCAUGUUCCUUUCAGACUAUAUUCGACUAGGAUAAGGAGAACGUCAACCACAUGAAUUAGAAGUUAUAAAACGGUGGAGGGAUUGCUUUUUCGACAAGAAAUCAGUAGAGAAAGUUUCCUUUUAUAAAGGAGUCCUAGAAGGAAGAGGAAGCACAUAAUGGAUAACCAGUUAAAAUAGGAUGCCUAAUCCUACAAGAACUAGGAACCAGUACAAAAGUAACUAAGAUCCAAUUGAAGAAGGAAAGAUCCUUGAUCGAUAAAUAGGGCAAGAUUUUCUCCAAAUAAACAUGUGCACUUAAACAGAGAGUUACAAACAGAAUACAAUCAAAUAGAGGGAGUUCAUAAUUGAGUGAUUUUUGAUUACAAAGUGCAGCCAAAGCAAGGAAAUAAGAUUGAAGAACCUGAUCGAUAUUCAUAGGCUUAUGCUUUGUAGUUCUUAAGUCAAGUUUGCUUGUAUUGUGUUUUAUCGAGUUGUAUUUUUAUUUCUUUCUAGAUCCAGUGAAGUAUAAAUUGGUGUAGGAAUGUGUCUUCAAGUUAGGGCUACUUAAAGACUUGGGAACAUAAACCUUGGGGGGUUUGUGUUGGAGUUAGUUCCUACGAUUGCAAGAGUUGUAAUCCGAAUCAAUAACUUGAAGUGGGGUCGAUGAUCUAGGUUGUUAUUGGCAUCUAGGAAUUAGAGUUUAUAAUUUCUUAGGUUACAUAGGUUUGUAAUCUUUUGUUGAGGCUCAAAGUUUAAUGAAGUGUAGUUAAGUCCUACAGAGGUGUAGGUCGUGGUUUUUUACCCUUUAUAAGUGCGGAUUUCCGCGAUAAAAUAUUGUGUCAUUACUUUAUUUGCUUUACAUAACGUAAUUGCUGUAAUCUUUGAAGGAACAUAUAAAAUAUACCUGUUUCUUAGGCAAAUUUGGGGGUCAAUAGUUCAAGAGUGUCCAAUAUCAAGUUUAAUUGGGACUCCAGCCAACUGGCUUUUAAAUCCAGACUUUAACAGAUCGAACAUGGAUGAAAUAAUUCCUUCGGCACCUCCAAAUACCAUGGCUUCACUGUUUAAAAAUGACGAUCAAGUCUUUUCUGUCUCUAAUUCUCCACAAACAGUUUAUACAGGAAAUAUCCAGAUCGGUGCGACACUUGGUGCUAAUUUGCCUUGAAAAUGGGUUCUAGAAAGCACCAUUUGGUACAUAUUCUAGAGGUGAACGCCAAUUCUCUCCAUUUGAGUUGUCUCCAGCUGAUUGUUGGGCCAAGUUAGCAAAUAGAAAAAACUCUUAAUUUCAGAUAGUUUAAAAUAUUUAUGACCUUUUAUUUGUAGCAUGAUUUUAUUUUUUACUUUGUUGAGAUUUGAAACCCUUUAAUUUAGUGCAUCAAUGUGUCUGAUUCAUUUCUUUCUGAAAAUUACUUUUGGGAGCAUCUCACAGGUCUUGUGGUUAUAACAUGUAGCCACCAUUUUUUCUACCUUUUAAUCAAAAAGUGAUAAUGUAAACCAUUUCCUUUUGUGUUAGGGAUAACUUUUUCAGAUAUAUACUAAAUUUUGAACACCCUUAACAAUUUUUUUUUAGCUUCGUCAUUGCGUCAUACAAAGUUAAUAUAAUAAAGACUAAGGCCUCAUUUGUUUGCACUUAAUGGAGGUCUGAGUCUGAAUUGUUCAAAUCUUAACCCAUUAAGUACGUUUGUUUUUAUUAAGAUCUUGCCGCUAAUUGAGUCUUAAUGGCUCUGAUUCUGUCAGAUCCAUAAAUAUGUAUUAAUAGUAUUCAGACCUUAAUCAACUAUUAUAUUUUCAUUAUUUAGUUUUGCAUUAAAUGCUUUAACUAAAAACCACCGUCUUUUUCCACAAACCUUUAAAAUUGCUUUCUUUCACUUUUUUUUUACCACUUCGUUCUCUUCUAGUAAAAAUCACAGCCUCAAUCCUAUAAACCUUCCUUGCACUUCAUGUCUUUGAUGUUUUCCACGUAUUCCUAUGAUGAGGCAAUUUUAAAGUGAAUUAGUAUAAUCAUUUAGAAUCAAUAAAGAACAUAGAUCAUGAAUAAAUAUGUAGAGUCUAGUAAAGAAUACACGAUAACAUUAUGACAUAUUAUAGUAAUUCUUUAACCUUCAAUGAUUUUGGUGCUCGUAUUCUUUAUCAUCACCAUUACUCAGGGGCGGCUCAAACCAGUUGGUGGCCUAAGGCCAAAAUCAAACUAGAGGCCUUAAAAAAUUUAAAAUGUUUUAUUUUAAAUCUAUUUUUCUAGCUUUUUGAGAUGCAAAGUUGUUAAUAAUUUUUGUGUAGUCAAUCUCUUCUAAUAAUUCUUUUUCAGUCGAUAAUAUUGCCAAACCACUUCUAAAAUUUAUCAAGAGCACCUUUUUGAGAUUUUCUAGUUGACAUAUUAAAAUCUAACAAAUAUUUUAAACACUAUUUACAAUAUCAAAUAUAAAAUAUAAUAAACAUAAGACACAAAACAAAAAUAUUAUUAGAAAUUAGAAUGAUAUUACCGGAUUCAAGAACUAUGAAGACUUGAUUUCCGAAAAUGAAUUGUGUUGCUGCAAUAUAUUUUUCUUCAAAUUAAAAAUAUAAACUAUCAAUAGAAUAAGUAAAUUUUUAAGCUUUGAAUAAGAGAGCGAUAUAAGAUUAGAAAAGAGAAAGAGAAAGAAACAGAAGAGAAGAAGAGAGGAGGAUAGAAUAUAUAAAAAUAAAAUUAGAAAAAAGAAUAAGUUAAAAAAGAAAAAGAUAACUUGUACAUUAAAAAAAAGGUAAACAACUUUUUAUUGGAAAGGAAAAAAGUAAUUGUCAUAUCUAUCACUUCAUUAAUGCCGUUUGCAUUUGUUGUCUUAGUUCUAAUAUAUUUUUUUUAGUUUAAUCCUACCUAAUUAACUAAAAAAUGGGGCCAAGGACUUUUUUUUAUACCUUACCAGCCGCCCCUGCCAUUACUAUUACUAGCAUCUAACACCAACUAUUAUCAUAACAAUAGUUAUAAAUUAUGUUUAUCAUCACUAGCAAACAUCAAUGAAGUCUACAAUGAGGUGAUAAAUCAUUUUAAAUUUGGAUACAGAAAUAUUAUUAGAUGAUCUUCAUGUUAUAAUUUGUGAAUAUAAUUUUGUUUUAUGUGUAAGUUGCCAUAUGUCACAAUGAUCAUCCAAAUUUACUUGAUGACUUCACAAAUAUUUUACCAGAUUCUUCAAUACUUGUCACAGUGGUUAGACAUCAUAUCAACCAAUUACCCAUCCUCUUUAAUUCCUUAUAAUAAUGUUAUUAUCAUGACUAAAGCUUGGUAGUUUUUCUCAAAAAAGUGUUAGGGAGAUUGGUUUGGUUGUUUGAAAUUCUUUUAUGAAACUGCUCAAAACUCUUUGGAAAUCGCAGUUUCCUUCUCUUUUAAAUGUGAAAACAUUUACUCUUGGGAAUACUUAGUUCCCAUAUAUCAUUUUAAAGAAAAUGAACUCGACUCUACUCUUUCUCAACUCAUGUGCUCAAGUCUUUUAACAAUUUUAGAAAAAAAUGUCAAAUACUUCUCAGAAUAAAGUUCAUGCCGAAUUAUGGACAUGAAUGACUCAAUUCAAGAUUUUCAAUAACCAUAACUAGAACUCAACACUCAAAACUCAACAACUCUGAACUUAGUAUCUUUAAUGAUAAUACUCGUUUAAAAAAUGCUCGACUAAGAGGGUUCAUGCGGAAUUAUGAGCAUGAACUACUCAACUCAAGGACUCGAAGAUACUUCUCAUCUCCAGACUACUCGACUUAUAGGGCUCAUGUGGAAUUAUGAGUAUGAACAACUCCGCUCAAGGACUCCAUAGGUAAUAUGUAAUAGUCCCAUGAAUAGGAAUACAAUCUCAAAAGAGAUUAGGAGCUCAAUACUCAAGACUUAGAACAUUGAAGAUACUACUCCUCUCAAAAGAUACUCAACUUAUGGAGUUCAAACAAAAUUAUUGGGCAUGAACGACUCGACUCAAGGGUAUGAAUAACAAUAUGGAACUCAUGUCUACAACUCUUCUCAUUCUCAUACUUACUUCCUCAGAACUUAGCUCAAAUCGACAGUUGAUCUCAAAGGAUCCACAAUUGAACUUAAAGACUUUCUUGAACUCUACUCUUAACUUUUCCUUGAAUGUGAAUUAUGAAUUCAAGAUUUAUGGUUCAUGAUAUGAAGGAUCUAGUGAUGACAAAGUAGAAUCAUGAAUACAUUCUCCUCAUUCUUAUACUCAAUUGCUCGAGUCUUGAAACAAGUUAUAUAAAUUUGUAGAAGACUCCUCAAAAGACUCAAACGAACCAUCUCAAAUGCUCAGGAAAACUCUCAAGGCUUAAAUCUUAACUCUACCUUGAAUUUGAAUUAUGAAUUCAAGGUUAUGAUUAGUGGUAGGAAAGAUAUUGUGAUGAUUAAAAGUGUUUAAGAUAGUUAAUCAUGAUAAAUGGUUGAAAAACACUGUCUGGGGAGCAAGUCCGCGAAGUGUAGAUGAAUUAUAUUAUUUAGUCGCGAAUUAAUUUUGAAAUAGUGGAUUCCGCUGUAAUAUCCCACAACUAGAAAGAGCUAGAAUUAGAAAGAGUCAUUUUUGGAGAGAAUAAAAUCUAGAAAUUUGAUAAAGUUAAGUUAAAUAUGAGUUUUGGGUCAACUUCAAACGACCAUAAAUCCUAGAUCAGGAUAAUUUAGGUGUGCUACAAGAUACCGUAGGAAAAUGCUUUGAAUUAUAUUUUCAACAUCGUUGAGUUUUCUCAAUUUCGGGUUCGUAUGAAGGAGAUAUGCCCAUUUGAAGUCGGGCUGUCUAGUUAAGAAAAGUCUAAACCGGAUUUUUGGAAGGGUAUAAUGGUCUUUUAACUACCCAAUUAAAUUAUUUCGUUUUUAGUAAGUCAUGUGGGGUCUAAAAUGAGUUAGUUCAGUUUACGCAAUUAAGAAAUACUCUAGGUCUUUGAGAGAAGAGAAAAGAGGAGAAAAGAGAAGACAAGUUCAAGAUUCGUCAAGUUCUUGCAAUUUUGGUUGUGGAGUUUGCCAAGGAUUCAAUCCUAUGAGGUAUGUGAGACUUUCAUAGCAUUGGGUUCGUUCACCCACGUGCCAAUCAUGUUUGUUUCAGAAAAAUUCGUUUCUAAAAAGUUGAAAGUAUGAUGUUCUUGAAUUAUGUUCUUGAAGUUUACUUUAGUUCUUGAGAUUUGAAGGGAUUGUGGAGUUCUUGAUGGAAUCGUGUCAAUUUAAGAGUUGUUUUGAGUUAGAUUCUUGUGUAUAUAUACUGGGUAUUUGAAUCGAAAGAGGGAUUGAGAAAAAGAAUCGAAUUUAGGCGAAUUUGGGUGAGAAAACGAAGAAGGAAAAAGUUGAGCAGGUUUUGGCACGCAAGUCCACAUCGCAGACUUGCUCCCCGAGUGCACAAAAAUCACCUCUGCGUCGCGGAGAAGAUGCGAACUUCUCUGUUUCAAAAAUAAAUUUCAUGAUCAAAUAUUUAAAUGCAUCUCCGCGUCGCGGACUUGUUUCCAGACAAUGAUUUCUUGAUCGUUUCUCAUGUUUAACUAUCUAAAAACACUCAUAAACAUCAUGAGAUCUUUCCUAUCACAAAUCACAAUUAUUGAAUCCAUAAAUUAAAUUCAAGGAAAGUUAAGAGUCAAGUUAAGGGAAUUCAUAGAGUUUUUCCAAAAGUCUUUCACAAACAUUUUAACUUUGUUUUAAGACUUAAGCUUUGACUUGAGUAAAAAGUAAGAGUAAAGUUCAUUUCUGCAAGGAUUAUACAGGAACUAAGUAUUCCCAAGAAUUAAAAUGUUUUCACAUUUGAAUAAAAAAAGAAACACCGAUUUCCAAGAGAGCUUUUAAGCUAAGUUUUGAGUAAUUAUCUCAAUCCAAAGAAAAAGUUUUGUUUUAUUUAAAACAUAUGAGCUAAGUACUUUUUGGGAGUAGUAUUGAGCACCGAUAUGGGGACGCGAGUUCAUAAUAACUCAACUCUCCAUAAACCAUGUUGCCCUCAUGGGUAGAAAAGGAUCAUACAUCUUAGAAGACUCCUUAAGAUGCUUUUAGCAUAUACUAGUGGAUCCACUUAGUUAAGGCUUUCUAUAUGACGACAAAGUAUAUGACUGUUCUGGCAGCGUGGAAAAGACACUGUAUCAUCACUUAGGCUUAUAGUGGUGGUUGUCGGUUAGAGAAACUCCCACAAUACUAUAUUCCCAAAGAGUAUAAAGAUGUUUUCACAUUUAAACAAGAAAGGGAACAUCGAUUCCAAGAGAGCUUUUAAGCUAAGUUUUGAGUAAUUAUCUCAAACCAAAGAAAGAAGUUUGUUUUAAAAACAUAUGAGCUAAGUAUAUUUUGGGAGUAGUAUUGAACACCGAUAUGGGGAUACGAGUUCAUAUUAACUCAAGUCUCCAUAAACCAUGUAGCCAUCAUGGGUAGUAAAGGAUCAUACUUUUAGAUGAAUCCUUAAGUGUGUUUUUUAGCAUAGACUAGUGGAUCCACUUAGUUAAGGUGUUCUAUAUGACGGCAAAGUAUAUAACAGUUCUGGAGGCGUGGGAAAGACGUUGUAUCACCACUUAGGCUCGUAGUGGUGGUUGUCGGUUAGAGAAUCUCCAUUCACUUAGUUAAGGUGUUCUAUAUGACGGCAAAGUAUAUAACAGUUCUGGAGGCGUGGGAAAGACGUUGUAUCACCACUUAGGCUCGUAGUGGUGGUUGUCGGUUAGAGAAUCUCCAUAUAAACUAUAUUACUUUAUUAUAUGAGUAAAGUUAAGUUUGUUAUUGCAUUUUCUUUAAUGAACUAAGUCGUUUUCCACUGUUUUACAAAGUUUUCAUAUAUUGCAUGUGUUUUAUUGCUUUAUAUUGAGUUAAGUUAUUCAUGAGUUGAGAAGAGCCAAGGUAAGUGUUUCUUUCAGAUUCUUUUUAAGCCUAUGUUAUGUUUAGCAUUCCAACUUGCAUACUCGUACAUUCAAUGUAGUGAUGCCAGUUGGCCUGCAUCAUUUUAUGAUGCAGACGCAGGUAAUCAGCACCAUCACCCAGCACCUCGUUGAUACAAUUUAGCAGUCAGAGUCAGUUGGUGAGCCUCCUUGCAUUCCGGAGGACUCCUUUUAUUUCGCUUUCAAUAUUUCUUUGUUAGGAUGAUCGGGGGUCUUGUCCCGACAUCCCUCUUUGUUUUACAAGCUUCAUAGACAGUUAGUAGUUCAGUUGUCUUUACAUCAUCACUUCAUAUAUUGAGACUUGAGUUGCCAUUUUGCCCAAGUUGAAUGUUUGACCUUUAUACAUUCUUAGUUAUUUUAUUAAACAGUUGAGUAAAGUGCAUUUGAUCAUUGUAAUAAUGCUUUUAAGUCUUCUGCUGAGUAAGUAAGCCAGGCCAAGGGUUCGCUUGGGGUUAACAAUAAUUCUCGAGUGCCGGCCACGUCCAGGAUGUAGGCUCGGGGCGUGACAAACUUGGUAUCGAGCAUAGAGUUCAAGAGUCCUAGGGAGUUUAUGAAGCUGUGUCUGUAGAGCCUUAGUUAUCGGUGUGAAGCGCGCCACAUAUAUAAUUAUGAUGCUUCAACACUUAGGAAAUAUUCUCACUUCUUUCACACUCAUUUAGUGCGUCAUAGUUUGAUCUCUAAAAUUUUUCUUUCUAAUUCGUGCUUGUGCGUGUUUUUAGAUAAUCAGGCCUCCAUGAAGAGCUGUCAGAGGUCGUCCUACUAGGCGCAAUGUUGAAGAGCAAGAGUUACCAAAUGCACCUGAAGUGCAACCUCAAGGAGAAGUCACUAAUGCUUAGUUCAGAGAGGCGAUAAGGAUGCUAAGUCAAGCUGUGACUAAUCAUGUUGGGCAACAAAGAGGAGCUAGCCAGGAAGUGACUGAUACUUCGAGGAUCCGAUAGUUCUUGAGGAUGAAUCCUCCAAGCUUCACGGGUUCAAGCACUACUGAGUAUCCGAAGAGUUUUGUUGAGGAGCUGAAGAAAGUAUUUGAGGUUAUGCAUGUUGCCGAUACUAAGCGGGUUGAAUUAGCUGCAUAUCAGCUGAAGAAUAUUGCUAGGACUUGGUUUGACCAGUUGAAAGAGGGUAGAGCUGAGGAUGCACCACCUGCGAAUUGGGCUUGUUUUGAGGAGGCCUUCUUGGGGCAUUUCUUUCCCCGAGAACUAAAAGAGGCUAAGGUACGAGAAUUUCUUACCCUUAAGCAGGAGUCACUAAGUGUUCAUGAAUAUGGGUUGAAGUUCACCCAACAAUCCCCGUUAUGCUCCGGAGAUGGUUGUGGAUAUGAGGAGUAGAAUGAGUUUGUUUGUUGCUGGGUUGUCCUAUCUAUUAAGCAAAGAGGGCAGGGCAGCGAUGCUAAUUGGGGAUAUGGAUAUAUCGAGGUUAAUGGUAUAUGUGUAGCAGGUUGAGAAAGAGAAUCUGAGGGAUAGUGAGGAGUUUAGAAAUAAGAAAGCUAAGACAAGAAAUGAGUUCGGGCAGUAGAAAAGUAAUGUGAACCAUUCUUCCUUUCAGCAAAAGCAAAAGGGACCUGCUCUAUCAUCAGAAUUCCCAACAUUUUAGAGCUAGACCUGCACAGUCUCAAGGUAGUGUGGCACAAGGAAGUAAUUGGGCUCCUACAUGUGCUAAGUGUGGUAGGAACUACCCAAGUGCUUGUCGCGAUGGCUAUACUUGUUGUUUCAAGUGUGGUCAAGAGGGUCACUUCAUGAAAGAGUGCCCUAAGAACCGAUAAGGUAGUGGAAAUCUGGGCAAUAGAGCCCAAUCUUCAUCAGUUGCUCCACCAGACAAGGCUUUACCUAGAGGAGCUACAUUCUGUACUGGCGGAGGAACAAACCAUCUUUAUGCAAUCACUAAUCGCCAAGAGCAAGAGAAAUCUCCAUAUGUUGUCACUGGUAUGAUCAAAGUCUUUACUUUUGAUGUUUAUGCUUUGCUAGACCCAGGAGCAAGUUUAUCUUUUGUAACCCCUUAUGUUGCAAAUAGUUUUGAUGUUCUUCCUGAGAAACUCUGUGAACCCUUUUGUGUUUCAACACCUGUUGGGGAGUCUAUUCUAGCUGAGCGAGUAUAUCGUGAUUGUGUCAUUUACAUCAAUCGUAAAGACACCAUGGCUGAUUUAAUUGAGUUAGACAUGGUCGAUUUUGAUGUCAUUCUAGAUAUGAACUGGCUUCAUGCCUGUUAUGCCUCCAUUGAUUAUAGAACUUGAGUCGUUAGGUUCCAAAUUCCUAAUGAACCAGUCUUAGAGAGGAAAAGUAGUUUAGCAAGUGCCUAAGGGUCAUUUCAUUUUGUACCUUAAGGCAAGAAAGUUGGUUUACAAGGGGUGUGUCUAUCACUUAGUCCGAGUUAAUGACUAUAAUAGUUAAUGACUCGAGUGUUGAGAUAUCUCUUAUUCAGUCAGUUUCAGUAGUAAAAGAGUUCCCAAAAGUCUUUUCCAGAUGAUCUACCCGGAGUCCCUCUUGAGAGAGAGAUAAACUUCGGUAUAGAUGUUCUUCCAGAUACUCAUCCUAUAUUUGUUCCACCAUAUAGAAUGACACCAGCAGAGUUGAAAGUGAAGUUGAAAGAUCUCCUAGAUAAGGGAUUUAUUCGACCAAGUGUCUCACCUUGGAGUGCUCCAGAUUGUGAGAAAGAAGGAUGGUUCCCUUAGGAUGUGUAUAGAUUACCGUCAGUUGAAAAAGGUUACUAUCAUGAACAAAUAUCCUCUCCUAAGGAUUGAUGAUCUUUUCGAUCAGCUUUUGGGUGCUACUUGUUUCUCUGAGAUAGAUCUCAGAUCAGGCUACCAUCAGUUGAAAGUAAGGGAAUGUCAGAUUCCAAAGACAGUAUUCAGGACCCGUUAUGGUCAUUAUGAGUUUUUGGUCAUGUCCUUUGGUUUGACCAAUGCGCCUGCAGCAUUCAUGAACCUUAUGAAUAGAGUGUUCAAACCUUAUUUAGAUAUGUUUGUUAUCGUUUUCAUUGAUGACAUACUAAUCUAUUCAAGGAAUGAAGAAUAUCAUGCUAGUCAUCUCAGAAUAGUUCUCUAGACUCUAAAAGAUAGAGAGUUGUAUACUAAGUUCUUGAAAUGUGAGUUUUGGCUUGAGUCUGUGGCAUUCUUAGGCCACAUUGUGUCUAGAGAGAGAAUUAAAGUUGAUACUCAGAAAAUUAAGGUAGUUCAAAAUUGGCCUAGACCCACAUCUCCAACUGAUAUUAGGAGUUUCUUGGGUUUGGCUGGUUAUUAUUGAAGGUUCGUCGAGGGGUUCUGAUCCAUUUCGUCUCCUUUGACAAAGUUAAGUCAGAAAACAGUGAAGUUUCAAUGGUUUGAAGCUUGUGAGAAAAGCUUUUAGGAAUUGAAAAAGAGGUUGACUACUGCCCCAGUUUUGACCUUACUAGAAGGUACUCAAGGUUUUGUGGUGUAUUGUGAUGCAUCUAGAGUUGGUUUGGGUUGUGUGUUAAUACAGAUUGACAAGGUUAUAGCUUAUGCCUCAAGACAAUUGAAGGUUCAUGAGAAGAAUUACCUAACCCAUGACUUAGAGUUAGCUGUCGUACUAUUUGAUUUGAAGAUAUGUCGUCAUUAUUUGUAUGGUGUUCAUGUUGAUGUAUUCAUUGAUCACAAGAGUUUUCAAUAUGUGUUCACUCAGAAAGAGCUUAAUCUCAGACAAAUGAGGUGGUUAGAAUUACUCAAGGAUUAUGACAUGAGUAUUCUUUACCACCCAAGUAAGGCUAAUGUUGUUGCUGAUGUUUUAAACAGGUUGUCUAUGGGUAGUAUUGCCUAUGUUGAGGAAGAAAAGAGAGAGUUAGCGAAGGAUGUGCAUAGACUUGCACACUUAGGAGGCCGACUAAUGGAUUCCACAGAAGGAGGAGUAGUGGUGAUGGAUGGGGCUGAAUCGUCACUAGUGUCAGAAGUAAUAGAGAAGCAAGACCAAGAUCCUAUUUUGCUUGAAUUGAAGGCAAAUGUUCAUAAGCAAAAAGUAUUAGCUUUUGAACAUGGGGGAGAUGGCGUAUUGAGAUAUCAAGGUAGAUUGUGUGUACCAAUGAUGGAUGGACUCCAAGAAAAGAUCUUGGAGGAAGCUCAUAUCUCCAGAUAUUCCAUUCACCUGGGUUCCACAAAGAUGUAUCGUGACUUGAGAGAGGUGUAUUGGUGGAAUAGUAUGAAGAAUGGCAUUGCAUAAUUUGUUGUUAAGUGCCCGAACUGCCAACAAGUUAAAGUAGAGCACCAAAGGCCCGGUGGUUUGGCUCAGAAUGUAAAACUUCUGAAAUGUAAGUGGGAGAUCAUUAAUAUGGAUUUCAUCAUAGGUUUGCCAAGGUCUCGCGGGCAGCACGAUUCCAUAUGGGUGAUUGUUGAUAGAAUGACAAAAUCAGCCCACUUUUUGUCGAUAAAGACUACCCAUACAUCAUAGGACUAUGCCAGGUUAUAUAUUCAAGAGGUAGUAAGACUUCAUGGAAUCCAUGUUUCGAUUAUAUUAGACAGAAGUGCACAAUUUACUGCCCAGUUUUGGAAGUCAUUCCAAAAAGGCUUGGGUUCAAAGGUGAACUUAAGUACUGCCUUUCAUCCUUAAACAGAUGGGUAAGUAGAGCGCACUAUUUAGACCUUAGAGGAUAUGUUGAGGGCUUUUGUGAUUGAUUUCAAAGGUAAUUGGGAUGAUCACCUACCUCUUAUUGAGUUUGCUUACAACAAUAGUUAUCACUCUAGCAUCCAAAUGACUCCUAAUGAAGCUCUUUAUGGGAGAAGAUGCAGAUCUCAUAUUGUAUGGUUUGAAGUUGGCGAAGCUGGGUUGAUAGGACCAUAUUUAGUUCAUCAAGCUAUGGAGAAGGUGAAAGUGAUUCAACAAAGGUUGAAAACGGCACAAAUCCGUAAGAAAUCCUACACUGAUGUUAAGAGAAGGUUGUUAGAGUUUGAAGUAGAUGAUUGGGUAUANNNNNNNNNNNNNNNNNNNNNNNNNNNNNNNNNNNNNNNNNNNNNNNNNNNNNNNNNNNNNNNNNNNNNNNNNNNNNNNNNNNNNNNNNNNNNNNNNNNNNNNNNNNNNNNNNNNNNNNNNNNNNNNNNNNNNNNNNNNNNNNNNNNNNNNNNNNNNNNNNNNNNNNNNNNNNNNNNNNNNNNNNNNNNNNNNNNNNNNNNNNNNNNNNNNNNNNNNNNNNNNNNNNNNNNNNNNNNNNNNNNNNNNNNNNNNNNNNNNNNNNNNNNNNNNNNNNNNNNNNNNNNNNNNNNNNNNNNNNNNNNNNNNNNNNNNNNNNNNNNNNNNNNNNNNNNNNNNNNNNNNNNNNNNNNNNNNNNNNNNNNNNNNNNNNNNNNNNNNNNNNNNNNNNNNNNNNNNNNNNNNNNNNNNNNNNNNNGAGAAAUUUCAGACCAAGGUACUAAUUCUCUUCUUAGUACUCUUUAAUUUAUGAGUUGGCAUGUUGUGUUUGCAUUGCUUAUUGGGUGUUGAGUUAAUGUUGCAUCUUACACCCUAGCCUAGUAAGAGUAAUCUCAUUCGAGGAUGAAUGUUCCCAAGGGGGAGAUAUUGUAACAUCUCGCAAAUUGAAAUAACUAGGAAGAAGCUAAGAGUUGGAAAUAGUCAUUUUUGGAAAGAAUGAAAAUCUGGAAAUUUUGUUAAGUUAGGAAAAGUUGAAUUUUGGUCAACUUCAAAUGGCCAUAACUUCUAGCUCAGGAUGAGUUUGGUGUACUUCCAAAUAUGGUAGUAAAUAUCUUGGAAUAAUCUUUCCAACGCCGCUAAGUUUGCGCGAUUCCAAGUUUGUAUGAGUGAGAUUUGGCCUUUGGAAGUUGGGCUAUUAGAUUAAGGAAAGUCCAAUCCGGAUUUUGGAAGGGUAUUGUAGUCUUUUCCUUACCCAAUUGUUUUAAUUCGUUUUUAGGAGUUUAAUUGAGGUAGAUUCAGAUUUUAGUCAGUUUAGAAAAGUGAAUUUCACGCUAGGGCUUGGAGAAAAGAGAAAAGAGAAAAGAGGAGAAAGGAGAAGAGAAAUCAAGAAUCGUUAAGAACAUUCGAGUUUAGCUUGUGGAUUUCGUUAAGGGGUGAUCCCUACAAGGUAUGCGAGAUCACAUAGCAUUGGGUUAGUUCACCCAUGCGCCAAUCAUGAUUCAAUUCAGCAAAGUUUAUUAGAUUUGAAAGUAAAUUCUUUGAAUACUUGAUGAAGUUCGUUUGAAUCCAUGUGGGUUGUGUUGUUGGAGUUUUCUUCAGAUUGAUUCAUAUUUUUAGUGGUGUUUUCCAGUAGAAUAUGAUGUAUAUUGAGGGUAUAAAUGAUUCUAAUUGUUUGGGGGAAAGAACCAAUUGAGUUUAGAGAUGAAAAACAAGCAAGAAAAGUCGUAGCACACCUGUGGAUAGGGGUGGGGGGUUUCACCAGCCAGCUUGCCCCAAAAGGGUCUCUGAAGUUUCACCCUUGGGGUGUCGUUCCAGUCAGCGCACCCCAGAACAGUCUCUGAUCUUCACCCUCAGGCGCCCCGCACCUCUCAGAGCGCCAGGGACGCAAGUCCUUCCCAUUUCUUCCCUAUCUUUUCGUACUAGUUCCUUAGCAAUGUACCUCUAUUUUCUAGUUGAUUCCAACACUCUAAGGUACAUCUAAACAUCAUGAAAUCAUCCAUAAACAUGAGAUCAUGAACCUUGAAUCCAUAAUUCAAUUCAAGGAAAAUUAAGAGUCAAGUCUAGAAGUUAAGAAGCAAGUUAAAGUAAAGUUUAUAAUGUUUUCAAAAGUCUUUCACAAACAUUUUAACUUUGUUUUAAGACUUAAAGUUCAAGUUGAGUAAAGAUUAAAGAGUACGAUUGAAGUCAUUUCUUCAAAUAAGUAUAUGGGAACUAUGUAUUCCCAAAGAUUUUGAAAAUAUUUUCGCAUUUGAGCAAGAAAGGGAACAUCGAUUCCAAGAGAGAUUUUAAGCCAAGUAUUGAGUAAUUAUCCCAAACCACAGAAAGAAGAUUGUUUUAAAAACUUAUGUGAUAAGUAUAUUUUGGGAGUAGUAUUGAGCAUCGAUAUGGGGAUACGAGUUCAUAUUAACUCAAGUCUCCAUAAACCAUGUAGUCAUCAUGGGUAGUAAAGGAUCAUACUUUUUAGAUGAAUCCUUAAGUGUGAUUUUUAGUAUAGACUAGUGGAUCCACUUAGUAAAGGCGUUCUAUAUGACAACAAAGUAUAGGACAGUUCUGGCAGCUUGGGCAAAGACACUGUAGUCACCGUCUUAGGCUCAUAGUGGUGGUUGUCGGUUAGAUAAUCUUCCACAAAAACUAUAUUACUUUAUUAUAUGAGUAAAGUUAAGUUUGUUAUUGCAUUUUCUUUAACGAACUAAGUCGUUUUCCACUGUUUUACAAGCUUUUCAUAUAUUGCAUGUGUUUUAUUGUCUUUAUAUUGAGUUAAGUUAUUCAUGAGUUGAGAAGAUCCAAGGUAAGUGUUUCUUUCAGAUUCUUUUCAAGCCUAUGUUAUGUUUAGCAGUCAAACUCACAUACUUGUACAUUCAAUGUACUGAUGCCAGUUGGCCUGCAUCAUUUCAUGAUGCAGAUGCAGGUAACCAGGAUCAUCACCAGCGCUUCAUUGAUCUAGUUGAGCACUCAGAGUCAGGUGGUGAGCCUCCUUGCAUUUUAGAGGACUUCUUUUAUUUCACUUUCAGUAUUUCAUUUUAGGAUGAUUGGGGAUCUUGUCCCAACAUCCCUCUUUCUUUUAGAUGCUUCAUAGACAGUUAGUAGUUUAGUUGUCUUUACAUUAUCAUUUUAUAUGUUGAGACUUGAUUUGCCAUUUUGGCCAAGUUGAAUGUUUGACCUUUAAACAUUCUUAGUAUUUUCUUAAACAGUUGAGUAAAGUGCAUUUGAUCAUUGUAAUAAUUCUUUUAAGUCUUCCGCUGAGUAAGUAAGCUAGGCCAGGGGUUCGCUUGGGGCCAACAAUGGUUCUCGAGUGGCGGCUACGUCCAGGGUGUAGGCUCGUGGCGUGAUAAAAAGAAAUUUUAUUUUAUUAUCGUAAAGAAAAUAAGGCAAUUGUUAAGACAACUGUCAGAUUUCUAAAAAAGAAUUAAUUAGUGAUCCAUGUUCCUAGAAGUAAACUAGUUUUAUAGGAACUGAACAAAGAAAUAACAAAUGAGUCAGUUGUAAAUUCAGACACUCAAGAACAUCUAAUCGGCAUGUCAGAAUUAACGUUCCAUUGCAUUUAAGUAGUGGGAGAAACGUUAGUAGACAUAACAAUACUACUACCUUAGUGAGAGAUUGUUAAGGUAUAUAUUAUUAAUCAUGUGUUUAGAAAUAGUAUUCUAACAAUUUUCAAGAUUAAAUAUCUUAGUGAGAGAUUGUUAGGGUAUAUACUAUUAACCAUGCAUUUAGAUAUAGUACAUUAUAACAAUCGUGAUGGUUAAAAGUCUAAGUGGGAGAUUGUGGGGAUAUAUACUAUUAACCACGUGUUUAGAUAUAAAAUUUAUUAUAGAAUAACUAUUUAUUCAUUUUUAAUAGAUCGUAUAUUUGUUUAUGGUGUCUAUUUACUUAUAUAGUAGAUGAUUUAGUGUAUAGAAUUGAAGCUUAUACACAAAGGAUUAAAUCAUCGGUUCUUAUAAGUAUAAAGUUUUUGUUCACAAUCUAAGAUGGGAACUGGGCAUGCCAUCGGUACGAUUGUAGUACAAGAUUAUAUGUAGUUUAUCUUGAUUAUGAGAAUGGUAUAGUUCCAACUUCUUGUGCUAGUGCAUUUUGUAUGUAUUGAACGAGACCGAGUAGAGAUAGUUGCUUUAGACUGACUGACAAAAGCAUAUUCUCUAAACUAUUAAAUGUACUUAUAUUCUUAAUCCUGAUAUAACUAUUAUGAUCUAUAUAUGUUAAUUAUCAUUUUGAUUUAUUCAAAGGUGAGAUUCUAAGAUAGGUCAAUAUUCCUGGUAGAUUGGAUGAUGAUAAUAUAUAUUGGUGAAAUAAUAAGUUAGUUGAUGGAAUCCAUGUCCCGAUAUAAAGAUUGAUGAUAUGCCUUUUUGAGAAGCUUAAAAGUUUUCAUCGUGUCAAACCUUGCAAGUGGAUUUAUGAAUCCGGCACAUGAAAUAAGUUAAUCAGUUCUCUAAACGAAAUUGAUCAUUGAAUUAAGUUCGUCAAUAAUUUAAUUUAUUGAUUAAUAUCUAUAAUCUUAACAUGGGGAAUUACAUAUGUGUUUAAUGGGAAAUUUUGAAAUAUAAAUAGAGGAGUGCAAUUAUGAAUUUCUAGUGGAAUGAAUUGUAAUUUAUUAUGGUAAGAAUAAUUCAAUUUAAUUAUUUGGAAUUAUUUCCAUAAUAGGAAGUCUCAAUAAUUAAUUUCGUGGUCCCUACUGUGCCCAUAUUUAACUAGAACUCAGAAUCUAUUCUAAAGGGAAAAGGGAGAAGUAUGUGUCUUUCUCUAUUCUAAGGAAAGGGAGAAAUAUUUAUCAUUCUCUAUUCUAAGGCAAGGGAGAAGUAUAUCACUUUUCCUAUUCUAAGGAAAGGGAGAAGGACAUCCCUUUUUCUUUUCUAAGGAAACAUAGAUGUACAUGUCUUUCUAUUCUAAGGAAAGACAUGGUAUUCUUUCUCCUUGGACUAGGAAGAAAUCUCUAUAAAUAGGGAUUCUUCUAACCCUUGAAAAAACAUAAGUUUUCUAUAAGAUACUUUCCCACCCAAGUAUUGAGAGACUUCGGAAGUAAACUUGGGAUCAGUGUAGAAGACCGCAAAACUGUCGUCCAAUCUGUGGACUAGCUUGUGGAUUUGUUUGAAGGUUCUAGCUUCUGGAUUUGAUUGAAGGUAUCUGCUCACACUUCAAGAGGUAAUUCUGAAAUUAAAUUCAAAAAGUUUAUAUGCUCUAACAUGAUUGUACUUGUUCUAGCAUAAACAAUGUGUUGUUUAUUAUUCAUAUAAGUUGUAUGAUUCGGUAUGCUUCCGCUGUGCAUAUAAUUUUCCAACAGUGAUAAUGUAUGUAUAGUGGUGAUUGUAUUAUUUAAUUGAUUUAUCAUUCCUAAGUCCAUUACUCACACACAAUUGAUAUUUAUAUAAAAAAAUAUCUGAUUCAAACUUUUAUAAGUCGUAUCAGUCUAAGAUGCUUUUUGAAUAUAGAUUGAUAUAAGAUAGACUAGAAGCAUUACUAUCCAAAUACUUCCUCAGAAGAUUUGUAAGAAGGAGAAAUAUAUCAUAAAAUGUUUAUCGGCCUAGAAAAUCAUUUCAGAUAUAAAAAAGAGGUAAAUCAAUUAAUAUUGUUUUCAAGUUGAAUAUGACAAAAAACUUAUGACCGAGUAGUGGGGAAUUUUUAUAAAGGUGCUGGAAAAAUGGGCUUCAAUUCUAUGAUAAUAAAUAAGUUGUGGAAAUUAUUAUUUAAUAAUUGGUACUAUGCAUUGAUUAAUAGUCGUGCUUAAGAUUUUUUUUCACUAUUCUAGAGGGGUAAAACAAGUAGAUUCCUUAUGUCCAACCUUAUUCAUUUUAUCUGAUGAGAAAUUUUUUAACGCCGAUAAAUGUUUUUUUUAAAACAAACCGUUUAAGAGAUCUGGGUUACCUAAAUGGAGUGAGAACAUUUAUAUGAUACUAUUAUUUUUGCCUCUGCUGACAAAACUAAUGUUCAAUUGAUCAUGAAAAUCACUGGUCAUUAUGAGAGACAAUCUGUAGAAAAGGUAAAUAAAGACAAAAGCUCCUUUUUAUGUUUUUCAUAAAAUUGUUAGGAAUAUCAUUCAAGAGAUAUAUAGAAGAUUAUACAUGUUGUAAUAAAGGUAUUUUCCAUCUUUAAUUUUUUUUGGUUUUCCCAUUAGACAUGCAAGGAAAAAAAAGACAUUUUUCUAAACUUAUACAAAAAGUGGAGAGUAAAUUGCAUAUUUGGAAAGAGAAAUUAUUCUUCUUUAAUGAUAAAUAUGUGCUCAUUAACAAUGUUCUGUAAAGUUUACCCAUUUAUCUUCUUUCUUUCAUCACACCUCCUAAGUGUGAAAUUUAUGAUAUGCAUAGGUCAUUUGCAAGGUUUUUGUGGAACUUUAAAGAAGAUGAGAGGAGUAAACAUUGUGUUUCAUGGUCUGAUUUUUUUCUUUUUGGCUAAAGAUGAAGAGGGAUUAGACUUGAGAUCUCUCUUUGAUGUUUUCAAAGUAUUAUUUGCUAAGCUUGAGUGAAACUUUAGAAUAAAAAAAACUAUUUGUUCCAAUUUUAUGUGGAAUAAAUACUGCAAGAGGCAUAGACCUCAAGCAGUUGAAUGGUACAGGGGGUCACAAACUUGGAUGCUUGUGUUUGAGCUAGAGGGAACAUCGACCAGGAAAUUUGGUGGGAAAUUAAGAGUGGUCAUUCUAAUGUCCGAUUUAAUAAUUGGACACAAUUGGGAUCAUUGUAUUAUUAUCUUCCUAUUUCAGAUCUCUUUCAAUUGAAAAUAGAGGAUAUCUGACAACUUAGACAGAUUAUGCAGUGAAAUAAUAAACUUUUUGCUGGAAAUGUUCCGAUAAAAAUUCUAUCAACACAUUCAAGAAAAAGUUAAUGUUUUUGUUAAUCAAAAUUAUUGGGAAAACCCUUGGUGGAUGGAUAAUAGUUCAAGUAAAUUCUCUGUUGUGAGAUUUUAUUGGAUAUUGAGGUAUAGAGGAGGUUCAACAGUAUUAUAAGCAUAUAUGGAUCAAAUGAGAUCCUUUCAAACUUUUUUUCUUCUUCCAGAGGUUGUGUAAGAAAAUAAUUCCUAUUAAGACUAUAAGAGUAAGGAGGACGAAAAGUUGUAGUUCAAGAAUAUAAAAACGGUAAAUUAGAUAUUAGGGAGUUAACUUGUCAAGGGUAAUGGCUUUAGCCAUUUAAGGCUUUAAGCCUUUAAGUCUUCAAUGUACUAGUACCUUUGAGAAUACUAAAUUGAUAUUUAUACUAAAUGGAGUAAAAGAACCUUUGAGAAUAUUUUAAAGAAAUAAAUAUAAAGGAGCAUAUAGUCAAAAUAAAGGAGGUUUUUGAUGAGUCCACAAUUUGUACUCAUUUAGGGAUAUUUUUUGAUAGAAUUAGUGUCCUCAAAUGCAUAUUUUGUCUCAAUAUCUGAUGAAACUCCUUAAGUUUCAGGUAUUUGAAUUGAGAGACAAAGCAUGGACGCUAUCGAACAAAAAGGAACAAAGUGGCUAAAAGAAGGAAGAAAAGACGACCUGACGAUUGCCUAAUCCAUUAGGUGAGUCGCCGAAAGGCCUACAACCUCGCCUAAUGUUCCAGUAUGUUGAGCCUUAAAGAAAAAGGUCAAGUCUGUGAGGAAAGGGAGUAGUUGGCGAAUCGCCAAUUAGUUCUGCGAAGCAUCACCAUAUCGCCCAAUGAUUCAGAACGCGAAGAUAUGAAGGCAAAAGCUAAAAGGCGAGGUACAAGAUCAAAGGGUGGACCGCCGAGUGGAUCAGCAAUCCCGACUAACUUCGCCGAAGGGUCCUCUGCAGCACAAAUUUUCAAACACUAUAAAUACUUGUUUAAAUUUCCAGCUUAGAAUCAUCUCAGUAUUAUUAUUCGAACUUUUUAUAGUUUUUAGAGAGUUUAAGUUUUAGAGGGUUUUGGAGACUUUGUUCUAAGACCUUGAAGAUUCAAAGGGUUUCAACUCCAAGAAAUUGGACGUGGGUCUCAAAGAUUCUUCACUCUUGACGUGUUUUAAGACUUAAUCCUUCAUACCCAGUUGAUAGAAACUGAUAUUGGUAUAAAUUUUUAUAUCUUUUACUUGUCUAGCUAAAACCCCAAUUCUUGGGGUGUGAUUUUGUGAAUAUGGGUUAGAUUAUCUGUUGGGUCUUGCUUGUUGAUGGUUUAUUUUUUGUUUAGAUGUGAUUUCGUUUUACAGUGCCUCCUCUCCACUCAAAUGGACUAUUGGGGUUACCUAGUAACACUAGGGCCAACCCCAAUGAUGGAGAGUGAGUAAGGACUUACGUCGGGCCAUGGCGUUAACUAAGGCGCUUCUUGGGAGGCAACCCAAGGCCUUAAAUGCUUUAUUUUUGUCUAACGAGUAAUGGUGUGUUAAUUGUGUAGGUUAAAGUGUGGAGAGUGUGUGGAAAUUGCGUUUGGCGAUCUACAAGUCCAUUCAGCGAAUCGUCGAACAGGUCGGCGAUCCCGAUGUAAACCGUCGUUUGGACCCUCACUUUGACUGAAGGUCUUGUAAAACUUUCGGCGAGAAGCCUGAGGUCGCCAAAAGCACUCAGUGACUUGCCGAUCGUAUUCUCGAUCGCCUUUUGUCUGCACUCCUGAACCAUUGUUGUACUGUAACUUUCGGCGGACAAACCCUUGCUCGUUGAAAGUAGCAGGUGAAUCGCCGAAAGGUUUUUCCCAUCGCCUAUUUUAAACAAUUUUUAAGCCAAUCCUAUCGGCGAGCCCGACCUAUCUCGCCAAAGCGAUUCGGUGAUUCACCGAUUUAUUCAACGAGAACUUCUGCAAUUGUGUUUACAUGAAUUUGAUUUAGUCUGUCUAACUUUUCCCACUAUGGUUGCAGACAUGGGUAGGUCUAAAGUUGCUGGGAGAAACAUGCCACGCCAAGGGAAAGCAAAGGGGAUUACACUGAAUGAGAAUGCAGUUGCAUCUAGUGACAAAGCCACAAAACUGUCCACAACUGUGAGAAAGAAAAAGGUAAAGGCAAGGCAUCCGAGUUAUCGAAAGCAAGCUCAGACAUUGAUGGUAUUUAUGCUACUUAUCUCACCCCAUCUAAGAGUGAGGGUGAACAUCAAGGAAACCAAAGUGCGGAUUCUAAAGAGGAUGAACUGAUACAAUCACAAAGGGCUGAGUUACGAUCUAAAAUACUGAAUGAUCCAUCUAGGGUCAAGAAUUCUCAGCCUACCACUGCUACUCCUCCAGCCCCAGAACAAGCAAUAGUGCGGGCACCUCCGAUACAGGGUCCUCCACCCAAGUCAGUGAAUAGAUUAAAGACUGAGUGGUUUAGGAUGAUCCUUGAACAAAAAUGUCUGUCUACAGAUGGGGUUAUUGACAGGUACCCAGAGAUAAUAAGGUGCCUGAAACACCACAAGUUCCAAAUCUUUACCAAACCCCAUGGCCCGUAUAUUCCAAAUUGGGUAUGAGAGUUCUACAGUGCAUACAGUGCACUAAUACCCCAGAAGAAGCAGCUAGCAGUAGCUUUCAAAGAAGUUGACUAUGUGGUUGUUAGAGGUAUGAAGAUGAAGGGUGAUAAUGAUGCGAUCAACGCAGUCUUGGGCAUGUCCACGAAUAUUAGAGAUCACUGGCAGCAUUAGAUCAGAACAGAGAAUCUGGAUGAGAUGAAAAAGUGGUUAGCCCUACUAAUUUCAGAUGAUACUCCGAAGUGGUUGGCGGAAGGAGCUCCGAUUGAAAAGAGAGAAUUGAACAUAGCUGUAAGAUUCUGGUUAGGUUUUAGCAGUAGCACAAUUAUACAUUCCCAGAAUGAAUCGAUCCUUCGCCUUACCAAGGCAGCCUGCCUGGGUUGAAUCAUAGAGAAAACUCGGAUAAACUUGGGUACGAUAAUUACUUCAAAGAUACUCAUGCGUGCAAGGUAGCGCCAGACCUCACUUCCAUUCCCAGUAUUGAUCAUGCAACUGUGCAAAUGAGCUCGGGUACCUCAAGAUGCUAAGAAGGAUGUGGAGGUGAUACCCAAAUCCUCUACUGAUAUCCGGAGGAUCGAAGCAGAGUACCUUAAGGAUCAAAUAAAAAAGAAAAAAAACAACCUCGGUGGAUUCAGUGGACACAAAAUCAUCACCUACAGAGGCAUCUUUGUCUACUCCGGCCUCUAGGCCUUCAAGUAUAUCUAUUGCCACUGCUACUUAUGCUGAUACACCAAGUUCUUCUGUUGCUGUACUGCCUCCCAGACAUACUGCUAUUGCUACUGUUUCCCGGCCUCAACUGACCCAAGCGUCCCUCCUCCGGUUGGGGUAGCUUGCCCAAUCUGCAAAUCGUUGGGCUGCCAGUCUAGAGGCCUCUGUUCUGGGAAUGAUUCAGACUGCCCUCGCUGAUGUUGUGAAACCACUGAGCACUGCCAUUGAUGGCCUAUCAGCCAGGGUAACAGUGUGUGAGAGCAACCAAGGGGCCACAGAGGAGGUGACAACUUUAAAAGCUACCAUUGCUGAGCUGUAAAAGGAUGUGGACUACCUGAUGUCCACCGAUAUGUCCAUGGUCUUUGGAAUAGUGGAGAUUCUAGAUGUGCCUGAGAUGCCUCAGACCACCACCGAAAAUGGGGAUAGAACGGUGCAGACAGUAGAUCCUUAGUUAGAUGCAGAGACUAAUGAAGAGAUGCUUGAUGAGACUGAGGGAGCUGCAGAUGAAGACCUGACCGAGACUGAAGCAAUUAUUAUAGAUGCUGCUGUGCAGGCUUCCUUGGCAAAUGCACUUGUUGCUGGAUCCAGUGGAGCUGGUCCUUCUGAGUUCACUCCGGACACCGAUGCCCAUAUAGACGAAGUGACCACUUAGACAUGAUCCCCUCUUUACCUCCCUCUCUGUCUUUUUUUAAUUUACAUUUUGGAUAUUUUGUUAUUUGCAUUUGAGGACAAAUUAUUUUUAUUUGUGGUGGGGUGAGACCCACCUUUGUGUGCUAUUCGUAAAUCUUAUUUUGUAUAUGUAUUUGGGUUUUUGUGCUUAAAUUGUGUUAAUACUGCGUUUUUAUGGAUGUUUGAGCUUGUGGCUUCGUAUUUUAAAUAGCAAACUGAUUUUGACCUUUUCGAAAAUUUUUCCACCCCUUCUGUGUUGAAUGUGGUUGUUCUUUCGCAAAUUUGAAUAUCGGUUCGGAUCAAUACCGAUGACUUCAAUAGUGCUUAUAAUCGAACAAACAUGAAUGUGUGGCAACAAUGAAGCCAAGUGAAGUUGCAUAGACAACAUGUGAACUCUUUGCAUCUCGUUGUGACUAGCCAAUUAUUAAAUCGAGUCUUUUGUGAAGAUCGUUGCCUACUAGAGAAAGUGUGAAGUCUUGUUUGACUUUAAUGUUGAUGCCUUAUGUGAUAAGCUUACUGUGAACCAUGCAUGAUAACACCUAGAAUUUACCCCGUUGGUCCGGUCAACUAAGUAAGACUCUCUCUUGAUAUGAUCCUAGGAAACUUCUAAGAGUGUGAGCCAAUUUGACAUAUACCUCUUUUGUAGCCUACCUUGUGAGUGUGAACCUCUUUUGAACACCCCUUGAACCUUACCCUCCUUCUUGGAAGAAACUUGAUAAAACAAUGACCUUUCUUUACCCAUCACCUAUAAUCAUCAUGAAGUUGUGGUUGAUUGAAUAGCCAACAUAGGCCAAAAGCCUAAGUUGGAGGUGUGGUGAAAUGAGAACUGCAAGUUAAGAGAAAAGGUCUCAUACCUAUGGUGUUGAGAAAAAUGGAAUCCCUCCAUACAAAAAAAAAAAGAGAAGAAAAGAAAAGAUAAAGUUAUGGAAUAAAGUUAUGAAAAUGCAAAAAGGAAUGGGGUUCCAAACAAUCCAUGGAGAGUGAAUAAUGGGAUGACUUAUGAGCACUAAAGAAAAUGAUGAAUGAAGAGGAAAAGAAGUGUCGUGAAUACCACAUUUCAUGAGGAUGAAAGUCAGUAAGCCUAAAUGACCAUACCUUUGCACUAAGCCCCAUUAUAAGCCUUAAAAUGACCUUUUUGAUCUUGAGUGAGCUGAAACAAUUAUCAAUUGGAAAAUACGGGCAAACCUAUGGGUGAAGUCGCUCACUGUGUUCUUCUUUGUGAGUGUGAGCGUUGCAUUUGAUUUUGGAGCUUUAAAUUGUGAACCAUUGUGUGAGUAUGGAAUCAUUCUUUGUGUGAGGGCAUUUGAACACUUUGGUUGAGCUUGAACUUGCAUUUUAAGAAAUUAUGUGAACAUAAGAUUCUUCGAUAAUGGUGAGUCACAACUUGAAUCUUUGAGUGCAGAAUUGAUCUUUGCAUGAGUAAAGUGAGUCUUGUUGUGUGCAUUCAUGAUUGAUUCGUGUAGCACUGCUUGAGACACCCUUUUUAAACAGCUGAACUCUAGUUUGCUUGAGGACAAGCAAAAGUUUAAGUUGGGGGUGUUGAUGAGUCCACAAUUUGGACUCAUUUAGGGCCAUAUUUUGAUAGAAUUAGUGUCCUCAAAUGCAUAUUUUGUCUCAAUAUCAGAUGAAAUUCCUUAAGUUUUAGGUAUUUGAAUUGAGAGACAAAGCAUGGACGCUAUCAAGCAAAAAGGAACAAAGUGGCUGAAAGUAGGAAGAAAAGAUGGUCUGACGAUCGCCUAAUCCAUUAGGCGAGUCGCCGAUAGGCCUACAACCUCGCCUAAUGUUCCAGUGUCUUGAGCCCUAAAGAAAAAGGUCAAGUCUGCAAGGAAAUGGAGCAGUCGGUGAAUCACCGAGAAGUUCCGCCAAGCAUCACCAUAUCGCCCAAUGAUUCAGAACGCGAAGAUGCUGAAGGCAAAAGCUAAAAGGCGAGGUACCAGACCAAAGGGCGGAUCGCCGAGUGGAUCGGCAAUCCCGAGUAACUUCGCCGAUGUGUCCUCUGCAACACAAAUUUUCAAACACUAUAAAUACUUGUUUAAAUUUCUAGCUGAGAUUCAUCUCACUAUUAUUAUUAGAACUUUUUACAGUUUUUAGAAUGUUUAAGUUUUAGAGGGUUUUGGAGACUUUGUUCUAAGACCUUGAAGAUUCAAAGGAUUUCAACUCCAAGAAAUUGGACGUGGAUCUCGAAGAUUCUUCACUCUUGAUGUGUUUUAAGACUCAAUCCUUCAUUCCCAGUUGAUGGAAACUGAUAUUGGUAUAAAUUUUUAUCUCUUUUACAUGUCUAGCUAUAACCCCAAUUCUUGGGGUGUGAUUUUGUAAAUAUGGGUUAGAUUAUCUCUUAGGUCUUGCUUGUUGAUGGUUUAUUUGUUGUUUAGAUGUGAUUUUGUUUAGUAGUUGUGUAGGAACUUAAUGGAAUUAUUGUUGGUAACCGGUGGUAUUGGGUCGAAAUGGGUUUAGCUUGAGAGAGUGAAUCCUAGUCCUUUUCCCACACAUUCAGCUCAAGAGAGUGAAUAGGCUAAGGCGGAGGCUGUGCUUAAUGCGACAACUCGGUGUUCGAUAGAAACCGAGUUGAUUCAGGGUAAGUUGCUCAAGAGAGAAUUUAUCCCCACUAUAGUCUAGCCUAGUCACAAAUACUCAACAAUUUACUAUCAAAAACAUGUAUCCGAUAAUUUAGUCUAUCUCGUAUUCCUAUCAGAUCCCAAGAAUCCCAUCUCUCUAUCUCAUUUUCGUAUAUUUUUGCUAUUUUUAGUUAAUUAAUACGAACCCCCCAUUGAUAAUUGACGCUUGCGUCACCCCUUUAGAUUUAGUAUGUUUGUAUUUGAUAAUGGUUAUAGCUAUGACUAUUUAGAACUAAAUUUUAUUUUUCUAUUAAUUCUCAAAACCACUCCCUUGGGACUCGACCCCAACCCUUAGUUGGGUUACUUUACUAUUGUACAAUCGUAGACACUUGAAUUGGAAGUUGUGUCUUGAUUACGGAAACAUCAACUUUAUUUAAACAAUUUCUUAUAUUUGAGAACAUGACGUGUUCAAGCAUGCUCAUGUUGAAUUGACUUCGUUUUUCAAGACCAAUUUUACAGAGAAUUUUGAUGUCGUUAAUGUCUCUUUAUUAGAAAUGGUUCAAACAUUAAUAAAUGAGGAGCUGAUUUACUUAAUAUUGUAACACCCCAGAAUUUGUUUGAGCUAAGACUCGAACAAUCCUUCAUUGUGAGUAGGAUUUUACCGAGAAAUUUAAAAUUUCUUAAGUGUUAUGGUCACUAGAUAUAGCACCUUGAGUUCCAAAAAUAAUUAAAGGGAAUUCAUUCAAUUCAUUCCUACGUUCUUCUAAUAUUUGGGUUAACUUAACGAUCAUAACUCUUAGUACAUGAUGAGUUAGGUGUGCCCUGAGAUGGCAAAUUAAAGUUGUUUGAAUUAUCUUUCUAACGACACUGAGUUUGAUAAGUUUCUAUGUCGAAUGAGUGAGAUAUGCGCUUUUGAAGUCAAGUUGUCAAGUUAAGGAAAAGUACAAAUAGUAAGGGGUAUUUUGGUCUUUUUCUUACCCAAUUAGAUUUAUUACAUUUUUAGUAAGGUUUUAAGGGUCUAAUCUGAUUAGGUUAAGUUUUAUAAUUCUAAUAUACGCCUAGGGUUUUAGUUGAGAGGUCAAGAAGAGAAAAGAAGAGAAAAGAGAAGAAAAGGGGAAAUGAUCAAAGCGUUCAUCUAGGUUCUUGAGUUUUGUUGUAGAUUUUCGCAAUGGUUAUGAUCCCUAAGAGGUAUGUAAGUUUCCAUAGUGUUGUGUUCAUUCACCCACAUGCCAAACAUGAUUUUCAUAUUCAAUUUCGUUCAUAAAGAUUGAAAGAUUUAAGUUCUUGAUAAGUGUUCUAGAAGUUUCAUUCUAAAUCUUGUUGUGUUGGGGUUUUGAUGAUUUCUUGAGAUGAAAAAUAGUGUUUUGAGGGUUUUAUUGAGUAUUUUAGAGUGUACUUACUUUGAGUAACUGAAUCCAAGUGAUGUGGAAGAAAUCGUUCGAAUCUAGGUGAACUUUGGUGAGAAAACGAGCAAAGAAAGUCGUCGAGGUUUUCUGGGUUUGGGCUUGGAGCCCUACGCCAGCCAGUGCACCCCAACAACACCUCCCUAGAUAGAGGUCUGGCGCCCCGCGCUACUCAGUGUGCCAGGGUCGCCUGCCCCACCCGUUCUUCAUCGUUUUGUCCGUUUGAGUUCUUUCGAAGGGUACCUUUACUCCCCUUUGAUUCUAAACACUCUAAACUACUUCUAAACAUCUAUAAAUCAUUCAUAACUUGAAUCAAAACCUUGAAUUCAUAAUUCAAAAUUAAGGUAGAGUUAAGAGUCAAGUCUUGAGAGUUCUUUCGAACACUUUGAGAAAGUCCCUUUGAGUCUUUUGUGGAGUCUUCUACAACUUUACAUAACUUGUUUCAAGACUCAAGUAAGUGAGCAUGAGAGUGAUGAGAAUGUAUUCAUGAGGUUACACUAUAACAACCGGGUUUCGUCGUUAUAGAAAAGCCAACGGGGAAAGUUUUUGGGCCGAAAAACUUCUUCAUAGUAACUCGGAAUUUCCCAACCUAGUCCAUAUUUGGAUGAAAUCAGAGUCAUUAAUGUCUAGGGAAAUAUGGUAACAAUUGGGCGAUCUAAUUAUGAAUUUGAUCACAUUAGUAGAUCGAUAAGUCAUUAAGGAAUCCGUACGACUUUAGGGAAUUGAAUUCGGGCGAGUUGAACUCCCAGAAUUGAUCUUAGCGUGAACGGGUAGUUUCUGAGUGUCGUUGGUUGAAAGUGUGUUGUGAAAUGGGGUCUUGGAAUUAUUAAAAUAGCUCACUGGUUCCGUGAAAGCCUCUGAGGGGAUUUCUACUGCCAGGGCGGGGCCGCUGUAGUGGGGUGAGGACCGCUGUGGCAGGUUCGAUGCGACUUAAGUCAGAAAUAAACCGCAAAAUAUCUUUAUUCUGUCUUUUUCAAAUUUUAGAGUAAGGAGACGAACCCCAAAUGAUUCUUGACAGUUUUCCACUAGUAUUAAGGCUAAAGGUAAGAUUUUCACUCCCCGAAUCCAUUUUUUGGAUUCAUAGAACGUAAUCUAAUGGGUAAUUAUCGAGGGGGAAGAGUCUUGAUUUGAGAAUUCCGAUGGGAAAAGCCCUAAUUUUGAUAGUGGGAUCAUGGGUAUGAUCUAGGGUUGAUAAAAUUGUUAGUAAUUUGGGUAAUUAGUGAUUGUUUAUUUACUUUCGUGUUAUAUUGAAUGUUGUAGACCAAGAACAAGCAUAACGAAUUUGGAGAGGUAAGAAUAAAGUUUCGUAGGGUUUCAAGCUUGUUUCGAGGUAGGUGAUGGGUGUGAUUCUAUGAUUGUGUGAUGUACGUUUGUUCUUGCUUCAUUAUGAUACAUGUAUGUAUGCGAAUGUUGCAUUAUUGAUCACAUUUUUGUAAAUGAGAUAGAUGAAUGAUGAAUGCCAUGAAUCAUGACUUAAUUGUAUGAUCUUGUAAAUAUAUACUUAUGAUUGUGAUUGUGGCUUGUUGAAUGGAUCGGGUGUUGCGUUCUGAAACACUAACUUGGAUCGGUUGCCACGUUCUGGUAUAAAUAUUGGAUCGGGUACCACGUUACGGUAUGGUAACUGUUUCGGUUUGGGUUCCAUGAGAAGACCAAUGAGUUGACAUAAAAUGUGAAAUUGUACGUUGUUCUUAAAUGAUGAUGAUAUUGUAUAUGUUCGAUGUAUGCAUAUUGUUAUAAUGUUGUAUGACUUAUAUAUGUUGCACUUAAUGGGAUAGUCACGUGACCUACCAUUACACUAUGGUUGUGUACUGAUACUGCACUUGCUCUUUCUUUGUUGAUUACAGGGCAUGUUCAAGCGGCUAUUGACAAACCUCUUUUAGAAGAUCAGUGAUUGCCGAUCGAAUUCAAGGGUGAGCCAGUUCUUCUAGGCUGCUAUGAGUUCUCCUUUCCUCUAUGUCCACAUUUUCGACAUAGAUUUUUCUAGUUAGUUAUUAGUUCAUUAGCUUGGGGUUUUGACCCUUACUAGACUUAUGGAUCUUGUUAGAUGUUUUUGUACAUUGACUUUUAGGUUCUAGGCGUAAUUUCCGCAUUGUUUAGUUGUUAGAUCUUUUUGAUGUUUAUGGAAACUUCAGUUUUUAGCUAUUUAACUUGCUCUCGUAACUUAAAUGCUUUAGUAUGUGAUUAGAGUUGGUUACUUAAUUAGCAUUAAUGGUUCUCCCACCAGAGGGUUAGGGUGGUGCCAAUCACGACGGUCGGGGUUGUGACAAAGUUGGUAUCAGAGCCUAGGCCUAUUGAUCUCGAUGUACCAAAACGAGUCUAGUAGAGUCUUGCGGAAUGGUACAAAGACGUCUGUACUUUUCUUUGAGAGGAUAUAGGACUUUGGGAAAUCUCUAUGUUUCUCUUGUCUCCUUUCGUUCUAUAACUUAAUUCCAAUUAGUAUCUGUCGAUUCGAAUUGGUAUCUAACCUUCUUCCCUCUUCUGUUCGCAGAUAGUUAACACUAGAUGCAACGACGUCAGACUUGUAGCUCCCAUCAAUGCUCCAGCUGAGGAAUCUGUAGCGAGAGGUCGUGGUCGAGGCAAGAGUAGAUGAAGAUCUAGGGGUAGAGGCUGAGGAAAUGUGGCGCCUACUAGGGAUUGAGCAUCGGUUGAAAAGACUCCCAUAAAUGAGGCCCCUCCUGCGCAUCAUGAAGUGGUAGAGGAGAAUAUUGAGGUUGAAAAUGUUGAGGAGGUUGGACAAGAGGAAGAGGUGCAGGCUGAGACAACAUGCAUUCCUCCCAUCGACCUAGUGUUAGCUCAGCCGAUCAUGUCAUUCUUGAAAGGGUUGGUUGGUCCUGGAGUGCUUCUUUCUGUUCAAGCAUUUGAAGCUCCCACCAGUCCUCCUAUUGCUAUCACUGUCCAUAAGGUGGGUGGAACUAGAGGUAAUAAUGCUUUUUUUCGUCCUCUAUUGGGUCUUUUUAUGACUGCUAAUGAACAUGAGAUGUUGACCAUGUUUUUGAAGCUGAAACUGCCUAUGUUCCAUGGUUCUGAGAGUGAAGAUGCAUACGAUCUCAUCAUAGAUGGUUAUGAGAGGCUUCAUAAGUUGGGAAUUGUCCAUCAGCAUGAGGUUGAGUUUGUGACUUUUCAGCUUCAAAGUAAGGCUAAGUAGUGGUGGAGAGAUUAUAUGGAAUGCAGAUCUUCAGUUUUACCUCCACUUACUUAGACCCAAUUUGAUGCUCAGUUCUUAGAGAAAUAUGUGCCUAGGUCUUUAAGAGAUCACAAGAAGGAUGAGUACAUGGCCUUGGAGCAAGGUGGUAUGUCUAUGGCUGCUGAUGAGGCAAAGUUCCAUUCCUUGUCUAGAUAUGUUACUCAAUUGGUGACUACUGAGGAAAAGAGGAUCCGCUUAUUUAUUAAGGGACUAAAUUUUGAGUAGUAGGUAUUAUAUUUUCAUAUGACCUCUGUUGGGAUGAGCUUUAAUGAGGUAACAUACUUUGUUAAGAAAGUGGAGGGGGUGAGUCGAGACGGUCAGGCUAAGGCAUUGGCUAAAAGGGCCAACAACUCGAGUAACUUUCAAGAUUCUUACACCAAAGGGCAGGGAGGCUAACACUUGCAGCCAGAACAAUUCAGUCCACUAUGCCCGCCUCUACAGGUAAUUACUCAGGAACUCCACCUAAUAAUUUGAUUCAGGAUAGCCAGGGAGCCACACCUUCAGUGGGCAGCAAGGUAUCUUUUGAUCAUACUUGUUACAAUUGUGGGGAACCUGGGCAUAUGAGGAGAGAUUGUCCCCACCAACGUAUGUUGGAUUCCGUGCAGUAGCAGUCUAGAGCAGUGGUACCCAUAGGAAAUGGUAAUAAUGGUCUAGGGCAUCCAUAAGGUGGGCAAGGAGGUAAUAAGCGGGGUCGUGGAGGUAGAGGAAAUGGUAACGCAAGCAGGGGUAACAUCCAACCAGGAAGGAAACUCGCUAGGCAUGAGGAUAGGUCUCAUUAUUACGCCUUUCUGGGAAAAAAUGAGGUAGAGGCGUCUGACGCGGUGAUCACAUAUACUAUUCUUGUCUGUGACCAGAUGGCUAAUGUGUUAUUUGAUCUGGGUUCUACUUAUUCAUAUGUAUCCGUGCGAUUUGCCGCAGCAUUUGCUAUGAUUUGUGAUAUACUUGAUGUUCCUAUAGAUGUUUAUACCCAGUUGUAAAGUCUGUCAUAGUCACCCAUAUCUAUCGUGCUUGUCCUAUUUUGUUUAUGGUUUUCAGACUUGGAUUUAUUUGGUGAUUUUGGAUAUGACUAACUUUGACAUAAUCUUAGACAUGACUUGGUCGUCCCUUUAUUAUUAUGAUGUGCUUAAUUGUAACACUAAGUCUGUGACUCUAGAAAUUUUGGGAAGGGAAGAAUUAGAGUGGGAAGAGGUGUACAAGCCUAAGCAAGCUAAGAUCAUAUCCUCCAUUCGGUUUAGAAAAUCGGUAGGGUGGGGUUGUUUGUCUUAUUUGGCUCAUAUUAGGGAUGUUGAGGUUGAGACUCCAUCUAUUGAGUCUUUUCCUGUGGUGUCAGAAUUUAGAGAAAUGUUUCCUAAUGACUUGCCUGGUAUGCCUCGGGAUAGAGAUAUAGAUUUUGGCAUUGAUUUAGAACCUAGUACCUGCCCCAUUUCUAUCCCUCCAUAAUGCAUGGCACCGGCAAAGUUAAAAGCGCUUAAGGCUCAAAUCCAAGAGCUUUUUGAUAAGGGAUUUAUUCGUCCGAGUGCUUCCUCUUGGGGUGCUUCAGGUUUGUUUGUUAAGAAAAAGAAUGGUAGUAUGAGAUUGUGUAUAGAUUAUCGGAAAUUGAAUAGGCUUACUAUUCGAAACAAGUACCCUUUGCCCCGAAUAGAUGAUCUUUUUGACCAAUUGCAAGGUGCAUCCAUUUUAUCCAAGGUACCACACCUUCAGCGGGCAGUAGACCAUCUUUUGAUCGUGCUUGUUACAAUUGUGGGGAACCUGGGCAUAUGAGGAGUGAUUGUCCCCACCCGGGUGUGUUGGAUUCCGUGCAAUAGUAGUCUAGAGCAGUGAUACUCACGGGAAAUAGUAAUAUUGGUCGAGGGAGUCCAUAAGGUGGGCGAGGAGGUAAUCAACGAGGCCAUGGAGAUAGAGGAAAUGGUAAUGAAGGCAGGGGUAACGUCCAACCAGGAAGGGAAGUCACUCGACAUGAGGAUAGGGCUCAAUAUUACGCCUUUCUUGGAAAUAAUGAGGUAGAGACGUCUGACGCUGUGAUCACAUAUACUACUCUUGUCUGUGACCCGAUGGCUAAUGUGUUACUUGAUCCGGGUUCUACUUAUUCAAAAGUAUCCGUGCGAUUUACUACAACAUUUUCUAUGAUUUGUGAUAUACUUGAUGUCCCUAUCGAUGUUUAUACCCAAUUGUAAAGUCUGUCAUAGUCACCCAUAUCUAUCGUGCUUGUCCUAUUUUGUUUAUGGGUUUUCAGACUUGGGUUUAUUUGGUGAUAUUGGAUAUGACUGACUUUGACAUAAUCUUAGGCAUGACUUGGUUAUCCCUUUAUUAUUAUGUUGUGCUUAAUUGUAACACUAAGUCUGUGAAUCUAGAAAUUUUGGGAAGGGAAGAAUUAGAGUGGGAAGAGGUGUACAAGCCUAUGCAAGCUAAGAUCAUAUCCUCCAUUUGGAUUAGAAAAUUGACAGGGCGGGGUUGUUUGGCUUAUUUGGCUCAUUUUAAGGAUAUUGAGGUUGAGACUCAAACUAUUAAGUCUAUUCCUGUGGUGUCGGAAUUUAGAGAACUGUUUCCUAAUGACUUGCCUGGUAUGCCUCGGGAUAGAGAUAUAGUUUUCUGUAUUGAUUUAUAACAUGGUACUUGCCCCAUUUCUAUCCCUCCAUAUUGUAUGACUCCGGCAGAAUUAAGAGCACUUAAGGCUCAAAUCCAAGAGCUUCUUGAUAAAAGAUUUAAUCGUCCUAGUGCUUCCCUUUGGGGUGCUUCAGUUUUGUUUGUUAUGAAUAAGAAUGGCAGUAUGAGAAUGUGUAUAUAUUACCGGCAAUUGAAUAGGUUCAGUAUUCGAAACAAGUACCCUUUACCCCGAGUAGAUGAUCUUUUUGACCAAUUGCAAGGUGUAUCCAUUUUCUCCAAGGUACCACACCUUCAGCGGGCAGCAGACCAUCUUUUGAUCUUACUUGUUACAAUUGUGCUGAACCUGGGCAUAUGAGGAGAGAUUGUCGCCACCCACGUCUGUUUGAUUCCGCGCAGCAGCAGUCUAGAGCAGUGGUACCCACGGGAAAUGGUAAUAAUGGUUGAGGGUGUCCAUAAGGUGGGCGAGGAGGUAAUCAGCGAGGCCGUGGAGGUAAAGGAAAUGGUAAUGCAGGCAGGGGUAACAUCCAACUAGGAAGGGAACUCGCUCGACAUGAGGAUAGGGCUCAAUGUUACGCCUUUCUGGGAAAGAAUGAGCUAGAGGCGUCUGACGCGGUGAUCACAUAUACUAUUCUUGUCUGUGACUAGGUGGCUAAUGUGUUAUUUAAUCCGGGUUCUACUUAUUCAUAUGUAUCCGUGCAAUUUGCCGCAACAUUUGCUAUGAUUUGUGAUAUACUUGAUGUCCCUAUCGAUGUUUAUACCUAGUUGGAAAGUCUGUUAUAGUCACCCAUGUCUAUCGUGCUUGUCCUAUUUUGUUUAUGGGUUUUCAAACUUGGGUUUAUUUGGUGAUAUUGGAUAUGACUGACUUUGACAUAAUCUUAGGCAUGACUUUGUUGUCCCUUUAUUAUGUUGUGGUUAAUUGUAACACUAAGUCUGUGACUAGAAAUUUGGGAAGGGAAGAAUUAGAGUGGGAAGAGGUGUACAAGCCUAAGCAAGCUAAGAUCAUAUCCUCCAUUCGGGUUAGAAAAUUGAUAGGGCGGGGUUGUAUGGCUUAUUUGGCUCAUAUUAGGGAUAUUGAGGUUGAGACUCCAUCUAUUGAGUCUAUUCCUGUGGUGUCAGAAUUUAGAGAAGUGUUUCCUAAUGACUUGCCUAGUAUGCCUCGGGAUAGAGAUAUAGAUUUCUGCAUUGAUUUAGAACAUGGUACUUGCCCUAUUUCUGUCCCUCCAUAUUGCAUGACUCUGGCAGAGUUAAGAGCGCUUAAGGCUCAAAUCCAAGAGCUUCUUGAUAAGGGAUUUAAUCGUCCUAGUGCUUCUCUUUGGGGUGCUUUAGUUUUGUUUGUUAAGAAAAAGAAUGGCAGUAUGAGAAUGUGUAUAGAUUACCGGCAAUUGAAUAGGGUCAGUAUUCGAAACAAGUACCCUUUACCCCGAGUAGAUGAUGUUUUUGACCAAUUGCAAGGUGCAUCCAUUUUCUCCAAGAUUGAUCUAAGGUUUAGCUACCAUCACUUGAAAAUUAGGCUUGAGGAUGUGCCAUAGACGGCAUUUAGAACCCGCUAUGGGCACUACGAGUUUCUAGUUAUGUCAUUUGGUUUGACUAAUGAGCCUGCAGCUUCUGAGUUUAAUGAAUGGGGUGUUCAAGCCAUUUCUUGAUUAAUUCGUCAUCGUCUUUAUUGAUGAUAUUUUGGUCUAUUUGAAAAGUGUGGAAGAGCAUGCCGACCAUCUUCGUAUUGUGCUGGGCAUUCUUGGGAAACAAAGGUUGUAUGCUAAAUUUUCUAAGUGUGAAUGUUGGUUAACUUCGAUUGCAUUUUUUGGGCUUGUAGUUUCAAAAGAAAGGGUAAUGGUAGAUCCCCAAAAGAUUGAGGCGGUUAAGAAUUGGGUUCGGGCUACCUCAGUGACGGAAGUUAGGAGUUUUGUGGGGCUCGCUAGCUACUAUCGUCAAUUUGUGAAGAACUUUGCUUCUAUUGCCACACACUUGAUAAGUUUGACCAAAAAAGAGAUACUAUUUGAAUGGACUGAAAAAUGUGAGGAUAUCUUUCAAAAGCUCAAGACUCUCUUGAAACCGCACCUAUCUUAGCAUUACUGGUGGAAGAUAAAGAUUUUAUUGUUUAUUAUGAUGUUUCACAUUCUGGUUUGGGUGUUGUGUUGAUGCAGGAUAAGAAUGUUAUAGCUUAUGCCUCUCGUCAAUUAAAGGUGCAUGAGAGGAAUUAUCCAACGCAUAAUUUGGAGUUAGCAGCGGUAGUGUUUGCUCUUAAGAUCUGGCAGCAUUACCUCUAUGGUGUUAAGUGUGAGGUGUUUGCUGAUCAUCGUAGCUUGCAACAUGUGUUCACUCAAAAGGAUUUGAAUCUGAGACAACAAAUGUGGAUGGAGUUACUCAAGGAUUAUGAUGUCACCAUUCAAUACCAUCCGGGUAAGGCUAAUGUAGUGGCAUACACUUUGAGUCGAAAGGCGGUAAGUAUGUGUAGUUUAGCUUUUUUGAGUGUAACUAGAAGACCUUUGGCUAAGGAAAUUCAGACCUUGGAGUCUAAAUUCAUGCAAUUGGGCAUCUCAGAAAGAGGUGGGGUGUUAACUAGCAUUGAAGUAAGGGCCACAUUUAUGGAAGAGAUCAAGGCCAAGCAAUUUGAGGAUGAAAAUUUGAAUGAACUUAAGAAAAAGACUGGGAUUGGUAAGGCACAAGAGACCAUUCUUAAUGCGGAAGGUGUGGUUAGCUUUAAGGGGAGGAUUUGUGUUCCUCGAGUUGAUGAUUUGAUUCAAAAGUUGUUGAUAGAGUCCCGUGGUUCACGAUAUUCUAUUCAUCCGGGUGUGAUCAAGAUGUACCGAGAUUUGAAGCAAAGUUAUUGGUGGCCGGGCAUGAAGAAGGAUAUAGCGGAGUUUGUGGCUAAGUGUCAAAAUUGUCAACAAGUGAAGUAUGAACAUCGAAGGCCUGCAGUGUUUCUUCAAAGAAUGCCAAUUCCGGAAUGGAAGUGGGAAAAUAUAGUCAUGGAUAUUGUGGUUGAUCAUCCCAAGACUUUGGGGAAAUUUGAUUCUAUUUGGGUAGUGGUUGAUAGAUUGACUAAUCAGCCCACUUUAUUCUGGUAAGGAUAGAUUAACAAUUGGCUAAGGUGUAUGUGAAGGAGAUAGUGAGAUUGCAUGGGGUGCCCCUUUCUAUCAUCUCAGAUUGUGGUACGCAUUUUACUUCCAUGUUUUGGAGGAAAUUACAUGAUGAAUUGGGCACACAAUUAACUUUUAGUACCGCUUUUCAUCCACAGACGGAUGGGCAGUCGGAGAGGACUAUUCAAGUGUUAGAAAACAUGUUGAGUGCAUGUGUGAUUGAUUUUGGAGGACAUUAGGAUAAGUUCUUACCGUUGUGUGAAUUCUCUUAUAAUAAUAAUUAUCACUCCAUCAUUGAUAUGGCAUCGUUUGAGGCAUUAUAUGGGAGGGGAUGUAGAUCACCCAUAGUAUGGUUCAAGGCUGAAGAUGUGAAACCAUUGGGGUUGAUUUAGUGAAGGAUGCUCAAGAUAAAGUGAGGAGUAUUCAAGCUAAGCUCUUAGCAGCCCAGAGUAGACAAAAGAAGUAUGCAUAUCAUAAGGUAAGAGACAUGACAUUUCAAAUCGAUGAGAACGUUCUUCUUAAGGUAUCACCCAUGAAAGGGAUGAUGAGAUUUGGCAAGAAAGGUAAGCAAAGUCAGCGAUACAUUGGUCCCUUUGAGGUUCUUGAAUGUGUAGGGCCGAUAGCGUAUAGAUUGGCUUUACCUCCUAAUCUAUCGGGAGUUCAUCCGGUAUUUCAUGUGUCCAUGCUGAAGAGAUAUCAUGGUGACGGGGAUUAUAUCAUUAAGUGGGACUCAAUUGUGUUAGACAAAGACCUCCAAUAUGAGGAGGAACCGAUAGCAAUUCUUGAUCGUGAUGACCGGAAGCUGAGAACCAAGGAUAUUAAGUCCGUAAAAGUUCAUUGGAAGCAUCGUCCAGUUGAGGAAGCUACUUGGGAAACCGAGAGGGACAUGCGAGACAAGUAUCCCCAAUUGUUUGUCAAUUCAGGUACUACUCCAUUCCUUCCUUAGCCUAUUUUUUUCCCUAGGUUUUCACUCGGGGACGAGUGAUGGGUAAAUUGGUAUCUAUUGUAAUGAACGGGUUCCGUCGUUAUAGAAAAGCCAACGGGGAAAGUUUUUGGGCCGAAAAACUUUUUCAUAGUAACUCGGAAUUUCCCAACCUAGUCCAGAUUUGGAUGAAAUCGGAGUCAUUAAUGUCUAGGGAAAUCAGGUAACAAUUGGGUGAUCUAAUUAAGAAUUUGAUCACAUGAGUAGAUAGAUAAGUCGUUAAGGAACCCGUACGACUUUACGGAAUUGAAUUCGGGCGAGUAGAAUUCCCGAAAUUGAUCUAAGCGUGAACAAGUAGUUUCUAUGUGUCGUUGCUUGAAGGUGUGUUGUGAAAUGGUGAUAAAGAUCAAACAAGGAAAAGAACAAAGAAAUAAAGGAUAUGUGGAUUAAUACUCAAGCUAUUGAAAUUAUAGGCAACAAGGGACUAAAACCCUCACCUUCCGAUUGUCUUCAACAACCUAAAUUCAACCCAAGGAAGAAUAAUCAAAUGAAACCAAGAAUCACAAAGGGGUAACACUUUGAUUAAUCAAACCCAAUAAGUUAACUAGAAAUCCCAAGAGUUCACCCUAAUUACUCACUAAUUACUCACUAAGAAGAUACUACAAUUUGAGAGUCAAUAUUUAAUAUAGUCUAAGUCUUGCAAAAUGAUAAAAGACUAAUGUUUAUACUAAGGAAAUAAAGAAAACACUUCUUUGACAAUUUUACCCUUAAUGAGAUAAGGGCCUUGUUUGGUUGCCUUCUUUUGUGAAUUCUUGAAUUCAUGAAAUGGCCAUUUGCACACAUGGCCUCUUUCCUUCAUCCUUCUAAUUUUGAUGUACCUUACACACAUUGCAUGUCCUUCUUUGGUGACCUUCAAGUUCCUCUAAUGCUUCCCUUUUCAUGAACAUUGCUUGUAGGACUUGGAGAUCCUUUGCUUGGCUCCGUGUGAAUGGUCUUGAGGGGUACAUGCAACUCAUGUUAGUGUCAUCCCUGCUGCACAUGUUAUCAUCUUCCCCUUCUUGAAAAUGAUUCAUCCUCGAAUCCAAAGGAUCACCUACAACACAAGGAGAUAAAUCACUAACAUUGAAAAUAUUAUGAACAUUAUACUCACUUGGUAGGUCAAUCAUGUAAGCAUUGUCAUUGAUUCUCUUGAGUACUUUGAAGGGUCCAUCCCUUCUUGGGCUUAGAUUCCCUUUUCGUACUUGUGGAAACCUCUCCUUUCGGAAAUGCACCCACACCCAAUCAUCUGGAUUAAAGAUCACUUCCUUUCUCCCUCGAUUCUUUCGAAUGGCCACCUUUGAAUUAUUCUAUUCAAUGGACUCUUUGACCUUGGCAUGAAUGUUCAUCAUCUCCUUUACCCUUUUCUUGGCAUGUAGGGUCACAACAACAUCGCUAGAAAAAGGAAUCAUGGUUAAUGGAAACAAAGGUUUAAAAUCAUAGCAUGCCUCAAAUGGAGACAUUACAAUAGAGGAGUGGAAAGACCGAUUAUAUGCAAAUUCAAUCAUGGGUAAAUGAUCUUCCCAAGUUGGGGUUCCUCUAAUCAUGCAUCAAAGCAUGCUUCCAAGAGUCCCUUUGACUACUUCGGUUUGUCCAUCCAUUUGUGGAUGGCAAGAAGUAGAGAACAUAAGUUUGGUACCAAGUGUAACCCCAUAGACUCUUCCAAAAAUGACUAAGAAACUUGGAAUCCCUAUCACUAAUAAUGGUUUGAGGGACUCCAUGCAAUUUAAGCACAUUGAUAACAAACAAAGAUGCUACAUGGGAUGCAUCAUCACAUUUAUGGCAUGGAAUAAAAUGAGACAUUUUAGAAAAUCUAUCCACUACCAAAAAUAUACUAUCAUGUCCUCUUUUAGUCCUAGGAAGUCCUAACACAAAGUCCAUAGAAAUAUCCAUCCACAGACCAUUAGGAGUAGGAAGAGAAGUAUACUUACCUUAGGGUCACUCAUGGAUUUGGCUUGCUUGCAUUCUAGACAUUGUCCACAAAUCCUCUCCACAUCAUGCUUCAUCUUGGGCCAAAAAAACUGCUCCUAAGAAUAUCAAGUGUUUUUGGUACCCCAAAGUGUCCCAUCAAACCACCACUAUGAGCCUCCUUGACAAAUAACUCUCUCCAUGAGCUCAUGGGCACACAUGCUCGGCCAUCUUUGAACAAAAAACCAUCAACCAAUUGGUACCUAUCAACUCGCUUCCCUUGACUAAGAUUAUCAAAGGUAUCUUUGAAGUCGGAAUCCAUAUAAUAGAAUCCCUUUAAGCUUUCAAACCUCAUCAUUCUAGAAACCAAGGUAUUGACCAAUACAAACCUUCUUGAUAGAGCAUCCACUACCACAUUCUCCUUGUCUUGCUUGUAGUUGAUCACAUAUGGAAAGGUUUCAAUGAAUUCAACCCACUUAGUAUGUCUCUAGUUAAACUUGGAUUGCCCCUUAAGAUACUUCAAGGACUCAUGAUCGGUCCUUAUCACGAACUCUUUGUGCCACAAGUAGUGUUGCCAAUGAGCCAACACUUGCACUAGUGCAUACAAUUCCUUGUCAUAAGUUGAGUACUUGAGCGUAGCUCCCUUUAACUUCUCACUAAAGAAAGCUAAUGACUUUCCUUCUUGCAUCAACACACUACUUAUACCAACACUUGAAGCAUCACAUUCAAUUUCGAAGGCCUUAUCAAAGUUAGAGCAAUGGUGCAAAACUCAACAUCAAUUUCAAGGCUUGAAAAGACUUCUCUUGCUCCUCACCCCAUACAAAAGGAACAUAUUUCUUGAUCAGUUCGGUCAAAGGAGCAACAAUUGAACUAAAUCCCUUCACAAAUCGCCAAUAAAAACUUGCUAACCCAUGAAAACUUCUUACCUUGGUUGCACUGGUUGGGGUCAGCCAAGUCUUGAUGGACUCCACCUGCUCUUUAUCAACCUCAAUCCCAUUUGCACUAACCACAAAUCCCAAAAACACAACUUUAUCAACACAAAAUGAACAUUUCUUGAAAUUAGUAAAGAGACGGUCUCGUAGUAGGACAUCAAACACUUGCUUCAAAUGGGAUACAUGUUCCUCCAUUGUCUUACUUUACACAAGUAUGUCAUCAAAAUACACCACAACAAACUUGUUGAUGAAAGGUUUGAGAACAUGGUUCACCAAUCUCAUGAAAGUGCUUGGGGUAUUUGUCAAUCCAAAUGGCAUCACAAGCCAUUCAUACAGCCCAAACUUUGUCUUGAAGGUCGUCUUCCACUCAUCACCUGGUUUCAUACGAAUUUGAUGAUACCCACUUUGAAGGUCAAUCUUGGAGAAAAAAAUAGAACCACAUAGCUCAUCAAGCAUAUCAUCAAGUCGAGGAAUGGGAUAUCGAUACUUCACUGUGAUCUUAUUUACUGCUCUACAAUCAAUACACAUUCUCCAAGUGCCAUCCUUUUUGGGAACAAGAAUUACCGGUAUGGCACAAGGACUUAGGCUUUCUUUGAUCAACCCUUUCUCAAGAAGCUCUUCCACUUGCCUUGAUAGCUAUUUGGUUUCUGUGAGGUUACUCCUAUAAGCUGGACGAUUGGGGAUUUGUGAACCCGGUAUAAAAUCUAUUUGGUGUUCAAUUCCCCUCAAGGGUGGUAAUCCAGCGGGCAUCUCAUCUGGAAAUAACUCAUCAUAGCCCUACAAAACAGAAGAAAUAAUAUUAGGCAAAGUGCUAGUUUCUUGGUUAGCAUGUAACAAAAGGUUGGUGUUGACAAGGCACACUAGAAAGCAUUCCUCAUCCACACCCUUUAAGCACUUGAUUGGCUUUGCUAUCAUGCACAUGUUCUUCUUAGUUUUCGCGAAGGCACUCCCUCCUUUGGAACGACGAUGGAACUUUCGCCUUCACCUUUUGCCUCCUCGGCUUUUAUUCUCUCAUGAAGCUCCUUCAGAGCCCGAUAGUCCUCACUCACUUGAUAUGAAGUGAGAGGUGAAAGCACAUACUUUUUACCUUCAAUCAUGAAAAUGUAUUUGUAAGAUCUCCCUUGGUGCACAACAUCUCUAUCAAAUUGCCAAGGUCUCCACAACAGUAGGUGACAUGCCAACAUGGGAACCAUAUCACAAACCAAUUCCUCGUUGUACUUUUCCAUACUAAACCGAAUACUUGCUUGUUUGAGGACCAUCAUCUCUCCACUCUCAUUGAGCCAUUGUAGCUUAUAAGGAUUAGGAUGUUUGAUGGUUUGUAUUUUCAUACGCUCCACCAAGGAACUACUCACCACAUUGGUGCAACUUCCGCUAUCAAUGAUUAAAGAACACACUUUAUCUUGGAUUUUGCACCUAGCAUGAAAUAGAUUCUCCAUUUGGUCAAGUUCUUCUUUUGCAAGGGCUCCCAUAAUUGUUCCCACAACACAUGAAAGAUUGGCAUUCAUGUUCAAGUUUUCAUCAUCAUCAAGCAAAGACUUUCCCUUAUCCAUGAAUCAAGAAAAAUUUUCCUUCUCAUCCAACCUUUCUUCUUCAUCCCCCGAAGAACCUUCCUCUCCUUCACCCCUAUAUCCCUCUCCCUCAUUUUUUUCUUCACCCUCAUCUUCAUCUUCAGUCUUAUAUCUAUCAUGAAGAGAAAUACUUGUUCUCUUAUUUGGACACUCACUAGCAACAUGCCCCCUCCCUUGACAUCUAAAGCACUGAAUUGUAGAGGGUCGAGGAAAGUUAGGUUUAACAUAGUUACCUCCUUGUGGUUGCUCACUUGCCUUGGAUUUGUAAUCAAGCUUGACCUCUACCUUUAGGAUGCUCCCUAGAGAAUGUAGUCUUCCAAUUAUCUCUACCUUCGCUCCAUGUUGAAGUUAAAGAACUUUUGGCCUUGCAUGACUUUUCUUCUUUCAAAUCUGCUUCUACGUUUGAGGCAUCAUGGAAAGCCGCUUCAAGAGUCUCAUAGUGCUUAAGCUUCAAGGGCUUCAAGAUAUCAUACCUCAAGUUUGCCACAAAUAAUAUUACCGUACAUUCCAUAUUCUCUUCAAUUUUAGACUUCAUCUGCAAGUUCUCAAACUCAUCAUAAUAUUUUUCCACACUUUUAGUACCUUGCCUCAACAUGUACACCUUCUUGAACACCUCUUGGUAGUAGUUUGGAGUCAAGGAUCUCAACUCCAUAAGUGCAAUCAACUCUUCCCAAGUAGGUAACUCGUAGUUAUGAUGGCUCUCCCUUUCCCUCCUCUAGGACUCCCACCAAGUUGAUGCGUACCCCUCAAAUUGCGUAAGAGCAUACUUCGACCUUCAAAGUUUCUGAGAUAUUAUUUGUGAAGAAAGAUCCGCUCACUUUGAAUUUUCCAUUCCAAGAACUCAUCAGGGUCACUACUUCCUUUGAACCUUGGAAAUGUGACCUUGAUAAUAUUCAAUCCCCUAUCUUGAACAUUCCUCUCCUUAAACCAAUUUCCUCUAUUUCCUCUAUUUUCUAUCCUAUCGCCUCUAUAUCCCAUCCUAUCUCCUCUAUAUCCUAUCCUAUCUCUUUUAUUUCCAUAUUCUUGAUCUCCCAUGCCUUGGUCCCACCCCAAGUCCCGAGGUCGUACUCCUUCCCUUUGCACUCCAUUUCCAUCCCUACCCCCAUGCUCCCAAAGUUCAUCAUUAUUGAACUCCUCAUGAAUUUCAUCAUAGAGAGGAUUUUGGUAUUGGUAGUCUUGGUAGGGCUUUUAUGGUGCAUUUUAUGGAUGUGAUGUGUAGGGUUCAUGAAAAGAUGUAUUGAAUCAUUUCGAAAUGGUGUUUGGUAUUGGAUUUGGUUGGCCACAAAAAGAAGAUUCUCUUGUGGCGGGUGAUAGGGUUGUGGAAUUGGAUGUGGCGUAGGUUGUCUUAGGUGGUUUGGAGGGUUGGGAUUUUGGAAAAUGGGGCGUUGGUAGUUUUGGGUUCGGCUUUGUGGAGGAGAACAUUGAUUAUGAGCUUGUCCCGGAGCAAGGGUGGUGGAAUGCACUGAUGCCCUCCUUAUCUCCUCAUAUUCGGGUUGAAUUUCUUUCCUUCUAUUCUCAUUUUCUACCUGUACCAACCUUUCCUCCAUACCUCCCAUCCUUCUAUUCAUUUCCGCUACUUGCUUAGAGAUGAUGGCGAGAACCUCCAUGUUAUUCUCUGAACCCUCCCCAAUUGGACUUGUAUUAGACUUGAUACUUACAAAACUUAACAAAUGAGGUUAGUGGCAAAACCCUCACGUCACUUGUAUGUAGCUCUCAACUCACCUUCUAUGGCGUCGUCUCAAAAUUGAUAGUGAACUAGCUCCGUUCAAUCGACUCAAGAUCACCUAUCCUUUGUGAUGGAGUGGAUUCUUGUGACUCUUGAAAGAAGAACGACCCAAAAAAACUAACGGACUUGAAUCAAGAAGGUUAUCAACGAAUUAAGAUGAGAAAAGUAGAAUAAAGAAGCACCAAAAGAUUCGGUCUCAAAAUAAACCAAGUAACAAAAGUAGAAGAAUUACUUGUUGUUACUUAAUUUGAAGGAUCAAAGAAAUGAUUUGAUGAUUAAAAACUAGUUAACAAAUAAUCAAAGAUGUUAAUUAAUUGUUAAUUAGUUGAAAAAUAGAAGAAAAAUUAGUUUAGAAGAACAAAAAGAAGUGAAUUUGGACACUUAGAAAAAUUUUAUGCCUCAAAGAAGUUCAUCACUUCUAAGACUUUGAUUGGAUGAUUUGAUGAUUAAAACUAGUUAACAAGUAAUUAAAUAUGUUAAUUAAUUUUUAAAUAGUUGAGGAAUUGAAGGGAAAAAUGGUAGAAAAAGAAUCACGAAGUUUGGACACUUAGAAAAAUUUCUAGGUCCAAAAAAAACUUCCAUACUUAGAAUAUUUUUGGGGUCUUAAGGAAAACCUGCAGGUUUUGGUCUCUGAAACUGAUGCACACGCGCGUCAGUGCGACUGGGCAUCGUUGGCAGGUUGUCUGCUGCGCUAGCUGUUGAUGUAAUGCCGUGUGGCACUGGCGUGGCUGAUUGCAUCUGACGUGGCUGCUGAUGUGUCAGUCCACGUGGAUUAUUAUUUUUAUUUUACAGAUUUUGAAUUUUUUUUUUUUCAAAAAUCCACUAAUGGACCCCAAAAAAACACCUUUGACCAACUUUGAGUUGAAAAGUUGGAUCGAAUAUAGUUUCUUCUUCAAGAAAAAUUUGAAGACACCAAGAACAGACACUAAACCCCAAUACACUCAAAUCAACUCGGAAUUGACUCAAAAUUUAGGAUUUUCUUCCCUUCAACUAAGAGAACAAAUCCCGCUAAUUAUUAUUCUCCAAUUUCUCCUCAAUAAAAAAUUCCACUUUCAAAAUUUGAAAAGCUUGAAACUCUUCAAUGGUAACUUCACUUCUACAACUCUAAAUUGAACAAAAUUUGAAACCUAAACUCAAAAAAUCACUAGGGAACAAGGAUAUAGUGUCAAAAUCAACAAAUCAAAACAAAAAAAAAUUCAGAUUUUUUUUUUGGACAGUUUUUUUGGACUUUUUUUUUUCAAACCAAGACUAGAUUCGUAAGAACAAAUCUAAACCUAGGCUCUUGAUACAAUAUGAUAAAGAUCAAACAAAGAAAGGAACAAAGAAAUAAAGGAUAUGUAGAUUAAUACUCAAGCUAUUGAAAUUAUGGGCAACAAAGGACUAAAACCCUCACCUCCCAAUUGACUUCAACAACCUAAAUUCAACCUAAUGAAGAAUAAUCAAAUGAAACCAAGAAUCACAAAGGGGUAACACUUUGAUUAAUCAAACCCAAGAAGUUAACUAGCAAUCCCAAGAGGUCACGCUAAUUACUCACUAAUUAGUCACUAAGAAGAUACUACAAUUUGAUAGUCAAUAUUCAAUAUAGUUUAAGUCUUGCAAAAUGAUAAAAGACUAAUAUUUAUACUAAGGAAAUAAAGAAAACACUUCUUUGACAAUUUUGCCCUUAAUGAGAUAAGGGCCUUGUUUGGUUGCCUUCUUUUGUGAAUUCUUGAAUUCAUGAAAUGGCCAUUUGCACAGAUGGCCUCUUUCCUUCUUCCUUCUCAUUUUGAUGUACCUUACACACAUUGUAUGUGCUUCUUUGGUGACCUUCAAGCUCCUCUAAUGCUUCCCUUUUCAUGAACAUUGCUUGUUGGCCUUGGAGAUCCUUUUCUUAACUUCGUGUGAAUGGUACCAGUCUUAAGGCUAAAGGUAAGAUUUUCAUUCCCCAAAUUCUUUUUUUCGAUCCGUAGAACGUAAUCUAAUCGGUAAUUAUCGAGGGGGAAGAGUCUUGAUUUGAGAAUUAUGGUGGGAAAAGCCUUAAUUUGGAUAGUGGGAUCAUGGGUAUGAUCUAGGGUUGAUAGAAUUGUUAGUAAUUCAGGUAAUUAGUGAUUUUUUUAUUGAUUUUCGAGUUAUAUUGAAUGUGUAGACCAAGAAUAAGCUAAACGAAUCUGAAAAGGGAAGAAUCAAGUUUCUUACGCUUUCAAGCUUGUUUCGAGGUAGGUGAUGGUUGUGAAUAUAUGAUUGUGUGAUGUAUGUUUGUUCUUGCUUCAUUAUGAUACAUGUAUGUAUGCGAAUAUUACAUUAUUGAUCACAUAUGUUGUAAAUGAGAUAGAUGAAUGAUGAAUGCCAUGAAUCAUGACUUAAUUGUAUGAUCUUGAGAAUACACUUGUGAUUGUGAUUGUGGCUUGUUGAAUGGAUCGGGUGUUGCGUUCCGACACAAUAACUUGGAUCGGUUGCCACGUUCCGGCAUAAUUAUGGGAUUGGUUUCCACGUUCCAGCAUAAACAUUGGAUCGGGUAUCACGUUCCGGUAUGGUAAGUCUUUGAGUUUGGGUUCCAUGAGAGGACUAUUGAGUUGACAUAAUUGCGUAUCUUGAGAAAUGUUAAAUUGUACGUUGUUCUUGAAUGAUGAUGAUAUUGUAUAUGUUCGAUGUAUGCAUGUUGUUAUAUGGUUGUAUGACUUAUAUAUGUUGUACUUAGUGGGGUAGCCGCGUGAUCCUACCAGUACACUGUGGUUGGGUACUGAUACUACACUUGCUCUUUCUUUGUUGAGUACAGGGCAUCAUCAGACGGCUAUUGACAGACCUCGUUUAGAAGAUCAGUGAUCACCGAUCGAAUUCAAGGGUGAGUGAGUUCUUCCAGGGUGCCAUGAGUUUUCCUUUCGUCUAUGUCCACAUUUCGGACUUAAACUUUUCUUGUUAGUUAUUAGUUCAUUAGCUUGGGGUUGUGGCCCUUCUUGUUAGACUUAUGGAUCUUGUUAGAUGUUUUGGUACAUUGACUUUUAGGUUCUAAGCGUAAUGUCCGCAUUGUUUAGUUGUUAGAUCUUUAUAAGUUUCUGCAAACUUCAGUUUUUAGCUAUUUAGCUUGCUUCCGUAACUUAAAUGCUUUAAUAUCUGAUUAAAGCUGGUUAAUUAAUUAGCAUUAAUGGCUGUCCCACUGGAGGGUUAGUGUGGGUGCCAAUCACGAUGGUCGGGGUCGUGACAUACCUUAUCACCAAGAUCCUUCAUAUCAUAAAUCUUAAAUCUUGAAUUCAUAAUUCAAAUUCAAGAGAGGGUUAAGAGUAGAGUUCAAUAAAGUCUUUGAGUUAUAUUGUGAAUCCUUCGAGAUCAACUAUUGAUUUGAACUAAGUUUUGAGGAAGUAAGUAAGAUAAUGAUAAGAGUCGUAUACAUGAGGUCCAUGUUGUUAUGUAGACCUUCGAGUCGAGUCGUUGAUGCCCAUAAAUUUUGCUUGGACUCCAUAAAUUGAGUAUCAUUGAGAGGAGUAGUAUCUUCAAGUUCUAAAUCUUUAGUAUCGAGUUCCUAACCCUUUCGUGAUUAUAUUCCUAAUCAUGGGACUAUUACAUGUUACCCAUGAAGUCCUUGAGUUGAGUAGUUCAUGCCCAUAAUUCCGCAUGAACCCUAUAAGUCGAGUAGUCUUGAGAUGAGAAGUAUCUUUGAGUCCUUGAGUAGAGUAGUUCAUGCCCAUAAUUCGGCAUGAACCCUUUGAGUCGAGCACUCUUGAAAGGAGUAUUAUUAUUAUUCAAGUUCUUGAUUUUUGAGUUGUUGAGUCUCGAGUAUUGAGUUCUAGUUACGGUUAUUGAAAACCUUGAAUUGAGUCGUUCACGUCCAUAAUUCGGCAUGAACUUUAUUCUGAGAAGUCUUUUACAGUUUUUUAAAAAACUUGUUUUAAGCCUUGAGCAUUGAGUUGAGUAAGAAUAAGAGUAGAACUGAGUUCAUUUCCUUAAAAUGAUUAUAUGGGAACUAAGUAUUCCAAAGAGUAAAAUGUCUUCACAUUUAAACAAGAGAGGAAACAUUGAUGCCCAAGAGAACUUUUAAGCUAAUUUUUGAGUAAUAAUCUCAAACCACCGAAAGAGUUAUGUUUUUAGACAUAUGAGCUGAAUAUAUUUUUGGGAGUAGUAUUGAGCACCGAUAUGGGGACGAGUUUAGAUAAAUUAAGUUCCAUAAACCAUGUAGCGCGUGGGUAGAAAGGGUCAUACUUUCUAGAUGAUUCCUUAAUGCUUUUUAGCAUAGACUAGUGAAUCCACUUAGUUGUGGUGUUCUGUAUCCCCGGAAGUUAUAGGAUAGUUCUGGCAGUGUGGGCGAGACACUGUAUCAUAACAUAGCUAACAGUGAUGGUUGUCGGUUAGAGAAACUCCCACAGAGAUAUUUUGAAUUCUUAUAUACACAUAAUUUACUUUGUAUUUUCAUAUACAAGCAAAUUUUAUCUGGUUUCCUUGCAUACAAACUGAGUUGCUUUCUACUGUUUUAAAAGUUUUCCAUAUAUUCCAUAUGUAUUGUUGCUUUAUAUUGAGUUCAAUAUCCAGAGUUUAGUAUCCAGAGUUGAGUACCCAGAGUUGAAUAUCUUAUCAUUGAGUUGAGCCUUGUUUCACUGAGUUGAAUAUCUUAUCAUUGAGCUGAACUAUGUUUCUUUGAGUUGAGUGAGUUGAGAAUAGGUAAGUAUGCUUCUUUCCUACCAGUUUAAGCUUAUGUUUAUGCUCUAGAAUUUCCCUUACAUGCUCGUACAUUCCAUGUACCAAGCCAGUUGUCCUGCAUCAUUUCAUGAUGCACAUACAUGUAUUCAGGGUCAUCAAUAGGAGCUUCGUGGAUACCACAUGGAGUUCGAGUUAGCUAUGGUGAGCCUCCUUGCUUCCGGUGGAUUUUAUUUACUUUUCAGUUUCGGUAGGAUGAUGUGGGUCUUGUCCCGACUUCCAUCGUCGUCAUUUAGAGGCUUCAUAGAUAGACAAUAGAGUUUGAGAAGUCUUUUUCAUUUAUCUUUCUAAAUGUUUUAAAGACUUGAGUUGCCAAGUUUUGGCUAGUUGAAUAUACGAUUAUACUCUGAGUUAAUUAUUUGAGUUUUGUAACACCCCGGAAAUUAGUAUGCUAAACUAGAGCCAAAACUUGAGGGUUAAUGUCAAAGGAGAAGGGAAAGACCAAAGGCAAAGGGGAAAGGCCCAAGCCAAUGGCCAAGGCUGCCCCAAAUUUGCCAAGGCAGUGCCAUCACUUCACGACCACUACCACAGCUCGUGUUGACCACCACGGCUUGUGGUGUGGUCCGUGGUGGGAUAGGAAGUGUGGCUACUAUGCUGCCAUAAGUGAGACCCUCCCCCACGAGCCACUUGAUGGCUUGUAAAGACCCCCAAGGGCCGUGGGAGGGUUCAUGGUCUUCACUUAGCCUCAAGGGAGCCAAUUUAUGAAGACCUAGCCUCUACCUAAAGAACCAUGGAGGGGACCACGGCUUGCGGGGCCUGUCGUGGUCCCUGGGUAGGUCAUUUAAUCGAAAAGCUAUUUUAGGUAAUUCAUAUUUAAGUGGUUAUUAAGUGAGAUCGUUGUACCUUAGUUUUAAACACUUAUAUAAGUCAUUUUAAUCUAAAAUACUUCCAUUCCCCCCAUUAUUUCCGAAAACCCAAAUCAAAUCCCAAAAUUUAGGGUUUUACUCCAAGUCAUGGAUUCCUUUCAAAAUUGAUUCUAAUGAUUUAAUUAUCUUAUAUUAUGAUUGAAUUUGUGUUUUCUUAUAGUUUUAUGAUGAAAUAUCUCAAGAAUCCAUGCAAUCCCCUAAAUUAUCAAUUAUGAUCUUGUGAAUAUGGGUUUGUUGAUAGAAGAAGUAUAUUAUGAGAUAAUGCUUGUAGUAAUUGAAUCAUGUUAUCAUCCAUGUCUAAUGUAGUAAUUCUAUAUUUUUUGAUUGAAUAUGAUCUUUGAUUCUUGAAGGAUAAAAGUAUGAGAAUUAUGCAUGAUUAUGAGAUUUAUGUAUAUGUUUUAAGAACACUUUGAGAGUAAAGUGAUUAUGAUCUUGUUGUAUGAUGUUGUAAUGAUUGAAAGGCUAUUCUCAUAAACACAUAGUGAACAUGAUGUUAAAGGUUUUCUCCCUUAAUGAAGAUUCUAGGUUGAAAGGCUUUCUCACCUAAUUAAAUCCAAUGUUAAAUGAAGACAUGGACGGUGAAAGGUUAUUCUCAUGCAUGAUCUAAGAGCUAUCCUAAUGAACUCUUUUGGAUUGAUUGUCGACUACAUCCUUCAAUAAUACAUGAGAAAAGUUAUGAUUUAAUAAAGUAUUAUGUGGGAAUUAUGCUUAGCGCCGACUGGAUAUUGAUAUGAGAUGGAAGCCCUCACGUGAGAUGAGCUUGUGUUUCUAGGAGCAAUAUCUUGAGAUGGAUGUCCUCACGAGAUUUGAGCCCGGGUAUCUAUUAACAAUCUCCUCGUCCCAUAACUACGUUCCCCAUAGGUUAUUUAGCUAUUGGUUCAAACUAAAGCUAAGUUAAUGGUUCUAGCUUAGGCAAGUAGAGCAACCAUUUUCGGUGUGGGUGACACCGUAUUCGAUGGUAAGCUCACAUGGUCAAUGUCGGUUAAGGCUAAUGCUCACAAGCUCAAGUCUAGUAUGAACUAUGGCUACUUAAGAAGCUUUACUUAGUGUGGGGGAGAAUAUGAGAUCUUAUUCAUGCACUGCACAAGUAGGCUUUGAGGGUAGUUAUGGUGUGUUCCUCUUAUGCCAUGCUGAUUUAUGUAAUGAAUGUGCUUAUGACAAUGUGUUAAGAAUGUUUGAGGUGAAUAUUACUUGUAAUGAUGUAUCUUAACUUGGAUUGUUGCUAUAAGUUGCUUUCCUGGAUAUGAUUGACUAAAGGUGAAUGUUUCCAUAUCUAUGAGAAAUAAGCUAAGAAUGAGAUCAAAAGAUGGUAAACAUGAAUGAUGACCUAAAGUGACUUUCUUAGCAUGGGUGGGAUUAUGGGGUAUUAUCUAUGUAUGGCACAAGAUUGCCUUGAGGUGGCUUAUGAAAUGUUUCUCUUAUGUUAUGUUGAACUAGAUUGCAUUGAUUAUGCCUAUGUCUAUGAGGAUAUAUCUUAUUCUCACUAGUUAUGAUUAUUGACUACCAUGUUAUUGCCUAUAUCUUAUUAUGAUGUCUCUUAUUCUUAUGACUUGUGUUUUCCACUAUCUUCAAAAUGAUGAUUUGACAUAGCAAAGUGCAUGCAUUCAACUAAAAUGUCCCUUUUAGCAUGUUUCCAAGGUUUUUAUGCAUGACUAUCUUACUUAGUGUAUUUUUGUACUAACCCAUAUUUUCCUACAUAUUUCCCAAGUGUAGUGUCCGGUUCUUAAGGCGGUCUUCAUUUGGUUCAAGCUUGGAUUCGACUAUUCUCCUUGCUUGUGGUGAGUCCUCAUGAGUUGAGGACAAAUGUUUCACUUUGAGUUUCAUUUCUAGUUUUUUUCCCUUUCAGAUUAUGUUGUUUAGGGGUGUGACCCUAUUUUGACUCAAGUAUGGUAAUAGAUGGCUAAUUGAGACAACAUUAGAGUUCCACUUCGCUUUUAUGAAAAAAAUUUGAGACUUCAAAUGUAUUUUACUUAUUAUUGUUGUAAGGCUUUAUGUUAUGAUAUGCUAAGUGGCUUACAUGGUGCCCUUCGGGGUAUUAUGUGCCAUGUUACAUCUAGGGGGUACCCUUUGGUCGUGACAAACUCAGUAUUAGAGUACAAGGUUUAGAAUGAUUCUAGGAUUCUGUUUCACAAGCCACGUCUAGUAGAGUCUUGUUUAUAGUGUGAAGCGCGCCAUAUUUACGAAUGAGAGGCUACAAGAUGAUUAGGAAACUACACUUCUUUCAUUACCCUUAAGUUGUGCCGUAGAGUUUAACUCUAUAAAGUGCCUCUCCUAAUCCUUCCUUUGUGUUUUCACAGAAUGAAUACACGAAGGGCUAACGCUAGAAGAAUGAACGGUGACAAUGUGAAUGAAGAAGCUCCUCAAGCUAAUCAAGCUAACCAAUCCCCAGUUGAUCUUGUGGUUAAGAAUGUGACCCAUGCGGAGUUUAGGUCUACUAUUCAAAUGUUGGCCCAAGCUAUGAUGACUCAAGCUCAAGCUAUGACUACUCAAGCUUAAGCGGUGACGGCUCAGGCUAAUAGAGAUGUUGGGACUUAUGUGAACUCGAUUGUUUCUAGGGUUAGGGAUUUUGCUAGAAUGAACCCUCCCGAGUUUCAUGGCUCCAAAGUGGGAGAAAACCCUCAAGAAUUUGUGAAAGAGGUUUAUAAAAUAAUUGAUAUUAUGGAUGUGACUUCGGUAGAUAAAGUGGAGUUGGCCGCUUUCCAAUUGAACAGUGUGGCACAAGUAUGGUAUAACUAAUGGAAGAACAAUAGGCUGGUAGGAGCGGGUCCCAUAGGCUGGGAAGUGUUCAAAUCAACAUUCCUUGAUAAGUUCUUUCCUCGAGAGUUGAGGGAAGCUAAGGUGGAAUAAUUCAUUAACCUUAGGCAAGGUAGCAUGAGUGUUAAGGAGUAUGCCUUGAAAUUUACCCAACUAUCCAAGUAUGCUCCAUCUUUGGUGGUGGAUUCGAGGGAUGAGAUGAGUAGGUUUUUGAAGGGUGUGUCUAGCUUGGUAGUAAAAAAAUUCCGUUCGGCAAUGCUUAAUGAUAAUAUGGAUAUCUCAUGCCUUUUGGUGCAUGCCCAACAAAUUGAGGAAUUAAAUCUUAAGAAAAAGAAUAGGUAGGUGAAAAGAGCUAGGACCGGUGAUGGGAACUUCUUCAAUGCUAGGUCCAAUAAACAAAGGUUCUCCAACCAAGGUCCCCAAAUGCUUCGCCAAGGGUCAACAAGGAUAGGGUGUCUAACCCUAAAACUCAAGGAGGAAAUGGAGGCGGUUCUUCUUUUGAAAGAUCUAUAUGUGUUAAAUGUGGGAAAGAAUAUACGGAUAAGUGCCUAGCCGACACGGAUGGGUGCUUUGGGUGUGGAAAAAGUGGUCAUAAGAUGAUUAAUUGCUCGACAAUCAUGGAUAAAGGGAGAGUGACCAAGCGAGCUUCACUUACUGGUCCGGAUCCCAAUGCUCCAAAGAAUGGUCCCUUCUAUGCACUCCGGUCUAGAAAGGACAAAGAAGGUUCUCCGGAUGAAGAAACCGGUAUGUUGAUAGUUUUCAUAUAGAUGUAAAUUUUUUAUUAGAUCCCGAUGCUACUUGUUAGAGUUUGAUGUUUUCCUUGGUAGAGUUUUGAUAAAUUGUUGUUAGACCUCUAUUGAUUAUAGAACCUGAUAUGGUUAUUAUGUGUUUGUAGUUAUGUCGAUUGGGAUUGCUUGAAAGAAGUGGUACUUGAGGAAUUAGUAGGGAUUUCCUCCCAAGGUGGGAGAUGGUGUGCUUAGAUAGCAAGGUUGGGGAGUGUCCCAAUAUCCUCAUCUCUUUCUUCUACUCUUACUAUAUCUUGAGACGAAGAGUUCCUUUUAGCUUGUAUUAUGUUUUGGAGUCAUGUAUGAUUAUGUGUUUCCAUGAUUUCCUUCUGAUAUGCAUGUUUUUGAGAAAUUCAUGUUUAGAAAGAAAAUGAGUUUUCGUGAUUUGUUCCCACCAUGUUGUAGUGCAUUUACUAUGAGUUGCCUAUUUGACUUAUUUUGAUAUGGAGUUGAAGUUUCCUCCUUUGAAUUCUGCAUUAUUUUGAUGUUGCAUGCAUGAUGGGUUGCUAAUUUUCAGUCUUUAAUUCCGUAAGGUGUCUAGAUUGUAAUUCGAGGAUGAAUGUUCUCAAGGGGGAGAUAAUGCAACACCCUGGAAAUUAGUAUGCUAAAGUGGAGCCAAAACAUGAGGGUUAACGUCAAGGGAGAAGGGCAAGACCCAAGGCACAGGGGCAAGCCCCAAGCCAAGGGGAAAGGCUGCCCCAAAUUUUCCAAGAAACUUCCCCACUUCACGACCACCACCAUGGCUCGUGGUGUGGUUCGUGGUGGUCUAGGCAGUGGGCCUACUAUGCCGCCCAAAGUGAGACCCUCCCCUACGAGCAACUUGACGGCUUGUGAAGGCCUUGGGAGGGUUCAUGGUCUUCACUUAGCCUAAAGGGGGACAAGUCAUGAAGACCUAGCCACUGCCUAAAGAAUCACGGAGGGGACCGCGGCUCGUGGUCAUGAUCAGGCUUAUGGGGCCUCUAGUGGGGCCUCUCGUGGUCCAUGUGCUGGUCACUUAAAUGAAUGGUUAUUUUAGUUAAUUCCUAUUUAGGUGGUUAUUAAGUGAGGUCAUUUUGCCUUAGAUUUAUACACCUAUAUAAAUCAUUUUAAUUUGAAAUACACCCAUUCACCCAAUUAUUUCUAAAACCCUAAAUCAAAUCCCAAUAGUUAGCGUUUUACUCCAAGUCAUGGAUUCCUUUUGAAAAAUGAUUCUAAUGAUUUAAUUAUCUUAUAUUAUGAUUGAAUUGAUGUUUUAUUAUAGUUUUAUGAUGAAAUCUCCCAAGAAUCCAUGAAAUCCCCUAAAUACUAAAUUAUGAUCUUGUGAAUGUCGGCUUGUUAGUAGAAGAAGGAUAUUAUGAGUUAAUGCUCGUAGUAAUUGAAUUAAUUGAAUUAUGUUAUCAUCCAUGUCUAAUGCAGUAAUUCUAAAUGUGUUGAUUGAAUAUGAUCUUUGAUUCUUGAAGGAUGAAAAUAUGAGAAUUAUGCAUGAUUAUGAGAUUUAUGUAUAUGUUUUAAGAACACUUUGAGAAUAAAGUGAUUAUGAUCUAGUUGUGUGUGGUUGAAAGGAUAUUCUCAUAUACACACCUAUGUAUUACUAUGAUAAUGAUGUUGUGAUGAUUGAAAGUCUAUUCUCAUGGACACAUAGUGAACAUGAUGUGAAAGGUUUUCUCAGGUAAUGAAGACCCUAGGUGGAAAGGCUUUCUCACCUAAUUGAAUCUAAUGUUAAAUGAAGAAAUGGAUGGUGAAAAGUUAUUCUCACGCAUAAGCUAAGAGCUAUCAUAAUGAACUCUUUUGUAUUGAUUUUCUAGUACCUUCUUCCAUAAGACAUGAGCAAGUUAUGAUUUAAUAAUGUAUUAUUUGGGAAUUAUGCUUAGCACUGAGUGGAUAUUAAUAUAAGAUGGAAACCCUCAUGUGAGUUGAGCCUGGGUUUCUAGGAGCAAUAUCUUGAGAUGGAUGUCCUCACGAGAGUUGAGCCUGGGUAUCUAGUAACAAUCUCCUUGUCCCAUAACUACGUGCCCCGUAGGUUAUUUAGCUAUUGGUUCCACCUAAAGCUAAGUUAAUGGUUCUACCUUAGGCAAGUAGAGAAACCCUUUUCGGUGUGGGUAACACCGAAUUCCAUGGUAAGCUCACAUGGUCUAUGUCGGUUAAGGCUAAUUCUCACAAGGUCAAGUCUAGUAAGAAAUAUGGCUACUUAAGACGCUUUACUUAGUGUGGGUGAGAGUAUGGGAUCUUAUUCAUGUAUUGCACAAUAGGCUUUAAGGGUAGUUAUGAUGUGUUCCUCUUAUGCUAUGGUGAUUUAUAUAAUGAAUGUGCUUAUGACUAUGUGUUAAGGAUGUUUGAGGUGAAGACUACUUGUAAUGAUGUAUGUUAACUUAGAUUGUUUGUAUAAGCUGCUUUCUUUGAUGUGAUUGACUAAAGGUUAAUGUUUCCUUGUCUAUGAGUAAUAAACUAAGAGUGAGAUCAAAAGAUGGUAAACAUGAAUGAGGACCUAAAGUGACUUGCUUAGCAUGGGUGGAAUUAUGGGGUCUUAUCUAUGUAUUGCACAAGCUUUCCUUGAGGUGGCUCAUGAAAUGUUUCUCUUAUGUUAUGUUGAACUAGAUUGCAUUGAUUAUGCCUAUUUCUAUGAUGAUAUCUCUUAUGCUCACUAGUUAUGAUCAUUGACUACCAUGUUAUAGCCUAUGUCGUAUUAUGAUGUCUCUUAUGCUUGUGAGUUGUGUUUUCCACUAUCUUCAAAAUGAUUAUUUGACUUAGAAAACUGCAUGCAUUCAACUAAAAUGUCCCUUUUAGCAUAUUUUCAGGGUUUUUAUGCAUGACUAUCAUAUUUAGUGCAUUUUUGUACUAACCUAUAUUUUCCUACAUUUUCCCCAAGUGUAGGGGCCGGUUAUUAAGGUGGUCUUCAUUUGGUUCAAGCUUGGAUUCGACUAUUCUCCUUGCUUGUGGUAAGUCCUCAUGAGUUAAGGACAAAUGUUUCACUUUGAGUUUCAUUUCUAGUUUUUUUCCCUUUCAGAUUAUGUUGUUUAGGGCUGUGACCGUAUUUUGACUCAAGUAUUGUAAUAUAUGGCUAAUUGAGACAAGUUUAGACUUCCUCUUUGUUUUUAUGUAAAAACUUUUUAAACUUGAAAUGUAAUUUACUUCUUAUUGUUCUAAUGUUUUCUGUUAUGAUAUGCUACGUGGCUUACAUGGUGCCCUUCGGUGUAUUAUGUGCCAUGUUACGUCUAUGUGACACCCCUAGGUCCUGACAAGUUUCAAUGAAUUUUAUUUUGUUUUACGCUUUAUAUGCUUGAGUUAGUCUUCCUCUUGUAGUCAGCCAGGAUGAGGGUUCGCUUGGGGACUAGCAAUGGUUCUUGAGUGCCGGCCACGUCCAAGGUGUAGGCUCAGGUCGUGACAAACUUUGUAUCAGAGCACAAAGUUCAAGUGACCUAGGGUGUCUAUGAAGCCAUGUCAAGCAUGAUCUUAUUUAUGGUUGUGACAGCCUCACUUCUAUAAAUGAGGGACUACAUAUAUUUAAGAAAAGUUUCCCUUCUUUCAUACUCUUAAUCGUGCAAUAGAGCUAUGUCAUAGAGACUUAUUGUACCUCGUGCGUUCACAUAUCCAUUCGACUACCCCCCAUACUAAAGGUGGUUGAAAAGUAAAGUAAAAAAAAGCCUUAUGGAUUAGUUAUUCAUAGCAAGAAUUUUGAGGGGGUCAUGAGAUUGUUGAGGGGCUUGAGAGAAUCCUGUGAGUGAGUUAAGUUUUGAGUUUGAGAGGAGUGCACUCAUGUUCAUAUUAAUCGCUCGUUUGAGCUAAAAGCGAGUUGUACACUCCUUCCUAAAACUUAUGCCGCUGAGACCUUUUAAGAGGAUGGUAUGUUUAGAGCUUGGGUAAUAUAUUCACCCGAAAAGUUAACAUGAGUUACGAGAUCAUGAGCAGUAAUAGUGAAAGAGCCCAGAGUUAGAGAAAAGUAUGUAUAGGUUUAGUAAUCUAAGAAAAUGAUGGUAUUUUGACAAGCUAUGUUACUAUAGUCAUGCACCUAGUAAGAUACUAAUGAAGAGUUUUUCCUUAUGGGUAGACUAAGAAGUGAUGAGUUGUGAAGAUUCCAUCAUAAGAGGUAGAGUGUGUUGUAGCUAGAAAGGAGUUUGUGAUGAAGCGUCAUUGUGUAAGUAAUGACCAAGUGUAAGUGUUGAAUAGAAGAGCAAAAGAAUUCAUAAAGUGAUAGAUCUAAGCUAGGCUUAUGAUUUCUUUUAGAGGUUCAUGAUAUUCUGAAGGUUAUAGAACUGAUUUCGUAAUGAGGUAUAGUUUAUGUGAUGCCCCGAGCCUAUACCCUGGGUGGGACUGGCACUCGAGAAACAUUGUUGGCCCAAGCGAACCUUUGGCCUGGCUUAACUCUUAGCAGAAGACUUAACUAAUGAUAAAAUGAAGUAUUAAAAUACAAUCAUGCUAAACUGUCUGAAUAGAUAAACUGAGAAUGUUUAGAAAUAACAUUUGACAGAGCCAAAGAGGAACCUCAAGUUCAACAUAAGCCAAAGAUAAUGACGAAGGAACUAACUAUAUAACUGUCUGUCUAUGAAGCUUCUAAAUUUGAGAUGGAUGUUGGGGCAAGACCCUUGAUCAUCCUAUAAACUGAAAACUACUAAAGCAAUGUAAAUAGGGAUCCUUCGGAAAGCAAGGAGGCUCACCACAAGACUCUGAAUGCUCAACUGGAUUAACGAAGUGCUGAAUGUUGAUCAUGGUUACUUGUAUCUGCAUCAUAAAAAGAUGCAGGCCAAAUGGCGUUAGUAUAUUAAAUGUACGAGCAUGCGAGUGGAAUACUAAAACAUGACAUAAGCUUGAAAGGAACUAGAAUAACAAACCUGGUCUUAACUUAACUUAACUUAACUGAACUGAACUCAUUUCAGUACAAAGCAAUAACGUAAAUGCAAUAUAAAGAAAAGCUUUUUAAACAUGGAUAUCAACUCUGUGUAUUGUAAAAGUACUAUAAUACUCUGUGUGUAUGCAAAAAAACAAUAUAAACCCUAGACGUAUAUAAAAUACAAAAUACUUCUGUGGGAGUUUCUCUAACCUACAACCAUCACUUAAGAGCUAUUGUGAUGACACAUCAUUUUAUCUCACGCUGCCUGGGCCAUCCUAUAGCUUCCCAAGGGUACUGAACCUGACUACUAAGUAGAUCCACUAUUCUAUGCUAAAAAGCAAUAAGGAAUCACCUAAAAAGUAUGACCCUUUUCUACCCAUGGUGGCUACAUGGUUUAUGGGGGAUGGGAGUUGUCUUAACUCUCCCCUAUAUCGGUGCUGAAGACUACUUCCAAAAUAUGAUACUAUCACUUAUGUUUAAAAACAUACUUCUUUCUGUGGUUUGAGAUUAUUGCUCAAAACUUAGCUCAAAGGCUCCUAUUGGAAAUCAAAGUUUCCUCUCUUGCUUAAUUGUGAAAGCAUUACUCUUUAUUUAAAACUAGCUCAAAGGCUCUUUUGGAAAUUGAAUUUUCAAUUCUUAUUUAAAUAUAAAAACAUUUUUCUCUUUGGGAAUACAUAGUCCCGAUAUACUCUUUUGAAGAAAUGAACUUCAAUCUUUACUCUUUACUCAACUCAAAACCCAAGUCUUAAAUCAAAGUGAAAACGUUUGUGAAGGACUUUUGGAGACUCUAUGAACUUCUCUUGAAUCUUAACUUUCCUUGAAUUGAAUUUUGAAUUCAAGGCUCAUGAUCUCAUGUUAUUGAUUAUUUCAAAUGUACCUUAGAGUGUAGAAAUCAACUAGGAAACAUAGGUACGUUUCAAGGGAAGUAGUACGGAAAGAAGUAGGAAAAGAUGGAAGACCUGGCGUCCCUGGUGCUUUGAGUGGCGCGGAACCCCAGACCCAAAACCUUAUAACUGAAUUUGGGGUGCUUUGUCUGGCGCGGUACCUCAGAGGCCAAACAUUAGAGAACUUUGUGGAGCGCUCUGAGUGGCGCGGCGCCCCACCCGUCUCCCUAGGUGUUUGACGAUUUUUUUUGCUUGUUUUUCAACUCUAAGCUCUCUAAACUCAAUUGGGUCUUUCUCCAAACACUUAGAUUAGAAUACAUAAUCAAAGUAGGCAAGAAUCUACUCAAAACGACACCUAAUUUCAUGAAUCAAAAUCAAGAACUCAUUAGAAACUUCAAAUAAAUCCAUCAAGAACUCAAUUUCUAAACCUUCGAAAAUCUAAAUUUGCUGAAAUAAAUCACGAUUGGCACGUGGGUGAACUAACCCAAUGCUAUGUGAUCUCACAUACCUCGUAGGGAUCAACCCUUGGCGAGAUCCACAAGAAUGACGAACUUUGGCUUUUUCUCCUCUUUUCUCGUCUUGCAUUCUUUCUCUAAAACCCCUAGCAUGAAUUUACAAUUGUGUAAACUGAAUCCCAUCAGUUGAGACCCCCAUUUAUUUACAAAAAAAGAAUUUAAUUAAUUGGGUAAUGAAAAGACCACAAUACCCUUCAAAAAAUCCGGUUUUGACUUUCCUUAUCUAGACAGCCCAACUUCAAAUGGGAAUAUCUCACUAACACGAACUCGAAACUCAGCAAAAUUGGCGAUGUUGGAAAGAUAAUUCAAAUAUCUUUCCUACGGUAUCUUAUAGCACACCUAACUUGUCACGCCCCGAGGCUACCCCCUGGACGCGAACACGGGACCUAGGAUCAUGAGUGAUCCGAAGCUAACCCUGCUGGCAUAUCAUAAGCAUACUAAAGUAAACUACAUCAAUAAUCACUGUGUGAAACCUAAAUCAUAUGAUAAUCUGGAAUGAUGGGGAAUACCCACAUACUAAGUCUGAAUAUAAGAAAACUGAGAGUUUGAAUAAAAUGAAAAGUCAAAUUCUAACACUAAAGCUGAAACUAACUAUGUCUGAAAUAAGCCUCUAAACUAAUUAGAAAUGCUGGGACAUGUCCUAGCUAAAUCAAGAAAAAAUUGAAAACUAAAUACUAAAAGGGAAAGAUAACAUGUCAAUUGUCCUCGAAGAAUGAGGACUCACCACUGAUGCUGCUGAACUGAAGAUCGGGAACCGAUCGAUGCGUGAUCUGACUGCUGAGGACCUGAACCUACAUCACGAGAAGAUGUAGCGCAAAGUAUGCGUCAGUACUUGAAAUGUACUGAGCAUACAAGAUGGAGUAAAGCUAAAUAAUAACAUAACUGAACAAGCAAUAAAUCAAUGAUAUAAUCUGAUCAUGAUAAGGAUAAUGGAAAUACUAAACAUGGAUAAACUGAAUGCAAUGACCAAGUUUAUAAUAUGCUGAGACUGAAUACCGAACUAUACUAAUAACAUGCUCAAUGUAAUAGAAUCUGACUAAACUAUGGGAGCUACUAAUAACCGACAUAAAACCACAUGAGCUAAAUGUGGAGUCCGUUGUAUACGCCUCAUUGAGAGGACCCAAUAUACCCUGCCAGAGGUAUAGAGGCAUACUGACGUGAUCGCUAAAAUGUUGCCCACAGAGAGGCCUUACAGCCUACGGGAACGUAGUUCUAGGACUUUCAGGUGACUGACCCUAGAACACUCGGUAUUAAGCUUCUCCCAUUUGAUUUUGUAAUUUAAUAAUUUAUAACUUAAAUGCUGUAAUACUGGAUAGCUCAAAAUACUGGCAUGCAAAUUGAGAAUUCAACAUAAAUAUACUGAUAAUCAACAUUUGAAAACUGAGACAUGUAUAACUGAAAUAUCUGACCUAGCAUAUGUAAGUCAUGAACUAAAAGAACUACAUAGCUAGGGUUCUGAGUUUAUGGAAGAAGCUACACUAAACCAUACUAACAUCAUGAUAAUCUGAUUAGGUACAUUAAAACAACUAAUUUAUAAUGAUCUGCUGAAAUUCUAGAAAUCGAAGGUCUAGAUAAUAUUAAGGGAACCAAGAAUCUAACUGAAUUCUUGGUACCUAAUGGAGGAAAGGAACUCACUAGUUAAAUCCCACAUACCUGGUGACGAAUUCCAUGGACAAAUUUUUCGAUUUUAGGGCUGAAACUAAUGAAAACCUGUCGAGCUGGUCGACUCUUUCUCCUUCUGCGUUCUAAUUCUUCUAAGUUUUUGGUGAAUGAUUUGCUUAGGGUAGGGGUCCAACGCACAGGGAAAAGAGUAAACGAUCCCUGACUUAAAAGUUGUCGAGGUCACCAACGGAUGGGACCGACGGACCGUGGAUCGACCGACUGUCCGUUCUGGUAAACCGUCGAUCGGUGACUGGGAGCUGAAACGAGGGGGUUGACUUACGACCCUGGACCACGGACCGUGGUCUGACCUACGGUCUGUAUGUCUUGGCGUGGCCUAACCGUUAGCCAAUUUUUUAGAGGUUUCUUGGGGAGGGUCUCAUGUGUUGCGCCAUGGACCUACAAAACGGACCGUGAGUCCUCCUACGGUCCGUGGGUGGCAACCGUUGGUUGCACCUGCAAUACUGAAAUCUACAUUUUUGUGUGUUCUAGCUUACAGGGUGUUACAUUAUCUCCCCCUUGGAGCCAUUAGUCCUCGAAUAAAGACUAAACUAGCUGAUAUAGAGGGAGAAAGCUGCAACCCCUACCACUAAACACUGGAAACUGAUUUCUGACUGAACUGAGUUCCAUGAACAUGAAAAUACGCUGAAUAUGCAAAUAUAAACUAAAUGAACAUGAUGCUAAGACUGAAACUGUGCAUGAAUGACUGAAAAACCGAAGUGGAACUAUUAACUGAAGCUGGAAUUGAAUCGGAAGGAAAUAGGUGAGGAUACUUGGUUUUCAUGGCUGCUUCUGCUUCCCAAGUAGCUCCCUUUAUGGACUGACUACUCCACAAAACCUUGACUGAAGCUACUUCCUUGUUUCUUAACCUUCGAACCUAAUGAUCAAGGAUUUCAACUGGUACCUCUUCAUAAGCGAGACUAUCCUUCACAACCACACUUUUUAAUGGCACAAUAGAUGUUGGAUCACCCACACACUUCUUCAACAACGAAAUGUGAAAAACCGGAUGCACUGCUGCUAGUUUUGUUGGCAACUCUAACUCAUAAGCCAAUUUACCAACCCUUUCCAAGAUCCUGUAAGGGCCAACAUAUCUAGGACUGAGCUUCGCUUUCUUGCCAAAUUUCAUCACCCCCUUCAUGGGCGACACUUUCAGGAAAACCCAAUCAUCAACUUGGAACUCUAAUUCCCUUCUCCUUACAUCUGCAUAGGACUUCAGGCAACUCUGGGUUUGUCUUAAGUCUAUCUCUAAUGAGUUGCACUUUCUCCAUAGCAUCAUAAACUGAAUUUGUCCCUAUUAAGGCUACUUCACCUACUUCAAACCAACCAACUAGAGAUCAACAUCUAUGCCCGUACAAUGCCUCAUAAGGGGCCAUCUGAAUGCUAGAAUGGUAACUAUUAUUUUAGGUGAACUCUAUAAGAGAAAGGUGAUCAUUCUAACUACCCUUGAAGUCGAUCACAUAAGCUAUCAACAUGUCCUCUAAGGUCUGAAUGGUACACUCUACCUGACUAUCUGUCUGUGGAUGAAAUGUUGUUCUAUGAUUAACCUGAGUACCAAGACCUUUCUACAAUGACUUCCAAAAAUUAGAGGUAAACUGAGGACCUCUAUCUGAGAUGAUAGAGAAAGGAGCCACAUGCAAUCUAACGAUCUCAUUAAUGUAAAGCUUGGCGUUGUCCUCUGCCGAAUCUGUAGUCUUAACUGCCAAAAAUCAUACAACAAUAGUAAUUCUAUCAACUAUUAGACAAAUGGAGCCAUGCCGUCUACCAGUACGAGGUAAUCCUGUUAUGAAGUCCAUGUUGAUGACUUCCCACUUCCUAGUAGGAAUGUUGAUAUCUUGAGUCAUACCUCCUAGUUUCUGAUGUUCUACCUUCACUUGCUGACAAUUGGGGCACUUAGGUGCAAAAUCCGCUAUAUCCUUUUUCAUGCCAUUCCACCAAAAGACUUCCCUCAGAUCACGAUACAUCUUAGUGGCACCUGGAUGAAUAGAAUAUUUGGAGUUAUGUGCUUCUGCAAGAAUCUGUUGUCUCAACUCACCCACCUUAGGAACACAUAAUGGACACUGAUAGCGAAGCACACCAUCUCCCCCUUGGGAGAAAACCUUAACUCUGUGCUGAUGGACUGCACCCUUUAGUUGAAGCAAUAUUGGAUCACCGUCUUGCUUUUCCUUAAUCUCCACUACCAAUGAAGAUUCUGACCCAUUCUGAACUGUUACACCACCAUCUGAUAUGCUCAUAAGAUGAACUCCUAAGCGAGCAAGCCUGUGAACAUCCUUUGCUAGCUCCUUUCUUUCUUCCUCAACAUAUGUUACACUACCCAUAGAUAGUCUGCUAAGAGCAUCUACUACUACAUUGGACUUACCAGGAUGGUAAUGCACACUUAUAUCAUAAUCCUUGAGGAACUCAAGCCAUCUCCUCUAGCGGAGAUUCAACUCUCUCUGGGUGAACACAUACUGAAGACUCUUAUGGUCUGUGAACACCUCUACAUGGACACCAUACAACCUUACCACGCUGCAUCAACACACAACCAAGGACGACUCUAAAUGCAUCACAAUAUAUAACAUAACCCUCUUAACCCUCUGGUAGAGUCAAAACAGGAGCAGUAGUCAACCAAGUUUUGCAAAGCCUUUUUACCAAUCAUCUGACCACUGAAAAUUGACCUUCUUCUACAUCAUCUUAGUCAAUGGAGAGGCUAUGGAUGAAAAUCCUUCCACGAAACAUCUGUAAUAACCUGCUAGACCCAAGAAACUUCUGAUAUCUGUAAGAGAGGUAGGUCUGGGCCAUUGUUUCACUGCUUCUAUUUUCUGAGAAUCCACUCGGAUCCCUUCUCUAGACAUAUUGUGACCAAGGAAAGCAACGGAUUACAACCGAAAAUCACAUUUGCUAAACUUAGCGAAUAACUGGUGAUCCUUGAGAGUUUGCAGGACAACCCUCAUAUGUUUUGCAGGUUCUUCCUCAUUCCUAGAGUAAAUGAGGAUAUCAUCAAUAAAGACGAUAACGAACAAGUCCAAAUACUGCUUGAACACUUUGUUCAUCAAGUCCAUGAAAGCUGCAGGAGCAUUGGUUAGUCCAAAUGACAUAACUACAAAUUCAUAAUGACCAUAUCGAGUUCUGAAGGCUGUUAUCGGGAUGUCACUAUCUCUAAACUCUGAGCUGAUGAUAACCGAAUCUGAGGUCUAUCUUUGAGAAAUGACUAGCACCCUUAAGUUGGUCAAACAAGUCCUCAAUCCUGGGAAUUGGAUACUUAUUCUUGAUUGUGACCUUGUAAAACUGCCUAUAGUCAAUGCACAUCCUGAUAGAACCAUAUUUCCUUUUCACGAACAACACUGGUGCACCAAAUGGGGAAAUACUAGGUCUGAUGAAGCCCUUAUCUAGAAGGCCUUUCAAAUGCUCAUUCAAUUCCUUAUACUCGGCUGGAGCCAUUUUGUAAGGAGGAAUAGAAAUAGGCUGGGUAUGUGGAAGGAGAUCAAUUCCAGAGUCGAUUUCCUUUUUGGGAGGAACUGCGGGAAGAUCUUCUGGAAACACUUCUGGGAAGUGAUUAACUACUAGAACUGACUCAAGAGUUAGGAUUUUAGAGCUUUAAUCCUUAACCUGAACUAGAUGAUAGAGAUACCCCUUAGAAAUCAUAUUUCUAGGCUUAAGGUAACAAAUGAAUCUACCUAUAGGCGCUAACCUACUACCUGAUAUACCGUGAAUUUACGGUAUUUCUAAUACAUUUCACUUACAAGUUGUGUGUGUCUAGGGCCUUUUUGUAUUGGUUUUUAUGUGUUUUUAUCAUAUUUUGCAGGAAAGAUGUCCAGGCGCGGAAGUAAAGAGACAGCUGAAAGAAUGCAGAAAAGGGCAUGUACAGAGAUGAUCUAUGGACCGUAGGUCCAUUGACACUCCGUAGAUGGUGGUCAUAGAUCAACAGACAAGGCAUGGAAGGAAAAUCAGGGAAAUCUGACCAAGUGUGGAACCACGGUGACCAUUGACGGUCCGUAGAUCGAUCUACAGUCCAACUGCAGUUCCGUCGUUUGCUUCAUAGAAGCUGAUUUUUGGAAGUAGAAAUAUUUUCUAAGUCCUGGCUGACGGAAGGGACUCACGGACCGUAGAUCCAUUGACGAUCUGUGAGUCAGUCACGUGGAAUGAAGACGCGUGCCUGAACAAACUUUCCUUAUUUUAUUUCCCUUUUUAUUUAGGACUUGUUUUCUAUAAAUAGGGCAUGCAAACCUCAUUUUUGGGGGUUAGACUUUAUUACAUUUGUUCUAGUUCUUGAUUUGGGAAAUUAACUUGCAACUUUAGCAAUUCUUAAUUUCCAAAGUUUGUUUUUGAAGAUUUUGGUGUUGCAAUUCAAGUUGAAUUUUUGGGUUUAUUAUUCUUCUUACGUAAGUUCAUAAUUCUUUCAUCUAAACCAAUGAAUUGUGUUCAUAUAAUUAUGGGUAACUAAACUCCACAACUAGGGUUGUGGGAACUAUGAGCGAUUAACAAAGUAUGAAUAGUAAAUAAGCAAUUCUUGAAUAGUGUUGUUGCAUGCAUUGAUAAUUCUUUUGUUUAGAAGUCUUUUUAACAAGUGCACGCGUUAGAACUCGCCAUGUUGCUACUUGCCAGACUAAUGAGGUAAUCAACAAGAAAAGAAUUAUCAACAUAGAUUUAGUGUGAUACUAUCUAAUAGGCUAGUGUCGAUUGGUGCGAAGUAAUAACUAAGCCAAACAUCGAUGUGAUGUCUAAUAUGAGAUAAAGGUCAUGGUUAGUAAGUUAUACAUACGUAGCCGGACCAAGGUGCGGGGUGAAAUUCUCUAAAUGCCGGACCAAGGAUUUAGCAAUACCUAACUUAUCACUUUGCAUGUAGUACACUAGGACAUGAUUGCUAUUACUACGAUUACUGCGUUAUGAGCUUGUGAGGAACACAUAUACCCUAGUUGAUUCUCUCAUAUUGAUAACAACCAAAUUUGACUUUUGUUUACUGAUUAAUUAUUGAAUUCUUACUAUUUGUUUCACAAGACCAACCCCUUUAAUUACUUGUUUCUGGAAGUAAUUUGACUAAACGAAUAUAAUUGUUGGUUAAAGUUAAGUCUAAACCAUUUUCCUCGUGGUAGCGAUCCCAACCUACAAGUUGGGUUCUUUACUUGAUAACGAUCGCUUAUGCUUCUUUAGGGAAGUGUAAUUUGAGUGUAUCAAAUUUUGGCGCCGCUGCUGGGGAAAUCUUGCCAUUUACCGGUAGAGCUAGAGCAUAAGGCUUUGUGGGCGAUGAAGAAGCUAAAUUUGGAUUGGGGCACCGCAUCUAAUCAAUGAAUUAAUGACUUGAAUAUGCUUGAUGAGUUUCCCCUAAAAGGCUUAUUAUAGUUUAGCCUUGUACAAAGAGAAGAUGAAGAGGUAUCAUGAUCAAAGAAUUGAAAAGCGAGAAUUUGUUGUGGGUGAUCUUAUGCUUCUAUUCAACUCUAGGUUGCGCUUGUUUCCGGGUAAACUCAAAUCCAAAUGGACUGGGCGAUUUUUGCUCACAGAAGAGCUUUCCCAUGGAGCGGUUGAGGUUGAGAACAGUGACCGAACAAGGUUCAUGGUUAACGGCCAAAGGAUCAAGAUUUAUCUGGGAAACGCAGAAAGUGUGCGAGAAGUUGUGGAGGCCUAUCAUCUUGAUGAAGUCUGAGUAAUAAAGAGGUCUACGUCAUGCCACGAUGUUAAAUCAAGUGCUGCUUGGGAGGCAACCCAAGAUGUACAAUAUAGCCAACGAUAGGUUUUUGUUUUCCAUCUAACAGUUUCUGUGUUUAGUUGAUUCUCUGUAAUAAUUUAGAUAGGUGUUUUAGUUUUUUUGUAGUGUGGGCUAGAAUUAGCAUAGGGUCCAUGUCUAAAAGUGUCCAGAAAAUAUUAAAAAAAUAGCCUAAUGGUUGCUACAUGUGCAGGUACGCUAUGCAAAAUCUGUAGAAAAUGGUCUGGUGCAGAAGUCUACGGACCCCAUCGAUGGUCCGUCGAUCCAUCCACGGACCGUGGAUGGUGUCCGUAGAUCCCAGGUAAGCCCUUAAACUUUACCAAGUGUAAGAGUGAUCUACGGUCCCAAUCUACGGACUGUAGAUCAACCCACGGACCGUAAACGGGGUCUCGUGGGUCCAAAACCCUAAUUCUGUCUGACCCGACCCGGACCCCCUUAUUUAAAAUCUCCCAAUUUUAAAUUAUUCCACUUCCCUCCAUUUACCCCCAAACCGUUUCAUAACUUCCCAAACUCCUUAAAUCACUCCAUAACUCCCCCAUAAAAUCAUCCCUCCCAUUCCCCCAUAAUUCCCACGAUCCCUUUUCAUACUGAAUACUACUCAUUCCAUAUUCCACAAAAGGGUUCGGUGUUUGGGUUAGUAACGAAGAGGUGGUUUUUGGCCUCGAAAGCAUCUGUCAUCACACAAUCACCCCAUUCCCGUUGUUGUAAGGUAAUAGACUUUCUCUUCACUUUGAAUUUCGAUUCAUUUAUAGAUUAAAGAAAGGCAGGGAUUGGGUCUUGACUUUGGGUAAUUGUUAGAUGAAAUUUGGGUCUUGACCUUGGGUAAUUGUUAGAUGAAAUUACAUGAUAAAAUUGGAAGUUACAAUACCCUAGGAACGAUAGAUAGUGAUUGUGUUGCCUUGUUUUUAUGUGAUUAUAAGUCUAAAUGUAAGUUUCAACUUAGGUUUCCAAAGUUUGUCUUAAACACUAGAUAAAAUGAUUAAUCGGAAUCCUGAGAAUGACAAACUAGCAUGAUUAAAUGUUGAAAUGCAUGGUUAGACUAGGAUGUUGUUGAAAAUGGUCUAAGAUGUGGGCUUGAAAAUAAAAAAUGGCUGAAAUCUGGCACAACUCACAUCCACGAUACCCCGUCUACGGACUGUAGAUUAGGUUCGUGAAUGGAUGCACUUGAAAAUUUCACCAAGUGUGAAACCACGGAUGUGGACUACGGUCCGUAGAUCAAUCUACGGACCGUUCUGUACAUUCGUUGUUUCCAUCUGCGACCAAUAUUGUUGGUCCUCUGAUCCACGAAAGGGUUCCACGGACCAUAUAUCAUUCUACGGAUCGUAGGUCCCCUCCGUGGAUGACCACUAUAGCCAAUGUCUGAAGUUGUUUUUUAGGUCUUUGUUACUAUUCGUUUUUAGUUCUAAAAUUUUUUCUAGUGUAUUUAUAGUUAUUUUUGGCACUAAUAUCGCUUCCACAGGUACGAUGGUACCCAAGAAGCUAGUCACCUACUCAAAACAUGACAAGUCAAAAUCUGUGGCUCCUAGCUUCAGGUUAAUCGAUGAUGACACGGACACAGAAAAAAUAUCCAGCAUGCGUUCCUCCCAACACAAGGACUUCUCCCACUGCAUCCCAAGCCACCAGAGGCACCCCAGAAGGUGAUUACGACGUAGUCACUGUCUCCCAGUCUGAUGAGGAGCACACACUGAUCGGGUCACCAACUGGGCUGCUUCUAGUUCAGCUACUAGGUCUACGUCUGGCUCCGAGUUUGCCCAUGCUUCGGGCUCUGAGUCUAGCCAUGCUUCAGGGUCCGAGUCUGCCCACGCUUCGGGGUCCAAUGCCAAGUCAGCCACAAGGUCCGGCUAAAAUGAACAAGCAGCCUCAUCUGAUGAGGACACUAGCUCAGAGUCAGUACCCGUACCAAGGAAGGAGGACCCUACACUAGUGGACAGUGAACCAAACAGAUAGUGUGUUGAGGGCCAAUGGCAAAUCUAUCGGGAUGCCAAGAUGAAUAAUGACAAAGAGAAGAUGGCUCGACUUAUUAGCAGAGUCCUCAUAGGGAGCUUGCACACUGUCCCCGACAUCCACCGGCUUUGUAACCUUCACAAGUAUAACUGGAUGGCUCGAGACCCAGGGACUUUUAGUGAGGAGAUUUUACGGGAGUUAUACGCCUCCUAUGCCGCCACUCUCCGUGGUUCGAUCUUUAAGCUGUCAAAGCCCAUAGCCUAGGACCCUCUCACUUCCACUAUGGUCCGAGGUUGUCCGGUGGACAUAUCACAUGCCACCAUUAGCCGCUUUCUCUAUGGACGGGUUACUCUUGGUCACUAAACACAGCGGAGUUUGAUUACAGAUGGGACAUCGUGCGGAGUGGCGCUUUCCAGAGGAAUGCUGAGCAGCGAGAGGUUGUUAUACUAUGGUUGGCUAAUUACAUUGCUGCAGAUGGCGAGCGUACGGAGUGGGUCGCCAGAGAACAGUUGGGUAUCCGAAAGGCCACAUUGAAUUUUGUGGCCAUGUUCUUCUGGUUGUUGUUGCAUAAUAGAGUGUCACCUAUAAAAGCCGAUAACCAACUCACAUGGGAAAGAGCGUUCAUGGUUGCAGCAUUAGUAGUAGGACUGGAGAUUGACUUUGCCCGCAUGCUGCUAGCAAAGAUUCAGGAGAGGACAUUCAAGACCUCCACUACUUACCCUUUUCCAUGUUUGAUUUUCCAAUUGUGUAGGGACUCUGCAAUGCCGAUCUGGCAUUGUGAUAGGUUGAUUCACCAUGCAGGGACUUUGGAUAUAGGCUUCAUUCGAGAUGAGGCAAAUAUGGUGGUACCUCGAAGAGAAACCAAGUUAAGGUACCUCCCUUGGGCGCAGAUCUUGCAGACACGCUGGGGUAGGCACAGUGCGGUUACCCCAUUAUACCAAAUCACACCGAUACUGUCCCGGCCUCCUCUUCCCGGGCCGCUAGUAGGGCACCUAACUCAUUCUGGUCCACACCACCAUUUGGAGUUGCUAUUGUCCCGUUGGUAAGAGUACAGAAACUAUAGGCUCAGAUGGCCACACUACUGCAUCACAUCCAGCCUUGGAUGCAAAAGUCAAUAAGCGAGUCCGAGGCCAGAAUGGAGCGAAGGAUGGAGGGCAUAAUGGACCGAAAGAUCCAGGCCAUUAAUACGCUUCUCGAUGCCUUUGAAUUGCGAGUCCUCGAGCGACUAGCCCCGACCAUAGAUCUAUCCUUUUUUGAGGCUGAGUUAGCCAGUUUCCGGGCCGACGUUGAUGCCAUUCUUGCCACCCCUACAGUUGAGCCUCAGGAUGCAGCCAUUACGUUGGCCGAUGAUACCGUGCUGGUUGCUUUAUUUAGUGGGACUGUCGAGGAGGGGCUUGAGCCUACACAUACUAAGGGUAAGAGACAUCGUUCUAGUCUCACUGAGGAGGAAAAAGUCCAAGGAGGCAACGUAGGCAGGAGAAAGAGGCUAGGAAGGCUUCAAUUUUAGAUGAAGAGUUGCGCCAGCGGAGGGUGCAUGAGAGUGUUGCAGGGGCAUCGAGUUCUGCCCUAGUUGUAGAGGUCCCGCCUGUUGUGAGGGACGUUGUAAGAACCACUGAUGGUGCAGGUAGAGUGACCGAGAGCACUACUGAGGGUGCUAUGAUGGAUGAUGUGGGUACUAUUGAGGGUGACCCAACUUUUGUUCCAGCGGGGUCCGGGAAACUAGACCCAACCGUUUGUUGAUGAGUCUUUGGCGCUAUGCGUCACAGGUUUGCUUCACCCAAUCCAUUAUCUUUUACUAUUUUUGUAUGCAUUGGGGACAAUCACAUCUCUUUUUGUUGGGGGUGGGGUAAAUGGAUUGUGACUGAUAGGGUGAAGUCUGAGUAACCAACUCAUAAAUCCUCUCUUAGGCUUUUCUUGCCUGUGUCCUUUUUCCCCAAGAGACUGUUUAAUUUCUGUUGAACCGACAUGUGUUAGGAUCGUAUGUGUAAACGCAUGAAAAAGAAUAAAGCAUAAUGGCUUAUGAAAAAAAUAAUACCCGUCCAAAUUUUGUGAUGUGUGCUAGAAUGUGUAGGCAAAAGAUAAGUUGAAUGUGUUGGCUCUGAGUAUGACAUGAUAAUAAACCAACUUGAUGGCAUGACUUAAGCUAAAACUUGAACUGAGUAAUCUGAUAAUGAAACUAUAUGCCAAGAGUGUGUGAGAAUCGUUGAUUGUUCAAACAGUUUUCGUGCGAACCUAGAACUUGCCCGGUUAGUCCUGCUAAGACAAUUCAUUCUAGAGGCUAGGAAUUGAUCAUAUGCCCUUUAUUCUGAUAAGUCCACAAAUUGCCUAAAAGAAGGAUCCAACCAAAUGAAAUAAAUGCUCCCUUUGAUCCAAAUGCUUUGAGCCUAAAAUUAGACCAUUUCUUUCUAAACCCCAAACUCACCUUCCUAUAAUCGAAUGUGUUGGCCCCGGUCCCUCCUAGGACAUGUGCACCUCGACAUAGGCCAAAAGCCUAAGUUGAGGGUGGCUAAUGUAAAAAGUAACUUCAAUCUUGGCCCUGACCCGACAUCGGGUAUUGUGCACCUCAACCAAUGGAAAAUCCGUAAGAUGAGGAUGGCUAUGAAAGAGGAAACCGAAAGAAAAAUGGGUAUGAAAAGAGUUUGAUGUUGAAAAAGAGAGGAAAGGAUGUGACUUGUUGAAAGCUAAAGAAAAGAAUAAAAUGCAAGAAAAAGUAAAAAAUAAAAAAUAAAGAAUAAAAAAAAUAAAAAAUAAAGAGCUACAAAGUCUAAAGUUACAUCCAUGGUUGAAGAAAAUCAAGGGAAAGAAGGUACAACGGUAGGAUGGCAAAAAUAGGGAAAAAAGAAGUUGAAAGCCUAGUGUAAUGUUAAGGAGGGCAGAAAGUCAGUAAGAAGUACCCAAAAUGUACCACACCUGACCCUGAGUCUACGUUACAAGCCAAGAAAGUCAUAUAGUGAUCCUAGAGUCUAGUUUGGAGAGUCUAAGCAAUGAAAAUAAGGGCAAGUCUAUGGUACUGAGCACUAAUUGUACUUGAAGUUAUUUCUAAGUGUGAGUGUUGAAUGAAUUCUUGUACUCAAAUUCAUAGUCAUUGUGUGAAAGAAUAGGGAUUUUGUUUGAAGUAAGGGCACUAGUUACAUUGUUGAAAAGUUGUUACUUUCGUGAUAGUGAAACAAUGUAUGGUGUGUUUUGGUUGGUCGAUCGUUCUCAUGGUUUGAUCAGCAUGAAUUAGUUUGUCGAGUCUAAGAGAACAAAUUUUGCACUCGGAAAGUGAGUGGGAUAGAGAGCCAUGUGAUUGCUUGUGUUUGAAAUGCUUGCUUCUGUACAAGUGUCGUUUAGAGUCUUAGUGUGUCGCUUGAGGACAAACAACAAAUUUAAGUUGAGGGUGUUGAUAUACCGUGAGUUUACUGUAUUUCUAAUACAUUUCACUUACAAGGUGUGUGUGUCUAGGGCCUUUUUGUAUUGGUUUUUAUCAUAUUUUGCAGGAAAGAUGUUCAGGCGCGGAAGUAAAGAGACAGCUGAAAGAAAUGCAGAAAAGGGCAUCUACGGAGGUGAUGUACGGACCGUAGGUCCAUUGACGCCCGUAGAUGGUGGUCGUAGAUCAGCAGGUAAGGCAUGGAAGGCAAAUCAGGGAAAUCUGACUGAGUGUGGAACCACGGUGACCAUUGACGAUUCGUAGAUUGAUCUACGGACCUUACUGUUAAUCCGUAGAUUGAUACUGUGAGGGUUCCAGUACCUGAUUUUUGAAGAUUCUAAGUGUGGAGCUACGGAGGAGGAUUGACGGACCGUAGAUCGAUCUACGGUCCGUACUACAGUUCCGUCGUUUGCUUCAUAGAAGCUAAUUUUUUGGAAGCUAAAAUAUUUUCUAAGUCCUGGCUUACAAAAGGGACUCACGGACUGUAGAUCCAUUGACGAUCCGUGAGUCAGUCUCAUGGAAUGAAGACACGUGCCUGAACUAAACUUUCCUUAUUUUGUUCCCUUUAAUUUAGGACUUGUUUCUUUAAUAGGGCAUGUAAACCUCGUUUUGGGGGGUUAGACUUUAUUACUUUUGUUCUAGUUCUUGAUUUGGGAGAUUAACUUACAACUUUAGCAAUUCUUAAUUUCCUAAGUUUGUUUUGAAGAUUUUGGUGUUGCAAUUCAAGUUGAAUUUCUGAGUUUAUUAUUCCUCUUACGUAAGUUCAUAAUUCUUUCAUCUAAACCAAUGAAUUGUCUUCAUAUAUUUAUGGGUAACUAAACUCCACAACUAAGGUUGUGGGAACUAUGAGCGAUUAACAAAGUAUGAUAGUAAAUAAGAAAUUCUUGAAUAGUGUUGUUGCAUGCAUUGAUAAUUCUUUCGUUUAGAAGUCUUUUUAACGAGUCCACGCAUUAGAACUCGCCUUGUUGCUACUUGCCGGAUCAAGGAGGUAAUCAACAAGAAAAGAAUUAUCAACAUAGACUUAGUGUGAUACUUUCUAAUAGGCUAGUGUCGAUUGGUGCGAAGUAAUAACUAAGCCAAACAUCAAUGUGAUGUCUAAUAUGAGGUAAAUGUAAGGGUUAGUAAGUUAUACACACAUAGCCGGACCAAGGUGCGGGGUGAAAUUCUCUAUAUGUUGGCCCAAGGGUUUAGCGAUACCUAACUUAUCAAUUUGCAUGUAGUACACUAGGACAUGAUUGCUAUUACUAUGAUUACUACUUUAUGAGCUUGUGGGGAACACAUAUACCCUAGCUGAUUCUCUCAUAUUGAUAACAACCAAAUUUGACUUUUGUGUACUGAUUAAUAACUACAUUCUUACUAUUUGUUUCACAAGAUCCCCCCCCCCCCUUUAAUUACUUGUUCUGGAAAUAAUUUGACUAAACGAAUAUAAUUGUUGGUUAAAGUUAAGUCUAAACCAUUUUCCUAGUGGGAUCAACCCCAACCUACAAGUUGGGUUCUUUACUUGAUAACGAUCGCUUAUUCUUCUUUAGAGAAGUGUAAUUUGAGCGUAUCACUACCCUUCCAUUCUAAGAUUGGCUCGUCUGGAAGUUGAAAACAAACAAUCCUAGUUCUACAAUCGACUGAGGCAUAACAGGAAUGUAGCUAAUCCAUUCCUAGAAUGAUAUCGAAGUCUACCAUUUCUAACUCUACAAGAUCUGCUGAUGUGACUUUUUGGGAGAUUGUGAUAGGGCAAUUUCUGUAUACAUGUCUAGUUAUAAUUGGGUCACUGACUAGAGUAGAGACUGAGAAGGGUUCUGAGAUAGUUUCUGGACUAACAUUGAAGUUGACUGCUAUAUAAGGAGUUACAAAGGAAUAGUUUCCCCUGGAUCUAACAAUGCAUAAACAUCUAAGUCAAAGACUCGUAACGUACCAGUGAGUAUAUCCGGAGAAUCUUCCUGACUUGAAGAGCAUACAACCUGUUUUUGGCACUGACCGCCACCUGUACCAAAUGAGUUACCCUGUUGAGUCAGGCAACCUACUGGUGCUGCUGAAGUUGUAGACUGAGCUCUACUAUUAUUGCCCCCUUGACCCUGCUUAAAAGGACAAUCUUUCAUCCUGUAACAAGACUGACCACACCCAAAACAUCCUUCCUUUCUUGCAAGGCACUCGCCCGGAUAGUUCUUACCACACUUUGGACAAGUUGGGUAGGUUCUGGUGCCUGAAAUAUUUCCUUUAGACUUAGAGCCUGAUGCCCUACCUUUUUUAUCCUGUCGGGACUUGGAGGAUAGAACACUAGUUGAUGAAGGUGCUGGAGCUGAAGACUUCUGCUGAAACUCUGAGAGAUUUCCACCACCCGAUUUCUAUUGAGAAUACUCAUAGUUGCCUGUUUAAGCCUUCUUAUUAUCCUUAGCAUGUUCCCUAAGCUUAUCUCCCUCAAUAUACUAAGCAUGAGACAUGAUCCUAGAGAUGUUCAUAUUUUCGAGCAACAUAGUACUUCUACACUCUGUUUUAACUAAGUCGAAUAGCACAUACAGAAACUUGUUCAUUUGAGCCCUGGAAUCAGCAACUACGUGAGGAGCAUAUAUAGAGAGUUGGGUAAACUUGAGUCCAAACUCUUGGACUGUCAUGUUACCUUGCCUCAGAUUUAUGAACUCCUAAGCUUUUGCCUCCCUCAACUUUCUUGGGAAGAACUUGUCCAGAAAAGUUUCACUAAAGCAUUCCCAAGUGAUAGGAGUUGCAUCUGUACCCUUGCUCUCUUCCUACUGAGAAUACCAGACUUGAGAUACAUCCUUCAGCUGAUAGGAUGCCAACUCUACCCUAUUAUUACCUGUCACUUGCAUUACUCUAAAGACCUUCUAGACCUCAUCUAUGAAGUUUUGGAGAUACUCACCCAUCUGCGAUCCUAAGAACUCAGCCGUAUUCAUCCUAACGAGGUCAUGAACCCUGGCUGCCACUGAUCCACCACCAGCAUUUAAAGUUACUGGACCCUGCUAGUUGUUCUGAUUAGUUACACUCUUAGCCAACAGUUGGAUGGCGUUCCUGAAAUUUGCAUCUGAAACAUCCUAAUCUAGAACAGGAGCAGUUGCAUUAGCAUUUCUGGAAACAAGGAGGCAUGAUCUGAAAUGCAUAACGUCAAGUUAGAACGAGGAAAUUGGAUCAUACAUCAAGCACGAUAAGAUUAACAAAGAGAGUGAAGUUUUCCUAAAACACUUUGUAGCCUCCAUUUCAUUACAUGUGGUGCACUUCAAACCCAUGAAAGGACUCUAUUUAGUGCGACUUUUCAGACAUCCUAGGACACUUAAACCUAAUGCUGAGAUACCAAGUUUUCCACGCCCCGAGGGUACCCUUGGAUGUAGACACGGGACCUAGGAUCACGAGUGGCCCCAAGCUAACCCUGUUAGCAUAUCAUAAGCAUACUAAAGUAAACUGAAUCAACAAUCACUAUGCACAAGCUAAAUCAUAUGAUAGUCUGGAAUGAUGGGGAAUACCCAUAUACUAAAUCUGAAUAUAAGAAAACUGAGAGUUUGAAUACAAAUGAAAAGUCAGACUCUAACACUAAAGUUGAAACUAAAUAUGUCUGAAAUAAGCCUUUAAACUGACUAGAAGUGCUGGGACAUGUCCCAGCUAAAUCUAGCAAAAAUUGAAACCUAAAGACUAAAAUGGAAAGAUAACAUGUCAACUGUCCUCGAAGAAUGAGGACUCACCACUGAUGUUGUUGAACUACAGAUCGGGAACCGAUCUAUGCGUGAUGUGACUAUUGAGGACCUGAACCUACAUCACGAGAAGAUGUAGCGCAGAGUAUGCAUCAGUACUUGAAAUGUACUGAGCAUGCAGGAUGGAGUAAGGCUGAAUAAUAACAUAACUGAACAAGUAAUAAAGCAAUGAUAUAGUCUGAACAUGAAAAGGAUUCUGGAAAUACUAAAUAUGGCUAAAUUGAAUGCAAUGACCAAGUUUGUAACAUGCUGAGACUGAAUACUGAACUAUAUUGAUGACAUGGUCAAUGCAAUAGGAUUUUACUGAACUGUGGGAGCUACUAAUAACCGACAUAAAACCACAUGAGCUAAAUGUGAAGUCCGAUGUAUACGCCCCAUCGAAAGGACCCAAUAUACCCUGCCAGAGGUAUAGAGGCAUGCUGGCGUGAUCACUAAAAUGUUACCCAUAGAGGGGACUUACAACCCACGGGGUACGUAGUUCUAGGACUUUCGGGUGACUGACCAUAGCCCACUCGGUAUUAAGCUUCUCCCAUUUGAUUCUGUGAUUUAACAAUUUAUAAUUGAAAUGCAGUAAUACUGAAUAGCUCAAAAUACUCGCAUGCAAACUGAGAAUGCAACAUUAAUAUACUGAUAAUGAACAUUCAAAAACAGAGGCAUUAUAACUGAAAUAUCUGGUCUAGCAUAUGUAAUUCAUGAAAGAAAAGAACUACAUAGCUAGGAUUCUGAGUUUAUGGAAAAAUCUACACCAAACCAUACUAACAUCAUGAUAAUCUGAUUAGGAACAUUAAAACAAAUAAUUUAUAAUGAUUUGCUAAAAUUCUAGAAACCCUAGGUCUAGAUAAUAUUAAGGGAACCAAGAAUUUGAAUGAAUCCUAGGGACCUAAUGGGCAAAAGGAACCCACUAGUGAAAUCCUACAUACCUGGUGACGAAUUGCACGGAGAAAUCUUUCAAUUUUGGGGCAGAAACUGAUUAAAACUUGUUGCGUUCUUGGAGCUAGGGCUGGUCGACUCUUUAUCCUUCUUUGUUCUAAUUUUUCUAAGUUUUUGAUGAAUGAUUUGCUUAGGGUAGAUUCUAGUUAAGUUACUACGCUAAACUAACCAAAACUACGUAGUUUAGGGUUUAAAUGACGUAGUUUAGGGGUCCAACACAUAAGGAAAUGACCAACCGACCCUUGACUUAAAAGCGAGUUAAUAUUUUAAAAGGUCACCCAACUAUGAUAAUUUAUGUUGUAAAGUCAUUAAACUUUAUUUUGUAUCAAUAAAAUCACUCAACUAUGGGAAUGUAUGUUGUAAAGUCAUUAAGCUUUAUUUUGUAUCAAUAAAAUUACUCUACUUGUGAAUUUUUUUCUUCCAAAAUCACUCAACCAAAUGAAAUAAACAAAAUUAAAGAAAACUAAUUUCUUUUAUCCCAUCCACACACUCCCAAAUUAAAAUAACGUAUUUAGGUAGAUCGAUAAGUAAAUAUUUCCAGCUAUCAUUUUAGCAUGAGAUCUGCCAUUUUUAGCUCUUUUCUAUGAUUAAUAACUGUAGUUAAAUGAUAAAAAUUUAUUUUUGAAACACGUAUCAAUUAUCAUACAGUAUUAAAUAAAUUUUACAAAUACCAAAUGCGUGUGCAAUAUUUAUUUCUUUUUCGUUGACUUUGAAUUUGUUUUAUCAAUAAGUUAUUUAUUUGAUAUCAUAUUUUAGAAUAUCUCUACUUUACUGUGAUAUUUUUUUCCAGACCAACUUUUCUUAUUACUUUAGUAGCAGUAAUUUUUCUCUUAUUUAUAACAUAAACAUUUUCGGAGUUCAAUUUCUUGCUAAAAUGUGCAUUAAAAAUAUUUAAUCAUCUAUUUGAAUUUGUUAUUUAAUUUGUUAGUGGUUUGGGUAAAAAUAAAUGAAUUUUGUCUAUCUCUGGGAUCCGUGUAUAAUAUAAAAAAUUAAUUUAUUUUGUCAUGUUAGAUUUUUUAAAGUUAAAUUAGGGCGAGUGACUUUGUAAGAUAAAAGCUCUAAGUUGAAUGAUUUUGUAAGAUAAAAACUCUUAGUUGAGUGACUUUACCGAUAAAAAACAAAGUUUAAUGACUUCACUACAAAAAUUUCCAUAGUUGAGUGACCUUUUAAGAUAUUAACUCCUUAAAAGUUGUCGGGUCACCAACGGAUGGAAUCGACGGACCGUGGAUCGACCAACGGUCCAUGUUGGUCAACUGUCAUCGGCGACUGGGAGCUGAAAUGGGGGGGUUGGUUGACCUACGGCCCUGGACCACGGACCGUGGUUUGACCUACGAUCCGCAGGUCUUGGCGUGGCUUGACCCCUAGCCAAUUUUUUUGAGGCUUCUGGGAGGGUCGUAGGUGUUGCACCACAAACCUGCAGAAUGGACCGUGGGUGGCAACCGUGGGUUACACCUAUAAAUAUGAAAUCUGCAUUUUGGUCUGUUCUAGCAUACAGAGUGUUACAUAACUCAUCCUGAGCUAGGAGUUAUGGUAAUUUGAAGUUAACCCAAAACUCAUACUUAACUUAAUUUUGUCAAAUUUCUAGAUUUUUCAUUCUUUCCAAAAAUGAUUCUUUCUAAUUCUAUCUCCUUCUAGUUGCGGGGUGUUACAAUAUCUCCACCUUGGGAACAUUCUUCCUCGAAUGAGAUCAAUCUUAGCAGGCUAAGGAUGUAACAUCUAACAUCAGUUCAAACACCCAACAAGCAAAAUGCAAAUACAACAUGCCAACUUAUAAAUAAAUACCAAUAAAAGGAUUAGUACCUUAAUUUGGAUCUUUUUCGGAUUCGAAGAAAUUUGGGUAUCUCUUCUUCAGAUCCUCCUCAGCUUCCCAAGUGGCCUCCUCAACAAACUAAUUUCUCCACAGAACUUUAACUGAUACUACCCCUUUUGUCCUCAACCUGCGAAGUUGGCGGUCUAGAAUCUGAAUAAGAAUCUCCUCAUAUGAUAAGAUAUCCUUGAUACCAAUGUAUUCAUUUGGUAUAAUCAAUAAAGGAUCACCCAUGCAUUUCUUCAACAUGGAAAUAUGAAAUACUGGAUGGACCGUUGCUAACUCUUGUGGUAGCUCUAACUCAUAAGCGUCAUUGCCAAUCCUCUUGUAUAUUCUGUAAGGGCCAAUAUGUUGGGGACUAAGUUUCCCCUUCCUACAAAAUCUCAUAACACCUUUAAUGGGUGAAAUUUUCAAGUAGACCCAAUAAUCUACUCCAAACUCUAACUCCCUUCUCCAAACAUCAGUGUAGGAUUUUUGAUGACUCUGCACUAUUUUCAACCUUUCUUGAAUACCUUUCACUUUGUCCAUAGCUUGAUGAACUAAGUAUGGUCGUAUCAAACCAGCUUCACCAACUUCAAACCAUCCAAUGGGAGAUAUGCAUCUACUCCCAUAAAGAGCUUCAUAAAGAGCCAUAUGGAUGCUAGAGUGGUAACUAUUGUUGUAAGAAAACUCAAUAAGAGGUAGAUGAUCAUCCUAAUUACCCUUGAAAUCAAUCACAUAGUCCCUCAACAUAUCUUCUAAAGUCUGAAUAGUGCGCUUUGCUUGACGAUCUGUCCGAGGAUGAAAAGUAGUGCUCAAGUUCACCUUUGAACCCAAGCCUUUCUUGAAUGACUUCCAAAACUGUACAGUAAAUUGCGCACCUCUGUCUGAAAUAAUGCAAACCAGAAUCCAUGAAGUGUAACUACCCCUUGAAGAUACAACUAGGCAUAGUCCUCUGCCGAAUGGGUAGUCUUUACUGGCAAAAAGUAGGCUGAUUUUGUCAUUCUAUCGACAAUCACCCAAAUAGAAUCAUGUUGUCUGCGAGACCGUGGAAACCCAGUAAUGAAAUCCAUAUUGAUCAUCUCCCACGUCCAUUUCGAAAGUUCUAUAUUCUGAGCCAUACCACCGGUCCUUUGGUGCUCUACCUUAACUUGUUCACAAUUCGGACACUUAGCAACAAACUAUGCAACGCCCUUCUUCAUACUACUCCACCAACAAACUUCUCUGAAGUCACAAUACAUCUUUAUGGAACCCAGAUGGAUAGAAUAUCUGGAGCUAUGAGCUUCCUUCAUGAUCCUCUCUUGGAGUUCAAUACACCAUAUCCCUCUUGCUCAAAAGCAAUUACUUUUUGCUUAUGAACAUUUGCCUUCAAUUCAAGCAAAAUAGGAUCUUGGUCUUGCUUUUCUUUCACUUCUGACACUAAUGAUGAUUCAGCUCCAUUCAUCACCAUACCCCUCCUUCUCUGGAAUCCAUUAGGCGUACUACCAAUCGUGCAAGUCUAUGCACAUCUUUUACUAGUUCUUUCUUCUCUUCCUCAACAUGGGCUGUACUACCCAUAGAUAACCUACUCAAGGCAUCAACAAUAACAUUAGCCUUACCUAGGUGAUAGAGAAUACUCAUGUCAUAAUCUUUGAGUAACUCUAACGACCUCCUUUGUUUGAGAUUAAGCUCUUUCUGACAAAACACAUACUAAAGACUCUUGUGAUCGAUGACCACAUACACAUCAACACCAUAAAGAUAAUGGCACCAUAUUCUUGAAGAAAAUAUUACGUCAGCCAAUUCUAGAUCAUGGGUUGGGAAUUCUUCUCAUGAACUUUUCACUGUUUGGAGGCAUAAGCUAUAACUUUGACAUACUGCAGUAACACACAACCCAAACCAACUAUGAACGCAUCACAAUAUACAACAAAACCUUGUGUACCUUCUAGUAAGGUCAAUACUGGGGCAGUAGACAACCUCUUUCUCAAUUCCUGAAAGCUUUUAUCACACGCUUCAGACCAUUGAAACUUUAUUUUUUUUGAGUUAAUUUGGUCAAAGGGGACGAAAUAGUUGAGAACCCCUCUAUGAACCUUCUAUUAUAUCCAGCCAAACCCAAGAAACUCCUAAUAUCAGUUGGAGAUGUGUGUCUAGGCCAAUUCUGCACUACCUCUAUUUUUUGAGUGUCAACUUUGAUUCCAUCAGCGGAAACAAUGCAGCCUAAGAAUGCCACAGACUCAAGACAAAACUCACACUUAGAGAACUUGGCAUAGAACUCUCUAUCCUUUAGAGUUUGGAGAACUAUUAUGAGAUGACUAGCAUGAUCUUCCUCAUUCCUCGAAUAGAUUAGUAUUCCAUCAAUGAACAUAAUAACAAACAUGUCUAAAUAAGUCUUGAAUAUUCUAUGCAUAAGGUCCAUGAAGGUUGUAGGUGCAUUGGUUAAACCAAACGUCAUGACCAAAAACUCGUAAUGACCAUAAUGGGUCCUGAAAGCUGUCUUUGGAAUAUCAAAUUCCCUUACUCUUAACUGAUGGUAGCCAGAUCUGAGGUCUAUAUUAGACAGGCAAGUGGCAUCAUGAAGCUGAUCGAAAAUAUCUUUAACUCUCGGAAGAGGCUACUUAUUCUUGAUAGUAACCUUGUUUAACUGACGGUAAUCUAUACACAUCCUAAGGGAAUCAUCCUUCUUCCUGACAAAUAAGACCGGAGUGCCCCAAGGUGAGACACUUGGUUGAAUAAAACCUUUCUCUAGGAGGUCUUUCAACUGCUCCUUCAACUCUUUUAACUUUGCCGGUGCCAUCUUAUAUGUUGGAAUAGAUAUAGGACGAGUAUCACGAAGAAUAUCUAAUAUAUACUAAAGUCUAUUUCUCUCUCAGGAGGGCCUCCGGGAAGAUCAUCUGGAAACACUUCUAGAAACUCUUUUACUAUUGAAACUGACUGAAUAAGAGGUAUCUCAACACUAGAGUCAUUAACUCGGACUAAGUGAUAGACACGCCCCUUGGAAACUUUCUUGCCUUGAGGUACGAAAUAAAACAACCCUUAGGGACUGCUGAACUACUUUUCCACUCUAAGACUAGCUCAUUUGGAAACUGGAACUUGACAGCUCGAGUUCUACAAUCAACUGAGGCAUAACAGGCAUGAAACCAGUCCAUACCAAGAAUAACAUCAACAUCUACCAUGUCUAACUCAACUAAAUCAGCCAUGGUGCUCUUGUGAUUGAUGGAAAUAGUACAAUCAUUAUAGACUCUCUCUGCUAGAAUAGACUCACCAACAUGUGUAGAAACACGGAAUGACUCACUAAGUUCGUCAGGAAGAAUAUCAAAAUUCAUCGCAACAGAAGGAGUUACAAAGGAUAAACUUGUUCUUGGAUCUACAAAGCUUAACAUGAAAGUUGAAGACUUGGAUCAUACUAGUGACAACAUAUGGAGAAUCCUCUUUCUCUUACCGACUAGUGAUAGCAUAAAGACGGUCUCCUCCUCCGCCUGCCCCAAAAGUAGGUCCUCUAGAUGCAGCUCUGUCUGGUGGAGCAACUGAAGAAGACUGGGCUCUAUUGCCCCCAUUACCAUUACCUUUCUUGUUCUUUGGACACUCGCGUAUAAAAUGACCAUUUUGGCCACACUUAAAGCAACUAGUAGAGCCAACACGACACGUAACUCAGUGGUUCCUACCAUACUCAGCACAUGUAGGAGACUUACUACCCCUUUUUGCCAUACUACCCUAAGGAUAGGCAGGUUUAGCUCUGAAAUUCUGACUAUUGUACUCACAUUUGUUCUUUGGUGCAAAUGCACUAGCAGAUAAAGGAGCAAGUCCCUUUUGUUUCUAUAGGAAGGAAGACCGGUUCACAUUACUCUUUUGCUGCCCGGACUCAUUCCCUGAUGUCUUAGCGCUCUUAUUCUUAAAAUCUUCUCUAUCCCUAGGCUUAUCCUCCUCAACUUGUUGCACAUAGAUCAUUAGCCUUGCUAUGUUCAUAUCCCCUAUCAGCAUAGUUGCCUUGCCUUCCUUUCUUGACCGGCGAUACAAUCCAGCAACGAAUAAACUCAUCCUGCUCCUCAUGUCAGCAACCAUCUCCGAAGAAUACCGGGAAAGUUGUGUGAACUUUAGACUAUACUUAUGAAUGCUCUAAUAAUCCUGCUUAAGAGUGAGGAACUCUCGUACCUUUGCUUCUCUUAGUUCUCAGGGGAAGAAACACCCCAAGAAGGCUUCCUCAAAACAAACCCAACUCAGAAGUGGUGCACCAUCAACUCGAUUAUUCUUCCAUUGAUCAAACUAGAUUCUAGUGACACCCUUCAUUUGGUAUGCAGCUAGUUCCAUGCUCUCAGUAUCAGCAUCAUGCAUGUAACACCUUGAAAACUAGACCCAGAAAAAAAUUGUAGAAACCUACCUGACCCAAUGAACCACGGCAAGGUUCAAGGAUCGUGAUAGGGUCCACGGUCUGUUGACCUGCCCGUGGACUCAGCCCUUAGUAGCAGAGGUGGAUCUCCUCGCCAAAGUAAGGACCAUAAGGACCUUCACAGUUCGUGGUGCUCACAAUGGGUCGUGGUGGCAUCCGUAGGAGGCUAACUAAUAGGCCACCAAACCAAGCCCUCACACCCCCUUGCCCAAGUAAGGAUCACGGGGACCUUCACGGUCCAUGGUCCUGAAGACGGAACGUGGGGGAGUCCGUGAAGUCUAACCAGUAGACCCCAAGACCUGAGCCUCUACACCUCAGCCCAAGUGAGGACCACGGGGACCUUCACGGUCCGUGGUCCUCCACACAGACCAUGGUAGGGGCUCGUGGAUAAGACCCUAGGACCCCAGCUCCUUGCCAAGGACCACGACCGGUCCCAUGGUCCAUGGUCCCUUUUACGAUUCGUGAAAGUGGUCGUGGUCAGCCCCGUCACCAGUUUAAGUUAGGGGUCUUUUGGUCUUUUCCUUUUUUCUUGGACACCUAAACUACAUCGUUUAACCCCUAAACUACAUGGUUUUGAUCAGUUUUAGCCUAGAAACAUAACUAGAACUUACUUAAGUCAAAUCAUUAAUCAACACUUAGAAAAAUUAGAGUGUAAGAGGAGAAAAGAGGUUAAGAACCCUAGUUCAAGAACGCAGCAAGGUUCCAUCAGUUCCAACCCGAAAUUGAAAGAUUUCUCCGUGGAAUUCGUCAUCAGGUAUGUGGGAUUUCACUAGUGGGUUCCUUUCUCCCAUUAGGUCCCUAGUUUUCAGUCAGAUUCUUGAUUCCCUUAUUAUGACUAGACCUAGGGUGUCUAGAACUUCAGCAGAUUAUCAUGAAUUAGUUAUGUAAAAGUUCCAAAUCAAAUUACUAUGUUAUUACUUGGUUUCUUAAAUGAAUUUCAGAACCCUAGCUAUGUAGUUCUUUAGUUCUUGUAUUACACAUGCUAGGCCCGAUAUUUCAGUUAUUUCAAAUAUACAUGCCUCAGUUUUUGAAGGUGUCACUAUUAGUUUAUUAAUGUGCACUCUGAGUUUGCAUGUCAGUUUUGAGCUAUCCAGUAUACUAAAGUAAUCCAAUCAUAAUGUGUUAAUCACUUAAUCUAAUGGGAGUAGCAUAAUACCGAGUUGGACUAGGGUCAAUCACCCAUAUAGUCCCAGAACUACGAGCCACGUAGGUUGUAAGUCCCCUAUGUGGGCAUCAUUUUAGUGAUCAGGCUAGCAUGCCUCUAUACCCUUGGCCAGGUAUAUUGGGUCCUCUCAAUGAGGUGAAUACAUCGGACUCCACAUUUAGCUCAUGUAGUUUUAUGUCGGUUAUUAGUAGCUCCCACAGUUCAGUCAGAUUCUAUUGCAUUGACCAUGUUUCAGUAUUCAGUCGCAGCAUGUUAUAACUUGGUCAUUGCAUUCAGUUUAGUUAUGUUCAGUAUUUCAGUAUUCUCAUCAUCUUCAGAUUAUAUCAUUGCUUUAUUGCUUUGUUCAGUUAUAUGUUAUUUCAUCUUUACUCUAUCCCUCAUGCUCAGUACCUUUCAAGUACUGACGCAUACUCUGCGCUACAUCUUCUCAUGAUGUACGUUCAGGUCCUCAUCAGUCAGAUCACGCAUAGAUCGGUUCCCAAUUUAGUUCAACAACAUCAGUGGUGAGUCCUCAUUCUUUGACGACUAGUAACAUAAUUAUUUUUAUCUCUUUUAGCUUUAGUUUUAGUUUUUCUUGAUCCAGCUGGGUAAUGUCCCAACAUUUCUAGUCAAUAGAGGCUUUAUUUCAGACAUAGUUAGUUUCAACUUUAGUCUUAGAGUCAGACUUUUAUCUUGUAUUCAAGCUCUCUGUUAUCUUUAUUGAGAUUUAGUAUAUCGGUAUUCCCCAUCAUUUCAGUUCAUCAUUAUUCAGCUUCUACACAGUUUUAUUGCUCAGUUUAUCUUUAGUAUGCUCACUAUUAUGCCAGCAUCGUUAGCUUGGGGUCACUCGUGAUCCUAGGUCCCGUGUUGCGUCCAAGGGGUAGCCUCAGGGUGUGACAAUGCAUGAUCUCAAAGACCUUCUGAAGCUCAUCAACAAAGUUUUUUGGAUCCUCAGUAAAUCCUAAACAUGUGAAGCUUGGUGGAUUCAUCCUUCAGAACUCACAGUCAUUGAAGUAUCAGCUACUUCCUGUCGAUUCCCUCGUUGUUGCCCAACUUGGUUGGUCACAACUUCACUUAGCAUUCGGAUUGCCUCCCAAAAUUCAGCAUUAGUAACCUCUCCUUGGGGUUGCACUUCUUGUGCAUUAAGUACCCCUUGUUCCUCAAUGUUCCUUCUAGCAGGAUGACCUCUGACAACUCUUCUUGGAGGCAUGAUCUGAAAGACACGCGCAAGCACGAAUUAGAAGAAACUUUUUAGAGAUAAAAUCUUACGCACAAAAUGAGUAUGAAAGAAGUGAGAUAAUUUUCUAAGUGUUGCAGCCUCCUAAUUAUAGGUGUGGUGUGCUUCACACCGAUAACUACGACUCUACAGAAAUGGCUUCAUCGACUCCCUAGGACUCUUGAACUCUAUGCUCUGAUACCAAGUUUAUCAUACCCCGAGCCUAUACCUUGGGCGGGACUGGCACACGAGAACUAUUGUUGGCCCCAAGUGAACCCUUGGCCUGGCUUAACUCUUAGCAGAAGAUCUAACUGAUGAUAAAAGGAAGUAGUAAAAUACAAUCAUGCUAAACUCUCUGGAUAGAUAAACUAAGAAUAUUUAGAAAUAACAUUCGACUUAGCCAAAGAGGCACCUCAGGAUCAACAUAAUCCAAUAACAAGCUAAUGAUGAAUGAACUAAUUAUCUAAUUGUCUGUCUAUGAAGCCUCUAAAACAAAGAUGGAUGUCGGGACAAGACCCCCGAUCAUCCUAACAACUGAAAAUUACUAAAACAAUGUAAAUGGGGAUCCUCCAAAAAGCAAAGAGGCUCACCACAAGACAUUGAAUGCUCAACUGGAUCAACGAAGCACUGGAUGUUGAUCCUGGUUACUUAUAUCUACAUCAUAAAAAGAUACAGGCCAAAUGGCGUCAAUAUAUUAAAUGUACGAGCAUGCAAGUGGAAUACUAAAACACGACAUAAGCUUGCAAGGUACUGGAAGAACAAACCUGGUCUUAACUUAACUCAAUUAAACUGAACUCAUUUCAAAAUAAAGCAAUAACGUAAAUGCAAUAUAAAGAAAAUCUUUUAAAACAUGGAUAUCAACUCUGUGUAUUGUAAAAGUACUAUAAUACUCUGUGUGUAUGCAAACAUACAAUAUAAACCCUAGACGUAUAUAAAAUACAAAAUACUUAUGUUGGAGUUUCUCUAACCUACAACCAUCACUUAAGAGUUAUUGUGAUGAUACAUCAUUUUAUCUCACGCAGCCAGGGCCAUCCUACACCUUGCCAAGGGUAUUAAACCUGACUACUAAGUGGAUCCACUAUUCUAUGCUAAAAAGCAAUAAGGAAUCAUCUAAAAAGUAUGACCCUUUUCUACCCAUGGCGGCUACAUGGUUUAUGGGGGAUGGGAAUUGUCUUAACUCUCCCCCAUAUCGGUAGUGCUCAAGACUACUCCCAAAAUAUGAGAUAAUUGCUCAAUACUUAGCUCAAAGGCUCCUAUUGGAAAUCAAAGUUUCCUCUCUUGCUUAAUUUUGAAAGCAUUACUCUUUAUUGAAAACUAGCUCACAAGCUCUUUUGGAAAUCGAAGUUUCCUCUCUUGUUUAAAUGUAAAAAUAUUUUUACACUUUGGGAAUACAUAGUCCCGAUGUACUCUUUUGAAGAAAUGAAUUUCAAUCUUUACUCCUUACUCAACUCAAAACUCAAGUCUUAAAAAAAGUUUAAAUGUUUGUAAAAGACUUUUGGAAACUCUAUGAACUUCUCUUGACUUGACUCUUAACUUUCCUUGAAUUGACUUAUGGAUUCAAGGCUCAUGAUCUCAUGUUAUUGAUGAUUUCAUGUUAUUUAGAGGUACCUUAGAGUAUAGAAAUCAACUAGGAAACAUAGGUACGUUUCAAGGGAACUAGUACGGAAAGAAGUGGGAAAAGAUGGAAGACCUGGCAUCCCUGAUGCUCUGAGUGUCGUGGGGCACCAAACCCAAAACCUCAUAACUGAACUUGGGGCGCUAUUGCUGGCGCGGUGCCCAGAGGUCAAACUUCAGAGAACUUUGUGGGGCGCUCUGAGUGGCGCGGCGCCCCACCCCUCUCCCCAGGUGUUUGACAAUUUUUCUUGCUCGUUUUCCAACUCUAAACCCUCUAAACUCAAUUGGGUCUUUCCCCAAACACUUAGAUUCGACUAUAUAAUCAAAAUAUGCAAGAAUAUACUCAAAACGACACCUAAUCUCAUGAAUCAAAAUCAAGAACUCAUCAACAACUCCAACAAUCAAGAACCCAUAGAAACUUCAAACAAAUUCAUCAAGAACUCAAUUUCUAAACAUUCAAGAAUCUAAAUUUACUGAAAUAAAUAAGGAUUGGCGCGUGGGUGAACUAACCCAACGCUAUGUGAUCUCACAUACCUCGUAGGGAUCAACCCUUGGCGAAAUCCACAAGCAAAAACCUCACAAACGACGAACUUUGGCUCUUUCUCCACUUUUCUCCUCUUGCGUUCUUUCUCUAAAAACCCAAGCAUGAAUUUACAAUUGUGUAAACUGAAUUCCAUCAGUUGAGACCCCAAUUUAAUUACCAAAAAUGAAUUUAAUUAAUUGGGUAAUUAAAAGUUCAUAAUACCCUUCUAAAAUCCGGUUUUGACUCUCCUUAUCUAGAUAGUCCAACUUGAAAUCGGCAUAUCUCACUCAUACCAACUCGAAACUAAGAAAACUUGGUGGCGUUGGAAAGAUAUUUCAAACAUAUUUCUUAUGGUAUCUUGUAGCACACGUAACUCAUCGUGAUAUAGGAGUUAUGGUCAUUUGAAGUUUACCCAAAACUCAUACUUAAUUUUGUCAAAUUUGUAGAUUUUUCAUUCUUUCCAAAAAUGAUUCUUUCUAAUUCUUUCUCCUUCUAGUUGCUGGGUGUUAUAGCAUAGUAGGCGAGCAAUCGUAUCGAUAUUUGGGUUUGGUAAUGAACAUUAAGCAUGAAUUUGAGAUGAGUGACAUGAUCGAAAGAAUGGCAACAUGAGGGUGAUGAUGUAAGUCUUGGGAUUUGAUUUGGUACACUUGACAUAGAAUAAGUGAGGAAUUAAGAUGUUAGCUGCAAUAAAUAUGAGUGGUACAAGUGAGAGACUCUAACCUUUAGAUAAGGGCAGUGAAGUGUGGCUAAGUCACAACAAUAAAAAGAGCCUUAAGAGGUGUACUGAGAGGGUAUGUAAUUAGAAGAGGUUAAGAGAAAGACCUUAGAAAGAGGUCUUAGUACCCGCUUAUAGAGAGUUCGUAAGUCAUGAGAGAAACUUCUCCUGAGUGUUAGAGUAAAAGAUGAUUAGACCAUUUAGAGAUGAUGGAAUAGAUCCAUAGCUUUCAAGUUCAGCUUUAGACCUAAGGGGGAGAUGACAAGAUGAGAAAUCAAGUCAAGUGUUUGAGAGUAAGAUAGUAAAGAGUACAGCAGAUGUCCUUUCGGAAGUCCUUUUAGUAAUGGAGUGAUGUUAGAAAGAGGAGCUUGAUGUUCUUAUCGUGAUAGUGAUGGUGUGAUAAUUCCAUCUAAGGGAAUAAAUGAGGAGGAUGAGGUUUUACGAUUAGAAAUAGUUAAAUGAGAACCCUUACUUGGUUCCGAAGGAUUUGGUUAGUAGGAGUCCAUGGAGUUGUUAGAGUACUGAGCUUGAAUGGGGUGUCUGUAAACAUUAGUUGGUUCUUGAUAUACGCCCAAUGUAGUGGUAAAGAGUAAUAGUCUUGGGAUGAGAUUCCCAAUAGAGAGGUAUACAACCCGAACCUAAGGAUUUGGAUUAAGCUUGAAUAUAGUAAGAGAAUACCAUUAGACAAAAACCUUAUUAAGAGUAACCCCAUUCCAGACCUAGUCAAGUAAAACGAGAAACUAAACACACAAUAGACACAUUAAUUAAUUAAAGUGCAUUCAAAUUCUUGAAUUAUUUGGCAAUAAAAAAAACAAAGACGACCAAUAAAACCUAAUUAUGAUUAGUUCGAGGACGAAUGAUCCCAAGGGGGAGAUAUUGUAACACCUCGGAUAUUUUUUGAGCUAGGACUCGAACCAUCCUUCAUUGUGAGUGGGAUUUUUCCGAGAAAUUUAAAAUUUCUUAAGUGUUAAGGUGACUUGAUAUAGCACCUUAAGUUCCAAAAAGAAUUAAAGGAAUUCAUUCAAGUCAUUCCUAAGUUCUUCUUAGAUUUGUGUCCACUUCAAACGAUCAUAACUCUCAGUACAUGAUGAUUUAGGUGUGCCAUGAGUUGAAAAUGAAAGUUCUUUGAAUUAUCUUUUUGACGCCAACAAGUUUGCUAAGUUUCUAGGUCGGAUUAGAGAGAUAUGCCUUUUUGAAGUCAAGCUCUCCAGUUAAGGAAAAGUACUUGAAACUAGUAAGGGGUAUUUUGGUCUUUUUCUUACCCAAUAAGAUUUAAUUCGUUUUUAGUAAGAUUUUAAGGUUCUAAUCCAAUUAAGUUCAGUCUUAUAAUCAUAAUAUACGCCUAGGGUAUUAUUUAAGAGCUGAAGAAGAGAAAAUAAGAGAAAAGAGAAGAAAAGAGGAAACAAUCAAGGCGUUCGUUGAGGUUUGUGAGUUUUGUUACGGAUUUUCCCCAUGCGUUUGAUCCCUAAGAGGUACGUAAGUUUCCAUAUUAUUGGGUUCAUUCACCGACAAGCCAAACAUGAUUUUCAUAUUCGAAUUCGUUCAUAAAGAUUGAAAGAUUUAAGUUCUUGAUAAGUGUUCUUGAAGUUUCAUUCUAAAUCUUGUUGUGUUGGGGUUUUGAUGAUUUAUUGAGAUGAAAGUGAGUGUUUUGAGGGUUUUAUUGAGUAUAUUAGAGUGUACUUAUGUUGAGUAACCGAAUCCAAGUGAUUGUGGAAGAAACCGUUCGAAUCUAGGCGAACUGGGUGAGAAAAUGAGCAAAGAAAGUCGUCGAGGUUUCCUGGGUUGGGGCCUGGCGCCCUAGACCAGCCAGUCCGACCAAACCACACCUUUGUAGGUAGAGAACUAGCUCCCUGUGCCACUCAGUGUUCCAGGGUCACCUGCCUCACCCGUUCUUCAUUGUUUCGUCUAUUUGAGUUCUUUCGAAGGGUACCUUUACUCCUCUUUGAUUAUAAACACUCUAAACUACCUCUAAACACCUAGAAAACAUUCAUAACUUGAAUCAAGACCUUGAAUCCAUAAUUCGAAUUCAAGGUAGAGUUAAGAUUCAAGUCUUGAGAGUUCUUCCAAACAUUUUGAGAACGUCCCUUUAAGUCUUUUGAGGAGUCUUCUACAACUUCAAAUAACUUGUUUGAAGACUCAAGUAAGUGAGCAUGAGAGUGAGGAGAAUGUAUUCACGAGUCUACACUAUCACCAAGAUCCUUCAUACCAUCAAUCCUAAAUCUUGAAUUCAUAAUUCAAAUUCAAGAGAGAGUUAAGAGUAGAGUUCAAGAAAGUCUUUGAGUUAAAUUGUGAAUCAUGCGAGAUCAACUAUGGAUUUGAACUAAGAUUUGAGGAAGUAAGUAAGAGAAUGAGAAGAGUUGUAUACAUGAGUUCCAUGUUGUUAUGUAGGCCUUCUAGUCGAGUCAUUCAUGCACAUAAAUUCUGCAUGGACUCCAUAAAUUGAGUAUCAUUUAGAAGAGUAGUAUCUUCAAGUUCUAAGUCUUGAUUAUAGAGUUCCUAACCCUUUCGAGAUUAUAUUCCUAAUCAUGGGACUAUUACAUGUUACCCAUGAAGUCCUUGAUUUGAGUAGUUCAUUCCCGUAAUUCCGUAUGAACCCUAUAAGUCAGUAGUCUUAAGAUGAGAACUAUCUUUGAGUCCUUGAGUUGAGUAGUUCAUGCCCAUAAAUCCGCAUGAACCCUCUGAGUCGAGCAUUCUUGAAACGAGUAUUAUUAUUGAAGUUGUUGAGUUCUGCGUUGUUUAGUCUCGAAUAUUGAGUUCUCAUUACAGUUAUUGAAAACCCUAAAUUGAGUCGUUCAUGUCCAUAAUUUGGUAUGAACUUUACUCUAAGAAGUCUUUUACACUUUUUUUCAAACAUGUUUUAAGACUUGAGCAUUAAGUUGAGUAAGAGUAACAGUAGAACCGAGUUCAUUUCCUUAAAAUGAUAACAAGGGAACUAAGUAUUCCCAAGAGUAAAAUGUAUUCACAUUUAAACAAGAGAGGAACCACGAAUUUCCAAGAAAGCUUUUAAGCUAGUUUUUGAGUAAUAAUCUUAAACCACAGAAAGAGUUAUGUUUUUAAACAUAUGAGUUGAGUAUAUUUUUAGGAGUAGUAUUGAGCACCACUAUGCGAACAAGUUCAGAUAACUCAAGUUUCCAUAAACAAUGUAGCCAACAUAGGUAAAAAGGGUCAUACUUUUUAGAUGAUUCCUUAAUGCUUUUUAGCAUAGACUAGUGGAUCCACUUAGUUGACGUGUUCUAUAUCCCGGAAAGUUAUAGGACAGUUCUGGCAAUGUGGGUGAGACGUUGUAUCAUCAUAUAGCUCAUAGUGAAGGUUUUCGGUUAGAGAAACUCCACAAAGAUAUUUUGUAUUCUUAUAUAUAGAUAGUUUACUUUGUAUUUUCAUAUACAAGUAGAGUUUAUCUGGUAUCCUUGCAUACAAACUGUGUUGUUUUCUAUUGUUUUAAAAGUUUUCUAUAUAUUGCAUAUGUAUUGUUGCUUUAUAUUGAGUUGAGUAUCUAGAGUUGAGUUUCCAGAGUUGAAUAUCUUAGCAUUGAGUUAAGCCUUAUUUCACUGAGUUGAAUAUCUUAUCAUUGAUUUGAACUAUGUUUCUUUGAGUUUAGUUGAGUGAGUUGAGAAGAGGUAAGUAUGUUACUUUCCAAUCAUUUCAAGCUUAUGUUUAUGCUCUAGAAUUCCCCUUACAUGAUCGUACAUUCCAUGUACUGAGUCAUUUGUCCUGUAUCGUUUCAUGAUGUAGAUACAAGUAUUCAGGGUCAUCAACAGGAGCUUCGUGGAUACCACAUGGUGUUCGAGUUAGCUAUGGUAAGUCUCCUUGCUUCCGGAGGAUUUCAUUUACUUUUCAGUUCCGUCAGGAUGUCAUGGGUCUUGUCCGGACUUCCAUCGUUUUCAUUUAGAGGCUUCAUAGAUAGACAGUAGAGUUUGUGAAGGCAGUUUCAUUUAUCUUGUUAAAUGUUUUAAAGACUUGAGAUUCAUAGUUUUUGCUAGUUGAAUUUACCAUUAUAUUUUGAGUUAAAUAUUUGAGUUUCAAUGAAUUUUAUUUUGUUUUAAGCUUUGUAUUCUUGAGUUAGUCUUCCGCUUGUAGUCAACAAGGAUGAGGGUUCACUUGGGGACCAGCAAUGGUUCUCGAGUGCCGGCCACGUCCAGGGUGUAGGCUCGGGUCGUGACAAAUACCUUUCAUGUUCUGUUGUUGAAGCCAAAAUGGUGGUUUUUAAGCUCAAUAAAAAUAGUUUCAAUGUGCCAAAUGGUUUAAAUGACCAUUUUAUCAAUUAUGCAGGGAGAUUAUUGGUGGCAAUGUUUAUAUAGUGGUGAUUGUCUUGUAUAAUGGAUAUAUCAUUCCUAAGUCCAUUACUCGGACAAAAUUGAUAUUUAUACUAAAAAAAAGAAGUUAAUUCAAACCUUUUAUAAGGCCUAUCAGUCUAAUAUGUUUUUUAAUUUAUAUUGAUAGAUGAUAUACUAGAAGCUUUACUAUCCAAACUAAUCCCUCAGAAUCAGUCAGGAUUUGUAAGAAGCAGAAAUAUAUCAUAAAAUGUAUUAUCGGCCAAAAAAAUCAUUCCAGAUAUAGAAAAGUGGUAAGCAAAUUAAUAUUGUUUUCAAGUUCAAUAUGACAAAACUUAUGACCGAGUAGUCUUGAAUUUUUAUAAAGGUGUUGGAAAAUGGGCUUCAAUUCUAUAAUAAUAAAUAAGUUGUGGAAAUUAUUAGUUAAUAAUUGGUACUAUGUAUUGAUUAGUAGUCAUGCUUAUGAUUGUUUUCACUAUACAAGAGGGGUAAAAUAAGUAGAUUCCUUAUCUCCAACCUUAUUCAUUUUAUCUGCUGAGAAAUUUUUUAAUGGCUUUAAAUGUUUUUUAAACAGAAUGUUUAAGAGCUCUUCGUUACCUAAAUAGAGUGAGAACAUUAAUAUGAUACUAUUUUUUUGCCUCUGCUAACAAAACUAGUGUUCAAUUGAUCAUGAAAAUCACAAGUGAUUAUCAGAGACAAUCUAUACAAAAGGUAAAUAAAGACAAAAGCUCCUUUUAUGUUUUUCAUAAAACUGUUAGGAAUAUCAUUGAAGAGAUAUAUAGAAGAUUAUACAUGCUGUAAUAAAGGUAUUUUCCAUCUUUCAUUUAUUUUGGUUGUCCCAUUAAACAUGCUAGGAAAAGAAAGACAUUUUUUUAAACUUAUACAGAAGGUACAGAAUAAAUUGCAUAUUUGAAAAGAGAAAUUCUUCUUCUUUAAUGAUAAAUAUGCGCUCAUUAACAAUGUUCUGUAAAGUUUACCUAUUUAUCUUCUUUCUUUCAUCACGCCUCCUAAGUGUGAAAUUUAUGAUUUGCAUAGAUCAUUUGCAAGGUUUUUGUGGAACUUUAAAGAAGAUGAGAGGAGUAAACGUGGUGUUUCAUGAUCUGAUUUUUGUUUUGCUAAAUAUGAAGAGGGAUUAGGCUUGAGAUCUCUCUUUGAUGUUUUCAAAGUAUUAUUUGCUAAGCUUGAGUGAAACUUUAGAAUAAAAAUACUAUGUGUUCCAAUUUUAUGUGGAAUAAAUACUGCAAGAGGCAUAGACCUUAAGCAGUUGAAUGGUGCAGGGGGUCACAAACUUGGAAGAUUGUGUUUGAGCUAGAGGGAACAUCGACCAAGAAAUUUCGUGGGAAAUAAAGAGUGGUCAUGCUAAUGUUUGAUUUAAUAAUUGAACACAAUUGGGAUCAUUAUAUUAUUAUCUUCCUAUUUAAGAUCUCUUCCAAUUGAAAAUAGAGGAUAUCAGACAACUUAGACAGAAUAGGUAGUGAAAUAAUAAACUUUUUACUGGAAAAGCUCCUAUAAAAAGUCUGUCAACAUAUUCAAGAAAAAGUUAAUGUUUUUGUUUAUUAAAAUUGUUGUGACAAGCCUUAUGGAUGGAUAACAGUUCAAGUAAAUUCUCUGUGGCGAGAUUUUGUUGGAUGUUGAGGCAUAGAGGAGGUUCAAUAGUAUUAUAAGCAUUUAUGUAUCAAAUGAGAUCCUAUCAAACUUUUUUUCCUCUUCCAGAGGUUGUGUAUGAAAAGAAUUUCUAUUAAGACUAUAAGAGUAAGGAGGACGAAAUGUUGUUGUUCAAGAAUAUAAAAACGGUAAGUUAGAUAUUAGGAAGUUAACUUUUCAAGGGUAAUGGCUUUAGCCUUUUAAGGAUUUGAGCCUUUAAGUCUUCAAUGUACUAGUACUACUAAUCUAGUAUAUCAAGCCUCAAGUGUCAAUGAUUUACUUGGGUCAGGAUUAUAAGCCUUGAAUUUAAAUGGGCUUUAAAAAAUUUAUCCCAACCCUAUCCUAAUAACAAAUUGGAUUGGAUCGACCUUAUGGGCCAAGUCCAUUUUGACAGCCCUAAAUGUCUAUACCCUAAACCUAGUCUAUAAAAGGAAAUAGAACGACCUACUUUGUGGGGACUUUUAUAAGCAACGGCAGGAGCAAUUGCAGUAACAAAGAGAUCCUUUCUCAAAAUCUAUAUGCUGACCAUUUAUUUGUAUCUCUGUCCUCCUCGACAUUUGAAGGUAUAAUCUUUAACCCUCCCUCUCAUUUAUAUAUUCGAAUGAUGUCUUUUCUUUUCUUUUUCUCUUUGAAUGAGUUGAUUUUAUUACAUACUUCUUACAUACCUCUUAGGGAUCAUACCCAGGGGAAAAUCCGUAACAAAACUCAAAACCUCAACGAACGCCUUGAUCGUUUCCUCUUUUUUUCUCAUUUCUCUUCUUCAGUUCUCAAAUAAAACCCUAGGCGUAUAUUAUGAUUAUAAGACUGAAACUAAUCGGAUUAGAACCUUAAAACCUUACUAAAAACGAAUUAAAUCUUAUUGGGUAAGGAAAAGACCAAAAUAACCCUUACUAUUUUCGGGUACUUUUCCUUAACUAGAGAGCUUGACUUCAAAAAGGCAUAUCUCUCUAAUCCGACCUAGAAACUUAGCAAACUUGAUGACGUCAGAAAGAUAAUUCGAAGAACUUUCAUUUUCCAACACAUGGCACACAUAAAUCAUCAUGUACUGAGAGUUAUGAUCGUUUGAACUAGACCCAAAUCUAAGAAGAACUUAGGAAUGACUUGAACGAAUUCCUUUAAUUCUUUUUGGAACUUAAGGUGCUAUAUCUAGUGACCUUAACACUUAAGAAAUUUUAAAUUUCUCGGUAAAAUCCCACUAACAACGAAGGAUGGUUCGAGUCUUAGCUCAAAAAAAUUCCGGGGUGUUACAAUAUCUCCCCCUUGGGAUCAUUCGUCCUCGAACUAAUCAUAAUUAGGUUUUAUUGGUCGUCUUUGUUUUUUUUAUUGCCAAAUAAUUCAAGAAUUUGAAUGCACUUUAAUUAAUUAAUGUGUCUAUUGUGUGUUUAGUUUCUCGUUUUGAUUAAUAUUGAAUCAUCUUCCAAUUAAAUUGGUUAUUUGUUUCCAAUUUGUUGUUGGUAAACUUGAAAUAAUAGUAAAUUUGAGACAUUAGUUUCUUAAGUUAGAAAUUUUCUAGACCUAAAAUUAAUGUUUAUGGCCUCAACUUUAAUUUAAUCACUAAUGAGAACAAAGAAAGAAAGAGUGAUAAAAUCAACUAUCCCAAUUUAAUAAAAUAAUCUAUCCAAAUGAUAAGCACUAACGAGAUCUUCCAUAAUAUAUUGUCUUAACUAAAGUCACAACUUUUUGCUUGAUAUAAAAAUAAUCAAUAAAGUGGGAUGGUCGCAUUUAUAUGUCUUGACCCAAAACCUCUUUAAAAUAUAAUUAUUUGAUUCAACGAACAUGUAAACUCUAUAUUUAGGUGUGAUAUACAAAGAGAAAUCGGAUUUACUCAUCUUGAUAAGUGUAUGUCGAAGUUGAGGUUGCAACUUUGUUUCUUAGAUAAGAGUCAAGACUAAUAGAAUUUAACAAUUUAAGUGAAACAUAGGCAAAUGAUCUAACUAGAAAUAAUUUGAAAAACAACUCUUUUAGCACCACAUGAUUCAGGGAUGCCUUAUACCUUUCCUAGGUCAAACAAAUUCUUUACUCGGUCUUUUGUUUUUGCAGACCAAUAAAAGGAAUCAUUCCUUUUUUAUUAGAGAUUAAAAAAGGUGAUUUCAAACAUUAUAACUCAACUCCAAGUGACAACUCUAUAAAUAAAAAAUAUUUAUUCAAUACCAUCACUUAAAUUGAAAAACCAUUUCUUAUUCGUCUUCGAUGAUGAAAAAAGAGCUGUGGCAACAAGUAAUUAGCUUGCUUAUUAACUAAGAAUUAUCAGUCAUUAUUCAACUAAUUGGAGCUAGUAUAUAUAAUUCUUAUUAUUUUUUCUUCAGUUAACUUCUUGUGUCUUUUUACUUUUAAUAAGUAUAACAUGCUUAAAAAUACUACCACAACUAUAUAAAUAAAUAAGUUAACUAUUUUUUCAGGGAAACAACACAUUUUAUCCUUUUUAUAUAGAUUGUGUUGGUUAAACUUAAGUGAUGACAUGUUUUUUUCUACAAUCCUAACGUAGUCCACAGUUAUGUCGGAAUAGGGUUAAAUAAGAUAACUUAAAACUAUGUUAAUGUUGCAAUAGGGUUCAUAUUUUCUUCUUGCCUUGCCUGAUUGUGAAAAUGAUUUUGCCUGGUAUGCAGAGUUUAUAAGGAGCCUAAGUUUGAAAAAUCAUGUUGGGAUUGUAAAACUUUGUGAUGGAACCAACAUGUUCUUGGUGCCAUCGCAACCCUAGCACGAUCUCUUAAACUCAAGUUCCCCAGAAAUUCUAUGUGUGAGGAAACAUCCAUUUUACUUUCAGGCAAGAAGAAAAUAAAUUCAACCUGAAAACAUCAUCUGCAUAUUGUUUAGUCAACUUGUCUAACCCCGUUCUGUCGUAGAAAUUGACUAUAUCAAACAUGUUACCACUUGAGGUAGUUGACACAAUCCAACUAAUUUGAAAUAUAUAUAUAUAUAUAAUGUAGCAUCCUGCCUUAGAAAGAGCUAAAUUUAGACAACGUUAAAUUGGAAAUAGCCAAAUCUGGAAUUUUACAAGUUAUGCUUGAGUUAUAAGCUUUGGGUCUACAUCAAACGACCAUAGGUUUCAUUACAGGAUGAGUUGGGUGGUCCAUAAGAUAUCAAAUGAAAGUUAUUGGAAUCCUCUUUCCAACGCCACCAAGUUUUCUAAUUUUUGAGCUCUUAUGAGGGAGAUAUGCCGGUUUGAAGUCUGGCUGUCCAGUUAAGGAAAGUUACCCGAAAAUAUGAGGUGUAUUUGGUCUUUUCCUUACCAAAUCAGAUUAAUUUGAUUUUUAGUAAUAUUUUGGGGUCAAAUCUGAUUUGGGUCAGUUUUCAUAAAUCAAACUACGCUUAGGAUUUUUAGAGGAGUUCGAGAAGAGGAGAAAAAGAAAAAAGUUCAAGGCGUUCGUCAAGAUUCUUGAUUUUUGUUGCGGAUUUUGCCAAGGGUUUUAUCCCUAAGAGGUAUGUCAGUUCUCAUAGUGUUGGGUUCGUUCACCCACACGUCAAUGAUGUUUUUAUAAGCAAUUUCGUUCUCAAAAUUGAAGGAAUUGAGUUCUUGAUCAGUGUUCUUGAAACAUUGUGUUCAUUUUUUAAUUAGGAUGGGUUUGAUGAGUUCUUGAGAUAAUGGUAUGGGAUUUAAGAGUUUAAGAUAAUAUAGGUAUCAACGUUGAUAAAACUCUUUCACUCAAUUUUCAGCUUGUCACGCCCCGAAGCUACUACCUGUAUACGGACACGGACCUAGGAUCACGAGUGACCCCAAGCUAACCGUUCUGGCAUAUCAUAAGCAUACUUAAAGGUAAUCUGAAUGAAUAAAUACUGUGUGGAAACUAAUCAUAAGAUAAGCUUCAAUGAUGGGGAAUACCCAUAUUAACUCUGAAUAUAUAAAUAGUGAGAGUUUAACAAAAACUGAAAAGUCAAACUCAAAUACUAAAACUGAAUCUAAUUAUGUCUAAAAUAAAGCCUCUACUGACUAGAAAUGUUGGGACAUGCCCCAUCUAGAUCUAGAAAAUACAGAAAACUAAAGACUAAAUAGAAAGGAAAAUAAUCAUGUCAAUCAUUCUCGAAGAAUAAGGACUCACCAGUGAUGCUGCUGAACUAAAGAUCGGGAACCGAUCUAUGCGUGAUCUGAAAACUGAGAACCUGAACUUACAUCACUAGAAGAUGUAGCGCAGAGUAUGCGUCAAUACUUAAAAGGUAUUGAGCAUGCAAGAUAGAGCAAAGCUGAACAAUAAAAAUAACUAAACCAAAGAAUAUAUCUGAGCAAUGAUCCGAGAUAAGCAUGAUACUAAACUGAGAUUACAAAACAUGAAAUGAGUGAAUGCAAUGACCAAGUUUAUGACAUACUGAGACUGAAUACUGGACUGUGACUAGACACGUGGUCAAUGCAAUAGAGUCUGACUGUAAGGAAGCUAAUACUAACCGACAUAAAACCACAUGAGCUAAAUGUGGAGUCCGAUGUAUACGCCCCAUCGAGAGGACCCAAUAUACCCUGCCAGAGGUAUAAAGGCAUGACUGGUGUGAUCACUAAAAUGAUCCGCACAGUGGGGACUUACAACCUACGGGGGACGUAGUUCUGGGACUUGAGGGUGACUGACCCUAGUCCACUCGAUAUUUAGCUACUCCCAAUUGAAUAUCCAAUUCACAAUUUAUGACUAAAUUUUUGUAAUACUGGAUAGCUUAAAAUACAUACAUGCUAACUGAAAAUGCAACUUUAAUGUAUUGAUAAUGAAACAUUCAAAUCUGAGGCAUGUAUAUCUGAAAUAACUGGCCUAGUAUGUUUAAUUUAUAUACUAAAAGAACUACAUAGCUAGGGUUCUGAAUUCAUGAAAGAAUCUACGCAAAAUAAUACCAAAAUCAUGAUAAUCUAAUUAGGAACAUUAUAGUAACUAAUUUAUAAUGAUCUACUGAAAUUCUAGCAACUUGAGGUCUAGAUAAUAUUAGGGGAAUCAAGGAUCUGACUGAAUUCUAGGGACCUAAUGGGUGAGAGUAAUACACUAGUGAAAUCGCACAUACUUGGUGACGAAAUUCACGGAGAAAUCUUUCGAUUUAGGGGCUAGAACUGAUGAAAACUUGUUGUGUUCUUGAACUAGGGUUGCUCGACUUCGUUCUCCUCUUUUGCUUUAAGUUUGCUGAUUUUUUUGUGAAUAAUUGAUUAGGUUAGGUUCUAAUUAGUUUACUAGGCUAAAACUGACCAAAACCACAUAGUUUAGGGGUUAAACAAUGUAGUUUAGGGGUCCAACGCAUAAGGAAAAGACCAAGCGAUCCCUGACUUAAAAUCUACUAAAACCACCGACGAGACUGAUCUACUGUCCGUCCUAUUAUUUUGUCGAUCGACUUCAGAGGAUGAGUUCUAGGGGGUCCUAAGGGUCUCGACCUAUGGACUAAUUGACGGUCUGUGGUCUAACCCACGGUCUGUCCUAUCAGUCCACCGAUCGACGUCAGAGACUAGGUUUUAAGGCCUCGAUCCACGGACUUGGACCACGGUCCAUGGUCUGACCUGCGAUCCAUGGGUCCAGUCGUGGUUCAUACCUUAGAAUAGUUUUUGUCUAAGUUUCUGAGGAGGGUUGCAGGGGGCCAUCCACGGACUACUAGUAUGGGUCGUGGGUCACCUUAUAGUCCGUGGUUGGCAACUGUAGGUCGCACCUAUAACUUUUGGAAAUCUGUUGGUUUGGUAUGUUUUAGGAUACAGGGUGUUACAUAUCUCCCCCUUGAGAACAUUCUUCCUCGAAUGAAGUCUAAAUUAGUUAGAUAGCGAGGGAAAGAAUUGCAAACCCUACCACUAAUUACUAGAAACUGAUAUCUGACUGAACUACGUUCCAAGGACAUGCAAUUACGCUGAAUAUGCAAGUUUAAACCGAAGAAACAUGAUACUAAGACUGAAUCAACGCAAGAAUGACUAAAAAACUUGAGAGAAACUAGUACCUCAAGCUGGAAUGGAAUUGGAAGAAAAGAGAUGAGGAUACUUGGCCUUCAUGGCUGCUUCUGCUUCACAAGUAGAUCCCUCUAUAGAGUGACUCCUCCACAAAACCUUAAGUGAAGUGACUUCUUUGUUUCUGAAACUUCGAACCACACGAUCAAGGAUUUCAACUAGCACAUCCUCAUAAGUGAGACUAUCCUUCAUAGACACACUUUCUAAGGGUACAAUAGAUGUUGGAUCACCCACACACUUCUUCAACAACGAAAUGUGACAAACCGAAUGCACUGCUGCUAGUUUUGUUGACAACUCUAACUUAUAAGCCACUUUAUCAACUCUUUUCAAAAUCUUGUAAGGUACAUAGCUAGGACUAAGCUUCCCUUUCUUGACAAAUCUCAUCACCCCCUUCAUAAGUGAUACUUUUAGAAAAGCCCAAUCAUCAACUUGGAACUCUAAAUCCCUUCUCCUUACAUUUACAUAGGACUUCUGGCGACUCUAGCUGUCUUAAGUCUAUCUCUAAUGAGUUGCACUUUCUCCAUAUCAUCAUGAAUUGAAUCUGGUCCUAUCAAGGUUGCUUCGCCUAUUUCAAACCAACCAACUGGAGAUCUACAUCUAUGCCCAUACAAUGCCUCAUAAAAGGCCAUCUGAAUGCUGGAAUGGUAACUAUUAUUGUAGGCGAACUCUAUAAAAGGAAGGUGAUCAUUCCGACUACCCUUGAAAUCGAUCACACAAGCUCUCAACAUGUCCUCUAAGGUCUGAAAUGGUACGUUCUGCCUGACCAUCCAUCUGUGGAUGAAAUGUUGUGCUAAGGUUAACUAGAGUACCAAGACCUUUCUAAAAAGAAUUCAAGAAAUGAGAGGUAAAUUGAGGACCUCUAUCUGAAAUGAUAGACAAAGAAACCCCAUGCAACCUGAAUAUCUCAGUAAUGUAAAGCUUGGCAUAGUCCUCCGCCUAAUUCGUAGUCUUAACAGCCAAAAAGCGCGCAAACUUAGUGACUCUAUCAAAUAUCACCCAAAUGGAGUCAUGAUGUCUGCGAGUACGAGGUAAACCUGUAAUGAAGUCCAUGUUGAUCACUUCCCACUUCAAAGUGUGAAUGUUGAUCUCUUGAGUCAUACCUCUUCGUUUCUAAUGUUCCACCUUCACUUGCUAUCAAUUAGGGCACUUAGCCACAAAAUCGCUAUAUCCCUUUUCAUACCAUUCCACCAAAAGACUUCUCGCAGAUCAUGGUACAUCUUAAUGGUGCCUAGAUGAAUAGAAUAUCUUGAGCUAUAAUGGCUCUGAUUCAGUCAGAUCCAUAAAUAUGUCUCAAUAUUAUUCAGACCUUAAUCAACAAUGAUAUUUUCAUUAUUUAGUUUUGCAUUAAAUGCUUUAAAUAAAAACUAUCGUCUUCUUCUACAAACCUUUAAAAUUGCUUUCUUUCACAUUCUUUUUACCACUUUGUUCUCUUCUAGAAAAAAUCACAGCCUCAAUCCUAUAAACCUUCCUAGCACUUCAUGUGUUUGAUGUUUUCCACGUAUACCUAUGAUGAAGCAUUUUAAAAGUGAAUUAGUAUAAUCAUUAAGAAUCAAUAAAGAACAUAGAUCAUGAAUAAAUAUGUAGAGUCUAGUAAAGAAUACACUAUAAGAUUAUGACAUAUUAUAGUAAUUCUUUAACCUUCAAUGAUUUUGGUGCUCGUAUACUUUACCAUCACCAUUACUAUUACUAGCAUCUAACACCAACUAUUAUCAUCACCACAGUUAUAAAUUAUCUUUAUCAUCACUAGCAAACAUAAAUAUUUUAUACUUUAUCAAAAAAUAAUAAUUUAAUUUUAUUAAAUUUAUAUUUUCUAAUAUUUAAUUACUUUUUACCUGAUAAAUAUAUAUAGUUAUUAUGUUUACAAAUAUAUAAAUUAUACACAUUCAUAUAUUGAAAAACAAACAAUCUUAAUCAUCUAGUGUUAAGAUCUAGAGAAAAUAUCUUAAUAUUCAGAUUUGCAUUAAGAUUCAGAUGUCUUAAUUUUAAUGAAAACAAAUGAGGCCUGAAAGAACAAGAAAUAGUGUGUAUUCUGAAAUACUUUUAGUUUCUAAUGUGAAUUUGGAGUAUUGGAAUAAAAAUUCUGAAAACUUGGUAAGUAAUUUGUUGUUUUAUAACAAUGAAAUAAUGGGUUUACAAUUAAUAUAAAAAAAUAUUGCAUUCUUAACAUCCCCAUACGAGAAAAUAAUGAGGCGCACUAAUUAAUUAAAGGGUUAAACAAUGAACAAAAGUAAAUAAUGAUGUAUGUAAGAGUUACUUAAUUACUAUCACAAUUUUAGCUAAUAUGAAAUGCACAUACGUAAAAGAAAAAGUUUGAUCAACAUAUCUAUUAGAGUCUCAGAUAUGAGUUCACAAUUAAAUAUUUAUGGUAUAAUUUCAUGCAGGAAUGUUUUCAAAACGACGAUCAUGUGUACAUAUCCAUCUUAGAAAUUCUGAAGAUGUACAACAAGGAGAACAACAAGAACAUCGAUGAAGUCUACAAUGAGGUGAUAAAUCAUUUUACAUUUGGAUACAAAAAUAUUAUUAGAUGAUCUUCAUGCUAUAAUUUGUGAAUAUCUUUUUGUUUAAUGUGUAGAUUGCCAUAUGUCGCAAUGAUCAUCCAAAUUUACUUGAUGACUUCACAAUUUUUUACCAGAUUCUUCAAUAUUUGUCGCAGUGGUUCGACAUCAUAUCAAUCAAUUACCCAUCCUUUUUAAUUCCUUAUAAUAAUUUUAUUAUCAUGACUAAAGCUUGGUAAUUUUUCUCAAAAAAGUGUUAGGGAGAUUGGUUGGGUUGUUUGGAAUUCUUUCGUCAAUUUUAUUAGCAAUAAAUAUUGUUAAAUGGUGUCUUCAAUAUUAUCAUCUUCACUUCUACCAAAUUAAGAAAAAAAAUCAUUCAUUCUUUGUUUUUCUUCUCAUAUAUAUAAGGAAAUAAUUUUAUUGGUAAUUGUUUAUUCAUAUGGAAAGUACUAAUGUAAUUAAAACAUGGUUAACCUCCUUGUUCGGAUUGACUUUUCCUUUUUUACUUAUAAGCUAAAAGUUAUAAACUAAAAAAUUUAACUACUGAAUUAAUUUUUAGCAAUUUUACUUUAAAAAAGUGCUUAUAAACGUUUUUAAUUCUUUCACACACUCAAAUUGCUUUAAAACUAUUUUAACUUAAAAUAGGCCAAUUCAAACAAGCUCUAAAUCAAGGGUUCAAUUAAAUUGAAAGAAGGUUAAAUUUGUGCUUCUUUAAUAGUAAUAUUAAUAACAACAACAAUAACAACACGAACAACAGAUAAAUUUUUUGAUGAGGUUUGAUAUUUCAUAAAUAAUUUUGACAAACGUGGCGUAUUGAUGAAUAAUAUUCGAUGUUAAUCCUCGUUUUAUGCUUGAGUUUAUUUAUGGAUGUUAAAUUGAGUUGCAUAGUAGUUCGCUAGUUUGUUUAAUCAAAAGAGAUAUAAAUUAACAAAUAUUUCUUCACUGUCUUGUUUUGAUUGAAUCGUUAUUUCUUUCAAGUAAUUGAAAGUGCUUUUUGAAAUUAUCUAUUGAAUCAAAAGGAGAUAUUAUUUUUGUCCAGACUAUCCCCUAACAGUUUUUCUCACACACAUUUAUUAAUGGUUAUGUAAUUAGUUUAUUCAUGGGAUACUGGAUUUAAUCAAACGAGAUUAAAUAGAAACUAUAAAGGCCCAAUCUAUUAGUGAUAUAUUCUGCUUUGGGCCUAGGCCUGCACGAUUUAAAACACGUCACUAGUUGAUAAAGUCUGUCUAUUUAUAUACCCAACAUUUUUCCUAUAUUUUAUCAAUAUGAGACUUCUUAUCUUAUGUUGGGGUGUCACAUACACCCCAUUAUGGAAUCAGCUUCCUCGUUGAGGUUGCCCCACCACUUGGAAUUUGGCUAGACUCAACACUAAGGUUUACCUUGCCUUAUUGAAAUUUUUUGAAACUCAGUUGAACUUUGGCCCACAUCGAUCAGACUAACAUAGAAGUGACUCUGAGACCACUUCUAAUGGCCAAGUUCGCUAGUGACAUUGUGCGGUUUAGACCUAGGCCCACACGAUUAUAAUUGUGUGACUAGUUGGUAAGGUGUGCUUACUUAUAUACCCAACAACUCUCUUAUGGUUUAUUGAUGUGGACUUCUUAUAUUAAGUUGCGGUGUCACGACCCGAGCCUACACCCUGGGCGUGGCCGGCACACGAAAACCAUUGCUAGUCCCCAAGCGAACCCUCAUCCUGGCUGACUACAAGCGGAAGACUAACUCAAACAUUCAAAGCUUAAAACAAAAUAACAUUCAUUGAAACUCAAAUAAUUAACUCAGAAUAUAAUCUUAUAUUCAACUAGCCAAAACUAGGCAACUCAAGUCUUUAAAACAUUUAACAAGAUAAAUGAAACAGGUUCUCAAACCCUACAAUCUAUCCAUGAAGCCUCUAAAUGACAAAGAUGAAAGUCGGGACAAGACCACCGACAUCCUGAUAAAACUAAAAAGUAAAUGAAAUCCUCUGGAAGCAAGAAGGCUCACCAUAGCUAACUCAAACUCCAUGUGGUCCAUGUGGUAUCAAUGAAGCUCCUGUUAAUGACCCUGAAUACCUGUAUAUGCAUCAUGAAAUGAUGCAGGUCAAAUGGCUCAGUACGUGGAAUGUACGAGCAUGUAAGGGGAAUUCUAAAGCAUAAACAUAAGCUUGAACUUGAUAAAAAGGAAACACACUUACUCAUCUCAACUCACUCAUGCUAAACUCGACUCAAGAAUAAGAAACAUAGUUCAACUCAAUGAUAAGAUAUACAACUCAGUAAAAUAAGGUUCAACUCAAUAAUUGGAUACUCUACUCUGGGUACUCAACUCAAUAUAAAGAAACAAUACAUAUUCAAUAUAUGGAAACCUUUUAAAACAGUAGAAUGUAACUCAGUUUGUAUGCAAGUAUACCAGAUAAACUCUUCUUGUAUAUGAAAAUACAAAGUAAACUAUGUGUAUAUAAGAAUACAAAAUAUCUCUGUGGGAGUUUCUGUAACCGUCAACCAUCACUAUGAGCUAUGUGAUGAUACAACUUCUCGCCCACGCUAUCAGAAUUGUCCUAUACUUUGCCGGGGUAUAGAACCUGUCAACUAAGUCGAUCCACUAUUCUAUACUGAAAAGCCUUAAGGAAUCAUCUAAAAAGUAUGACCCAUUCUACCCACNNNNNNNNNNNNNNNNNNNNNNNNNNNNNNNNNNNNNNNNNNNNNNNNNNNNNNNNNNNNNNNNNNNNNNNNNNNNNNNNNNNNNNNNNNNNNNNNNNNNNNNNNNNNNNNNNNNNNNNNUAACUAGCUCAUAUGUUUAAAAACAUAACUCUUUCUGUGGUUUGAGAUUAUUACUCAAAAUCUUUCUCUAAAAAGAGAUGUUACUAAAACUGCUCAAAACUUUUUUGGAAAUCUCUGUUUCCUUCUCUUUUAAAUGUGAAAACGUUUACUCUUGGGAAUACUUAGUUCCCAUAUAUCAUUUUAAAGAAAAUGAACGCGACUCUACUCUUUCUCAACUCAAUUGCUCAAGUCUUAAAAUAAUUUUAGAAAAAUUUGUAAAAUACUUCUCAGAAUAAAGUUCAUGUUGAAUUAUGGACGUGAACGACUCAAUUCAAUGUUUUCAAUAACCAUAACUAGAAAUCAACACUCGAGACGCAACAAAUCUGAACUCAAGAACUUUAAUGAUAAUAAUCGUAUCAAAAAUGCUCGACUCAGAGGGUUCAUGUGGAAUUAUGGGCAUGACUUACUCAACUCAAGGACUCAAAGAUACUUCUCAUAUCCAGACUGCUCGACUGAUAGGGAUCAUGCAUAAUUAUGAGCAUGAAAAACUCCACUCAAGGACUCCAUGGGUAAUAUGUAAUAGUCACAUGAUUAGGAAUAAAAUCUCAAAAGGGAUAAGGAGCUCAAUACUCAAGGCUUAGAACAUUGAAGAUACUACUCCUCUCAAAGAUACUCAACUUAUUGAGUUCAUGCGGAAUUAUUGGGCAUGAACAAAUCGACUCAAGGCUAUGAAUAACCAUAUGGAACUCAUGUAUACAACUCUUCUCAGUUCAUGCGGAAUUUAUGGGCAUGAACGACUUGACUCGUAGGUCUACAUAACAUUAUGGAACUCAUGUAUACAACUCUUCUCAUUCUCAUACUUACAUUCUCAAAGCUUAGCUCAAAUCGAUAGUUGAUCUCAAAGGAUCCACAACUAAACUCCAAGACUUUCUUAAACUCUACACAUAACUCUUCCUUGAAUGUGAAUUAUGAAUUCAAGAGUUAUGGUUCAUGAUAUGAAGGAUCUCGUGAUGACAAAGUAGACUCAUGAAUACAUUCUCCUCAUUGUUAUACUCACUUGCUCGAGUCUUGAAACAAGUUAUUUAAGUUUGUAGAAGACUCCUCAAAAGACUCAAAGGGACUAUCUCAAAUGUUUGGAAAAACUCUCAAGGCUUAACUCUUCACUCUACUUUGAAUUUGAAUUAUGAAUUCAAGGUUAUGAUUUGUGGUAGGAAAGAUACCUUGAUGAUUAAAAGUGUUUUAGAUAGUUAAUCAUGAGAAACGGUUGAAAAACACUGUCUGGGGGAGCAAGUCCGCGACACAGAGAUGAAUUAUAAUAUUUGGUCGCGAAUUAAUUUUGAAACAGUGGAGUCCACGUUCUCUCCGCGACAUGGAGAGAAAAUUUCACCUCUGAGGAACAUGUCCUUAUUUUCUGCCCGAUCUUUUCUUAAUUGUUUUCGACACUAAUUCACCUAGAAUCAAAUGGUUUCUUUCCCAAUCACUUGAAUUUGAUUACUCAACAUAGUUACACUCUAAUUUACUCAAUACAGCCCUCAAAACACUCACUUUCUUCUCAAUAGUUCAUCAAAAUCCCAACAAAACAAGAUUUAGAAUGAAACUUUAAGAACACUUUUCAAGAACUUAAAUCUUGUAAUCUUUAUGGACGAAUUCGGAUAUGAAAAAUAUGUUUGGCUUGUGGGUGAACGAACCCAACACUAUGGAAGCUUACAUACCUCUUAGGAAUCAAAUCCAUGUCGAAAAUCCACAACAAAACUCAAGAACCUCGACGAACGCCUUGAUCCUUUCCUCUUUUCUCUUCUUUUUUCUUGUUGAACUCUCAACAAAAACCCUAGGAAUAUAUUAGGAUUAUAAAACUGAACCCAAUAGGAUUAGACCCUUAAAACCUUACUAAAAACGAAUUAAAUCUGAUUGGGUAAGGAAAAGACAAAAAUAACCCUUACUAUUUCGGAUAAUUUUCCUUAUUUUGACAGCCCGACUUCAAACGGGCAUAUCUCGCUCAUACGAGCUCGAAAUUUAGCAAACUCAGUGUCGUUGGAAAGAUAAUUAAAAGAACUUACAUUUUAAAUCUCAUGGCACACCUAAAUAAUCCUGUAUUGAGAGUUAUUGUCGUUUGAAGUUGACCCAAAUCUUAGAAGAACUUAGGAAUGACUUGAACGAAUUCCCUUUGAUUCUUUUUGGAACUCAAGGUGCUAUAUCUAGUGACAUUAACACUUAUGAAAAAAUUAAAUUCAUUGGUAAAAUCUUACUCACUACAAAGGAUGGUUUGAGUCUUAGCUCAAAAAAGAUUCGAGGUGUUACAUGCGGUGUCACAAAUUUACAAUGAUUUGAUACAAUUCUUGUUAAUCAAUAUUUUAUUUGGGAUGUAUGGCACAAUGAAUAUGAAGUAUUUAGCUAGAGCUGGUCUAAUCAUGCACCAUUUCUUCUGUCUUGUAGUAAUCAAGUUUCUCCUAGGAGAAGACCUAUUAGAUUUUUGAAAUAUUGCGUGAAAGAUCAUAAUUUUAAAAUGGUUGUUGUGAGAGAGGUUUGGGAGUUUAUUUACUCAGAAGAUGUCUUUAUAAAUUUGAAGUUGAAGAUGAAGAAGACUAACAUUACUCUUACUAAAUGAAGUAAAAUUACCUUUGAGAAUAUUUUGAAGAAAUAAACAUAAAGGAGCAUAUUGUCAAACUAAAAGAGGGUAUAUUUAAAGAAUUUCUUACAUUUGAGAACAUGACGUGUUGAAACAUACUCAUGCUGAAUUGACUCCUUUUUUCAAGAUCAAUUUUACUAAGAAUUUUUAUGUCGUUAAAGUCUCUCUAUUAGAAAUGGUUCCGAAAUUAUUAAUUAGGGAGCUGAUUUACUUAAUCUUUUUCAUGUUCUGCUGAUGAAGUGGUGGUUUUUAAGCUCAAUAAAAAUAGUUUCAGUGUGCCAAAUGGUUUAAAUGACCAUUUUAUCAAUUAUGCUGGAAGAUUAUUGGUGACAAUGUUUGUAUAGUGGUGAUUGUCUUCUUUAAUGGAUAUAUCAUUCCUAAGUCCAUUACUCACAAAAAAUUGAUAUUUAUAUGGAAAAAAAAAACUAAUUCAAACCUUUUAUAUGUCCUAUCAGUAUAAGAUGUUUUUUUUUUAAUAUAGAUUGAUAUAUGAUAGAGUAGAAGCUUUACUAUCCAAACUAAUCCCAUAGAAUCAGUCAAGAUUUGUAAGAAGGAGAAAUAAAUCAUAAAAUGUUUUAACAGCCUAGAAAAUCAUUUCAUAUAUAAAAAAGAGGCAAGUCAAUUAAUAUUGUUUUCAAACUGAAUAUGACAAAAACUUAUGACCGAGAAGUGGGGAAUUUCAUAAAGAUGCAGGAAAAAUGGGCUUCAAUUCUAUGAUAAUAAAUAAGUUGUGGAAAUUAUUAGUUAAUAAUUGGUACUAUGUAUUGAUUAAUAAUCAUGCUUAUGAUUUUUUUUUCACUAUACUAGAUGGGUAAAACAAGUAGAUUCCUUAUCUCCAACCUUAUUCAUUUUAGCUGCUAAGAAAUUUUUUAACGGCUUUAAAUGUUUUUUUUAAAACAGACGGUUUAAGAGCUCUGUGUUACCUAAAUGGAGUGAGAACAUUAAUAUGAUACUAUUAUUUUUGCCUUUGCUGACAAAACUAGUGUUCAAUUGAUCAUGAAAUUCACUAGUGAUUACGAGAGACAAUCUGUACAAAAGGUAAAUAAAGACAAAAGCUCCUUUUAUGUUUUCCAUAAAACUGUUAGGAAUAUCAUUCAAGAGAUACAUAGAAGAAUAUGGAUGUUGUAAUAAAGGUAUUUUCCAUCUUUAAUUUAUUUUGGUUGUCCCAUUAGACAUGCUUGGAAACGAAAGACAUUUUUUAAACUUAUACAAAAGGUGCAGAGUAAAUUGCAUAUUUGGAAAGAGAAAUUAUUCUUAUUUAAUGAUAAGUAUGUGCUCAUUAACAAUGUUCUGUAAAGUUUACUGAUUUAUCUUCUUUCUUUCAUCACACCUUCUAAGUGUGAAAUUUAUGAUUUGCAUAGAUCAUUUGCAAGGUUUUUGUGGAACUUUACAGAAGAUGAGAGGAGUAAGCAUUGUGUUUCAUGGUCUGAUUUUUGUUUGGCUAAAGAUGAAGAGGAAUUAGGCUUGACAUCUCUCUUUGAUGUUUUCAACGUAUUAUUUGCUAAGCUUGAGUGAAACUUUAGAAUUAAAAAAACCAUAUUUUCCAAUUUUAUGUGGAAUAAAUACUACAAGACGCAUAGACCUCAACCAGUUAAAUGGUGCAGGGGGUCACAAACUUGGAAGCUUGUGUUUUAGCUAGAGGAAAAAUCGACCAGGAAAUUUGGUGGGAAAUUAAGAGUGGUCAUUCUAAUGCCUGAUUUAAUAAUUGGACACAAUUGGGAUCAUUGUAUUAUUAUCUUCCUAUUUGAGAUCUCUUUCAAUUGAAAAUAGAGGAUAUCUGACAACUUAGAUAGAAUAGGCAGUGAAAUAAUAAACUUUUUUACUGCAAAAAUGUUCCUAUCAAAAGUCCAUCAACAAAUUCAAGAAAAAGUUAAUGUUUUUGUUGGUCAAAAUUGCUGGGACAACCUUGGUGGAUGGAUAACAGUUAAAGUAAAUUCUCUGUGGCGAGAUUUUGUAGGAUGUUAAGGCAUAGAGGAGGUUCAACAAUAUUAUAAGCAUAUACGGAUCGAAGGAGAUCCUUUCAAACUGUUUUUCUUCUUCUAGAGGUUGUGUAAGAAAAGAAUUCCUAUUAAGACUAUAAGAGUAAGGAGGAUGCAAAGUUGUAGUUCAAGAAUAUAAAAACGCUAAAUUAGAUAUUAGGGAGUAAAAUUUUCAAGCGUAAUGGCUAUAGCCUUUUAAGGCUUUAAGACUUUAAGUCUUCAAUGUACUAGUACUAGUAAUCUAGUAUAUGUUAUAUUAAGCCUCAAGGGUCAAGGAUUUACUUGGGUCAGAUUUAUAAACCUUGAAUUUAAAUGGGCUGUAAAGUUUUUAUCACAACCCUACCCUAAUAACAAAUUGGAUUGGAUCGACCAUAUGGGCCAAGUCCAUUUUGACAUCCCUAGCUGUCUAUACCCUAAACCUAGUCUAUAAAAGGAAAUAAAACGACCUACUUUGAGGGGACUCUUAAUAAACAGCAGCAGGAGCAAUUGUAGUAGCAUAUAGAUCCUUUCUCAAAACCUAUAUGCUCACCAUUUAUUUGUAUCUCUGUCUUCCUCGACAUUUGAAGGUCUAAUCUUUAACUCUCCCUCUCAUUUAUAUAUUCGAAUGAUGUCUUUUUUCUCUCUCUUUGAUUGAGUUGAUUUUAUUACAUACCACUUUUUGUUGCUUGUUUAAGAAAGACUUUCUUUUCAUUUGUCGUCAGAUUUGAGUGGGAAAAGACUUCCUAAUAUUAAAAAUUAUUUUUUUAAUCAAAUGCAUGCAGUAGCUAAUCAUAAUUAGGUUUUAUUUGUCUACUUUGUUUUGUUUUGCUUGCCAAAUAAUUCAAGAAUUGGAAUGCUCUUUAAUUAAUUAAUUUCUCUGCUGUGUGUUUAGUUUCUCGUUUUGAUUGAUUCUAAUUCAUCUUCCAAUAAAAUUGGUUAUUUCGUUCCAAUUUGUUGUUGGUAAACUUGAAAUAACAGUAAAUUUGAGACAUUAGUUUCUUAAGUUAGAAAUGUUCUAGGCCUAAAAUUAAUCUUUUUGGCCUCAACUUUAAUUUAAUCACUAAUGAGAACAAAGAAAGAAAGAGUGAUAAAAUCAACUGUCCCAGUUUAUUAAAAUAAUCUAUCCAAAUGAUAAGCACUAACGAGAUAUUUCGUAAUAUACUGUCUUAACUAAAGUCGCAAUUUUGUGCCUUAUAGAAAAACAAUCAAUAAAAUGGGAUGGUCACAUUUAUAUGUCUUGACCCAAAACCUGUUUAAAAUAUAAUGUUUUGAUUCAAUGAACAUGUAAACUCUAUAUUUAGGUGUGAUAUACAAAGAGAGACCGCAUUUACUCAUCUUGAUAAGUGUAUGUCGAAGUUGAGGUCGCAACUUUGUUUCUAAGUCAAGAGUCAAUUCUAAUAAAAUUUAACAAUUUAAGUGAACCAUAGGCAAAUGAUCUAUCUAGAAAUAAUUUGAAAAACAAUUGUUUUAGCACCACAUGAUUUAGAGAUGCCUUAUACCUUUCCUUGGUCAACAUAAUUCUUUACUCGGUCUUUUGUUUUUGCACACUGAUAGAAGGAAUCAUUCCUUUUUUAUUAGAGAUUAAAAAAGGUGACAUGGAACAUUAUAACUCAAUUCCAAGUCACAACUCUAUUAAUAAAAAAUCUCUAUUCAAUACCAUCACUUCAAUUGAAAAACCAUUUCUUCGUCAUCUUCGAUGAUGAAAAAUGAGGUGUGGAAACUAGUAAUUAGCUUUCUUAUUAACUAAGAAUUAUGAGUCAUUAUUCAACAAAUUGGAAAUAGUAUAUAUAAUUCUUAUUAUUUUUUCUUCAGUUAGUUUCCUGUGUCUUAUUACUUUUAAUAGGUAUAAUAUGCUUAAAAAUACUACCACAACUAUAUAAAUAAAUAAGUUAACUAUUUUUUCAUGGAAACAACACAUUUUAUUCUUUUUAUAUAGAUUGUAUCGGUUAAACUUAAGUGAUGACACGUUUCUUUCUACAAUCCUAACGUAGUCAACAGAUAUGUUGGAAUAGGGUUAAAUAAGUUAACUUAACACUAUGCAAAUGUUGCAAUAGGGUUCAUGUUUUGUUCUUGACUGAUUGUGAAAACGAUUUUGCCUCGUAUGCAUAGUUUCUAAGAAGCCUAAUUAAGUUUGAAAAAUCAUGUUGGGAUUGUAAAACUUUGUGAUGGAACCAACAUGUUCUUGGCGUCAUCGCAACCCUAGCACGAUCUUUUAAACUCAAGUUCCCCAGAAAUUCUAUAUGUGAGGAAAAAUCCUUUUUACUUUUAGGCAAGAAGAAAAUAAAUUGAACCUGAAAACAACAUCUGCAUAAUGUUUAGUCAACCUGUCUAACCCAUUUCCGUCGUAGAUAUUGACUAUGUCAAAAAUGUUACCACUUGAGCUAGUUGACAAAAUCCAACUAAUUUGAACUAGUAUAUAUAAUGUAACAUCCUGCCUUAGAAAGAGCUAAAUUUAGACAACGUUAAACUGGAAAUAGCCAAAUCUUGAAUUUUACAAGUUAUGCUUGAGUUAUAAGUUGUGGGUCUACUUCAAACGACCAUAAUUUUCAGUACAAGAUGAGUUAGGUGGUCCACAAGAUAUCAAAUGAAAGGUAUUGGAAUCCUGUUUCCAACUCCACCGAGUUUGCUAAUUUCCGAGCUUGUAUGAGAGAGCUAUGGCUGUUUGAAGCCCGAUGCUUUUCAUGACCAACGACACUAUCCUACGGUAUGAGUGUCUUCGAUCGUCGAUAAUAUAGUAACCCAACCAAGGGUUGGGGUCGUGUCCCAAGGGAGCGAUUUUGAGAAUCAGUAGCCAAUUAGAAUUUCGUUUGAAUUAGUCGUAGCUAAAAACAUUUGCGAUAAAAUACAUUGUAAAUUAAAGGGGGUGACACAGAAGUGUCAAAAAUCAAAAGGGUUUUUUGUAACAAGUGAUAAAACAGCAAAAUAAACAAGAAAAUCAAGUAUGGGGAAGGUUCUUGGGAUGUGACCGCAAUACAUGUUGAGAUAAAUCGUUGGGUACAUGCUUUCAAUAGGAAAUUUGCAAGACAAUAGUGACUAGGCUAAGCUUUAAAUAGAAAUAAGUUCCCUCUCGGGCAACUUACCCAGUUUCAAAUGUGUUCCUCUCGGACACCCAUUUGCCACAUGAAGACCAGCCUACGCCUUACCCCACUCCCUCUCUCGAGCUGAGUGUUAGGAUAUGGGACUAGGGCUCACCCUCUCGAGCUGAACCUCAUGUUGACUCACUUCUUAGGCCAUCAGUCUAGUAGUUUUGGUUUCGCGACCUCCCUCUCGGGCCAAGGCGAAAGCACAUGGGUGGCUUUGUAUUUGCAACUACAAACCCUUUAGAUUAAACCACAACCACUAGGUGAAAUCACUAUUAAAAUACAUCGAACCUAUCAGCAAGCAAGACCCAACAAGAAUAUCAACCCAUAUUUGCUAAAAUCACACCCUAAGAAUGGGGUUUUUUUAGCUACACAUCAAGAAAUAAGAAAUUAUACCUAACAUGAUAAAGAAAUCAACUGGGUAUAAGAAAUUAAACCUUGAAUUAAGCUACGGAAAAAGAAUAAAGAAGACCCACUUCCAACUUGGGGAAGAUGAACUCCUUUCUUCAAGUCUCCACAAAACCCUCUCCAAACAAUAUAGAAAAAAUACUAUAGACUAAUAAUAUUUUUUACUCUAAAACGUUCCACACCAAGACUACAACUCUAACUAGUAUUUAUAGUUUUCACAGAUUGUGCUGCAGAGGAUCGUUCAGCGACAUUAGUCGAGAAUGUCAAUGAACUCGACGAUCCGCCCUAUAGUCAGCUCAUCGCAUUCAGUGUCUUGCCUUCAACAUCCUCAUAUUCUAGAUCAUUGGGCGGUACAGUACUGCUUCAUGGAACUAAUCGGCGACUCACCGACUGCUCAUUUCCUCGCCUUUUGAUCCACUUCCUUCAAGGCUUCGCGUACUAGAACAAAGGGCGGUGCAUGUCAAUUCAGCGACUCGCCUAGUUGGACUCGGCGAUCCGCAGACUUUCAUUUUUUGUUCUAUUCAGCCCUUUUUGCUCUGUGUUGCGCCUAAGUGUCCAUGCUUCCAGUAAAACUUCAAAUACCUGAAACUUAAGCAUUUUAAUCAGGUAUUGAGAUAAAACAAGCAUUCGAGGACACUAAUUCUAUUAAAAUAAAGCUCUAAAUGAGUCCAAUUUGUGGACUCAUCAAAGCCGGGCUGUCCAAUUAAGGAAAGCUACCCGAAAAUAUGAAGGGUAUUUUGGUCUUUUCCUUACCAAAUUAGAUUAAUUCGAUUUUUAAUAAUAUUUUGGGGUCAAAUCUGAUUUGGGUCAGUUUUCAUAAAUCAAAAUACGCUUAGAGUUUUGAGAGGAGUUCGAGAAGAGGAGAAAAAUAGAAAAAUUCAAGGCGUUCAUCAAGAUUCUUGAGUUUUGUUGCGGAUUUCGCCAAGGGUUUGAUCCCUAAAAGGUAUGUAAGUUCUCAUAGUGUUGGGUUCGUUCACCCACACGCCAAUCAUGUUUUUUUAAAGCAAUUUCGUUCUCAAAAUUGAAGGAAUUGAGUUCUUAAUUAGUGUUCUUGAAAUAUUGUGUUCGUUCUUGAAUUAGGAUGGGUUUGAUGAGUUCUUGAGAUAAUGGUAUGGAGUUUAUGAGUUUAAGAUAAUGUAGCUAUCAACGUUUAUACAAUUCAUUCACACAAUUUUCAGCUGAUACAACUCUUUGACGCUAUUUUCAUAUGAUACCAUAUGUGCUAAUAGAAAUGAUACUUAUCUGCUACAACCGAUUUGGACCCAUUUCAGAGUCACUUGAUAACUUUCAGCUUGACGUUGGGUUUGUGUCAAAUAUAAGAUUGAACAAACCAUGUCAUACAAAGCAUGUCAAUGUCUCUUUUAAAGUUACCAGAUCGUCACCUAUUGAGUGUCCCAGAAAGAUUUUGAUGAUUGACAAAUAAGGGAACAUAUGAAAGGAGCAGGUUGCGUCAACUUGUUCCUUUCAGACUGUAUCCGACUGGAAUAAGGAGAACGUCAACCACGCGAAUUAGAAGUUAUAAAACAGUGGAGGGAUUGCAUUUUAGACAAGAAACCAGUAGAGAAAGUUUCCUUUUAUAAAGGAGUCCUACAAGGAAGAGGAAGCACAUAAUGAAUAACCCAGUUAAAAUAGGAUGCCUAAUCCCACAAGAAGUAGUAACCACUACAAAAGUAACCGAGAUCCAAUUGAAGAAGGAAAGAUCCUUGAUCUAUAAAGAGGGCAAGAUUUUCUCCAAAGGAACACUUAACCAGAGAGUUACAAGCAAAAUGCAAUCAAAUAGAGGGAGUUCAUAUUGAGUGAUUUUUUAUUACAAAGUGCAGCCAACACAAGGAAACAAGAUUGAAUAACCUGAUUGAUAUUCAUAGGCUUAUGCUUUAUAGUUCUUAAGUCAAGUUUGCUUGUAUUGUGUUUUUAUCGAGUUGUAUUAUUUUAAUUCUUUCUAGAUCCAGUGAAGUAUAUAAAAAUUGGAGUAGGAAUAGUGUCUUCAUGUUGGGGCGACUUAUAGACGUGGGAACAUAAACCUUGGGGGGUUUGUGUUGGAGUUUAGGAAUUAGAGUUAGUUCCUACGAUUGCAAGAGUUGUAAUCCGAAUUCAUAACUUGAAGUGGGGUCGACGAUCUAGGUUGUUGUUGGCAUCUAGCAAUUAGAGUUUAUAAUUCCUUAGGUUACAUAGGUUUGUAAUCUUUUGUUGAGGCUUAGAGUUUAAUGAAGUGGAGUUAAAUCCUACAGAUCUGUAGGUCGUGGUUUUUUACCCUUUAUGUGCUGCGGAUUUCCGCGAUGAAAAAUUGUGUCAUUACUUUAUUUGCUUUACAUAACGUAACUGUUGUAUUCUUUAAAGGAACAUAUAAAUAUACAUGUUUCUUAGGUAAAUUUGGGUGUCAGAAUUCCAAUUGUGUCCAAUAUCAAGUUUAAUUGGGACUCCAGCCAACUGACACUUAAAUCCAGACUUGAACAGAUCAAACAUGGAUGAAAUAAUUCCUUCUGCACCUCCAUAUAUCAUGGCUUCACUUAUUAAAAAUUAUGAUAAAGUCUUUUCUGUCUCUCAUUCUCCACAAACAGUUUAUACAGGAAAUUUCCAGAUCGGUGCGACACUUGGUGCUAAUUUGCCUUGAAAAUGGGUUCUAAAAAGCACAAUUUGGGCAUACUGCUCAGAGAUUUUAUGAGAGUCCUAAUACCUCAUAUCAAGUUGUGUCAUGAUCUUGGCCAUGUUCUGGUCCCUCUCUUGGUCUUUCUCCAUCUGCUCCUUGGUUAGUUUAAAUGUGAAAGGGGAGACCUGGUCUUCACGGGUAUACCACGCCCGGUUGAUGGUAGUCAUUCCAUCCAAAAGCUCAGCUGCUAUCACAUAAGGUUGAUGCAUCAAACCUCGAGGAGAAAGAUGGUCAAAAACAUCCUUAUUUACUGAGUCAACACUCCGGUAAAAAUACGGCAGCAACACGUUGUCAGGCAAGCCAUGACUUGGGCAUUGGAGCACCAACUUCUUGAAUCACAGCCAAGUUUCAUGUAUUGGCUCGCCUUCUAGACGCUUGAAGCUCUAAAUGUUGUCCCGAAGAGUCAUUAUCUUCGAAGGAGGUAAAAAUCGCACUUGAAAUGUGGUGACCAACUCCUCCAACGAAGUGAUUGAUUCACGGAGAAAUUCAGCCAGCCACUUACACGCUUCUCCCAUCGAAGGGAACGGGAACAACCUCAACCGGACCGACUCUUGGGAAAUGUUCUUGAAGGAGAACGGUCUGCAAAUAUCCACGAAGUUUCUAAUAUGCUCAUGGGGAUCCUCAUGACCCGAACCACCGAACAACCCCUUCAAUUGCAAGAGCUGCAACAUAGUACUUGUGAUAUGGAACACCGUAUUACCUUCGGCCAGAGGCAAGCGAGUGGAACCAAUACCAUCCAUAAGAUGGGGGUCAUUAGCAUUAGGCUUGUUGACAUCGUUGAGGUUUUCGAUGUCAUCUUGAUGGCCUACUAGGCUGCAAUUGCUGUCGUUCAAACUCAUAUUUCCUGUUUUAAAACACAAACAAGCAAAACAAACUAAAAUUAAGUAAGUUCAACUAUGACUAACAAGAACAAAAUUCAACUUAACUAAAAAUUCUCAAGUAACACCACUCCCCGGCAGUGGCGCCAUUUUGAUUAAUAACAUUUCAAAGUCACUUCAUCCAAUACUAAGCGUCAACGAUCGUUAGUUAGUAAUAUAACCCAACUAAGUGAGUUAGGGUCGAAUCCCACGGGGAGUGGUACAUAUUUGAGAAUCAAUAGGAAAGCAUGAAUAUGCUCAAGUCAAUCAUAGGUAAAAACAUUUACGAAUAAAAACAUGGUUCAAGUUUGGGGUGACACAAGUGUCAAAUAACAUGGGGGUUUGGUUGUAAUUAUCAACUACAUCAACAAAUAACACGAAGGAACAAGUAUAGAGAUGGGUUCUUGGGAUGUGAUUGGAUUAUGGGCUAAGGUAGACAAAUGGGUAAUUGUAAUUAAUAGUAAAUAGCUAUAAAUCAGUGAAUUAGCUAGACUUUAGUGGGGAUAAAUUUCUCUCGAACAAUUUACCCACAAUCAAAUUGGUUUCUCUCGAACACCAAUAAGCAGCAAUUAAGAAUAGCCUACGCUUUAGUCCAUUCACUCUCUCGAGCUCAAUGUGUGGAAAAGGGUUUAGGAUUCACUCUCUCGAGCUGAACCCAUGACAACCCAAUACCCACAGACCAUCAAAUCAGUAAUCUUUGUUUUAAAACUUCUCUCUCGAGCAAGCCAAAAACACGAAGGUAGAGUUGCAUUUGCAACUACAACCCUUUAGAUUAAGCCAAAAUUACUGAAUGAAAUUACUUUUAAACAACAUUUAAACUAUCAGUUAACAAUACCCAAUAGAUAAAUCAACCCAUAAUCACACACCAAGAAUUGGGGUUUUUGCUAGACAUCAUAAAAAGAUAAAAAUCUUUACCAAAUUGUGUUUCCAUAAACUGGGGAAGAUUAAUAUUGUCUUUAUAGAAAUCUAAGAUGAAGAAUCUUCAACACCCACUUCCAACUUCUUAGAAAUGAAAAUCUUCGAAGCUAAGGAAAUAUUGUCUCAAUACUCUCAGUUCUAAGCUCUCUACUUCAGAACUGAAUAAAAAUGAUCAUCUAUUGAAAACUACUUACUAAACUAAGAAUUUAAAAAUGUAUUUAUAUUCGCCAAAAAGGUGUUGUGAAGGACCAUUCGGUGCAGUAAGUUGGGAUCGCCGAUCCACCUGGCGAUCCGCCCUUUGGUCAAUUCCGUCGCCUUUUUGCUUUGGCCUCCAACAUUUUCAAGUUCUGUAACUAUUGGCAAUCCAACACUGCAUCGCGGAACCGUUCGGUGACACACCGACUGCUCCAUUCUAUUGCCGACUUGAUUUUCUCUUUAAGGGCUUGGCACAUUGGAACUUUAGGCCAGAUCCUGGCCAUUCGAUGACUCGCCUAAUGGGUUAGGCGAUCAUAGGCCUUCUUUUUUUCAUUUUUUCAGCUGCCUUUUUCCUUUUUGAUCAUUAGUGUCCAUGCUUUGUUCUUCAAUCGAAAUACCUGAAAAUCGAGGAUUUACAUUAGUUAUUGGCACAAAUAUGCAUUUGAGGACACUAAAUCUAUUAAAAUAACGCCCUAAAUGAGUCCAAAUCGUGGACUCAUCAUCACAUAAGCUCUUAACAUGUCCUCUAAGGUCUGAAUGGUACGCUCUGCCUGACCAUCCACCUAUGGAAUAAAUGAUGUGCCAAGAUUAACCUGAGUACCAAAACCUUUUUGUGAAAUGAAUUCCAGAAAUGAGAGGUAAACUGAUGACCUCUAUUUGAGAUGAUAGAAAAGGAACCCCAUGCAACCUCAUUGUCUCAUUAAUGUAAAGCUUGGCGUAUUCCUCCACUGAAUUUAUAGUCUUAGCAGCUAAAAAGUGAGCGGACUUAGUAGCUCUGUCUACUAUCACCCAAAUGGAGUUAUGUUGUGUGUGAGUACGAGGUAAACCUGUAAUGAAGUCCAUGUUGAUCACUUCUAACUUCCAAGUAGGAAUUUUGAUCUCUUGAGUCAUACCUCCUGGUUUCUGAUGUUCUACCUUCACUUGCUGACAGUUGGGGCAUUUGGCCACAAAAUCCACUAUAUCCCUUUUCAUACCAUUCCACCAAAAGACUUCCCGCAGAUCAUGGUACAUCUUAGUAGCGCUUAGAUGAAAAGAAUACCUGGAGUUAUGGGCUUCUACAAGAAUCUGUUGUCUCAACUCACCCACCUUAGGAACACAUAAUUGACCCUAAUAGCGAAGCACACCAUCUCCCCUUGGGAGAAACCUCAAAACUCUGCUGAUGGACUGCACCCUUUAGUUGAAGCAAUAUAGGAUCACUGUCUGGUUUUUCCUUCACCUCCACUACAAAUGAAGAUUCUGCCCCAUUUUGAACUGUUACUCCACCAUCUGAUAUGCUCCUAAGACGAACUCCUAGGCGAGCAAGUCUGUGAACAUCCUUUUCAAGUUCCUUUCUUUCUUCCUCAACAUGAGCUACACUGCCCAUAGAUAUUCUACUAAGAGUAUCUACUACUACAUUGGCCUUACCAUGAUGGUAAUUCACACUCAUAUCAUAAUCCUUGAGGACUCAAGCCCUCUCCUCGGGCUAAGAUUCAACUCUUUCUGAGUGAACACAUACUGAAGGCUCUUAUGGUCUGUGAACACAUCUAUGUGAACACCAUACAAGUAAUGUCUCCAAAUCUUAAGUGCAAACACCACUGCUGCUAGCUCGAGGUCAUGAGUCGGAUAGUCUUUCUUAUGUACCUUAAGUUGUCUAGAAGCGUAGGCUAUAACCUUACCUCGUUGCAUCAACACACAACCUAAGCCGACUCUAGAUGCAUCACAAUAUAUAACAUAACCAUCUGACCCCUCUGGUAUAGUCAAAACAGGAGCUGUAGUCAACCAAGUUUUUAGUUCUGCAAAGAUCUUCUCACAAUCAUCUGACCACUGGAACUUAACCUUCUUUUGCGUCAACUUAGUCAAUGGAGAGGCUAUGGAGGAAAAUCCUUCCACGAACCUCCUGUAAUAGCCAGCCAAACCCAAGAAACUUCUAAUAUCUGUAGGAGAGGUGGGUCUGGGCCAUUGUUUCACUGCUUCUAUUUUCUGAGAAUCCACUUGAAUCCCUUCGCUAAACACUAUAUGCCUAAGGAAAGCAACUGACUGCAACCAAAACUCACAUUUGCUAAACUUAGCGAAUAACUGGCAAUCUUUGAGAGUUUGUAGGAUAACCCUCAAAUGAUUUUCUUGUCCUUCCUCAUUCCUAGAGUAAAUGAGGAUNNNNNNNNNNNNNNNNNNNNNNNNNNNNNNNNNNNNNNNNNNNNNNNNNNNNNNNNNNNNNNNNNNNNNNNNNNNNNNNNNNNNNNNNNNNNNNNNNNNNNNNNNNNNNNNNNNNNNNNNNNNNAAUGACAUAACUACAAAUUCAUAAUGACCAUACCGAGUUCUGAAGGUUCUCUUCAGAAUGUCACUAUCUCUGACUCUGAGCUGAUGAUAACCGAAUCUGAGGUCUAUCUUUGAGAAAUGACUAGCACCCUGAAGUUGGUCAAACAAGUCAUCAAUCCUAGGGAUGGGGUACUUAUUCUUGAUUGUGACUUUUUUUAAAUUCUUAUAAUCGAUGCACAUUCUGAGAGAACCAUAUUUCUUCUUGACGAACAACACUGGUGCACCCCAUUGGGAAAUACUAGGUGUGAUAAAGCCCUUAUCUAGAAGGUCCUUCAACUGAUCUUUCAAUUCCUUAAGCUCGGUUGGAGCCAUUCAGUAAGGAGGAAUAGAAAUAGGCUGGGUAUUUGGAAGGAAAUCAAUUCUAAAGUCGAUUUCCCUUUAGGGAGGAACUCAAGGAAGAUCUUCUAGGAAUACUUCUGGGAACUUAUUGACCACUAGAACUGACUUAAGAGUUGGGGUUUCAGAGCUUGAAUCCUUAAACCAAACUAGAUGAUAGAUAUACCCCCUAAAUAUCAUUAUUCUGGACUUAAGGUAAAAAAUGAAUCGACCCAUAAGAGCUAAGCUACUACCCUUCCAUUCUAAGAUUGGCUCGUCUGGAAACUGAAAAUGAACGACCCUAGUUCUACAAUCGACUGAGGCAUAACAGGAAUGUAACCAAUCCAUGCCUAGAAUGAUAUCGAAGUCUACUAUUUCUAGUUCUAUAAGAUCUGCUGAGGUGACUUUCUGGGAGACUGUGACAGGGUAAUUUUUGUAUACCCGUGUAGCUAUGACUGGUCACCGACUAGAGUAGAGACUGAUAAGGGUUCUGAGAGAGUUUCUGGACUGACACUAAAGCUUACUGCUAUAUAGGGAGUUACAAAAGACAAAGUAGCCCCUGUUCUCUUUUCACUGAGUGAACCAUAUGUGAGCAACUUCCUUAAGCUGGUAGGAUGCAAACUCAACCCUACCAUUACCAGUCACUUGCAUCACUCCAAAGAUUUUCUUAACCUUAUCAAUGAAGUUAUGUGGAUCCUCACCAGCUUAGGACCCUAAAAACUCAAGAGGAAUCAUCCUUACGCAAUCUCAAACCCUAGCUGCCACAGAUCCACCAUUUCUAUUAGUAGGAACUAGAACAUGCUGAUUGUUUAGGUUGGUCAUACUUUGAGCCAAAAGCUAAAUCGCAUUAUGAAAAUCUGCGUUCCAAACCUCAUGGUCUGGGACUAGAGGAACUGCGUUAGAAUUGCGUGCAUUAGCAUUCCAUGUGUAAGCUCAAUGAGGAGGCAUGAUAUUAAGUGUAUAACGAUGGAUUAGAACUAGGAAAUUGGUUCAUACCUCACGCACAAUAAGAGUAACAAAGAGAGUGAAGUUUUCCUAAAACACUGUGUAGCCUCCCUCUAAUUAGAUGUGGUGCUCACACCCAUGAAAAGCACUCUACUUAGUACGGCUUUCAGACAUCCUAGGACACUUACACCUAGUGCUCUAAUACCAAGUUUGUCAUGCCCCGAGGCUACCCCCUGGACGUGGACACGGGACCUAGGAUCACAAAUGACCCCAAGCUAACUCUGUUGGCAUAUCAUAAGCAUACUAAAUAAACUAAAGUAAAGAAAUAUUGUGCGGAAGCUAAAUCAUAAGAUAAUCUUAAAUGAUAGGGAAUACCCAUAUACUAAAUCUGAAUAUAAGAAAACUGAGAGUUUGAAUACAAAAGAAAAGUCAAGCUCUAACACUAUAGUUGAAUCUAACUAUGUAUGAAAUAAGCCUCUAAACUGACUAGAAGUGCUGGGAGAUGCCCCAGCUAAAUCUAUUAAAGACUGAAACUAAAACUAAAAAGGAAAGAUAACAUGUCAACUGUCCUCGAAUAGUGAGGACUCACUACUGAUGCUGCUGAACUGAAGAUCGAGAACCGAUCUAUGCGUGAUCUGACUGCUGAGGACCUGAACCUACAUCACGAGAAGAUGUAGCGCAGAGUAUGCGUCAGUACUUGAAAGGUACCGAGCAUGCAUGAUAGAAUAAAGCUAAACAAUAACAUAACUGAACCAAAGUAUAAAUAGCAAGGAUAUAAUCUAUACAUGAUAAGGAUACUGAAUAUAUUGUACAUGACUAAACUUAAUGCAAUAACCAAGUUUAUAACAUGCUGAAACUCAAAUCUGAACUAAAACUGAUAACAUGGUCAAUGCAAUAGAAUUUUAUUGUAAGGGAGCUACUAAUAACAGACAUAAAACCACAUGAACUAAAUGUGGAGUCUGAUGUAUACUCCCCAUCGAGAGGACCCAAUAUACCCUGCGAUAGGUAUAAAGGCAUGACUAGCAUAGUCACUAAAAUGUAAUGCCCAAAAGAGGGGACUUAACCUACGGGGCAUGUAAUUCUGGGACUUGAGGGUCACUGACCCUAGUCCACUCAAUAUCAAGCUACUCCCAUUUGAAUAUGUAAUUAACAAUUUAUGACUGAAUUCUAUAAUACUGGAUAGCUCAAAAUACUGGCAUGCAAAUGAGAAUGCAACAUUAAUAUACUGAUAAUGAAACAUUCGAAAACUAAGGAAUGUAUGUAUAUAUCUGAAAUAAUUGACAUAGCAUGUGAAAUUCAUGAACUAAAAGAACUACAUAGAUAGGGUUAUGAAUUUAUGCAUCAAUUUGGGCAAAAAUGAUACUACAACAUGAUAAUUUGAUUAAGAACAUUAAAAUAACUAGUUCAUAAUAAUCUGCUGAAAUUCUAGAAAUCCUAAGUCUAGAUAAUAUGGAGGGAAUCAAGAAUCUGACGGAAUUAUAUGGACCUAAUGGGUGAAGGAACCCACUAGUGAAAUCCCACAUACAUGGUGACGAAUUCCACGGAGAAAUCUUUCGAUUUUGGGGCUGGAACUGAUGGAACCUUGUUGCAUUCUUGAACUAGGGUUCUUGACUUCUUUCUCCUCUCUACGUUCUAAUUUUCUAUGUUUUGGUGAAAGAUAUGACUUAGGUAAGUUCUAGUUUGUUUACUAGGCUAAAACUGACCAAAACUACAUAAUUUAGGGGUUAAACGAUGUAGUUUAGGGGUCCAACACAUAGGGAAAAGACCAAAAUGACCCUGACUUAAAAGGUGUCGGGACCAAUCGAUGAACCUGGUCCACGGACCGUGGUCCACCCUACGGUCCGUCCUGGUCAGCCGUUGUUCAGCUUCAGAGGAUGGGUUUUGCGGACCACGUUCCACGGACCGUGGUUCAACCUACGAUCCAUAGGUCCUGGCCGUGGGUCGGGGUCUUUUUUUCUACGAACCACGUUCCACAGACCGUGGUCCCACCUACGAUCAAGGUUUUCUUGGCCACGUUCCACUGACUGUGGUCCAACCUACGGUCCAUAGAUGGUCUUCAUCGGUGGCACCUGCACUUCUUGAAAUCUGCAUUAUGGUAGUUCUAGCAUAUGGGGUGUUACAUUAUUAAUUGGUAUUACGUAUUGAUUAAUAGUCGUGCUUAUGAUUUUUUUUUCACUAUACUAGAGGGGUAAAACAAGAAGAUUCCUUAUCUCCAAUCUUAUUCAUUUUAUCUGCUGAGAAAUCUUUUAACAGAUUUAAAUGUUUUUUUAAACAAACCGUUUAAGAGCUCUGUGUUACCUAAAUGGAGUGAGAACAUUAAUAUGACACUAUUAUUUUUGCCUUUGCUGACAAAACUAGUGUUCACUUGAUCAUGAAAAUCACUGGUGAUUAUGAGAGACAUCUGUACAAAAGGUAAAUAAAGAAAAAAGCUCAUUUUAUGUUUUUCAUAAAACAGUUAGGAAUAUCAUUCAAGAUAUAUAUAGAAGAUUAUACAUAUUGUAAUAAAGGUAUUUUCCAUCUUUAAUUUAUUUUUGUUGUCCCAUUAUACAUGCUAGGAAAAGAAAGACAUUUUUUUCAACUUAUACAAAAGGUAUAGAGUAAGUUGCAUAUUUGGAAAGAGAAAUUAUUCUUCUUAAAUAAUAAAUAUGCGCUCAUUAACAAUGUUCUGUAAAGUUUACCUAUUUAUCUUCUUUCUUUCAUCACACCUCCUAAGUGUGAAAUUUAUGAUUUGCAUAGUUCAUUUGCAGGCUUUCUUUGGAACUUUAAAGAAGAUGAGAGGAGUAAACAUUGUGUUUCAUGGUCUGAUUUUUGUUUGGCUAAAGAUGAAGAGGGAUUAGGUUUGAGAUCUCUCUUUGAUGUUUUCAAAAUAUUAUUUGCUAAGCUUGAGUGAAACUUUAGAAUUAAAAAAUUGUGUGUUCCAAUUUUAUGUGGAAUAAAUACUGCCAGAGGCAUAGACCUCAAGCAAUUGAAUGGUGCAGCGGGUCACAAACUUGGAAGCUUGUGUUUGAGCUUAAAGGGAACAUCGACUGGGAAAUUCGGUGGGAAAUUAAGUGUGAUCAGUCUAAUGUCCGAUUUAAUAAUUGGACACAAUUGGGAUCAUUGUAUUAUUAUCUUCCUAUUUCAGAUCUCUUUCAAUUGAAAAUAGAGGAUAUCUAACAACUUAGACAGAAUAGGGAGUGAAAUAUUAAAAAAUUUACUGCAAAUGUUCCUAUAAAAAGUCUAUCAACACAUUCAAGAAAAAGUUGAUGUUUUUUUUUAUCAAAAUUGUUGGGACAAGCCUUGGUGGAUGGAUAACAAUUCAAGUAAAUUCUCUGUGGCGAGAUUUGUUGGAUGUUGAGGAAUAGAGGAGGUUCAAAAGUAUUAUAAGCAUAUCUGGAUCAAAUGAGAUCCUUUCAAACUUUUCUUCUUCUUCCAGAGAUUGUGUAAGAAAAGAAUUCCUAUUAGGACUACAAGAGUAAGGAGAACGAAAAGUUGUAGUUCAAGAAGAUAAAAACGGUAAAUUAGAUAUUUGGGAGUUAACUUUUCAAGGGUAAUGGCUUUAGCCUUUUAAGGCCUUAAGCCUUUAAGUCUUCACUGUACUAGUACUAGUAAUCUAGUAUAUGUUUUAUCAAGCCUCAAGAGUCAAGGAUUUACUUGGGUCAGGAUUAUAAGUCCUGAAUUUAAAUGGGCUUUAAGAGUUUUAUCCCAACCCUACCCUAAUAACAAAUUGGAUUGGAUCGACCUUAUGGGCCAAGUCCAUUUUGACAGCCCUAACUAUCUAUACCCUAAACCUAAUCUAUAAAAGGAAAUAAAACGACCUACUUUGAGGGGACUCUCAAUAAACAACGGCAGGAGCAAUUGCAGUAACAUAUAGAUCCUUUCUCAAAACUUAUAUGCUCACCAUUUAUUUGUAUCUCUGUCUUCCUCGACAUUUGAAGGUCUAAUCUUUAACUCUCCCUCUCGUAAUAUAUUCGAAUUAUGUUUUUUUUUUUCUCUUUGAAUGAGUUGAUUUUAUUACAUACUUCUUUUUGUUGUUUGUUUAAGAAAGACUUUGUUUUCAUUUGUGGUCAGAUUUGAGUGGGAAAAGACUUCCUAAUAAUAAUUAAAAAAAUUUAAUCAAAUGCCUGCAGUAGCUAAUCAUAAUUAACUUCUAUGUGUCGGCUUUGUUUUGUUUUGCUUGCCAAAUAAUUCAAGAAUUUGAAUUCUCUUUAAUUAAUUAAUUUCUCUGUUAUGUGUUUAGUUUCUCGUAUUGAUUAAUAUUGAAUCACCUUCCAAUUAAAUAGGUUAUUUCUUUCCAAUUUGUUGUUGGAAAACUUGAAAUAAUAGUAAAUUUGAAACAUUAGUUUCUUAAGUUAGAAAUUUUCUAGGCCUCAACUUUAAUUAAUCACUAAUGAGAACAAAGAAAGAAAGAGUGAUAAAAUCAAUUGUCCUAGUUUAUUAAAAUAAUCUAUCCAAAUGAUAAGAACUAAGGAGAUCAUUCAUAAUAUAUUGUCUUAACAAAAGUUGCAACUUGGUGCCUUAUAUAAUAACAAUCAAUAAAAUGGGAUGGUCACAUUUAUAUGUCUUGACCCAAAACCUCUUUAAAAUAUGAUUUUUUUUAUUCAACGAACAUGUAAACUCUAUAUUUAGGUGUGAUAUACAGAGAGAGAUCGGAUUUACUCAUCUUUAUAAGUGUAUGUCGAAGUUGAGGUCGCAACUUUGUUUCUUAGUCAAGAGUCAAGACUAAUAAAAUUUAACAAUUUAAGUGAAACAUAGGCAAAUGAUCUAUCUUGAAAUAAUUUGAAAAACAAUUGUUUUAGCACCACAUGAUUCAGGGAUGCCUUAUACCUUUCCUAGGUCAACAAAAUUCUUUACUCGGUUUUUUGUUUUUGCAAACCGAUAAAAGGAAUCAUUCCUUUUUAUUAGAGAUUAAAAAAAGUGACUUCGACUAUUAUAAUUCAAUUCCAAGUGACAACUCUAUAAAUGAAAAACCUCUAUUCAAUACCAUCACUUAAAUUGAAAAAUCAUUUCUUAUUCAUCUUCGAUGAUGAAAAAAGAGAUGUGGCAACUAGUAAUUAGCUUUCUUAUUAACUAUUAAUUAUGAGUCAUUAUUCAACUAAUUGAAACUAGUAUAGAUAAUUCUUAUUAUUUUUUCUUCAAUUAGUUUCUUGUGUCUUAUUACUUUUAAUAGGUAUAAUAUGCUUAAAAAUACUACCACAACUAUAUAAAUAAAUAAGUUAACUAUUUUUUCAUGGAAACAACACAUUUUAUUGUUUUUAUAUAGAUUGUAUCUGUUAAACUUAAGUGAUGACAUGUUUCUUUCUACAAUCCUGACGUAGCCCAUAGUUAAUUAUGUUGGAAUAGGGUUAAAUAAGUUAAUUUAAUACUAUGCAAAUGUUGCAAUAGGGUUCAUGUUUUCUUCUUUCUUGAUUGUGAAAACGAUUUUGCCUCAUAUGCAUAGUUUCUAAGGAGCCUAAGUUUGAAAAACCAUGUUGGGAUUGUAAAACUUUGUGAUGGAACCAACAUGUUUUUGGUGCCAUCGCAACCCUAGCACGAUCUUUUAAACUCAAGUUCCCCGGAAAUUCUGUAUGUGAGGAAAAUCCUUUUUACUUUCAGGCAAGAAGAAAAUAAAUUGAACCUGAAAACAACAUCUACAUAGUGUUUAGUCAACUUGUCUAACCCCGUUCCGUCGUAGAAAUUGACUAUGUCAAACAUGUUACCACUUGAGGUAGUUGACAAAAUCCAACUAAUUUGAAAUAGUAUAUAUAAUGUAACAUCCAGCCUUAGAAAGAGCUAAAUUUAGACAACAUUGAAUUGGAAAUAGCCAAAUCUGGAAUUUUACAAGUUAUGCUCGAGUUAUAAGUUUUGGGUCUACUUCAAACGACCAUGACUUUUAGUACAGGAUGAGUUAGGUGGUCCAUAAGAUAUCAAAUGAAAGGUAUUGGAAUCCUCUUUCCAACGCCACUGAGUUUGCUAAUUUUUGAGAUAUGCCAGUUUGAAGUCGGGUUGUCCAGUUAAGGAAAGUUACCCAAAAAUAUGAGGGGUAUUUUGGUCUUUUCCUUACCCAUUCAGAUUAAUUCAAUUUUUAGUAAUAUUUUUGGGUCAAAUCUGAUUUGGGUCGCUUUUCAUAAAUCAAAAUACGAUUAGGGUUUUGAGAGGAGUUCGAGAAGAGGAUAAAAAUAGAAAAGUUCAAGGCGUGUGUCAAGAUUCUUGAGUUUUGUUGUGGAUUUUGCCAACUCAUAGUGUUGGGUUCAUUCACCCACACGCCAAUCAUGUUUUUUAAGCAUUUUCGUUCUCAAAAUUGAAGGAAUUGGGUUCUUGAAAUAUUGUGUUCAUUCUUGAAUAAGGAUGGGUUUGAUGAGUUCUUGAGAUAAUGGUAUGGAGUUUAAGAGUUUACAAUAAUAUAGCUAUCAACGUUGAUACAACUCUUUCAAAAAAAAAUCAGCUGAUACGACUCUUUAAUGCUAUUUUCAUGUGAUACAAUAUGUGCUAAUAGAACUGAUACUUAUCUGCUACAACCAAGUUGGACCCAUUUCCGAGUCACUUGAAAACUUUCAUCUUGACGUUGGGUUUAUGUCAAAUAUAAGAUUGAACAAACCAUGUCCUGCAAAGCAUGUCAAUGUCUCAUUUGAAGUUGCCAAACCGUCACCUAUUGAGUGUCUGUUAGAUCGAGAAAGGUUUUGAUGCUUGACAAAUAAGGGAACAGAUGAAAGGAGCAGGUUGCGUCGACAUGUUCCUUUCAUAUUGUAUCCAACUGGGAUAAGGAGAACGUCAACCACGUGAAUUAGAAGUUAUAAAACGGUGGAUGGAUUGCUAUUACUAGCAUCUAACACCAACUAUUAUCAUCACCACAAUUAUAAAUUAUCUUUAUCAUCACUAGCGAACAUAAAUGUUUUAUACUUUAUCAAAUAAUAAUCUAAUUUUAUUAAAUUCAUAUUUUCUAAUAUUUAAUUACUUUUUACCUGAUAUAUAUAUAUAUAUAUAUAGAUAUAUAUUUAUUAUAUUUACAAAUAAAUAAACUAUACACAUUCAUAUGUUGAAAAACAAUAGUCUUAAUCAUCUAGUGUUCAGAUCUAGAGAAAAUAUCUUAAUAUUCAGAUUCAGACGUCUUAAUUUUAAUGAAAACAAAUGAGGCCUAAAAGAACAAGAAAUAGUGUUUAUUUUGAAAUACUUUUAGUUUCUAAUGUGAAUUUGGAGUAUUGGAAUAAAAAUUUUGAAAACUUGGUAAGUAAUUCGUUGUUUUAUAACAAUGAAAUAAUGAGCUUAUAAUUAAUACAAAAAAAUAUUGCAUUCUUAACAUCCCCGGACGAGAAAAUAAUGAGGAUCACUAAUUAAUUAAAGGGUUAAAGAAUGAACAAAAGUAAAUAAUGAUGUUUCUAAGAGUUACUUAAUUACUAUCACAAUUUUAGCUAAUAUGAAAUGCACAUACUGAAAAAAAAAGUUCGAUCAACAUAUCUAUUAGAGUCUCAUGCUUUUAUAAGCAUACAAAUAUAGAUAUACAUAUAAGUAGUAAAAUAUGAGUUCACAAUUAAAUAUUGAUGGUAUAACUUCGUGCAGGAACGUUUCCAAAACUACGAUCAUGUGUACAUAUCCUUCUUAGAAAUUCUGAAGAUGUACAACAAGAAGCACAACAAGAUCAUCGAUGAAGUCUACAAUGAGGUGAUAAAUAAUUUUAAAUUUGGAUACACAAUUAUUAUUAGAUGAUCUUCAUAUUAUAAUUUGUGAAUAUCUUUUUGUUUUGUGUGUAGGUUGCCAUAUGUCGCAAUGAUCAUCCAAAUUUACUUGAUGACUUCACAAUUUUUUUACCAGAUUCUUCAAUAUUUGUCGCAUUGGUUAGACAUCAUAGCAAUAAAUUACCCAUCCUCUUUAAUUCCUUAUAAUAAUGUUAAUGUCAUGACUAAAGUUUGUAAUUUUUCUCAAAAAAGUGUUACGGAGAUUGGUUGGGUUGUUUGGAAUGCUUUUGUCAAUUUUAUUAGCAAUAAAUAUUUUUAAAUGGUGUCUUCAAUAUUAUCAUCUUCACUUCUACCAAAUUAAGAAAAAAAAAGCAUUCAUUCUUUGUUUAUCUUCUCAUAUAUAUAACGAAAUAAUUUUAUAGGUAUGAAACUGUACUCACCCCUUCUCCUUCUUGUCCUCUUGUACUUCCGUUCUUCUUAUUCUCGUAUUCGAAACUGGAACAAGCUCUUCUUUACUAGCCUCUAUUCGUUAGCUUCUUGUUAGCAAUUCUAGUUUGUAGUCUUAUUGACCUAUGAGCUUAUCCAUGCGGUUAUGCACUCUUUGAAUCGGAAUCCAUUUUCUGAAAGAUCCUGGCUUUCAUACUUUGGUGGGUCUCUGAGAUCAUUUCGAUGACCUAUGUUGAAGGGAUAUCUAUCUAAUCUGAUCGAUUACGUAGAGCCUUUGUUUAUUCAUAUGGAAAGUACUGAUGUAACUAAAACAGGGUUAACCUCCUUGUUCAGAUUGACUUUUCAUUUUUUACUUAUAAGCUAAAUGUUAUAAAUUAAAAUUUUUAACUAAUGACUUAAUUUUUAGAAAUUUGACUUAAAACAAAGUGCUUAUAAACAUUUUUAACUCACUCACACCCUCUAAUAGUACUUUAAAACUAUUUUAGCUUAAAAUAGGCCAAUUCAAACAAGCUCUAAUUAGGGGUUCAAUGUAAUUGAAAGAAGAUUAAAUUUGUGCUUCUUUAAUAAUAAUAAUAACAACAACAAUAACAACACCAACAACAAUAAAAAAAAUUAUGAGGUUUGAUAUUCCAUAAAUAAUUUUGACAAACGUGGUGUAUUGAUGAAUAAUUUUCGAUGUUAAUCCUCGUUUUAUGCUUGGGUUUGUUUAUGGAUGUUAAAUUGAGUUGCAUAGUUGUUCACUAGUUUUUUCAAUCAAAAGAAAUAUAAAUUAGCAAAUAUUUCUUCACUAUGUUGUUUGGAUUGAAUCGUUAUUUCUUUCAAGUAAUUGAAAGAGCUUUUUGAAAUUAUUUAUUGAAUCAAAAUGAGAUUUUAUUUUCUCCAGACUAUCCCUUAACGGUUUUUCUCACACACAUUCAUUAAUGGUUAUGUAAUUAGUUUAUUCAAGGGAGGCUGGAUUUAAUCAAAAGAGAUUAAAUAAAAACUAUAAUGUCCCAAUCCAUUAGUGAUAUAUUUUGCUUUCGGCCUAGGCCUGCACGAUUUAAAACCCGUCACUAGUUGAUAAAGUUUGUUUAUUUAUAUAUCCAACAUCUUUCCUAUAUUUUUAUCAGUAUGAGACUUCUUAUCUUAUUUUUGGGUGUCACAUACACCCCUUUAUGGAAUUAGUGUCCUCGCUGAGGUUGCCACACCACUUGGAAUUUGCCUAGACUCAGCACUAAGAUUUACUUUGCCUUAUUGAAAUUUUUCUAAACUCAGUUGAACUCUGGCCCACAUCGAUAAGGCUGACAUAGGAGUGACUCUAAGAUCACUUGUAAUGGCCAAGUUCACUAGUGACAUUGUCCGCUUUAGACCUAGGCCCGCACGACUAUAAUUGUGUCACUAUUUGGUAUAGUCUGCUUACUUAUAUACCCAACAUCUCUCUUAUGUUUUAUCGAUGUGGACUUCUUAUCUUAAGUUGCGGUGUCACAAUUUAAAAAUAUUUGACAGAAUUCUUAUUAAUCAAGCUUUUAUUUGGGAUGUAUGGCACUAUGAAUAUGAAGUGCUUAGCUAGAACUGGUCUAAUAAUGCACCAUUUCUUUUGUCUUGUAGUAAUCAAGUUUCUCGUAGGAGAAGACCUAUUAGAUUUUUGAAAUAUUGAGUGAAAGAUCAUAAUUUUAGAAAGGCUGUUGUGACAGAGGUUUGGGAGUUUAUUUACUCAGAAGAUGUCUUUCUAAAUUUGAAGUUGAAGUUGAAGAUGAAGAAGACUAACGUUACUCUCUUACUAAAUGGAGUAAAAGAACCUUUGAGAAUAUUUUGAAGAAAUAAAUAUAAAGGAGCAUAUGGUAAAAAUAAAGGAGGGUUUAUUUAAUGAAUUUCUUAGAUUUGAGAACAUAAUGUGUUGAAAUAAGCUCAUGCUGAAUUGACUCCUUUUUACAAGAUCAAUUUUACAGAGAAUUUUGAUGUCGUUAAAGUAUCUUUAUUAGAAAUGGUUCCAAAAUUAAUAACUGAGGAGCUGAUUUACUUAAUUUUACUGAGAAUUUUCAGCGUAUUUGCAUGUCCUUGGAACUUAGUUCAGUCAUAUUUCAGUUUUCAAUACUUAGUGGUAGGGUUCGCAGCUCUUUCCCUCCAUAUUCAGCUACUUCAGUCUUUAUUCGAGGACGAAUGUUCCCAAGGGGGAGAUAAUGUAACACCCCGUAUGCAAGAAGACCAGAUUGCAGAAAAUCAGAAGCUAGGUGCCGCCAAUGUUGCCACCUACGGACCGUAGGGUGACCCAUGGACUGUAGGUAAAUGUCCAUGGUUAGCCACCUGCAUCUCCCUCCCUGAACCCAACACAAAUUCAUCUAAGGGUCGACCUACGCCAAGACCUACAGACCGUAGGUGGGACCACGGUCCAUGGUCCAGGCCGUGGUUCAAACCCACAGAUUUAAUCUCUCUGAAAGCCAAAUGACGGUUUAUAGGACAAACCGGAGGCUAGUCGACGGUCCAUCGGUCUGGUCCGUCGGUUGGUCCCGCAACUUUUAAGUUAGGGUAAUUUUGGUCUUUUUCCUAUGCAUUGGUAACCUAAAAUACGCCGUUUAACCCCUAAACUACGUCGUUUUGUCAGUUUUAGUCUAGUAACUUAAUUAGAACUUGCCCUAGUCAACUCAUUCUCCAAAAAUUCAUCAAGUUGAAAGAAAAGAAGGAGAAAGAAUCGACCAAACCCUCUCCAAGAACGCAUCAAAUUUUAUUCAGUUCCAACCCCUAAAUCAAAAUAUUUCUCCGUGAAUUUAGUCACCAGGUAUGUGGGAUUCCACUAGUGGGUUCCUUUCACCCAUUAGGUCCCUAGAAUUCAGUCAGAUUCUUGAUUCUCUGUAUCAUGUUUAGACCUAGGGUUUCCAGAAUUUCAAAUUUAUGUUGUGAUUCAGUUGUUAGACUAAUCCAAAUCAGGUUAUCAUGUUUUCGUAGAAUUGUUGCUUAGUUCUUUGCAUGAAACUCAGAACCAUAGCUAUGUAGAUUCGUUUAGUUCAUGAAUUACACAUACUAGAUCAGUUUAUUCAGAUAUACAUGCCUCAGUUAAGAAUGUUUCAUUAUCAGUACAUUAAUGUUGCAUUUUCAGUUAGCAUAUCAGUAUUUUGAGUUAUUCAGUAUUACAGAAAUUCAGUUAUAAUGUGUUAUUUACAUAAUCAGUUGGGAGUAGGCUUAAUACCGAGUGGACUAGGAUUAGUCACCCUCAUAGUCCCAGAACAACGUUCCCCCGUAUGAUAAGUCCUCUCUAUGGGCAACAUAUUGCUACUUUCAAUCUUUCAGUUUUAGUUUUGCUAGAGUUAGCUUGGAAUGUCAGAGCAUCUCUAGUCAUUUAUAGGCUUUUAUUAAGACAUAGUUUAGAUUCAGUUUUUAGUUUGAGUUUGAUAUUUCCAUUUUCAUUAAACUCAGUUAUAUAUAUUCAGACUUAGAAUGGGUAUUCCCCAUCAUUUCAUUUUAUGUCAUGUUUUAAGCUUCCGCAUAGAAUUAUCUUAUUUCAGUUAUCUCAGUAUGCUUAUGAUAUGCUAGCAGGGUUAACUUGGGGUCACUCGUGAUCCUAAGUCCCGUGUGAACGUCCAGGGGGUAGCCUCGAGGAGUGACAAACUUGGUAUCAUAUCCCUAGGUUCAAGAGUCCUAGGAUGUCUGAAAAGCCGCACUAAGUAGAGUCCCUUUCAUGCGUGUGAAGCGCGCCACACCUAUGAGGGGGUGUCUAUGAAGUGUUUUAGGAAAACUUUCACUUUCAUGAUAUUCUUAUCGUGUGUGGGUAUGAUCUUCUUUGUAAUACAUCGUUAUGUAUUUUCAUAUCAUGCCUUCUGAUAGAGCUUUGUCACGACCCGAGCCUACACCCCAAAAGUAAUACGGGGUACAAGACUCUGAAGAGCCUCAUACAAGCUACAUAGCAUUCAUAACAUAAAACAUAAGAAAAUGGUACGGAAUUUAAAAACAUUUAUCCAUACAAUCGAAGUCUUUAUUUAAAAACAGCGGAAGUCUAACUUUGUCUCACAUGGACAUCUCAUACAACUUUUAAACAAUAAUAGGGUCACAGCCCUUCAGCAUAGUCCGAAACAUAAAAUGACAUGAAAGAAACUAGAAAAAGAACAAAUCUCAUCCUUGAACUAUGAGGACUACCACUAGCUUUGGAGAAGAGGAAAUCGAAGCUUUGAACCUUAGAAUUCACCUUAAGAUCCAGAACCUACACUUUGUAAAAAUGUAGAAGAAAUAUGGGUUAGCACAAGAAUGCACUAAGUAUGAUAGCCAUUCAAAAAUCAUGCUAAAAGUACAUUUUGGUUGAAAACCAUGCAUUUAACAAGUUCAAGAGUCAUCAUGCACUUCUAGUAUAAACACAUAAGACAUAAGCAUAUUCAUCAUGUAAGUCAUUAUAACACAUUAGAACUAUCAUCUUAAGUAACCCUAAGUUAUACUUGUGCAAUGUAGGAAUGACAUCCCAUAAUACCAUUCAUACUAGUACCACUUUGAGGCCACUAUAACAUACUUACCAUUCUUCAUUCUCAUCUUUAGCCAAUACCCAUAGAUAAGGAACCUUCUCAUUUAAUAAGUCAUGACAAUGAAAGCAACUCAUAGCAACAAUCCAAGUUACGCAUUUAUCAUUUCAUUUAGCCUUUAAGUCAACAUUCUAAUUAGCAUCAUUAUAAGCACAUUCAUUUCAUUAGACAUUAUGAUAUUCAAGACACACCAUAGCCACUCUCAAAGCCUACUCGUUCAAUGCAUGAAUGGCAUCCCAUACUACCACCCACACUUCAUAGAAGCUCUUGAGUAAUCAUAGCACAUAACUCACAUGAUGGGAAUAAUCCCUAACCGACAUAGACCAUGUGAGAAAAUCAUGGAAUCCGGUGCUUCCCACACAGUAAGGGUUGGUAUACUUGCCUAAGGUAGAACUGGUAAAUUUAGCUUAGCUGGAUCUACUAGCUAUAACCUAUAAGGGCACAUAGUUAUGGGAUAAGGAAGGUGUUCAUAGUAACCCGGCUUAACAUCGGGAGAGCUUCGACCUUACAAUAUCCACUCGGUGCUAACCAUUAAAUUCCCAUAAAGUAGUUCAUUCCUUUAACAUUAUUACACAUGAGAGGGAUGCAAUUGAUCUACCGACCCAAGGUACAGUAUUUCACACAUGAAAGGGUGUCAUUAGCCUACCGAUUCAAGGUACAUUAUUUAACACAUGAACGGGUGCCAUAAGCCUAUCGAUUCAAGGUACAUUAUUAGGAUAGCUCAUUGAACCCUCAUGAAAGGGUGCCAUAAGCCUACCGAUUCAAGGUUCAUCAUUGUCAUUCAUGGAAGGGUGUCAUUAGCCUACCGAUCCAAGAUAUAUCAUUAGAAAACUUCAUUAAUCAUUUAUGAAAGGGAUGCCACUUGGCCUACCAAUUCAAAGUUCAUUAAGUCAAGAUACUUUAGUUACACAAGAAGAGGAUCACCUAAAAGCCUACCAAUUCAAGAUGUAUCAUUAAAUUGAAUAAACAUUUCAUAAUAUGUCAUCAUUAUUCACAAGUGUAUAAUUGAGAAUAAACUUUCAACAAUAUCAUAAUUUCAUUAUAGUCAUAGUCACAUUACUUUCAUUGAAAUCACAAAGCAUAUAUAUAAGCAUCUUGAUUAUACAAUAAUCUUCACAACUUUCCCUUCAAGGACCAUGAAUCAUAAUUCACCAAAACACCUAGAAUUACCACCAUUUAGGCAUGAAUAAUAACAUAAUUCAAGUAAUUAAACUAGUACAAGAUCAAUUGCAUAGUAUUCAUCUUACUACAAUUCACCCACAUUACAUAGUCAUAAAUUACGGUUAUGGCAAAUUCAUGGACCCAUGGGAGAUGUCAUCUUAAAACCACCAUAAAACAAUAAUUCAAUCAUGAUAUAUGAUAAUUAAACCAUUGAAAACGUUUUGAGAAAGAAUCCAUGACUUAAAAUGAAAACCCUAGGUUUUGGAGAAUUUCCAACUUUGAAAUUGAAAGUUUGAGGGCUUCAGGAAGAAACCUUUCCAUGAAUCAAGAGUACCAUACCUUAGAUGAAGAAAUCCUAGCAAAAUCGUGAGAUAAAUCUCCCUUCUUCAAUGGAGUUCUUGGGAGAAAACUUUAGGUGUAAAAAUGGUUAUGAUUUGGGUUGUUGAGAUUUAUGAAGUGUAAGGGUUAAUUAACAACUUAAAAACCCUUAUAUAGAUCUAAAUAAACAAUAUAAAAUGACUCACUUCAAACUAACAUUAAAAAGAAUUUACUAAAAUACUCUUACCUUUGCCGAGAUUUGGCAGCAAAAUAGGCCCCCAUCCACGACCCCUACCUACGGGGUGUGGAUGGACCCACGGACCGUACUGGUCAUUCAUGGGUCUAGGGCUGGGGCUUGAAAUCAUGGGGGAGGUCAGUCCAUGACCCACGACCCCCACCUACUGGCGUGGGUCCACCUACUGGUUGUAAGUGCCAUAGUAGGUGGCCCUUUUUGGGCAGUCUUGGGGAGUCUUGGCGGUUAGGAUUUAGGAUCCUCCUCAAGGACCCUUGGCUGGUUCUUGUGGGGUUCGUACCUUGACGUUUAACCCUAAACCCCUCAAAUUAAGUUUGGGAAAUCAUUUUACACUUCUAAACCCCACAUCAAACUCAAAACCUCCAACGCAAGGCUCUAGUUUCACCUACUAGUUUUUCGGGUAUUACAUUAUCUCCCCAUUGGGAACAUUCGUCCAUGAAUGACAUUUCUAAAUACAUCAUGGAAUUAAAGACUCAAGACUAGCAGCCCAUCAUCCAUGAAACAUCAUAAUAAUGCACAAAACAAAGAGGAAACAUCAACUUCAUCUCAAUAUACUCAAUGCAACACAGGGAAGUAGGAACUACAUCUAACAGCCCAUUAUGCAUGAAAAUUUCAACAUUUCUCAUUUCAUUGGAGGAAUUACCUUCUCCAACUCAAAGCAUUCUCAUCAUAACAUCAUGAAGCAAAUUAUGCAAUUACUCUCAAAAGUACAUUUAAGCAUGUUCAACAAUUCAUUUCAUGAAGCAUAUAGGCAACUCAUACUAAAUGCACAUCAACAUGAGGAAUGAAAAUCGUAAAAACUCAUUUUCUCAUUAAACAUGAAUUCAUCAAGAACAUGCAUAACAUAAGGAGACCAUGGAAACACAUAUAUCACACAUGACUCCAAAACAUGAAACAUGCCACAAGGAACUCUUUGUCUUAAGCUUGAAUAGGAAUAGAAGAAAGUGAUAAGGAUAUCGUCACUCUUAACAACUUUGCCUUCUAAGCAUACCAUCUCCCCCUUGGGAGUAAAUCCAUACUAAGGCUAACAUCAAAAAUAGCAUAGGGACCUUAAUAAAACAUUUACGUCUAUAAGAAAUUAUCAACAUACCGGUGCCUUUAUCCGGAAGGGCUCUUUUGUCCCCUCUAGACCAGAGUGCAUAAAAACGACCAUAAUUUGGAGGAAUGGGAACCGUACCAUUAGGAAAAGCUUGUUUGGUAUCUCUUCCUUUUAUUGAUAGUGUAGGGCAAUCUUUCACUUGAUGAUCACUCUUUCCACAACUAUAACACCCAUUUGUACCGGCUAGGCACUUCCCAUGGUGUUUCUUUCCACAAUUGGUGCAAGUAGGUUUAGGAAAUGGAGACCCACUACCUUUCUCUUGGUUAACCCUACGAGUGCUUGAAGAAUCUUAGUUGGAAGAUCUUUUUUUGAACCUUGGUUGACCUUGAUCAUCAGACCUAGCUCUCUUCAUUUCUCUAUUCUUUCUCUUAAGUUUAGACUCCUCAAUUUGUUGAGAAAACACCAUAAGCCUAGAGAUAUUCAUGUACUCAUGGAACAUUGUUGUACGACAUUCUUUCUCAACUAGGUCGGACAUACCCAUCACAAAUUUACUCAUCUCAUCCCUCGGCUCUCCCACCAUAGAGGGAGCAUACUUGGACAAAAGGGUAAAUUUCAAAGCAUACUCUUGGACACUCAUGCUACCUUGCCUAAGGUUUAUGAAUUACUCUACCUUAGCCUCCCUCAACUCACGAGGAAAGAACCUAUUAAUGAAUGCUUUCUUAAACACAUCUCAAUCAAUAGGACCCGCUCCUACCGGCCUAUUUUUCUUCCAUUGAGUAAACCAAACUUGAGCUACAUCAUUCAAUUGAUAAGCGGUUAGUUCCACUUUUUCUACCGAAGUCACCCCCAUAGCAUCAAUUACCUUAUACACCUCAUCCACAAAUUCUUGGGGAUCCUCUCCCACCUUGGAACCAAGAAACACCGGAGGGUUCAUCCUAACAAAAUCCCUCAACCCAGAAGCUAUAGUACUCACAUUAGGGUUCACAUGAGUCCCACCAUCCUUAUUGGCUUGGGCCGUCAUAGCUUGGGCUUGAGUAGUCAUGGCUUGAGCCAUCAUUAGAUGAGUCGACCUAACUUCUUCAUCCGACUUAGCCAAAGGGUUAAUCGGAGCUUGGUUCCCUUGAGGAGCUUGGCUCACUUGAGGAGCUUGAUUCUCUUGAGGAGCUUCUUCAUUGAAAUUGUUGCCCUUCAUUCUCCUUGUGUUAGCCCUUCGUGUAUUCAUAUCCUGAAGACAUAAAAGACGGAUUAGGAGAUGGAAUUUGUAGAAUUAAACUUUAUGGCACAACUUAAGAGUAAUGAAAGAUGUGUAGUUUCAUAACAUCUUAUAGCCUCUCAUUCAUAAAUGUGGCGCGCUUCACACUCUUGAACAAGACUCUACUAGACGUGGCUUAUGAGACAUCACCCUAAAAACCAUCCCAACAUCUUAGGCUCUAGUACAAUGUUUGUCACGACCCAAGCUUACACCCCGGAUGUAACACGGCGUACAAGACUCCGAGGAGCCUCAUACAAGCCUCAUAGCAUUCAUAAUAUAAGACAUAAUAAAAUGGUAUGGAAUUUAAAAACAUUUAUUCAUACAAUCGAAGUCUUUAUUUAAAAAUAGUAGAAAUCUAACUUUGUCUCACAUGGCUAUCUAAUACAACUUUGAAUCAAUAAAAGUGUCACAGCCCUUCAACAUAGUCUGAAACAUAAAAUGACAUGAAAGAAACUAGAAAAAGAACAACUAUCGUCCUCAAACAAUGAAGACUCACCACUAGCUUCGGAGAAUAGUCAAUCGAAGAUUUGAACCUUAGAAAUCACCUUAAGAUCCGGAACCUACACUUUGUAAAAAUGUAGAUGAAAUAUGGGUUAGCACAAGAACGCACUAAGUAUGGUUGCCACGCAAAAAUCAUGCUAAAAAGGACAUUAUUGUUGAAAACCAUGCAUUUCACAAGUUCGAGAAUCAUCAUGCACUUUUAGUAUAAACACAUAAGCUAUCGGUUUGUGUUUUGAGCAAGAAUCAUAGCCUUACCUUAUCUUCACCAGGAUACGGACUCCAAGUUCUUAUGGCAGAGCACGAGGAGAUUUAUAAGCAUAUUCAUCAUGUAUGUCAUUAUAACACAUUAGAACCAUCAUCUUUAGUAACCAUAAGUUAUACUUGUGCAAUGUAGGAAUGGCAUCCCAUAAUACCAUUCAUACUAAAUACCACUUUGAGGACACCAAACAUACUUACCAUUCUUCAUUCUCAUCUUUAGUCAAUACCCAUAGAUAAGGAACCUUCUCAUUUAAUAAGUCAUAACAAGGAAAGCAAUUCAUAGAAACAAUACAAGUUAAACAUUCAUAAUUUCAUUUAGCCUUUAAGUCAACAUUCUCAUUACCAUCAUUCUAAGCACAUUUAUUUCAUUAGACAUUAUGACAAUCGAGAAACACACCAUAGCCACUCUCAAAGCCUACCGUGCAAUAUAUGAAUGGCAUCCCAUACUACCAUCAACACUUCAUAGAACCUCUUGAGUAACCAUAGCACAUAACUCACAUGAUGGGAAUAAUCCCUAACCGACAUAGACCAUGUGAGCAAUUAAUGGAAUCCGGUGUCUCCCACACCGUAAGGAUUGAUCUCCUUGCCUAAGGUAGAACUGGUAAAUUUAGCUUAGGUGGAUCACUAGCUAUAACCUAUAAGGGCACAUAGUUUUGGGAUAAGGAAGGUAUUCAUAGAAACCGAACCUAACAUGGAGAGAUCUUCCACCUUACAAUAUCCACUUGGUGCUAAGCAUUAAAUUCCCAUAGAGUAGCUCAUUCCUUUAACAUUAUUACACAUGAGAGGGAUAUCAUUGGCCUACCAACCCAAGGUACAUUAUUUCACACAUGAAAGGGUGUCAUUAGCCUAUCGAUUCAAGGUAAAUUAUUUAACACAUGAAAAGGUGCCAUAGACCUACCUAUUGAAGGUACAUUAUUAGGAUAGCUCAUUGAAUCCUCAUGAAAGGGUACCAUAAUCCUACCGAUUCAAGGUUCAUCAUUGUCAUUCAUGGAAGUGUUCCAUUAGCCUACAGAUCCAAAAUACAUCAUUAGAAUACUUCAUUAAUAUUUUGUGAAAGGGAUUCCACUUGGCCUACCAAUUCAAAGUUCAUUAAGUCAAGAUACUUUAGUUACACAAGAAGAGGAUGCCCUAAGCCAACCAAUUCAAGAUGUAUCAUUAUAUUAAAGAAACCUUUCAUAACAUGUCAUUAUCAUUCACAAGUGUAUAAUUGAGAAUAACCUUUCAACAGUAUCACAAUUACAUUAUAGUCAUAGUCACAUUACUUUCAUUAAAAUCACAAAGCAUGUACAUAAGCAUCAUGAUUAUACAACAAUCUUCACAAUUUUACCUUCAAGGACCAUGAAUCAUAAUUAACCAACACACCUAAAAUUACUACCAUUUAGGCAUGAAUAAUAACAUAAUUCAUGUAAUUAAACUACUACAAGAUCAAUUGCAUAGUAUUAAUCUUACUACAAUUCACCCACAUCACAUAGUCAUAAAUUAGGGUUAUGGUGAAUUCAUGGAUCCAUGGGAGAUUUUAUCAUAAAACAACCAUAAAACAGCAAUUCAAUCAUUAUAUAUGAUAAUUAAACCUUUUAAAAUGUUUUGAGAAAGAAUCCAUGACUUAGAAUGAAAACCCUAGGUUUUGGAGAAUUUCCAACUUUGAAAUUGAAAGUUUGAGGGCUUCAUGGAAGAAAGCUUUCCAAGAAUCAAGACUACCAUACCUUAGAUGAAUAAAUCCUAGCAAAAUAGUGAGAGAAAGCUUCCUUCUUCAAGCUCUAAGUUGACCUUCUUCAAUGGAGUUUUUGGGAGAAAACUUUGGGGGGUAAAGGUGGUUAUGAUUUGGGUAGUUGAGAUUUAUGAAGUGUAAGGGUUAAUUAAUAGAUUAAAAACCCUUAUAUAGGUCUAAAUAAAAAAUAUAAAACGACCUCACUUCAAACUAAUCCUAAAAGGAAUUUACUAAAAUGCCCUUACCUUGGCCGAUAUUUGGCAGCAACACAGGCCCCAUCCACGACCCCACCUACGGGGUGUGGAUGGACCCACAGACCAUACUGGUCAUUCGUGGGUCUAGGUCUGUGGCUUGAAAUCAUGUGGGAGGUCAGUCCAUGACCCACUACCCCCACCUACGGGGCGUGGUUCCACCUACUAGCUGUAGGUGCCAUCGUAAGUGACCCUUUUUGGGUAGCCUUGGGCAGUCUUGGGGAGUCAUGGGGGUUAGGCUUUAGGGUGCUCCUCAAGGACCCUUGUUUGGUCCUUGGGGGGGUCGUACCAUGACCUUUAACCCCUCAACCCUUCAACAUAAGUUCAGAAAACCAUUUUACACUUCUAAACCUCACAUCAAACUCAAAAACUCCAAUGUAAGGCUCUAGUUUCACCUUUUAGAUUUAUGUGUAUUACAAGCUUACCCCAGGAAUGCUAAUGCAUGCAACUCUAACACAGCUCCUCCUGUCCCAGAUCAGGAAGUUUUUAAUGCCAAGUUUUGGAAUGCCAUUCAACUAUUGGGCCAGAGUGUAGCUAACCAGAAUGAUCAGUAGGUUCAAGUUCCUACAAAUGGUAAUGGUAGAUCCGCGGCAGCUAGGAUCCAUGAUUUCCUUAGGAUGAACCCACCUGGGUUUCUAGAGUCUUAAUUUGGUGAGGAUCCCUAAAAUUUUAUUAAUGAGGUCAAGAAAAUAUUUGGAGUGAUGCAAGUGACUUGAAAUGAUAGGGUAGAAUUGGCGACCUACCAACUUAAGGAUGUGGCUCACAUAUGGUUUACACAGUGGAAAGACAACAGGGGUGAGAAUGUAGCCCAUGUGACAUGGGAAUGUUUUACCGUAGCUUUUAUGGACAGGUUCUUCCUAAGAGAGUUGAGGGAGGCUAAGGCUUAGGAAUCCAUAAAUUUGACGCAAGGUUCUAUGUCGGACCAAGAGUAUGGACUCAAGUUCACCCAGCUCUCGAGGUAUGCUUCACAUACGGUAGCCAGGGCAAAAAUAAGUAAGUUUCUAUUUGGGGUAUCUGACUUGUUGAGAAUAGAGUGCAAAAAUGUUAUGUUGGUAAAAGAUAUCAACAUCUCUAGGCUCAUGACUCAUCCUCAGCAGGUUGAGGGAGAUAAUUUUAGGGAAUAGGCUAAGGAUAGAACAAAGGCUAGGACAAGCAACUAUGAGUAGUCUCAGCAAAAAUCAAGUGGUGGAAAUCGCUCGCAAUUUAAGAAGAAAUCUUAAGCCCCAGCAUCUUCAUCAGCUAGUGUUCCAUCCUCCAGGUUUUGACAGGAUCAUAAAAGUAGGGCAUCAGGCUCUAAGUCUCAGGGAAGUGUUUCCUUUAGUAGAACCUACCCACCUUGUCUAAAGUGUGGUAUGAACCAUUCGGGCGAGUGUCUUGCAAGAACUGAUAGAUGUUUUGAGUGUGGUCGACUGGUCAUAGAUUGAGGGAUUGCCCUUCUUCUUAAUAAGGACAGAGAGGUUAAAAUGGUAGGGUUCAGUCUACAACUUCAGUAGCACCAGCAGGUCGCCCGACUCAGCAGGUUACUUUAACUAGUGCAGGUGGCGGUCAGCACCAGAACAGGUUGUAUGCUCUCCAGGCUCGUCAGGAUCAGGAAGAUUCUCUUGAUGUGGUUACUGCUAUGUUGCGAGUCUUUCGUUUAGAUGUUUAUGCUUUGUUAAAUCUAGGGGCUACUCUUUCCUUUGUAUUUCCUUAUAUAGCAGUAAACUUCGCUGUUAGUCUCGAAACUCUCUCUGAACCCUUCUCAUUAUCUACUCCAGUCGGUGACCCAACUAUAGUUAGACGAAUAUACAUAAAUUGCCCUGUCACAGUCUCUCAGAAAGUCACCUCAGCAGAUCUUGUAAAGUUAGAAAUGGUAGACUUAGAUAUCAUUCUGGGAAUGGAUUGAUAAAAUUCUUGUUAUGCCUCAGUCGAUUGUAGAACUAGGAUCGUUCAUUUUAAGUUCCUGAUAUACCGUGAGUUUACGGUAUUUCUAAUACAUUUCACUUACAAGUUGUGUGUGUCUAGGGCCUUUUUAUAUUGGUUUUUAUGUAUUUUUAUCAUGUUUUGCAGGAAAGUUGUUCAGGCGCGGAAGUAUAGAGACAGCUGAAAGAAAUGCAGAACAGGGCAUUCACGGAGGUUAUCUACAGACCAUAGGUCCAUUGANNNNNNNNNNNNNNNNNNNNNNNNNNNNNNNNNNNNNNNNNNNNNNNNNNNNNNNNNNNNNNNNNNNNNNNNNNNNNNNNNNNNNNNNNNNNNNNNNNNNNNNNNNNNNNNNNNNNNNNNNNNNNNNNNNNNNNNNNNNNNNNNNNNNNNNNNNNNNNNNNNNNNNNNNNNNNNNNNNNNNNNNNNNNNNNNNNNNNNNNNNNNNNNNNNNNNNNNNNNNNNNNNNNNNNNNNNNNNNNNNNNNNNNNNNNNNNNNNNNNNNNNNNNNNNNNNNNNNNNNNNNNNNNNNNNNNNNNNNNNNNNNNNNNNNNNNNNNNNNNNNNNNNNNNNNNNNNNNNNNNNNNNNNNNNNNNNNNNNNNNNNNNNNNNNNNNNNNNNNNNNNNNNNNNNNNNNNNNNNNNNNNNNNNNNNNNNNNNNNNNNNNNNNNNNNNNNNNNNNNNNNNNNNNNNNNNNNNNNNNNNNNNNNNNNNNNNNNNNNNNNNNNNNNNNNNNNNNNNNNNNNNNNNNNNNNNNNNNNNNNNNNNNNNNNNNNNNNNNNNNNNNNNNNNNNNNNNNNNNNNNNNNNNNNNNNNNNNNNNNNNNNNNNNNNNNNNNNNNNNNNNNNNNNNNNNNNNNNNNNNNNNNNNNNNNNNNNNNNNNNNNNNNNNNNNNNNNNNNNNNNNNNNNNNNNNNNNNNNNNNNNNNNNNNNNNNNNNNNNNNNNNNNNNNNNNNNNNNNNNNNNNNNNNNNNNNNNNNNNNNNNNNNNNNNNNNNNNNNNNNNNNNNNNNNNNNNNNNNNNNNNNNNNNNNNNNNNNNNNNNNNNNNNNNNNNNNNNNNNNNNNNNNNNNNNNNNNNNNNNNNNNNNNNNNNNNNNNNNNNNNNNNNNNNNNNNNNNNNNNNNNNNNNNNNNNNNNNNNNNNNNNNNNNNNNNNNNNNNNNNNNNNNNNNNNNNNNNNNNNNNNNNNNNNNNNNNNNNNNNNNNNNNNNNNNNNNNNNNNNNNNNNNNNNNNNNNNNNNNNNNNNNNNNNNNNNNNNNNNNNNNNNNNNNNNNNNNNNNNNNNNNNNNNNNNNNNNNNNNNNNNNNNNNNNNNNNNNNNNNNNNNNNNNNNNNNNNNNNNNNNNNNNNNNNNNNNNNNNNNNNNNNNNNNNNNNNNNNNNNNNNNNNNNNNNNNNNNNNNNNNNNNNNNNNNNNNNNNNNNNNNNNNNNNNNNNNNNNNNNNNNNNNNNNNNNNNNNNNNNNNNNNNNNNNNNNNNNNNNNNNNNNNNNNNNNNNNNNNNNNNNNNNNNNNNNNNNNNNNNNNNNNNNNNNNNNNNNNNNNNNNNNNNNNNNNNNNNNNNNNNNNNNNNNNNNNNNNNNNNNNNNNNNNNNNNNNNNNNNNCCGUAUAUUGAUCUACGGACCGUACUGUUGAUCCGUAGAGUGAGACUGCGAGGGUUCCAAUACCUGAUUUUUGAAGAUGCUAAGUAUGGAGCUACUGAAGGGAUUGACGAACCAUAGGUCGAUCUACGGUCCGUGCUGGUGAUCCGUCGUUUGCUUCAGAGAAGCUGAUUGUUGGAUGCUGAAAUAUUUUCUAANNNNNNNNNNNNNNNNNNNNNNNNNNNNNNNNNNNNNNNNNNNNNNNNNNNNNNNNNNNNNNNNNNNNNNNNNNNNNNNNNNNNNNNNNNNNNNNNNNNNNNNNNNNNNNNNNNNNNNNNNNNNNNNNNNNNNNNNNNNNNNNNNNNNNNNNNNNNNNNNNNNNNNNNNNNNNNNNNNNNNNNNNNNNNNNNNNNNNNNNNNNNNNNNNNNNNNNNNNNNNNNNNNNNNNNNNNNNNNNNNNNNNNNNNNNNNNNNNNNNNNNNNNNNNNNNNNNNNNNNNNNNNNNNNNNNNNNNNNNNNNNNNNNNNNNNNNNNNNNNNNNNNNNNNNNNNNNNNNNNNNNNNNNNNNNNNNNNNNNNNNNNNNNNNNNNNNNNNNNNNNNNNNNNNNNNNNNNNNNNNNNNNNNNNNNNNNNNNNNNNNNNNNNNNNNNNNNNNNNNNNNNNNNNNNNNNNNNNNNNNNNNNNNNNNNNNNNNNNNNNNNNNNNNNNNNNNNNNNNNNNNNNNNNNNNNNNNNNNNNNNNNNNNNNNNNNNNNNNNNNNNNNNNNNNNNNNNNNNNNNNNNNNNNNNNNNNNNNNNNNNNNNNNNNNNNNNNNNNNNNNNNNNNNNNNNNNNNNNNNNNNNNNNNNNNNNNNNNNNNNNNNNNNNNNNNNNNNNNNNNNNNNNNNNNNNNNNNNNNNNNNNNNNNNNNNNNNNNNNNNNNNNNNNNNNNNNNNNNNNNNNNNNNNNNNNNNNNNNNNNNNNNNNNNNNNNNNNNNNNNNNNNNNNNNNNNNNNNNNNNNNNNNNNNNNNNNNNNNNNNNNNNNNNNNNNNNNNNNNNNNNNNNNNNNNNNNNNNNNNNNNNNNNNNNNNNNNNNNNNNNNNNNNNNNNNNNNNNNNNNNNNNNNNNNNNNNNNNNNNNNNNNNNNNNNNNNNNNNNNNNNNNNNNNNNNNNNNNNNNNNNNNNNNNNNNNNNNNNNNNNNNNNNNNNNNNNNNNNNNNNNNNNNNNNNNNNNNNNNNNNNNNNNNNNNNNNNNNNNNNNNNNNNNNNNNNNNNNNNNNNNNNNNNNNNNNNNNNNNNNNNNNNNNNNNNNNNNNNNNNNNNNNNNNNNNNNNNNNNNNNNNNNNNNNNNNNNNNNNNNNNNNNNNNNNNNNNNNNNNNNNNNNNNNNNNNNNNNNNNNNNNNNNNNNNNNNNNNNNNNNNNNNNNNNNNNNNNNNNNNNNNNNNNNNNNNNNNNNNNNNNNNNNNNNNNNNNNNNNNNNNNNNNNNNNNNNNNNNNNNNNNNNNNNNNNNNNNNNNNNNNNNNNNNNNNNNNNNNNNNNNNNNNNNNNNNNNNNNNNNNNNNNNNNNNNNNNNNNNNNNNNNNNNNNNNNNNNNNNNNNNNNNNNNNNNNNNNNNNNNUAGGGAGGUGUAAUUUUAGCGUAUCAAAUUUUGGCGCCGCUGCCGGGGAAUUUGGCUUUUAGAUUUAUUUUUAACUACAUUAUUGAACGUUAGUCAAAUAUUUCCUAAUUUUACCUUUUCUCUUUGGUUUUGUCUCUCUCAGGUUCCGACUCUAGUGCAUGCCAAGCACACGGAGCCAGGGUGAACCACUUACUCCUUACGAUCCAGAGUUGAACCGCACUUUGCGAAGAAUGAACAAUCCAAGAGAUCUAAUUGAUCCUAUCGGAGGAAAUCUAGAUGAAGCAGUUGAGUUACAACAGCCAAGACUAGUUGGUGAGGAAAACUGGGGUCUAGUUGAUAAUCAAUUGGGAGAUGCAGUGAGGGUGCAUGGUCCACCAGGCCCACGACAACAUGACAACUAUCGGGGCAACAUCGAUAUAGCAGAUUCUGAUGGACCUAUUGUCCUACCUCCUCUACCUCCAGGGCACACAUUUGUGGUGACUAGUAGUUUGAUGCAUAUGCUUAUAGCAAGAGGCUUAUUUUCAAGAUCGCCAUCGGAGGAUCCACAUGCCCACUUGGCCAAGCUAAGGAUGGUUUGCAAAAGUUGUGUAGGUAGACCAGACUUGGAUAUGGAUGUCAUUGGAUUACGAGUGUUCCCUCUGUCACUGACAGGCGAUGCUGCAGUAUGGUUCACUGAGCUUCCGUAUAACUCAAUUUCAGUAGAUUGGGGACAACCGAUUGAGGUAAUGUGUGAUGCGAGUGGAGUGGCGCUUGGUGUAGUGUUAGGUCAAAGGCGAGAAAAAAUUAUUCACCCUAUUUACUAUGCUAGCAAAGCUCUAAAUUUGGCCCAGAAAAAUUAUACUGUGACCGAACAAGAACUCCUUGCGGUGGUUUUUACAUUCGAGAAAUUUCGAUCCUACUUGCUUGGUACUAAGGUCAUCGUGCAUACUGACCAUUCUGUAUUGAGGUAUAUGAUGGCGAAAAAAAAAGCAAAAACAAGAUUGAUUAGAUGGGUAUUGUUGCUGCAAGANNNNNNNNNNNNNNNNNNNNNNNNNNNNNNNNNNNNNNNNNNNNNNNNNNNNNNNNNNNNNNNNNNNNNNNNNNNNNNNNNNNNNNNNNNNNNNNNNNNNNNNNNNNNNNNNNNNNNNNNNNNNNNNNNNNNNNNNNNNNNNNNNNNNNNNNNNNNNNNNNNNNNNNNNNNNNNNNNNNNNNNNNNNNNNNNNNNNNNNNNNNNNNNNNNNNNNNNNNNNNNNNNNNNNNNNNNNNNNNNNNNNNNNNNNNNNNNNNNNNNNNNNNNNNNNNNNNNNNNNNNNNNNNNNNNNNNNNNNNNNNNNNNNNNNNNNNNNNNNNNNNNNNNNNNNNNNNNNNNNNNNNNNNNNNNNNNNNNNNNNNNNNNNNNNNNNNNNNNNNNNNNNNNNNNNNNNNNNNNNNNNNNNNNNNNNNNNNNNNNNNNNNNNNNNNNNNNNNNNNNNNNNNNNNNNNNNNNNNNNNNNNNNNNNNNNNNNNNNNNNNNNNNNNNNNNNNNNNNNNNNNNNNNNNNNNNNNNNNNNNNNNNNNNNNNNNNNNNNNNNNNNNNNNNNNNNNNNNNNNNNNNNNNNNNNNNNNNNNNNNNNNNNNNNNNNNNNNNNNNNNNNNNNNNNNNNNNNNNNNNNNNNNNNNNNNNNNNNNNNNNNNNNNNNNNNNNNNNNNNNNNNNNNNNNNNNNNNNNNNNNNNNNNNNNNNNNNNNNNNNNNNNNNNNNNNNNNNNNNNNNNNNNNNNNNNNNNNNNNNNNNNNNNNNNNNNNNNNNNNNNNNNNNNNNNNNNNNNNNNNNNNNNNNNNNNNNNNNNNNNNNNNNNNNNNNNNNNNNNNNNNNNNNNNNNNNNNNNNNNNNNNNNNNNNNNNNNNNNNNNNNNNNNNNNNNNNNNNNNNNNNNNNNNNNNNNNNNNNNNNNNNNNNNNNNNNNNNNNNNNNNNNNNNNNNNNNNNNNNNNNNNNNNNNNNNNNNNNNNNNNNNNNNNNNNNNNNNNNNNNNNNNNNNNNNNNNNNNNNNNNNNNNNNNNNNNNNNNNNNNNNNNNNNNNNNNNNNNNNNNNNNNNNNNNNNNNNNNNNNNNNNNNNNNNNNNNNNNNNNNNNNNNNNNNNNNNNNNNNNNNNNNNNNNNNNNNNNNNNNNNNNNNNNNNNNNNNNNNNNNNNNNNNNNNNNNNNNNNNNNNNNNNNNNNNNNNNNNNNNNNNNNNNNNNNNNNNNNNNNNNNNNNNNNNNNNNNNNNNNNNNNNNNNNNNNNNNNNNNNNNNNNNNNNNNNNNNNNNNNNNNNNNNNNNNNNNNNNNNNNNNNNNNNNNNNNNNNNNNNNNNNNNNNNNNNNNNNNNNNNNNNNNNNNNNNNNNNNNNNNNNNNNNNNNNNNNNUUGCUUUGUUUGAUUUCCUCUCUGUAUUAAAUUUGAUAGUUGUUUUAGUUUUGUACUAGUGUUGGCUAGAAUUAGAAUAGGGUCCGUGUCUAGAAAGUGUCCAGAAAAUGUAAAAAGAAUAGCCUAUUGGUUGCUACAUGUGCAGGUACACCACGAAAAAUCUGUAGAAAAUGGUCUGGUGCAGAGGUCUACGGACACAAUCGACGGUCCGUUGAUUCAUCAACGGACCGUAAAUGGUGCCCGUAGGUCCCAGGUAAGUUUCUAAAUUUUCAAGUGUAUGAGUGACCUACGGUCCUGAUCUACAGACCAUUGACCGACUCAUGGACCGUAGACGGGGUCUCAUGAGACCAAACCCUCAGGCUGUCUGACCCAACCCGGACCCCCUAUUUAAAAACCCCCAUUUGUUUUAAACCAUUCCUCUUCCCUCCAUUACUCCCAAAACCGUUUCUAACAUCCCAUAACCUCCCUAAAUCACUCCAUAAAUCCCCCAUAAUAUCAUCCCUUCCAUAAUUCCCCAACUUCCCUUCCAUUUCAAAUACAACCCAUCCCAUAAUCUAACAAAAAGGGUCCGGUGUUUGGUCAGUAACGAAGAGGUGACUCCUUGGUCUUGAUAAGCUUAGUGUCAUCACGCAAUCACCCAACUCCUCGUUGCUUGUAAGGUAAUAGACUUUCUCCUCACUUUGAAUUUCGAUUCCUAGAUUGAAUAUAGAAAGUCGGGAGUUGGGUCUUGACCUUGAAUAAUUGCUAGAUGAAAUUGCAUGAUAAACUUGAAAAUUACAAUGCCCUUGGAAUGAUAAAGAGUGAUUGUGUAGCAUUAUGGUAUGUGAUCGUAAAACUAGAUGUUGGUUUCGACUUAGGGUUCCACAACUAGUCUAAACUGUUUGGUAAAAUAAUCAGUCGGAAUCUUAAGAAUGACGAACUAGCAUAAUUUAAUGUUGUAAAUGCAUGAUGAGAUUGUGUUAAUGUUGAAAACUAAGGCCAAAAAUGUAUGAUACAUGGCACAGAUGGCAUCCACGAUACCCCAUCUACGAAACGUAGAUCCAUCUACGGACCGUAUAUGGGGUUCGUAAAUGGAUGCACAUGAAAAUUUCACUAACUGUGAAACCACGGAUGUGGACUACGGUCUGUAGGUCCAUCCACUGACCGUUCUGCACUUCUGUGGUUCCAUCUGCGACCUAUAUGACAGGCCCCAUGAUCCAUGGAAGAGAUCCACGGACCGUAGAUCAGUCUACGGACCGUAGGUCUCCUCCGUGGAUGACCACUGUAGCAUCCGUCUGAAUUUUUGUCUGUGGACUUAGUUGAGGGUCGUUACCAAUUCUAAAAGUUUUUUUUGUUGCGUAUGGUUAGUUUUGGCACUAAUAUCGUUCCCGCAGGUACGAUGGCACCCAAGAAGCUGGUCACCUACUCAAACGAGGCAAGUCCAAAUCUGUUGCCUCUAGUUUUCGGUUAAUUGAUGAGGACACCGACACAGAUCCAGCAUAUGUUCCUCUCAACCCUAGGACUUCUCGCACUGCACCUCAAGGCACCAGAGGCACCUCCCGGAAGGUGCUUCCCGACGUAGUCACUGUCUCCCAGUCUGAUGAGGAGCACACACUGAUCGGAUCACCAACUGGGGCUGCUUCCAGUUUAGAGGGGUCUAUGUCCGGACCUGAGUCCGCCCAUGCUUCAGGCUCCGAGUCUGCCCAUCCUUCAGGAUCUGAGUCUGACCAUGCUGCAGGGUCCAGUGCUAAGUUAGCCACAAAAUCUGAUAAGAAUGACCAUGCAGCCUCGUCUGAUGAGGCAACGAGCUCGGAGUCCAUACCUGUACCAUGGAAUGAUGACCCCACUCCAGUAGUCGGCGAGCCAAAUAAAUGGUGCGUAGAGGGCCAAUGGCACAUAUAUCGGGAUGCCAAGAUGAUAAAUGACAAACAGAAAAUGGCCCGACUUAUUACAGAGGAGCGCAGAGUCCUCACAGGGAGCUUGCACACUCUCCCGGACAUCCACCAGCUGUUUAACUUUCACACGUGUAACUGGAUGGCUCGAGACCCAGGGACGUAUAGUGAGGAAAUGGUGCGAGAGUUCUACACCUCAUAUGCCGCCACUCUCCGCGGUUCAAUUACCAAAAGGUCAAAGCCCUUAGCCCAAGAUCCUCUCACUUCCACUAUGGUCUGGGGUUGUCCGGUGGACAUACCACCUGCCACCAUUAGCCAUUUUCUCUAUGGUCCUACCACGGGUCACUCUUGGUCUCUUAACACUUCAGAGUUUGAUUACCACUGGGACAUCAUACGGAGUGGCACUUUCCAGAGGAACACUGAGCAGCGAGAAGUUGUUCUACUGUGGUUGGCCAGGUAUAUUGCUGCAGAUGGCGAGCAUGCGGAAUGGGUCGCUGCUCCACGGUUGGGCAUCCAGAAGGCCACAUUAAAUUUUGUGGCCAUGUUCUUCUGGUUGCUGGUACGUAACAGAGUGUCACCUACAAUAGCUGACAAUCAAGUCACUUGGGACAGAGCGGUGAUGGUUGCAGCAUUGGUAGCAGGAGUGAAGAUCGACUUUGCUCGUAUCCUGCUGGCAGAGAUUCAAGAGAGGGCUUUCAGGACCUCCACUACUUAACCCUUCGCAUGUCUGAUUUUUCAUUUGUGCAGGGACUCUGGAGUGUCGAUCUGACAUUGUGACAAGUUAGUCCACCCUACAAGGGCAUUGGACAUCGGCCUUAUUCGAGAUGAGGCAAAUGUGGCAGCACCUCACAGAGAGCCCCAGAUUGAGGUACCUCCCUUGGGUACCGAUCUUGCAGACACAGUAGGGCAGGCACAGGGCGGUGACCACAUUAUCCGAGACCACACCGACAUUGUCCCGGGCUCCUCAUCUCAGGCAGCUAGUAUGGCUCCUAGCUCUUCCCGUUCCACACCACAGUUAGGAGCUACUGUUGUCCCGUUCGCCAGAGUACAGAAGUUAGAGGCGCAGAUGGCCACACUGCUGCAUCACAUCCAGCCGUGGAUGCAAAAGUCGAUAGCCGAGUCUGAGGCUAGGAUGGAGCACAGGAUGGAGGGGAUGAUGGACCAGAAGGUCCAGGCUGUUAAUAAGCGUCUUGAUGCCUUUGAGUUACGAGUCCUCGAGCGAUCAGCCCCGACCGAUGCCAUUCUUGCCGCACCUUCAGUUGAGACUCAGGCUCCUCCUACUGCACUGGCAGAUGAUACUAUGCUAGAUGCGCUAUUCAGUGGGACCACCGAGGAGGGGCCGGCACCGACACAUACCAAAGGCAAGCGGCACCGUUCUCAUCGCACGGAGGAAGAGAAAGCUCACAAGAGACAGCGUCGGCAAGAGAAGAAGGCUAGGAGGGCUUCAAUUGCAGACGAAGAGUUGCGCCAGCAGAGGGUGCGUGAGAGAGAUGCAGGGGCAUCGAGCUCUGCCCCAGUUGCAGAGGCUCAGCAUGUUUUGAGGGACGUUGUGAGCACCACUGAUGGUGCGGUGAGAUUGAUAGAGAGCACUACUGAGAGUGCUAUGAUUGCAGAUGUGGGCACUACUGAGGGUGCCACCACCACUGUUCCAGCGGGCUCCGGGAUACCGGACCCCCCUGCUUGUUGAUGAUUCGUCAGCACUUUGCGCCACAGGUUUGCUUCACCUAAUCCAUUAUGUUUUACUGUUUUUGUAUGCAUUGGGGACAAUCGCAUCUAUUUUUGUUGGGGGUGGGGUAAAUGGAUUGUGAGUGAUAGGGUGAAGUCUGAAUAACCCAACUCAUGAAUCCUCUCUUGGGGUUUUCUUGCCUGUGUUCUUUUUCUCCAAGCGACUGUUUAAUUUAUGUUGAACCGGCAUGUAUUAGGAUCGUAUGUGUAGAAGCAUGAAAAAGAAAGAAGCAUGAUAGCUUAUGAAAAAUGAUACCUGUCAGAUUUUGUGAUGUGUGCUAGAAGUUGUAGAGUACGAUAAGUUGAAUGUGUCGGCUCUGAGUAUGACAUAAUCAUGAACCAACUUGAUGGCAUGACUUAAGUUGAAACUUGAACUGGGUAAUCUAAUAACCUGAUGAUAGAACUAUGUGCCAAGAGUGCGUGAGAAUCGUUGAGUGUUCAAACAGUUUUUGUGCAAAACUAGAACUUGCCUGGUUAGUCUUGCUAAGACAAUUCAAUCUAGAGGUUAGGAAGUGAUCAUAGGCCAUUGUUCUGAAAAAUCCACAAAUCGCCUAAAAGAAGGGUCCAACCAAAUGGAAUAAAUGCUCCCUCUUUUAUCCAAAUAAUUUGAGCCUAAAAUUAAACCAUUUCUUCUUAAACACUGAACUCACUUUCCCAUAAUCUACUAUGUUGGCCCCGAUCCCUCCUUGGACAUGUGCACUUCGACAUAGGCCAAAAGGCUAAGUUGAGGGUGACUAAUGUAAAAAGUAACUUCAAAUCUUGGCCCUGACCCGACAUCGGGUAUUAUGCACCUCAACUAACGAAAAAUCCAUAAGUUGAGGGUGGCUAUGAAAGAGGAAACCGGAAGAAAAAUGAGUAUGAAAAGAGUUUGAUGUUGAAAAAGAGAGGAAAGGAUGUGACUUGUUGAAAGCUAAAAAUAAAAUAACAAUAAAAUAAAAGGAGCUACAAAGCUUGAAGUCACAUUCGUGGUUGAAGAAAAUAAAGGGAAAGAAAGUAAAACGAUUGGAUGGCAAAAACAGGGCAAAAAAAAAAAAGAGGUUGAAGACCUAGUGUAAAUGUCAAGGAGGGCAGAAAGUCACUAAACANNNNNNNNNNNNNNNNNNNNNNNNNNNNNNNNNNNNNNNNNNNNNNNNNNNNNNNNNNNNNNNNNNNNNNNNNNNNNNNNNNNNNNNNNNNNNNNNNNNNNNNNNNNNNNNNNNNNNNNNNNNNNNNNNNNNNNNNNNNNNNNNNNNNNNNNNNNNNNNNNNNNNNNNNNNNNNNNNNNNNNNNNNNNNNNNNNNNNNNNNNNNNNNNNNNNNNNNNNNNNNNNNNNNNNNNNNNNNNNNNNNNNNNNNNNNNNNNNNNNNNNNNNNNNNNNNNNNNNNNNNNNNNNNNNNNNNNNNNNNNNNNNNNNNNNNNNNNNNNNNNNNNNNNNNNNNNNNNNNNNNNNNNNNNNNNNNNNNNNNNNNNNNNNNNNNNNNNNNNNNNNNNNNNNNNNNNNNNNNNNNNNNNNNNNNNNNNNNNNNNNNNNNNNNNNNNNNNNNNNNNNNNNNNNNNNNNNNNNNNNNNNNNNNNNNNNNNNNNNNNNNNNNNNNNNNNNNNNNNNNNNNNNNNNNNNNNNNNNNNNNNNNNNNNNNNNNNNNNNNNNNNNNNNNNNNNNNNNNNNNNNNNNNNNNNNNNNNNNNNNNNNNNNNNNNNNNNNNNNNNNNNNNNNNNNNNNNNNNNNNNNNNNNNNNNNNNNNNNNNNNNNNNNNNNNNNNNNNNNNNNNNNNNNNNNNNNNNNNNNNNNNNNNNNNNNNNNNNNNNNNNNNNNNNNNNNNNNNNNNNNNNNNNNNNNNNNNNNNNNNNNNNNNNNNNNNNNNNNNNNNNNNNNNNNNNNNNNNNNNNNNNNNNNNNNNNNNNNNNNNNNNNNNNNNNNNNNNNNNNNNNNNNNNNNNNNNNNNNNNNNNNNNNNNNNNNNNNNNNNNNNNNNNNNNNNNNNNNNNNNNNNNNNNNNNNNNNNNNNNNNNNNNNNNNNNNNNNNNNNNNNNNNNNNNNNNNNNNNNNNNNNNNNNNNNNNNNNNNNNNNNNNNNNNNNNNNNNNNNNNNNNNNNNNNNNNNNNNNNNNNNNNNNNNNNNNNNNNNNNNNNNNNNNNNNNNNNNNNNNNNNNNNNNNNNNNNNNNNNNNNNNNNNNNNNNNNNNNNNNNNNNNNNNNNNNNNNNNNNNNNNNNNNNNNNNNNNNNNNNNNNNNNNNNNNNCAGUUGGUCAAUCUGUGUCAUGGUGUGAUCCACAUGAAUUGGCUUGUCGAGUCUAAGGGAACGAAUGUGCACCCAAACAAUGAGGAGAGUAGAGAGCCAUGUGAUUGCUUGGGUUUGAAAAUGCUUGCUUCUAUACAAGUGUCGNNNNNNNNNNNNNNNNNNNNNNNNNNNNNNNNNNNNNNNNNNNNNNNNNNNNNNNNNNNNNNNNNNNNNNNNNNNNNNNNNNNNNNNNNNNNNNNNNNNNNNNNNNNNNNNNNNNNNNNNNNNNNNNNNNNNNNNNNNNNNNNNNNNNNNNNNNNNNNNNNNNNNNNNNNNNNNNNNNNNNNNNNNNNNNNNNNNNNNNNNNNNNNNNNNNNNNNNNNNNNNNNNNNNNNNNNNNNNNNNNNNNNNNNNNNNNNNNNNNNNNNNNNNNNNNNNNNNNNNNNNNNNNNNNNNNNNNNNNNNNNNNNNNNNNNNNNNNNNNNNNNNNNNNNNNNNNNNNNNNNNNNNNNNNNNNNNNNNNNNNNNNNNNNNNNNNNNNNNNNNNNNNNNNNNNNNNNNNNNNNNNNNNNNNNNNNNNNNNNNNNNNNNNNNNNNNNNNNNNNNNNNNNNNNNNNNNNNNNNNNNNNNNNNNNNNNNNNNNNNNNNNNNNNNNNNNNNNNNNNNNNNNNNNNNNNNNNNNNNNNNNNNNNNNNNNNNNNNNNNNNNNNNNNNNNNNNNNNNNNNNNNNNNNNNNNNNNNNNNNNNNNNNNNNNNNNNNNNNNNNNNNNNNNNNNNNNNNNNNNNNNNNNNNNNNNNNNNNNNNNNNNNNNNNNNNNNNNNNNNNNNNNNNNNNNNNNNNNNNNNNNNNNNNNNNNNNNNNNNNNNNNNNNNNNNNNNNNNNNNNNNNNNNNNNNNNNNNNNNNNNNNNNNNNNNNNNNNNNNNNNNNNNNNNNNNNNNNNNNNNNNNNNNNNNNNNNNNNNNNNNNNNNNNNNNNNNNNNNNNNNNNNNNNNNNNNNNNNNNNNNNNNNNNNNNNNNNNNNNNNNNNNNNNNNNNNNNNNNNNNNNNNNNNNNNNNNNNNNNNNNNNNNNNNNNNNNNNNNNNNNNNNNNNNNNNNNNNNNNNNNNNNNNNNNNNNNNNNNNNNNNNNNNNNNNNNNNNNNNNNNNNNNNNNNNNNNNNNNNNNNNNNNNNNNNNNNNNNNNNNNNNNNNNNNNNNNNNNNNNNNNNNNNNNNNNNNNNNNNNNNNNNNNNNNNNNNNNNNNNNNNNNNNNNNNNNNNNNNNNNNNNNNNNNNNNNNNNNNNNNNNNNNNNNNNNNNNNNNNNNNNNNNNNNNNNNNNNNNNNNNNNNNNNNNNNNNNNNNNNNNNNNNNNNNNNNNNNNNNNNNNNNNNNNNNNNNNNNNNNNNNNNNNNNNNNNNNNNNNNNNNNNNNNNNNNNNNNNNNNNNNNNNNNNNNNNNNNNNNNNNNNNNNNNNNNNNNNNCCCCCCCCCCCCCCUUUUUAUUUCUUGUUUCUGGAAGUACCUUGGCUAAUUGAAUAUAAUUGUUGGUUAAAGUAAAGUCUAAACCAUUUUCCUCGUGGGAUCGACCCCAACCUAGAAGUUGGGUUCUUUACUUGAUAACGAUCGCUUAUACUUCUUUACGGAGGUGUAAUUUGAGCAUAUCAGUUCCCAAAUGAGACAAUCUAAAAUGGAAGUGUAGUAGCUUAGUGCCUAUGGGUCGAUUAAUUUCUUACCUUAAGUCCGGGAAGAUGAUCUCUAAUAGGUAUCUCUAUCAUCUAGUUCGAGUUUAGGAUUCAAGCUCCGAAACCCCAACUCUUGAGUCAGUUCCAGUAGUAAAUGAGUUCCCAGAUUUGUUUCCACAAGAUCUUCCCAGAGUUCCUCCUGAAAGGGAAAUCGACUUCGGAAUUGAUCUCCUUCUAGAUACCCAGCCUAUUUCUAUUCCUCCUUACAUAAUAGCUCUAGCUAAGCUUAAGGAAUUGAAAGAACAAUUGAAAUACCUUCUAGAUAAGGGCUUCAUCAGAACUAGUAUUUCCCCGUGGGGUGCACCAAUGUUGUUCAUGAAAAAAAAAAUGGUUCUCUCUGGAUGUGCAUUGAUUAUAGGUAGUUGAACAAAGUCACAAUCAAGAAUAAGUACCAUAUCCUAAUGAUUGAUGACUUGUUCGACCAACUUCAAGGUGCUAGUCAUUUUUCGAAGAUAGACCUCAGAUUUGGUUAUCAUUAGCUCAAAGUCAGAGAUAGUAACAUUCCAAAAACAACCUUAAAAAUUCGGUAUUGUUAUUAUGAAGUUAUAGUUAUGUCAUUUGGACUAACCAAUGCUUCUGCAGCUUUCAUGGAUUUGAUGAACAGGGUGUUCAAGUAGUAUUUAGGCUUGUUCGUUAUCGUCUUUAUUGAUGAUAUCCUCAUUUACUCUAUAAAUGAGAAAGAACAUGCAAUUCAUUUUAGGGUUGUCCAGCAAACUCUCAAGGAUUGCCAGUUAUUCGCUAAGUUUUUCAAAUGUGGGUUUUGGUUGCAAUCUGUUGCUUUCCUUGGUCAUAUAGUGUCUAGUGAAGGGAUUCGAGUGGGUUCUCAGAAAAUAGAGUUAGUGAAAAAAUGGCCUAGACCUACCUCUCCUAUAGAUAUCAGAAGUUUCUUGGGUUUGGCUGGUUAUUAUGGAAGGUUCGUAGAAGGAUUUUCAUCCAUAGCUUCUCCAUUGACUAUGUUUUUUCAAAAGACUGUUAAGUUUUAGUGGUUAGAUGAGUGUGAGAAGAGCUUCUCAGAACUGAAAACUAGGUUGACUUUAGCUCUUGUUUUGACUCUACCAAAGGGUUCAGAUGGUUAUGUAAUCUAUUGUGAUGCAUCUAGAGUCGGUCUAGGUUACAUGUUGAUGCAGCGAGGUAAGGUUAUAGCUUAUGCUUCUAAAAACCUUAAGGUGCAUGAGAAGAACUAUCCAACUGAUGACCUCGAGCUUGCAUCAGUAGUAUUUGUCGUAAAUAUUUGGAGACAUUACUUGUAUGGUGUUCACGUAGAUGUGUUCACAGACCAUAAGAGUCUUCCGUAACUGUUCACCCAGAAGGAGUUGUAUCUUUGCCAGAGGAGAUGACUUGAGUUCCUCAAACACUAUGAUAUGAAUGUGCUUUACCAUCCUGGUAAGGCCAACGUAGUAGCAAAUGCUCUUAGCAGACUAUCUAUGGGUAGUGUAGCACAUGUUGAGGAAGAAAGGAAAGAACUAGCAAAAGAUGUUCACUGGCUUGGUCGCUUGGGAGUUUGCCUUAUGAGUAUAUCAGAUGGUGGUGUGACAGUCCAGAAUUGGUCAAAAUCUUCAUUGGAAGUGGAGGUUACGGAAAAAUAAGACAGUGAUCCUAUAUUUCUUUAACUAAAAGGUGCAGUUCAUCAGUAGAAAGUUGAGGUUUUUCCCAAGGGGGAGAUUUUGUGCUUUGCUACUAGGGUCAUUUAUGUGUUCCUAAGGUGGGUGAGUUGAGACAACAGAUCCUUGCAGAAGCCCAUAACUCUAGGUAUUCUAUUCAUUCAGGCGCCACUAAGGUGUACCAUGAUCUGCGGGAAGUCUUUUGGUGGAAUGGUAUGAUAAAGGAUGCAGAUUUUGUGGCUAAGUGCCCUAAUUGGCAAUAUGUGUAGGUAGAGCAUCAGAAACUAGGAGGUAUGACACAAGAGAUCAACAUUUUUACAUGAAAGUCAGAACUGAUAAACAUGGACUUCAUUACAGGUUUACCUCGUACUCACACACAACAUAACUCCAUUUGGGUGAUAGUAGACAGAGCUACUAGGUCCGCUCACUUUUUGGCUGCUAAGACUAUAGAUUCAGUGGAGGAAUAAGCCAAGCUUUACAUUAAUGAGACAGUCAGGUUGCAUGGGGUUCCUUUUCUAUCAUCUCAAAUAGAGGUCACCAGUUUACCUCUCAUUUCUGGAAGUCAUUUCACAAAAAGGUCUUGGUACUCAGGUUAAUCUUGGCACAUCAUUUAUUCCACAGGUGGAUGGUCAGGCAGAGCGUACCAUUCAGACCUUAGAGGACAUGUUAAGAUCUUGUGUGAUGAUGAGUCCACAAUUUGGACUCAUUUAAGGUGUUAUUUUAAUAGAUUUAGUGUCCUCAAAUGCAUAUUUGUGCCAAUAACUAAUGUAAAUCCUCGAUUUUCAGGUAAUUUGGAUUGAAGAACAAAGCAUGGACACUAAUGAGCAAAAAGGAAAAAGGCAGCUGAAAGAACGAAAAAAAUAAGGCCUGAUGAUCACCUAACCCAUUAGGCGAGUCACUGAAUGGCCAGGAUCUCGCCUAAAGCUCCAGUGUGCCAAGCCCUGAAGAAGAAAAUCAGGUCGGUAAUAGAAUUGAGCAAUCGGCGUGUCACCGAACGGAUCCGCGAUGCAGUGUUGGAUUGCCAAUAGUUACAAAACUUGAAGAUGCUGGAGGCCAAUGCAAAAAGGCGACGGAAUUGACCAAAGAGUGGAUCGCCAGGUGAAUCGGCGAUCCCGACUUACUGCACAGAAUGGUCCUUCGCAGCACCUUUUUGGUGACUAUAAAUACAUUUUUAAAUUCUUAGUUUAGUAAGCAGUUUUCAAUAGAUAAUCAAUUUUAUUCAGUUCUGAAGUAGAGAGCUUAGAACUGGGAGUAUUGAGACAAUAUUUCCUUAGCUUUGAAGAUUUUCAUUUCUAAGAAAUUUGAAGUGGGUGUUGAAGAUUCUUCAUCAUAGAUUUCUAUAAAGAGAAUAUUAAUCUUACCCAGUUUAUGGAAACACAAUUUGGUAAAGAUUUUUAUCUUUUUAUGAUGUCUAGCUAAAACUCCAAUUCUUGGGGUGUGAUUUUGCGUUAAUUUAGCUAUUAGGUAUUGUUAACUGAUAGUUUAAAUGUUGUUUAAAGGUAAUUUCAUUCAGUAAUUUUGGCUUAAUCUAAAGGGUUGUAGUUGCAAAUGCAACUCUACCUUCGUGUUUUUGGCUUACUCGAGAGAGAGAUUUUAAAACAAAGAUUAUUGAUUUGAUGGUCUAUGGGUAUUGGGUUGUCAUGGGUUCAGCUCGAGAGAGUGAAUCCUAAACCCUUUCCCACACAUUGAGCUCGAGAGAGUGAAUGGACUAAACCGUAGGCUAUUCUUAAUUGAUGCUUAUUGGUGUUCGAGAGAAACCAAUUUGAUUCGGGAUAAAUUGUUNNNNNNNNNNNNNNNNNNNNNNNNNNNNNNNNNNNNNNNNNNNNNNNNNNNNNNNNNNNNNNNNNNNNNNNNNNNNNNNNNNNNNNNNNNNNNNNNNNNNNNNNNNNNNNNNNNNNNNNNNNNNNNNNNNNNNNNNNNNNNNNNNNNNNNNNNNNNNNNNNNNNNNNNNNNNNNNNNNNNNNNNNNNNNNNNNNNNNNNNNNNNNNNNNNNNNNNNNNNNNNNNNNNNNNNNNNNNNNNNNNNNNNNNNNNNNNNNNNNNNNNNNNNNNNNNNNNNNNNNNNNNNNNNNNNNNNNNNNNNNNNNNNNNNNNNNNNNNNNNNNNNNNNNNNNNNNNNNNNNNNNNNNNNNNNNNNNNNNNNNNNNNNNNNNNNNNNNNNNNNNNNNNNNNNNNNNNNNNNNNNNNNNNNNNNNNNNNNNNNNNNNNNNNNNNNNNNNNNNNNNNNNNNNNNNNNNNNNNNNNNNNNNNNNNNNNNNNNNNNNNNNNNNNNNNNNNNNNNNNNNNNNNNNNNNNNNNNNNNNNNNNNNNNNNNNNNNNNNNNNNNNNNNNNNNNNNNNNNNNNNNNNNNNNNNNNNNNNNNNNNNNNNNNNNNNNNNNNNNNNNNNNNNNNNNNNNNNNNNNNNNNNNNNNNNNNNNNNNNNNNNNNNNNNNNNNNNNNNNNNNNNNNNNNNNNNNNNNNNNNNNNNNNNNNNNNNNNNNNNNNNNNNNNNNNNNNNNNNNNNNNNNNNNNNNNNNNNNNNNNNNNNNNNNNNNNNNNNNNNNNNNNNUUACUAUUAAUUGCAAUUACCCAGUUGUCUACCUUAGCCCAUAAUCCAAUCACAUCCCAAGAACUUGCCUAUAUACUUGUUCCUUCGUGUUAUUUGUUGUUGUAGUUGAUAAUUACAACCAAACCUCCAUGUUAUUUGACACUUGUGUCACCCCACACUUGAACCAUGCUUUUAUUCGUAAAUGUUUUUACCUAUGAUUGACUUGAGCAUAUUCAUGCUUUCCUAUUGAUUCUCAAAUACAUACCACUUCCUGUGGAAUUCGACCCCAACUCACUUAGUUGGGUUAUAUUACUAACUAACGAUCGUUGACGCUUAGUAUUGGAUGAAGUGACUUUAAAACGUUAUUAAUCAAAAUGGCGCCGCUGCUGGGGAGUGGUGUUACUUGAGAAUUUUUAGUUAGAUUGAAUUUUGUUCUUGUUAGUCAUAGUUGAACUUACUUAAUUUUAGUUUUGUUUUUCUUGUUUGUGUUUUAAAACAGGAAAAAUGAGUUUGAACGGCAGCAAUGGCAGCCUAGUAGGUCAUCAAGAUGACAUCAAAAACCUCAACGAUGUCAACAAGCCUAAUGCUAAUGACCCCCAUCUUAUGGGUGGUAUUGGUUCCACUCGCUUGCCUCUUGCCGAAGGGAAUACGGUGUUCCACAUCAUAAGUACUAUGUUGCAGCUCUUGCAAUUGAAGGGGUUGUUCGGUGGUUCGGGUCAUGAGGAUCCCCAUGAGCAUAUUAGAAACUUCAUGGAUGUUUGCAGACCGUUCUCCUUCAAGAACAUUUCCCAAGAGUCGGUCCGGUUAAGGUUGUUCCCAUUCUCUUUGAUGGGAGAAGAGUGUAAGUGGCUGGCUGAAUUUCCCUGUGAAUCAAUCACUUCGUUGGAGGAGUUGGUCACCACAUUUCAAGUGCGAUUUUUACCUCCUUCGAAGAUGAAUACUCUUCGGGACAGCAUUUAGAGCUUCAAGCAUCUAGAAGGUGAGCCAAUACAUGAAACUUGGCUGUGAUUCAAGAAGUUGGUGCUCCAAUGCCCAAGUCAUGGCUUGCCUGACAACGUGUUGCUGCAGUAUUUUUACCGGAGUGUUGACUCAGUAAAUAAGGAUGUUUCUGACCAACUUUCUCCUCGAGGUUUGAUGCAUUAACCUUAUGUGAUAGCAGUUGAGCUUUUGGAUGGAAUGACUACCAUCAACCGGACGUGGCAUACCCGUGAAGACCAAGUCUCCCCUCUCACAUUUAAACUGACCAAGGAGCAGAUGGAGAAAGACUAAGAGAGGGACCAGAACAUGGCCAAGAUCAUGACACAACUUGAUAUUUUGUCCAAAAAUAUCAUGGGAGCUGGUGCUCAAAGUAUCAUUACCGUGGGUGUCGAGUGUGCUAAUCCUGAGGAAGAAAAGUUUGAAGCUUUGUACAAUGAAUAGGUGAAUUUCCUAGCCAACCAAAGUGGUGGUUAUCGUUCAAACUACCUAAGGUAGGGUGGUAACCAAGGUUGGAGCAGGGAUAAAGGUUGCCAGGACCGUGAUCGAGAAUGGAGGGAUCGAAAUCCCUAUUAAAAGGAUGGGGAGAAGGAUAGAUAUGUGCCUCCCUAUGAGCACCAAAACCAAAGGAUUCGAAAGGUGGCCGGUCUGAGGAUAUGCUUUCUCGUAUCCUCAACAAAGUUGAAGGGUCAGACAAGAUCUUGAAAGAGAUGAAAGAAGAUGUGUCGACCCUUAGCCAGAUGGUCACCUCCCAUUCAGUGUCGAUCAAGCAGUUGGAGACCCAAAUGGGUCAUAUCUCAUCUUAUUUGAACCUGAGAUAGCAAGGGGGUUUGCCUAGUGAUAUUAUGGCUAACCCCAAGAAUGAGGUUUGAGUGUGGACUUGUGUCGUGCCACGACGUUAACUAAGGAGCUGCUUGGGAGGCAACCCAAGUUUUUAUUUGUUUUCUCUUUAAGUUUGAAAUAAUGGGGUGUUGAUUGUCCAGGUUAAAGUGUGGAAAGUGUUUGAAAAGUGCAGGUUGGUAAGCUGAAAGUACAGUCGGCGCACCGCUAAAGAGGUCGGCGAGCCCGACCUAGACCGUCGUUGGGCUCAAGAGGAUUUCAAAUUGGAGUCUGUAAAACUCAGCGAGCCAAGGAGAUGAUUGGCGAAUCACCGAUCGGGUCGACGAUCGUGAUCUAUUCCGUCGUUUGGACCCCCACAUUAAUUGGAGGUCCUGUAAACCUCGGAGAGAUAAGUGACCACUCGGCGUGUCACCGAGUAGGUUGGCGAGCAAGACUAAUGUCGCCGAAUGGGCAAGAACUAGACGGUUUUUAAAGGCCAAAGGUUUAAACUUUCAAACUUUUUCACUUUCCCUCACUUUUAAUCUUCCCAAACUCACACCCGCACAUUGUAUUCUAUAUUUCUUGCAUUUUUAUCGUAUUUGAGUCGUUGAUCAUGUGUUCGGAGUGGAUUACUUAGCCGCCUAGCAUUUCAUUCAUUAUUAUUCGGCAUCUAAGGUUGGUUUUCUGAACCCCGCGUUUAUUUUUAUUAAUCUCUACUCAUUUGCAAUGAUCUUAUUUUAGUGAAGUGUGUUGGGCCUCUCUGAUCUUAAUUGUUUUUGUUUGUGCCUAUGUGAAUUUGAAUAAUUUACCCGUAAUGCCUUUAAUGUUGAAUUCCCGUAAUUUUAUGCCUUGAAAAUUGUUGGAAUUUGUGGGGUUGUGCUUGCAUGUCGUUCGGUUUAGUCGAGUGAAGUCUAAGUAACCCGUAUUUGUGCCAAAUGACGUAAUUUACCCAAUGACAGAGCGGGUGACAUCAUUCUUAAGGGAAAAAGUUGUCAAAUGGCCAAAUUUGGCAAAACCAGGAGAAGUUUGAGUAUCAUGGGGUAAUAGGCGUAUUGGGUCCUACUUUAAUUUGAUGGGUGCAUGCUUUGAUUUUGUUUUCGGGGGUUGCGGGGUUGAAUUUGAGAAGUUGGAUUUAAAGUAGUCACGUUGGGUCGUUUGGCGAGCUGGGUUGAGCUCACCAAACAACUUAGCGGUUCACCGAAGUUCCCCAUCUCGCCUUUAAUAUCAUGCCAUAAUUGAAGUUUGAUUCUGUAACUUUUGGUAAGAAGCCUGAGGUCACCGAAUGCACUCGGUGACUCGCAAAAAGUCUUUCUUGAUCGCCCUUUGUCUGCACCGCACCCCUGACCCUUAAUUGCACUGUAACUUUUGGCGGGCUAAUCCUUGCUCGCCGAAAGCUGUCGGCGAUUCGCUGAAAGGCCCUUUCAUCACUGACAUGCCAAAUGUUUCUAAGAAUUUUGAGCCAAUCCUUUCGGCGAGCCCGUUCUAGCUCGCCAAAGCGAUUUGGCAACUCGCCGAACGAUUCGGCGUGUUUGUCUGCAACUGUUUCUCUGUGAUUUUUUUGGUUGAAUUAAUUCUAACUUUUUCCUUAUGUUUUGCAGACAUGGUAAGGACAAACAUCGACAUGCCACCCUGUAAAAGAGCACGGGGUAUCACAAUAAAUGAAGGGGGAUUAAAUCCUCCCAAAAAAGGAAGGCAAUAGCCUCCAAUGGGAGACAAGGGCAAAGGCAAGAGGCCCAUAUCUGAGAGAGUGAGUGUUGGCUCCCAGGAUACUUUAUCUUAACCUAAGGAUGACCAACAUUUAUAGUCCCAGCGGGCUGAGAUCUAGGCUAGAUCUCACCUUGACUCAGCCAGAGUCCCCUCAGCUUUCACACCAGCAGACUCAGUGCCAGCUCCGGCACCUCAUGUGGCUCCAGUGCCACCAGUUUUUCCCUCUCCCAAGCUUCUCAAAAGGUUAAAGGGUGAUGGAUUACGAGCCAUCCUCGAGGAGAAGUUGUUAUCGACAGAGGGACUAGAGGGUAGAUACUCCAGUGUAUGGGAGAUACUAUAGUGGCACAGGUUUUAGAUUUUCACCAGGCCCAGAGACCCCUAUGUUCCUUCAUGGGUCCGGGAAUUCUAUGUUGCGAUGGUGACUUAGUUCCAAAAAGCAAGAAGAAGGCCAACGAAUUCAGACUGGUUAAGUCGGUUGCGGUUCGGGGUAAGGAAGUUGGAUGCAACAGUGAGUACAGCAAUACUAAACUUGACUGGGGUCUUAGAGCUGUGGAGGCAUAUGAGGGUUUGCCAGUUACGCAGUCCUUGGAUGACUUGAAGGGCUGGUUGGCUCCACUAAUUUUCGAUACCACCCAAAGGUGGAUCGAGGUAGGGGUCCCCACAGAGAAGAGAGAUUUGAGCAUUGCUGCUCGGUUCUGGUUUGGCUUCAUUAGCAGCACCAUAAUGCCAUCCCAGAACGAGUCCAUUUUGCGCCACCCUAAGGCGGCCUGUCUUGGAGCUAUUAUAUCCCGGAGGAGCAUCAACCCAAGACUCCUCAUAGAGCAAGAGAUGGCCAUGAGGGCCAAGCAGAGUCAGACAUCCUUUCCAUUCCCAGUCCUGAUCACUGAGUUAUACCAGCGUGCUGGAGUACCCUGGGACGAUACGAGAGAUAUUGGGGUUACCCCGUCUUCCUCCACUAACAUCCGAUGCAUUGAGGUCGAGUACACUUGUAACGCCCCAAAAUACUAACCAAGAGCCGCAUGUCGAUUUACCGUUGCUGAAUUACUACAAUAUGUUUUAUUCUCAUUUUGGGAACUUGAAAUUUUGCGAUAAUUGAAAACUUGCUUAACAUAAAUUGUGAUCGUAAUUUAAGGUAUUGUAUUGGGGUAUUUUCCUAAUAUAUAUAGGUGUAUAUGUAUAGGUGUAUAUGUAUGCAUUUUGGGCUGCACACAAUUAUUUGGGCAAGACCUUUCAAGAACAGCUGUAAAGGGGAUAAACAUCACUUUUGGUGACUAUAUGUUUACACCUCCUCUAUAGUGAAAUUUGAGUUCCUUAGAUCUAAGAAACCUGGUGAACUCUCUCUAACCAUAUUACUCUCAAAAUCACAAGCGAAAAACUUGGUCCUUUUGGCUGGAAUUCGAGACACACCCUUCUCUUUGGUAAGUGAAGAAAUUUGUUCCUAAGCUUGGUAGUGUUUGGUAUUUUCAGCAUUUCGCGUUCUAUAGAACUUCGUUUACAGUGAAUAAAUAUGAUUUGGAAAGAUAAUUCGUAUAUGUGCAAAUCUUAUGUUUAAAUGGACAAGAUGCAUAUCCUUAACCAAAUUAUUUGUUAUGAACCUAAUCCCUCUACUAGAUUAUAAUCAAUAUGCCCUGUUAAUUUCUUUUGAAUGUCGCAAGUAUUAAAUUAUGUUUCUUCUUUGAGCCGUAGUAUCCUUCCGAAAAGGUCUCUACAACACUCAUGAGAAGGCUGACAGAAGAAGAGCAUCUCCGGUGGAUACAACCCCGAAUGUGAAUAUUGAUUCGAUACCUGCAGAGGCAUCUUUGCGUACUCCGGCCUCCAGGCCUUCAGGUACAUCCACACCUUCUUCUUCUUAAAAGGCCCCGAGUACCUCUACCUCCUCCCAACCAGCCAAGAUUACUCAGGCGAUGAUCCUGAAGAUGGGAAACCUAGCCCAUUCAGUUGAUGUGAUGGCGACCCAACUUGAGAAAUCCAUCCCAUGGAUGAUCGAGAGUGUCAUCAUGGCUGCACUCACCCCCCUCCAGACUUCUAUUUACACUCUCACCACGAGAGUUGAGGCUUGUGAGAGCAGGUAGGGAGAGACCUCCGAGGUGAUGGCUUUGAAAGCCAAAGUAGCAAAUUUGAGGAAGGACGUAGACUAUCUAAAGUCUACUGACUUCACUUCAUUACUGGAGGCUGAUGAUGAUGUAGAUGCUCCUGAGACUUCAAAUAUUUUUCCGGCUACCAUCGGAGAUGCACAUAGGAACGAUGCAGCAGUUGAUGAGUCGGAUACAGAGACCGACGAGGAACAGAUAGAGGUGUAUGAUGCUGCGGUUUAUGAUGAUCUGUCUGACCUGGAGGAUGUUAUGUUUGAGACUGCACGUCAGACAUCGUUGAGAGAUACCACCAUGGGUGGGUCUAGUGGAGAAUCCUUUUGAGGUGACUCCGGGCACUGAUGCCCAGGAUCCGAGCGCCACACCGGGCACUGAUGCCCAAACAAAUGGAGUGACUAUUUAGACAAGAUCCCUCUUUACCUCCCUAUGUGUCUUACUUUAUUUUGACUUGUGGAUAUUAUUUUGUUUGCAUAUGAGGACAAAUGAUUUUUAUUUGUGGUGGGGAGAGGCCCACCUUUUGUGACUUAUGGUUUUAUUAUAUAUUGGGCUUUGAGCUAUAAUUGUGUUUUACACUAUUUUUGUGGAUGAUUGAGCUUAUGGCUCCAUGUUUUGAUUAUAAAUGAUUUUUGAACCCUUCCGAAAAAAAUUGUGCCACCUCUUAUUUGUGUUUGAAUAUGGUAGUUCUCUUGUAAAUUUGAGUAUCGGUCUUGAUCAGUACCGAUGACUUGAAUAGUGCUCAUAAUCAAACAAAAAUGAAUGUGCGGCUACAAUGAGGCCAAAUGAAGUUGCAUAGACAAUAUGUUAACUUUUUCCAUCUCGUUGUGACUAGCCAAAGUAUCAAAUUAAGUCUCUUGUGAUUAACAUUGCACACUUGCGAAAGUGUGGAGUCUUGUUUGACAUUGGUGGCAAUGCCUUGUGUGUGAUGAGCUUAUCGUGAACCAUGUGUGAUGACACCUAGAAUUUGCCCCGUUGGUCCGGUUGACUAAGUGAUGCAAGCUCUUGUGAUGAUCUUAGGCAACUUUGAAGAGUGUGAAACAAUUUGACAUUAUACCUCUUUUUGUGGCCUACCUUGUGAGUGUGUGAACCGCGCUUGAACACACUUUGAGCCGUAACCUUUUCUUGGAAGAAACUUGAUGAAAUCGUGACCUUUCUUGAUCCAUUACCCAUAAUCCUCAUGAUUUGUGGUCUGUUGGAAUAGCCAACUUAGGCCAAAAGCCUAAGUUGGGGUGUGGUGAAAAGAUAAGAUAAAUCAAGAAGUGCAAGAAAGUCCUCUUUGACUCAUGGUUUUAAGAAAAAUGGAACCCCUCCAUAUAAAAAAAAAAGAGAGAAAAAGAAGAAAAGAAUGAAAAAUAAAAAGAAUGAAAAAGUUGUGGAAUAAAGUUGUGAAAAUGCAAAGAAAUGAGGUCUCUAACAGGCCAUAGAAGAGGAAUAAUGGGGUGACUUUUGAGCAUGAUGAAGAAAAGGAAAGAAAGUGUUGUUCAAACCACAUUUCAUGAGGAUAGAAGUCACGCAGCCUAAAUGACCAUACCUUUGAACUCAGUCCCGUUACAAGCCUUGAAAAGACCUUUAUGAUCUUGAGUAAGCUGAAACAAGUGUUGAUUGGAAAAUACAGGCAAACCUAUGGGUGAAAUCAUGCAUUAUGUUCAUAUUUGUGAUUGUGAGUGUUGCAUUUGAUUCCGGAGCUCUAAAUUGUUGAACCAUUUUGUGUGAAUAGGAAUUUGAAUACCCUUGUUGAGCUUGAACUUGCAUUUGAAGCAAGUAUUGUUAACUUGAGAAUCUUUGAUAAUGGUGAGUCACUACUUGAAUCUUUGAGUGCACAAUUAAUCCUUGCAUGAAUAAGUUGAGUCUUUUGUGUGCAUUCAUGAUUGAGACUUGUGUAGCACUGUUUGAGACAUCCUUUUUUAAAUGUUGAACUUAAGUUUUACUUGAGGACAAGCAAAAGUUUAAGUUGGGGGUGUUGAUGAGUCCACGAUUUGGACUCAUUUAGGGCUUUAUUUUAGUAGAUUUAGUGUCCUUAAAUGCAUAUUUUCUACCAAUAACUACUGAAAAUCCUUGAUUUUCAGGUAUUUGGAUUGAAGAAUAAAGCAUGGACACUAAUGAGCAAAAAGGAAAAAGGCAGCUGAAAUAACGAAGAAAUGAAGGUCUGAUGAUCGUCUAACCCAUUAGGCGAGUCGCCGAAUUGCCAUGAUCUCGCCUAAAGUUCCAGUGUGCCAAGCCCUGAAGGAGAAAAUCAAGUCGGCGAUAGAAUGGAGCAGUCGGCGUGUCGCCGAAUGGUUCCGGGAUGCAGUGCUGGAUCACCCAAAAUUACAGAACUUAAAGAUGCUGAAGGCCAUAGAAAAAAGGCAACGGAAUUGAACAAAGGGUGGAUCAGCGAUCCCGACUUACUGCACUGAAUGGUCCUUCGCAGCACAUUUUUGGCUACUAUAAAUAAUUUUUUAAAUUCUUAGUUGAGUAAGCAAUUUUCAAUAGAGAAUCCUUUUUAUUCAAUUCUGAAGUAGAGAGCUUAGAACUGGGAGUAUUGAGACAAUAUUUCCUUAGCUUUGAAGAUUUCCAUUUCUGAGAAAUUGGAAGUGGGUGUUGAAGAUCCUUCAUCUUAGACCUCCGUAAAAACAAUAUUAAUCUUACCCAGUUGAUGUAAACACAAUUUGGCAACUAUUUUUAUCUUUUUAUGAUGUCUAGCUAAAUCCUCAAUUCUUGGGAUGUGAUUAUGUGAUUAUGGGUUGACUUAGCUGCUGGGUAUUGUUAAUUAAUAGUUUAAAGUUGUUUAAAAGUGAUUUCAUUCGGUAAUUGUGGCUUAAUCUAAAGGAUUGUAGUUGCAACUGCAACUCUACCUUCGUGUUUUUCGUUUGCGAGAGAGAGGGGUUUAAAAACCAAGAUUACUGAUUUGAUGGUCUGUGGGUAUUGGAUUGUCAUGGGUUUAGCUCGAGAGAGUGAAUCCUAAACCCUUUUCCACUCAUUCAGCUCGAGAGAGUGAAUGGACUAAAGCGUAGGUUGUUCUUAAUUGCUACUUAUUGGUGUUCGAGAGAAACCAAUUUGAUUCGGGGUAAAUUGUUCGAGAGAAAGUUUAUCCCCACUAAAGUCUAGCUUAUUCACUGAUUUACAGCUAUUUACUAUUAAUUGUAAUCACCCAUUUGUCUACCUUUUCCCAUAAUAUAAUCACAUCCCAAGAACCCGUCUCUAUACUUGUUCCUUCAUGUUAUUUGUUGUUGUAGUUGAUAAUUACAACCAACCCCCCUUGUUAUUUGACACUUGUGUCACCCCAAACUUGAACCAUGCUUUUAUUUGUAAAUAUUUUUACCGAUGACUGACUUGAGCAUAUUCAUGCUUUCCUAGUGAUUCUCAAAUACGUACCACUCCCUGUGGGAUUCGACCCCAACUCAAUUAGUUGGGUUAUAUUACUAACUAACGAUCAUUGACGCUUAGUAUUGGAUGAAGUGUCUUUGAAACAUUAUUAAUCACGUAAUCGACUUCAAGGGUAGUUGGGAUGAUUACCUUCCUCUUGUAGAGUUCACCUACAAUAAUAUUUACCAUUCAAGCAUUGAGAUGACCCCUUAUGAGGCAUUAUAUGGGCGUAGAUAUAGAUUUCCAGUUGGUUGGUUUGAAAUAGGUGAAUCAGCAUUGAUAGGGCUAGAUUUGGUUCAUGAUAGACUUAAGACAGCCCAGAGUAUCCAGAAGUCCUAUGCAGAUGUAAGGGGAAGGGACUUGGAGUUCCAAAUGGAUGAUUGGGUUUUCUUGAAAGUGCCACCUAUGAAAGGGGUGAUGAUAUUUGGCAAGAAAGGGAAGCUCAGUACUAGAUAUGUAGGCCCUUACAAGAUCUUGAGAAGAGUUGGUAAAGUGGCUUAUGAGUUAGAGUUGCCAACAGAACGAGUAGCAGUGCAUCCGGGCUUUCACAUUUCGUUGUUGAAGAAUUGUGUGGGUGAUCCAGCAUCUAUAGUACCAUUGGAAAGUGUGGCUGUGAAGGAUAGUCUCACUUAUGAGGAUGUGCCAGUAGAGAUUCUUGUUCGUCAGGUUCGAAGUUUGAGAAAUAAAGAAGUCACUUCAGUUAACGUUUUGUGGAGGAGUCAGUCCGUAGAGGGAAGCUACUUAGGAAGCAGAAGCAGCCAUAAAGGCCAAGUAUCCUCAUCUCUUUCCUUCAGAUUCCAUUCCAACUUGAGCUAAUAGUUCCUCUCCAGAUUUUCAGUUAUUCAUGUGUAGAUUCAGUCUUAGUAUCAUGUUCCUUCAAUCAUACUUGCAUUUUCAACAUAUUUGCAUGUCCUUAGAACUUAGUUCAGUUAGAUUUCAAUUUCCAGUUCUUAGUGGUAGGGUUUGCAGCUUUUUCCCUCCAUAUUCAAUUAGUUUAGUCUUCAUUCGAGGACAAAUGUUCCCAAAGAGGAGACAAUGUAACACCCCGUAUGCUAGAAAGACCAGAUUGCAGAAAAUCAGAAGUUGCAGAUGCCACCUAGGGACCAUAGGGUGACCCACGGACCAAAGGUGGGGGUUCGUGGUUGGCCACCUGCACCUCCCUCCUAGAACCUAGCAGAAAUUCGUCUAAGGUUUGACCUAUGCUAGGACCUAAGGAUCGUAGUGGGGACCACAGUCUUUGGUCAAGGCCGUGGUUCAGACCCCCAGAUUUCAUCUCUCUGAAAUCUAAAUGACGGUUGACAGGAGGGAUCGUAGGCCAGUCGACGGCUCAUCGGUCAGGUUCGUCGGUUGGUCCCGACAACUUUUAAGUCAGGGUCAUUUUGGUCUUUUCCCUAUGCAUUGGUCACCUAAACUACGUCGUUUUGGUCAGUUUUAGCCUAGUAACUUAAUUAGAGCUUACCUUAGUCAACUCAUUCUCCAAAAAUUCAUGAAGUUGAAGAAAAGAAGGAGAAAGAGUCGACCAAGCCCUUUCCAAAAACGCAGCAAGUUUUCUUCAGUUCCAUCCCCGAAAUCGAAAGAUUUCUCUGUGAAUGUCAUCACCAGAUAUGUGGUAUUUCACUAGUGGGUUUCAUUCACCCAUUAGGUCCCUAGAAUUCAGUUAGAUUCUUGAUUCUCUAUAUCAUGUGUAGACCUAGGGUUUCUAGAAUUUCAUAUUUAUAUUCAGUUGUUAGACUAAUCCAAAUCAGAUUAUCAUGUUUUCAUAGAAUUGUUUCUUAGUUCUUUGAAUGAAACUCAAAACCCUAGUUGUGUAGAUUCGUUUAGUUCAUGAAUUACACUUGCUAGGUCAGUUUAUUCAGAUAUACAUGGCUCAGUUAAGAAUGAUUCAUUGUCAUUACAUUAAUGUUGCAUUUUCAGUUAGCAUGUCAAUAUUUUGAGUUAUUCAGUAUUACAGAAAUUCAGUUAUAAUGUGUUAUUUACAUAAUCAGUUGGGAGUAGGCUUAAUACCGAGUGGACUAGGGUCAGUCACCCUCAUAGUCCCAGAACUACGUGCCCCCGUAGGAUAAGUCCCUCUGUGGGCAACAUAUUUAGUGAUCAUGCUUGUCAUGCCUUUAUACCCUUGGCAAGGUAUAUUGGGUCCUCUCGAUAGGGCGAUACAUCGAACUCCACGGAUUUCUCUCGUGGUUUUAUGUCGGUUAAUAGUAGCUCCCACAAUCAGAGUCUAGUGUAUUGACCAGGUUAUCAGUUAUAGUUCAGUAUUCAGUCUUAGCAUAUUUAUACUGGGUCAUUGCAUUCAGUUAGCUCAGUAUUUAGUAUGUUUCAGUAUUUCCAUCAUGCUCAGAUUAUAUCAUUGCUUUUAUUGAUUUGUUCAGUUAUGUAUAUUAUUGUUCAGAUUUAUCCUAUCAUGCAUGCUCAAUAACUUUCAAGUACUGACGCAUACUCUGCGCUACACCUUCUUGUGAUAUAGAUUCAGGUCCUCAGAAUCCAAAUCACGCAUAGAUCGAUUCCCGAUCUCCAUCUCAUUAGUAUCAGUGGUGGGUCAUCAUUCUUCGACGACAAUUGACAUGUUAUCUUUCUAUUUUCAUUCUUUCAGUUUCUGUUUUGCUAGAGUUAGCUGGGGCAUGUCCCAGCAUCUCUAGUCAUUUAGAGGCUUUUAUUCAGACAUAGUUUAGAUUCAGUUUUUAGUUUGAGUUUGAUAUUUCAGUUGUCAUUAAACUCGGUUUUAUAUAUUCAAACUUAGAAUGGGUAUUCCCCAUCAUUUCAUUUUAUGUCAUGUUUUAAGCUUCUGCACAGAAUUAUCUUAUUUCAGUUAUCUCAGUAUGCUUAUGAUAUGCCAGUAGGGUUAGCUUGGGGUCACUCUUGAUCCUAAGUCCCAUGUUAACGUACAGGGGGUAGCCUCGAGGAGUGACAAAUAAUCUCAAAUUUUACGAAGAGGAAAUGUUUUCUUUAAAACAUAAUGAGCUAAGUUAUAUUUUGGAAGUAGUAUUGAGUAGUGAUAUGGGGGAGAGUUCUAACAACUCACAACCCCCACAGACCUAUCUACGGCUUGUAUAAGGAUUAACGGGCUGGUGAACCGUAAAAAGGGGUACUAGGACUUGAUUUUAGAAAAAAAAAUGUCCUCUUCCUAUGAUUGUCAUCUACGGCUCGUAGAAGCUUCUAUGGUUCGUAGAUGGGACCCGUAGACAUAGCUUGUAACCCAAAAACUUUUUUCUUCCUUUUCCAAAUUUCGAGGUAUUACAAUAUCUCCCUCUUGGGAAUAUUCGUCCUCAAGUGAGACUCAAGCUGGAAUAAAUAGAGUAGGAGAGAAACUAACAUACCAACAUGAACGCAAUCACAUAAAUGCACAUAUUAGAGGAGGAAAAUCGACUCCAAACCAAAGCAUAUUCAAAAUAUCAUUUCAAAAGGCAUGCAUGCAACUCAUACUCAAAAACACAUAAACAUGGAGAAUCACUCCAAGAUAGAUCAUAACAUCAAAACCAGAUUUUCAUGAGCAUGCACGCAUAAGGAAACAUGAGAAUGACUACGACACAUGAAACCAAAAGAGUGAACCAUGAGGAACUAAAUACCUCAAGCUAGAGUAGGAACGGAGGGAAAGAGAUGAGGAUAUCCGGAUAUCAUAUCGACCUCGGCCUCUCAAGCAUCACCCUUAACUAACUGAAUUCUCCAAAGAACCUUCAUGAAAGCAAGCUCUUUGUUUCUCAACUUCUAGACUUUCCGGUCUAAACUCUGAAAACCUUCACGAAAGCAAGCUCUUUGUUUCUCAACUUCUAGACUUUCCGGUCUAAACUCUCAAUCAGAACCUCUUCAUAAGAAAGAUUCUCUUUAACUCCCAAAUCUUCAAAAGGAAAAAUAGAUAUCAGAUAUCCAACACACUUCUUCAACAAUGAGACAUGGAAUACCAGAUGUAGUGAUGCUAAAUCAUUAGGUAAAUCAACCUGAUAGGCAGCUUUACCAAUACACCUCAAAAUCUGAUAUGAGCCUACAUAUCGGGGACUAAGCUUCCCAUUCUUUCCAAACGUCAUGACACCCUUCAAAAGUGAAAUUUUCAAGUAAACCAAAUCAUCAACAUCAAACUCAAUAUCUAUUCUUCUAAAAUCGGCAUAGGAAUUUUUUUGACUUUGAGCUAUUUUUAGUCUUUCUCUAAUAAGUCGAACUUUCUCCAUAGCCUCAUGUACUAAUUCAGGAACUAUGAAUGCAACCUGACCAACUUCAAACCAACCAAUAGGAGAUCUAAACCUCCUACUAUAAAGAGACGUAAAUGGAGCCAUGCUAAUGCUUGAAUGAUAGCUAUUAUUAUAUGCAAAUACAAUCAAAGGCAAGUGAUCAUCCCAGUUACCUUUAAAAUCAAUCACACAAGCUCUCAACAUAUCUUCUAAUCUGAAUAGUACGCCCCGCUUGCCCAUCGGUUUGAGGAUGAAAGUUCUUAAUAAGCUUAACACGAGUACCAAGAACCUUUUGGAAAGAUUUCCAAAACUAAGAAGUAAAUUAGGUACCAUGAUCAGAGAUAAUGGAUAGGAGCACUCUAUGAAACCUAACCAUCUCCUUUAGAUACAACUUCACAUAAUCUUCCUCCGAAUAAGAAACCUUGACGGGAAUGAAAUGAGUUGACUUUGUCAUACGAUCUACUAUAAAUCAAAUUGAGUCAUGCUGUCACUGAGUGUAGGGUAAACCAACAAUAAAGUCCAUAUUCAGAUCUUCCCACUUCCAAGUAGGAAUGCUAAUAUCUUGGGACAGAACUCCUAACUUUUGAUGCUCAACUUUCACUUUUUGACAAUUAGCGCACUUAGCCACAAAUUCAGUAAUAUCCUUCUUCAUUUCAUUCCACCAGUAGUCCUCCCACAAAUCACAGUACAUCUUGGUGGCUCUUGGUCAAUGGAAUACCGAGAACUAUAGGCCUCCGAUGAAAUCUGCUCUCUUAAGUCAUCAACAUUGGGAACACAUAACCGACCUUAAUACCUAAGCACACCAUAUCCCCUUUAGGAAAAAAAUCUAUGGACAUUUUAAGAACCGCUUCCUUCAACUCAUCAAAACUCAUAUCAAGACUAUGCUUGGCUUUAACAUUCGACACAUAUGACUAUUCAGAACCAUUUUGAACAAUGACACCACCUUUGCUUUACUCAACUAGUCGAAUACAUAGCUGAGCUAGUCUAUGAACAUCACGAACCAACUCAUUCUUGCAUCCUAAACAUGCACAAAAUUCAUGGACAACCGACUUAAGGCAUCGGCCACCACAUUAGCUUUUCUUCGGUGAUAAAGACACUCAUAUCAUAGUCCUUCAAGAGUUCUAACCAUCUACGUUGGCAAAGAUUUAGAUCCUUUUUCUAGAACACAUAUUAUAAACUCUUAUGGUCGGUAAAGACAUCAACAUGGACACCAUACAUAUAGUGGCUCCAGAUCUUUAAGGUAAACACAACCGACUCUAGCUCCAAAUCAUGGGUAGGAUAAUUAUUUUCAGAAAUCUUAAGUUACCUUGAAGAAUAAGCAAUAACUUUCUCAUUUUGCAUAAGAACACACCCUAAUCCAAUUCUUGAAGCAUCACAAUAAACAACAAACCCAUCGGAUCCUUUCGGUAAAGUCAAGAUAGGAGUCGAAGUGAGUUUAUCCUUCAACUCUUGGAAACUCUUUUCACACGCUUCUGACCAUAAGAACUUAACUUUAUUUGUGUCAAUGGAGAAUCGAUCAAAGAAAACCCUUCCACGAACCUUCUAUAAUACCCAACCAAACCCAAGAAAAAUCAAAUAUUUGUAGGGGAUAGAGGGUCUAGGCCAAUUCUUAACCACAUCCUUCUUCUUAGGAUCUACCUCGAUACACUUACCAGAAACUAUGUGAGUGAGGAAAGCCAUGGAUCGCAAAUAAAACUCUCAUUUACUAAACUUUGUAAAAACUCUACAGAAUCCUUAAAUGAUUAGCAUGUUCAUCCUCACUCCAUGAAUAAAUGAAGAUAUCAUCAAUAAAUACAAUCAUAAACAUAUCUAGAUACUAUCUAAACACUUUAUUCAUCAAGUCAGUCGGAGCAUUAGUAAAACCAAAUUACAAUACCAAAAACUCAUAAUGACCAUACCGAGUUUGAAAAGCCAUCUUUGGGAUGUCACCGUCAUUUACCCUUAAUUGGUGAUAACCCGAUCGGAGGUCAAUCUUAGAGAAAUAACUCGCUCUUUGGAGUUGUUCAGACAAAUCAUCUAUCAUUGGGAGAGGAUACUUAUUAUUAAUGGUAACUUUGUUCAAUUGACGGUAAUUGAUAGACAUGUGAAGUGAACCCUCUUUCUUAUGAACAAACAAAAUUGGAGCACCCCAUGGAGAGAUACUCGAUUAGAUGAAACCAUUAUCUAACAAAUCCUUUAAUUGUUCCUUCAAUUCCUUAAGUUCUGUUGAAGCCAUCCGAUAAGGAAGAAUAUAGAUAGGUUGCCUAUCUAAGAUAUGGUUGAUAUCAAAGUCAAUUUCCCUUUCAGGAGGAAUACUGGGUAGAUUAUCUAGGAACACUUUCAAAAACUCAUUCAUAUUGGGGACCGACUCAAGAAUAAGGGUUUCGAAAUCUGUAUCCCUAACCCAAACAAGGUGACAUGCAACUCUUAUAAAUCAUCUUUCUAGCUUUAAGACAAGAAACAAAGUGACUUAUAGAUAUAGAAUUUCCCCCUUUCCACUCUAAGACAGGUUCAUUUGGAAACUGAAACUUGACCACUCAGGUUUUACAAUCAACAUAAGCAUAACAAGAAUAGACCCAAUCGAUACAAAGAAUAAUAUCAAAAUCUAACAUAUCAAGCUCUACAAGAUCAACAUGAGUGACUCUAUGGGGUAAGGCGAUAGGACAAUUUCUAUACACUCUCUUAGCCAUAAUAGAUUUACUAAUGGGAGUUGAGAUAUAAAAAGGGUCAAACAACACAUCUAGAAAAACAUGAAACCUCAUGGGCACAUAUGGAAUCACAAAAGACAAGGUAGCACUGGGAUCAAGCAAAGCAUAAACAUCAACAUGAAACACAUUCAACAUACGGGUAACCACAUCGGGAGAACCCUCUUGCUCAUGCCAAGUUUGAACUGCAUAAAAUAUGUUUUGCUUUGGAGCACUUGAAUAACCACUAGGCGGAGCUUGCCUACAAUUUCUUCCCUUUGUAGAAAGUGAUGGACAAUCCCUUAUCUUGUGACCACUCUUACCACAACCAAAGCAACGAUUUGUACUGGCUAAGCAUUUACCCUCUUGCUUCCUUCCACACCUAGAACAAGUAGACAAUGAAGAUCUACCACUAUUUCCUACUUAAGGCUUAGGGUAUGGCCCCCUAUCUUUGUUGAACUUUGGAACCGGGGCGUUAGAGAAACCUUGACUGAAGAACCUUUGCCGGAAUUCAGAAUGACCAUGUGCAUAGGACCUCAAAUGUAAAAAGUCACCAUCACCAGUCUUUACUCUUUAUGUCUUCUAAGAUCUUUCCUUAAGCUUCACCUCUUCUAUUUAUUGAGCAUGUAUCAUUAGGUGAGAAAUAUCCAUUUCCUUAAUGAGCAUGGAGGUGUGAAAUUCCUUAGCUACCAUUUAGGACACACCCAAAACAAACUUACUCAUCCAUGCCCUAGAUUUGGCAACCAUAGAAGAAACAUAUUUUGACAAUUAAGUGAAUUUCAAAGCAUACUCGUUAACACUCAUAUUUCCUUGACGAAGGUUGAUGAAUUCAAGUACUUUUGCCUGCCUCAUCUCAAGGGUAAAGAACAUAUAUAUAAGAUAGCCUUGAACUUUUCCAAUCAAGAGGACCCAUAUCUACAGCCCUCUCUUCCUUCCAUUGAUCAAAACAAACUUGAGAAACACCCUUAAGUUGAUUAGUGGCUAAUUCAGACUUUUCCACCGGCAUCGCACACACCAUCAUCAAAAUCAUAUACACCUCAUCAAUGAACUCUUGAGGGUCUUCCUCAACCUUGGAACAAUAAAACCUUGGGGGAUUCAUUCUAGUAAAGUCCCUUACUCUAGUUGUCGCCGUAUCCACAUUUUGUUUCAUGGGGACCACAACCUCCCUAUUGGCUUGAGCCAUCAUAGCUUGACCCAACACUUGAAAAGCGGCUUAAAAUUCUGCAUUAGUCACUUGCUCGGCCAAAGGGUCGACCGGAACUUGAGGAGCUUCUUGUACCACAUUCUCCCCCGCAUUCCUUCUAACAUAUGCUCUUCGGGGAGCCAUAUCCUGAAAAGGCAUCGGAUAAGGAUUAAGAGAGAGACAUAUAGAGUUGCACUAUAUCCCACAACUUUAGAGUAACGAAAAAAGUGGAGUUUCCUAAACAUCUUAUAGCUUUUUAUUCAUAAAUGUGGUGCGCUUCACAGUAAUGAACAAGACACUACUCGGCGUGGAUUAUAAGACAUCCUAGGACCUUUCUAAACUUGUGCUUUGAACACCAAGUUUGUAAUGACCCAAAGUAUACACUAGGCAUAACAUAGCAUAUAGGAACCCUAAAGGCCCUACACAAGCCAAUUAGGAUACAUCAUACAAGAUAAUAGAAAUAAAUAAUUUAGGAAAACAUUCUUAAUUCAUUUAAAGAGUUUGAAAAAAGUGGAAUUCUAACAUAAGUCUCAAUAAGUAAUCUAUUACAUCAAAAGAGUGAUUGGGACGUAACUCAUACAUCACAUACAAGUUUGAAAAAUGAUAUGACAUAAAUAUGUAAAAGACUCUUGGUUCUAAGAACAUGAGGAUUCACCAAUAUUGAAAAUCUUAAAAGAAUCAACUAGACGCGAGUGUGAGAGGUAGGAGCAUCUUACCCUACAUUAGUGAAAUAAUGUAGGCACAAGUACGCAUUAGUACAUUGAGUGUACUAAGUAUGAUAAAAAUGCAUAAGAGUUAUGAAAUCAUGCUAGAGGGGACAUUUCAUGACAAGCAAUGACCAAGCUAAAUCAUAAGAUAACAAGGGGUUAGAAAACUUAAACCAUAGAUGUGGUCAAUACAAGCUAAACAUACUUAAAACACUUGUGAGAUACUUUAAAAGUAACCUUAUUUCAUUAUUGUGAGAAGUUUACCAUGUAACCAAUAUAGACCAUGUGAGCUAUAACAUGGAAUCCAGUGUCUGCUCCCCACCGAAAAGGGGUGUCCUUACUUGCCAAGGUAAGAACCAUAAAUCUGAGCUAAAGUGGAUCCACUAGCUAAUGUCUAUCUAAGACAAUCAUCCAAUGGUAGAACAUAGUUAUGGGAGGAGGAUAUUGCUACUAGAGACUUGACCUCUACCAACAGAAGAGCCUCCAUCUCAAUAUCCUCCCGGUGCGAAGCAAAAAUUCCACAGAAUAGUCAUUGAUCUUAUUCAUUUCAUCAUCCAAUAAAAGGCCCAAUUAAGAACCAAAUCCAAGCUAAAGUUCAAUUAGAAUAGCUACUUAAUGUUUAUUCAACUUAGGUGAGAAAACAUUUCAACCUUAUGAAUCCUUUAUGUGAGAAAUCCUUUCACAAUAACACUGAUAAUGUACUCUAAAAGCAUCCUCCAAACAUUUACUUCAAUUUCAUGAAAACAUACAAAUCUUGAUAAAUUCAUAAUUCAUAGUUCAUAAGCUUCAUAAUGUGAUCAUAGUCUAAAAAUUAUGGAUCAUGCAUGGGUUCAUAUCAAUUAAACUUAAAACCAUGACAUUUGCUUCAAUUCACGUACAAAAAUAUAGAAAACAAUCAAUUGAAUUGUAUUUGAUAAGAACCCAUAAAGAUUGUAUAAAACCCUAACUUUGAUUGAGAAUCUAACUUGUAAAAUUGGAGAAUUUAGCAACACUAUGGAGGAAAGGACUCCAUAGGUGAAUACUAACAUACCUUAGCAAUCAAUGCCCACAAUCAAUGGAGAAUUGGAGGUUUUUAAGCCAUAUCCUAGCUUUCUCCUUCCUUAGCUAUUGAUGUGAUUUUGGGGGUGAUCUUGGAGGGAAUUUAGGAAUUUAAGAGAAUGAUUUAGAAUGGGUUGUUUUCAGGCUUAAAGGACUUAUAUAGGGAUUAAGAUUAGGACGGAUACGACCUAGUUUAGGCAUAAAUCGCUUAGGGAAAAUACUUAAAAGCCAUUUUAAAUAAAUGCCAGGCCCUUCUAAGGUUUGGACUAGUCAAAUGUAGAAAAGUUCAAAAACUUUUGCAUUUGGACUAAUUUUGACGGAACCUAUCUACGGCUCAUAGGUCUUCCUACGGUCCGUAGACACCAAACAUGGAAACAAAUUUAACCCUCAAAAUUUCACUAAGUCUGGGACUCAUCUACGGGACCUAUCUACGAGUCGUAUAAAUAUUGACGGGUUGUCCGGGUGAACCAUAAAAAGGGGUACUGGGACUUGAUUUUGGAAAUUUAUUUUCCCUCUUCUUAUGGUUGCCAUCUAUGUCCCGUAGAAGCUUCUACAGUUCGUAGAUGGGACCCAUAGAAAUAGCAUGCAACCCAAAAACUUUUUUUCUUCCUUUUUAAAAUUCUAAGGUGUUACAAUUAUGUUCUAAACCAUAAUAAGUUUAGGUUAAUAUUUAAGGUUUUUUUUAUAUUUUCUUGAUUUAACUUAAUUGUUUGAUGUAAUAUUUAUUAUGUUUAUUUGAUAUAAAUUAUUUAUUAAUUAUUGUUUCAUAUAAAUCAUGUAUUUUAUAUUAUUUAAUAUAACUGUCAUUCCAUUCAUAUUCCUCAAAUUCUGAUAAAUUGACACUAUCACAUGUACACGCGAGGUGUGUUUUACGCACUCGUAAUUUUUUAAAAUUUAGGAGAGUUGGCGUAUGUAUGGGGUGUCUAGAUCUUUUUCUGUAUGACUGCUUUGCCUUCUUAUUUGAGUUGUCUACUCGGAAACCUUGUGUCUAGAAAACACAAUCUUAAUUUAUUCAGGAUAGAACUAAACUAAAAAAUUUAAGGUAUAUGCAUCAUACAAACUUAGGAGGCUUAAUAUCCUUAGUAUAUUAAGUUCAUUAGUCACUUUUACCCAAAUGUCAAAGUGGAUUCAUGACCUCGAGUGAUUCUUAUCAUUUAUGCAUGCAAUAUUUGAAAAAUAAUUGUGUCAAAAUAUGGACCAUUUGUUCCAAGUUAAUUAAACUUUAAUAGGGAGGGUAUUACUAACCCUUUUGUGAUGUAGAUAUAGCUAUGAAGAUCCCAAACUUUGGCCUAUGGAGGUAAACCACGAGCAUGUCAUGGUACGAAGAUGCUUAGAGGCUAUGACAAGCUUUUAAUUAUAUAUUGUUCUUUUCCUUUUGACAUGUAAUAAAGCUUACAGCUAUCUUUGUAUUUGAUUUUGGAAAUAGAGUUUUUUAAUUAAUUAAAGAGCAAGGGAAUGACAUAUUUUGGCACAUUGAUUUUUUAAAUACGUGUAAGGCCUACCUCUGGCAUAAGAGGUCACAUAUAUAUUAGGACACAUGAUUUAAUAUACUUAUUUUAUGUGCUUUGUAAAUAUUUACUUGUUUACUUGUUAUAUGACUUAUAUGAAUUUAUUUGCAACAUGGUUUUAAUUGGUUAUUACUAAUACUGUCUCUUUUUUUUCUUAUUUUCAGAAGAGAAAAUUAUUUUGUCUUUAUCUAUUUCUUUAUUUGAUUCCUAUUGCAUCUUUACAAAUUCUUAUGUUAUGUUCAUAAUAUUUUGUUUUUAUAAUAACCUUUCCCCGCUUAGUGCAUUUUACUAAUUCAAGAGAAUCAUUUAGGCUCAUAAUUAUUCUAAGCUUGUGCAAACUUUUUGUGUCCCUAAUUAAGUUUUUCUUCCGUUAAUUUGUUUAACAAAUUUGAUUUGUCAUUAUCUGUGAAUUUCUUCCUUUGUGAAUUUCUUCCUUUGAGCUUUUCAAUACUUGUGUCUGAAACUCUAUUUAAGAAUUUUCCUCUUACUUUAAUUGGCAUAAUUCUUCAUCAUUAGAUAUAGUAUUUUGCCUGUUUAUAUUUUUCUAAGUUAAUUUAUUCAAUUUUGAUAGACUCUUGCAAAAAUUCAAACUUUCUAGACUUUUUAUCUUCUCAAGCUUUUUCAAGUUUCUACUUUAAGGAUAUAAUCUUAUUUUUCUAACAACAAAAUAUUUUUUCAUUUAGUUCCUAUUUUGUAGAAUCUAUUUAGCGCUCGAUCUACAACAUAGAGUGUAAGUUUUUGGGUCGUGGGUCGCCCAUAUGGACCGACUCUAUUCAAUUUGACCUGACCCGACCCAAUGUUGUUUUCUGAAAGAAAAGAUAAACUACAAAUUUAAAAGGGGGAGAACAAUUACAAAGUAACAGCUCCAACGUAAAGAAACGUCCUUUUUAAAACUAUUUUAUCUAAUGCUUCUCUGAAGAGUAAGAAAAGAAGAAGAAGAAAAGAACAGAGAACAAAAGACUGAAAAACAAGAAAAACUUUCUUCAGAAGAAUGGACAAACAAAAUUGACAUUUAAUUUGUGAAACGUAGUCUUUGUUUCCUAGUGAUUCAAAAAGUGAUUGUGGAGCAAUUCAAUUUGGUAGCAAAAUCAAGGACAUCCGCUGCAAGUAUAAGGUACACAAUCCAUCAAUUUUUCUAUGAAUACUUACAGUGAUAUCAAGAGCCAAGAUUAAUUGUUCCUUGUUUGCAUAAUGAUUGAAAUUUUCUAGUUGAAUGAAUCGAGAAGUUUGAAUUCGAUCAUAAAUCUGAUUUUUUUAUCCAUUAACGAUUGGUUUUAUUUUGGUUACUCCAUAUUCCAUUUAGAGUAGGAAAAAGAGAAGAUAUUUACUGACUUGAGUAUUUUCUUUCUUUCUUUCGGUUCUUUCAUGGAUUUUUUUUUUAUACUUAUUUUUAGUUUGUUUCACCUUGUUUUCAUGGACGUAAUAUAUGGGAGAAGAUGAGUAAAAUUAUAUUUCUAAAAGUUAUAUUAUAUGAUCAAAAGAAAUAGAAUUUAAGUUUGAUGGGGACUUGAAUAGGUCAAGUUCUUUUUUUAGAGUAGAUAAAAAAAAAUAUGAAGAGAAUUAUAGGGGACAGAAACGCGUGCCUGGAAUGGUGGGAACUUUAUGCCCGUUUUUUGUUUUAUCCUUUUCCGUUAAGGAUUAAGAAGAAAAAUAUAAAAUGGUCCCACUAUUUUAAAAAAAAGGUGUACAGAAAUGCGUGCCCAGAAUGGUAGGCACUUUAUGCCAUGUUUUUGUUUUGUCCGUUUCAGUUAAGGAUUAAAAAGAAAAAUAAAAUAAUAUGGUCCCAUUUUUUUUUAUAAAGAGUACUCAUAUUCUAUUUUAAUAAAGUACUUGUACCUUUUUCUUUGGAAUCAUGUAAUACUAUUUUAUUUUAUUUUGAAAAUAGACAAUGGAUGUGUAGUACUUCUUUAUGUUAAUAAAGUACAUACUUUAUUUAUUUUACCAAAAGUUAUUUAAGUGGUCAAAUCUGAUUGUGGUUGACUUCAAGAUUUUUUUUUAAUAUCCAUAUGUUAAUAAUUUGUGUACAUGCAUUAUGGUUUAUUUAAAUAAUCUUUUGAUCAUUAGUCCUUAUGUUCCUUAAAUAAUAUUUUUGUCUUCUACAAAUGAAAGUGACAUAUGUUGUCACAAUGAAUGGUUUAACCAUUCUUAUGGUUUUCUUGUUUCUAUUUCAGAGAUGGUUGAACAGGAACAAACUCAAAUUACUCCAAGUGGAAGUUCACGAAGUCGAGAAUAUGGACAAUGUAGAAGAUCAUGUUGCCGUUGAACAUGUUUCCGAGGGCAUGAAAUCAUACAGAUUAAUGUUCCAAGGAAACAUAAAAUUUAUGAAGGAAUCAAAGAGAUAUAUGAAGGAAAGGAGAAAAGGAUUUUAAGGAGUUAAAGUCUUUAAAGAUGUCCCCUAAUAUUUCAGCACUUGAUUUUAUUCACCUUUUUGAAUUAAAAUGGGUUGAACUGGCUGAUUUUUUUUAAAUUUCGGAUUGGAGAGCAUUAGCUUAUUUAAAAGACGCUCUCAAUGAACCUUGGGGUAGUAGAUUAACUUAUGUUUAUCAUUACAUUUGACCCAGUCAUCCUUUAGGGUGUAUAUUUGUUGUCUUGAAGACUUAUGGAAGGAUUUUAGUCAUUAGAAGACUUGUAAUUGUUGUUGCUUAUUUGCUUUCUAAUAUAUAAAUUAUGUAAUUUGUUUUUCACAAUAUAUGUCCUUAGACUUAAAAAUCCAUGUUAUGAAUGUCUUAAAUAUAUUAGUAUACACAUUAAGAUAAUAGAUUUAAAUUUUGGUUAAAUAUACACAUAAGUUGUAAUCCUACAACUUAUGACUAUUAUGUUGACCGUUGUGUAAUGGCAUGUUAUUCAAGUAAUAGUGAUAUUGAUGUUAUUACAUGACAUGCAAGAUUAAGUCACAUAGUGUAAGAUUGAAUAAAUAGGUUGGCAAAAGGACAUUUGGGUUCUUUAACCAAAAUUGAUAUGUCAACUUGUGAAAAUUGUCUUGCUGGAAAGUUUACGCAUAAACCAUCUGGGAAGGCUAAGAGAGCUAAGUUCCCACUUCAAUUAAUCAUUCUAAUAUUUGUGGUCCAAUGAAUGUGAGGGCAAGGUAUGAUGCUACAUACUUCAUUGCAUUUAUUUAUGAUUUUAUGUGUUUUAGUCAUGUCUAUUUGAUUUCUCAUAAAUCUGAAGCACUUGAGUGCUUUAAAGAUAUAUGAAUGAAGUUGAAAAUCAAUUAGAUAAAAGUAUAAAGGCUUUAAGAACCGAACGGGGACGUGAAUAAUUGUCAAAAUAAUUUGAAGAAUGAUGUAUUGAAAAGGGUAUUAUCAGACAGUUAACUACUCNNNNNNNNNNNNNNNNNNNNNNNNNNNNNNNNNNNNNNNNNNNNNNNNNNNNNNNNNNNNNNNNNNNNNNNNNNNNNNNNNNNNNNNNNNNNNNNNNNNNNNNNNNNNNNNNNNNNNNNNNNNNNNNNNNNNNNNNNNNNNNNNNNNNNNNNNNNNNNNNNNNNNNNNNNNNNNNNNNNNNNNNNNNNNNNNNNNNNNNNNNNNNNNNNNNNNNNNNNNNNNNNNNNNNNNNNNNNNNNNNNNNNNNNNNNNNNNNNNNNNNNNNNNNNNNNNNNNNNNNNNNNNNNNNNNNNNNNNNNNNNNNNNNNNNNNNNNNNNNNNNNNNNNNNNNNNNNNNNNNNNNNNNNNNNNNNNNNNNNNNNNNNNNNNNNNNNNNNNNNNNNNNNNNNNNNNNNNNNNNNNNNNNNNNNNNNNNNNNNNNNNNNNNNNNNNNNNNNNNNNNNNNNNNNNNNNNNNNNNNNNNNNNNNNNNNNNNNNNNNNNNNNNNNNNNNNNNNNNNNNNNNNNNNNNNNNNNNNNNNNNNNNNNNNNNNNNNNNNNNNNNNNNNNNNNNNNNNNNNNNNNNNNNNNNNNNNNNNNNNNNNNNNNNNNNNNNNNNNNNNNNNNNNNNNNNNNNNNNNNNNNNNNNNNNNNNNNNNNNNNNNNNNNNNNNNNNNNNNNNNAGAAUAAUAAAUCCAGAAAUUCAACUUGAAUUGCAACACCAAAUUCUUCAAAACGAACUUAUGAAAUCAAUAAUUGCUAGGUUUGCAAGAAUGAUCUCCCAAGUCAUAAAAAUAGAACUAAAGUCAUAAUGUCUAACCCCUAAAAACGAGGUUUACAUGCCCUAUUUAUAGAAAACAAGUCCUAAUUUAAAAGGGAAACAAAAUAAGGAAAGUUUGUUACAGGCACGCGUCUUUAAUCCACGAGACUGACUCACGGACCGUCAAUGGAUCUACGAUCCGUGAGUCCCUUCUGUCAGCCAGGACUUAGAAAAUAUUUCAACUUCCAAAAAUCAGCUUCUCUGAAGUAAACGACGAAACUGUAGUACGGACCGUGGAUCGAUCUACGGUCCGUCAAUCCCCCUCCGUAGCUCCAUACUUGGAAUCUUCAAAAAUCAGGUACUGGAACCCUCGCAGUCUCAAUCUACGGAUCGACAGUACGGUCUGUAGAUCAAUCUACGGACCGUCAAUGGUCACCGUGGUUCCACACUUGGUCAGAUUUCCCUGAUUUGCCUUCCAUGCCUUGGCUUCUGAUCUACGGCCACCAUCUACGGAGCGUCAAUGGACCUACAGUCCGUAGAUCACCUCCGUAGAUGCCCUUUUCUGUAUUUAUUUCAAUUGUCUCUUUAUGUCCGUGCCUGAACAUCUUUCCUGCCAAAUAUGAUAAAAACACAUAAGAACCCAUACAAAAAAGGCCCUAGACACACACAAAUUGUAAGUGAAAUGUAUUAGAAAUACCGUAAACUCACGGUAUAUCAUAGCUGAAAAAGGAAUAGAACAUUAUUGGAAAUGACAAAAUCAAUGAUGCCAUAGGAAAAUUUAUCUAUCUCUUUUUAGGGAAAUGCAUUAUCGACUUAGGCUUACAUAUUGAACAAAGUGCAAUCUAAAUCAAUGUCUUCCACUUCUUAUAAACUUUGGACUGAUCAUAAAAUAAACAUGAAUGAUCUGCGACCAUGGAGUUGUGAAGCAUAUAUUAAAGAUUGUUUUGAUGAGUUUGGAAAACUAAGUGCAAAAGGAAAGAAAUGUAUCUUUAUGAGGUACUCUAGACACUCCAAGGGUUAUGUGUUCAUCGAUGAACUAGAGGAUGAAAAUAUUACUGAAAUUGUAUCAUGAGAUGUCAUAUUUUUGGAAAAUGAUUUUUCCAAAAAUGGUUAAAUAGAUGAAGUUGAGCCUCUCUACGAAAUGUUGAAUUCAGAAGAUCAGGUAAUGUUGUCAGACAUAAUUGAUAACUCAAAGGAUCAAGAAAUGAUUCAUGGUCCAAGUGGGAGUUAUAAAUCCCAAAUCAUAUAGAGAAAUCCGAACUUCAAAUACAUUAGCGUACAAAAAAUGGUGCAAUUAAAAAAUCUUAUGAGAUUGAGGAUUAUGUUUUCAUGGUAUCUCUUACAGAAUUGGAUGAACUAAAUUCUGUAACUGAGGCGUUAUCAAGCUCUAAAAGUGAUGAAUGGUUAAAAACGAUGAAAAAGAAUUAGAGUACAUGAAAACCAACAAAGUUUGGGAUCUAGUUGACCUUCCUAAGAAACGUAAAGCUAUUUGGAAUAAAUGGAUUAUCAAAGUUAAACGGAAAUCAGAUGGGUCAAUAAAAAGACACAAAGCACAAUUAGUGACAAAAGGUUUUACUCAAGAAGUUGGAAUAGACUAUGAGGAAACUUUUUCUCCAGUUGUAAAGUUUACCUCCAUACGAUUACUUUUAGUUAUUGUUGCACAUUUAGAUCUAGAAUUACACCAAAUGAAUCUGAAGAACGCUUUUCUCAAUGGUGAAUUAAAUGAGGAAAUCUACAUGGAACAACCAAUAGGUUUCAUUGUUAAAGGCGAAGAAAAGAAAGUUUGUAAAUUGAAAAGAUCAAUUUAUGUCCUAAAGCAAUCUUCAAGGCAGUGCUACCUGAGAUUUCAUAAGGAGGUGAUGUUAUUUAAUUUCACCAUGAUCGAUGAAGAUCAUUGCAUCUAUGUGAAAAAAAGUGCUAAAUUUUGUAAUUCUUUCUCUUUAUGUAGAUGAUAUUUUAUUAGCUGGAAAUAAUUUAGUGUAUGUGAAAACUAUCAAGUCAUGGCUUUAAAAAUCAUUUGAUAUGAAAGAUAUGGAUGAAGCAGACUAUAUAUUGUGUCUUAAGAUCCAAAGAGAUCAUUCCAAGAAAAUUUUGAGUUUGUCUCAAGAAACUUAUAUAAAGAAAAUAUUGGAACAUUUUCGAAUAAAUAAUUGCAAAUCCAUGGAUACUCAUGUAAAAAGGGGUGAAACAUUAAGCUGUGAAAUGUGUCCAAAGACUGAAAACAAAAGGAAGACAUGUCUCGAGUUUCUUAUUCUAGUGUUAUCGGGAGUGUGAUGUAUGCUAUGAUGUCUACUCGCUCAAAAAUUUGUUAUGUUGUGAGUCUGGUUAGCAAGUAUCAAUCCAAUCCUAGAAGAGAUCAUUGGAAUGUAGUAAAGACAAUAUUUUGGUACCUGAAGGGAAUUGCGUAUCAUACAUUGUGUUAUAGUGCAUUUGAUUUAUUUAUAAGAGGUUAUACAGAUGUUGAUUGGCUUGGUUACCAGAAUGAUGGAAAAUAAACAUUUGGUUAUGCUUUCGUACUAAAUGGUGGUGCUAUUUCAUGGAAAAGUAAGAAGCAAACUUGCACAACUUUUCCAACCAUGGAAUUUGAAUUUGUGGCUUGUGUGUCUGCAGUACAAGAAGUUGUUUGGUUAAUGAGAUUCUCUGAACAUUUGAGUAUUGCAAAGAAUUCUAAGGGUCCCAUGAUUAUAUAUUAUGAUAGUCAAGCGGCUAUCGUAUACAUAAGGAUCCUAAGUAUCACAGCAAGAUCGAACAUAUUCAUAUCCAGUAUAACUUUGUAAGAGACAUAGUGGAAAGUGGAGAAAUAACUUUGCAAUACAUUCCGAAGCAGAUAUGGACGAAGUACAAAAAUGGAUAUUAUCUCUACUCAAACCAGAAGAACAACCUAUUACGAGAGCAUUAAAGAAGGGAUUCAUCUCAAAUGAACUAUUAACCAGAUAUUGUAAACUAAUUGGACACAAAUAUCCAGAUCAUAUAUGUUCAAAAUGCAAUGGAGAAGAUAAUGUAAUCCCCGAUGUCCAGCUGGAAUGAUAAAAUAAAAGAAGAUAGAGACCGGAAAAGAGAUAAGAUAAAAGAGAAGAAGACAAAGAAGGUAAAGACAAAGGACAAAGAGAUAAAAGAAGACAUAAAAACGUGUUUGGCCAACAAAGCCACACAAAGCCAAAAGUAGAUGUAAAUCAUUAUGUAAAAAUCUUAAAGUGUACAGUAGUAGUCAUAUUAUUAUUAUUAGAUACAAGUUAGUAGAGUAAAUUAGUCAACAUAUGCAUGUGCAUUAUUAAAGUAGUAUUGACAAGUGUAAAGCAUGGUAGGUGGUGUGAAUUAUUAAGUAGACAAGUGUAAAAGUAGUGGGUAGAGAUGAUGGUAAAGUAAGUACGUGCAUUAUGGUGCACUAAUUCCUUUCUAUAUAAAAGAAGGUAUAUGUAACAUAAAGGGUAGACUUGAAUAAAGGUACUUUCAUAAACACUCUCUCAAAUAUUUAACUUAAGCUAUUCAUAUUUAAUAGAUAAUGGAACAAACUUCAGAUAUCAUGGAUAAGCAAGAGGCAAAGGUAUAUUGUUCAAAANNNNNNNNNNNNNNNNNNNNNNNNNNNNNNNNNNNNNNNNNNNNNNNNNNNNNNNNNNNNNNNNNNNNNNNNNNNNNNNNNNNNNNNNNNNNNNNNNNNNNNNNNNNNNNNNNNNNNNNNNNNNNNNNNNNNNNNNNNNNNNNNNNNNNNNNNNNNNNNNNNNNNNNNNNNNNNNNNNNNNNNNNNNNNNNNNNNNNNNNNNNNNNNUUGAGCACCUAUAGUGCUAAUGCCACACACUAUAUUUGUUCCCAACUGUUGGUUGAUAGAGGAUAUUCUCCGUAUCAAGAUUUGAUUCUGUUCCACAAUCGCUCAUGUAUAUAAAACCAUGUAAGAUAAUCUAGUUCAUAAUGAUCUAAUAUGAAUUUAAUCAAUUAUGAAUAUGAUAUGAAGGAAUAAUUGAAAUUAAAAACCUGCAUAACGACGAACAUGACUACAUACAUGCAUGAUGAAAUGAUAAAAAAACUAUGAAACUUUAAUCUUAUAUAUACUUAAAGGUAUAGAAAUAAUUGAAUUAAGAAGAAUAUGGGAAAAAUAAUUAAUGAUAACGAAUCAGAAGAUAUAUUAAAUCAACAAUGGUAUGAAAUAGACCUACAUGAUUUAGACUUCGAAAGAAUAGAAUGGUAUGAUUUAGAAAUAAAUUCAGAUUAAAAUGAACUACGAACAUUUACAAUAUUGGAUAGAAUCUAUGAAAGAUAUAAAACUAUUAGAACAAUUAAUGGAGGAAAAUUUAUAUAUGUACCAAAGAACCCAAGAUAUGUUAUAUCUAGAAUACAUCACAAAUAAUAUUAAAGAAAUAUUCAGAUUAAAACAACUAUCAAAAUAAUAUUACAAUAGGUAUUAUUACAUUUUACCAUGAAAAAAGAACGAAUUAGAAGACGAAAUAGAAGAAAAAGGAGAAAAUGACCAAGAUAAUCUAUUAUCUUGAAAAUGUGGUAAAGAUAAGACUAACAAAAGAUAUGAUAAUACCGAAAUAUAUCGAACAACAGCUAGAGAUACAAUAUAUCAUAAAUGGUAUCAGAGCUAUGGAUAAUAAGAAACAUAGUAAGAAACAUACUAGUAGAAAGUUAAGAAAAAUAAGAAGAAAAUUAAAGAAAUUAUAUCCGGAUUAUAAAAAACUCAAUAUCACAAAAACUGAUAACGAUAAAUUAGAUCAAUUAAUAGAUAAUAUAUCUAAAAUAGAAUAUAAAUAUAUUCAAUAUUUAAAAUUAUAAUGAAUAACGAGAAUAACGAGUAUAUACGCAAAAACUUACUGAAAUAAUUAUAGCAAAAAGACAAGAAUUGAGACAUAGGCAAAAUAGACUUAACAGUAAUAUAUUUGCAGGAAUUUGUAAAAAUCUAUAAUAGCACAGAGAAAACUAUUUUAUAUCUACAAAUACAAAUAGAAAGCUUAGAAUAUAAACUACAACACAACUUAUAAAAUGAAUAAAGAAGAAUACGCAAUAGAUGAAAAAACAUAUGAAAACUAUGACAGAUUAAAAAUAAAGAUAAUAUUUUCUAAUCUAGGAAGAAGAUAUAAGAAAAUAGGUGACAAUCUAAGUUUAAUGUUAGAAAAAGAAACGGUAAAACUAGAAGAUAGUUUAACUGCUAUGAUAAGAAUAACAAAAGAAAAUGAGGAAAUAGAUAGAAAAACGGAAAUUGAAAAAAUAAAACAACAAGCAAAAAAGGAAGUACAACAAUUAGAAGAAGUAAAAAUACUAAAAUAAUAGAGCUAGAAAAAGAGCUGGCAAUAUUAAAAGAAAUGUAUGAAAUUAAACAAAAAGAAAAAGAACAAAAAACAAUAUUAGUAAAUGAGAUAAUUAAAUUUAAAGAAAAUUGCAAUUAGAAGAUAAAUUAGAAGAAAAAGAAGAAAAUAGCCAAGAUAAUCUACCCGAAAUAAGAAUUGAUGAAAUAAACGACGAUGAUCUAGAACAACAUUCGUAAAACAAGAGAAACAUAUACGGACUUUUAGCAAACAUAGAUAAUACAAAAAAUUUAGAAAUAAAUACAGGAGAUGCAGACAUUGAUGAAAAACCUAGCACAUCAGGAGUAAAAAACCCAAAAAAUUUUAAUCCAAAAUAUUAUAAUGAAAACUAUGAACAAUAUGAUAAAGGAAAAACUACAUGGGAUAAAAAAAUUAAAUAAAAAAUGGACGCCUAAACCAAUAACUGGACAACAUGAUUUUUUAGAUUUAGACUGUGUAGCAGAUAUAAAUAAAACAAUCCAAUUAUGGAUAGGAUAUAUAUCAAAACAAUUAAUAGAGAACAAAAUAGGUAUGACGGAAACACCAGGAUAUAUAGAAAGAACACUUAGAGGAACAGUAAAAUUAUGGCUACAAAAUUUAACAAGUGAAAGCUUAACAACUUUAAGAAGUAAUAAAAAAUUCGAUGGAGNNNNNNNNNNNNNNNNNNNNNNNNNNNNNNNNNNNNNNNNNNNNNNNNNNNNNNNNNNNNNNNNNNNNNNNNNNNNNNNNNNNNNNNNNNNNNNNNNNNNNNNNNNNNNNNNNNNNNNNNNNNNNNNNNNNNNNNNNNNNNNNNNNNNNNNNNNNNNNNNNNNNNNNNNNNNNNNNNNNNNNNNNNNNNNNNNNNNNNNNNNNNNNNNNNNNNNNNNNNNNNNNNNNNNNNNNNNNNNNNNNNNNNNNNNNNNNNNNNNNNNNNNNNNNNNNNNNNNNNNNNNNNNNNNNNNNNNNNNNNNNNNNNNNNNNNNNNNNNNNNNNNNNNNNNNNNNNNNNNNNNNNNNNNNNNNNNNNNNNNNNNNNNNNNNNNNNNNNNNNNNNNNNNNNNNNNNNNNNNNNNNNNNNNNNNNNNNNNNNNNNNNNNNNNNNNNNNNNNNNNNNNNNNNNNNNNNNNNNNNNNNNNNNNNNNNNNNNNNNNNNNNNNNNNNNNNNNNNNNNNNNNNNNNNNNNNNNNNNNNNNNNNNNNNNNNNNNNNNNNNNNNNNNNNNNNNNNNNNNNNNNNNNNNNNNNNNNNNNNNNNNNNNNNNNNNNNNNNNNNNNNNNNNNNNNNNNNNNNNNNNNNNNNNNNNNNNNNNNNNNNNNNNNNNNNNNNNNNNNNNNNNNNNNNNNNNNNNNNNNNNNNNNNNNNNNNNNNNNNNNNNNNNNNNNNNNNNNNNNNNNNNNNNNNNNNNNNNNNNNNNNNNNNNNNNNNNNNNNNNNNNNNNNNNNNNNNNNNNNNNNNNNNNNNNNNNNNNNNNNNNNNNNNNNNNNNNNNNNNNNNNNNNNNNNNNNNNNNNNNNNNNNNNNNNNNNNNNNNNNNNNNNNNNNNNNNNNNNNNNNNNNNNNNNNNNNNNNNNNNNNNNNNNNNNNNNNNNNNNNNNNNNNNNNNNNNNNNNNNNNNNNNNNNNNNNNNNNNNNNNNNNNNNNNNNNNNNNNNNNNNNNNNNNNNNNNNNNNNNNNNNNNNNNNNNNNNNNNNNNNNNNNNNNNNNNNNNNNNNNNNNNNNNNNNNNNNNNNNNNNNNNNNNNNNNNNNNNNNNNNNNNNNNNNNNNNNNNNNNNNNNNNNNNNNNNNNNNNNNNNNNNNNNNNNNNNNNNNNNNNNNNNNNNNNNNNNNNNNNNNNNNNNNNNNNNNNNNNNNNNNNNNNNNNNNNNNNNNNNNNNNNNNNNNNNNNNNNNNNNNNNNNNNNNNNNNNNNNNNNNNNNNNNNNNNNNNNNNNNNNNNNNNNNNNNNNNNNNNNNNNNNNNNNNNNNNNNNNNNNNNNNNNNNNNNNNNNNNNNNNNNNNNNNNNNNNNNNNNNNNNNNNNNNNNNNNNNNNNNNNNNNNNNNNNNNNNNNNNNNNNNNNNNNNNNNNNNNNNNNNNNNNNNNNNNNNNNNNNNNNNNNNNNNNNNNNNNNNNNNNNNNNNNNNNNNNNNNNNNNNNNNNNNNNNNNNNNNNNNNNNNNNNNNNNNNNNNNNNNNNNNNNNNNNNNNNNNNNNNNNNNNNNNNNNNNNNNNNNNNNNNNNNNNNNNNNNNNNNNNNNNNNNNNNNNNNNNNNNNNNNNNNNNNNNNNNNNNNNNNNNNNNNNNNNNNNNNNNNNNNNNNNNNNNNNNNNNNNNNNNNNNNNNNNNNNNNNNNNNNNNNNNNNNNNNNNNNNNNNNNNNNNNNNNNNNNNNNNNNNNNNNNNNNNNNNNNNNNNNNNNNNNNNNNNNNNNNNNNNNNNNNNNNNNNNNNNNNNNNNNNNNNNNNNNNNNNNNNNNNNNNNNNNNNNNNNNNNNNNNNNNNNNNNNNNNNNNNNNNNNNNNNNNNNNNNNNNNNNNNNNNNNNNNNNNNNNNNNNNNNNNNNNNNNNNNNNNNNNNNNNNNNNNNNNNNNNNNNNNNNNNNNNNNNNNNNNNNNNNNNNNNNNNNNNNNNNNNNNNNNNNNNNNNNNNNNNNNNNNNNNNNNNNNNNNNNNNNNNNNNNNNNNNNNNNNNNNNNNNNNNNNNNNNNNNNNNNNNNNNNNNNNNNNNNNNNNNNNNNNNNNNNNNNNNNNNNNNNNNNNNNNNNNNNNNNNNNNNNNNNNNNNNNNNNNNNNNNNNNNNNNNNNNNNNNNNNNNNNNNNNNNNNNNNNNNNNNNNNNNNNNNNNNNNNNNNNNNNNNNNNNNNNNNNNNNNNNNNNNNNNNNNNNNNNNNNNNNNNNNNNNNNNNNNNNNNNNNNNNNNNNNNNNNNNNNNNNNNNNNNNNNNNNNNNNNNNNNNNNNNNNNNNNNNNNNNNNNNNNNNNNNNNNNNNNNNNNNNNNNNNNNNNNNNNNNNNNNNNNNNNNNNNNNNNNNNNNNNNNNNNNNNNNNNNNNNNNNNNNNNNNNNNNNNNNNNNNNNNNNNNNNNNNNNNNNNNNNNNNNNNNNNNNNNNNNNNNNNNNNNNNNNNNNNNNNNNNNNNNNNNNNNNNNNNNNNNNNNNNNNNNNNNNNNNNNNNNNNNNNNNNNNNNNNNNNNNNNNNNNNNNNNNNNNNNNNNNNNNNNNNNNNNNNNNNNNNNNNNNNNNNNNNNNNNNNNNNNNNNNNNNNNNNNNNNNNNNNNNNNNNNNNNNNNNNNNNNNNNNNNNNNNNNNNNNNNNNNNNNNNNNNNNNNNNNNNNNNNNNNNNNNNNNNNNNNNNNNNNNNNNNNNNNNNNNNNNNNNNNNNNNNNNNNNNNNNNNNNNNNNNNNNNNNNNNNNNNNNNNNNNNNNNNNNNNNNNNNNNNNNNNNNNNNNNNNNNNNNNNNNNNNNNNNNNNNNNNNNNNNNNNNNNNNNNNNNNNNNNNNNNNNNNNNNNNNNNNNNNNNNNNNNNNNNNNNNNNNNNNNNNNNNNNNNNNNNNNNNNNNNNNNNNNNNNNNNNNNNNNNNNNNNNNNNNNNNNNNNNNNNNNNNNNNNNNNNNNNNNNNNNNNNNNNNNNNNNNNNNNNNNNNNNNNNNNNNNNNNNNNNNNNNNNNNNNNNNNNNNNNNNNNNNNNNNNNNNNNNNNNNNNNNNNNNNNNNNNNNNNNNNNNNNNNNNNNNNNNNNNNNNNNNNNNNNNNNNNNNNNNNNNNNNNNNNNNNNNNNNNNNNNNNNNNNNNNNNNNNNNNNNNNNNNNNNNNNNNNNNNNNNNNNNNNNNNNNNNNNNNNNNNNNNNNNNNNNNNNNNNNNNNNNNNNNNNNNNNNNNNNNNNNNNNNNNNNNNNNNNNNNNNNNNNNNNNNNNNNNNNNNNNNNNNNNNNNNNNNNNNNNNNNNNNNNNNNNNNNNNNNNNNNNNNNNNNNNNNNNNNNNNNNNNNNNNNNNNNNNNNNNNNNNNNNNNNNNNNNNNNNNNNNNNNNNNNNNNNNNNNNNNNNNNNNNNNNNNNNNNNNNNNNNNNNNNNNNNNNNNNNNNNNNNNNNNNNNNNNNNNNNNNNNNNNNNNNNNNNNNNNNNNNNNNNNNNNNNNNNNNNNNNNNNNNNNNNNNNNNNNNNNNNNNNNNNNNNNNNNNNNNNNNNNNNNNNNNNNNNNNNNNNNNNNNNNNNNNNNNNNNNNNNNNNNNNNNNNNNNNNNNNNNNNNNNNNNNNNNNNNNNNNNNNNNNNNNNNNNNNNNNNNNNNNNNNNNNNNNNNNNNNNNNNNNNNNNNNNNNNNNNNNNNNNNNNNNNNNNNNNNNNNNNNNNNNNNNNNNNNNNNNNNNNNNNNNNNNNNNNNNNNNNNNNNNNNNNNNNNNNNNNNNNNNNNNNNNNNNNNNNNNNNNNNNNNNNNNNNNNNNNNNNNNNNNNNNNNNNNUUAUUGUAAUAUUCUUUUGAUAGUUGUUUUAAUCUGAAUAUUUCUUUAAUAUUAUUUAUGAUAUAUUCUAGAUAUAACAUAUCUUGGGUUCUUUGGUACAUAUAUAAAUUUUCCUUCAUUAAUUCUUCUAAUACUUUUAUAUCUUCCAUAGAUUCUGUCCAAUAUUGUAAAUAUUCGUAGUUCAUUUUACUCUGAAUUUAUUUCUAAAUCAUACCAUUCUAUUCUUUCGAAGUCUAAAUCAUGUAGGUCUAUUUCAUACCAUUGUUGAUUUAAUAUAUCUUCUGAUUCGUUAUCAUUAAAUAUUUUUUUCUCAUAUUAUUCUUCUUAAUUCAAUUAUUUCUAUACCUUUAAGUAUAUAUAAGAUUAAAGUUUCAUAGUUUUUUAUCAUUUCAUCAUGCAUGUAUGUAGUCAUGUUCUUUAUUAUGCAGGUUUUUAUUUUCAAUUAUUCUUUCCUAUCAUAUUCAUAAUUGAUUAAAUUCAUAUUAGAUCAUUAUGAACUAGAUUAUCUAUUUAUCAUGUUCUCCUGUCAUUACUAGCAUCGUACUUUAGCGGAUACUUCCUUCUUAUCAGCGCCUCAACUUUGUUUACUCCCCUAUACGGCUUUCCUCCCCUACCGGUUUCAACAUUAGGAUGGCAUAGUACAGAAGUUUUCUCCCUGUUUCCAAUGUGCUAAUAAACUAGAAUCAUGAUUCAAAUAAUUUUAAUACAUAAUAAUUAACAUAAAUUUAUUCAAUCAUAUAUAUGAUAUUGAGGAUAUAUGAAAUUAGUUCUGCAUAUUUGUUGAACAAUAUACCUUUGCUUCUUGCUUAUUCAUGCUAUCUGAAAUAUCUUAUUGGAUUUCAGAUUGUUGUUCCGUUAUCUUAUAAGUAUUGAAUAUCUUAAAUAUUUAAGAGUGUUUUUUAUGAAAGCUUUUUUUUUUUUAUUGAAGGCUUCCAGGCCUGCCUUUUUAUGUUACAUAUACGUUCCUUUAUAUAGAAAGGAAAUGACUACUACUUUACAAUAAUACAUUCCUACUUUACAUAAUAAUAAUAAAGACAAUAAUGUGCAUCUAAUUUAAUAAUGUUGCACCUACUUUAAUACUAUAAUAAUAAUAAGGACAAAAAUGUGCACCUACUUUAUGACUUAUUUACAUAUUUUUUUACACUUGUCUUCUUCUUCUUAUCUUCUUUGUCUCCUUUUUAUCUACGACUUUAUGUGUUACACUUGUCUUCUUCUUCUUAUGUGUCUUAUCUUUUUGGUUGUCUUUAUCUUCUUUGUUCCUAUCUUCUUUUUCUUGACUUUAUUCUAGCUGGACAUCGGGAAUUACGUUGUCUUCUCCAUUGCAUUUUGAACAUAUAUGAUCUGGAUAUUUGAGUCCAAUUAGCUUACAAUAUCUGGUUAAUAGUUCAUUUGAGAUGAAUCCCUUCUUUAAUGCUCUGGUAAUAGGUUGUUCUUCUGGUUUGAGUAGAGAUAAUAUCCAUUUUUGUACUUCGUCCAUAUCUGCUUGUCUUAACUCCCUUGAGUUUGAGUAUAUCAUAAGUCGGUCUCGUGAAUAAUAAAUCCAUAUUGCAUUCCCAUUUAGAUAAUUAUUUGCUAGUUCUUGGAUAAUUGUUGACAUACCAAUUAUUCUUUUAUUAGCAUAGAAACUUGGUAUCUCAAUUUCUUGUAUCUCUGGUUGUUGUCCGAUAUCUUCUGGAAUUAUCAUAUCUCUGGUUAAUCCUAUUUUUAUUUCAUCAAUUAUUGGUUUUAUUUCAUCGUAUAGUAUCUCUGCCAGGGCCGCAUAAAACUUUACAUAAAAUAGAUUGCCUUUUGGUACUCUUUUAUAGGUUAUGAAUGCUCUGUGUAUCUCUGGUAUACCACUUAGUUCUUCUCCAUCGUAUGUAUAAACUGUACUAAAUAAUCCAUAGUUGUAGCAGGUUUUGACUAAAUUUGCUUUAGUUUUUGGUUGAGCUAUCAACUUAUUAUACCCUUGUAAUUUUUGGGUUAUAUAAUCUUGGGUUGGUUCUUUAGUGGUGUUAGAUCUGGGAUUAAGAUUUAAAUACGCUUGGAUUUUGUGUAUAUUCCUAAAUAGGUUUGUGUGAUAUGGUUAUAAAUUUUUUUGUCUUUGUUUAGGCUCUCUGCAUACGUUGAGGUUUGUGGUGAUAUAAUCAAUGGGUCUUUUGGUAUUUUUGGUGUAAAUGGUUUUUCAAACAUUUUGUUUAGAUUAGUGCUUGUAUAUUGUUUCCUAACUGUUUUGCUUGUACCUGCAGCUGCAUUGAANNNNNNNNNNNNNNNNNNNNNNNNNNNNNNNNNNNNNNNNNNNNNNNNNNNNNNNNNNNNNNNNNNNNNNNNNNNNNNNNNNNNNNNNNNNNNNNNNNNNNNNNNNNNNNNNNNNNNNACUUGUACUAGCUUUAGACUUCAGAUUAUCUUCAUUAGUCUUUAGCUUGUGUAUCUCAUUGUCCAUACUAUCCACUUUGGUACAAAGUGUAGCAAUGUCUUUGAGUAUCUCUUCAAUUGUAUUUUCUUUCUCAGUCUGAGUAGCUUUGUCUUGAUAAGUAAUCUGCAAUAACAUUCUUGUCAGUUUUUAUCACUUCGAUAGUAAAUGUAAAAUUUAAUAUAUUUAGUACCAAUCUUCUCAUUUCUUUUGUAGUUACCGAAUCUUGUAUUAUUCUUGUUAGCCACCAUUUUACUUGUGUAUUAUCGGUCCUUAUAAUAAUUUGUUAUAUACAAUAUAUGGUUCAAAUGAUAGUAAACAUUUAUAUACUGAAUAUAAUUCUUUCCUAUUUAUUUCCCAUCUUAUUUCUGUAUUAGUAAAUGUUCCUGAAUAAUAUCUACAAUGAUGUUCUAUUUUUUCUUUAUCAUACCUAUAUUUUAAGACUCCUCCAUAAUUUUUUUCACUGGCGUCUGAUUCUACUAUUGAAGUAAUUUUUUUGUUUUUGUCAAGAAAAUAUAGUUUAGGUAGGUUCUUACAUAAUAGUUUUAUUUUUUGUAUUUGUGUUUGGUCUUUUUUAUCAAACUGGUAUUCUACAUCUUUCUUUAAUUUUUGUUGUAAUAGUUUUAAAUUCUCUACUAAUUUUGGUAUAUAUUCUCUUACUUGAUUUACUAGUCCUAGAAAUGAUUGUAAUUUCUUUUUUGUAUCUAGUUGUUCAUUUGAGUUAAUUAUUUUUUGUACUAUGUGUGUUUGCAUUUUUAUCUAUUUGUAUUCCUAAGAAUUCUAUUUGCUUUUUCAUUAUGUCUGCUCUAUUUUUACUUAGGCUUAUGCCUGAAUAUUCUAUAAUAUGUAUAAAUUUUUCUAAUAAUCUUAUAUGUUCAUCUUGUGUUUUGGAAUAUAGUAAUAUAUCAUCAAUAUACACUAUACAAUUUUCUAAUUGUUUAAAAUAGUUAUCCAUAAAGUGUUGAUAUCUACCUGGUGCAUUUUUAUAUCCAAAUGGUAAUACAUUCCAUUCAUAAAAUCCUUGUGGUACUGUAAAUGCUGUAAGUUUUUUAGAUUCUUCUUCUAACUUUAAGUGGUAAAAUCCUGAUUUGCAGUCAAAUUUACUAAAGUAAUUAUAUCCUUGUAUUUGUCUUAUCUUUAGUAUUUUAUUUGGUAUCGGAUAAUUAUAUGUUUUAGUUUUUGCAUUUAAAUUUCUAUAAUCAAUAACCAUUAUACCUUUUCCUCUUUUUUGUUCACUAUGUUUAUUUACGAUAAAUGNNNNNNNNNNNNNNNNNNNNNNNNNNNNNNNNNNNNNNNNNNNNNNNNNNNNNNNNNNNNNNNNNNNNNNNNNNNNNNNNNNNNNNNNNNNNNNNNNNNNNNNNNNNNNNNNNNNNNNNNNNNNNNNNNNNNNNNNNNNNNNNNNNNNNNNNNNNNNNNNNNNNNNNNNNNNNNNNNNNNNNNNNNNNNNNNNNNNNNNNNNNNNNNNNNNNNNNNNNNNNNNNNNNNNNNNNNNNNNNNNNNNNNNNNNNNNNNNNNNNNNNNNNNNNNNNNNNNNNNNNNNNNNNNNNNNNNNNNNNNNNNNNNNNNNNNNNNNNNNNNNNNNNNNNNNNNNNNNNNNNNNNNNNNNNNNNNNNNNNNNNNNNNNNNNNNNNNNNNNNNNNNNNNNNNNNNNNNNNNNNNNNNNNNNNNNNNNNNNNNNNNNNNNNNNNNNNNNNNNNNNNNNNNNNNNNNNNNNNNNNNNNNNNNNNNNNNNNNNNNNNNNNNNNNNNNNNNNNNNNNNNNNNNNNNNNNNNNNNNNNNNNNNNNNNNNNNNNNNNNNNNNNNNNNNNNNNNNNNNNNNNNNNNNNNNNNNNNNNNNNNNNNNNNNNNNNNNNNNNNNNNNNNNNNNNNNNNNNNNNNNNNNNNNNNNNNNNNNNNNNNNNNNNNNNNNNNNNNNNNNNNNNNNNNNNNNNNNNNNNNNNNNNNNNNNNNNNNNNNNNNNNNNNNNNNNNNNNNNNNNNNNNNNNNNNNNNNNNNNNNNNNNNNNNNNNNNNNNNNNNNNNNNNNNNNNNNNNNNNNNNNNNNNNNNNNNNNNNNNNNNNNNNNNNNNNNNNNNNNNNNNNNNNNNNNNNNNNNNNNNNNNNNNNNNNNNNNNNNNNNNNNNNNNNNNNNNNNNNNNNNNNNNNNNNNNNNNNNNNNNNNNNNNNNNNNNNNNNNNNNNNNNNNNNNNNNNNNNNNNNNNNNNNNNNNNNNNNNNNNNNNNNNNNNNNNNNNNNNNNNNNNNNNNNNNNNNNNNNNNNNNNNNNNNNNNNNNNNNNNNNNNNNNNNNNNNNNNNNNNNNNNNNNNNNNNNNNNNNNNNNNNNNNNNNNNNNNNNNNNNNNNNNNNNNNNNNNNNNNNNNNNNNNNNNNNNNNNNNNNNNNNNNNNNNNNNNNNNNNNNNNNNNNNNNNNNNNNNNNNNNNNNNNNNNNNNNNNNNNNNNNNNNNNNNNNNNNNNNNNNNNNNNNNNNNNNNNNNNNNNNNNNNNNNNNNNNNNNNNNNNNNNNNNNNNNNNNNNNNNNNNNNNNNNNNNNNNNNNNNNNNNNNNNNNNNNNNNNNNNNNNNNNNNNNNNNNNNNNNNNNNNNNNNNNNNNNNNNNNNNNNNNNNNNNNNNNNNNNNNNNNNNNNNNNNNNNNNNNNNNNNNNNNNNNNNNNNNNNNNNNNNNNNNNNNNNNNNNNNNNNNNNNNNNNNNNNNNNNNNNNNNNNNNNNNNNNNNNNNNNNNNNNNNNNNNNNNNNNNNNNNNNNNNNNNNNNNNNNNNNNNNNNNNNNNNNNNNNNNNNNNNNNNNNNNNNNNNNNNNNNNNNNNNNNNNNNNNNNNNNNNNNNNNNNNNNNNNNNNNNNNNNNNNNNNNNNNNNNNNNNNNNNNNNNNNNNNNNNNNNNNNNNNNNNNNNNNNNNNNNNNNNNNNNNNNNNNNNNNNNNNNNNNNNNNNNNNNNNNNNNNNNNNNNNNNNNNNNNNNNNNNNNNNNNNNNNNNNNNNNNNNNNNNNNNNNNNNNNNNNNNNNNNNNNNNNNNNNNNNNNNNNNNNNNNNNNNNNNNNNNNNNNNNNNNNNNNNNNNNNNNNNNNNNNNNNNNNNNNNNNNNNNNNNNNNNNNNNNNNNNNNNNNNNNNNNNNNNNNNNNNNNNNNNNNNNNNNNNNNNNNNNNNNNNNNNNNNNNNNNNNNNNNNNNNNNNNNNNNNNNNNNNNNNNNNNNNNNNNNNNNNNNNNNNNNNNNNNNNNNNNNNNNNNNNNNNNNNNNNNNNNNNNNNNNNNNNNNNNNNNNNNNNNNNNNNNNNNNNNNNNNNNNNNNNNNNNNNNNNNNNNNNNNNNNNNNNNNNNNNNNNNNNNNNNNNNNNNNNNNNNNNNNNNNNNNNNNNNNNNNNNNNNNNNNNNNNNNNNNNNNNNNNNNNNNNNNNNNNNNNNNNNNNNNNNNNNNNNNNNNNNNNNNNNNNNNNNNNNNNNNNNNNNNNNNNNNNNNNNNNNNNNNNNNNNNNNNNNNNNNNNNNNNNNNNNNNNNNNNNNNNNNNNNNNNNNNNNNNNNNNNNNNNNNNNNNNNNNNNNNNNNNNNNNNNNNNNNNNNNNNNNNNNNNNNNNNNNNNNNNNNNNNNNNNNNNNNNNNNNNNNNNNNNNNNNNNNNNNNNNNNNNNNNNNNNNNNNNNNNNNNNNNNNNNNNNNNNNNNNNNNNNNNNNNNNNNNNNNNNNNNNNNNNNNNNNNNNNNNNNNNNNNNNNNNNNNNNNNNNNNNNNNNNNNNNNNNNNNNNNNNNNNNNNNNNNNNNNNNNNNNNNNNNNNNNNNNNNNNNNNNNNNNNNNNNNNNNNNNNNNNNNNNNNNNNNNNNNNNNNNNNNNNNNNNNNNNNNNNNNNNNNNNNNNNNNNNNNNNNNNNNNNNNNNNNNNNNNNNNNNNNNNNNNNNNNNNNNNNNNNNNNNNNNNNNNNNNNNNNNNNNNNNNNNNNNNNNNNNNNNNNNNNNNNNNNNNNNNNNNNNNNNNNNNNNNNNNNNNNNNNNNNNNNNNNNNNNNNNNNNNNNNNNNNNNNNNNNNNNNNNNNNNNNNNNNNNNNNNNNNNNNNNNNNNNNNNNNNNNNNNNNNNNNNNNNNNNNNNNNNNNNNNNNNNNNNNNNNNNNNNNNNNNNNNNNNNNNNNNNNNNNNNNNNNNNNNNNNNNNNNNNNNNNNNNNNNNNNNNNNNNNNNNNNNNNNNNNNNNNNNNNNNNNNNNNNNNNNNNNNNNNNNNNNNNNNNNNNNNNNNNNNNNNNNNNNNNNNNNNNNNNNNNNNNNNNNNNNNNNNNNNNNNNNNNNNNNNNNNNNNNNNNNNNNNNNNNNNNNNNNNNNNNNNNNNNNNNNNNNNNNNNNNNNNNNNNNNNNNNNNNNNNNNNNNNNNNNNNNNNNNNNNNNNNNNNNNNNNNNNNNNNNNNNNNNNNNNNNNNNNNNNNNNNNNNNNNNNNNNNNNNNNNNNNNNNNNNNNNNNNNNNNNNNNNNNNNNNNNNNNNNNNNNNNNNNNNNNNNNNNNNNNNNNNNNNNNNNNNNNNNNNNNNNNNNNNNNNNNNNNNNNNNNNNNNNNNNNNNNNNNNNNNNNNNNNNNNNNNNNNNNNNNNNNNNNNNNNNNNNNNNNNNNNNNNNNNNNNNNNNNNNNNNNNNNNNNNNNNNNNNNNNNNNNNNNNNNNNNNNNNNNNNNNNNNNNNNNNNNNNNNNNNNNNNNNNNNNNNNNNNNNNNNNNNNNNNNNNNNNNNNNNNNNNNNNNNNNNNNNNNNNNNNNNNNNNNNNNNNNNNNNNNNNNNNNNNNNNNNNNNNNNNNNNNNNNNNNNNNNNNNNNNNNNNNNNNNNNNNNNNNNNNNNNNNNNNNNNNNNNNNNNNNNNNNNNNNNNNNNNNNNNNNNNNNNNNNNNNNNNNNNNNNNNNNNNNNNNNNNNNNNNNNNNNNNNNNNNNNNNNNNNNNNNNNNNNNNNNNNNNNNNNNNNNNNNNNNNNNNNNNNNNNNNNNNNNNNNNNNNNNNNNNNNNNNNNNNNNNNNNNNNNNNNNNNNNNNNNNNNNNNNNNNNNNNGUUAAGUCUAUUUUGCCUAUGUCUCAAUUCUUGUCUUUUUGCUAUAAUUAUUUCAGUAAGUUUUUGUCUGUACUCGUUAUUCUCGUUAUUCAUUGUAAUUUUAAAUAUUGAAUAUAUUUAUAUUCUAUUUUAGAUAUAUUAUCUAUUAAUUGAUCUAAUUUGUCGUUAUCAGUUUUUGUGAUAUUGAGUUGUUUAUAUUUUGGAUAUAAUUUGUUUAAUUUUCUUCUUAUUUUUCUUAACUUUCUACUAGUAUAUUUCUUCCUAUGUUUCUUAUUAUCCAUAGCUCUGAUACCAUUUUUCGGGGGUGCGGAAUUGGUAGGUGAGGUAUUCAUAUUUUUGGUAAGAAACAAAGUGUGUCGAACAUGUCGCGUGAUUUUCUCUCUCACACGAGCAAUCACCUCUUACAUCGAGGAAUAUGAAGAGAUGAGUUUCGGCACCAUAUUAUGACUUGUUUUAUGAGAAAGACAAGUGUUUCUUUAAGAAAAUGAUUUUAAGGAUCACUGAAGAGAGAAACUAGGGUUAAACAUCUGGAGGUGUUUAAACCAAGGUCUAUAGGAUGAUGGAUAAUCGAAAGGAUGAGAGACACACCAAUAUAAGGUGAAAAUAUCAUAGCACGUGUGUCAAGUGAUCAAUGGAUCAAUGAAAUAAUGGUUCCCUGAUUCUUCAUUGUGUGAUACCCCGAAAAAUUAAAAUAACUUUUCAAUGAAAUACCCUUUGACCUUUUGUUAUUUCUUGAAGUUUCAAUCGAUGUAGCUACUUUAGUAGGUUACUAAUAGCCAUGAAUGAUUCAAGGAGGUAGUGCAUGUCUAGGAAAGUAGUUGAAUUGGAACAGAUAGAUUCGAGUAGAAAGGAAAGACGGCUAGUUGAAUGAUAAACUUGUAUACAGAAACCGACUAUUGCACUAACCAUAUUGGUAUUGAGUGUAAAUAUGUGUAUAAAGUUAAACAUGAACUUGAUUUAACCUCUAUAAGAUGAUGAGGAAUCGAAUAAAUAACUAUUGACGUAGUGAAUGAAGUCUGGGUAUUGUGAGUAAUAGUAAUCUUAUAUAAGUGGUAAAUUCCUUCCAUAUGUGAUUGGAUUCCUAUGUAGGGCUUGUAAAACCUUAAAGGUAAGCUCUUAAUAAUCACAAGUCGCACGAAAUAUUUGUCGUAUGAAUUGUGUGUUUAGUUGAUGUUGUGUUGGCUUGGGUCUUAUCCACCAUGUGCGAAGUGAGAGAUGUAAGUUUUUGGGUCGCAGGUCGCCUAUGUGAACCGACUUGAUUCGAUUUGACCCGACCCAAUGUUGUUUUCUGAAAGAAAAGAUAAACUACAAAUUUAAAAAGGAAGGAACAGUUACAAAGUAUCUACUCCAACGUAAAGAAACUCCUUUUUAAAAAUUGUUUUAUCUAACGCUUCUCUGAAAUUCAUAGAAUAUAUAUGAGUAAUUCAAAGGAGAAAUAGAAAUAUUUGAUAGGAUUCGAUUCAUUUUAGUAAUGAACAAAACUAAUAGGAUUGAUUAUGUAUCAGAACUGAAUCACUACAAGAGUAAGAAAAGAAGAAAAAAAGGGAACAGAGAACAAAAGACUGAAAAAUAAGAAAAACUUUCUUUCUUCAUAAGAAAAUAAACAAACAAAAUUGACAUUUAGUUUGUGAAAUUUAGCCUCUGUUCCCUAGUGAUUCGAAGAGUGACUGUGGAGCAAUUCGUUUUGGUAGAGAAAUCAAAGACAUAGGUUGCAAGUAUAAGGUACACAAUUCAUCGAUUUUGCUAUGAAUACUUACAUAAAACUUUUUCAUAUGCUCCCAAAUUCUUUCAAUUAAUAAUUAAUCAUCAUGUCAUUUGUUGCCUCUUAAAUUGGUGGAUAUCCAAAUUUAUUUGUGCAAUUUACCAAAUAGUAUUGGUCGAUAUUUGUUCAUUUUUUCUCUAUCAAGUUUUUCAAGAACAACUAUCCUAGUGCAGUACUGCUUCAAUUCAAAAUAUUUAUGUUCUUAUUGUGGGGGUUAAAAUUUAUUUUUUUUAUGCUCCCAAUAAUUUCAAGUUAUAGCAGGUGAGUCGAGCCAAACCUCAUAGGUCUUAAAUUGUUUGGCAUUGUCUUCAUCCUCGAUAAUUUUUAACCAAUCAAUACUGACAUAGAAUUUAUAAUCAUUCGCAAACCUUUGAUUUGCCAAGUUCAAAUCUCGUGUGCUUGAUUAACCAUAAUUUUCUUAUCAAUUUUCUUAAUAUCGAGCUUGUCAUCAAAUUUUUAUUAUUAUUUGUUUGUUUUCUUAAAAGGUAUCCUUUACAGGACUAGAUCCAUUGGUUUCUAAAUGCUCUACUCUUGACCUUCUGUAUACUUACUUUGCGCUUAUCAAGUGUUCUAGUUUUCCUUUCAAGAAUUGACUUGAGUUGAGUAUCAAAGGGACAAACAAAUUCAAGGACGAUAUGGUUGAUCAAACAACUGUGAUUGAACUGGUUGAAGGUGAGUUGGAUUGUGAAGAAGUCGACUCAUAGCAGGAUAAAUUGCUAAGCUUGAGAAGAAAAUGGAAAAAAUGGAACAAGAAUUGACAGCAUCAAGAAAAUGAUAGCCGAACUUAAGAACUCUUCCAAUGAAGACUCAUUAGAUUUCAACCUUAGGGACUCAUACGAUGAAGAUUUAGAGGGAUAAUUUUAAUACCUUGAAAGUGUUUAGCGUAGUUGAAGUUGGAGAGUUGCAGAAAACUGUUGGUGUCUCCUGAUUUUUUAUGUUUACGGAGGGAAUGUAAAGGCCAUAGUUGGUUGCAUGAUUGAUGGAAGGGAGUCGUGGUUAACACUUAGGAUUUCAGAAUGUUGGUUCAGUGUUUACGAGUUAGUUUUACAAUCUGUGGAUUGAUGUACGAGUCAUGGUUAGGCUCGUGGUCAGAAGUCCUGAAAGUUGGAAAAUAUCAAGCCUCAUAUACCACUUUGUACGAUCCAAAAGUACAGCUCGUGAAAGGAACCAUAAGUCAUUGGGUCUCAUGGUUGCAUUCAUCACAAAGUUGUAUUUUUAUUACUUGACUUCUACGAAGAGUCUUUACAUAUAGUAAAUUGAUUGAUGGGCCCAACAUGGUGAUUCAUGGUUUAAAGCCUGAGACUCAGACCUUAUCUAUGUUAUGAAUGAUAAUCUUGUGGUUACGCUAUGCUUGGUGUGUUGCCUGCAGACCUAAUUGAAGAAGUUAGCAUAUUGAAAUAUGUUGAUAUAGUGAGUAUAUAAGUGUUAUUUGGAUGAUAAGUGGCUUGUGUUUCAUAUGAACUUAUGAAUGAGCGAUUUGUAUGAUAUUCGGUACCAUGCCGGUACAGUUCAUGGACACCUAGGGGGUCCCCUGCCGGUCAUGACUCGAUAGGCAAGAUUAAGACCCUUUAGCAUGUGUGUACAAGUGAGAGUUAGACUUAUGAUUUAAUUUAGAGAGGUGUGUUAAUGAUUCCUAACAGGUGCAGUGAUUAUGCAACUACAAGGACAAGAUGGAUAUAAUUUCCAUUUGACUUAUUUUGUUUUUACAAGUAUGCUGAAUUGAUUUGUUGCAUUUUGACAAGUGUAUUGAAUAGACUUGACGUAUUUUGACAAGUGUGUUGAAUUGAUUUGAUGCAUUUGAAAAGCAUGUGAUGAUUUAUACUAAUGACUUGUAUUGUUUUAUGGACAUUAUUCAGUGACAUAAUUCUACAUGCUAGUUAAGGUCUAGUGAUGUUAAAAGAGUAGUGUACGCUUCUUGCAAAUCAAUUCCUCUUAUGCAAAGUGUGAAUGAACUACCUUAUAUUUGAAAAGUCUGUAGGUUAGCUACAACAACUAUGAGGGAGGUUUAAUAAUGAGUAGAAAGUGCUUUUGAUGUUUAAUUUAUUGUAUAACCACUAAUAAUGCUAAGAGGUAGGGAUGACAAUGGCGCGGUGCGGGUGGGGCGGUGCAGGUUUAUACACAUGUGAGGCGGGGCGGGGCGAAUUUAGAUAUAUGCAAUGUAGAGUGGGGCGGGGCGGGUUGAAAUUUAAAAUUUUUAAUUUUAUACGGGCGGGUGCUGUGCGGGAUAGGAAUGUCUAAUUUCUUUUUCUUCGUUCUUUUCCUCCACAGUUCUGUCUCUUUUGCUUUUAAGUAAAACACUGAAACUUUUUUUAUGGAAUUUCUUUUUAUUGUUGCAAAAAGAUAUUUAUUUAUAUAUUUCACAUAGUGUCACGACUCAGGGGUAUCCCUAGAUGUAACAUGCGUAUAGGACCCCGAGAGAGCCCAUACAAGCCACUUAGCAUUCAUAACAUAAGGAAUAGAACCAAAGAAGUAAAUACAACAUUUCAAGUCCAAAUUUUAUAAAAGUAAAGCGGAAGUCUAAAACACUUGUCUCAUUAACCAUCUAGUACAAUAGAAUGAAAUUGGGCCUAGCCCAUACAUCAUGUACAAAACUGGAAAUACGAAAGAAAACUGAAACAAUAGAAUCAGUCCUUGAAGCAUGAGGACUCACCAAAGCUCGGGAACCUUGCAAUCAACCACUAGCCCGAAACUGAGAGAACCUGACUUUCGGACCCUACAUUUGGGAAAAUUUAGACAAGAGUAUGUGUUAGUACAAAACAAUGUACCAAGUAUGAUAGCUAUGCAUAAAAUAUUUAAAUCAUGCUAAAAGAGGACAUUUCAUGACAUGCAAUUGACCAUGCUAAAACAUGAUAUAAAAAGGGUUAGAAAUUAUAAGUCAUAAAACAUGAUCAAUGCAAGCUAACAUCAUUUAAAACCUUUGAACACAUAUGAGAUACAUCAAUUCAGCCAUAAGAGAUCAUAAUUCAAUCAUUUAAAUCAAUAAUCAAGAGAAUCCAUGACAAUUGAAGAAAAUCCUAACUCAAUUGGGGAUUUCUAACUUUGAAAAUAGGAGGAUUUGGAAACUCCAUGAACGGAAGGAAUCCAUGGAUGAAAACCAUCAUACCUCAAAUCCAAUUGCUUAUCUUCAAUGGAGGAAUUGAGACUUGACUUGAAACCCUAUGUUGAAUCUUCUUCAUCAAGCUUUCUAGAGAGAGAAAUAUUUGAGAGUUCUUCUUUUUGGUGAAUUUGAAGAGAAUGAAGUGAAUGAACUAAUUUGGGGGUUGGAAUCACGUACAUAGGGGUCUUAGUGAAGGAUAAAAUGACGUAGUAUAGGGAUAAAAUAAUUAGGAAAAUACCCAACUACCCCUAAAACUUAACUGCCUGGCACGACCUACGAACCCCUGCUGACGGACCGUGGACAGACUGAAGGUCCAUCCUGCAUGGCCGUCGUCCAUGGUCAAAAAGCUGGAUUCUGGGGUCUGGACCACGAGCCCCCAACCAUGGACUGUGGACCAACCGACGGUAUGUGGGUUCGGCCGUGGUUCUGGACCUCUGAGUCAAAGUUGGGAGUGACCAACCACGGGCCGUGCUUGACAACCUUCAGUUGGCACCUGCAACUUCUAAAAAUUGCUAUCUUAUCCUCUUUUGGAUCCGGGGUGUUACACAUAGUCCUUGCAUCUGUAAAGGGAACAUAUCCAUCUUAUGGAAUUUUAUUUACUCAUCUUUUGAAAUAAAAAUGUAUGGAUUUGGAAAAUGCAUAAUAUGGAGUACUAUAUAUUACAAUAAUUAACAACUUAAAAAAAUUAUAAAGAAAUUUCGAUCAAACCCAAAAAUAAUAUAUUAUUGACUCUCAAAAUUUCAACUGUAUCACAUAAACGAAACGAAUAGUGUUAAUGAUCUGAGAAAAUUACAUUAUUUAAUAUUGUUAUGGGUACAGUGUGUUUUAUUUCAAAAUCUAUUUUUUUUAGUAGGAUUGAACUUAUUAAAAAUUUAAAAUUAGAUUAUAACUUUGGUGAAAAUAAUAAAAAGAAACUUAAGCAGCGCGGGGCAGAGCGGGUGGAAGCUGAGUAGAUGUGGGAAGGGUGGAUGAGGGUGAAAGUGCUUAAGUGGAGCGGGGCGGGUGGAGAUAAAACCCGCCCCGUCCCUGCUCCACCCUGCCCCAUUUCCAUCCCUACUAAGAGGUUGAGUGGAGGGAAUGGAUGAUAAUAAUAAGGCUAAACUUAAUCUUGCAAUAAUGUCUGGUUAGUUUGCAUGCGUAUGAGAUGAAUAUUAGGAAUAAGGUUAGAGAGUAUAUUAAGGAAAUUAAAUAACUAAUUUAUAAUUUUAUGUGAAUGAAUAAGGUGGGGGAGGAAUAGGGAAUAUAGAGAAGUAUUAAUUGUCAUAUAAUGUUAUGACUUAAUUGUGGAGUUGUUCCUGUUGAUUUUUGUGAUGUUCUAUUUGAACAGUCCAGGUUGGUCUAUGAUGUCUACUCAGUACGUGUGGUGAACUGAUACUACUCUUGUUAUAUCUUUUAUUGGUAUAGAUUUGUUUCAGGUUGUGUUGAAGAGUGGGAUAAUAGACGUAGGGGGUGGCGGGGGAAGGGGUAGGGAUAGGGGUGGUGGGGUAGAGGUAGGCGUAGUCGGUGGCGUAAAAAUGAAAAAAAAUUAAAUUUGAAAUAUUUUUCGAAAACAUUUUUUAAAAUUUUUUUUUGAAAGGAAUGGCUUUGGUGAGGUGGGGGUGGCAUAUUUUCCAGAAACUAUUUUAAAAAAAAUUGACUGGGAUGGCCUUGGUGGGGGGUGGGUACGGGUGGGGGUGGCAUAAAAAAAGAAAUUUUUUAAAAUUUGAAAUAUUUUUCAAAAUCAGUGUUUUUCUUAAAAAAAAAAAAAAAGAAUUUGACCGGGGUGACCUAGGUUACAAAAGUGGGUGUGACGUAAAAAAUGAAAAAAAUUAAAUUUGAGAUAUUUCUCAAAAACAAUUUUUUUUUUGGGGGGGGGGGGGUGUGUGGUUUGGUGGUAGGGAUAAAAAUAUAUUUGAAAUUUAAAUAAUAAGAAAAUUAAAAAAAUUAAUUUUAUUUUUGAAUAGAGAGGGUCGGGAACGGGUAGGCUAAGAAAAUAAAUAAAUAAUGAAGUAGAGUUUUGGAAAAUGUUUUACUAAAUUUUGGAAGAGAAGUCAUUUUCCUUAAAUUUGAGAAAAAUGAGUUGAUUUGGAAAAUAUUUUCCAAACAUUUAUGUCAACUAAACAUGAGAAAAUUGGAAAAUAUUUUCUCCAUACCAAACACACCCGACGAGAGUACUAUCUUUUUGUACAAAAGCAAGUCAGCAUAAAUGAGCAGAAACGUACACAAAUAGACAAUAUCCAGCUUCAACCAAAAUUUGAGAAUGUUAUUAUUGCUUGUACAGGUAUCACAAUAGACUACUAUUUUGACAAGCAACACAUGCAAUUGCCAUAACAAAAGUUACAGGAUUUUAACACUUGCUUGUUUGAUUAUUGGCAGAAGCGUGGUUAUGCAUCAUGAUUUACAAUUCUCCAGAAGAUUUAUGUCAAAAUUAUUCUGUUGGAUGUUCCUAAUUAGUAGUAACAACUAUACAGUACCUGCAAAACAAAAUAUAAAAAGGAAUCAAAAUCAACAAAAUCAGUGCAUCAGUGAUGCAGAAAUCUCGGGUAUGCGUUUCAGCUCAAACAAAAUGUCACUUAAAAGAUCAAAAUAAACAGACCCAACAAAGACUUCCAUAUUUGAUUUUCCAAAGUCCCACUAGUAGCCCAUAAAAUCCCGUCCUACCAUGAUCUUACAGAAGGUAACACAGGCAAAAGUCUAAAAGAUCUAACCCUUCAAAGGAUCAUCUGAUAUAUACACGCAAUUAAUGCAUAAUAAUACUAAUACGUAAUAUUCGCUUUGAUUUUAUUAUUCUAUCCUUUAUACCUUUAGGCAAUAAAAAAACAGUAAGAUACUAUUUUUCUUUAAAAUCCACCAAUCACUGAAUAAAUAUGUAUCACCUUCAAGGAUAUCGUUGGAAAGAAGUCAAAAGUUUGCAACUUACCUACAUAAGUUUCACGUGUUACUUGUCUGAGUCAUUACAGCUGCUGCAGUAUGCAGAAACUGAUGUCUCAAACCUAAUACAGGCCUAGAAGUGAAGUGCAAUUCAAUCGUCCUAACCAAGCCCAAACUUGGUAUUAUAUAAUUAUGACCAGAAAAAAUGAAAAGAUAAUUUAAAUGUCCCCAGAUGCCAAUUCUGUUUUGGAUCCAACAUUAACAAUGUCUGGCCAGUAUGCUCGAUUGAAUUGUCAAGAGGAAUUUUUUAAUUUUGACCUGACUGAUCCAUGCAAUCCGUGAACAAAAACGCCAAAGAAAGAGACUGAGAGAGUAAAGACAUUGCGAAUACAUCAGAGAUAACUCAAGAAAACUGUUGUAAUAUGGAAUAAUCCAAAUUUUGGAAGGAUGUGACGAGACUGACAACUAUCACCUCACUCCCCCAACCAGUCCUCAACCUAGGCAGAAUGCUCCUUCCGAGACUCUUAAGGAGUAAACCCCAGUAGAGACAGCUAUUCAGUCGCGGAUAAUUUAGCUUCCUUAGAUCCAAUGUGAUGACAUCAUUUAACCAACUGAUCAGAAAAGGUGCUCAUGAUGGUUUGCAAGAAGGAACCGAGUAAAAGGAGCAAUGCUAGUUUUUUCUGUAGGAGGAAAAAGAAUGGCAAAGACACUAACAAGGAUACUGAACUGUGCUUGCCUAUGAGAAACCACUGCGAAGAAGCAAACCUGUUGAACUCUACCCUGCCAAACAACAAAGUUACAUGCACAAACUCCCGUAGCCACUCAAGGAAAAGAACUGUAUUCAAGUUUCUCAUUUGUUUUUCAGAUUAGGUAUCCUUCUGGUGAAAUAGAUUAACUUGGUUAAUCUGGGAAGCUUGCACGCCUAGGAAUCUAGCUCAGCAAACUUUUAGAGAUUUAACUUUUCGACAACUAUGGAGAGAAAUCAAAUCUCCUGUUUGGGGAUAAAAAUCUCAUGCCAUACCCAUCACAAACUACCCUCGAAAGGAAAAUCUUACAGAAUCUUAUUGACUUGCACAACCUGGCUGGUUUAUUCUUUCUGUUUUUGCUAAAUAAAUAUGGGAAUGGGACACUUCAACCCAUAAUUUAUUUUGGCAUUACAGACGAAAUUCCUGCUAAGAAUGCAUAUGCAACUAAGAAAUCCUAGACUCCUAGUAACAGGAAAUUGUGUCCUAAAAAACUGUUACGACAACCCUCAAGCUGGUGUAACCUCCUCCGCAGUUUAUUUUAGCCAAAUUUCUAGGAUUCCAGUCAAUGAAUCUGUAACGAGACAUUGCCUACAAUUCUAGGAAAUAUUUGUUUUUGUAUCAACAACGACGACGGAAUAAGGAAAAUAUUAUUCGAACAUGUUAAUACUUAUAUAACAUGGUUCGGAAGUGCAUGAAGAGUGUAAAAUUUUGUAUGUUUAAAGUGGAUGAUGAAAUCUAUAAAACAAAAGAGGAAAAGGAAUGAAAUAGAAGCAGCUGCCGCUAUUGCAGCUGCUGUGAAUAUAUAUAGCAGCUAAAGAGCAAGUAUUAAAAUCCUAUGCUAUGAUAUUCCAUGGCACAAAAAAUGGGAAUUUAAACUUUUCCCACUAUGUGGGUCCAGGACAAAGGGAGUAACUAUUGGCAUUAAAAGAAAAGUCUUUUCAUCCUUGCAAUGAGCAACCAAACCCGCAACUCUCAUGUCUAGCAGUAGUCCUUGGUUGUUGUCCAAGAAUUCAUUUCAAUGCCACCAAGGUAAGUUUGGUCCUAUAUUUUGUGUUGGUUGGAGUUAACAUUUGUAUUAAUGCCAUUACACUUUUGGAUUGACUAGAUUAUAUCAAGAACAACAAGGAUCUUUGAUAAAUCCCGAAAGUUGAAAUUUUGGGUUUUCUUCAAGAAGGUAAUUUCUACACUCUUUGAACAAUAAGUGUGAGUUAUUUAUUAGUAUUUAUGGUUGUGAAAGAUAUUCUUUGAGUUGGGUUAUUGUUCGGGUAACUUAAAUGUCAACGGGUGCGUGUCGGAUUCUCCAAAAGUAGUACUCCCUCUAUUUCAAAAAAGAAUGGCCUCCUUUCCUUUUUAGUCAAUUUCAAAAAGAAUGACCUCUUUCCUUUUUUGAUAACAUUUUAAUUUCAGUUUUCCACGUGACAUGUUUAAGGCCACAAGAUUAAAGGGCAAUUUAGUACAUUUGACAUAACUUUAAUUUAGGACCACAAGAUUCAAAGGUUUUCUUUCUUUUCUAAAACUCCGUGUCAAGUCAAACUAGGCCACUCUUUUCGAAACGGAGGGAGUAUAUUUUUAGAGAAUCCAAUACGAGUGCAUUAUCAAAAGUGAAGAGUCCGCACAACUCAGACCAUAAGAGAAAAACUCUAACUCGAUAUUAAUGAAAGUUGUGAAAAUGGUGAACGAGAUGAUGAAUAGUGCCUAUGGGUUGUAAAUAGUCGACGUAUAUGGCUUGAAUGAAUGUAUUAACACAUUGUUGAAAUUAUUUAAGGUGAUUAAUCAAACACCGUCUACAAUGAAUGAAUAUGGAAUUUUCGAAAAUUCAGAUCAAGUGUGAAAUAUUAGUUGACUAAAUUGAUAUAGUUGCAAGACGUCAAUAGUUAUGUGUUUGAUUAUGUAGAUUGAAGUUGUUGGAGUUAUUUGAAACAGUUGGACUGACUUUUAGCUUAAUUAAAGCGACUUUGAGGUAUGCUGAGCUCCUAGCUAAUUGUUUGUUUUCAAAAACAACUUCAUUACUUUAAUGAUAAUGUCAAGGAGAUCUCAUGCACAUGCGGGACAAGUUAGCAUGGUAUACUCCAUAGUUAGGAUUAAGAUUUAUAAUAUGCUUAGACAUCCAAGUUUGGAAGUUAUAAAAUCAUUUAAAGCUUUUUAAAUGAUUCUUGGAGUUAUUACGCAGUACUUUAUUAUGUACUUGACUUUUUGUUACUAGUUGAUUACAAUCCAUAGCAUACUUUUGAUGGACUUGUUGGAAUCACUCUUAAUUUGCAUUGUCAAGUGAAACUGUAAACUUGAUUUAGUAAAGGGAUUCGGCAGAAGGCAGUGGCUUGAGAAAAUGAAAGUAACAAUAUUUUUACAAAUCUUUGAUAUUGAUUUCCUCAUGUGAUCGAGGGGAUGACCACACUCGUGGGUUCAACACCCCGGUGUACUAUUGCUCAUUCGAUCAAAGGGACCCAUGGGUUCUACACCCUAGAGUAGCUUUGGUUAUCUAGUUGAAGGGAUGACCAGGCCCGUGGAUUUUAUAUCCCGGUGUUCCAUAGCUUUUGUGGUGGGGCAAGUACAUCGAGCCUCACAAAUAGCAUCCUGAGCAUAUACAUGCAUAUGGAUACGAGACUUGAGAUAUGGACAUUGAAAUCGUGGAAUAAUAUGACACUUGAUGAGCUUCAGAAAGAUCUAAUUAGGGUUUACAUGAUUGGUGCUUCUUCCAUGCUUUGAUAAAUCAAAAUUUUGAUUUGGUUUACCUCUCAUGUAUUUAUAAAUAGUGUUCAUGUUAUAUGCUUUGAUGAAUUAAAUUGUGUAUAUAAUCCAUCUCUCAUCUUUUUAUAUAUAUGUAUAACUCUUGCCCUAUCACUGGUGGUGGCUAUGAUGCAUAUCCAAGUAUUCUUCUUUUUUUGGAGAAGGCAACAGUUUUGCAUAUCUAAGUAUGCUAAUACACAUGCAUCAUUUGUUUAAAUGGUGUAAGGUCUAGCCGACAAUCAGGUGCAAGGUGGACUGUAUAGGGGUUAGGAUUCUUGCAGUUUCAUACUUUUGGUGAUCCCACAUUUAAGAUCGUGUUGUCGUGGGAUUCACAUUGUUAUAUUUUCAUUUUGUAAAGGACGAACUAUUCAUUCGUAAUUUUAUUGAGGCUUUAUAGAUGAACUUUUAUUUUGGGUUAUGGGUUCCUGUUUGUGUUUGCAUAUAACAUUUUUAUUUUGACUUGGUAAACGAGCAUGUUGAUUUGAUAUUAUUCACUUAGAAUCACUACAUAAUAUUGAGGUUAAUUAAUUAAAUUGUGGUAUAUUGGUAUGAAGUGGGUAGUCACUACACUAAAUAUGUUCGCUCGGUGCAAGUUGCAGGCAUACGGGUGCCAUGUCACACUUCCUCCCAUUUUGGAGCAUGACAAACAUGGUAUAUGAAGUUAAUUAAUUGAAUUGUGGUAUACGGAUAUGAGGUGGGUAGUCACUACACUAACUCGGUUCGCUCGGUGCCAUGGCAGGCAUCGGGUGUCGUCCCACGUAUCUUCCCAUUUUGGGGCUUGACAGGUUCGAUCAAAAUGAGAAUCAACACAUUUGAGUCCACAUUGUGCACAAAAUUUAGUGUCUUCAAUUCAUAUUUGACUACUUCAUAAUUUCCACAAACACAAAUUCCACUUCCGAAUUUUUGAAAUUGGAUUUAUACUUUCUUUUUAAAACUUUUUUUUUUAUGACAAGGGAAACCCGCAGCCGCUACCCUUUGGGUGCGCACAGGGUAAAACCCCCGCUCCUAUGCAAUAGCUCGCAAACCACAUAGGAGAGGUAACCCGCACUAGGCAAAACCGAUGCGACGAGCUCAACCCAGAAGGCAAACCCCUUGCUUUCGCUGGCAAGGGGUUUCGAACUUGAGACCUCCAACAUGGAAGUCCCAAGCCCAAACCACUGGGCCACCCCGAAGGGUUCUUUUUAAACAAAAGAGUUAUAAAAUGUUUCUUUUUGAAUUUUCUACACAAAAUUCGAGUUCCUACUGCUAAACAGCCCUCCCCAUAGGUUUUCUUCUUAAAGAAUAAGGAAAUGAAGUAUAGGUGAAAUUAAUGAUGAAGUUAAUCUUUGAUUUGGAAUCAAAAAAAGGUAAUAAGGAUCUUAUGGAGUGACUUCAUGAAGUGCUUCUUUCAGAGUUAAGCUUUUGUAUCUUUUAUAAGGAAUCGAGAACUUUUGUAUCUUUCAUAAGGAAUCGGAGGAAUAUGUGUUGGGUUUUUUCUGAGUAGAGGAUGGAGAAACACUUGGAUACAAUGACAACUAUUUACCCCACAAGUUAUUUUCAGCAAACUAUGUGACAAGGAGAAAUACUUGGAUAUAAUAACAACUACUACGCCGCACUUCCAAACAAGUUGGGGAUGGAGAAAUACAUAAGAAGCCAUAUGGGCAUAAGAAUUGUGAAAUUUGGAAAAAAGUAGUAUUUGUUUUCAAGUUAUGAUAUUUGGAAAUUGGAAUUGUGUUUGGACAUGAAUACUAGUUGGAGUUGUUUUUGACAUUUUGUGAGUGAGUUGACGUUAAAAUUGGGAAAACAACUUUUUGGAGUAUUUUGAAUUCUGGAAUUCAACUUGAAGAUGAAUUCAGGAAAAUUAUAACAAUUCUAUGUCCAAGUAGUUUUUGGCCAGAAUAAUAUUCCGGAAAAAGUGAAAACUAUCCAUGGUCAAACGGGCACAUAUAUAAACACAAAAAAAUUGCCAGCUUGACUACCAUUGACGACUUAGGCAAGCUUUUGUGGAGGGAGAAUCUGAUAGAUUGAUACAGCAAACAGAAAACAGAUUUUAGAAAAUUCAAUUGCCAGACCCCUAAGGUAUCUGGUCGGUUUAUGUACCUUCUUUGACUAUCUUCUUAGCAAGACACCACAGAAAGAUGAUUAUUGGUUAAAAAAACAUUUCAUAAUUGAAUUGAUAGGUUUCUGACACAAGAAGAAAAUAAAAUAUCAUAAUUCAUAAUAGUGUAAACUGAAGUAGAGGUGUUUAUUUGAUAUUGUUCUUACUUAGGAUCCACCAAGAGUUUUUGAAUGCUUAAAUAUUAAUAAAAUCAAAUAUGUCAUCCCUAGGAAUGUCAAUGAUAUGAAGCACACUGACCUGGAUAAUUUUCUUAUAAGUGUGUCAAACACAGAGAAGAAACUUCCUCCAAUUGUAAGUUUUUGGCUUGAAGCCAAGAAGUUUACUUAUGACCUUUGAAUUAGCAUCUUCUGAGACAUGAGAAACCUGUAGCUAAGUUUUCUCCAAGUAAAGGAUGAUGAAGCUUUUCAUAUGAAUAUCCAGUGAAAGAAAUUUCAAGGGAUGCUCAAUGUUGAAGACGGAAUUCUUUUUCUAGUGUCUUUAAAUUUCAUCGUCUAACAUCAGAGAUUGAAAUUAAAUAUCAAUUUAUGAGCUUUGUAAAGCAUAGCCGAUCCCAAGUGGGCAAAAAAGGAGGGUUCCAGAAACUUCAAAAAAAUAAACAGAGGAGGUUUCUGGCACGUGGACAGUCACAGUAAAGGUAGUCUAAAUAGAAUGAAUCCUAUAAAUACAGGGCAGAAAUGUAAAGGAUUAAUAUAGUGACCAACUAAUCUCAAAAUUGAAACCUAGUUGAAUGAUUGACUGAUUGUUGUAUUUUAAUGACUACUCCAGAAUAUUUGACGUUGUCCCACUUAAUUAAGCUUUCCUAGGAUGAAAUGCAUUAUAGAGUAUCCAAAGUAGUAGCAAGAAAGUUGCUAUGAACCUUGUUAGAACAUGAAUAGGUUUAUACAAUCCUAUUAGAAUAGGAAUAGGUUUAUACAAUUCUAUUAGAAUAAGAAUAGAUUUAUACAAUCCUAUUUAGAAUAGAAAUAGGAAUAGAAAAGGAUUGUAGUGUAGUGUCUAUAAAUAAGGUCUCAAUGUAAUAAUGUAGACACAACAACAAUUCAAUAAUAUUCUUUUCCAAUAUUUCUCACAUUGUAUCAAAGCCUCUACGAUCUUGAUAAAUAAUCAAAGAGCUUUUACAUUUGUAACAAGCUAGGUACAUGAAUUGUAUGCACUAGCUUGAGGGGGAGUGUUAGAAUAGGAAUAGGUUUAUACAAUUCUAUUAGAAUAAGAAUAGAUUUAUACAAUCCUAUUUAGAAUAGAAAUAGGAAUAGAAAAGGAUUGUAGUGUAGUGUCUAUAAAUAAGGUCUCAAUGUAAUAAUGUAGACACAACAACAAUUCAAUAAUAUUCUUUUCCAAUAUUUCUCACAUUGUAUCAAAGCCUCUACGAUCUUGAUAAAUAAUCAAAGAGCUUUCAUUGUCGACGGGUGGCUAUUACCCAUAUAUGCCACCCAUCUGGCCAAUAAUUAUGUUAGCAAAAGUAGGGCCAAUGAUAUAUGCAUGAACCCCAUAUUCAGGGGAAGAAAACUUAGUCAGAGAGGUCACCGUGCGUCAAUUUCCGAUGACUUUCUAGGGUUGUUUUGUGUCAACCAUGUAUCUGUCAUUGUUUGUGUAGCACCGUGCCAUCAUUCCAGUGACUACUUUCUUAUAUAUGAUUUAUGUAGGCACCGUGCCAUCAUUCCGGUGACUACUUUCUUAUAUCUGAUUUGCGUAGCACCGUGCCAUCUUUCCGGUGACUACUUUUUCAUAUUUAAUUUGUGUAACACCGUGCAAAUCUGAUUUGCGUAGCACCGUGUAUCUCUCCAAACCUGUUUUGUGUCAACCCCAUAUCUGUCGGUAUUUGUGUAGCAUCGUGCCAUGUUUCUGGUGACUACUUUUUCAUAUUUAAUUUGUGUAACACCGUGCAAAUCUGAUUUGCGUAGCACCGUGUAUCUCUCCGAACUACUUUUCGUAUUUAAUUUGCGUAGUACCAUGGAUUUCUCCGAACUACUUUCUCAUAUCUGAGUUGCAUAACAUCGUGUCUUUACGGUGACUCCUCAGAUUUGAUUUGCAUAGUUCCAUUCGUCUUUCUGGUGACUCCUCAAAUCUGAUUUGCGUAGGGUUGUGCCAUCAUUCCGACCCUAUCCAUAUAAUUUCUCUUUUUCACUAGGGUCGUUCCAUCAUUCUGACUCUACCCAUAUUAUUUUUCUUUUCCAAUAGGGUUUUGCCAUCAAUUCGACCUUUCCUAUAUAAUUUCUAUUUUCUAAUUUGGUCAUGCCAUCAUUCCGACCCUACCCAUAUAAUUUUAUUUCUUAGAUUAUGACCACUUUCAGCCAUCAAAUCUAAUACUCCAGCGUAUGAGCAUGUUCUGACAAUUUUUUUGGUGACUUUCUUGUUUAAUAUCGACUCAUCUAUUGAUUCCAACACGAUCCAUAUACUUUAUACUAGAUUUUGAGCACUUUGUUGCUUAGGGGGAGUUUAGUAGCCUUGUAUGUCGAUCAUGUAAGUUGAUCUUAGGUGUAUUUAUAUGCCUAGGAGCCAAAUAACACCCUCAUUUUAGCUAUGUUCAAGGACAAACUUUUUUGAUGAAGUAAGAUGUUGUAUUAGAAAGGCAUCAAGAAGAUGCAAAUUACAUACACAAAAAUAUGGUCAACUCCUGAGAACAAAAUCACCUAUUUAAUCAGGGAGUUAACCACAAGCAAAAGGAUGGUUGCUAAGCCAUAUUGAGGGAGCUAAUGAAAUCUAAGAGGGGUAAUAUAUCAAUUACAGGGGAUAAGUUGCUCCAUUAGAAGAGACUAAUAACGCAAAAGGAUUUCAAACUACUAAUUGGAGUUGAGAUACCAUCAAACAUCUGAGAUUCCUUUCCUUCCAAAUACACCAAAAAAUACAUGAUGGAAUCAUCUGCCAAGUCUUCUUGAUGGGGCUAUCAACUUCUCUAAGACUCCAACUUCCAAUUACUUCUUUGAUACUUUGCAGGAGAAUCCAAUUGAUACCAGCAAUUGAAAUAAACAUAUUCCAAAGAGCUGUUGCCACUGGACAGUGCAGAAACAAAUGAUUCACUGAUUCCAGGCUAUUGAGGCACAUGAAACAUCUGUUUACUAGCUGAAGUUUCCUCCUAUUUAGAUUGUCCAGGGUUAGGAUAGCAUUCUUGAGGGUAGUCCAGGUGAAACACUUGAUUUUAGGGGGUAGUCUAGUCUUCCAGAUCAGUUUCCAUGGCCACUGGUCUAUCAUGGCAUUUGAAGAGCACAACUUAUGGUAUCCUUCCUUCACUGUGUAUAUUCCUUUUUCAGAGUUGCCCCAUUUUAAGCUAUCAGGCAAGUGCGGGGUCAUUGAGGUUCCUUCUAGAAUUCUUAAAAAAUCAAAGAGCUCAUUAAGCUCCCAGUCUUGAAAAUUCCUUCUAAAGCGUGGUGCCCAUAUUCCACCUUCUCUGUUUUGAGCCACUGAAGAGUCUGUGUCAAAGGCUAUCCUGUAAACAGCAGGGUGGGAAACAUUGAAAGGUUGAUUGUUAAGCCACCUGUCUUUCCAAAAUUUAACUGAGUUCCCAUUUCCAAUCCUGAAGGACACCUCUUGGAAGAACUCCUCCCUUAGCUGGUUAAUGUACUUCCAAGGUCCAACUCCAUAAGGAUCAUUGUUCUUGCUUGGUGUUCCAUUUGUCUUGCCUCCCAUAUUUGGCAUUUCACUACCUCUUUUCCAGAUACAUGUUGGUUCUUGAGCAUAUCUCCACCACCAUUUCAUUAACAGACUCUUGUUGUGCUUCUUUAAAUCUCUGAUUCCCAAACCUCCGUGCUGCUUUGGCAUAUUUACAUUUUCCCAGUUCACAAGAUGGAACUUAUGGCCCUCAUAGCUCCCCCUUCCACAAAAAAGAUCUUCUGAUUUUGUCAAUUUGAUUUUGUACCUUGGAUGGUAUUGGGAGCAUUGACAUAAUAUAUGUGGGGAUACUGUCAAGUACACUGUUGAUAAGAGUCAACCUGCCUCCCAUUGAGAGAUAUUGCAUCUUCCAAGUUGCCAACCUUCUCUCCAUUUUCUCGAUAACUUCAUUCCAAACUCCUGCAUCUUUGAACUUUGCUCCCAAAGGGAGACCUAGGUAUUUUGUUGGAAAUGUGUCAAUGCUACAAUCCAUGAUGCCUUCUUCCAAUUUAGGGACCUCAUUUACUUGGUAGAUCUUACUCUUCUGCAUAUUAAUAUGUAGCCCGGAGAUUGCUUCAAAUAAGAGUAGUGUUAGGUUGAGAUAUCGCACCUCAGACUUCCCUGUCCCACAAAAAGUAAGAGUAUCAUCCGCGUAGAGCAAGUGAGUCACAGAGAUUGAAUUAUCUUCGUUGUUGCCCACCCUGAAUCCUUCAAUCCAUUGCAUUUGCUUUGCCUUUGCUAACAUCUUGCUGAGACCUUCCAUGGCAAGGAUAAAUAAGAAUGGAGAGAGUGGGUCUCCCUGUCUAAUCCCUUUUCAAGGACAAAUUUCGGUUAUUGGGUAGGAUUUAAGUCAUAUAUUUCAUUUGGACUAACCAUUGUGAUUAGUGAUUGUAGGUUGGGAAACAAGGAGAAAACAAGCAAAAGAGUGGAAAUCAUGAAGUGAAGAGUGGCUCCAAGCGUGACAGCAUUAGUAAGAAGGUGCCAAAUAGAAGUGGAAGCCAUUAUGAAGUGAAAGAUGAGGCAUGCACCUUCUCCACAUCGUGGAGAGAGAAAUAUUUAUUUUUCCCACAUUGUCAUUUGAAGCUGAAACUAAAAGGCGCCUCCGCGCGGAGACAAGCUCCAGUUUUUUGUCGUUUAUCCUAAAUUAUAAUUAGACUCGGAUUUUAUUAUAUUAAUUGUCCUUUUUUUGGGUUUGGAAGAACGACGACUUUGGGAGAUGUUUCAUCUAUUUUUAGGGUUUAUUCCUAAAUGUUACUCCAUUCAAUCUCUUUUAUGUUAAUUGAACAUUGCGAAAUUGAGAAUCAUAUUAUGAGUAGCUAAAUUCCCUAGUUCUAGGGUUGUGGCUACAGGAUGAUUGUAUUUUAUUGAUUUUAAAGGAUUUAUUAUGAUUAUCAUAUGAAUCUCUCUUUUGUUCUUACUUGAGUAUUUUUUGACUGACCACCAUUGAAAGAAAUGUAUUGUCCGAAUUGAACACGGGAGAGGAAUAAGAGGAUAGAACGUGGGGCAAAAGGAACAUGAUCUUCUCUAGGUUUAGGGUUGAUUUGUAUCUAGGAUAAGGAAAUACCUAGAAACCUUGCUUGGUUAAUAGACAGGACAAAAUCGUAAUGCACAAUAAUUGGUUCAGUCUAUCCCCACUCAACGAUGUAGUUAGGCUGCCAAUUACCGUAGGCGAUUAGAGAUCGAGACACCAUGAUCAUACAUUUAACUCUGAAAUCAGUGAUUCAAUAAUCGAUUGACAUCCAUUAAAUGAGAUAAUUUGCAUGAAUCCAUAACAGGCUGCAGCCCUGAAAUUCCUCAAGUCAUUGUUUGAAAUCCAAUUGAAAUCAAAUUGUAGUAGUUUACUUCAAUAAUUAGAUAAAUAAAUCAGUCAAAAUCCCAUAGCACUUUUCUUGAUAACACUUGUUCUAAAUUUUAAUUGUUGGAAGAAUUGAAUACAUCUAAUCUUAAGUGUGGGUACGAUACCCAACUCUUAAAAAGAGCUACUUUAUUACUUGCACAACUUCGUACACUUGUGUGUGCGUUUGGGCGCAAAAUAAUAAACUCUAUGCCCUGAAACAAUCUUUGCAAGUUUGGUUUGGGAAGUUCAACACUGUAAUUUUAUCACUAUGUGUUUUAUCGGCAUUAUGCAUCAAAUUCAGUAUUACAUGAGAAGAUUAAGCUCAUUGGGAUUGACUGACAUUAUGCAUCAAAUCCAAUAUUUAAUGAGAAGACAAGCACAUUGAGAUUGACUGGCAAUUUUGUGAAGUCGACUGAUCAUCUUGCAAGAAUCUCACCCAGCCCCUCAUCAGUCCUCGUAUUAAUUACAUUUGUAACAAGCUAGGUACAUGAACUUUAUGCACUAGCUUGAGGGGGAGUGUUAGAACAUGAAUAAGUUUAUACAAUCCUAUUAUAAUAGGAAUAGGUUUAUACAAUCCUAUUGAAUAGAAAUAGGUCUAUACAAUCAUAUUUCGAAUAGGAAUAUGAAUAGAAAUAGAAAUAGCAAUAGUAAAUAGUAUCCUACUUGGUAAAGGAUUGUAUUGUAGCGUCUAUAAAUAAGGUCUCAAUGUAAUAAUGUAGACACAACAACAAUGCAAUAAUAUUCUUUUCCUAUAUUUCUCACAAACCUGACUAAUCUUUUGACUUAUAAACGUAUCUAGAAAUCGCAUCUAGUUUUUUUUAAUUAGUGCAUAAUUAUAAUUUAUAUGCAAUCCUCAAUUAUAAUUGGUCACCAGUUCAUGACUUUUAAUCCAUGGAGUAAAACACGGCUUUUCAAGAGCAAUAUCCUUUUUUUUUCUUUUUUUUGGUAAACAGAGCCCAUGUUUUAAAAGUAAAAAGCACAAGAGAUAAGGUCCUUAGGACUGGUAGAGAAAAACGAGAAGUGCACAAUUGAAAAAAAAAAUCGCAUAUGAAUUUAAUUUUUUUUAUGACAAGGAAAACCCACAGCUGCUACCCUUUGGAUGCGCACAGGGUAAAACCCCUGCUCCUAUGGAAGCACAUAUAAAUUUAGUACUAUAAUAAUCCAAUUGCAAUUAAAAUAACUGAUUAUAUCCAAUAUUCAAUAAUGCCAUUGCUGAGACCCAAAGAAAUAACCAUUUUAUGGUUAGAUCACUUCAUGAGACAUUGUUUGAAGCACACAGUUGAUUGAAGCGCAUACCUUCACCUAUGAAGUGAUUACCCUCGCUUUGCAUCGCUUCAAGCGACAAAACAAUGACUUCUAAUAACACUGCCCAGAGUAAUGUAAAUGGAUUAGAAGAUCCUUGAGUUUCGUGGACUUUGAUAGCAAUUUUUGUUAAGAAAAUGUAACACCCCCUUGGUGCAUUUAUACUCGUGAAGAAAGCGUAACUCUUUAUGAAAAGUUUAUCUUUUAAACCCUAAGGGGUUGUUUGAUAACUGGUUGAGAGGUGAGUUGUGAAGGUAGUAAAUCCUGCAAAAGUAAUACCAUGUUUGGUAGUUGGUUCAGAGGUAAGUUAUUUAUAUAAAAACUAAUAUGGUUUUUGGCUUACAAAUUUAGAAACCUGCAUAACUGUAUUAGUUAUGAGGGAAUCUAUAUAUUAUUUUAUGCCGAAGAGAAGGCAGAAUAACUAAUUCAUGAAUAACUAAAUCCUACAUAACUAAUUCUAGCAUAAAAUAAUACAUAAAUUCUCACAUAACUAAUCCAUAUAUUACUAAUACUUGCAUAAGUCUAAUGAGCUACCAAACGACCCCCAAGUAAUAUUCUUUUUUUCUUGUAAAGGCGCAAAAAAUGAAUUUGGAUUAGAUCUAGGAUAGGAUGCAAAAGAAUUCUACCUGCUAAGGCUCAGCAUCUGCUAUGAGCUUUAGGAGGUGCGUACAUUAAAAAAGGUACUUUUCACAGCACCACAAAGAACGGACCCUAUUCUCCGGUAUCAAAAUAAGUAUAGAGAUGCAACUGUUUGUGGGAACUUGAAUUGGUGUUUGAAGAGUAAUUGAAAAUUGAGUCCAAACAAUGACUGGAAAUACACCCAUUAUGACAGACCAGAGAAUAAGACAUUUCCGGAACAGUUAUUGAAAAUUCAAAUAUUAAUAGGAGGGGAUCAAUACCCAAAAUCUGAUACCAUGAAAAAGCAAAAUGAACAAAGAAGUUGUGCAGAAUGUGAUUCUUGAAAACGAAGUUGAAUUAAUAGACCAUAUUAUGGUCAGAAUAAUAUUGCUGCUAGAAUGGACACCUGAGAGGCAUGAAAAGUAAGAUUAUGACAUGAUGGAAAUGUUUGACUUGACAAGCAGUGUCACAUAGAAGCUUUAAGGUCUUUUCCCAGAUCAUAGACACUGAUACAAACCAGAAAAGUUAGAACAUGUUCCCAGCAAUUAAAAAAUCAAACUGGUAGCUUUUCUAAUUGGCUGUGGAAAACCAUCUGGGAAAACAGAGCACGCCUAAAGGUGGACUGUUUGACAUGAUUGGCGGCACACAUGCCUUACUAAAAACAACCUUCAGAAAAGGGGAUCAAGAUCUGCAACAGGUGUCCUUUAUGUGGAAGACAGAAUGAGGAUAUCAAGCAUCUUCUGGCAUUUCAUUCUGAACAUUAGAGUGGUUAGCUGGUUAAUGACUAUUACAACUACUUAGCUCCUAUAAUCUUGGGGCUUAAAAGGGAUGGGGAAGGACAAGAAAAAGAUAUGGAAUAUGAUGUCUGUCACCAUCUCAUGGAUCAUCCGUAAACAAAGGAACACAAGAAUUUUUUAGAGCAGAAAGGAAUCUGUCAUCGGCAUUAAGAACAUAUGCAUUUAUCUACUGUUUUAUUGGUGUAACAUGGUAAUUGCAAAUGAUGUAGAGGCUUUCUGUAAUGAGGCUUUCCUAUGUAAAUACUUUGCAGCAGUUUGCUGCACUUUAAUUCAAUACUUUUACCAAUAAAAAAAAGAGAGAAAACUCUUGUUUAAAUUAAAAUGAUAACAACAUAUAACAUGGCUUCUUAUAUAAUGGCUUAACUGUAUGAAUAUAAGGAAAUUUCAGACUAUAGAGAGUAAGGAAAGUUUAGACUAAUGAAACUUCCCUAAUUACCACAAUUCCUUUUUAUGACACAAACAUAAGAAUGUAUCAUACUACUAACCUAAAUAUAUUCUAACGCUAACAACAUUAGCUAUCUUGACUUUGAACACUUAUUAGUGUACUUAAGGUUGAAUUAGUAUUUCAAAAUACAAGCUCUCACAAAGUAAGAGCUCUACAUACUUCAGAGAAUAGGAAAUGGAUACCUCCACAACUUACAAAAUAACAGCUUAUGAAUCUACAACCCAUAGCUACUGUAAGUCCCUAUUGCACCUGUAUUUACUUCAAGAAAACAUGUUGCCUAGAGAAAAUUUGAAAUGCAUGCAGUCCUAACUAUAAUCCAUUUCUAUCCCCUACUUGGAUGAGGGUAAAUUUAUCUGAACAAAAAAUGGUACUUAACCACUUCCUCUGGUUUCCUGAUUAUACAUCCCAUGCUUCUCACCUUUGGUAGAUUAGUUUCAAAUUAUAUGCUAUCGCCCAUAUACCAACUUUCUGUGGCUUCCAUUAUUCAUAGGUCCUCUUUAUCAAAGGAUAGAAAUGUUGCAUUCUCAAAUACUAUAAAUAUAAUCAGCCAUAGGUGCAGAGUUGAUGCACAAUUGAAACAUAAUAAGAAUAUGUCUCACUUACCUAUGUGCUCCAAAUGGGGCCAAAAGAUGCCCAUAUUAAGAAGCAGAAAAUGCAAGUACUUCAUCUGUCCACAUAGGCUAGAAGUAAUUUACGGCAGGUUGAUUGCAAGAUAUAGUAAUUAUAACCAAUAAGAAAACAAAGAGAAUACACAUAAAUCAAGUUUACUAUAAGAAAAAUAUCACAUAGAACUUACAGCAACAUUGCAUAGUGAAGCCACAUAAGUAAUAAGUCUGCAAAAAACAAUCUAGCAUACCUUAACACUGCUUAAAGAAGAAGGCCAACUUCAAGACCUGACAACCGUAUCCCAUUAACCACCAAAUGUGUUACCACUCCCACCUACUUCAUCUUCACUACCACUUUCGGGUGGCCAAUUCGGCCAACUUGAUACGGUCUCCACACUAUUAGCCCUCGCAACAACCCCAUCUCCUUGACCAGUCUGGCCAAUCUGAGUAGGGGAAAGCAGAAACUCCAAACUGUCACCCCUAGUUGUAUCCUCCCUGUCGAGCUGAUGCCUCCUGGCAACACGUCUAAGUGUGCGCCUAAAUCCAAACAAAUCCUCUUGCUCGCCCAGAAACUCUUCCAACCUCAUUGCUGCAACAAAAUUCUGACGUCUACGGCAAACCUCAUCUUCCUCCGUAGGUAACUGGAACCUACAAACUGGACAUGAAUUGUUCAUUUCUAGCCAUGGUAAAAUACAAUCAGAAUGAUACAUGUGUUUGCAAGGCAACAUUUUAACUUGCAUGUCGAGUAAAAACUGGUCUUUGCAAACCGCACAAGGAAUAACCGGAUCAUUCUCAAGCAUAGAAGAGGUAAUUUGAAGUAGUUCAAGUGCCGCCACAGCUGAUCUGGAAGCAGAAUUGUUGUGAGGAUUGGGGGUGGGAGCGUCGUUAGUGGUGGUGAGAUGGCGAAUUAGACGGUGGAGAUAAGGACUAUUGAGGAGGAAGUUGUCGUCGGAGGGAGUAAAAGUGGUAGGGGUUUCAAUGUCAGAGGUAGGGUUAGGGUGAUUUGGAAAUUGGGGAAGAAUGGUAGGGGUAAUAGAGUCCAUAUGUUCGAGGAAAUCGGAAUGGCAGUGAGGGCAACGAGGAUUAUUGGGGGGUGGGUGAAGGAGGAAGACGCUCAUGUCGCAUUCGUGGCACCAGAAAGUAUGGUGGCGCUGUGGCGGAGUUGCGAUGGUGGUGGACAUUUGGUGUAUGUAAGUGGGAAAAGGGAUGGAAUAUUAUUGUGAUGUGAAAAGACAAAAGCGAUUUGUGUUUGUUUUUUAUCGCAAGAAGAAGAAACGGGACGGGAAGGAGGAAGAAGAAGAAGACAGUGGGCCAUACCGGUCGUUGCCCUCUUUUGGUUUGUUGGCCUGUUGCUCUCUAAACUCUCAAAACAUUCAAAUGACAACCAUUGUGUACCAUACUCUUUUGUCCAAUCCUACUUGUUCACUUUUGAAUUGUCAUACUUCUUAAUAAAUAAUAAAUACUAGGGAUAAUAUUAUUAUAUUACUUUUUAACUUUAGUAAAUUUGAUGAAAAAUGUGUUACUCUCUCCGUCCCAUUUUAUGUGACAACAUUUGACCGGGCACGGAAUUUAAGAAAUAAAUGAAGAUUUUGAAAUGUUUACUAAAUUGUCCUUUAAAAAGUAGACUCACUUUUCUCUCUCCUCAUAAAUGUAUUGGAGUAUUAUUUUAAGAUUAAGUGGGACCAACAAGGUAAAAGAGGAAUUGUACCUUUAAAUACUUACCAUAUUAGGAAAUGUGACAUUCUUUUUGGGACUGACCAAAAAGAAAAUUGUGCCACAUAAAAUGGGACGGAGGGAGUACAUGAUAAAUAAUAUUUAAUAGGAAGGAUAAAAUAGAUACAAAAGAUAAAUUAUCUUUUGAUUUUCUAAAUUGAACAAAUAUUAUUUGACAACUUGUUGGACGGCGAAAGUAGUUGAGAUAACUAAUGAAAACAUUCUUAAAAUUUGUGAAUUAUUACUUUUAACUCCAUGACCUCAUUAAGAUUAUGAAUUAUUAUUUUCUCAUAUUUGAAUAUUAGAAAUUUAGUACUCCCUCCGUCCCUAUUUAGUUGUCCACUUUAGAAAUGACACAUAAAUUAAGGCAACAAUGAUUAGCAUAGUAAAUUUACAAUUUUACCCUUAUAGUACAAUUUACUUCCAAAAUAAAUUCACUCAAGAUAACUAAUCAAUGUUGGAAAAUUCAUAAGUUUAUUUACUUUAUUUAUGACAAUUUUUCACUUUAAAUAAGGGUAUAAUAGGAAAAAAAUUGUUGUCCUUUCUUGAUUUGUCAAAAUGGACAACUAAAUAGGGACGGAGGGAGUACUGUCAUAUAUAUUAAGAAUCUGAAAGAUUAAAAAAUUCUUACUCUUUAAUUAAUUUUAUCUUCUACAUAUUUUCAAUUAUGAUAUGUUGUUCUUUGAUAUAAUUGGUUUCUUAAUAUUAAAUGAUUUUUCAUAGAUUAGUCAUUUAUAACUUUUUCUAUUGUUUGAUACAUGUACAUACAAAGUAUAAAAUACUCAAUUUAAUGGCAUAUUAUUCAUUCUUUAAUCAGUAGCAGCUAGCUUUCCUUACUCUUCCAUGUCAUUAUCCAUAAACACCCUAAAUAUGUCAUAAUAAAUUAAUCAUGUGAACGAUACCAAUCCCUCGUAUUCUAAAAUGUGUGCUUUUUUUUAUUAUGCUAAACAAUCAUAUUUAAAAACUAAAAAUAUUUUGAAAUAGAUUAUUAUUUUUUUAAAAAAAGAAUAACUAAAGAAUUAUGAACAAACAAACCAAGUCACAUGUUUGUUAAUUUGGAGGGCACCAAUUCGGAAAAAAUAUAGGAAACAAAAACAAUUACAAGUAAAUAGGAAGAUCAAGAAGGUUACAACUAGCAGUAGUUUUAGUAAUUCAGACUCUCUAACUUUUUCCUGUAUUAACCAUUAACAAAAAAUUGAAAAGUAGCAAUUGAAAACAUUUAAACUUUUCUGAAUAAAGAAUGUGAAAGGUUUAAGAAGCAAUAUGUGAAAAAUACGUGAUAACAUCUAUCUAUCUAUCUAUCUAUCUAUCUAUCUAUAUCUAUAUUAUCUAUUUAUAUUUAUCUAUCUAUCUAUAUCUAUGUCUAUCUAUCUAUCUGUUUGUCUGUCUGUCUAUCUGUCUAUACCACCUUAAAAGCAUGAACUUCCUAACUUGAAUGUUAAAUAAUUAUAACACCCCAACUUAAAACAUCCAAUUUUGUAAAUCUUUUAUAUUUUAUGGUAUAUUACAUAUAUUUAAAUGUUUAUAUUAUAAAAUACAUUAAAAGCAUAUAUACACCUUUUCACAUUAAAGGGUUGAGACUUUUUAAAAGAGUUGUGACUUUUUCAAAAGGCUACGACUUUUCCAAAAAGUUGUGAAUUCUCCGAUGAGUUGUGAUCUUUUCAUAAGGGUUGCAACUAUUCCAAAAGGGUGUGACUUUUCUGAAGUGUUGUGACUUUUCUAAAGAGUUGUGAUUUUUAUAAAGAGUUGUUACCUUUCUAAAGAGUUGUGAAUUUUUUGAAGAGUUGUAUCUUUUCUGAUAAGGCACAAUAAGCACAUGUUCGUACUAUCUUUGUUGGCUAUAAAUAGAGGAGGUCCUCACAUUUUUAAACUACAAAUUUUCUAAGUUUUAUAUUCUUCUUCUUAAAACACCCAAUUUAAUACAUAUUCCAUAUUUAUUUAUAUUAUAAUAUAAAAUAUAUUAAAAGAAGAUACAUUUUCACAUUGAAGAAUUAUGAAUUUUUCAAAGGGUAGUGACUUUUCCAAAGAGUUGUGACUUUUCCGAAGGAUUGUUACUAUUACAAAGAGUUGUGACUUUUCCGAAUGAUUGUGACUUUUUCAAAAAAAUCGUGACUUUUCAUUAGGGUUGUGCCUUUUCAAAUAAGGCAAUAUAAACUGUUGUUCAUACUACUCUUUGUUGACUAUAAAUAGAGGGGUUCUCUCACAUUUUUAAACCACAAAUUUUCUAUAUUUUCUAUUAUUAUUAUUCUUAAUACUCAAUUUUGUACAUAUUCUAUAUUCAAACUAUAUAUUUUUUAAGCAACUUUAUGGACCAUUGGUCUGAUUUAUUGAUUAUCUUAAAGAAGUUGGAUAAGUACUAAUACCAAAAGUCUUAGCCCAAAUCCUACAAAAUAUUUUAUAAUACAUUUAUUUAUAGUAUAAAAUAUAUUAAAAGCAAACACCUUUCCACAUGAAGGAUUGAGACUUUUCCAAUGAGUUGUUACUUUUUCAAAGAGUUGUAACUUUUCUGAAGGAUUGUGACUUUUCCAUAUCGGCCAAAAUUUACAACAUUUUGGAGAUAUAAUUAAUAUAACAACAUUUCAACUCACAAUAAAAUAUAUUAAUAGGUACAAGUACCUUAUAAAGUUGCGGUAUAAUUUAUUUUCUAUUUGUUGUCUCUUCGUCAAUUCUGAUUCCAUCAAGAAUGCUUAAAAAGUUUUCAUAACCAAACACACAAAAUUAAUUCAAUAAAAAUUCAUAAAAAAUAAAAAUUUACAGAUCAUUGAAUAGAACACUAAUGUAAUUUGUCGGACAAAGUGAUGAUAGAAGGGAAAAGCCCACAAAAAGAAGUAGAUACGAACCUAUAAUAUCCCGAAAAUUACUAAGCUAAGCCCGAAUAAUUAUGUAAUACCUCACAACUCUACUCUUAUAAUUUAAAUUGUUCGCCAUAAGUAUAUGAGUUUGAACCGGGUGAUGUCUUACUUGCUUACCCAUUUUAAGGCCCAUUACCAAGUUUAUCAAGAGUAUCAAAAUUCAUCUAGAGUCAUAAGGGACCUCAAACACCAAGCCAACUUUAUAGCAUUUCUAUCGGCUAAGUUCUCCUAUGAGUUCAUAUAAAGCUCAAUUUCAGAUAACUAUAUCUCUAAUAAUAUAGUGAAUUAGAUGACCUAUGACCUAUCCAAUUAAAGGUUCAGGAGUCUUCUUCACAACGCACCGAGUUUGUCUUAUUUCAAGUUUGGAGCAAAAAGUUAUGGUCAUUUUACUCUAAGAUAUCGGACUGAGCAAUUCGGUGAGGUCACCUGCUCAAUCGGUGAUCCACCGAAUGACUUGGCAAAUCACCGAAUUAGCUCACCAAAUUGUUUUGAAAAUCUGAAGUCUCUGUCUAUUUGAGCGAUCUAAAGUCCCAUUGGAUGACUCACCAACUAUUUCAGCGAGAAGAUCUCCAGAUUGCCGAUUUAGUCGAUGGGAUUCAUUAAAAGGUCGUUUUAUUUUAAUUUUAUGAUCAUAUUACGUUCCUAGAUGGGUUUUCUUGAUAUUUUACCCUCAAUCAACUUCUCUAAGUCCAUCAUACAACCCAAUAACAUCAUUAUACGUAUACAAACUCUCAAAAUCCCUGCUUCUUAUCCUUCUAAUGAUCAAGAACUCGAAGAAAGGAUUUCUUCAAUAUCUCAAGAUCCAAAGGCUCCAAGUUCAAGAUUAUCUUCAAGAAUCCUAAGUUUUCCAAUACAAAAUUCUUCUCCAUUCUCCAUAUCCACGAAAACCCCAAGGAAGACAAAAGCUAGAGUUUCAAGUCUUCUAAUCAAGUUCUUCUUUAAACUUCUUUGAGAAUCUUGUUCUUCAGAUAUGCAAGGUUAUUCAUAGUAUUGGACUAGUUCGUCCUCACGCCCUAUAUCUCAAUUCAGUCAGUAGCAAGUUGAAUCUAGGGUUCUGCCCUCAGUUUUAUUAAUUUCCUAUAUUAUGAGAUUGUGAUACUUUAAUCAUUGAAAUUUUCAAAUUACUGUUCAUAAUUGUAGUUCCACAUGAAUCCUAUAUAUUUAGUUUUACUAAAUGUAUUUCGAGCCAGUAAAAUUUUCUUACAUUGAUUUUGAAAACUAAACUGAGUUUAAGAGAAAAGUUUAAAGCAUUAUUUUCAAAAAGAGUUUAAGAGAACUUAAAUAAUUUCGAAUGUAUCAUUUGUACAUUGAAAAGGAGAGCACUAUUUUCAAAAACUAUAAAGAGUUUUCAGAGUAUUUUAUGAAGACUUAGUACAACUUCAAUUAACUCAUAAAGAGGUCUUUUAAGAAAUUAUCUCAACUCAGAGAGUACUUUUACAUGAUCUUACAGUUAUAAUUUGGGAGUAGUAUUGAGCAAUGAUUUGGGGUAAGAGUUAAGAUAACUCAAACUCCAUAAUCUACGUCGCCAACAUAGAUAGUGUUGUACCACAAGACGGGCGAUUCCUCACCUGCCUGAAGAAGUUUUUUUUAGUGAAUCCAUCAGUCAGUUGCGUUCUAUACUCUAGUAUGAUAUAGUGUGGCUCUAGUAAUGUGGGUAAUACGUUGUCUCAUCACAAGGAACAUAAGUGAUGGUUGUCAGUUAGAGAAACUCUCAAGUAAAUUAAAGUAAAGUAUAUUUUUAUUUAUAUAUUUCAGUUCCAUAUUUCAAUUGUUGCCUUUUGUUUCCGGUUAAAGCUUAAUUGAUUUUCAGUUAAGUUACCUUUAGUCUUUCAAUUUACUUAUUUAUUUUAGUCAGCCCUAUUACAUACUCGUACAUUUAAUGUAAUGGUGGGAUUCGACCUGCAUCAUUUUAUGAUGCAGAUUCAGGUACUUAGGAUCCUCAAUAGGAGUUUCGUUGAGAUCACUUCAUCCACUCGUCAGCUUAUAAUUGAGGCCUCGCUUUUGAAGGACUCUUGUUUUUAUUAGUUGUUAGUAAUAGAUUUUUAAGGUGUCGUGGGUCUUGUCUUGACACUCAUCUUUAUACAUUAGAGGUUGCUAGUCAGUUUUGGAGAGUCUUUCAAUUUUAAAUGUUUUAUUGAAAACUUAUGUUUCAUACUCAAUAUAUUAAAAAAGUUAGAGAUUCAGUAAGUUGUUGUUAAACGUUUCUUUCAGUUUGAUGCUUGAGUUAGUCUUUCGCUUGUAGUCAGCUAGGAUGAGGGUUCGCUUGGAGACCAACAAUGGUUCUCGAGUGCUGGGCAUGUCCAGGGUUUAGGCUCUAGUCAUGAAAAACUUGGUAUCCAAGCACAAAGUUAAGUGUCCUGGGUUGUCUACGAACCCGUGUCUAGCAGAGUCUUGCUUAUGUGUGUGUUGUGCACCACACUUAUCAUCAGGAGGCUACAAGAUAUUUAGUAAAUGUUUCCCAUUCUUUCAUACUCUAGAUUGUUGAUAACGCUCAACUACACCUCAUCCAAUUCUAGGUGUAGGCGAUCAUAAACUAGUAUAAACCCAACUAGAGUUGGGGUCGAACCCACAUGGAUUGGUACGUUCAACUAAUAAGUGAAGAAUGUGCUCUAGUCAUUUGUAGAAGUAAACAUCAUCGAGUUAAAGCAAUGUACAUUAAAGGAAUUUGGUAACAAGUUUCAGAUAGAGGGAUUAGGUUUGUCAAUUAACAACUACAACAACUACGAAAACAUGGGAGUAGAUAAGUAGAGACGGAUUCUCGGGGAUGUGAUUGAUUAAAGGCUAAUUUCGCUAUAUGGGUAAUUAUAGUUUAAUAACAACAGCUGGAUAUCAGUGGGUAGGCUAGACUAUAUAUGCAAUAGAUUUCUCUCGAACAACUAUUACGAUUCAAGCGAGUUCUCUCGAACCUCGACAAGCAUAACAAUAUAAGCAGCCAAAUACCUCAAUUUAUCCACUCUCUCGAGCUAGAUAAGUAGGCUCAAAUUAAGAUUCACCCUCUCGAGCUGAACCCACAACAACUCAAUCACUACAAUCAUCAAUCGAUAACCUUAGUUCUAGAAUCUCUUUCUCAAGCAAGCCCAAAAUACUAAACUAGAAUCGCAUUUGCAACUACAGUUCAUAAGUGAAUACACAACUAUCAAUCGAACCCACUUCAAAACAUCAUUUAAAUCAUUAAACAACAAUACCCAUAUGCUAAUUAACGCAAAUAAUCACAUAAUCACACCCCAAGAAUGGGGGUUUUAGCCACACAUCAUAAAAGGGAAGAAACAAUUACAAAUAUGUUAUCCAUGAACUAUGUAAUGAUUCCCAAGUCUUUACAUUGCUUCAAUUUAACUCCAAUCCAAAACCCACUCAAAAAUUCUACUUAAAAGAAUAGACUUGAGGAUCAAAAACUCAAGGAAAAACUCUCAGAAUACUUGUUUAGAAUCUAGGAAAUUUAGAGGUCUCCAACCUUUCCUAAUAAUCUUUUGAAAAGUUCAUUUAUAUACUCCUAAAUUUAUGCCUUCAUGGUCAAUCGGCAGAGUAUGUCGAGUGUCGCCGACCAAGUCGGCGACGUGCCAAGUGUCACUUUCCAUCGCUCUCUUGCUUUGUCUCUUCUACCUUAAGCUUCUGUAACUUUAGGCUAUCAGGAGCUGAGUCGCCGACCCAUUCAGCGGUUCACCGACUGUCCAUUUCCAUCGCUAAGUUGGCUUGUUCCCUAGGGCUGGCAUGCUGGAACUUUAGGCGAGCUGAGAGGUUCGCUAAGUGGUCUUGGUGAUCACCAGGAUUGCCUUUUUUCAACUUCUUUAGCUUUUUCUUCCAUUUUUGCCUGAUAAUGUCAUUGCCUUGCUUCUUUUGCCUUCAUUGCUGCAAAUCAACAUUUUAACAUCAGUUUGGAGCAUAAAUUAUUAAGGACAAUAAAAUUAUGAAAACAAAACCCUAAAUGAGUCAAAAUCUCAGACUCAUCAAUUGUGCAAUAGAACUGUGUCACAAGUAAUUUAUUCAUAUUCGUGCGUUUCCCAAAUCCAUUCAACUAUCCCUCAUACUGAAGGUGGUUAGAAUAGCAAAGGCCCAAAUCCUUACCGAUCAACUACUCUCAGAUAAAGUAUUCAAAAAGUCAUGAAACUACAGAGAGGCUUGAGAGAAGCCGGAUUCAAAAGAAUGCACUCUUAUUCAUAUGAAUCGUGUGUUCGAGCUAAAAGUGAGAUAUACUCUCAGACCCUUUUCUCUAAGCUCUCUUUCAAGUGAGACCCUUAUGAGGGAAGUGUAUUUGAGAAUGCUUGGGUGGUACUUUAACCCGCAAGAUAGUACAAUUUGCAAUAUUAUGAGCCAGUAGUAGUAAAAGUGCCCAGAGUUAGAAGAAUGCAUAUAGAAGUGUAGUAAUCUAAGAAAGGGAGAAUGUGAUAAAAGAAUUUAUGUUGUUGUAGUCACGCACCCAGUAAGUUAUUAAUAAGGAGUUUUUCCCUUAUGUUUUGACUAAGGAGUAUUAAUUUUGUGUGGUUUUCAUGAUAAAAGGUAGAGUAAUAGUUACUAGUCAGGAUGAUUUAGAGUAUACUUCAACCACAAGGGAGUUUAUGAUAAUGUACCCUUGUGUUAGUGAAGACCAAGUAUAUGUGUUUAAUAAAAGAGUAGAUUAUUCAUGAGGUGAUAGAUCUAAACUUAUGAUUUUUUAAGGGAGAGACCCAUGGUAUUCAGAGGAUUAUAGAACUAAUAGGCAAUGAUGUAUAGUGAUAGGGUAAAUAAUACUUAGGUGGUUAAAAAGAAUGUGACGGUAAUCUGUAAAUAGGUAGACUUGGAGAUAAAGAUUGACUACUUGUCAUGAGGUCUUAGUGGACGAGUGUUUCUUAAUUUUUUCUAGUAGUUGUUAGUGAGUAUAAUCUGGGAGCAAUUAUACUGAUUUUUGUGGUUAGUACUAGGCACUAAGCUUGAAUUUUAGAUGUGUGUCUUAAUAAAAAGGAUGACAAUAUGAGGGUGAUGAUGUAGUUUUGAGAUUUGACAUAGAGGAGGUGAGUAAUUAAGGUGUUAGUUUUCAAUGAAUGUGAGUGGUACAAGUGUGGUAUUAUGACUCCUAGAUGAGAGAAAUGAAGUGUGACUAAGUCAUUAGAUUAACAAGAGCAUUAAGAGGUGUACUCAAGGUUGUAUGUAGUCAGACGAGGUUCUAAUUAAGUUUAUGAUUUUCUAUGUGUGCCUAGAUAGUAUAUUUGAGUUGUUAAUAUGGAGUAGGCUGAUGUAAACAUUAUUUAUUACCCUUAAGAGUUUGGUCGAAGGGAUCAUAUAUAGCAAAUAAUGAGCCUCUUAAAUUUAGUUCAAGUUUCCUCCAAUUAGGUAGUUAUGAACUUAAAAGGACGGUGACAGUGGGCCAAAAAAGAGAAGUAAGACUAUUAAGAGUUUCAUUAAGCAACUUUAUAAGACAAUACGGGUCUCGAUUAUAGAAAUACUUCUAUUUACGUGAGAAGAAGUUAAGCGAACCAUAUCAGAAAGAAGCUUUAUAAGGAAUCUUAGUACCUACACGUGGGGAGUCUAGUACCCAUGAGAUUAGCGUUUCCUGAGUAUUAGAGUAAAGCGAAUAUAACCAGUUUAAAGAUAAUAGAAUAGAUCCAUAGCUUUAAAGUGUCGACUUCAGACCUAAGGGGGAGAUUAUAAGAUGUGAAACCAAGUCAAGUGUGGAAAAUCAUAUACUGAUGUGCUCAGAAAGAGUUUUAGUGAUAUAUCAAUCCAUUCAUAAUCUGGUAUAUUCCUCAAAGUUUAUUCAUUACAACAUCUAGUUGAUGCCACUAAUAUCAUAAUUUUGUUCAUGACAUAUGCUCAUACACUUCAGACAGAUUCACAUCUAUGCUGAGUUGCCAGAAUGAGAGACAAAGCCUUUACCCAAUUUAUCUCAAUCCUACUCCAUAAAGUUAUGGAUACGACCCUCAUGAUAUGAACAUAUUCAUUAACGCACUCAUGUAUCGAAGUUUCCCUAAUAGGUCCCUAAUUGGUACAUGAGGCUAUAGAUAAAGUUUGACUUAUUAGAGAAAGCUUGAAAACAGCUCAAAGUUGACAAAAGUCAUAUGCCGAUGUUAGAAGAAGAGAUUUCGAGUUUGAUGUUCAUAAUUGGGUUUACUUGAAAAUCUUACCCAUGAAGGGUAUAAUGCGGUUUGGUAAGAAAGGGAAGCUUAGUCCCCAUCUUGUAGGCCUAUAUCAUAUUUUUAGAUAUGUUGGCAAGGUUGCUUAUGAACUUGAUUUGCGAAAUGAGUUGGCAUCAGUGCAUCUGGUUUUCCAUAUCUCUAUGUUAAAAAUAUGUGUUGGUGAUCCGACAUCCAUAGUUCCCUUAGAAGGUUUGGGAGUUAAGGAAAAUCUUUCUUAUGAGGAAGUUCCGAUUGAGAUUUAAGACUGGGAAGUCAAGAAGCUGAGAACAAAGAAGUUGCUUCCGUGAAAGUGUUAUGGAGGAAUCAUUUAGUUGAGGGUGCUACUUGGGAGGCCGAGAACAAUAUGAUGUCCCGAUAUCCUCAUCUUUUUCCUUCUACUCCUACUCUAGCUUGCGGUAUUGAGUUCCUCAUUGUUGACUCUUUUGGUAUCAUGUGUUUUAGAUGUUUACAUGGUUUCCUUAUUAUGCAUGUUCAUGAAAAGCUUAAGUUUUGAAAAACUAAGUCAACUUGAGUGAUUUCUACAUGUUUAUGUGCAUCUUAUAAUGAAUAGAAUAUAGACACUAUGAUAUGAUGUUUUGAACAUGUUUUAGCUUUGAGUUGAUGUUUCCUCCGCGAACACAUGCAUUUGAGUAUGCAUUGCAUAUGAGCUUCAUGAUAUGAAGAUAUGAGUAUGUUUUAGCUUGGAGUUGAGCUUUCCUCCUUGUAUAUGUGCAUUUAUGUGAUUGCAUGCAUGAUGGGAUGCUAGACUUGAAUAUUUUCUUUUAAAGAUAUGCCUAGAAUCCCAUUCGAGGACAAAUGUUCCCAAGGUGGAGAUAAUGUAACACCUCAGAAUCUAGUAGACUAAGCAAGGGGCUAGGUGGUAAGUCAUGAGCCAAAGAAGUUAGCCUGGGCAACCUUCACGUGGGCCCAAACGGGCCGUGAAGGGCAUCAUGAGGCAUGGUGCUGCCCGUGGUGGCUCGCAUAAUGGAGCCAAGGAAGCCGCUCCUCCCACGAGCACCCACACGACUCGUGAAAACGUCAACGAGCAGUGGUGAUGGCCGUGGAGGGGAGGUAGUAGCUUACCAAAGUCCUUCACACGAGCCACUAGACGACUUGUGGAGGCUACUACGAGCUGUGGAGUUGGUCGUGGUCAAGAGUGAGUGUAAGUAGUGGAAAGACAAGCCACUGGUCAAGGACCACGGCUGCCACUACGGUCCGUGUGGUCCUUGACGGGUAGUGGUGCCUCACGUGAAGAGGGGCAGUCAACUAUAAGCUUAAGGACAUUUUUUUGUCUUUUCUGGGUUUGAUUAAACCAAAUCUAUGUCAUUUUACCCAAGCCUAGGUCCCAUAUAUAAGUGAUUUUAACCCUAACACUCGUCCAUUCAAGUCAUUCUCUCAAACUCAACAAAAGAAAUUGGGUUCUCCUCCCUUAAAAUAUUUCUCUCUAGAAACUUGAAGAAGAAGGGUUCAAUCUAGGGUUUCAAGGAAAGCUUCCAUUUUCACCAUUGAAGAUAUCAUUUGGCUUUGAGGUAUGAUAGUUUUCAUCCAUGGAUUCCUUCUAUUCAUGGAGUUCCCAAAUUCUCCUAUUUUCAAAGGUAGAAAUUCCCCCAAAUUUGAGUUAAGGGUUUUCUUCAAUUGCCAUGGGUUCUCUUCAAUGUUAAUUUAAAUGAUUGAAUUAUGUUCUAGUAUGAAUUGAUGAAAUACUAUGAUUUUAUGAUGAUUACCCCAUGAACCCAUGUAAUCCCCAUGUUUUCCAAUUAUUAUGAUGUGAUGUGGAUUUUGAAUUAUGAAGAAGGAGAUUAUGAAUUAAGCAUGUUCUUACGAGAAUUAUGUAAAUGUUUUUAAGGAUACUUUGAGAGUAAAUUAUCAAUGAUGAUGAUUGUUGUUCUGUUGUUGAAAGGAUUUCUCAUAAAAACAUUAAUGCAUGAUUGUGAAAUUUUUUCUCACAUAGUAAGGAUUCUAAGGUAGAAAGGUCUUCUCACCUAAUUGAAUCAAAGAUUAAGAGACAUCCUAAUGAAACCUAGCUUGGAUUGUUUAAUGCAUGAUACCUUUCCAUGGAUGUAUUAUGACUUAGCUUGGAUUGGCAAGAUGACGUGCCCUUCUAUGGGUAAUGAGAACAAGUAAGAAAUGACUAUUCCGUGGGAUUUAUACUUAGCACAGAGAGGGCACUGAGAUGGAAGCUCUCUCUUUAGUAGAGGUCUAGUUUCUAGUAGCAAUCUCGUUAUCCCUUACCUAUGUGCCCCCAUAAGAUGAUUGUCUAGAUAGAUAUUAGCUAGUGGAUGCACUUAAGCUAUAAGUUCAUGGACCUUACCUUGGCAAGUAGGACAACCCUUUUUGGUGUGGGAGACACCGGAGGAUCAUGUUAUAGCUCACAUGGUCUCUAUGUCGUUUAAGGCUACUCCCACAGUAAUAAUGAAUUAAGGUUACUUCAAGAAGUAUCUCAUAUGUGUUCAAAGGUUUUAAAGAUGUUAGCUUGCAUUGACCAUGUUUUAUAAAUUAUGUUUUCUAACCUUCUUAUAUCAUGUUUUAGCUUGGUCAAUUGCAUGUCAUGAAAUGUCCCAUUUUAGCAUGAUUUGAAUAUUUUAUGUAUGACUAUCAUACUUGGUACAUUGUUUUGCACUAAUGCAUACUCUUGCCUACAUUUUUAUUAAAUGUAGGGUUUGAUACUCAAGGUUCUUAGUUUUGUGGCUAGUGGUUGACUUGGUUGAUUUCCCAGGCAUUGGUGAGUCUUCAUGCUUCGAGGAUGGAGUCACAUUGUUUUCAGUUUCUGUCUUACUUUUUAGUUUUGGAUAUGAUGUAUGAGCUAGGCCCAAUUUCAUUCUAUUGUAUUAGAUGACUAUUGAGACAAAGUGUAGACUUCUUCUUCUCUUUUUAUAAAAUAUUUGGACUUGAAAUAUUGUCCUUACUUCGUAUGUUCUAUUUCUUAUGUUAUAAAUGCUAAGUGACCUGUAUGGGGUCUCUCGGGGUCCUAUAAAACAUGUUACAUCUAGGAUGUACCCCUAGGUUGUGACACUACAUGACACACUAGUCACUUGAGCAUGCGCGACUCUCCAGAUUUAACAAACUUAUUUCACAUUCCUUUGACACUUUUUCACGUGAAGUUAAGUUAUGUUAUGUCACGACCCGAGUCUACACCCUGGACGUGGUCGGCACUCGAGAACCAUUGCUGGUCCCCAAUCAAACCCUCAUCCUGGCUGACUACAAGCGGAAAACUGAUUCAAGCAUACAAAAGCUUAAAAAUUGAAUAAAAUUCAUGAAACUUAAACACAAGCUUUAACUCAAAAGAAAACUGAAUAAAAAUAAAUUAUUCAACUCGCCAUAAAAUAGGCAACUUAAGUCUUUAAAACAUUUAAUAAAUAAAUGAUAUAGACUUCUCAACUAUACUGACUAUCUAUGAAGCCUCUAUCUGAUAACGAUGGAAGUCGGGAAAAGACCCACAACAUCCUGACUGAACGAAAAAGUAAAUGAAAUCCUCCAAAAGCAAGGAGGCUCAUCAUAGCUAACUCGAACUCUCGGAUGUAUCAACGAAGCUCAUGUUGAUGAUCCUGAAUACCUGUGUCUGCAUCAUGAGAAGAUGCAGGCCAAAUGGCUUAGUACGUGGAAUGUACGAGCAUGUAAGAGGAAUUCUAAAGCAUAACAUAAGCUUGAAACUUGAUAAGAAGGAAACAUACUUACCUCUUUUCAAUCAUACUCAACUCAAGGAAUACUCCAAACCACUCAAAACUACUCAAACUUACUCAACUCAGAAGUACUCAAGGAUAAGAUAUUCAACUCAGAGAUUAGAUACUCAACUCAAGGAUAUGAUAUUCGACUCUGGGUACUCAACUCUGGAUACUCAACUUUGGAUACUCAACUUUGGAUACUCAACUCAAUAUAAAGCAACAACACACAUGCAUUAUAUGGAAAGCUUUAUAAAACGGUAAAACAACUCAGUUCGUUAAAGAAAAUGCAAUAACAAACUCAACUUUUCUCAUAUAAGAAAAUAAUAUAAUUUAUGUGGGAGUUUCUCUAACCGACAACCAUCACUUAAGAGCUAUAAUGAUGAUACAACACUUUUACCUCACGCUGCCAAGGACCAUCCUAUACCUUGACAUCAACAUAGGACCUGAACUACUAAGUGGAUCCACUAGUCUAUUGUGAAAAAGGUUCAUCUAAAAAGUAUGACCCUUUUCUACCCAUGGUGGCUACAUGGUUUUAUGGAAACGUGAGUUAUCUGAACUCAUGCUCGCCCCCAAUUCGGUGCUCAAUACUACUCCCAAAAUAUGAUACUAGCUCUUUAUGUUUAAAACAUACUUCUUUCUGUGAUUUGAGAUAAUUGCUCAAAACUUAGCUCAAAGGCUUUCUUGGAAAUCUCAGUUUCCCCUCUUGCUUCAUUUAGAAAGCGAUACUCUUUUCUGAAAAACUAGCCCGAAGGCUCUUUGGAAAUCUCAGUUUCCAUUUUUAUUUAAAUGUGAAAACAUUAUAAAUCUCUUUGGGAAUACAUAGUCCCCAUAUACUUUUUUGAAGAAAAGAACUUUCAACUUUUACUCUUUUCUGAACUUCAAAACUUUAAGUCUUUAAAACAAAGUUAAAACGUUUGUAAAAGACUUCUUAAAAAUAUGGUUCAUGCCGAAUUAUGGACAUGAAAAGACUCAAUGCAAGGUUUCAUACCAUAGAUAGAACUCAAAUACUUGGAACUCAAGAACUUCAAUGAUACUACUCAUUUCAAGAAUGCUCAACUCAGAGUUCAUGCGAAAUUAUGAGCAUGAACUACUCAACUAAAUUACUCAAAGAUACUUCUCAUCUCAAGACUGUUCGACUUAUAAUGUUCAUGCGGAAUUAUGAGCAUGAAAUAUUCAACUCAAGGACUCAAAGAUGCUUCUCAAAAGGGAUUUAGGAACUCAACACUUAAAGACUUAGAACUUGAAGAUACCACUUCUCUGAAGGAUGCUCAACUUACGAAGUUCAUAUGAAAUUAUGGGCAUGAAACAACUUGACUCGAUGAUCUACAUAACUAUAUGGAACCCAUGUGUACGACUCUUCUCAUUCUUUGAAUUACUUCCUCAAAACUUAGUUCAAAUCGAUAGUUGAUCUCAAAGGAUUCACAAUUGAACUCAAAGGCUUUCUUGAACUCUACUCUUAACUCUCUCUUGAAUGUGAAUUAUGAAUUCAAGAGUUAUAGUUCAUGAUAAGAAAGAUCUCAUGAUGACUAGGUAGACUCAUGAAUACAUUAUUCUCACUCUCAUACUCACUUGCUCGAGUCUUGAAAUAAGUUAUUAGAAUUUGUAGAAGACUCAUCAAAAGGACUAAAAGGGACUUUCUCAAAAUGUUCGAAAGAACUCUCAAAACUUAACUUUUAACUCUACCUUGAAUUUGAAUUAUGGAUUCAAGGUUCUGACUUGUGAUAGGAAAGGUCCCAUGAUGUUUAGAAAUGAUUGUUGAUAGCUAAACAUGAGAAAAGUCAUGAAAUCACCGUCUUAGAACAAGUCCGUGACGCAGAGAUGGUUUAAAAUAAUACUCGUGAAAUUAAAUUUUUAGACAGAGGAGUCUACGUCCUAACCACGACGCGGAGAAACUUUUAGCUCACUGGGGGAGCAAGUCCGCGACGCAGACUUGCAUGCCAGAGCGCACUCGACUUUCUCGUUGUUCAUUUCCCAGCCCCAAUUCACCUAAAUUUGAUUCGUUUUCUCAAUCUCUCUUUAGAUUUAGAUACCCAACACAUGUACACUAGAAUCUAACUCUAACCACCUUAUAAAUCGACACAUUAACUUCAAGAACUCCUCAAUCUCAACCCAAUUCAAGAAUGGAAACAAAUUCAUGAAUACAUAACAAGAAUAUCAAAGCUUCAUCUUUUAGAAGGAAUUUAAAGCUGAAAUUAACGUGAUUGGUGUGUGGGUGAACAAACCCAACACUAUGGAAACUUACAUACCUGAAAGAAUUAUCCUCUUGAAGCAACUUGGAGGAAAACCUUUGAAGAAGAACCCUAGCCUUAGCUUUUCUUGAUUUUCUUGAGCGUAGAAUCUUUGGAGUGAAUGAGAGGGUUUUGAUUUAAGAAAAAUGAUUUUCUACACGUUUAGGGCAAUUUAGAUGACCUCCUAAGGGUUUUUAGGACUAAAAUACCCCUAAAGAAAUAAAUAAGACGAGUUGGGAGUCGUAAUGAUUUUUCACCAGGCAGUGAGGUCUGUAUUGGCUCCGUGUCGCGGAGUUACUGCCAGGUUUGCACGAUGUUAGUAAAUCAGUCAUAACUUCUUACUCAGAACUCGGAAUUGAGCAAACUCAGUGGCGUUGAAAAGAGGACUCAAAGGGAUUUAAUUUUAUAUCUUGUAAAUCACCUAACUCAUCCUGUAAUAGGAGUUAUGGUCAUUUGAAGUUGACCCAAAACUUAAGAAAACUUAAGAAUGACUUGAAUGCUUUUCUCUUGGGUUCUUCUUGGAACUUAAGGUGCUACAUCUAGUGACCUUAACACUCAAUAAAUUUUAAAUUCCUUGCAAAAUCUCAAUCACUACGAAGAACGGUUCGAGUCUCAGUUUGAAAAAAAUUUCUGGGGUGUUACAUGUUAUUUAAUAAUUCAAAUAGUGAUUGCACAUUAAAAAUGUGAGGUACAUAACAAUUCCUAAUUUGUGUGUGUCUACACAACACACUAGAGAUGUGAACCUACACAUUUAUUUGAUGUGUUAUACUUUUUCACGUGAAUUAUAGAUUUGAUGUGUCCAUUUCCUAUAUUUUUUCACUUAAAUUUAGUUACGUUGAUUGCGAUAUUUAGUGCAUGAGGUAGUGAAUGUCUAUUAAAUUAUGUGUUCUUGUACGUCUUUCCAUAUGUGGCAUAUUCUUUUCAUGUAAAUUUAAUUUUUUAUGUGCCUAUUGACUAUAUUUUUUUCACAUGAAUUUAGUUAAGUGCUCUAUGAAUUUAAAUAGUGCUUCCAGCAUUAAAUGCAUAACGUAUUGAUUGACUCUUAAGUCACUUGUGCAUGCACGACACACUAGUCAUGUGAGUUUUCACAACUCUCAAGAUGUGACAAACUCUUUUCAGUUGAAUUCAAAUGAAGUGCCUAUUUCCUAAAUUCUUCUCACCUGAAUUUAAUUUUUAAUAUGCUCAUUCCCUAGAUUUUUUACGUGAAUUUAGUUAAUGUGAUUAGGAAUUUAAAUAGUGAUUGUGUGUUAAAGGUGUGUGGUACUUAACCAUUCUUAACUCGUGUGUGUCUGCACAACACACUAGACAUGUGGCCAUGCACGUUUGUCUUAUGUGUUAUACUUCUUUAGCGUGUUCAAUUUUUGAUGCGUCCAUUACCUAUUUUUAUUUUUCAUAUGAUUUUAGUUAUGUGCUUUAGGUAUUUAAAUAGUGAUUACGAUAUUAAAUGCGUGAGGUACUUCAUAACUGUUAAGUUGUGUGUGCUGGCACAACUUUUCAGAUGUGACAAACUCUUUUCAUGUGAAUUCAAUCUUUUAUGUGUCCAUUCUCUAGAUUUCAUGGGAAUUUAGUUAAGUGUUUUAUGAAUUUAAAUAGUGAUUGUGACAUUAAAGGCGUAACAUAUUGGUUGACUCUUAAGUCAUGUGUGCUAGCACGACACAUUAGUCAUCAAAGGCUGUACAACUCUCGACAUAUAACAAACUCUUGUCACGUAAAUUUCGAUGAAGUCCCUAUUCCCUAAAUCUUUUCAAGUGAAUUUUGUUUUUCAUUUUCAUGUGAAUUCAGUUAAUUCCUCAAUAAUUUUUUACUUUUACCUUCUUAGAUUUUUUUGUGAAACAAAUUUAAUUAAGUUUCUAUAACUCCAAUGAUUUUUCGCGUUUUGAUCAACUUAUGUAAUGUGCAUCCUUUUGAACAUUUUUUAUUUUAAAACGUCUCUUUUGGCAUCGAAAUCUACACACAUAUAUUAAGCUCCUACUCUUGGGUUGGUGACAACACUGAUAGAAGAACUAAAAUAGAUUUAAAGAUUACUUCCGUAAAGGAGGAGAGGGGUAAGUCGCUUAAUAUGGCGAUAGACUGCUUUCUUCCUAUCAAAAUAAAUCGAAGUCAAGAUCACCACCCUUCUUUACUUUACGACCAUCCUCCAACCCAAGAUGCUUUUAGAAGUUACCUUUUAGCAAUAUGCUGUGGCAUGGGCCUAAAAGGCCGCAUGACAGUUAAUGUGUAACAUACAGAAUGACUCUUAAAUGUGUAACAUACUAAAUGACACUUAAGACAUGUGUUCCUGCACUACACACUUUGUCACGUGAGUAUGCACGACUCUUCAGAUUAAACAAACUCUUUUCACAUUUGUUUGAUUCUUUUUCAGGUGAAGUUAGUUAUGUUAUUCAAUAAUUUAAAUGGUGAUUUCGCAUUAAAUGCUUGAGGUACAUAAAAAUUCUUUACUCGUGUGUGUCUUCACAACACACUUGACACGUGAGCUUGCACGUUUGUUUGAUGUGCUAUACUUUUUCCAUGUGAAUUCAAUUUUUGAUAUUUCCAUUUCCUAGGAUUUUUUACAGUAAUUUAGUUAUGUGGUUUAGAAAGUUAAAUAUUGAAUGUGAUAUUAAAUUUGUGAGGAACUGAAUGACUAUUAAAUUAUGUGUGCCUUCACAACUUUCGAUAUGUGGGAGAUUCUUUUCAUGUGAAUUUAAUUUUUUAUUUGCCUACUCACUAUAUUUUUUUCACGUGAAUUUUGGUAAAUGCUUUAUAAAUUUAAAUAGUGGAUCUGACAUUAAAGGCAUAAUGUAUUGAUUGACUCUUAUGUCAUGUCUGCCUGCACGACACACUAUUCAUGUGAGCUUGCAUAAUCUCGAGAUAUGAUACUUCUUUCACGUGAAUUCAGAUGAAGUGCCUAUUUCCUAAAUUCUUGUCACGUGAGUUUAAUUUUUAAUUUGUUCUUUCCCUUGAUUUUUUUCACUUGAAUUUAGUUAUGUGAUUUAGAAAUUGAACUAGUGAUUGUGCCUUAAGGGCAUGAGGUACUUCACCAUUCUUUACUCGUGUGUGUCUGCACAACACACUAGACAUGUGAGACUACAUGUUUGUUUGAUCUGUUAUACUCCUUCAACGUGAUUUCACUUCUUGAUGCGUCCAUUACCUAUAUUUUUUUCAAAUGAUUUUAAUUAUUUCAUUUAGGAAUUUAAAUACUGAUUACGAUAUUAGAUGUGUGAGACACUUAAUAAGUGUUAAGUUGUGUAUGUCUGCACGACUUUUCAGAUGUGGUGUACUCUUUUCACAUGAAUUCAAUUUUUUAUGUGGCCAUUCCCUAGAUUUCAUGGGAAUUUAGUGAAGUGUUUUAAUAAUUUAAAUAGUGAUUGCGAUAUUAAAGACGAAAACUAUUGAAUGGUUCUUAAGUCAUGUGUGCCAGCACGACAAACUGGUCAUCAAAGCCUUUACAAUCUAGAGAUAUAACAAGCUCUUGUCACGUGAAUUCAUAUGAAGUGCCUAUUCCCAAAAUCUUGUAACAUGAAUUUAAUUUUUUCAUUUUCAUGUGAAUUCAGUUAUGUCAUUAAUAAAUGUUUACUUUUACCUUCUUAGAUUUUUUACGUGAAAUAAAUUUAAUUAAGUAAAACAAAUUUAACUAUGUUUCUAGCACUCCAAUGAUUUUCGCGUUUUGAUCAACUUCUAUAAAGAGUAUCCUUUUGAACAUUUUUUAUUUUAAAAUGUCUCUUUUGGCUUCGAAAUCUACACACAUAUAUUAAGCUUCUACUCUUGGGGUGGUGACAACACUAAAACAAGACCUCUAAUAGAUUUAAAGAUUACUUCUGUAAAGGAGAGGGGAAAGCUGCUUAAUAUGGCAUUAGCCCGGGUUCUUUCUAUCAAAAUAAAUAGAAUUUGAAAGCUCACCACCCUUCUUUACUUAAUGACCAGCCUCCGACCUAAGUUUAUUUUAGAGGUUAACUUUUAGCAAUAGGCCUAGGCAUGGACCUAAAAGGCCAUACGAUAGUAAAUGUGUAAGAUACAUAAUGACUCAUAAAUGUGUAACGUACUGAAUGACACUUACGUCAUGUGUUCCUGCACGACACACUAGGCACCUAAGCAUGCACAACUCUAAAGAUAUAAAAUACUCUUUUCACAUUCCCUCCAUUAUUUUUUCACGUGAAGUUAGUUAUGUUAUUUUAUAAUUUAAAUAGUGAAUGUGCAGUGAAGUCGCAAGGUAGAUAACAAUUCUUAAUUUGUGUGUGUCUGCACAACAUAGUAGACACGUCAACCUAAGCAUUUGUUUGAUGUGCCAUACUUUUUUCACAUGAAUUCCAUUUUUUAUGUGUCCAUUUCCUAGAUUGUUUUCACGUUAAUUUAGUUAUGUGUUUUAAAAAUUUAAAUAUUUUAUGCGAUAUUAAAUGCGUGAGGUGUAGAAUGACUAUUAAAUUAUGUGCGUCUACGCAACUUUCCAGAUGUGGUAGAUUCUUUCCAUGUGAAUUCAAUUUUUUAUGAGCCUAUUCACUAUUUUUUUUCACGUGAAUUUAGUGAAGUGCUUUAUGAACUUAAAUAGUGGUUCCGACAUAAAAGGAAUAAUGUAUUGAUUGACUCUUAAGUCACGUGUGCAUGCACGACACACUAGUUAUGUGAGCAUUUUCAACUCUAGAGAUAUGAUGAUACGCUCAAAUUACACCUCCCUAAAGAAGUAUAAGCGAUCGUUAUCAAGUAAAGAACCCAACUUGUAGGUUGGGGUCGAUCCCACGAGGAAAAUGGUUUAGACUUUACUUUAACCAACAAUUAUAUUCAAUUAGCCAAAGUACUUCCAGAAACAANNNNNNNNNNNNNNNNNNNNNNNNNNNNNNNNNNNNNNNNNNNNNNNNNNNNNNNNNNNNNNNNNNNNNNNNNNNNNNNNNNNNNNNNNNNNNNNNNNNNNNNNNNNNNNNNNNNNNNNNNNNNNNNNNNNNNNNNNNNNNNNNNNNNNNNNNNNNNNNNNNNNNNNNNNNNNNNNNNNNNNNNNNNNNNNNNNNNNNNNNNNNNNNNNNNNNNNNNNNNNNNNNNNNNNNNNNNNNNNNNNNNNNNNNNNNNNNNNNNNNNNNNNNNNNNNNNNNNNNNNNNNNNNNNNNNNNNNNNNNNNNNNNNNNNNNNNNNNNNNNNNNNNNNNNNNNNNNNNNNNNNNNNNNNNNNNNNNNNNNNNNNNNNNNNNNNNNNNNNNNNNNNNNNNNNNNNNNNNNNNNNNNNNNNNNNNNNNNNNNNNNNNNNNNNNNNNNNNNNNNNNNNNNNNNNNNNNNNNNNNNNNNNNNNNNNNNNNNNNNNNNNNNNNNNNNNNNNNNNNNNNNNNNNNNNNNNNNNNNNNNNNNNNNNNNNNNNNNNNNNNNNNNNNNNNNNNNNNNNNNNNNNNNNNNNNNNNNNNNNNNNNNNNNNNNNNNNNNNNNNNNNNNNNNNNNNNNNNNNNNNNNNNNNNNNNNNNNNNNNNNNNNNNNNNNNNNUAGUGUAUUACAUGCAAAAUGAUAAGUUAGGUAUCUCCAAAUCCUUGAUUUGGCAUCUAGAGAAUUUCACCUCGCACCUUGAUCCGGCUACGUGUGUAUAAUUUACUAACCCUUACCUUUACCUCAGAUUAGACAUCAUAAUCGAUAUUUGGCUUAGUUAUNNNNNNNNNNNNNNNNNNNNNNNNNNNNNNNNNNNNNNNNNNNNNNNNNNNNNNNNNNNNNNNNNNNNNNNNNNNNNNNNNNNNNNNNNNNNNNNNNNNNNNNNNNNNNNNNNNNNNNNNNNNNNNNNNNNNNNNNNNNNNNNNNNNNNNNNNNNNNNNNNNNNNNNNNNNNNNNNNNNNNNNNNNNNNNNNNNNNNNNNNNNNNNNNNNNNNNNNNNNNNNNNNNNNNNNNNNNNNNNNNNNNNNNNNNNNNNNNNNNNNNNNNNNNNNNNNNNNNNNNNNNNNNNNNNNNNNNNNNNNNNNNNNNNNNNNNNNNNNNNNNNNNNNNNNNNNNNNNNNNNNNNNNNNNNNNNNNNNNNNNNNNNNNNNNNNNNNNNNNNNNNNNNNNNNNNNNNNNNNNNNNNNNNNNNNNNNNNNNNNNNNNNNNNNNNNNNNNNNNNNNNNNNNNNNNNNNNNNNNNNNNNNNNNNNNNNNNNNNNNNNNNNNNNNNNNNNNNNNNNNNNNNNNNNNNNNNNNNNNNNNUCAAUUCCCUCCGUAGCUCCACACUUAGAAUCUUCAAAAAUCAGGUACUGAAACCCUCAACCCUCCGUAGCUCCACACAUAAUCAAAAAUCAGUGUCACUCUACGGAUCAACAGUACGGUCCGUAGAUCAAUCUACGAACCGUCAAUUGACGCCGUGGUUCCACACUUGGUCAGAUUUCCCUGAUUUGUCCUCUAUGCCUUGCCUGCUGAUCUACGGUCAUCACUUACGGACCGUGAAUGGACCUACGGUCUGUAGAUCACCUCCGUGAAUGCCUUUCUUCUGCAUUUAUUUCAGCUGUCUCUACACUUCUGCGCCUGAACGUCUUUCCUGCAAAACAUGAUAAAAACACAUCAAAACCAAUAUAAAAGGGCCUUAGACACACACAACUUGUAAGUGAAACGUAUUAGAAAUACCGUAAACUCACGGUAUAUCAACACCCUCAACUUAAAUUCGUUGUUUGUCCUCAAGCGACGCACUACAACUCUAAACGACACUUGUAUAGAAGCAAGCAUAUCCAGCAGAAGCAAUCACAUGGCUCUCUACGCCCCUAAUUAUUGGGGUGCCCAUUCGUUCUCUUAGACUCGACAAGCUAAUUCAUGUGGUUCAUACCAUAACAUAGAUCGACCAACUGACACACAACAUACCCCUUCUCACUAUCACCAAGAUACCAACUUUCCGAUAAUGUAACUAGUGCCCUUACUUCAAACGAAAUCCCCUUUUUCCUAGAAUGACUGGCAUUCAUGGUGCAAGGAUUUAUUCAACACUCACACUUAGAAGUAAUUUCAAAAAUAGUUAGUGCUCAAUGCCAUAAGCUUGCCCUUAUUUUCACUGCUCAGACUCUCCAAAAUAGACUCUAGGAUCACUAUAGGACUUUCUUGGCUUGUAACGUAGGCUCAGGCUCAGGUGUGGUACAUUUUGGGUGUUGUUUAGUGACUUUCUGCCCUCCUUGACAUUACACUAGGCUUUCAACCUCUUUUUGCCCUGUUUCUGCCAUACAAUCGUUUUACUUUCUUUCCCUUUAUUCUCUUCAAUCACAAAUGUGACUUCAGGUUUUGUAGCUCCUUUUAUUUUAUUGUUAUUUUAUUUUUAGCUUUCAACAAGUCACAUCCUUUCUUUUCUAUCUUUUCAUCAUCACUCUUUACCUACCCAAUUUUCUUUCAGUCCCCUCUUUCAUAGCCACCCUCAACUUAUGGAUUUUCCAUUAGUUGAGGUACACAAUACCCGAUGUCGGGUCAGGGCCAAGAUUGAAGUUACUUUUUACAUUAGCCACCCUCAACUUAGGCCUUUGGCCUAGGUCGAAGUGCAUAUGUCCAAGGAGGGACCGGGGCCAACAUAGUAGAUUAUGGGAAAGUGAGUUCAGGGUUUAAGAAGAAAUGGUUUAAUUUUAGGCUCAAAUUAUUUGGAUCAAAGGGAGCAUUUAAUUCAUUUGGUUGGAUGCUUCUUUUAGGCGAUUUGUGGAAUUUUCAAAACAAUGGCCUAUGAUCACUUCCUAACUUCUAGAUUGAAUUGUCUUAGCAGGACUAACCAGGCAAGUUCUAGUUUUGCACAAAAAAUGUUUGAACACUCAACGAUUCUCACACACUCUUGGCACAUAGUUCCAUCAUCAGGUUAUCAGAUUACCCAGUUCAAGUUUCAGCUUAAGUCAUGCUCUCAAGUUGGUUCAUGAUCAUGUCAUACUCAGAACCAGCACAUUCAACUAAUCGUAGCCUAUAACUUCUAGCAUACAUCCCAAAAUCUGAAGGGUAUCAUUUUUAAGUCAUCAUGAUUCAUUCUGUAUCAUGCUUCUACACAUACAAUCCUAAGACAUGCCGAUUCAACAAAAAUUAAACAGUCUCUUGGGGGAAAAGAACACAGGCAAGAAAACCCCAAGAGAGGAUUCACAAUCCAUUUACCCCACCCCCAACAAAAAUAGAUGCAGUUGUCCCCAAUGCAUAUAUAAACAUUAAAAGAAAAUGGAAUGGGUGAAGCAAACCUGUGGCGCAAAGCGCCACCGAAUCAUCAAUAGGCAGGGGGAUCCGGUUUCCCGGAACCUGCUCCACCCACGGUGGGAGCACCCUCAGAAGUGCCCCCNNNNNNNNCAUAGCACCCUCAGUAGUGCUCUCUAACAAUCUCUCCGCACCAUCAGAGGUGCUCACCACGUCCUUCAAAAUAGGCUGAACCUCUGCAACUGGGGCAGAGCUCGAUGCCCCUGCAACUCUCUCACGCACUCUCUGCUGGCGCAACUCUUCGUCUACAAUCGAGGCCCUCUUAGUCUCCUUCUCCUGCCGACGCUGUUUUUUAUGAGCUUUCUUUUCCUCCGUGCGAUGAGGGCGGUGACGUUUGCCCUUGGCAUGUGUCGGUGUAGGCCCCUCCUUGGCGGUCCCACUGAAUAGAGCCUCUAGAACUGUAUCAUCAGCCAGUGCAGCAGGAGCAGCCUGAGUCUCAACUGAAGGUGCAGCAAGAAGGGCAUCAACGUCAGUCUGGAGACUAGCUAAGUCAGCCUACAAAGCAGAUAGGUCUAUGCUCGGAGCUGAUCGCUUGAGAAUGCGUAACUCAAACGCAUCAAGGCGCUUAUUAACAGCCAGGACCUUCCGGUCCAUCAUCCCCUCCAUUCUGCGCUCCAUUCUAGCCUCGGACUCGGCAAUCGACUUUUGGCAUCCACGGUUGAAUGUGAUGUAGCAGUGUGGCCAUCUAUGCCUCUAACUUCUGUACUCUGGCCAUCGGGACAACCGUCGCUCCCAACUGUGGUGUGGACCGGGAAGAGCUAGGAGCCAUACUAGCUGCCUCAGAAGAGAAGCCUGGGACAGCGUCGGCGUGGUCUGGGAUAAUUGGGUCACCGCCCUGUGCCUGCCCCACUGUGUCUGCAAGAUCAGGACCCAAGGGAGGUACCUCAAUCUGGGGCUCUCUGCGAGGUGCUGCCACAUUUGCCUCAUCUCGAAUAAGGCCGAUGUCCAAUGCCCCUGUAGGAUGGACUAACUUGUAGCAAUGCUAGAUCGGCACUCCAGAGUCCUUGCACAAAUGAAAAAUCAGACAUGGGAAGGGGUAAGUAGUGGAGGUCCUGAAGGCCCUCUCGUGAAUUUCUGCUAGCAGCAUGCGGGCAAAGUCGAUCUCGACGCCUGCUACCAAUGCUGCAACCAUGACCGCUCUGUCCCAAGUGUAGUCGGCGACACUCUGUUCCGUACCAGCUUCCAGAAGAACUUGGCUACAAAAGUUAAUGUGGCCUUUCGGAUCCCCAACCGUGGAGUGGCGACCCAUUCUGCACGCUCGCCAUCUGCAGCAAUGUAUCUGGCCAACUAUAAUAUAACAGCCUCUCGCUGUUCAGCGUUCCUCUGGAAAGCACCACUCCGUACGAUGUCCCAUCGGUAGUCGAACUCUGAAGUGUUAAGAGACCAAGAGUGACCCGUGGUAGGACCAUAGAGAAAACGACUAAUGGUGGCAGGUGAUAUGUCCACCAGACAACCCCGGACCAUAGUGGAAGUGAGAGGGUCUUGGGCUAAGGGCUUUGACCUUUUUGUAAUCGAACCGCGAAGAGUUGCGGCAUAUGAGGCAUAGAACUCUCGCACCAUCUCCUCACUAUACGUCCCUGGGUCUCGCGCCAUCCAGUCACACCUGUGAAAGUUAAAUAGCCGAUGGAUGUCCCGGAAAGUGUGCAAGCUCCCUGUGAGGACUCUGCGCUCCUCUNNNNNNNNNNNNNNNNNNNNNNNNNNNNNNNNNNNNNNNNNNNNNNNNNNNNNNNNNNNNNNNNNNNNNNNNNNNNNNNNNNNNNNNNNNNNNNNNNNNNACGGACACAGACCACAGACCGUGGUCUGAUCUACGGAUCGUGGGUUGAGACUUAGCUGAUUUUCUGAGCUGGGUUGGGGAGGGGUUGCAGUGGUAAACCACGGACCACCAGCACGGGCCGUGGUCUGACCUACGGUCCGUGGAUGGCAAUCGUGGGUUGCACCUGCAACUUCUCAAAAUCUGCUUUUUGGGUCUGUUUCUAAUACAGGGUGUUACAAUUAUAGGAUUUCUGACGACUCUGCAUUGUUUUCAACCUUCCUUGAAUGAUCUUCACUUUCUCUAGCUUGUUGAACCAAGUCUGGUUCUAUCAACCCAGCUUCACCAACCUCAAACCAUCCAAUAGGAGAUCUGCAUAUUCUCCCGUAAAGAGCUUCAUAGGGAGCCAUUUGGAUGCUAGAUUGAUAAUUGUUGUUGUAAGCAAACUCAAUGAGAGGCAAGUAAUCAUCCCAAUUAUCGUUGAAAUCGAUCACACACGCCCUCAACAGAUCCUCUAAAGUUUGAAUUGUAUGCUCUGCUUGACCGUCAGUGUCACGCCCUGGGGCUACCCCUUGAUGUAAACACGGGACCUAGGAUUACAAGUGACCCUAAGCUAACCCUGAACUGGCAUAUCAUAAGCAUACUAGAUAAACUGAAGUAAGAAAUACUUUGCGGAAGCUUUAAAUGUGAUAUAAAAUGAAAUGGGGAAUAUCCAAUAUUGUCUGAAUAUAUAAACUGGGAGUUUAAUAAAAUUGGAAGAUCAAACUCAAAGGUAAAACAGAAUCUAACUAUGUCUGAAAUAAGCCUCUAAUUGACUAGAGAUAUUGGGACAUUCCCCAGCUAACUCUAGCAAAACUGAAACUGUAAGACUUAAAGUAAAACAAAGCAUGUUUAUCGUCCUUGAAGAAUGAGGACUCACCACUGAUGUUGUUAAAUACGGAUCAAGAACCGAUGUACGCGUGAUAUGAAUGUUGAGGACCUGAACCUACAUCACGAGAAGAUGUAGCGUAGAGUAUGCGUCAGUACUAGAAAGGUACUGAGCAUGAAUGAUAGGAUAAAGCUGAACAAUAUACAUAACUGAACAAAGCAUACUGAGCAAUGAUAUAAGAUGAACAUGAUAAAUAAACUGAACAUACUGAAUAUGAACUAAACUGAAUGCAAUGACCAAAUUCAUAAUAUAUUGAAACUGAAAACUGAAUAGUAACUGAUAACCUGGUCAAUGCAAUAGAAUUUGACUGUGGGAGCUACUAAUAACUGAUAUAAAACCAUGUGAGCUAAACAUGGAGUCCGAUGUAUACGCCUCAUCGAGAGGACCCAAUAUACCUUGCUAGAGGUAUAGAGGCAUGACUGACGUGAUCACUAAAUGUGAUGCCCACAGAGGGGACUUAACCUAUGGGACUAUGAGGGUGACUGACCUUAGUCCAACUCGGUAUUAAUCCUACUCCCAGUUAAAAUGUGUAAAAUACAACACAAUUGAAAUAAACUGGAUAGCUCAAUAUUCUGACAUGCUAACUAAAAAUACAACAUGAAGUACUGAUAAUGAAACAUUUGAAAACUGAGGCAUGUAUAUCUGUUUAUCUAUCCUAGCUAGUGUAAUUCAUGAACUAAAAGAACUACACAACUAGGGUUCUGAGUUUCAUGCAAGAAUCUACGCAAAAACAUUACUAAGAUAUGAUAAUCUGAUUAAGAACGUUACAACAACUAAAUCAUAUUAAUUAUCUAAAGUUCUAGAAACCCUAGGUCUACAUAAUAUGAAUGGAAUCAAGAAUAUGACUGAAUUCUAGGGACCUAAUAGGUUAAAGGAACCCACUAUUGAAAUCCCACAUACCUGGUGACAAACACCACGGAUAAAUCCUUCAAUUUCGGGUUGAAACUUGAAAGGAACCUGCUGGUUGUUGUUGGGGAAACUGGCGCCUCUGUCUUCUUGUUUUGCUUUAAGUUUGAAUGAUUUUGGUGAAUGAUCGAUUACAAUAUGUUCUGACUAAGUUAUUAGGCUCAAACUAACCAAAACUACAUAGUUUAGGGGUUAAACUACAUAGUUUAGGUGUCCAACGCAUAGGGCAAAAGACCAAAACUACCUCACUUAAAAUCUGACAGGGCCCAACCACGAACGCAACGAUGGCCCGUCACAAGGACCACGGUUCGUCGUAUGGGUCGUGGUCUAUUGGCCUGUAGCUACUGCUUCUUGGCCCUUCCCUCUACAGUCCACUUCAUGGACCGUGUGAAGGAUCGCAGACCGUGAAGGUCACCGUGGUCCUUCACUUGGGCUAUGGGCCUACUGGCUUGGCUUUAUGGAAGCCACCACAACCCGUCAUUAAGACCACGACCCGUAAAGGGCCCCAUGGUCUGGUGUCUGAGCUUGGUGGGGUUCUGCCUGGCUUACAAGAUCCUCCCCACAGCUCGUGAAGGGUCCCGUGGUCCACCUCAUGUGGAAGAGAGUGAGCCACAGACAUGUCAACGGAUCGUGGUUCCUUUCAUGGUCUGUGAACCCUACUGUGGUUUAAAAUUUUUUCUGCUGAGUCCAAAAGCUGAUUUUUCUGAGGUGUUACAAUAUCUUCCUCUUGGGAACAUUCGUCCUCGAAUGAAGACUAAACUAGCUCAGUAUGGAGGGAAAGAGCCGCAAACCCUACCACUAAGUAUUGGAAACUGAAAUAUGACUGAACUAAUUCCCAUGAACACACAAAUACGCUGAAAAUGUAGGUAUAACUGAAGGAGCAAGAUACUCAGACUGAAUUUACGCAAGAGUAGCUGAAAGACUGGAGAGAAAAUAUUACCUCAAGCUGGAGUGGAAUUGGAAGAAAAGAGAUGAGGAUACUUGGCCUUCAUGGCUGCUUCUGCUUCCUAAGUAGCUCCCUCUAUGGACUGAUCCUCCACAAAACCUUAACUGAAGUGACUUCUUUGUUUCUCAACCUUCGAACCUGUCGAUCAAUAAUUUCAACUGGCACCUCUUUAUAAGUGAGACUAUCUUUCACAGCCACACUUUCCAAUGGUACUUGGAUGCUGGAUAACCCACACACUUCUUCAACAUGGAAAUGUGAAAAAACUGGAUGGACUCUUGCUAGUUCUGUUGGCAACUCUAAAUCAUAAUCCACUUUACCAAUCCUUCCUAAAAUUCUGUAAGGACUUACAUACCUAGGACUAAGCUUCCCUUUCUUGACAAACCUCAUCAUCCCUUUUAUAGGUGACACUUUAAGGAAAACCCAAUCAUCAAUUUGGAACUCCAAGUCCUUUCUUACAUCUGCAUAGGACUUCUGACGUCUCUGGGCUAUCUUUAGUCUAUCUCUGAUGAGCUAAACUUUUACCAUAGCAUCAUGAAUUGAAUCUGGCCCUAUCAAGGCUGCUUCACCUAAUAGAGAAAUCCUUCGAUUUUGGGAUGACACUUGAAAGAAACUUGCUAGUUGUUGUUGGGGAAACUGGCGCCUCUUUCUUCUUCAUUUGCUCUAAGUUUGAACGAUUUUGGUGAAUGAUCGAUUCGGGUAGCUUCUGACUAAAUUACUAGGCUCAAACUGACAAAACUUACAUAGUUUAGAGGUUAAACGACGUAGUUUAGGUGUCCAAUUCAUAGGUGAACGGACAAAACGGCCCCACUUAAAAUCUUACGGGGCCCAACCACGGACGCAACGACGUCCAAUCACAAGGACCACGGUCCGUUGUAUGGGUUGUGGUCUGUUGUCCAGUAGGUACAGGUUCUUGGCCCUUCCCUCUACAGUUCACUUCACAGACCGUGUAAAGGAUCACGGACAGUGAAGGUCACCGUGAUCCUUCACUUGGGCUAGAGGCCUAUUGGCUUGGCUUCAUAGAAGUCACCACGGCCCAUCAUCAAGACCACGAGCCGUAAAGGGCUUCAUUUUCUGGUGUAUGAGCUUGGUGGGGUUUUGCCUAGCUUACACAAUGCUCCCCACGGCUCGUGGGGUGGUCCAUGGCUCGUGAAGGGUCUCGUGGUCCACCUCUUCUGGGAGGGCAUGAGCCACGGGCAGGUCAACAGACUGUGGUUUCUUCCACUGUCCAUAAACCCUGCCAUGGUUCACAGAUUUUCUUGUUGAGUCCAAAAGGUGAUUUUUCUGAGGUGUUACAAUUAUUCUGAGGAUGAGAAGCAUUACUCAAAUGCACCUUCAAACCCAAACAUUUCCGGAAAGACUUCAAAAAUUGUUCGGUAAAUUACGUACCUCUUUCUUAAAUGGUGGACACUGGAACUCCAUGAAGUCUAACUACCUCUUGAAUAUAUAACGUGGAAUAAUCCUCUACUGGAUAGGUAGUCUUUACCGACAAAAAAUGGGUUGAUUGAGUCAUUCGAUGUACAAUCACCCAAAUAGAAUCAUGCUGGCUGCGAGACUGCGACAACCAAGUAAUAAAAUCCAUAUUGAUCAUCUCCCACUUCCAUUCCAAAAUCUCUAUAUUCUGAGCCAUACCACUAGGACUUUGGUGCUCUACCUUAGCUUGAUGACAAUUCAUGACUUAAGUAACCAACUCUUCAAUACACUUCAUCGUACUACUCCAUGAAUAAAUUUGUCUCAGGUAACGAUACAUAUUUGUGCAACCAGGAUGGAUAAAGUAUCUAGAGCUAUGAGCUUCCUCUAUGAUCCUCUCUUAGUGUUUAUCCAUCUUUGGUACACACAACCUACCUUGAUACCUCAAUACACCAUCUCCCUUUUAUUCCAAAUCCAUCACUUUCUACUUAUGAACAUUUGCCUUUAAUUCAAGCAAAAUAGUUUCUUGGUCUUGUUUCUCUUUCACUUCCGACACUAAUAGUGAUUCAACCCCAUUCAUCACCACUACCCCACCUUCAUUGGAAUCCAAUAAACGGACUCCUAAGAGUGAAAGUCUGUCCACAUUCUUGGCUAAUUUCUUUUUCUCUUCCUCAACAUGGGAGAGUACUACCCAUAGACAACCUGCUCAAAGCAUCAACACCAACAUUAGCCUUACCUGGGUGCUAUAUAAUACACAUGUCAAAAUUCUUGAGUAACUCCAACCAUCUCCUAUGUCUGAGAUUAAGUUCUUUCUUACUGAAUACAUACUGAUCGGUGAACACAUCUACAUGAACACCAUAAAGAUAUUGACGCCAUAUCUUCAAAGCGAACACUACAACAACCAACUCUAGAUCAUGGGUUGGGUAAUUCUUUUCGUGAAUCUUAAGCUGUUUGGAGGCAUAAUCUAUGACUUUGCCAUUUUGCAUCAAUACACAACCCAGUCCAACUCUGGACGUAUCAAAAUACACAACAAAGCCUUCUGUACCCUCUGGUAAGUUCAACACUGGGAUAGUAGUAAACCUAACUUUCAAUUCCUGAAAUCUCUUCUGACAAAUUUCAAACCAUUGAAACUUUAUUGUCUUCUGAGUCAACUUGGUCAAAGGAGAUGAAAUAGAUAAAAACCCCUCGACAAACCUCUUAUAAUAACCAGCCAAUCCCAAGAAACUCCUAAUAUCAGUUUGAGUGUGGGUCUAUUCCAGUUCUGCAAUAACUCAAUCUUCUGAGUGUCAACUCAAAUCCCGCCACCAGAAAUAAUGUGGCCGAAGUAUGCCACAGACUCAAGCCAAAACUCUCACUUAGAGAAUUUAGCAUACAACUAUUUAUCCUUGAGAGUUUGGAGAACUACUCUGAGAUGACUAGCAUGAUCCUCUUCAUUCCUAAAAUAUAUUAGAAUGUCUUUAAUAAAUACACCAACAAACAUAUCAAGACAAGGCUUAAACAAUUUUUUCUAAGGUCCAUGAAGACUACAUAGGCAUUAGUCAAACCAAACGUCAUGACCAGAAAGUCAUAAUGACCAUAACGGGACCUAAAUGUUAUCUUAAGGAUUACACUUUCUCACACAUCCUAAGUGAACCAUAUUUCUUCCUCACAAAUAAAAGCGGAGCUCCCCAAGGUGAGAUAAUGGUUCGAAUUAAACCUUUUUCAAGAAGGUCUUUCAACUCCUCUUUUAACUAUUCAACUAAGCUGGAGCCAUUUUAUAUGGAAUAAUAGAGAUAGGAUGAGUAUUAAGAAGAAUAUCUAUACCAAAGUCUAUUUCUCUCUAUGGAGGGACGCCGGCAAGAUCCUCCGAAAAGACCUUUGGAAACUCACACAACCAGAACUGAUUGAAGAGGUCGUAUCUCAAUACUAGAGUCAUUAACUCAGACUAAGUGAUAGAUGCACCCCUUGGAAACUAACUUUCUCACCUUAAGGUACGAAAUAAAAUGAUGCUUAGGUACUGCUGAAGUACUCCUCCACUCUAUAACUGGCUUAUCCGGAAACUAGAACUGAACUACUCGAGUUCUACAAUAAACUAAGGCAUAACAAACAUGAAGCCGGUUCAUACCUGGAAUAACAUCAAAGUCCAUCAUAUCUAUCUCAACUAAGUCUAUGGUGUCCCUAUGAUUGACAUAAUUGACACAAUCACAAUAAACUCUCUUAGCUAGAAUAGACUCACCAACAGGUGUAGAAACACUGAAGGGCUCUAGAAGUUGCUCAGGAAGAAUAUCUAAAUUCAUAACAAUAUAAGGAGUCACAAAAGAUUGACUCGCUCCUAGAUCUAGUAAUGCAUAUACAUCAAAAUUAAAGACUUUGAUCAUACUAGUGACAGUAUCUAGCAAAUUCUUUUGCUCUUGGCGACCGGUGAUAGCAUACAAACGGUUUUCUCCUCCAUUUAUCCCUGAAGUAGCUCCUCUAGGUGAAACUCUGUCUAGUGGAGCCGUUGAAGAAGAUUGGGCUUUAUUGUCCCAAUUACCACCUCCCUACUUGUUAUUAAGGCACUCUCUCAUGAAGUGACCUGCAUGACCACACUUGAAACAACCAGUGGAGCCAUCACGACACGCUCCUGGGUGGUUCCUACCACAUUUAGCACAUGCAGGAGUCCAAUUACAUCCUUGUGCCACACUACCUUGAGAAUGUGCAGGUCUAGCUCUGAAAUUUGGCAAAUUCUAAUUCUUGGACUCACCUAUGUUCCUUAGUGUAAUUGCACUACUAGAUGAUGGAGUAGUUCCAUUUGGGUUUUGUUGAAAGGUUGACCGGUUUGCAUGACUCUUCUGCUGCCCGGACUCAUUUCCUGUUGUAUUAGCUUUCUUAUUUCAAAACUCUUCUCUAUCUCCUAACUUUUUUUCUUAACCUGUUGCACAUAGAUCAUCAGCCUUGCUAUGUCCAUAACUCCUAUCAGCAUAACUGCCUUGCCCUUCUUACCUGAUAGGUGAGACAACCCAGAUAUAAAAAGACUCAUCAUUCUCCGCAUGUCUGCAAACAUCUCCGGAGCAUAACGGGAAAUGUGGGUGAACCUGAGGUUGUACUGAUAUUCACACUCAUAAAUUCCUGCUUAAGAGUGAGGAAUUCAUGUACCUUUGCCUCUCUCAGUUCCCGGGGAAUGAAACUCCCAAAAAAGGCUUCCUCGAACACAACCCAGCUCACAAUUGUUGCAUCCUCAGCUCUACUCUUUUUCCAUUGGUCGUACCAUACUCUAGCAACACCCUUCAAUUGGUAUGCAGCUAGUUCCACAUGCUCAACAUCUAACACAAGCAUCACCUCAAACACUUUUUGCAACUAUUCCACAGAGUUAUUCAGAUCGUUAGUGACACUUGAACCGGUGAAGUCUGUAGGAUUUAUCCUUAAGAACUCAAAGAUUCUGGAUGUAUCAGCCACACAUCUUAUCGAUUCUCUCUUUGUUGUCCAGCUUGGUUGGUCACCACUUGACUCAACAUCCGGAUAGCAUCCCGAAACUCAACAUUAGUGACUUCUCCUUGGGUUGCACUUCAAUUGCAUUGGGUACCCAUUGAUCCCGAGGAUUAACAUUCAUCCUAGUAGGAUGACCUCGAACAAUUCUUCGUGGAGGCAUGAUCUGAAAGAUACGCGCAAACACAUAUUAGAAAGAAACUUUACAAAGUUAAACUCUAUCGCAUGAGUAUGAAAGAAGUAGGAUAGUUCCUAAAUGUUGUAGCCUCCUAAUUAUAGAUAUGGAGCACUUCGCACUGAUAACUAGGACUCUACAAACACAGAUUCAUAGACACCCUAGGAAUCUUGAACUUUGUGCUGUGAUACCAAGUUUCUUACGCCCCAAGCCUACACCCUAGACGCGACUGGAACUUGAGAACCAUUGCUGGCCCCAAGCGAACCCUUCCUGGCUGAACUAUUAGCGGAACACAUACUGAUAAAACAAUACUCAAAAGUAGAAACUUUAACUCAAUAUCUCAAAAUAAAUACUCCGAAUAUUUGAAGUAAAACAUUCACUAGCCAAAAGAGGCAACUCAAGUCUCAACAUUAAUAAUGGAAAUGAUAAAGACUCAUGAACUACUACUGUCUAUCUAUGAAGACUCUACUAACUGAGAUGGAUGUCAAGACAAGACCUACGACAUCCUUAUAACAAAACUGAUAUGUAACUUAAGGUGAAACCUUCUUGAAAGCAAUGAGGCUCACCAAAUCUAGUUGGAACACGACUGGAUCAAUAGAGCGCCGAUUGAUGAUCCUGAUUUCUUGUAUGCCAAAUGGUGUCAGUACAUGAAAUGUACGAGCAUGCAAGGGGAAAUCUAAAACAAGAUAUAAGCUUGAACUGCAACUUAAGAAACAACUUGCCUCAUCUUAACUCAACGAAACCUCAAUUCAACCUCAACUCAAUUCAAUAUAAAAGAAAAGAUAAAGAUGCAAUAUAAAGAAAGCUCUUAAAAUAAGAUAUAACAACUCAAUGUAUUUAAGAAUACAAAACAACUCAGUUUGUAUGUAAAAAUACAAAAUAACUCUAUUUGGGAGAUUCUUUAACCGACAACCAUCACUAUGAGUUAUGUGAUGAUACAACGCCUCGCCCACGCUAGCAGAACUGUCCUAUACCUUACCAAAUUAUAAGACAUCCUCAACUAAGUGGAUUCACUAAGAUAUGCUUAAAAAGCAAUAAGUAAUCAUCUAAAAAGUAUGAACCGUUCUACCCAUGUUGGCUACAUGGUUUGUGAGGACUUUGAGUUGUUUAAACUCGUCCUUAUAUCGGUGCUCAAUAGUACUCCUAAAAUAUACUCGGCUCAUAUGUUUAAAAACAUUUCCUCAUCCUCAAACUUUGAGAUUUAUUACUCAAAAGAUUCUCUUAGUAGAGAUUAUACUCAAAACUCCUCAUUAACUCAUUUGGAAAUCAAGGUUUCCUCCUCAUUUUAAAUGUAAAAUCAUUCACUCUUUGGGAAUACUUAGUUCCCAUAUAUUCAUUUGAAAAAUGACAGUCAACUUUACUCAUCCUCAUACUCAAGUACUUAAGUCUUAAAAUAAGUUUUAAAAUAUUUUAGAAGACUUCUCAAAAUGACUCGAAAGAACUCCCAAGACUUAAAUCUUAACUCUACCUUGAAUUUGAAUUAUGAAUUCAAGGUUAUGAUUUAUGUUAUGAAUGAUUUCUUAAUGUUUAGAUGUAGUUAAGAGUAGUUAGAAUCAGAAAGGAGUAAAGGUAUCGUUUAAAAUAACUCAGAUGGGCCUAAUGACUUAAAUAGGGUGGGGGCAGGCAACCCUAGAGCACUGAGUGGCACGGGGCGCCAACCCACAAACUACAGAGCAUUCUUUCUGGCACACUGCAGGCGCGGCGCACCACCCCCUACCCAAAAAACCUGACAAAUUUUCCUUCUCAUUUUCUGACCCUAAUUCGCCUAAAAUCAAAUGGUUUCUUCCAAACUCACUUAGAUUUGAAUACCCAACAUAAGUACACAAAAUUAUACUCAAAACAACCCUCAAAUUCCUAACAUUCAUCUCAAGAACUCAUUAAAGCCUCAAUAAUCAAGAUUAAAGAAAGAAACAUCAAGAAAACUCAUCAAGAACUCAAAUCCUUUAAUCUCAAGAAUGAAAUUGUAAUAAAAUCACAUGAUUGGCAUGUGGGUGAACGAGUCCAAUAGUAUGAGAACUCAAAUACCUCUUAGGGAUCAAACCCUUGGAGAAAAUCCGCAACGAAACUCAAGAAUCUUGAUGAACACCUUGAACCUUCCCUCUUUUCUCCUUUUCUCUCUUCUAAAGCCCUAAGCGUAAUUAGGAUGGUAAAAACUGACCCAAAUCAAUUUAGACCCCUAAAACCUUACUAAAAAGUUUUAAGAUGACGCGGUAAAGAAAAUACCAAAAUACCCCUCAUAAAUUCGGUUAACUUUCCUUAACUGGAUCGUCUCACUUCAAAUGGGCAUAUCUCCCUCAUCCAAAAUCAAAAUUUAGCGAACUUGGUGGCGUUGGAAAGAGAAUUCAAAGACCUUUCAUUUGAUAUCUUGGGUUACCUAACUCAUCAUGUACUAAAAUUUAUGGUCGUUUGAAAUUGAUCCAAAACUUACAGCUUAAGCUUAACUUGCAAAACUUUCAAUUUGGCACUUUCCAAAUUAGUUCUUUCGAAAUCUAGCUCUUUCUAAGUAGGGAUGUUACAAAGUCUCCUCCUUGGGAACAUUUGUACUCAAAUGAGAUCACUCUAAGUAGAACUAAGGGUGGCAACAUCUAACACCCAACUCAAACACCCAACAUGCAAUUAACCACAACAUAGCAUAUCAAUUUAAAAAGUGUUAUACAAAGAGUCAUUACCUUGGUCUUGAAUUUCUCCGAACGAAAGAGAUGUGGAUAACUCUUCUUCAUAUCCUCCUCAGCCUCCCAAGUAGCUUCAUCAACAAACUAGUUCCUCCAUAAUACCUUGACUAACGCAACCUCCUUGGUUCUCAACUUGCAAACCUGGCGAUUAAGUAUCUCAACGGGAAUCUCCUCAUAAGAUAGGUUGUCCUUAAUACCAGUAUUUUUAGUAGGUACUAUAAGUGAAGGAUAGCCCAUACACUUCUUCAACAUUGAAAUGUGGAGUACCGGAUGGACUGCUCCUAACUUUGGCGGUAGCUCCAACUCAUAAGCGACAUUACCAAUCCUCUUGGAUAUCCUGUAAGGACCAAUAUACCGGGGACUAAGAUUUCCCUUCUUACCAAAUCUCAUAACACCCUUCAUGGGUGAAACCUUCAAAUAAACCGAAUCAUCCACCUCAAACUCUAAGUCUCUUCUCCUAACAUUAGUAUAGGAUUUCUGAUGACUCUGCGUUGUUUCAACCUUUCUUGAAUGAUCUUUACUUUCUCCAUAGCUAGAUGAACCAAGUCUGGUCCUAUCAACCCAACUUCACCAACCUCAAACCAUCCAAUAGGAGAUUUGCAUCUUCUCCGAUAAAGAGCUUCAUAGGGAGCUAUUUGGAUACUAGAGUGAUAACUAUUGUUGUAAGAAAAGUCAAUGAGAGGCAAGUGAUCAUCCCAAUUCUGAAUUGUAUGCUUUGCUUGACCAUCAGUCUGAGGAUGAAAAGCAGUACUCAAAUGCACCUUCGAACCCAAACCUUUCUAGAAAGACUUCCAAAAUUGUUUAGUAAAUUGCGCACCUUUAUCUGAAAUGAUGGACACUAGAACUCGAUGAAGUCUAACUACCUCUUGAAUAUAUAACCUGGCAUAAUCUUCUGCUGGAAAAGUAGUCUUUACUAGCAAAAAGUGGGCUGAUUUAUCUACAAUCACCCAAAUGGAAUCAUGCUUCCUGAGAGACCGCGACAACCCAGUAAUAAAAUCCAUAUUUAUCAUCUCCCAUUUCCAUUCCAGAAUCUAUAUAUUAUGAGCUAUACCACCGGUCCUUUGGUGCUCUACUUAACUAAUUGAUAAUUCGGUCACUUAGCAACGAACUAUGCAAUUCAAUUCUUCAUACUACUCCACCAAUAGACUUCUCUCAAGUCACGAUACAUUUGUGGAACCAAGAUGGACAGAGUAUCUAGAGCUAUGAGCUUCCUCCAUGAUCCUCUCUAGGAGUUCAUCCACCUUUGGUACACUCAACCUACCUUGAUGCCUCAAUACACUAUCUCUCCCUUAUUCAAAAGCCACCACUUUUUGCUUUUGAACAUUUACCUUCAAUUCAAGCAAAAUAGUGUCUUGGUCUUGUUUCUCUUUCACUUUUGACACUAAUGAUGAUUCAGCCUCAUUCAUCACCCCUACCUCACCUUCAUUGAAAUCCAACAAACGGACUCCCAAGCGUGCAUCUUUGUGCACAUCCUUGGCUAAUUCCUUCUUCUCUUCCUCAACAGGGGCAGUACUACUAACAGAAAAUCCGCUCAAAGCAUCAACAACAAAUUAGCCUUACCUGGGUGAUAUAGAAUACUCAUGUCAUAAUCCUUAGGUAACUCAAACCACCUCAUGUAUCUGAGAUUAAGCUCUUUCUAACUGAAUACAUACUGAAGACUCCUGUGAUCGGUGAACACAUCUACAUGAAUACCAUAAGGAUAUUGAUAGAAUAUAUUCAAAGCAAACACUACAACAACCAACUCUAGAUCAUGGAUUGUGUAAUUCUUCUCGUGAAUCUUAAGCUGUCGGGAGGCAUAAACUAUGACUUUGCCAUUUUCCAUCAAUAUACAACCUAGUCCAUUUGGACGCACAACAAUACACCACAAAGCCUUGUGUACCCUCUAGUAAGGUCAACACUGGGGCAUUAGUCAACCUAGUUUUCAAUUCCUAAAAGCUCUUCUCACAAGCUUUAGACUAUUGAAACUUUACAUUCUUCUGAGUCAACUUUGUCAAAGGGGAUAAAAUAAAUGAAAACCCCUCCACAAAACUCCUACAAUAACCAACCAAUCCAAAGAAACUCCUAAUAUCAAUUGGAGAUGUGGGUCUAGGCCAGUUUUGCACUGCCUCAAUCUUCUGAGUGUCAACUCAAAUCUCAUCACCAGAGAUAAUGUGGCAAAAGUAUGCCACAGACUCAAGCCAAACUCACACUAAGAGAAUUUAGUAUACAACUCUUUAUCAUUGAGAGUUUGGAGAACUACUCUAUGAUGACUAGCGUGAUCCUCCUUAUUCCUCGAAUAGAUUAGAAUGUCAUCAAUGAAUACGAUAACAAAUAUAUCAAUAUAAGGCUUGAACACUCUGUUCAUAUGGUCUAUGAACACUGGAGGAGCAUUAGUAAUACCAAAUGACAUAACCAGAAACUCAUAAUGACCAUAACGGGUGCUGAAUUCUAUAUUAGGGGUGUCACUUUCUCAUACUCUCAACUAAUGAUAGCCUGAUCCGAGGUCUAUCUUAGAAAAACCAGUGGCAACCUAAAGUUGAUAAAAAAUAUCUUCAAUCCUCGGAAGGGGCUACUUAUUCUUUAUGGUAACCUUGUUCAAUUAGCGGUAAUCAAUUCACAUCCUAAGUGAACCAUCUUUCUUCCUCACAAAUAAGACCAGAGUGUCCCAAUGUGAGACAUUGGGUCAAAUGAAACCUUUAUCAAGAAGGUCUUUCAACUGCUCUUUUAACUGUUUAAACUGAGCAGGAGCCAUUCUAUAUGGUGGAAUAGAGAUAGGAUGAGUAUCAGGAAGAAUAUCUAUACCGAAGCCUAUUUCUAUCUCAGGAGGGACUCCAAAAUGAUCAUUUGGAAACUCACUCACAACUAGAACUGACAGAAGCAGUGGUGUCUCAACACUAGAGUUAUUAACUCAGACUAAGUGAAAGAUUCACCCCUUGGACGAAAUAAAAAGACCCUUAGCCACUGCUAAACUGCUCUCCACUCUAUAACUGGCUCAUCAGGAUAUUGGAACUAAACUACUCGAGUUCUACAACCAACUAAGGCAUAAUAAGCAUGAAGUCAGUCCAUACCUAGAAUAACAUCAAAGUCCACCAUAUCUAGCUCAACUAAGUCACCAUAGUUUCCUUGUUAUUGACAGAAAUGACACAAUUAUGACAAACUCAUUCAACUACAAUAGACUCACCAACAGGUGUAGAAAUACUGAAGGGCUCAAGAAGUUUCUCAGGAAGAAUAUCAAAAUUCAUAGCAAUAUAAGGAGUCACAAAAGAUAGACUCGCUCCUAGAUAUAAUAAUGCAUAUACAUCAAAAGUAAAGACUUUGAUCAUAACGGUGACAACAUCAAGAAAAAUAUCUUGCUCUUGGCAACUGGUGAUAAAAUACAGACGGUUCGCUCCUCCACCUAUCCCUGAAGUAGCUCCUCUAGGUUCAGCACUGUCUGGUGGACCCGCUGAAUAAGAUUUAGCUCUAUUACCUCCAUCACCACCUCCAUGCCUAUUUUUAGGGCACUCUCUCAUGAAGUGACCUGCUUGACCACACUUGAAACAACUAGUGGAGCCAUCAGGACACGCUCAUAAGUUGUUCCUACCACACUUAGCACAUGCAGGAGUCCAAUUAUCUCCUUGUGCCACACUACCUUGAGACUUUGCAGGUCUAGCUAUGAAAUUAUGUGAAUUCUGAUUCUUGAACUCACCUAUGUUCCUUGGUGAAGUUGCACUAGCAGAUGAUGAAGUAGGUCCAUUUGGCUUUUGUUGAAAGGAUGACUGGUUUGCAUUUCUCUUUUUUUCUGCCCGUACUCACUUCCUAUUGUCUUAGCUUUCUUUUUUUUGAGCUCUUCUCUAUCUCUCAGCUUAUCCUCCUCAAUUUGUUGCAUAUGGAUCAUCAGCCUUGCUAUGUCCAUAUCUCCUAUCAGCAUAGCUACCUUACCUUCUUUACAUGACAUGCGAGACAACCCAGAUACAAAAAGACUCAUAUUGUUCCUCAUGUCAACAACCAUCUCUGGAGUAUAAUGGGAUAGUUGGGUAAACUUGAGGUUGUACUUAUGCACACUCAUAAAUUCUUGCCUAAGAGUGAGGACUUUUCAUACCUUUGCCUCUCUUAGUUCACGAGGAAAGAAACGCCCCAAGAAGGCCUCUUCGAACACAACCCAACUCACUAUUGGUGAGUUCUCUUCUCUACUCUUCUUUCGUUGGUUGUACCAUACUCUAGCAACACCCUUCAGUUGGUAUGAAACUAGUUCCACACGCUCAACAUCUAACACAAACAUCACCUCAAACACUUGUUGAAACUCUUCCACAAAGUUCUCUAGAUUCUUAGUGACACUUGAACUAGUGAAUUAUGGAGGAUUCAACCUGAAGAACUCAAGGAUUCUAGAUGUAUCAACCACCUUCUAUUGAUUCCCUCUUGGUUGUCCAGCUUGGUUUGUCACCACUUGACUCAACAUCCGGAUAGCAUCCGGCAACUCAACAUUAGUGACCUCUCCUUCGGGUUGCACUUCAGGUGCAUUGGGUACCCGUUGAUCCUAAGGAUCAACAUUCCUCCUAGCAGGAUGACCUUGAAGAGUUCUUCAUGGAGGCAUGAUCUAAAAGAUAGGUGCACGCACGAAUUAGAAAGAAACUUCAUAGAGUUAAACUCUGUCGCAUGAAAAGAGUAUAAAAGAAGUGAGAUAGUUCCAAAAUGUUGCAACCUCCUAAUUAUAGAUGUGGCACGCUUCACAUUGAUAACUAGGCCUCUACAAAUACAACUUCAUAGACACCCUUGGACUCUUGAACUCUAUGCUCUAAUACCAAGUUUGUCAUUCCCCGAGCCUACACCCUGGACGCGACUGGCACUUAAGAACUAUUGUUGCCCCCAAGCGAACCCUUGGCGUGGCUCAACUCUCAGCAAACGACAUACUCAUAAUAGAGUACUCAAAAGUAGAAACUUUAACUCAAUGUUUCAAAAUAUAUACUGAGAAUAUUUUAAGUAUAACAUUCACUGGCCAAAAGAGGCAACUCAAGUCUCAACAUUAACAAUAGAAAUUAAAAAGACUCAUGAACUACUACUGUAUUUCUAUGAAGACUCUACUAACUGUAUUGAUGUUUGGAAAAAAACUCAUGACAUCCUAAUAACAAAACUGAAAUGUAACUCAAGGUGAAACCCUUCGGAAAGAAAUGAGGCUCACCGAUUCUAGCUAGAACAUGACUAGAUCAACGGAGCGCGCCGAUUAAUGAUCUUGAUUUCCUAUAUCUGCAUCAUGAAAUAUGCACGCCAAAUGGCAUCAGUACAUAGAACGUACGAGAAUGCAAAGGAGAAUCCAAAACAAGAUAUAGGCUUGAACUGGAACUGAAGAAACAACUUACCUCAUCUCAACUCAACUCAACUCAACCUCAACUCAAUUCAAUAUAAAAGCAAUGAUAAAGAUGAAAUAUAUAGAAUCUCUUACAAAGGAGAUAACAACUCAAUAUAUUUAAGAAUACAAAAUAACUCAGUUUGUAUGUAAUAAUACAAAAUAACUUUAUUUGGGAGAUUCUGUAAUUGACAACUAUCACUAUGAGACAUGUGAUGAUACAACGUCUCACCCACGAUGCCAGAACUGUCCUAUAUCUUGCCGAAGUACAAGACAUUCUCAGCUAAGUGGAUCCACUAAGCUAUGAUUAAAAAACAAUAAUAAAUCAUCUAAAAAGUAUGAUCCUUUCUAACCACGUUUGCUACAUAGUUUAUGCGGACUUUGAGUUGUUUGAACUUGUCCCCAUAUCGGUGCUCAAUACUACUCCCAAAAUAUACUUAGCUCAUUUGUUUAAAAACAUUUCCUCAUAUCAUCUAAAAAGUAUGAUCCUUUCUAACCACGUUUGCUACAUAGUUUAUGCGGACUUUGAGUUGUUUGAACUUGUCCCCAUAUCGGUGCUCAAUACUACUCCCAAAAUAUAGUUAGCUAAUUUGUUUAAAAACAUUUCCUCAUCCUCAAACUUUGAGAUUUAUUACUCAAAAUAUUUCCUUAAAAGAGAUCAUACUAAAAACUCCUCAUUAACUCAUUCAGAAAUCAAGGUUUCCUUAGGUUGGGCUGAUCUCUAUGUAGGUUGUAAUUUGUGGAUAUUCGAUUAGGAUGAAAGGAAUACUCGUAUUCUAUUUUAAUUUACCUCAUGUUUAGUAGUUUGCUUGCUAAGUAUCGUUUUAUUUGGUACUCAACCUUUCUUCUACACUUAUGUAGGUCACGAUCCUGAAUCUGUGUGAUCAUUUUUUUUUCUCUACUUCGUUAGUGGUUUUUCUGCAGAAACUUGAGAGGUAGUUGCUUGUAACCUCAGCAUUCCCUCUUGUUCCUUAUUUAUGUCCGUGCUCUACUCUAAAAAAAGACAUUGAAACUAGUACUUCUUUCAAUUCAGUUUUAAUACAUGAGUCACUUGUAUAUGUGACAACAAGGUUUUGGGGGUUUUAUGAGUUUUUGCUAAGUUAUAUCCACAUUAAUGUUAUUACUAGUUUAAUUUCUAUAUUUGUAUUGCCAUGCUUUGAGUUUUUUCCUAAUUUGAUGGGAUAAGAGAAGUGCCAUCACACCUAUUUUGGGGUAGUGACACUUUAUAUCGACAAUUAAUUCAAAUAUUUUACAUUAGUAUCGAAUCUAAAGAAAUAUUCAAAGUAUAUAGUAUAUUGUAAAUGACUCGACACAAACACAAGAAACUCUAAGGAGUAUGUCUCUAGGGAGAUACAAUCAACAACAAAAUUUGUGUGUACAAAUAUUUAUCUAAGCUUAUGUAUAUUUUCUAUUGAUCACUGAUUUGCCAAAACAUUUAGCCAAUUGAACAUGAUAAGGCUAAAAUAUGUUUCUCCAUAUCGAACACACCCUUAAUUAGGAAGGAAAAAACAUUGGUGUAUUACUAUAUGUUAUAAAAUAUUUUGUUAUAUGGGAUAACUUUAAAGACUAAUUUUGUCAAGACCCAAAAACAUGUUGUGAUGGUACCCGUCUUAUCCCACAAAGAUAGGUCAGCAAAAACUAAAUGAAAUAAGGAAAUGCAGGAGUAAUAUAAUAUAAGAGACUAGCAUAACUUCAACAACGCAGACAACCUAAUAUAACUCAAACAUAAUCCAAAACUUUGUUGUCACGUGCACAAGGCUUUAAGUACUACAAUAUAUUCAAAAGAAAUACAAGUCUGAAUGUUUUUGUUUCUAGAAAAGAAUAAAAACACAAAGAAAGAAUAAGAGGUGUCCAUGAAGAUGACAAGCAACUACCUCAUAAUCUCCAGUGAUAAGCCCGGGAUGUAGUAGAGAAGAAGAAAUCAUAAUGAUUCGGGCUUGUAACCUACACAUGUGUAGAAACAGGGAGUGAGUACCAAACUACACGGUACUCAACAACUAAACAACUAACUCUAAGUAAAGAGACACAAAACUCAAGUACUCCCAACAAUUAAACUGAACCUCCAAAAACUACAACUUGGAAAGAAUCAGCCCAACCUAAUAGUUCACAAUGUAUAUAGCACAAACAACACGUAUAACAUCACCUCAACAUAAACAAGUCACCAAUACACUAAUUCAAACUUAUCAACCACAAAGUUCAAAGCAAGGCACUCAUAAAGAUCAUAGAAUGGUAAUGAUGUGCAAUACAAUGUAAUGAAAUGUCAAAUAUAGUGAUGCAAGUAUGUACUAACAAUACACACCCACUAAGACUUAGGUUGGGACCCAUGGGGGACUCACAAGGUCCAUUUAUCUACCAACAAAUUUCCCUUUAGCAUCGCCAGAACCAUUUCCCAUAUGCAUAAUCAUCAAUCACUGAAACCAUUUCCCAUGGGCAUACUUAUUACAAUAGUUCUCAUCACAUAUUUUUAGAACCAAUACAAAUAGGCAUGUUCACACAAGUAAUGAGAAGAUGAUAAUUCCACAAAAAUACUUAAUCCAUUAAACAUAAUCAUGAUUCAUCAUCAGUAAUGAAUCAAUAUAACUAUUUAAACCAUCAAUAGGACAAUACACAUCAAUAUAUCAUCAAGUUACCUUUUUAUUUCCCAUUUUUCAUCAUUAACAUCAAUCAACGUGAAUAAGUGACCACGAAUAUCAAGCCCUUUACCAAUUCCUAUGUAAUGACCCUCUAGGUCAUUUCCUCUAUUUUUUUUAUCUUUUCAGUAUUUAGAGCUUUCCUGUAGUGACCCCAAGUCAUUUUUGACUUAUUAAAUAGAAAAAUCGGUCAUCAUGUCACUUAUUUAAGUUUUGUGUAAGUUUUUGUAUUUUGGAGCCUUUGAAACUAAAAUGGUUGACCUCUGCCAAUGGUUCAAGAAAACAUCCUCAAAAUGAAAUUAUGAUAAUUCCAUCUGAUUUGAGAGCCAUUUUAGGCUAAGGACAUGGUUGUUUUGGGUCCCAAGACUUUCAUUGUGUGUUUCUGCUUCUAGACGUUUUAAAUUUGGAAGCUUUGGCCAAGGGUUGACUAUGGUCAACAUCCUUGGUAGACAUGCUCAAAUGAUAAUUUCAUCAAUGCGGUUAGCUCUGGAAUGAUAACUUUAGUAUAGAAUGACAUUUUGUGUGGUUCUCGAGGCUUCCGAUCUCAUAUUGAGCUCAUGGUGGAUUUUGGGUAAAAAUGGAGAUUCGAUGUGGGACCUACUCUUCAUCCAAAAACCUUAUAUCGAAGUUUUAAUGGUUCCCUUGAGUCUGGAAUGCCAAAUUUGAUGGGGUAGAAUAUUUAUUCUGCAGGCAUGGAGUUCUGAAUAAAUCUCAGGCACCCCGUCAGAGAUCUUUAAGUUUGAGCAAACCAGCUGAAAGUGGUGCUAGCUGGUGCAACUCAGGAUGUGCUUCAUGAUCACCUGCCUAGGUACAUAUUCGUGAAGAAUCUUCUCCCAGAAUUCUACAUUCAUAGAUCCUAGGUCCACAUUCACGAUGCCUUGGUGACUUUUUCAUGUGCGUUCACGGGACACCAACCACGUUUGUGGAGCCCUGGGAUUCUUCCCUUCAUGUUCAUGGGGAGCUACUACAUUCAUGAUGCCUGUCGUUAUUGCAAACCACGUUUAUGUGGCACCUCUGCGUUCACAAUAGCUAAUUGACUAGUCUUUAUAUUAUAGCUAGUGACGUGAUUUUAAGUGUUGUGCAUUUAUGUUGAUUGUAACUACGUAUUGGAGUGUUUGGUAAAGCAUGAAGAUCAUCAGUUUAUGGUAAUUCUCACCCCAAAAAAGCUUUCAUAUGUCUUUAAUUUGGUGAUUCUUGUGCAUGUGUUUGUUUGGGCUGUCCCAGACAACGAAUUGUGUCCCAUUUUUGAAAAAAAAGCUUGAUAAGUCAUUUGGGAUCUUUUGAAAAAGUCAAUUUCAGGAUUCCUCGAAUGGGUUCGACAUUUCUAUUUUUACUCGAUUUUUGGGUUGUCUCCAAUUAUUGCAAAUUCAAUGUCUAAACGUUUGUAAUGAUGUUAUGAUAAAAAUAUGAUAGUGUGGUGGUAUUCAGAGGAGUUUCAGAAGUGGAUAGCUCAUGUGCGAUUGAUUCAGAGCGCACGUGAUCGACUUCGAGGUAGGCUUCAAUCUUCUUUUUUCAUUUGGAUUUUUAGAUAAUGUGUUGUAUGAAUUACUUGUGAUUUAUGACUACAAUUGUUGGAUAUUAGCCGGAUUUCUGUUAUUCCAUCAUUUUCUUAUUCUUGUAGGAGCGUGGGGUCUUUUGUGGCUGACGAGAUCCUUAGUUAAGGUUGUAGCUUGGCUUCUAGUAUGCCUUAGCUUGUUUAUCCUUGUUAGAAUAUUGUUGGGAACGAGGCCUUGGUCGAGGACCAAUUGGAUCCCAACUUAGUUCUCUUCGGCUUGGUAGAGUGGUAGGGUUUAUUGUGUAGUUUUGAUUGCAUGUAUCUUGUUUUGAUGUUGGUGAUGGCAUUCAUUGCAUUGGUUGUUCAUUUUACUGUGCUUUGUGGUACGAUCCCGACUCAUGUGUUAGUGUAUUAUUAUCAUUCAUGGAGAAAUUGUUUUUUCACUUGACUACUAUUCUAAACUAGUUUUAACGGGAGUAGUGCCACUUGGAUCGCUUGAUUUAUUGAUUUUUGAGAUUUAUGAGGUGUCAGCAAUGACUCUUUUUAUACUGAAGACAUUAGAGUCUUUAGGAUGUGCUCAGUUUUUACUUAACUAGCCAGUGCGUCAAUGCCCUUUCCUACGUGGCUUUGUUUACUCAUUUCUCUGGUACCACAACAGAGUUGAUUCCAACUAGUCAGAUAUUUAUAGUCUGGUCAUGAUAUUCAAUAUCCUUGAUAAGACUUGGAUUCCAGCCCAAUCAGUGUAUAUGGACUUCCUUCAUAACCUAUGGUUGUCUCUUACCGUGAGUACCAUAGUACUGGAUGAGUAAGCUGCAUGGGUCCUACCUCACUCUCACGAUAGGGAGGUAGGUCUAUAUACUUUGUAACGAAUGGUCCUAUUGUAUACUACUUUAACACUCCAGAAAUUGAUAGGCUAAACUAGAGCUUAACGUGAUGGUUAGAGGCAUGAAUGUAACUCCCCGUACUUAAAAUAGAGGAUUUCGUGUUAGAACGUCAAGGUACCACUCCUCAAGGACCAACCAUGGGCGCUUGAGGAGGAUCCUUAGAAAACUGCCUGGGAAGUGACUAACGGUAGGACCUAUUCCCCGUUGGUUAGUCCAUGCACCGUGGAUGGAGGGUCCGUGGCUUGGCCAAAAGUUGCAGUCACCAAACCACGGUUGACCAGCACGGACCGUUGGUCCAACCACGCCCCAUCAACGUAGUCUCGCGGAUGGUGCAUGGGACUAGUUUUAGUGGUUAAGUUUAGGGGUAUUUUGGGUCUUUUCGGUUUUAAUUAAGAUUAAGUGGUAUCGUUUUAGCCUAAUUUAGACCACAUGUAUAAUGAUUCUAAACCGUUAAAUUAAUUAAUUCAACUCAUUAUUUCUAAAACCCAAACCAAUUCCCAAAGUUCAUCCUCUCCAAAAAUUCUGUCCCUAGAAAAUUCAAAAAAGAAGAAGGAGAAUCAACUAGGGUUUCAAGAGAAGGAUUUUACAAAUCAAUUUCUUUGGGCAUUGUGACUAAGUUAUUGUGGUUUUCAUCCAUGGGUAUCUUUCACUCAUAGAGCCCUCUCAAAAUCUUUAGUUUCAAAUGGUAGAAUUCCCCCAAUUAGCUAGGGUUUUUGUUCAUUCACCAUGGGUUAUUUGAUUUACUGAUUUUAAUGGUUUAAUGAUGUCUAAAUAUGCAUUAUUUUAUGAUUUACAAUGCUUUUAUGAUGUUUCCCUUUUGAAGCUAUGUAAACACCCAUAUUUGGGUUGUUGAUUGUGAAAGAGGAGUUUUAUGAUCUAAAGUAUGAAUUAAUAGAAUUACAUGAAGUUAUGCUGAAAUCCCUAUCUAAUGCUUAAAUUCUAGACUAGGUGAUUUAUAGUGGCUUUGAACCUUGGAAGGGCAAAGUGUGAGUUUAUGCAUGAUCUUAUGCAGCUUAUGUAAAUGCUUUAAGGGUGCUUUGAGAGUAAAGUGCCAAUGUUGAUUGUGUUGUUGAAAGGUCAUUCUCAUGAAACACUUACAACCUUGAUGUGAAAGGUCUUCUCACAUAGAAAGAAUUCUUAGGUUGAAAAGCUAUUCUCACCUGAUUGAAUCAAUGAAUAAGAGCUAUCCUAAUGAACUAACUUGGAUUGAUUGUCAAGGACAUCCUUCCAUGAGACAUGAGUUAAGUAAGACUUAAUAAGUAUUCUGUGGAAAUUAUGCUUAGCACCAAGUGGAUAUUGAAAUGAUAUGGAAGUCUUUUACGUUAGUUGAGUCUAGGCUUCCCAUGCAUGUCUCAUGAGAUAGAAACCUUCUACAUUAGUUGAGUCCGAGUUUCUAGUAACAAUCUCCGUAUCCCAUAAACUAUGUGCCCCAUAGGUUAUCUAGCUAGUGGAUCCACCUAAGCUAAGAGUUCAUGGUUCUACCUUAGGCAAGUAGAACAACCCUUUUUGGUGUGGGAGACACCGGGUGAUCAUGUUUUAGCUCACAUGGUCUCUAUGUCGGUUAAGGUUAUUCUUCCCACAAUAAAAACAUGAAUAAUGAACUAUGGUUACUUAAGAGGCUUUGUAUAUGAGUUCAAAGGUUGUAAGAUGAUAUUGACUUAUGUUGUGCAUGAUUAUGACUUAUGAUUUCUAAUGUCAUAGAUGAUGUUUAAACUUGGCAAAUUGCAUGCUUCCAAAUGAAAUGUCACUUUUUUUGCAUAUUUCUAAUAUUUUUGUGCGUGGCUACUAUAUUAAGUGCAUUUUUAUACUAAUGCCUACUUUGCCUACAUUUUUCCCAAGUGUAGGAUCUCGUACUAGAGGCGAUCAUACUUGUGGCUAGAGCUUGGAUUUUGUUAUUCCCCAAGCUUGGUGAGUCCUCAUGGUUUCGAGGAAGGAUUUCUUGUCUUUUGUUUCCUUCAUGUACUUUCCCUUUUCGUACAUGUUGUAUGGGCUAGGCCCUAUUUUAUUAAAGUAUUGUAAUAGAUGGCUAUAUUGAGACAAGUCUAGACUUUCGCUUUCUUCUAUGAAAAACUUUUAAGACUUGAAAUGUGUUUUACUCUUUAUUGUUCUAAUCUUAUGUUAUGAAAGCUAAGGGGUUGUAUGGAGUCCUUCGAGGUUCUAUACGCCUUGUUACAUCUAGGGGGUACCACUGGGUUGUGACAAACUUGGUAAUCAGAGCACGAGGUUUAGAAUGAUUCUAGGAUGAAGUCUGAUAAGCCACGUCUAGUAGAGUCUUGUUCAUGAGUGUGUAGCACACCUUACUUAUGAAUGAGAGGCUAUAAGAUGUUUUGGAUAUUUCCCUUCUUUAUUACUCUUAAGUCGUGCCUUAGAGUUUAACUCUAAAAGAUUUCUCUCUCCUAAUCCAUCUCUUGUGUGUUUAGGAUAUGAAUACAUGAAGGGCUAAUGCUAGAAGGAUGUAAGAUGACAUUGUGAAUCAAGGAGCUCCAUUUCAAGCUCCCCAAGCUCCGAUAGAUCCUUUGGUUGAGAAUGUGACACAUGUAGAGUUUAGGUCGACUAUCCUAAUGUUGGCUCAAGCCAUGACGGCUCCAGCCAAUAGAUAGGUUGUAGCUUCAGUGAAUCUUAGUGUGAAUUCGGCUGCUUCAAGGGUGAGGGAUUUUGCACAAACGAACCCUCCGAAAUUUCAUGGAUCCAAAGUGGAAGAGGAUCCUCAAAGGUUUAUCGACGAGGUUUGUAAAGUACUUGCUAUUAUGGGGGUAUCUCCGAAAGAAAAGACGGAGUUAGCCGCCUACCAACUAAAAGAUGUGGCUCAAGUGUGGUAUGAUUAGUGGAAGGGAGAGAGACCCAUGGGAGCAGGCCCGGUAGAAUGGGAAUUAUUUAAAUCAGCAUUUCUUGAUAGGUUCUUCCCCCUCGAGUUGAGGGAGGCAAAGGCAGAAGAGUUCAUUAACCUUGGUCAAUGAUGUAUGAGUGUUAAGGAGUAUGCACUAAAGUUCACCCAACUCUCCAAAUAUUCUUCUACUAUGGUGGCAUACUCAAGGGCUAAGAUGAGUAGUCUUAUGCCGGGUGUGUCCAACAUGGUUGAAAAAGAGUGUCGUACAACAAUGCUCCUCCAUGAAUGUAUAUCUCAAGGCUUAUGGUGUACGCUCAAUAAAUUGAGGAAUCAAAACAUAUGGAGAAGAAUAGUGAGGUAAAAAGGGCUAAAACCGGUGAUGGGAAUUUCUCCAACUCAUGGUUCGAUGGACAAGGUCGACCUCAAUUUUGACAAAGGUUUUUCGGUCAAGAUUCAUAUAGUGCUCCUCCUAAGUCUAAUAUGGAAAGGGUGUCUAACCCUAAACCUCAAGGAGGAAAUGAAGGUGGUUCUUCUUUUGGUAGAUCUACAUGUGCCAAAUAUGGGAAGAAACAUGAUGGUUAGUGCCUAGCCGACACCGAUGGAUGUUUUAGUUGCGGGAAUAUUGUACACAAGAUGAGAGAUUGACCGAUCGUCAAGGUUAAUGGGAGAGAGGAUAAGCAAGCUCCUCUAAAUGGUUCAAACACCAAUUCCCCAAAGCAAAACCGCUUUUAUGCUCUUCAAUCCCGAGGUGACCAAGAGAUAUCCCUGAAUGUAGUCGCCGGUAUGUUACAAAUUUUUCAUCAUGAUGUAUAUGCUUUGUUAGAUCCCGUUGCUACUUUAUCUUUUGUGACGCCCUAUGUGGCGAUGAGAUUUGAUGUUUCCCCGGAAGUUCUCUUAGAACCCUUUCUAUCUCUACCCCUGUUGGUGAGUGUGUGGCAGCUAAGAGGGUCUAUAGGAUAUGUCCUAUUUCCUUAUCCCAUAGGAUUAAUUUGGUGGACUUGGUAGAGCUAGACAUUUUAGACUUCGAUGUGAUUCUUGGUAUGGAUUGGUUGCAUGUAUUUUAUGCCUCUAUCGAUCCGGUGGUUAGAUUCCAAUUCCCAAAUGAGCCUAUUUUAGAGUGGAAGGGGGGAAAUUCUACGCCUAGAGGUCAAUUUGUCUCUUGUCUUAAAGCUAGGAAGAUGAUCUCAAAAGGGUGUAUUUACCAUCUUGUUAGGGUGAGGGAUGUAGAUUCUGAAACCCCGUUUCUUGAGUCGGUAUCGAUAGUUAAUGAGUUCCAGGAAGUCUUCCCUGAUUAUUUACCCGGUAUUUCGCUCGAGCGGGAAAUAGAUUUUGGUAUUGACCUUCUACAGGAUACACAACCUCUCUUUAUCCCUCCUUAUAGAAUGGCUCUGGCGGAGUUGAAAGAGCAACUAAAGGAUUUGUUGGAUAACGAUUUCAUCAGAUCGAGUUUCUCUCCAUGGUGUGCUCCUGUGUUAUUUGUUCGAAAUAAAGAUGGGUCUCUUCAAAUGUGCAUUGAUUAUCGUCAAUUGUAUAAAGUGACCAUCAAGAAUAAGUAUCCUCUUCCAAGAAUUGAUGACUUUCUUGACCAAUUUCAAGGGGCUAGCUAUUUCUCUAAGAUUGAUCUUCGUUUGGGUUAUCACCAAUUGAGGGUGAGAGGGGAUGAUAUUCCAAAGAUGACAUUUACAACCCGGUAUGGUCAUUGUGAGUUUAUGGUAAUGUCAUUUGGGUUGACUAAUGCUCCGGCGACGUUUAUGGACUUGAUGAAUAGAGUGUUUUGGAAAUACCUAGACAUGUCUCUGAUUGUAUUUAUCGAUGAUAUUUUGAUCUAUUCAAGGAGUGAAAAUGAGCAUGUUGACCAUUUGAGAAUUGUUUUGCACGUUCUAAGGACCAACAACUUUUUGCUAAGUUUUGCAAGUGUAAAUUUUGGUUAAUGUUUGUAGCUUUCCUUGGUCAUAUUGUGUCAAGCAAGGGUAUUGAGGUAGAUCCUAAGAAGACGGAUGCGGUCAAAAGGUUGCCUAGACCUCUAUCUCCUUCAGACAUUAGAAGCUUUUUGAGUUUGGCCGGUUACUAUAGAAGUUUUUCAGAGGGAUUUUCUUCCAUUGCUUCUCCUUUGACGGCUUUGACUCAAAAAAAGGCUAAGUUUGUGUGGUCAGAAGCUUGUGAGAAAAGUUUCUAAGAAUUGAAAGAUUGACUUACUUCCUCUCCGGUGUUUACCUUACCGAAAGGUACAAAUGGUUUUCUGGUGUAUUGUGAUGCCUCUAGAGUUGUGUUGGGAUGUGUGCUUAUGCAAAAUGGUAAGAUUAUUCCUUAUUCUUCAAGGAAACUUAAAGUCCAUAAGAAGAAUUAUCUUACCCAUGAUCUUGAGUUAGCGGCUGUUGUUUUUGCCUUAAAGAUAUGGAGUCAUUAUUUGUAUGGGGUCCAUGUUGAUGCUUGCACCGAUUAUAAGAGUCUACAAUAUGUGUUUAGUAAAAAGGACUUGAAUCUUCACAAAAUAAGGUGGCCUGAGUUAUUGAAGGAUUAUUUUAUGACUGUCCUUUAUCACCCCGGUAAAGCAAAUGUGGUAGUGGAUGCUCUUACUAGAUUGUCAAUGGGUAGUGUGGCUCAUAAGGAUGAAGAAAAGAAAUAGUUGGUUCGUGAUGUUCAUAGGUUGGCCCGACUAGGUGUUCAACUAGGGUAUUUCACAAAGGGUGGUAUCAUGGUUUAUAAUGGCUUUGAAUCGUCCUUUGUGAUGGAUGUGAAGUCUAAGCAAAGUCUUGAUCCUAUCUUGAUUGAGUUGAAAGAGGCGGUACUUAAGAAGUCUGUUGAGGCUUCCUCCCAAGGGGGAGAUGGAGUACUGAGGUAGCAAGGUAGGUUAUGUGUUCCAAAUGUUGAUAACUUGAGGGAGAAGACUUUAGAAGAAGCCCAUAGUUCUCAAUAUUCUAUUCACCCGGGAGCCACAAAGAUGUACUGUGACCUACGAGAAGUCUAUUGGUGGAAUGGGAUGAAGAAAGAUAUCGCGGGAUUUGUGUCCAAGUGUCCUAAUUGUCAACAUGUGAGGGUUGAGCACCAAAGGCCAUGAGGCUUAUCACAAGACAUCGCUAUUCCUACUUAGAAAUGGGAAGAUGUGAACAUGGAUUUUAUUGUAGGCUUGCCACGUACUCCGUUCAUUUCAUUCCCGUCAAGGUGUCCUACUCGGCGGAAGAGUAUGCUAAGUUGUAUUUGAGGGAGAUAGUAAGGUUAUAUGGAGUACCCUUGUCUAUAAUUUCGGAUCGAGGUACCUAAUUUACUUCACACUAUUGGAAGUUUUUCCAAAAGGGGCUAGGUACCAAGGUGAAGCUUAGCACAACUUUUCACCCUCAAACGGAUGGGCAAGUGGAACGCACCAUUCAGACUUUGGAAGACAUGUUGAGGGCAUGCGUAAUAGAUUUUAAGGGCAAUUGGAUGACAAUAUGCCGUUAGUUGAGUUUGCUUAUAAUAACAGUUAUCAUUCGAGUAUCAACAUGUCUCUCUUUGAGGGUCUCUAUGGUAGCAGAUGUAGGUCUCGUAUAAGUUGGUUUGAAGUGGGAGAAGUUGCUCUCCUAGGUCCGGAAUUGGUUCAUGAGGCAAUUGAGAAGAUUCGGGUUAUUAGAGAGAGGUUGAGGAUGGCCCAAAGUCGGCAAAAGUCCUAUGCCAAUGUUUGUAGGAGAGAUCUCGAAUUUGAGGAGCAUGAUUGGGUUUAUUUAAAGGUCUCACCCAUGAAGGGUGUUAUGAGGUUUGGGAAGAAGGGGAAACAUAGUCCUCGUUUUGUGGGUCCUUAUGAGAUUUUUAGGCAUGUCGGUAAGGUUGCAUAUGAGUUAGAUUUUUCUAAUGAGUUGGCAUUAGUGCAUCCGGUGUUCCAUGUCUCAAUGUUGAAGAAAUGUGUUGGGGAUCCAUCAAUCAUUGUUCCCUUAAAGGGUUUAGAUAUUAAAGAGAAUCUUUCUUAUGAAGAGGUACCGGUUGAGAUCUUAGACCGGCAAGUGAAGCGGUUGAGAAACAAGGAAGUUGCCUCCAUGAAGGUAUUGUUAAGGAAUCACUUAGUUGAGGGUGCUACUUGGGAGGCUGAGGCCGACAUGAAGUCCCGAUAUCCUCAUCUUUUUCCUUCAUCUCCUAUUCCAACUUGAGGUAAUGAGUCCAUCUUGAGUUUUCUUGUUUAGGAGUCAUGUGUGAUUUAUGUGUUUCCAUGAUUUCCUUAUGUUUAUGCAUGUUCAUGAAAAAGCUUAUGCUUAGAAAGAAAAUGAGUUUUAUGAUUGAUGUCCGUCAUGUUGUGCUUUGGGUAUGAGUUGCCUAUUUACUUCAUGAGAUGAAUUGAUGAACAUGUUUAAUAUGCUUGUUGAGAGUAAAUUGCAUUUAGACUCCAUGAUAAUUGUUGAGUAUGCAUUAAAGCUUGGAGAAGGUAGUUCCUCCUAUGAACAUGAGAAAUGUUAAGACUUCAUGCAUAAUGGAUUGUUAGAUGUAGUUCCAACUUCCUUAUGAUGCAUUAAAUAUGUUUAAGUUGGAGUUGAUGUUUCCUCCCUUGAAUUAUGCAUUAUCUUGAUGUUGCAUGAAUGAUGGGCAUCUAGUCUUGAGUCUUUAAUUUCGUAAGGUGUCUAGAUCGUCGUUCGAUGAUGAAUGUUCCCAAGGGGGGAGAUAUUGUAACACUCCAAAAAUUAGUAGGCUAAACUACAACUUAAUGUGAGGGUUAGAGUUGUGAAUGUAACUCCCCGUACUUAAAAGAGAGGAUUUCAUGUUAGAACGUCAAGGUACCACCCCUCAUGGCCCAACCAUGGGCCCUUCAGGAGGACCCCUAGAAAACUGCCUUGGCAUUGACCAACGGCAAAACCUAUGCCCCAUGGAUGGAGGGUCCGUGGUUUGGCCAAAAGUUGCAGUCACCAAACCACGAUUGACCAGCACAGACUGUGGGUCUAACCACUGCCCGUCAGUGUGGUCUUGUAGAUGGUGCCUGGGAGCAGUUUUAGUGGUUAAGUUUAGGGGUAUUUUGGGUCUUUCCGGUUUUAAUUAAGAUUAAGUGGUGUCGUUUUAGCCUAAUUUAGAUCAUAUAUAUAAGGAUUUAAAACACCUAAAUUAAGACAUUCAACUCAUUAUUUCUAAAACCCAAAUCAAUUCCCAAAGUUCAUCCUCUCCGAAAAUUCUCUCUCUAGAAAACUCAAAGAAGAAGAAGAAGGAGAAUCAACUAGGUUUUCAAGAAAAGGCUUUUCCUAAACAAUUUUUUUGGGCAUUAUGACUAAGGUAUGGUGGUUUUCAUCCAUGCGUAGCUUUCAACCAUGGAACCAAUUAGCUUGGGUUUUCUUCAUUCACCAUGGAUUCUUUGAUUUACUGAUGUUAAUGGUUUAAUUAUGUCUAAAUAUGCAUGAAUUGAUGAUUUACAAUGCUUUUAUGAUGUUUCCCUUAUGAACCCAUGCAAACCCCCAUAUUUCUCCAAAUUGUGAUAUCAUAGGUUGGGUUGUUGAUUGUGAAAGAGGAGUUUUAUGAUCUAAAUUAUGAAUUAAUAGAAUUACAUGAAGUUAUGAAAAAAUCCCUAUCUAAUGCUUAAAUUAUAGACUUGGUGAUUGAUAGUGGCUUUGAACCUUGGAAGGGUAAAGUGUGAGUUUAUGCAUGAUCUUAUGAAACUUAUCUAAAUGCUUUAAGGGUGCUUUGAAAGUAAAGUGCCAAUUUUGAUUGUGUUGUUGUGUUGUUGAAAGGUCAUUCUCAUGAAAUACUUACAACCAUAAUGUGAAAGGUCUUCUCACAUAGAAAGGAUUCUUAGGUUGAAAGGUUGUUUUCACCUAAUUGAAUCAAUGAAUAAAAGUUAUCCUAAUGAACUAACUUGGAUUGAUUUCCAAGGACAUCAUUCCAUGAGACAUGAGUUAAGUAAGACUAAAUAAGUAUUCUGUGGGAAUUGUGCUUAGCACCGAGUGGAUAUUGAAAUGAGAUGGAAGUCUUUUAUGUCAGUUGAGUCCGGGCUUUCCACACAUGUCUCAUGAGAUGGAAACCUUCUACAUCAGUUGAGUCUGGGUUUCUAGUAGCAAUAUUCGUAUUCCAUAAACUAUGUUCCCCCAUAGGUUAUCUAGCUAGUGGAUCCACCUAAGCUAAGAGUUCAUGGAGACAAGUAAAUCAACCUUUUUCUGUGUGGGAGAAAUCGGGUGAUCAUGUUUUAGCUCACAUGGUCUCUAUGUCAGUUAAGGCUAUUCUUCCCACAAUAAGAACAUGAAUAAUGAACUAUGGUUACUCAAGAGACUUUGUAUAUGAAUUCAAAGGUUUUAAGAUCAUAUUGACUUGUGUUGUGCAUGGUUAUGACUUAUGAUUUCUAAUGUGUUAUAUGAUGUUUAAACUUGGCAAUUGCGUGCUUUCAAAUUAAAUGUCCCUUUUUUGCAUAUUUCUAAUAUUUUUGUGCAUGGCUACCAUACUUAGUGCAUUUUUUUACUAUUGCCUACUUUGCCUAUAUUUUUCCCAAGUAUAGGGUUCGGUACUCGAGGUGAUCAUACUUGUGGCUAGAGCUUGGAUUUUCUUGUUCCCUGAGCUUGGUGAGUCCUUAUGGUUUCAAGGACAAAUUUAUUAUCUUUUGUUUCUUUUAUGUACUUUUCCUUUCCGGAUAUGUUUUAUGGGCUAGGCCCUAAUUCAUUCAAGUAUUGUAAUAGAUGGCUAUAUUGAGACAAGUCUAGACUUCUGCUUUCUUCUAUGAAAAACUUUUAAGACUUGAAAUGUGUUUUUCUCUUUAUUGUUCUAUUCUUAUGUUAUGAAAGCUAAGGGGCUUUUAUGGAGUCCUCCAGGGUUCUAUACGCCUUGUUACAUCUAGGCGGUACCCCUAGGUCGUGACAACUCUACAUUGAUUUGCAUUACUGAUCACCAUUAUACUUGUUUAAUUAAUUGAUUGCACCAUUUUGCUUAUGGGCGACGGUUGGGUUAUAUUUGUUUUUUGUAUCUACCUGACUUAUAGGGGUUUGGUUAGGUUAUGUUUGAUUAUAUUAUUUUCUCUUUUACUAUUGAUCAUAUAGUUGAUAAGUUGUGAGUUAACUUUGUGGAUAUUAGUCUUGUUGGCCUACGAUAGUUGAAUCUUACACUUUUGUUGCUUAUGAGUAGGUUGUUGGCUUGCAUUCCAUGUAUGCUCUUGACUAAGUUCCUUAUUCCUUGUAUCCUACUUCUAUUCCUUAUUUCAUGUCUAUCAUAUUGUCUCUUGUUUAGUUACUUGUGUAAUGCUUUCUUUAUUACUUGUCUUUUAUACUUACCUUAUCUUUGGAGCUUAGUCGAUCAAUUCCUACUAAGUACCAUCUUUUGUACUCAUGCUACACUUCUGCUACCUACAAAUCAUUGUUUAAAUUCUUACCGUUGAUUUAGAGUCGUUUAAAGAAGCUUGGAGUUCAGAGACUAGGGUGAGCUCCUGACAUUCAAAGUAAUUAAUUUCCAUUUGUUGUGGUUAGACUUAUUCUUUAUAUUGCAUUUCGAAAAAACAUGUACUUAUUUUGUGUUUUUUUUUAAAAGCCUUGUAUUCUUAUUUUGAUUAGAAGCUUGAUUAUUGAGCCAAGGCUUAGCGAUGGUUUCAUGUAUUGCAUUUUGUAAAUUACACAACCUUCGCUAUGUUCAGCUUCAUGCUAUGGACUUUCAUUUGAUAGCAUGUUGCUUAUGUCUCCAGGCUAUGGGAUAGGCUUACCUACUAGUGGGGGUGUAGUAGGUUCCAUCAUGACCUUAAGAAUCAGGUAAUGUCAAGUUCGUAUUAGAGCUCUAGGUUGACCGAUAUCAUUGUUAUGAGAGAAAAUGCCUAGUAGAGUUGUAUAGAUCGAUGUGAAGAUAUGUUUAUUUUAUCAUUGGGAGGCUAUAAAGCAUUCUUAGGAAAUUCUGUUCUUGACUCCUUAGAAUGUGAUUUCUCUUCGAUUAACCUCUAAAACUUCUUUUUUGGAAUAUACUCUCUUUUAGAUAGAUAACGCGAGGUAUACAAUGGACAUGAGAGAAACGUCAACGCAUCCAACCAGAGUUUUAGUAUGUGGUUAGGUAAGAGGGCAUUAGUCAGAACAUGAGGUAGGAGAAAUUUUUCAAUAUUCAAAAUGUGUGAGGGAAACCUAGGUUCCAAUAGGGUUUGUGACUACCUCUAUUCCUUGAGAUUCAAUGUUAUGAGGUCUGAGAAUCUUCAAGGGUACACCAUAAAUAGGUGCUUCUCAGGGAAGGGUUUGUCACCUAUUAAAAAAUAUGUUAUCAGAUUCUAAAGAAGGGAGGUCUUCGUCCCACGUUGUUUCCCCGGGAGUUGAGUCAGGGGUUCAUUAGAGGGUUGCCUUGCCAUUCUAAUUAGUGUUAGAGCAUCUGAUAGUAGCAGGGUCUACCUUUCCAAAGUUUGUUAGUCAUGUGAUGUUCGUUGAGCAGAAAUGUAUGAAGGCUUACAGAGAUACUGGUAAGAGGCCUCACCAUCAAUACAAUAGCGACAACAUUCCCCUUCGAGGUGGGUAAUAUUUUAGUAAGGGUUAUCUUCUGUCCCAACCUAUUGACGCCUAUGACAGUAGCAAUUUAAGUACCAAAGGACUCUUAGGUAGUUCAUGGCGCCUACGACAGACAAAGCUUAGGUCGGACUUCACGAAGUGAUCAUCUCAGACCUUCAUAUGUUGGGCCUCACAUUACUCGAAUAGGGUCUUCACAACAUGUUGCUCUUGGUGACUUUUUCUAUGAGUGUGGCGAGGUAGGCAACUAAGGCAGAGAUUUUCGUACACUCCCAUUGUAGUUGGCUGGGGUGGUUUUAAGUGUUGGAGAGGUAACUAGGUCGCUCACCAUGUUCCUCAUGCUAGAAUUCAGACUAUAAAGGUUGCUAUGUUGUUCUGGUUGUGCUGGUUGUUCUAUGCUUCUGAUACUCCCAGGCUAGGUUGGUCUGACCUUUUUGUACUAGUGGGGCUGCCAUCGUUCUAAAAAGAUUGUCCUCGAUAUGGGACUAUGAUGAGAAGUAUUUAGUUAGGUUAGUCUUAUGUAUUGAUUGCACCUUUCGGUCAGAGGUUGUGCCUUUGGUGUUGGUGAUACUACCUUAGGUGUUCAGAUUGUUGUCGAGCAUGAUUCAUUUUAUCUUUCUACAGGCGGGCAAGAGGUCGAGGCUCCAUAUAUCCCUUCUAUGAAUGUAAUUUCAUGGUUUCAUCACUUGUCCUUAUCAUGUGAAAUAUGGGAUUUUCAUGCCCAUUCAUGUUUAUUUGACCUGCAAUCUAUUGUUGGCUUGUUAUGGUAGCUGUAUUUGAAGAUUUUGUAUGUGAUUUACCUCGUGUAGUUGAUUUAUUUUACUAGUGGAUCGACUGGGCAGUGUAUCUUUUAUUGCGACUAGUGGUUGUGUAACUCCCAGUGCUUUUACCUUUGUGGCUUUUGUCAUGUGUUCUCGUUAUGAUGACGAUUCUUGUUAGAGAGGUGGCUAAACCAGCUUUUCCCGAUUUUAUGUUGUUCGGCCUGGUCAGCUUAGGAGGUUACCAUAGUUGUGUGCCAUCCUUUUUAAGUAGUAGUUGGGUGGUUGCUAGUUGUCAGAGUUGUGUGAGGAGUAGUUUUGCCUUUUAAAGUUCUAUAUUAGUUUUAGUUGGCUUCUUUCUUCCUUUUCAUUAGUCUUAUUCUCGGCUGUGAAAUUGUAUUUUGGAUCGUUCGAUCUGUUUGGAUUCAUCUUCUUCUGGUGGUCUUGGAGUUUUUUUAUGGCUAGAAGGAAUUUGGAGGUGUGAUUUCUUAUUGUACCUUUUUAUUGCAUUCAUUUUUUCUCGGUGAUUUUAUUGAUAGUUCUCGAGGUUGUCUUGCGAUUGGGAGUCAGAGUGGUGGUGCUCAUUGGUGGUUUCAAACUUUAGCUUUUGUUAGUGAGUAGAAAUUUACCAAGAAGGUUCAUCUUUUUAAUGGGGUCAAAGUGAUUCGUGGAACCUAUGCUUUGGUUCUUAUUCAAGAUGUGAGGUAUGCUUCUAUCAUAUUUGGUUGCUUGUGAAGUUUGUUGAUGGAAUUUGGCACCCUAGGGUCAUUAGUGGUAAGUUGAGUAUGUCUGUACACUACCUACCAACUUGGUUUCCCUUAGGAUGAGGUGUUUGGCCUAGAUUGGUGGUGGCGGAGUAGUUUGUGGGCUCAUGUUGUCGGUUUCUUAGAAGUUUCUUUGGAGGAAAGUGCUUAGCUUUAGAAGGUUGAGGUCCAACUUAGAUUGUUUACUUUUUAGAUUAAGGAGUGGAUUUUGGGCUUUGCCCUAUGCUUAGUUCCUUGUUUUGGUGAAUGUCAUUCCUCGGUGUUCAGGUGGAGCAUGUGGUUCUUCCGAGGUUUGUGUUAUAUGGAUUUGGAAGCAGGUUUUCAUAUGGAGCUGGGGAUGUUCAGAAUAGCUCUGAGAUGACAGAAUGCUCUUUAUUGCUAGAAGAUGUUAUAUUUGGAGCAUAAGGUAAGUAUUUUGAUUUAUGGGGUUUGGUUUCUAUUGCCUUUGUCCAAUGUCUCUAUUCAGUGGCUUUGGUGUGGUGUUGGUUUUCUCAGAUGAAUCUAGUGCUUUAAGACAAGUUUGAUUAUGCUAAGUGAGAGUUGGAGCCCAAAGAGGAAUUAAAGGAGUUUUUGGAGCUUUGAAGUGAACUUGAGGAUAUUCCUGUUAGCCCAACUUCUCUGUUGGUGUUGUUUGAUCCGAGAGGGUGUCUGGGAUAUGGCGGACCAUGCAGACCCGAUAUUAUUAUCUUUUCAUGCCUUUAGAUUGUAACUGUCCUUCUACUUUCACAAAUGAAUUUUAUUUUUAGUAAAUUUUUCAAUGACCUUCCAAGUCAUUCAUUUUGUUUUCUAAUCAUUUAAGCAUUUAGAGCUUUCUGUAGGGAUCCCAAGUAAUUUAUUACUUGUUGGGACUGACAUUUUGGUCACCAGGUCGUUCAUUUGAGUUUUUUUGCAAGUUUUCGUGUUUUGGAGCCUUUGUAACUUGAAUGGUUGACUUCUCCCAAAACAUCAUAAAGAUGGACUUCAAAUGUAAUUUUGUCGGUUUUAUCAACUUUGAAAGAGCCAUUUUAGGCUAAGGGCCUGAUUAGUUCAGGUCAUGGGACUUUCAGUGCGAGUUUGUGCCGUUAGGCAUUUUAACUUUUGAAGUUUUGGCCAAAGGGUUGACUUCGGUCAACAUCCUUGGUAAAUGUGCUCAAAGGAGAAUUUCAUGAACGCAAUUAGCUAUGAAAUGUGAAGUUUAGUCUAGAAUGACAUUACGUGGGGUUCCCGAGGCUUCUAACCGCAUUUUAAAUCCUAUGGUGGAUUUUGGGUAAAAAUGGAGCUUGGGUGUGGGACCCACUUUUCAUUCAGAUGAACUUGGAUGGAAGUUUUGAUGGUUCUAUUGAGUCCGAAAUGCUGAUUUCGAUGGGGUAACUUAUUGUAUUUGUGUGCACGGGUUUCCAAACAAAUCUCGCACACUCCAUUGGAGUUCUUAAUGUUUGAGCAAACUUAUUGAAGUGCAGAAAGCUUUCGCAACUUAAGGUUUGUUUUGUGUUCGCGCGCCUAGGGCCGCAUUAAAGGAAAAUGGUCAUCCAGGGUCACAUUUGUGUUCCCCCCGUAGCCUAGCGUUUGCGAUGCCUUGGCAGCCUGGCCCUACCGGUUUGCAGUAUGCCAACUGCAUUUGCGGAGCCCUAGGGAGCUAGCCUCCACAUUCACGAGGAACUAUGGUGUUUGCGAUGCCUACCUUCUAGCCAACCACGUUCAUGAUAGCUAAUUGACUGGUCUUUUUUUAAUUAAGACUAGAGACGUGAAUUCAGCUCACUUCCAAACUUUAAAUUUUGAUUCCUUGAGCUUGGGAGCUCUAUUUCAAGAGAUUUCAUGGGUUGUGUAUUCAUGUCUAUUUUGGCUACAUAUUGGAAUGUUUGGGAAGUCUGAAGAUCAUUGGUUUGAGUUAAUUCUCGCCCGAAAGGGGCUGCUAUGUCUCUUUAAUUGGUGAUUUUUGUGAAUGUUUUCCUUUGGGCUAUUGCGAGCGACAAAUUGUGUCCCAUUUUAGUACACAAGCUUGGUAAGUAAUCUAGGACCUUUUGAUGAAGUCAUUUUGGAAUUCCCAGCAUGGGUCCCACAUUCCUCUUUUAACUUAUUUUAGGUCUGUUCUAGUUUUACAAAUUUGGUGUUUAAGCGAUUAUAAUUUGAUAGCAUUGUGGUGUUCGGUGGAGUUUUGAAGUGGAUAGAUCUUGUGCAGUAGAUUCAAAGCGUAUGUAAUUGGCUAUGGGUAGGCUUUAGUUUACUUUCUUAAUUUGUCUUUUUAGAUUAUGUUUUGUAUGAAUCAUAUGUGAUUUAGCACUGUAAUUGUCGCGAAUUAGCCUUCCUUCUCCUCUUAUAUCAUUUCUUGAUUAUCGUAGGAGCAUGGGGUCUUUUGUGGGUGAGGUGAUCACUAGUUUAGGUUGUAGCUUUGCUUGUAGUAUGCCCUAGCUCGUGUAUCCUUGUUAUAAUUUGUAAUUUGUGGCCUUAGUUUAGAGUUGAGCCUUAGACUAUUUAGACUGUCUUUUAUCACCCUUGUAGCUGUGAAUUAUUCCCCAUAGGUCUUGUAGUGGAUAUUUUUUCGUGUGAUAUUACUUGAGACCUUAGUGGCUCAUCAUAGCCGUAGGCUGGCUAUAUUUGUGCUCAGUCGUAGGUUGGAGCGGUGUGGUUGAGGGUAAGGCGUCAUUCCUUGAGUUAUUUCUCCCCCUUUAUGUGAUAUUUGAGAUCUUCUUGAUUUCCUUUUCUUCUGAGUAGCAUGAGCAUUUAUGCUUUACUGAGCUUAUGUAUAUUGUUGGGCCCAAGGGUGUGGUCAAGGAACAAUUGGAUUCCAGGUUAGUUUAGUCUACCUUGGUAGCAUGGUAGAAUUGAUAGUGUAUUUCUAAUUGUGUGUGUGAUAUACCGCGUAUUUACGAUACUUAUAAUGCUUUAUACUUGAUGUUUGACAUGUCUUUUAAUUAUUUUUUAGUAGAUUGGAUGGUAUUUUAUCUUGGUUUUUGCAGGAAAAUAUUUUAUUGGCAAGUCGGGUUGAAGAGUACAAUGAAACAACAUCUUUUUGAGGUUUGACGAGUUGACCUAUAAGCCAUAGACUUGUCUAUUAGCCGUAGGAAUGUUUUAGAUGAGGACUAAAGUUUUUGGAGCUAGGUAUGGGACCAUGAUACUGGACUACUAGUUGUAGGAACUUCUACGAGUCAUAGGUCCAAGGAGGAGAAAAAGUUCAGAGAUAGGUGAGUUCUAACGUAUGCAUCCGUUAAACAACAAUCAAACCGAUAAAAUCUUCACUACAUCUUAGGAACCCACUAUCUCAGACCUUUCUCUAUGACUUGGACCUACGGCUCGUAGACUAGCCUCCUAGUCCUUUACUUAGCUCCAAAUUCUUCAGUCCUCAUAAACGACUCAUUCAUAUGGUUCGUAAGCAAGUCUACAGCUCUAAAGGUUGUUGUUCCGCUGUACUCUUCAACCCGACUUGCCAAUAAAAUAUUUUCCUGCAAAAACCAAGAUAAAAUACCAUCCAAUCUAAAAUAAAAUAAUUAAAAGACAUGUCAAACAUCAAGUAUAAAGCAUUAUAAGUAUCGUAAAUACGCGGUAUAUCACACACACAAUUAGAAAUACACUAUCAAUUCUACCAUGCUACCAAGGUAGACUAAACUAACCUGGAAUCCAAUUGUUCCUUGACCACACCCUUGGGCCCAACAAUAUACAUAAGCUCAGUAAAGCAUAAAUGCUCAUGCUACUCAGAAGAAAAGGAAAUCAAGAAGAUCUCAAAUAUCACAUAAAGGGGGAGAAAUAACUCAAGGAAUGACGCCUUACCCUCAACCACACCGCUCCAACCUACGACUGAGCACAAAUAUAGCCAGCCUACGGCUAUGAUGAGCCACUAAGGUCUCAAGUAAUAUCACACGAAAAAAUAUCCACUACAAGACCUAUGGGGAAUAAUUCACAGCUACAAGGGUGAUAAAAGACAGUCUAAAUAGUCUAAGGCUCAACUCUAAACUAAGGCCACAAAUUACAAAUUAUAACAAGGAUACACGAGCUAGGGCAUACUACAAGCAAAGCUACAACCUAAACUAGUGAUCACCUCACCCACAAAAGACCCCAUGCUCCUACGAUAAUCAAGAAAUGAUAUAAGAGGAGAAGGAAGGCUAAUUCGCGACAAUUACAGUGCUAAAUCACAUAUGAUUCAUACAAAACAUAAUCUAAAAAGACAAAUUAAGAAAGUAAACUAAAGCCUACCCAUAGCCAAUUACAUACGCUUUGAAUCUACUGCACAAGAUCUAUCCACUUCAAAACUCCACCGAACACCACAAUGCUAUCAAAUUAUAAUCGCUUAAACACCAAAUUUGUAAAACUAGAACAGACCUAAAAUAAGUUAAAAGAGGAAUGUGGGACCCAUGCUGGGAAUUCCAAAAUGACUUCAUCAAAAGGUCCUAGAUUACUUACCAAGCUUGUGUACUAAAAUGGGACACAAUUUGUCGCUCGCAAUAGCCCAAAGGAAAACAUUCACAAAAAUCACCAAUUAAAGAGACAUAGCAGCCCCUUUCGGGCGAGAAUUAACUCAAACCAAUGAUCUUCAGACUUCCCAAACAUUCCAAUAUGUAGCCAAAAUAGACAUGAAUACACAACCCAUGAAAUCUCUUGAAAUAGAGCUCCCAAGCUCAAGGAAUCAAAAUUUAAAGUUUGGAAGUGAGCUGAAUUCACGUCUCUAGUCUUAAUUAAAAAAAGACCAGUCAAUUAGCUAUCAUGAACGUGGUUGGCUAGAAGGUAGGCAUCGCAAACACCAUAGUUCCUCGUGAAUGUGGAGGCUAGCUCCCUAGGGCUCCGCAAAUGCAGUUGGCAUACUGCAAACCGGUAGGGCCAGGCUGCCAAGGCAUCGCAAACGCUAGGCUACGGGGGGAACACAAAUGUGACCCUGGAUGACCAUUUUCCUUUAAUGCGGCCCUAGGCGCGCGAACACAAAACAAACCUUAAGUUGCGAAAGCUUUCUGCACUUCAAUAAGUUUGCUCAAACAUUAAGAACUCCAAUGGAGUGUGCGAGAUUUGUUUGGAAACCCGUGCACACAAAUACAAUAAGUUACCCCAUCGAAAUCAGCAUUUCGGACUCAAUAGAACCAUCAAAACUUCCAUCCAAGUUCAUCUGAAUGAAAAGUGGGUCCCACACCCAAGCUCCAUUUUUACCCAAAAUCCACCAUAGGAUUUAAAAUGCGGUUAGAAGCCUCGGGAACCCCACGUAAUGUCAUUCUAGACUAAACUUCACAUUUCAUAGCUAAUUGCGUUCAUGAAAUUCUCCUUUGAGCACAUUUACCAAGGAUGUUGACCGAAGUCAACCCUUUGGCCAAAACUUCAAAAGUUAAAAUGCCUAACGGCACAAACUCGCACUGAAAGUCCCAUGACCUGAACUAAUCAGGCCCUUAGCCUAAAAUGGCUCUUUCAAAGUUGAUAAAACCGACAAAAUUACAUUUGAAGUCCAUCUUUAUGAUGUUUUGGGAGAAGUCAACCAUUCAAGUUACAAAGGCUCCAAAACACGAAAACUUGCAAAAAAACUCAAAUGAACGACCUGGUGACCAAAAUGUCAGUCCCAACAAGUAAUAAAUUACUUGGGAUCCCUACAGAAAGCUCUAAAUGCUUAAAUGAUUAGAAAACAAAAUGAAUGACUUGGAAGGUCAUUGAAAAAUUUACUAAAAAUAAAAUUCAUUUGUGAAAGUAGAAGGACAGUUACAAUCUAAAGGCAUGAAAAGAUAAUAAUAUCGGGUCUGCAUGGUCCGCCAUAUCCCAGACACCCUCUCGGAUCAAACAACACCAACAGAGAAGUUGGGCUAACAGGAAUAUCCUCAAGUUCACUUCAAAGCUCCAAAAACUCCUUUAAUUCCUCUUUGGGCUCCAACUCUCACUUAGCAUAAUCAAACUUGUCUUAAAGCACUAGAUUCAUCUGAGAAAACCAACACCACACCAAAGCCACUGAAUAGAGACAUUGGACAAAGGCAAUAGAAACCAAACCCCAUAAAUCAAAAUACUUAUGUCAGUUGAGUCCGGGCUUUCCACACAUGUCUCAUGAGAUGGAAACCUUCUAUGUUAGUUGAGUCCGUGUUUCUAGUAGCAAUAUCCGUAUCCCAUAAACGAUGUGCCCCCAUAGGUUAUCUAGCUAGUGGAUCCACCUAAGCUAAGAGUUCAUGGAGACAAGUAAAUCAACCUUUUUCUGUGUGGGAGAAAUCGGGUGAUCAUGUUUUAGCUCACAUGGUCUCUAUGUCAGUUAAGGCUAUUCUUCCCACAAUAAGAACAUGAAUAAUGAACUAUGGUUACUCAAGAGACUUUGUAUAUGAAUUCAAAGGUUUUAAGAUCAUAUUGACUUGUGUUGUGCAUGGUUAUGACUUAUGAUUUCUAAUGUGUUAUAUGAUGUUUAAACUUGGCAAUUGCGUGCUUUCAAAUUAAAUGUCCCUUUUUUGCAUAUUUCUAAUAUUUUUGUGCAUGGCUACCAUACUUAGUGCAUUUUUUUACUAUUGCCUACUUUGCCUAUAUUUUUCCCAAGUAUAGGGUUCGGUACUCGAGGUGAUCAUACUUGUGGCUAGAGCUUGGAUUUUCUUGUUCCCUGAGCUUGGUGAGUCCUUAUGGUUUCAAGGACAAAUUUAUUAUCUUUUGUUUCUUUUAUGUACUUUUCCUUUCCGGAUAUGUUUUAUGGGCUAGGCCCUAAUUCAUUCAAGUAUUGUAAUAGAUGGCUAUAUUGAGACAAGUCUAGACUUCUGCUUUCUUCUAUGAAAAACUUUUAAGACUUGAAAUGUGUUUUUCUCUUUAUUGUUCUAUUCUUAUGUUAUGAAAGCUAAGGGGCUUUUAUGGAGUCCUCCAGGGUUCUAUACGCCUUGUUACAUCUAGGCGGUACCCCUAGGUCGUGACAACUCUACAUUGAUUUGCAUUACUGAUCACCAUUAUACUUGUUUAAUUAAUUGAUUGCACCAUUUUGCUUAUGGGCGACGGUUGGGUUAUAUUUGUUUUUUGUAUCUACCUGACUUAUAGGGGUUUGGUUAGGUUAUGUUUGAUUAUAUUAUUUUCUCUUUUACUAUUGAUCAUAUAGUUGAUAAGUUGUGAGUUAACUUUGUGGAUAUUAGUCUUGUUGGCCUACGAUAGUUGAAUCUUACACUUUUGUUGCUUAUGAGUAGGUUGUUGGCUUGCAUUCCAUGUAUGCUCUUGACUAAGUUCCUUAUUCCUUGUAUCCUACUUCUAUUCCUUAUUUCAUGUCUAUCAUAUUGUCUCUUGUUUAGUUACUUGUGUAAUGCUUUCUUUAUUACUUGUCUUUUAUACUUACCUUAUCUUUGGAGCUUAGUCGAUCAAUUCCUACUAAGUACCAUCUUUUGUACUCAUGCUACACUUCUGCUACCUACAAAUCAUUGUUUAAAUUCUUACCGUUGAUUUAGAGUCGUUUAAAGAAGCUUGGAGUUCAGAGACUAGGGUGAGCUCCUGACAUUCAAAGUAAUUAAUUUCCAUUUGUUGUGGUUAGACUUAUUCUUUAUAUUGCAUUUCGAAAAAACAUGUACUUAUUUUGUGUUUUUUUUUAAAAGCCUUGUAUUCUUAUUUUGAUUAGAAGCUUGAUUAUUGAGCCAAGGCUUAGCGAUGGUUUCAUGUAUUGCAUUUUGUAAAUUACACAACCUUCGCUAUGUUCAGCUUCAUGCUAUGGACUUUCAUUUGAUAGCAUGUUGCUUAUGUCUCCAGGCUAUGGGAUAGGCUUACCUACUAGUGGGGGUGUAGUAGGUUCCAUCAUGACCUUAAGAAUCAGGUAAUGUCAAGUUCGUAUUAGAGCUCUAGGUUGACCGAUAUCAUUGUUAUGAGAGAAAAUGCCUAGUAGAGUUGUAUAGAUCGAUGUGAAGAUAUGUUUAUUUUAUCAUUGGGAGGCUAUAAAGCAUUCUUAGGAAAUUCUGUUCUUGACUCCUUAGAAUGUGAUUUCUCUUCGAUUAACCUCUAAAACUUCUUUUUUGGAAUAUACUCUCUUUUAGAUAGAUAACGCGAGGUAUACAAUGGACAUGAGAGAAACGUCAACGCAUCCAACCAGAGUUUUAGUAUGUGGUUAGGUAAGAGGGCAUUAGUCAGAACAUGAGGUAGGAGAAAUUUUUCAAUAUUCAAAAUGUGUGAGGGAAACCUAGGUUCCAAUAGGGUUUGUGACUACCUCUAUUCCUUGAGAUUCAAUGUUAUGAGGUCUGAGAAUCUUCAAGGGUACACCAUAAAUAGGUGCUUCUCAGGGAAGGGUUUGUCACCUAUUAAAAAAUAUGUUAUCAGAUUCUAAAGAAGGGAGGUCUUCGUCCCACGUUGUUUCCCCGGGAGUUGAGUCAGGGGUUCAUUAGAGGGUUGCCUUGCCAUUCUAAUUAGUGUUAGAGCAUCUGAUAGUAGCAGGGUCUACCUUUCCAAAGUUUGUUAGUCAUGUGAUGUUCGUUGAGCAGAAAUGUAUGAAGGCUUACAGAGAUACUGGUAAGAGGCCUCACCAUCAAUACAAUAGCGACAACAUUCCCCUUCGAGGUGGGUAAUAUUUUAGUAAGGGUUAUCUUCUGUCCCAACCUAUUGACGCCUAUGACAGUAGCAAUUUAAGUACCAAAGGACUCUUAGGUAGUUCAUGGCGCCUACGACAGACAAAGCUUAGGUCGGACUUCACGAAGUGAUCAUCUCAGACCUUCAUAUGUUGGGCCUCACAUUACUCGAAUAGGGUCUUCACAACAUGUUGCUCUUGGUGACUUUUUCUAUGAGUGUGGCGAGGUAGGCAACUAAGGCAGAGAUUUUCGUACACUCCCAUUGUAGUUGGCUGGGGUGGUUUUAAGUGUUGGAGAGGUAACUAGGUCGCUCACCAUGUUCCUCAUGCUAGAAUUCAGACUAUAAAGGUUGCUAUGUUGUUCUGGUUGUGCUGGUUGUUCUAUGCUUCUGAUACUCCCAGGCUAGGUUGGUCUGACCUUUUUGUACUAGUGGGGCUGCCAUCGUUCUAAAAAGAUUGUCCUCGAUAUGGGACUAUGAUGAGAAGUAUUUAGUUAGGUUAGUCUUAUGUAUUGAUUGCACCUUUCGGUCAGAGGUUGUGCCUUUGGUGUUGGUGAUACUACCUUAGGUGUUCAGAUUGUUGUCGAGCAUGAUUCAUUUUAUCUUUCUACAGGCGGGCAAGAGGUCGAGGCUCCAUAUAUCCCUUCUAUGAAUGUAAUUUCAUGGUUUCAUCACUUGUCCUUAUCAUGUGAAAUAUGGGAUUUUCAUGCCCAUUCAUGUUUAUUUGACCUGCAAUCUAUUGUUGGCUUGUUAUGGUAGCUGUAUUUGAAGAUUUUGUAUGUGAUUUACCUCGUGUAGUUGAUUUAUUUUACUAGUGGAUCGACUGGGCAGUGUAUCUUUUAUUGCGACUAGUGGUUGUGUAACUCCCAGUGCUUUUACCUUUGUGGCUUUUGUCAUGUGUUCUCGUUAUGAUGACGAUUCUUGUUAGAGAGGUGGCUAAACCAGCUUUUCCCGAUUUUAUGUUGUUCGGCCUGGUCAGCUUAGGAGGUUACCAUAGUUGUGUGCCAUCCUUUUUAAGUAGUAGUUGGGUGGUUGCUAGUUGUCAGAGUUGUGUGAGGAGUAGUUUUGCCUUUUAAAGUUCUAUAUUAGUUUUAGUUGGCUUCUUUCUUCCUUUUCAUUAGUCUUAUUCUCGGCUGUGAAAUUGUAUUUUGGAUCGUUCGAUCUGUUUGGAUUCAUCUUCUUCUGGUGGUCUUGGAGUUUUUUUAUGGCUAGAAGGAAUUUGGAGGUGUGAUUUCUUAUUGUACCUUUUUAUUGCAUUCAUUUUUUCUCGGUGAUUUUAUUGAUAGUUCUCGAGGUUGUCUUGCGAUUGGGAGUCAGAGUGGUGGUGCUCAUUGGUGGUUUCAAACUUUAGCUUUUGUUAGUGAGUAGAAAUUUACCAAGAAGGUUCAUCUUUUUAAUGGGGUCAAAGUGAUUCGUGGAACCUAUGCUUUGGUUCUUAUUCAAGAUGUGAGGUAUGCUUCUAUCAUAUUUGGUUGCUUGUGAAGUUUGUUGAUGGAAUUUGGCACCCUAGGGUCAUUAGUGGUAAGUUGAGUAUGUCUGUACACUACCUACCAACUUGGUUUCCCUUAGGAUGAGGUGUUUGGCCUAGAUUGGUGGUGGCGGAGUAGUUUGUGGGCUCAUGUUGUCGGUUUCUUAGAAGUUUCUUUGGAGGAAAGUGCUUAGCUUUAGAAGGUUGAGGUCCAACUUAGAUUGUUUACUUUUUAGAUUAAGGAGUGGAUUUUGGGCUUUGCCCUAUGCUUAGUUCCUUGUUUUGGUGAAUGUCAUUCCUCGGUGUUCAGGUGGAGCAUGUGGUUCUUCCGAGGUUUGUGUUAUAUGGAUUUGGAAGCAGGUUUUCAUAUGGAGCUGGGGAUGUUCAGAAUAGCUCUGAGAUGACAGAAUGCUCUUUAUUGCUAGAAGAUGUUAUAUUUGGAGCAUAAGGUAAGUAUUUUGAUUUAUGGGGUUUGGUUUCUAUUGCCUUUGUCCAAUGUCUCUAUUCAGUGGCUUUGGUGUGGUGUUGGUUUUCUCAGAUGAAUCUAGUGCUUUAAGACAAGUUUGAUUAUGCUAAGUGAGAGUUGGAGCCCAAAGAGGAAUUAAAGGAGUUUUUGGAGCUUUGAAGUGAACUUGAGGAUAUUCCUGUUAGCCCAACUUCUCUGUUGGUGUUGUUUGAUCCGAGAGGGUGUCUGGGAUAUGGCGGACCAUGCAGACCCGAUAUUAUUAUCUUUUCAUGCCUUUAGAUUGUAACUGUCCUUCUACUUUCACAAAUGAAUUUUAUUUUUAGUAAAUUUUUCAAUGACCUUCCAAGUCAUUCAUUUUGUUUUCUAAUCAUUUAAGCAUUUAGAGCUUUCUGUAGGGAUCCCAAGUAAUUUAUUACUUGUUGGGACUGACAUUUUGGUCACCAGGUCGUUCAUUUGAGUUUUUUUGCAAGUUUUCGUGUUUUGGAGCCUUUGUAACUUGAAUGGUUGACUUCUCCCAAAACAUCAUAAAGAUGGACUUCAAAUGUAAUUUUGUCGGUUUUAUCAACUUUGAAAGAGCCAUUUUAGGCUAAGGGCCUGAUUAGUUCAGGUCAUGGGACUUUCAGUGCGAGUUUGUGCCGUUAGGCAUUUUAACUUUUGAAGUUUUGGCCAAAGGGUUGACUUCGGUCAACAUCCUUGGUAAAUGUGCUCAAAGGAGAAUUUCAUGAACGCAAUUAGCUAUGAAAUGUGAAGUUUAGUCUAGAAUGACAUUACGUGGGGUUCCCGAGGCUUCUAACCGCAUUUUAAAUCCUAUGGUGGAUUUUGGGUAAAAAUGGAGCUUGGGUGUGGGACCCACUUUUCAUUCAGAUGAACUUGGAUGGAAGUUUUGAUGGUUCUAUUGAGUCCGAAAUGCUGAUUUCGAUGGGGUAACUUAUUGUAUUUGUGUGCACGGGUUUCCAAACAAAUCUCGCACACUCCAUUGGAGUUCUUAAUGUUUGAGCAAACUUAUUGAAGUGCAGAAAGCUUUCGCAACUUAAGGUUUGUUUUGUGUUCGCGCGCCUAGGGCCGCAUUAAAGGAAAAUGGUCAUCCAGGGUCACAUUUGUGUUCCCCCCGUAGCCUAGCGUUUGCGAUGCCUUGGCAGCCUGGCCCUACCGGUUUGCAGUAUGCCAACUGCAUUUGCGGAGCCCUAGGGAGCUAGCCUCCACAUUCACGAGGAACUAUGGUGUUUGCGAUGCCUACCUUCUAGCCAACCACGUUCAUGAUAGCUAAUUGACUGGUCUUUUUUUAAUUAAGACUAGAGACGUGAAUUCAGCUCACUUCCAAACUUUAAAUUUUGAUUCCUUGAGCUUGGGAGCUCUAUUUCAAGAGAUUUCAUGGGUUGUGUAUUCAUGUCUAUUUUGGCUACAUAUUGGAAUGUUUGGGAAGUCUGAAGAUCAUUGGUUUGAGUUAAUUCUCGCCCGAAAGGGGCUGCUAUGUCUCUUUAAUUGGUGAUUUUUGUGAAUGUUUUCCUUUGGGCUAUUGCGAGCGACAAAUUGUGUCCCAUUUUAGUACACAAGCUUGGUAAGUAAUCUAGGACCUUUUGAUGAAGUCAUUUUGGAAUUCCCAGCAUGGGUCCCACAUUCCUCUUUUAACUUAUUUUAGGUCUGUUCUAGUUUUACAAAUUUGGUGUUUAAGCGAUUAUAAUUUGAUAGCAUUGUGGUGUUCGGUGGAGUUUUGAAGUGGAUAGAUCUUGUGCAGUAGAUUCAAAGCGUAUGUAAUUGGCUAUGGGUAGGCUUUAGUUUACUUUCUUAAUUUGUCUUUUUAGAUUAUGUUUUGUAUGAAUCAUAUGUGAUUUAGCACUGUAAUUGUCGCGAAUUAGCCUUCCUUCUCCUCUUAUAUCAUUUCUUGAUUAUCGUAGGAGCAUGGGGUCUUUUGUGGGUGAGGUGAUCACUAGUUUAGGUUGUAGCUUUGCUUGUAGUAUGCCCUAGCUCGUGUAUCCUUGUUAUAAUUUGUAAUUUGUGGCCUUAGUUUAGAGUUGAGCCUUAGACUAUUUAGACUGUCUUUUAUCACCCUUGUAGCUGUGAAUUAUUCCCCAUAGGUCUUGUAGUGGAUAUUUUUUCGUGUGAUAUUACUUGAGACCUUAGUGGCUCAUCAUAGCCGUAGGCUGGCUAUAUUUGUGCUCAGUCGUAGGUUGGAGCGGUGUGGUUGAGGGUAAGGCGUCAUUCCUUGAGUUAUUUCUCCCCCUUUAUGUGAUAUUUGAGAUCUUCUUGAUUUCCUUUUCUUCUGAGUAGCAUGAGCAUUUAUGCUUUACUGAGCUUAUGUAUAUUGUUGGGCCCAAGGGUGUGGUCAAGGAACAAUUGGAUUCCAGGUUAGUUUAGUCUACCUUGGUAGCAUGGUAGAAUUGAUAGUGUAUUUCUAAUUGUGUGUGUGAUAUACCGCGUAUUUACGAUACUUAUAAUGCUUUAUACUUGAUGUUUGACAUGUCUUUUAAUUAUUUUUUAGUAGAUUGGAUGGUAUUUUAUCUUGGUUUUUGCAGGAAAAUAUUUUAUUGGCAAGUCGGGUUGAAGAGUACAAUGAAACAACAUCUUUUUGAGGUUUGACGAGUUGACCUAUAAGCCAUAGACUUGUCUAUUAGCCGUAGGAAUGUUUUAGAUGAGGACUAAAGUUUUUGGAGCUAGGUAUGGGACCAUGAUACUGGACUACUAGUUGUAGGAACUUCUACGAGUCAUAGGUCCAAGGAGGAGAAAAAGUUCAGAGAUAGGUGAGUUCUAACGUAUGCAUCCGUUAAACAACAAUCAAACCGAUAAAAUCUUCACUACAUCUUAGGAACCCACUAUCUCAGACCUUUCUCUAUGACUUGGACCUACGGCUCGUAGACUAGCCUCCUAGUCCUUUACUUAGCUCCAAAUUCUUCAGUCCUCAUAAACGACUCAUUCAUAUGGUUCGUAAGCAAGUCUACAGCUCUAAAGGUUGUUGUUCCGCUGUACUCUUCAACCCGACUUGCCAAAACCUAUUUUCCUGCAAAACCAAGAUAAAAUAUCAUUAAAUCUAUUAACAAGUGCUUAAAAUACAUGCAAAACCUCAAGUUGAAAGCAUUAUAAGUACCGUAAAUAUGUUGUACAUCAACACCCUCAUCUUAAAAUCGUUUUUUGUUCUGAAGUGACACUACUAACAUAAAAUGACACGAUGGAAAAGAAUAUCUUGAACUCAAGCAAUCACAUGGUAUUUUGCAACCAAUAUAUCCUCACUUAUUUUCAUCAAAUCAAUGGAGCAAUCAUUUAUUUCAAAACAAGCUAACAUAUGCAUAUCAAUUCGUGGCAUAGAUAUACCAAUGGAUACAUUCACAUACACAUAUAAUCAUCACCAAGAUAAUGACUAUUUGAUAUGUCACUUGUGCCCUUCCCGCAAAGAAGUCCCAUUUUCACACAAAAUCACUUUGUGAAACACUUUUCCAUUUUAAUUCUUGAAUCAUUGUCUUAUAUUAAAUGUUUUGUUUAUCAAUUCAAGAUUUCCGAAUUCAACUACUCUAAUUGUAACUUCAUGAUUAAACUUAACUCAAUUAAUAUGAGUUUGAUCACCCAAGCAUGAGUAGCUAAAUCUAUAACCAGGGUUGUGUGAACCAUUAGAAUGAACAAAAUAGACCUAAUAAUUAAUAAUCCUUGAAUAAUGUUUAUGCAUGUAUUGUUUUUCUCUUUGCUUUGCUUAUUGUUUUAUAUAUGCAUACGUUAGAACUCACCUUGUACCUACUUUCCUGACAGAGGGGUAAUGAAUGGAAAAAGAUAUUAUACAACAGAGACUUGAGGCUACAACCCUUAUCUAAUAGCUUAAACAUAGCAGGGAUAGCUAAUCUAAGGUCAAGGGUAUGGGUCAGAAAAGCAUACACUUGUAGACCGGCCAAACUUGCUUGCUGACAUUAACUUACUUAGGCCACAAGCCACUUUGGUGAUACCUCAGUUACCGACUUCGUAUGUUUGACACUAGACGGGGUUACUACUAUAAGGUUUACUGUGUUAAGGACUUGUGGUGAACACGAAUACCCUCGUUUUAUCAUUAAUUUAUUUCACAAAUAUUUAAUGCUUCUUACUUGGUAACUUGUUACUGAAAUCAUUAAAUCAAGAUUUUGUUUAAAAAAAACCCUUCUACGGAAUAUAACUCGACUAAACCUACAAAUAACAAACAAUUAAGCUAAGUCUAGACAUCAUUCCUCAUGGGAUCGACCCUAACCUCUGUUAUGUUCUUUAUUUGAACAUCGUUCGUUUAUACUUCUUUUGGGAGGUGUAAUUUUAGUGUAUCAGUGUGCCUUGUUUUGAUGCUGGUUGGGGCAUGCAUUACAUUGGUUGUUGAUUCUCAUGUGUUUUAUGAUACAAUCAUGUGUCAUGCAUUGGUGUAUCAUUAUCAUUCAUGGAGAAAGAUUGUUUUCACUCAACUAUUAUUCUAAACUAGUUUUAACGGGAGUCAUACAACCUGGAUCACUUGAUUUACUAAUUUUUGAGAUUUAUGAGGCUUCACUGAAGUGCUCCUUUCCUACUUGAAACAUAAGAUGCUUUUGGGACGUGCACUAUUUUACUUGACAAGCCAGCUCGGCACCCUUUCCUGCAUGGCUUUGGUUACUUAUUCCUCUGGUACCACGAAAGAGUUGAUUCCUACUAAUCACAGAUUUAAGGUCUUGUCAUUGUACUCUAAAUUCUUAAUAAUACUUCGGGCCCAUGAAGUGUAUAUGAACUUCGUACGUCCCCAAUGGUCCCAGUUUAUCGUGAGUACCGUAGUACCGAAUGAGGGUGUUGCAUGGGUACUACCUCACUCGCAUGACAGAGAGGUAGGUCUAUGCACUUUCUAAGUAAUGGUUACUGAUGGUCCUACUCCAUACUCUAUAUUCAUAUGCAUUUCUUAUCACUAGUAUAAUUAUUUGUUGAUUGCGCCCUCCGGUUUUAUGGCUUGCCGGUUGGGUUAUGUUUGCUAUUUCUACCUACCAGUCUUAUGAGGGCUCGGUUAGGUUACUCUUUGAUUAUAUUCUCUUAUCUUCUAUUACGGAUUUGAUAGUCAAUAGGUUGUGAGGCAGUUUUGUGGAUGUUAGUCCUCCUGGCUUUGGAUAGUUGACUUUUGUAUCUUGGUUGCUUGAGAGUAGGUUGUUGCCUUGCAUUCCAGGUACGUUCUUGACUUAGUUAAUUAUUCCUUCUAUCAUAUGUAUUGUUUAAUACUUGUCUAUCAUAUUUUCUCCUGUUUAGUUACUUGUCAUAAUCUUUCCUUAUUAGAUGUUGUUUAUUCUCACGACCUGAGUCUACACCCUGGACGUGGCCGGCACCCAAGGACCAUUGCUGGUCCCCAAGCGAACCCUCAUCCUGGCUUACUACAAACGGAAGACUAACUUAAGCAUGCAAAAGCUUAAAAACUGAAUAAAAUCCAUGACCUCAACUUUACAAAUCUUUAACUCAAGAAAAACUUCGAAUAAAAUAAAUAAUAUAUUCAACUCGCCAUAAAUAGGCAACUUAAGCAAAAUAAAUGUACAGACUUCUCAACUAUACUAACUAUCUAUGAAGCCUCUAACUGAUAAAGAUGGAAGUCGGGACAAGACCCACGACAUCCUGACUAAACUAAAAAGUAAAUGAAAUCAUCCGAAAAUAAGGAGGCUCACCAUAGCUAACUCAAACUCUCAGAUGUAUCAACGAAUCUCUUAUUCAUGAUCUUGAAUACCUGUGUCUACAUCAUGAAAAGAUGCAGGCCAAAUGGCUCAGUAUAUGGAAUGUACGAGCAUGUAAGGGGAAUUUUAAAACAUAAACAUAAGCUUGAACUUGAUAAAAAGGAAACAUACUUACCUCUUCUCAAACAUACUCAACUGAGAAGUACUCAAGGAUAAGGUACUCAACUCAGAGAUAAGAUACUCAACUCAAAGAUAUGACAUUCGACUGUGGGUACUCAACUCUGGAUACUCAACUCAAUAUAAAGCAACAAUACACAUGCAAUAUAUGGAAAGCUUUAUAAAACAGUAAAAUCAACUUAGUUCGUUAAAGAAAAUGCAAUAACAAACUCAACUUUACUUAUCUAAUAAAGUAAUAUAGUUUUUGUGGGAGUUUCUCUAACCGAUAACCACCACAAUAAGCCUAACUGGUGAUACAACAUCUUACCUCACGCAGCCAAGGACCGUCAUAUACCUUGCCGGGGGUAUAGAACCUAACUCACUAAGUGGAUCCACUAGUCUAUGCUAAAAAGCACUAAGGAAUCAUCUAAAAAGUAUGACCAUUUUCUACCCAUGAUGGCUACGUGGUUUAUGGAGAUUUAAGUUAAUAUAAACUCGCAUCCCCAUAUCGGUGCUCAAUACUACUCCCAAAAUAUACUUAGCUCAUGUGUUUGUAAAAACAAAACUCUUUCUUUGGUUUGAGAUAAUUACUCAAAAAUUAGCUUAAAAGCUCUCUUGGAAUCGAUGUUCCCUUUCUUGCUCAAAACUCUUUUGGAAAUCUCAGUUUCCUCUCAUCUUAAUUGUGAAAACAUUUACUCUUGGGAAUACUUAGUUCCCAUAUAACAUUUUAAAGAAAUGGACUUUACUCUUACUCUUUACUCAACUUCAAAGCUUAAGUCUUAAAACAAAGUUAAAACAGUUGUAAAAGACUUUUUAAAACAUGGUUCAUGCCGAAUUAUGGUCGUGAACGACUCAAUGCAAGGUUUUCAGUAACUUAUAGUGUUCAUGCGGGAUUAUGGGCAUGAAAUGUUCAACUCAAGGACUCAAAGAUACUUCUCUAAAGGGAUUAGGAACUUAACACUUAAAGGCUUAGAACUUGAAGAUACCACUUCUCUGAAGGAUGCUCAACUUACGAACUUCAUGCGAAAUUAUGGGCAUGAAACAGCUCGACUCGAUGAUCUACAUAACAAUAUGGAACUCAUGUAUACGACUCUUCUUAUUCUCUGACUUACUUUCUCAAAAGUUAGUUCAAUUCGAUAGUAGAUCUCAAAGGAUUCACAGUUGAACUCAAAAGCUUUCUUGAACCCUACUUUUAACUCUCUCUUGAAUGUGAAUUAUGAAUUCAAGAGUUAUGGUUCAUUAUAGGAAAGAUCUCGUGAUGACAAAGUAGACUCAUGAACACAUUUUCCUCAACAUCUUACUCACUUACUCAAGCCUUGAAACAAAUUACUAGAAGUUGUAGAAGACUCCUCAAAAGGGAUAAAAGGGACUUUCUUAGAAUGUUUGAAUGAAUUCUCAAAACUUAACCCUUAACUCUACCUUGAAUUUGAAUUAUGGAUUCAAGGGUUAUGUUUUGGAAUGUAGGACCUCACAAUGUUUUAGGAGGGUUAAGUUAGUUGAUCACAAGAACGGGAGAAGACCCAAAUUAAAGAACACUAGCGUGACGCGGAGAUGGAAUUAAAUCUUUGAUUGCAAAAAUAAAAUUUGGGAAACUGGACUCCGUAUCCUCUCCGCGAUGCGGAGAGGGGGGUACUUUUCGGGGGACUGAAUGUUUAAAACACCUUUGCAACGCGGAGCUGGGCACAUAGUUUUGCCCGUUAUUUGCUUCCUCUCUCAAACUCGAAUAAACUCACACCUACUGCAAUUCUUAGGUCAAAUUUCACGAAUUCUUUUAACCUAAAAAAAUUUCAGCGAAACCCACACAAGGAACUAUCAAUUAACUCAUCUUAUUCGCAAACCCUCGCCUCUAGUACUCAAUCAGAACUUCAUUAUCAAAGAACAAAGCACAAACCUCAAGAACUCAAUAAGAUUAUCAAUAUUGGCUAAAGCUCCAGAAUUUCUCAAGAACUUAAUAAUUCAAUCUCAAAAAUGAUUCAAGGAUAGAAUUAAAAAUGAUUGGCGUGAGGGCGAACAAACCCAACACUUUGAAAACUUACAUACCUAAAAGAGUCAGCUUCUUGAAGAACUUGAAGGAAAAUAUGUGAAGAGGAGCUUAGCCGUAGCGUUUCGUGAUUUUCUUGAGCGUAGAAUCUUUGGAGUGAAUGAGAGGGUUUGAUUUAAGAAAACUGAUUUUCUACUCGUUUAGGGAAAUUUAGAUGACCUCUUAAGGAUUUUUAGGACUAAAAUACCCUUUAAGAAAUAAUUAAAAUGAGCUGGGAGUCGGAAUGAUUUUUCACCAGGCAGUAAGGUCCGUCGUGGAGCUGCUGCCAGGUUUGUGCAUUAUUAGUAAAUCAGUCAUAACGUUUUACUCAGAGCUCGGAAUUGAGAAAACUCGGUGGCGUUGGAAAGAGGACUCGAAGGGCUUUAAUUUUUUUUAUCUUGUAGCUCACUUAAAUCAUGCUUUACUAGGAGUUAUGGUCAUUUGAAGUUGACCCAAAACUUAAGAAAAACUUAGGAAUGACUUGAAUGAACUCUCUUAAUUUCUUCUUGAAACUUAAAGUGCUACCUCUAGUGACCUUAAUACUCUAGAAAUUUUAAAUUCCUUGCAAAAAGCUCACUCACUACGAAGAACGGUUCGAGUCUUAGCUAAAAAAUAUUCAGGGGUGUUACAAUAUCUCCCCCUUGGGAUCAUUCGUCCUCGAAUGAUGACUGAACUGGGUAUAGAAUGGGGUUACUCUUACUAAGGUAUGAGUCUAAUGGUAUGCACUUACUAUAUUCAAGCUUAACCCAAUUCCUUAAGUUCGGAUUAUAUACCUCUCUAUAGGAAAUCUCAUCCCAAGACUAUUACUCUUUACCACCACAUUGGGCUCAUAUCAAAAACCACCUAAUGUUUAACAACACCACAUUCAAGCUUAGUACUCUAACAACUCCAUUUUCUUUAAAAAGAACCUGUAAAAAGAUAUCCCCCAAGCUCUUUGUAACUCAUUACUAUCUUACUCUCAAACACUUCACUUGAUUUCUCAUCUCGCCAUCUCCCCCUUAGGUCUAAAGCUAACACUUGAAAGCUAUGGACCUAUUCCACAUUGACAACUCAAUAAUUCUAUCUAGGCACACAUGAAAAAUUAUCACUUAAUUGGAACCUCAUCUGGUAACAUACCCUCUCGGUACACCUCUUAAUGCUCUUGUUACUCUUGUGACUUAGCCACACUUCACUGCCCUUAUCUAAAGGUUAGAGUCUCUCACUUGUACCACUCAUAUUCAGUGCAACUAACAUCUCCAUUUCUUCAAGUCUUCUAGAUCAAAUCUCAAUACUAACAUCAUCACCCUCAUGUUGCCAUUCUGUUGAUCAUGACACUCAUCUCGAAUUCAAGCUUAAUAUUUAUGACUAAACCCGAAUAUCAAUAUGAUUGCUCGCUUACUAUACUAACUUACAACUACUAGUACGAAUUCAGAAACACUCGUCCACAAGGACCUUAUGAAAAAUAGUCAAUCCUUACCUCUUAGUAUUCAGACUUACAAUUUACUAUCACAUUUCCCUUCACAACUUGAGUACUAUUAACUCAUUCACUAUACAUCAAUGCCUAAUUAGUUCUAUAACACUUUGAAUAUUAUGGGCUCUCCCUCAAAAUCAUAAGCCUAGCUUAGCUCUAACACCUCAUGAAUACUCCUGCCCUUCUAUUCAACACUUACACCUGGUCAUUUCCUACACAAUGACACUUCAUCACCAACUCCUUUCUAACUAAAACACACUCUACCUCCCAUGAUGGAAUCUUCACAACUCAUCGCUUCUUAGUCUACCCAUAAAGGAAAACUCCUUAUAAAUAACUUACUGGGUGUAUGACUAUAGUAAUAUAGCUCUUCAAAACAUUAUCUCCCUUUCUUAAAUCACUAAACCUCUGCAUACUUUCCUCUAACUCUGGGCUCUUUCACUACUACUAGUCAUGAUCUUGUAACUCAUGUUACCUUUUGGGAUGGAAAUAUUACCCAAGCUCUAAACAUACCUCCUCAUAAGGAUCUCAGCUAAAACAAGGCUUAAGGAAAAGAUUACAACUCGUUUUUAGCUCAAACGCAUGAUUCAUAUAAUUAUGGGUGCAUUCCUCUCAAACUGAACACUUAACUUACUUUUAGGCUUCUAUCAAGCCCCUCUGGAGUCUAAUGACUUCCUCAAAACUCUUGCUAAGAACAACUCAUCGGCAAAGCACUAACCCUACUUUUCAACCACCUCUAGUAUGAUGGGUAGUCGAAUGAUUCUGAGAAGCGCACGAAUAAGAAUACAAUAUCUAUGACACAGCUCUAUUGCACGAUUAAUAGUAAUAAAGAAGGGAAACAUUUCUUAAAUGUCCGUAGUCCCUCGUUUAUAGAAGUGGGGCCCUCACAACCAUAAAUAAGGUCUUACUGACACAACUUCAUAGACAACCUAGGACACUUGAACUCUGUGCUCUGAUACCAAGUUUGUCACGACCUGAGUCUACACCUUGGACGUGGCCGGCACUCAAGGACCAUUAUGUUGGUCCCCAAGCGAGCCCUCAUCCUGGCUGACUACAAGCGAAAGACUAACUUAAGCAUGCAAAAGCUUAAAAACUAAAUAAAAUUCAUGACCUCAACUGUACAAAUCUUUAACUCAAGAAAAACUCCGAAUAAAAUAAAUAAUAUAUUCAACUCGCCAUAAAUAGGCAACUUAAGUCUUUAAAACAUUUAACAAAAUAAAUGAACAGACUUCUCAAAUAUACUGACAAUCUAUGAAGCUUCUAAUUGAUAAAGAUGGAAGUAGGUACAAGACCCACGACAUCCUGACUAAACUGAAAAGUAAAUGAAAUCCUCUGGAAACAAGGAGGCUCACCAUAGCUAACUCGAACUCCCAGAUGUAUCAACGAAUCUCCUGUUGAUGAUCCUGAAUACCUGUGUCUGCAUCAUGAAAAGAUGUAGGCCAAAUGGCUCAGUACGUGGAAUGUACGAACAUGUAAGGGGAAUUCUAAAACAUAAACAUAAGCUUGAACUUGAUAAAAAGGAAACAUACUUACCUCUUCUCAAACUUACUCAACUCAGAAGUACUCAAGGAUAAGGUACUCAACUUAGAGAUAAGAUACUUAACUUAAUGAUAUUGUCACCCCCUGAGACUACCCCCGAAAUGCGGACACAGGACCCAGGACCACAAGUGAUCCCAAGUUAACCCUGCUGGCCUGAUCAUGAGCAUAUUAAAGAUAAUAAAAUGAUGCGAAAGCUAAAUCAUAAAUAAAAAUUAAAAGAUGGGGAAUACCCAUAUACUAUAACUGAGAUAAAUGAUAACUGAUGAGUUUAAUACAAAGAUGAUAUUAACUCAAUACUAAGUUGAAUCUAACUAUGUCUGAAAAUAGCCUCUAACUGACUAGAAAUGUUGGGAUAAGCCCCAGGUAAGUCUAGCAAAACUGAAACUAAAGGACUAAAAAUACUGAAAAGAAACUCAUGACUAUUGUCCUCGGAGAAUGAGGACUCAUAACUGAUUCUGCUGAACUGGAGAUCGGGAACCGAUAUAAGUGUGAUCUGGAUACUGAGAACUUAAACCUACAUCACGAGAAGAUGUAGCGCAGAGCCUGCGUCAGUACUUGAAAGGUACUGAGCAUGCAGGAUAGAAUACAACUGAAAUAACAUAUAAUUGAACAAAUCAAAUAAGCAAUGACAUAAUCUAAACAUGAUAUAGAUACUGAAUGCUAAGUAACGGUAUGCAGUGACCAAUUUAUAACAUGCUGAAACUGAAUACUGGAUAUACUGAUAAAUGGUCAAUGCAAUAGGAUCUGNNNNNNNNNNNNNNNNNNNNNNNNNNNNNNNNNNNNNNNNGAUAAUAAAACUACAUGAGCUAAAUGUGGAGUCCGAUGUAUAUGCCCCAUCGAGAGGACCCAAUAUACCCUGCCAGAGGUAUAGAGGCAUGUUGGCGUGAUAACUGAAAUGAUGCCCAUAGAGAGGACUUACAACCUACAUGGCUAGUAGUUCUGCGACUAUUUGGGUACGCUGAACCCUAGUCGAACUUGGUAUUAUGCUACUCCCAAUGGAUUAAGUAAUUAACACAUUAUGACUGAAUUUUUGUAAGUUACUAGAUAGCUCAAACUGAACAUGCAAAACUGAGAAUGCAACAAUUAAUCUGAUAAUGAUGCAUUCAUAAACUGAGGCAUGUAUAACUGAAUACUAAAAUAGCUGACCUAGCAUGUGUAAUUCAAGAACUAAAGAAAUACAUUGCUAGGGUUCUGUUAUUCAUGCAAUAAACUGAAUAUUAACAUACUAAUCUGAUUUAGAUCAUUCUAACAUCUAAGAAUCCAAUAAUUCUAACAUUCAAGAAACCCUAGGUCUAGUCAUAAUAAGAGAAUCAAGAAACUGACUGAAAACUAGGGACCUAAUGGGUGAAAGGAACCCACUAGUGAAAUCCCACAUACCUGGUGACGAAUUUCAUGGAGAAAUCCUUUGAUUUCUGGGCGGGAACUGAAGAAAACUUGUUGUGUUCUUGAACUAGGGUUCUUGACUUCUUUCUCCUCCUAGCAUUCUAAUUUUCUAAGUUUUGAUUAAAGAUUUGACUUAGGUAAGUUCUAGUUAUGUUUCUAGGCUUAAACUGACUAAAACCUCAUAAUUUAGGGUCUAAACGACGUAACUUAGGGGUCCAACGAAAUAGGAAAAGACCAAAAGACCCGUGACUUAACUGUUGUUGGAGUGAUCGACGGACGGGACCUACGGGCCGUAGGUUAUUCUACGGUCCGUAGAUUGAGGUCGUAGGUUGAGUCUGCCCGACAGGGCUUCACUAAAACGAGCAUAACCUUUUACUCGAAAGUCAAAUUUAGCAAACUUGGUGGCGUUGGAAAGAGGAUUAAAGUAUCUAUCAUAUAAUAAGUUAUGGGACACAUAAUUCCUUUUGUGCUAAGAGUUAUGACUAUUUGAAGUUGACCCAAUCACAAUUUUCAUCUAACUGGCUGCUGACCCUUACCUAUGGUCAGACUUAUAGACCGUGGAUCGAAUGACGAUCCAUGCUGGUCGGCCAUCAUUUACAUCGGAGGCUGGCUAAAGGGGGACUCGAUCCACAGACAUAGACCACGGACCGUGGGUGGUAACCGUGGGUUGCACCUGCAACUUCUCAAACUCUGCAUUUUGGUCUAUCUAGGAUACGGGGUGUUACAGAUAUGAUAUUCGACUUUGGGUACUCAACUCUGGAUACUCAACUCAAUAUAAAGCAACAAUACACCUGCAAAAUAUGGAAAGCUUUAUAAAAAAAAUAAAAACAGCUUAGUUCGUUAAAGAAAAUGUAAUAACAAACUCAACUUUACUUUUAUAAUAAAGUAAUAUAGUUUAUGUGGGAGUUUCUCUAAUCGAGAACCAUCACUAUGAGCCUAAGUGGUGAUACAUCAUUUUACCUCACGUUGCCAAGGACCGUCCUAUACCUUGUCGGGGGUAUAGAACCUAACUUACUAAGUGGAUACACUAGUCUAUGCUAAAAAGCACUAAGGAAUCAUCUAAAAGGUAUGACCCAUUUCUACCCAUGACGGCUACAUGGUUUAUGUAGACUUGAGUUAAUAUGAGCUCGCAUCCCCAUGUCGAUGCUCAAUACUACUCCCAAAAUAUACUUAGCUCAUGUGUUUGUAAAAACAAAAUUCUUUCUUUGGUUUGAGAUAAUUACUCAAAACUUGGCUUAAAAGCUCUCUUGGAAUCGAUGUUCCCUUUCUUGCUCAAAACUCUUUUGGAAAUCUCAGUUUCCUCUCAUCUUAAAUGUGAAAACAUUUACUCUUGGGAAUACUUAGUUUCCAUGUAACAUUUUUAAAGAAAAUGAACUUUACUCUUACUCUUUACUAAACUUCAAAGCUUAAGUCUUAAAACAAAGUUAAACAUUUGUAAAAGACUUUUUUAAAAUAUUGGUUCAUGCCGAAUUAUGGAUGUGAACGACUCAAUGCAAGGUUUUCAAUAACCAUAGAUAGAACUCAAUACUUGGAACUCAAGAACUUCAAUGAUAAUAUUCAUCUCAAGACAGUUCGACUUAUAGUGUUCAUGCGGGAUUAUGGACAUGAAAUUUUCAACUCAAGGACUCAAAGAUACUUCUCAAAAGGGAUUAGGAACUCAACACUUAAAGGCUUAGAACUUGAAGAUACCACUUCUCUGAAGGAUGCUCAACUUACGAACUUCAUGCGGAAUUAUGGGCAUGAAACAACUCGACUCGAUGGUCUACAUAACAAUAUGGAACUUAUGUAUACGACUUUUUUUAUUCUUUGACUUACUUCCUCAAAACUUAGUUCAAUUCGAUAGUUGAUCUCAAAGGAUUCACAUUUGAACUCAAAAGCUUUCUUGAACUCUACUCUUAACUCUCUCUUGUAUGUGAAUUAUGAAUUCAAGAGUUAUGGUUCAUUAUAGGAAAGAUCUCGUGAUGACAAAGUAGACUCAUAAACACAUUUUCCUCAACUUCUUACUCACUUACUCGAGCCUUGAAACAGAUUACUAGAAGUUGUAGAAGACUCCUCAAAAGGGCUCAAAGGGACUUUCUUAGAAUGUUCAAAUGCAUUCUUAAAACUUAAUCCUUAACUCUACCUUGAAUUUGAAUUAUGGAUUCAAGGGUUAUGCUUCGGAGUGUAGGAUCUCUCAAUAUUUUAGGAGGGUUAAGAUAGUUGAUAACAAGAACGGGAAAAGACCCAAAUUAAAGAACACUGGCGCGACGCGGAGAUGGAAUUAAAUCUUUAAUCACAAAAAUAAAUUUUGGGACAGUGGACUCCGUAUCCUCUCCGCGACGCGGAGAGGGGGGUACUUUUCGGGGGACUGAAUGUUUAAAACACCUCUACGACGCGGAGCUGGGCACAUAUUUUUGCCCAAUAUUUGCUUCCUCUCUUAAACUCGAAUCAACUCACACCUACUGCAAUUCUAAGGUCAAAUUUUAUGAAUUCUUUUAACCUAAAACAAUUUAAGCAAAACCCACACAAGGAAAUAUCAAUUAACUCAUCUUAUUCGCAAACCCUCGCCUCUAGUACUCAAACUGAACUUCAUUAUCAAAGAACAAAGCAUAAACCUCAAGAACUCAAUAAGAUUAUCAAUAUUGGGUAAAACUCCAGAAUUUCUCAAGAACUUAAUAAUUCAAUCUCAAAAACGAAUUCAAGGAUAGAAUUAAACAUGAUUGGCGUGAGGGCGAAUAAACUCAACACUAUGAAAGUUUACAUACCUAAAAGAAUCAGAUUUUUGAAGAACCUGAAGGAAAAUCUUGGAAGAUGAACAUAGCCUUAGCGCUUCGUGAUUUUCUUGAGCGUAGAAUCUUUGGAGUGAAUGAGGGUUUGAUUUAAGAAAACUGAUUUUCUACUCGUUUAGGGAAAUUUAGAUGAUCUCCUAAGGGUUUUUAAGACUAAAAUGCCCUUUAAGAAAGAAUUAAAACGAGCUGGGAGUCGGAACAAUUUUUCACUAGGCAGUGAGGUCCGUAUUGGCUCCGUGUCGCGGUGCCAUCGCGGAGCUGCUGCCAGGUUUGCGCGUCAUUAGUAAAUCAGUCAUAACAUUUUACCUAGAGCUCAGAAUUGAGCAAACUCGGUGGCGUUGGAAAGAGGACUAGAAGGGCUUUAAUUUCUUUAUGUUGUAUCUCACCUAACUCAUUCUUUACUAGGAUUUAUGGUCAUUUCAAGUUGACCCAAAACUUAAGAAAAAAUUAGGAAUGACUUGACUGAACGCUCUUAAGUUUUUAUUGAAACCUAAGGUGCUACCUCUAGUGACCUUAAUACUCAAGAAAUUUUAAAUUCCUUGCAAAAAUCUCACUCACUACGAAGAACGGUUCGAGUCUUAGCUAAAAAAAUUCUGGGGUGUUACAUUUAUACUGCCUUAUCUUUCAAGUUUAGUCAGUCGAUGCCUACUGAGUACCAAUUUUUGUACUCAUACUAUACUUCUGCUCCUUCCAGAUCGUAGUUUGAGUUCUCGCCAUUGAUUUGGAGUCAUGCCAAAAGGCUUGGAGUUUGGAGACUAGGGUGAGCUCCCGACGUUCGGAGUGACCAGUUUCCGUUCGUUGUUUCUAGCCCUAGUCUUUAUAUUGCAUUCAUAGACACCAUGUACUUAUUUUGUAGUUGAAAAAUGACUUGCACUCCUAAUUUUAGUAGAUUCUUGAAAACUGAUUGAUGUCAGGUCUUAGGGAUGGUUUCUUGUAUUGCAUUCUGUUGAAUAUAUUUUCUUUUUGACUUUUGCUUGAUAGCCCAUCGCUUAUGUCUUCGGGAUAUGGAUUAGGCUUAGCUACUUGUAACAUUCCUCAAAAUGAAAUAGGAUAAUUAAAGCUUCACAUGCGUGUUAGUAGUUGAUAAACUUGUAUAAAUGUUUGAAAAUAAGUUUAUAGGUCAGUUUAGUUGAGUUUGAAGUCAAACGUCAAAGAGUCGUUCAAGAAGUUCGAAAACUAGUCGUUUGCAUGCUAGUGUGUUCUAGUGUGUCUUGCAUGUUUUUAUGUGUCGUAUGAAGUCUAAAAUCAGUGGUGGUCACCCUACUAUCCUAAUAGGCAUGUUUAGGGUCCCAACGUCCGGGUACGACUCCCCAAGGACCACCCUAAGGGUCCCUUGAGAGGACCCAAACGUUGGCAUAAAAGGCUGCAUAGGCAGUGUGUUUGGCAGACUUGUUUGACGCCCAGGGUGACGCCUCGUCAGCCCAUUGACGCCCCGUCAAAAGGGGGCGUGGCUCCACACUUAGUUGUGGGAGCUUAGCCCCUAAAUGUUGAGCCUCUGUCCCAAAUGAUGACCUACCAGGACCGUCCGUCAAUGCAUUGACGGAAUGGUGGCUGUCGUUUGGUGCCCUGUUUCACUGCCAUGUUUCGGCCAAGUGAGGGGUGAAUUCUAAUUAGACCCUAGACGACUAUUCUACCUAUUUUUGGGUAUUUUAAGUUAGUUAAAACUCUUUAACCUAGAAUUAGACCUCAUUAUCCAAAUUGAACCUUCCCUCUCAAAAUAAAAUUCUCUCUUCAGAACUCCAUGGAAGACAUUGAUGAAGCUUCAAGCUAGGGGAUGGGUUCCUACUGAUUUCUCCUUCAAAUUCCUAAGGAAAUUAAUCACAAAGGUAUGUGGAUUUUAUCUUUGAUUCUCCUUUCGAUCAAAGAGCCAAAUCAAAGUAAUUUCAAUGUUCUUCAAAAACACUAAAAAACCCCAAUUUCAAUUCUAAGCUUGGUUUCUUGCAUGAAAUUAUUUCAAACGACGAUUUAUGUUAAUAUUGAUGGUUUUAAGAUAAAAAAAAAACUCUAUGAACCCUUGCAUAUCUUNNNNNNNNNNNNNNNNNNNNNNNNNNNNNNNNNNNNNNNNNNNNNNNNNNNNNNNNNNNNNNNNNNNNNNNNNNNNNNNNNNNNNNNNNNNNNNNNNNNNNNNNNNNNNNNNNNNNNNNNNNNNNNNNNNNNNNNNNNNNNNNNNNNNNNNNNNNNNNNNNNNNNNNNNNNNNNNNNNNNNNNNNNNNNNNNNNNNNNNNNNNNNNNNNNNNNNNNNNNNNNNNNNNNNNNNNNNNNNNNNNNNNNNNNNNNNNNNNNNNNNNNNNNNNNNNNNNNNNNNNNNNNNNNNNNNNNNNNNNNNNNNNNNNNNNNNNNNNNNNNNNNNNNNNNNNNNNNNNNNNNNNNNNNNNNNNNNNNNNNNNNNNNNNNNNNNNNNNNNNNNNNNNNNNNNNNNNNNNNNNNNNNNNNNNNNNNNNNNNNNNNNNNNNNNNNNNNNNNNNNNNNNNNNNNNNNNNNNNNNNNNNNNNNNNNNNNNNNNNNNNNNNNNNNNNNNNNNNNNNNNNNNNNNNNNNNNNNNNNNNNNNNNNNNNNNNNNNNNNNNNNNNNNNNNNNNNNNNNNNNNNNNNNNNNNNNNNNNNNNNNNNNNNNNNNNNNNNNNNNNNNNNNNNNNNNNNNNNNNNNNNNNNNNNNNNNNNNNNNNNNNNNNNNNNNNNNNNNNNNNNNNNNNNNNNNNNNNNNNNNNNNNNNNNNNNNNNNNNNNNNNNNNNNNNNNNNNNNNNNNNNNNNNNNNNNNNNNNNNNNNNNNNNNNNNNNNNNNNNNNNNNNNNNNNNNNNNNNNNNNNNNNNNNNNNNNNNNNNNNNNNNNNNNNNNNNNNNNNNNNNNNNNNNNNNNNNNNNNNNNNNNNNNNNNNNNNNNNNNNNNNNNNNNNNNNNNNNNNNNNNNNNNNNNNNNNNNNNNNNNNNNNNNNNNNNNNNNNNNUCUACCACGUAAAGGCUAAAAGAAUGACCCUACCUUAGGCAAGUGGGGAUCCCUCAUCCAGUAAGGGUUACUACCGGGAUUUCAUGUCAAGCGCGAUGGUCUAUGUUGGUUAAGGCUCUUCCCCCAUAUUAAUGAAUGAAUGAACUAGGGUCUCUUAAGGGUGUNNNNNNNNNNNNNNNNNNNNNNNNNNNNNNNNNNNNNNNNNNNNNNNNNNNNNNNNNNNNNNNNNNNNNNNNNNNNNNNNNNNNNNNNNNNNNNNNNNNNNNNNNNNNNNNNNNNNNNNNNNNNNNNNNNNNNNNNNNNNNNNNNNNNNNNNNNNNNNNNNNNNNNNNNNNNNNNNNNNNNNNNNNNNNNNNNNNNNNNNNNNNNNNNNNNNNNNNNNNNNNNNNNNNNNNNNNNNNNNNNNNNNNNNNNNNNNNNNNNNNNNNNNNNNNNNNNNNNNNNNNNNNNNNNNNNNNNNNNNNNNNNNNNNNNNNNNNNNNNNNNNNNNNNNNNNNNNNNNNNNNNNNNNNNNNNNNNNNNNNNNNNNNNNNNNNNNNNNNNNNNNNNNNNNNNNNNNNNNNNNNNNNNNNNNNNNNNNNNNNNNNNNNNNNNNNNNNNNNNNNNNNNNNNNNNNNNNNNNNNNNNNNNNNNNNNNNNNNNNNNNNNNNNNNNNNNNNNNNNNNNNNNNNNNNNNNNNNNNNNNNNNNNNNNNNNNNNNNNNNNNNNNNNNNNNNNNNNNNNNNNNNNNNNNNNNNNNNNNNNNNNNNNNNNNNNNNNNNNNNNNNNNNNNNNNNNNNNNNNNNNNNNNNNNNNNNNNNNNNNNNNNNNNNNNNNGUAUUGUGAAGCAUAUGACUUUGUAUUGUUGGUUGUGACUUGUAAGGUGCCUAUUAUGUUGAUGUUCAUGAGAUUUUAUCAAAAUGGAAUGAAAGCAUAACUUCUAAACAAAUGUCCUUUUUAGCAUGUUUUGCAUAUCCUCAUACUUAGUACGUGUGUUGUACUAACCCCUUUCUUCUAUUUUACUACAAGUGUAGGUUGUGGUAACUAGGAGGAGAUUGUGCUUUGGAGUUGCUUGGAUUGCUUCACUCUUCCAAGUCUUUGGUAUGUCCUCAAGAUUCGAGGACUACGUUUACAAGUUUCUUAGUCAUUGCAAUAGAUACUUAAGUUUCAUUUCAUUUGUAAAGGGUCGUGCCCCUUAGUACGUUUUAAGUUCUUGUCUAAGAUUGGCUAAAGAGACUUAGUAGUUCCGCUUGCGUAUUGAUGUUUUCAAAUGUUGAUGACUCUUGAAGUCUUACGGUUUUAUUGAGUAAAAGUUUUAAAUUCUUAGUGAUUUUUAUGACCUAUUCGAUGAAUGAAUGCUAAGGCUUGUAUAAGACCUCCGAGAGGUCGAAUACGCAUGUAACGGCUAGGGGGUGCUCUCGGGUCGUUACACUACUAGUCAUGUGUAGUAGGUGUCAUCAUGACUUGAGAAAUCAGUAGUGACUUCCCAUUAUUCCCCAACACAGACCGUAAGGAAUACAAGAUUCUAUAUGCUUGACAAAGGGCCAAGAAGUCCACUUGCCUCAAACAACAAUCAAUCAACCAGACACUUGAGCUUUCUUCUUUCGUAGGGUCUCCAAAUCAACACAAUCUAAAAAAUAUAUGGAAUUACAAUAAGAACACGAAACCAACAACACCCAUAUCAAUUAUUUUGAAAACUAGGGCCAAAUUAGCACAAAAAUCCAUUCAUGAAACUAAAGUUAAAUCUGGAAAUUUGUAUCAAAUCACGUUACCCAAAGGUCUUAGAUCUCAAUAUAAUAGUGAAAAUCUCAUUGAAAACUAGUUGAAAAAAGCCAUGAAUUACCAUUUUACAAAAAGACUUAAGUUUUUGAAAAAUCCCCAAACUUUGCAAUUACAUAAAUAGAACUUGAUGUUUAAAAUUGUAAACGAUAGAUGGGAAAUGAAGGUUUAUGGUCACAAAUACUUAUGCAAAUGUUUUAACUCAAAAAAACACCUUCAAAAUCGCCUCUACCGAGCUUCUAGGGUUAAAAAAUGCUGGAAUGGAGAUGAAUCCCCGACUUUGGAAAAGAAUUAUGUUCAGGUCACAAAUGCUCAUCACGAUCACGACACCAAGCUACGUGAUCGCGAGGAAUUAACAGAGUCAACUCAUUAAAUUUGACCUUUGCGAUCUUGACAGGUCCUUACGCGAUCGCGAUGCCUUAUAUCUUUAUCAUAUAGACACAUGAAUUCUUGAUUACUUUUGCAUCACAUUUGAAACUGAUAUGGCCAAUCGGUCAUGCCAAUUAUUAUUUAUUUUUCUCAAACCUCCCGCAGAGGUGAGUUGUAGCGUAUAUCCAAUCCAUAAUGAUUUUAUCAUAUCUUGACCCAUUCACUUUUAGAAUGGUCUAGUAGUCAGAUGCUUAUCACAUGUCACAUUCUCUUCAAGAAAUAGACUAACCAUUUAUAUCUGUUUCAUAAAUUAAUGGUUUUGUAAUUCAUCAUAUUUUCAUGACAUAACUCAACAUCACUUUGAAAGGUUAAGUGUACAACCACUUUAUCUUCCUUUAUUUUGAUGGAGGAUUUAUAAAUUUAUCGAACGGAAAAGGGCCUAAAAUACCCUUGAAGUAUUAGAAAUGGUACAAAACUACCCUUCAUCCACCUAUUGGCUCCAAAAUACCCUUGUCAUCCACCUUUGGGUCUAAAAUUGACCACUUAUUUAAUAGUUUUGAAUUUAAACUAUUUAAAUAUUUUUUUAAACGUGGCGCACAACUAUUGGUUAUAGUUUAAUUUAUUAAUAUAAUUUAUAAACUCACCCAUUACCCACCCAUUACUAAUUAAACCCGUUCCAAACCCGACCCAAUUACAAACUCGCCCCAAAUCCACCUCUUAAACAAAACCCUAAACCCUUCCUUUUCAACAUUGUCUUCUUCACAGUCAAUUUGUCCAGGUUUAUCAAAUUAGUGUUUUAAUAAACCAUACAUUCAACAUUAACAAACAAACCACCACAUUGGCUUCCAAACAAGACCAGUUCAAUAGUUAAUAAUCAACAAAUGAAUUACAAAGACCAUUCAUUCAACAUUAACAAACAAACAACCUCAUUGACUUCCAAACAAGAGCUAGAGAUAGUAAUAUAGACGAGUUAACUGAGAAAGCAGAAAAACACUAAACUUAUAAUUCUAGGAUAAAUUUUUCUAUCAAUUCUUCAUCAUGAAUCAAUUUUUCAAAAACAUAAGAUUGGUUCUUGGGAUUUUCAAUUCCAUUAAAAUUCAACCAAAAAAAAAUUGAAAAUUGACUGGGCAAUUUUUUAAUCUGUCUGAAUCUUGGAAAUCAAUGGAGGGUUUUGUUAAACGAAGGAGAAAUUGACUAAGAGGAAGACAACGUUAGAAAGGAAAGGGUUCAUGUUUUGUUUAAUAGGUGGAUCUGGGUGGGGUUUAUUAAUUGGGUCGGGUUUAAUUAUUAAUGGGUGGGUUUAUAAAUUAUAUCAAUAAAUUAAAAUAUAGCACAUUGUUGAGCGCCGUGUAUUUUAAAAACUAUUGAAAUAGUUUAAAUUUAUAACUGUUAAAUAAGUGGUCAAUUUUGGACCCAAAGGUGGAUGAUAAAGGUAUUUUGGAGCCAAUAGGUGGAUGGAGGGUAGUUUUGUACCAUUUCCUAUACUUUGAGGGUAUUUUAGGCCCUUUUUCGUUUAUCAAAUUAUUAGGUCGCACAAUGACCACAUGUUUAAUGACAUUUCAUACCAUUAUGAUGAGAAGAAUUACCUUCACAUUUUAAAGGAUUACUUAGGGAACCCAUAGUGUUCUUCCUUUUAUAGUUACCACAAUGAUGACUAUUAUAAUUCUUUCCCUCAACGCCCUUAUUCAUACAUUCAAUCACUUGUCAGCUUUAGACUUUUUAUUCAUUGCUACCACAUUCAUAUGAUAGAAUAAAGCAAUUGCAUGGAUUUCAAACUUAUCAUGUACAACUACCACAUUCACUUCAAGGAAUGGAGCAAAUUCAAUGAGACGAAUUUCUUGACUUUUAAUUCAAAAAUAUAUUAUUUUUAUCAUAGUCAUCAUUGUGUCAUCACUAUGGUGCGUUGAGACUCAAACUCACUGUCUUACCCAUAUAACGUGUGUUAGGCCAUAAAUCUAUGGGUCUUGAACCCAAUAUUUUAUCAUCGUGAUGCAUCAAAACUCAAAUUGAUGUCUUACCCUUACCAUGACCCGACUCCUCGAGUCAUGAUGACACAUACUUAAACCCACCUAUAGCUAAACUUACCUGUAUAUCAUGAUUGGUCUCCUAGGUAGCCUCUUCAACUAGACAAUGCCUCCAAUGGACUUUAACCACAUGAAUGAAUCUCUAGUGCAACUGCCGCAGAUCUUUAGAAAGAAUGGCAACUGGCUCCUCCACGAAGGUCAAGUGAUCAUCCAACUCCACCGCAUCAUAUUGAAGCACAUGCGACUCAUCAAGAACAUAUUGGUACAACAUUGAAACAUGAAAUAUUGGGUGGAUAGUUGAGAACAUUAGAAGCAAAGCUAACUUAUAAGCAACCUAUCAGAUUGUCUGAGGGAUCUCAAAGGCUCAAUAUAGCUCGGGCUAAACUUGCCCCGCCUCCCAAAUCUCAUCACGCCCUUCAUGGUCAUGAAUCACCCUUACCUCUAUCACAAACAUAAUAGAGACCGGCACACCAUGAAGAUGAGUCAACUUGUGAUAGAGGUAAGGGUGAUUCAGGCCCAUGAAAGGCGUGAUGAGAUUUGUGAGGCGGGGCAAGCUUAGCCUAGGUAUAUUGGGCCUUUUGAGAUCCUUCAGAGAGUUGGAUAGGUUGCUUAUGUGUUAGCUUUGACUCUAAUGUUCUCAGCUAUACACUAGUAUUUCAUAUUUUAAUGUUGUGUCGGUAUGCUCCUUAAGAGCCGCAUGUGCUUUAGUAUGAUGCGGUGGAGUUGAAUGAUCGCUUGCCUUCAUGGAGGAGCAAGUUUCCAGUCUUGCCAAAGAUGUGUGACGGUUGAGCUCAAGAGUCAUACAUGUUGUUAAGGUCUAUUGGAGGCAUCGUCUAGAGUAGGAAGCUACCUGGGAGACCAAGCAUGAUAUGCAGGUCGGCUUACCUACUAGCGGGUUUUAGUACGUACCAUCAUGACUCGGGGAGUCAGGUCAUUACAAGUUGGUAUCAGAUCCCUACGUUCAUCAUGUCACAACCCAAACAAGAGGAGGUGUCACUGGAAGUCAAUACCUUAUUCAAUCGAUUGAGCCACUAAAAUAGACUAAUUGACCAAACUGUUGGCCUAGAAGGUCAGAGAUCAUAACAUCUAAAAUACUAAGCCUGGACCAUUAAGGUCAUAACCUGAAUAACAACAACGAUAUAUAGACAAAGGUAGACAAGCCAAAAAUAAUAAACUACUAGCUGGCCGACGAGGCAACAAUUGAGAAUACACAUACAUACAUUUCUAUACAUGCCAAGCCUAUGUGGCUAGAGACUAGAAACUGUAGAAAGAAACCCACAAUAUUGUGCCCACAAUAACCUCUAAGAGUGUCAUAGGCACUGGUCGAGACAAGGCCCCAAAUAUACCUUAACUGUACAACAAUAGUUAACAUCCUAUGAAAGCUCCAGGAAGAGGUAGAGCUUACCAACUCACAACUGAACCCUGAAUCCUAGUUGGGGGGUCAACCAGAAUACCUACCUGGACCAGCACACACGAAACAAAAAUGCAGAGUCCCCAGGCAAUGGGACGUCAAUACGAAUAAAAAUGUACUGGUUUGUAAGGCAGAAAGUAGAAUCAUAAAUAGCUGCUAUAAAAAGGGUAAUAAAGAUACCACCUGAAAUAGAAACUCUGAUAGCCUCCAUGGCUGACAUCCAACCUUAUACAAAUUAAGUAUGCAUGAUAUGCUCUCAGAAUCGUAUGUCGUGAAUACAUACAUACAUACAUAUCUAUACAUAUAUAUAUAUAUAUAUAUAUAUAUAUAUAUAUAUAUAUAUGCAUGGCAUACCCUACUAAGUGCUAGAAAUAGUGGUACCUUCCGCUGGCUAACCAAAAUCAUAUUCACAAACCGGUGGCAAUAUCUGUCUCAUACGUAUAAAUAUAGCCAAUGGGCCCCAUACCUUCCAAUUAUAACUUAGGAGUAGAAUGCAUAGCAUGUCAUGGAUUCGUAAUGCAUUUAUGUAACCAUAAUCAUAUUUCCAAUCUUGGUCCGUUGGUACUCUUGUCCUCAUAAUCUCGUAAUCACAUUCGUAUCACAUGUAAAUUUUCGUAGAACCUUAUAUUUUUGUAGAUUAACUGGAACACUUAAAUAAAAUUAAGAAAGCUAACUUAAACCUAAAGAUGUUCAUAAAUAGCUUAAGGUGCUUCACUUAGUUUUUAUAUAUGUUUCCUUAGUAAUUUGUAAAGAAAGUAUUUCCAAAAAAUAAAACAUGCCCUUUAGUAGUUUAAACAUACGAGUUAAAUGAAGAGUUUGGGAAAUCAACAUAUUAUUUUUAAGUUUUUCAAACAAAAAAAAAAUUCAUUGAUUUCAAAUUCUUAAAGUUCCUCCCUAAUCCUUCUAAGUUACAACAUCUAAAGAAAGAAUAAGAAUUUAUACACAUGGACCUAUAGUCAACGGAAUUGACAAAAUGACAUAUAGACACCGAGUACCUUAUAAAUCGAAUGAGUGGAAUAUCAACAUAAUGGAGUCCCAAAACAUAUGUCAGCUGCAAUCCCAAUGCCUUUCGCAUAAGCUCUGUCUAGCAAUAGAAUCGUAAAACAACCUUUGACGAAUUAGGAUUCUAAAGUUCAUGCUCAAAGAAAGUAACGCUUAGCCUUAACAUACUUCAAAUCUGGGUAUUUCGGUAUUAAUAUGGACUAUACCCCUUACUUAGAGUAUGUAAUCUACACAAAAUCAUGUCACAAAACCAUUACAGAUAGAGUCUUAACACGUAGGUGUCAAGGUAGAAAUUUAGAGAUUACUAGUAGAAAUAUUAUCUUUCCAGACCAUUUUUUAGUGUGUGUCAUUACAUUUUCUUCUCCAAAGUACAAAACCAAACUAAUGACAUAACAGACAUUUUUGAAGAAGUUAUUAACAAGUGGAGGCAUACGCAAUAGUCAACAACAACCAAGUAGAGUUUUCUUGCACAAUAAUAAAAACUCGGCGUAUCGUCACACCUCUCAUUUCCAACCCGAAAAGAACAACAACAAAAUACCAACCAUGAGUCAUUAAACCAUUAAACCUAGAAAAAAUAUACAUAAUAUAGUCUUACAAUUUUUCAAUAUCACCAUAACAACUCGAACUCAUGGCUUCCGGUCACCAUCCUGAUAAUUUGUCCAAUAAUUACGUUUGGAAUCAUGUCUUUCUCUUCAUAAGCAAUUAGAAGUUAAAAGGGUAGAACCUUAACUUAAACUUGGUGGAGCUUAUUCUAUUUGAGCAUUUCUCCUCAAUAACAAAAAGUUUCCUCAAACACAAGAUGUUGAACCAAGAAGAAACCAUUUGAAAAUCGCAAAGUAAUAAUAGAACUUAUGUUAGACUAAUUUAUCUUACAAUCAGAUACCCGUCUAUACUUCUUCUUCUCUUCCAGACUCAUAUUAUCAAAAACCACACACAACCAACUCAUUUCCGAAAAUUCCAACAACAACAACAUCAGAAAAUACUUCAAAACAGCCCAACAUCACAUAACUAUCCAAAUACGAUUUUUGAGGUGUCAAUUCGUGUUCUUGCUUAUAUAGCAUAACAAUAACUUGGAAUCACUCAAUAAAAUGAAGGGUUAAAAUUAUUACCUCAAAACAGCAGGAACACCACCUCAAAACGAAACUCAUUCGCCACGAAGAAUCCUUUAAAUCACAACCAACGAGGAGGAAGGAAGUAACACAAUCUCUAUAAACAUUCCUAGGGUGAAACCACAUUGAAAUCAUAUAGAUCUUAGCUUUGGCAUAGGGGAACUUUUAGAGAGAAUUUAGAACUGUUUUCUUCUUGUUUGGUUGAAAAUAAUGAGAUAAAACGAAGGGAAAUCAAAUCUUAUAAUGCUAAACACACAUAAGGGCUACGGACCCAGCUUCACCUGCCUACUCGUGCACUCUCACAAAAAUCUAAAUAUCAUACAAUUCUGAAGUUGUAUGGACAAACGAUUUAGUGCAUCGGAAAAUAUACUCGCAGACCUUCAAUUUGGUAUAUUGUGGUUCUUCUAAAGCUUUAUAGGUUGGGAGGAAAGCUCCGAGACAUUUUGCCCAAAUUUCAAAAAGUUUAUCAAAGAAACUUACUCUAACUUUUCUUGACUUUUAUCUCCCAACUUGCUUGACUGCAAAACUUAACUUACGAUCAUUGGGCCACUAUAUCAUCUUAUAAAACAUCCUUCUUAUCAUACAAGACACUCUUACUCUUACCCCGAAGGUACUGGUUAACUUAAACCUUCCGAACAGACAGGGUGUUAAAAGAGACAUUCUUUAACUCGAACUUGUUUAAGGGCAUCCUUUACCCAUAACAUUAGUCUAAUUCUUUGAUUUUACCAACCCUUUGAAUCCUUAUUAUCUUCACGUGACACACCAAGUUAUAUAAACCUCAUACACUCAUGCAAUGCUACGCAUAUUAUGCGAAAGAACCACAUGAUCUCACAUUCUCCUUUUCUUAAGAACAUUCAUCUGCGAAUGGAUACGAACAAUCCCUUCGUUGUACUUCCUUGCUGCUACUAUGCCAUUUGCAAGGUUAUAUUUGUUACGUCCGCAAAUAUUGAAUCCAGUUCAGAAAACUCCACUCACAGGGCUUCGUAUAGCUAGGUUGCAACAAGCCAUAUAAACUGCAUUUUGAGGUAUUUAAAAUCCAAUUAGGUUCGUGUACAGGAAAAAUUGUCAAUUAUUGAAAUGCAACUCACCUUAAAUCGUCAAUAGCUGAGGGUACUUCUUCCGUAAUUCCUACUUGGCUUCUCAGGUUAUUUCUUUGACAUUGUUAUUCUGCUGUAAAUCUUUCUUACAUGUCAAUCCAACAUAGCCACGAAUACCUCAAGUUACGACAAGUCCUUAGAGACAUGAAUAUCCUUAAUGGGCAUAAUCCGUGAAGCAUUUCCAAUACUUUUCUACAACAUAGAUACAUGGAACACUAGAUGGACCGAUUUCAAUUCUGAAGGCAUAUCAAGCUUGUAGGCCAUAUUGCCUUACAUACCUUGGACUCGACUUCACAUUCUUUUCCAAUCACAUAAUACCCUUCGUAGGCAAUACAUUAUAGAAAACACAAUCUUUUAUGUCAAACUCUAAGUCUCACAGUCAAACAUUUGCAUAAGACUUAUGCCCACUCUAUUCUAUCUACAACCAAUCUCCAAUGAGCUUUACCUUCUCUAUCACAUGUUGGACUAUAUCGGGACCUAUCAACUCUACUUCCCUAUUCUUGAUCUAAUCAAUCGGUGACCUGCAAUUCCGCCCAUAUAGUGCUUCAUAAGGAGCUAUCUGAAUACUUGCUUAGAAUUUGUUAUUAUAAGAAAACUCAAUCAGUAACACGUGAUCAUACCAAUACCCACUAAAAUCUAGCACACAUACCCAUAACAUGUCCUUGAGUAUUUAGAUCAUACGUUUGGCUUGGCCAUAAUUCUAAAGAAGAAAAUUCAUCCUAAGAUUAACUUGAGUCCCCACACCCUUCAACAAGGAUCUCUGUGAUUGUGGUUUAAAAUGUGUCCAUCUAUCUGAAAUAAUCAAUACUGGACACAAUGGAGUCUGAAUAUCUCUCUAAUGUACAUCAUAACAUAACUUUCCACUAGAAUAUAGUCCUGACUAGAUAGAAAUGAGCUGAUUUCAUCAACUUGUGAAUUGUCACCCAAAUGGAUUGAUCUUACCUCGCGAAUGAGGAAAUCAUGUGACAAAAUUCAUACUUAUAUCCUUCCACUUCCACAAUGGAAUAACUAUCUCCUAAGUCAGAAAACUAAGCAAACUAAACUUCUGAUGCUCUACAUCUCCCUAUUGACAAAAUAGCUCCUUAAGACCAUGACACAUUUUCAUGGAUCCUAUGUGAACAGAGUAGUGAGAAUGGUUUUCACAUACCAUAAUUUUCUAUAGAAGCCCAGUGGCAUUCAAAACAUAUAACUGAUCUCUGAAUCAGAAGAUUGUAUCUCCUGCUCUAUCAAAGGUAAAAAUAAAAUCUACUGCUAAGCCUUGCCUCUGAACUGAUCUAAGCUCAGAUCCUCAUUUUUUCAUGCCUUCACCUCCACAAAUAGAUAUUAUAUUACUCAAAACUUUGACUCUACGAUCAUUGGACUUUAAUAAUCUUACCCCCAACUAACUAGCUAGAUAAUAGAGCUCUUAGGCCAUCUCCUGGUUCUCAGCACCCAAAGGUGAUAGACUGCCCAUAGAAUUACGAUUGAGGGCAUCCACUACUAUAUUUUCUUUCCUUGGAUUAUAUAAGAUAUCCACAUCAAUGAAUUUCAGAAAUUCAUGCCAUCAACGCUAUUGUAGGAUUACCCUUUUUUAAAUAUAAAAGUAUACUAGGGGCUCUAACGAUCCGUAGAAAUAUCAGCAUUAGAUAUAUUCAAGUAAUGCCUCAAAAUCCUCAAGGAAUGAAUAAUUGUAGUCAACUCUAAAUCAUAGGUUGAGUAGUUAUUUUCAUUCUUCUUUAACUAUUAUGAAGCAUAAGAAAUUACCUUUCUAUGAUGUGUAUGAACAUAAACCAACCUAAUGCUUGAAGCAUAAAAAUACAGUGUAUUGCCCUCUGGACCGUCUUGUAGGACCAGAACUGGUGCUAAAGUCAAUUUAUCUCCCAGCUUGUUGAAUCUCCCCUCGUAGGUUAUGGUCCACUGAAACUUAGCUUCUUUCCGAGUCAACUUUUUUAAGGGUGCUGAAAGUGAACAAACAAAAUCCUUCCACCAACCUUAUGUAAUACUCCACCAAUCCCUAGAAAGCUUCGAACUUCCACUAGGUUCAUAGGUCUAGGCCAAGUCUUCACGGCCUCAAUCUUCUGUAAGUAUAACCCAAUACAAGGAUCUAAUACAAUAUGCCCCCCCCCCUCCCUCCAAAAAAAAACCAAUGAACAUAACCAGAACUCAUACUUUGAGAUUUUAGCAUACAACCUCUAACCUUUGGGUAAUUGAAACACUACAUGGACUCUAUGCUUUGCUUCUGAAUGAGAAUGUACCAGAAUAUCAUUAACUAAUACAAUUAAGAACAAGUCUAAAAUGACAUGGAUAUACUAUUCAUCAUGUUCAUAAAUAUUGUUGGGUCAUUCGCCAAUUUGAAAGACAUUACAAGAAACUCAAAAUGGUCAUAUCUAAUCCAAAAGAUUAUCUUUUGAAUAUUACUCUCUCAAACAAUUACCUUGUGGUAACCUAAAUGUAAAUCAAUUUUUGGGAAGCAUCCAACAUUCUAUAGUUGGUAAAAAAACCCAUCAAUCCUUUUUAGCGAAUAUUUGUUCUUUAUAGUUACCUUAUUCAGUUUUGGUAGUCUAUACACUUCUACAAUGAGUCAUCUUUUUUCGCACAAAUAGCAUUGGUGCACCACUUGGUGAUGCACUAGUCCUGAUGAGCCCUUAUCUAAUACAUCCUUCAAUUGUUUUUUACAAUUCCAUUAAUUUUGAUGGUGCUAUUCUAAAUUAGGGAAUUGAUAUUGGUAGAGCAUUUGGUAAUGUAUCAAUAGAAAACUUAAUCCCCUGUUCUAGGGAAACAACAAGAAGCUCACCUGGAAAUACAUCUAGAAACUCAUUGCCCACUAGAAUAACUCAAGAGUCGAGGGCUUAGCAUCAAUAUCUUCAACUCGUUGGGAAAAUAUGAUAAGUCCCACCUUUGGCAAAUAUUUCUUUGCCAGAAGAUUGCAAAUAAACUUGCCUUUUGGUAUUGCAGCAUUAGCCUUUCAUUUUCAUACUACUUACCCUAGGAAUUGAAAUCUAACAUUUUUCUCUCAGUAGUCGACAUUGGCAUAACAAGGUUUCAACUAAUCCAUGCCUAUAUUAAUAACAACGUCGAACAUCUCUAUCUCUAUCAGGUCUAUAAAUUUCCCAUGACCAACAAUUUCUACCGUAAAUCCUCGAUAAAUCCUCUAAAGAAUAUAAGAAACACAAAGAAUGAUUUAGAUUUCAUACGUACUUAUAACUCAACUCUAUAGCAUGAUUUAUAAAUUGAAAGAAGUGUAACAAGUCCUAAAUGCCCUAUUGCCCCUUGAUUAUAAGUGUGGUGCACAACAUACCCAUAAACAAGAAUCUAAAAGACACGGCUUGUGGACUCCCUAGAACACGACCUGCACUUAUACCAAGUUUGUCACGAUCCAAACUAGAGGAGGCGUGACUAGAACUCAAUAUCUUAUUCAAUCGAUUUAGCCACUAAAACAUACUAACUAACCAAACUGUGGGCCUAGAAGGUUGGGGCAGUAUAACAUCUAAAAUACUAAACUUGGACCAUAGAGUCAUAACCUGAAUAACAACAACUCAUAUAGACAAAGGUAGACAAGACAAAAAUAAUAAGGUACUGGCUGGUCGACAGGGCCAUAAUUGAGGACAUACACAUACAUACAUAUAUAUAUACAUGCCAAGCCUAUGUGACUGGAGAUUGGAAACUGCAGAAACAAACUAAGAAUACCGUGUCCACAAUAGUCUCUAAGAGUGUCAUAAGCACUGGUCGAGACAAGGCCCCGACUAAACCCAAACUGUACAAAGAAAGUAAACAUCCUAUGAAAACUCUAGGAAGAAGUGGAGCUUACCAACUAGUAGUUGAACCGCGAAUCCUAGUAGAAGGGUCAAUCAAAAUCCCUAUUUGGACCUGCACACACGAAACAAAGAUGCAGUGUCCCCAGGCAAUGGGACAUCAGUAUGAAUAAAAAUGUAUUUGUAUGUAAGGUAGAAAGUAGAAUCAUAAAUAGAUGCUAUAAAAAGAGUAAUAAAGAUACCACCUGAAAUAGAAACUCUGAUAGCUGGUACCUUCCGGUAGCUAACCAGUAUCAUAUUUGCCAACUACUGGCAAUCUGUGUCAGAUACGUAUAAAUAUAAGUAAUAGGCCCCAUACCUUUCGAUUAUAGCUCGGGAGUAGAAUGCAUAGCAUGUGAUGUCAUGGAUUCAUAAUGCAUUUAUGUUACCUUAGUCAUGUUGCAAAUCAUGGCCGGUUGGUACUCUUGUCCUCAUAAUCUCGUAAUCACAUUCUUAUCACAUGUAAUUAUCUCGUAGAACCUUAUAUUCUUGUAUAUUAAACUAGAACACUGGAAUCAAAUUCAUAAAGCUAACAUAAACCUAAGGAUGUUCAUAAAGAGCUUAAGGUGCUUCACUUAGUUUAUAUAUAUGCUUGCUUAGUAAUUUGUAAAAGAAAAUAUUUCCAAAAAAAAAACAUGACCUUUAGUAGUUUAAACAUACGAGUUACAUUAAGAGUUUUGGAAAUAAACAUAUUAUUUUAAGUUUUUUUUUAAAAAAAAAAAUUAACGAGGAAGGAGCACUAAUUUCAAAUUAUUAAUGUUUAUCCCUAAUCUUUCUAAGUUACAACACUUAAAGAAAAAUAAGAAUAUAUACACAUGGACCUAUAGUCAAGGGAAUUGAAAAAAUGACAUAUAGGCACCAAGUACCUUAUAUAUCGAACGAGUGGAAUAUCAACAUAAUGGAGACAUAAAAAUACGUCAGCUGUAAUCCCAAUGCCUUUAACAUAAUGUCUUUCUAGCAAUAAAAUAGUAAAACAACCGUUGACGAAUUAGAAUUCUAAAAAUCAUGCUGAAAGGAAGUAACGAUUUGCCUUAACAUACCUAAAUUCUAGGAAUUGUGGUAUUAAUAUGGAUUGUACCCCUUCCUUAGAGUAUGUAAUCUACAUGAAAUCAUGUCACACAACCAUUACAGAUAGAAUAUUAACACGUCAGGGUCAAAGUAGUAAUUUAGAGAUUACUAGUAGAGUGAUUAGCCUCCCAGACCCUUUUUUAAUGUAUGCUUCAUUACAUUUUCUUCUCCUAUUUACAACCCCAAACUAAUGAAAUAUCACACAUUUUUGAAGCAGCUAUUAACAAGUGAAGGAAUAUAGAAUAGUCAACAAAAACCAAAUAGAAUAUUCAUUCACAACAAUUAAAACUCAGUGUAUCGCCACACCCCUCCUUUCCAACCCCAAAAUAAACACAACCAAAUACCAACCAUGAGUCUUCAAAACAUUAAAGCCAAAAAAAAAUAUAAUACAUUCCUAUAAUUUUUUAAUAUAACAAUAACAACUCGAACUCACGACUUCGGAUCACCAUCCACAUAGUUCGUCCAAUAAUUACGUUUGGAAUCAUGUCUUUCUCUUCAUAAGAAAUAAGAGGUUAAAAGGGCAGAACCAUAACUUGAACUUGAUGGAGCUUAUAUUAUUUGAGCAUGUCUUCUCAAUAACAAACAGUCUCCUCAAACACAAGACGUUGAACCAAGAAGAAACCAUUUGAAAAUCGCAAUGCAAUAAUAGAAAUGUUACACUAAUUUAUCUUACAAUUAAAUAAAUACCCAUCUAUAUGUAUUCUUCUCUUCCAGACUCAUAUCAGCAACAACCACACACAACUAAAUAAUUUCCGAAAAUUCCAGCAAUAACAACAUCAGAAAAUACUUCAAAAAAUCCCAACAUCACAUAACUAUCCAAAUACGAUUUUUCCGCCAUCUAUUCCUGUUCUUGAUUAUAUAGCAUAGCUAUAACUUGGAAUCACUCAAAACCAUGAAGGGUGAGAAUUAUUACCUCCAAACAUCAACAACACCACCAAAAAGCGAGACUCCUUCACCAUGAAUAAUCAUUCAAAUCACAAACAACGAGGAGGAAACAAGUAACACAGUCUCUAUGAAAAUUGUGACGGUGAAACCACAUUGAAAUCAUAUAGAUCUUGGAUUUGAUGAUAGGGGAACCUUUAGAGAGGAUUUAUGACUAUUUUCUUAUAAUUUGGUCGAAUAUAAUGAGAUAAAAUGUAGGGAUAUAAUAUCUAAUUAUUCUAAACCAAUAUAGGCUCUAGGGGUCCACCUUCACGUGCCUUCUUGUGCAAUCUCACUAAAAUAUGAAUAUCUUUCAAUUUUGAAGUUGUAUCGACAAACGGUUUAGUACAUAGGAAAGUAGACUCGUAGACCUUCGAUUUGGUAUAUUGGCAUUCUUCUUAUGCUUCAUAUAUUGGGAGAAAAGCUCGUAGUCAUUUAGCCCAAAUUUCAUAAAGUUUAUUAAUGAAACUUACUCUAACUAUUGUUGAAUUUUACCUCCUAACUUGCUUGACUGCAGAACUUAACUUACAAUCAUUGGGCCACUAUAUCACCUUAUAAAACAUCCUUCUUAGCAUACAAGACACUCUCAGUCUUACCCCGAAGGUACUGGUUAACUUAAACCUUCCGAACUGGCGGGGUGUUAGAAGAGACAUUCUUUAACUUGAACUUGUUUAAGGGCAUCCUUUACCCAUAAGUUAGUCUAAUUCUUUGAAUGUACUACCCCUUUAAAACCUUAUUAUCCCGACGUGAUACACCACGUUAUAUAAACCUCAUACACUCAUGCAAUGCUACGCAUAUUAUGCCAAAGAACUACGGGAUCUCACACAUCAAUCUCACUUGUAAAGAGCUAAUACAUAGUAGAGUCCUACCUAUAUUUGGGAGGCUACAUGGUGUCCUUAGGAAUCUAUCUCUUUUGUAUCACUUUCGUGCAACCUAUGUCAUGUUGGUUUCUUGGAAUCACACUUGUCACUCUUGCUAGAUGGGCUGGGAGUUGACCAGUUGAGUUGAUUAUCACUCUUGCUAGUUUGGUUGGGAGUUGACUGGUUGAGUUGAUUGUCACUCUUUCUAGCUGGGCUAGGAGUUGACUUGUUCUUUGAUUUGGAUCUGUAUUACUCUUUUGUAUUGUAGACAUAAGCUAUUAUGUGUACCUGUCGGGCUAAUGGGGUCUGCUCAGGUUUUAUUUAAACUUGAGCAUGGGUGUACCUUCUAGGCUUCUGGGUCCAUGAUGCCUACUGAGUACCUAGUUUUGGUACUUAUGCUACACUCUGCAUUUCUUCCUGAUGCAGGUCCUAGUACCAACUACCAGCAGAGAUCGUUCAUACCAUUUUGUGCAGCUUCAGGAUAUCGGAGACAGGGGUGAGCACUUGGCGUCCUGAAACAGCCUUUAUCAUUCUGUAUAUAUGUUAGCUUGUAUUUUGCGUUUGAGACAGCUUGUUGUGGUCCACUUUUGGGACUUAUAUUUACUCUUGUUAGGUGACUUUGUACUCGUGACUUAAAGCUUCUAGGAGGGUAUCUAUUGUAUAUAAUUUUGGGUUUGCUUUUUGUUUCUGUCUUUUCUUAUUAUUAGCAUUAGCUGUUGUUUUAGUUCUACCCUUGUACUCACUACAUGUAAUUCUGGGUACGGGUCGUCUUAUCUACUACUAGGUUUUAGUAGGUGCCAUCAUGACUCAGGGAGUCGUGUCGUGACAGCCCUCUUUAUGAGAUAGAACUUGAAUCUACAAUUUUACCCUCAAACAUUUUUCAUUAUGGUUUUCGGACCUUAACCCGAUGUCUUACCCUUUUGGUACAAUGGGACUUUAAUUCACCAUCUUACCCUUAACAAAUGGUAUAAUAAUAUCAGUUGAAGAUUAUUUCUAAAUCUUAAAAAGAUUCUAGAAAAUACAUACCUGAUUUUAUGCAUAGAAUAUUCUUGAUUGCAGUAGCUAUCAUUUUCCCUUCUAGAUUCUCACUAUGAGAUCAACCAGAACAUGAGCUAUAGAAAAAUUAAAAUUCCAUCUCAAUUGGCUACAUUGGUGUGUUGAUAACGUCUUGUAAUAUAAAAGCAAUAUUCUACAAGAAAUAUAGAUACAAGAUAUGAAGAGUAGAAUGUAGAGAUCAUCUUAUUCAAAUGUCGUCUAGUCUCUCACAAUAGUGAAUGAACAACCCUAUUUAUAGGUUGAGAAAUCACUCCAAAAGUCACCAUAUUAAAUAUCAUAAUGAAUAGAUACAUUCUUAUCGAAAAUGAUUCAUAGAACCUAAGGAGUAUAUAUAUAUAUAUAUAUAUAUAUACUAGACUUUGGACACGUGCGUUGCACAUGAUUAUCAAUUAAGAAAAUUUAAGUGAAGAUUUGAAUAAUAAGCUUUACACAAUAAUAUUGUAGAUUCUUUUGUGAAUGUUCAAUGCGGCUCAUUAUAUAUAUCUUUUAUUCACACAAACCUAUAAAGAUGGUCAAUGAAAAAUUUUAUUAGUUAAAUGAAAUAAUGUACAUAUUUAUUUCAAUUUGAUGAGGUUAAAUGAUGUGAUUAGUCGUAUCUCACUAAUAUUACCUUAUAGAUGACAUUUGUUGUAUGUUUUUCUUGUCAUCUAACCAGAUGUGCUUUGCACGUGUAUUUAACUUAAUCUGUUUAGAUGUCAUAUGAACAUGUGGAGAUGUCAUAUGACUUUUAAAUGAUUCAUAUAUAUUCACAUAUUUUCACUUUUUUGUGAGUUUUAUUAAAAAAAAGAAAUCAAAAAAUUUUAAAAUAUUUUAUUUUGAAGUUAGAAGAUUUUGUUAACUUGAUAAUACAUUUUUGACAUAUAUAAAUACUGAUACAAACUUCAACUGGGGUUAUUACAAGUCAUAUAAGCGUUUCUUCGUCGAAAAUACUUAAAUAUUAAGAAAUAGUAAAUCAGUAAACCAAAAGACAAAUGUUUAUAUAGUAAUAAGUAUAUUGAAGCAAACUUUCUGACAAUCUAAAUCACAUAAAUAACAUUGAUAAAUAAAGUCAUUAUUGUGUCUUGAGCAUAAAAAAAAAAAACAAAUUGUGACAAUUCUCUAACUCUUGAGAAGUUUAAUUAUUUUUUUAAGAAGAUAUUCAGAAGCAUAUAUUUACAUCACAAGAGAUAUUGUUAACAAAAACAAAUGAAUUUAGACUAUAUCAUGUUAACUUCAUAUAUUGGAAGAUUACAUACAAAUGUAAAUACUAAGAAAAAUAUAUUUAUGAUAAUAUCAUAAUUAUUUCCUCAAGUACUCGAGGUUAAGGGGGCAUACCCUCUUAGGAUAGAACAAUUUACUUCAUCAGAAUAGUGGUACCUCAUAUUCUGCUAAACUUCAAACUAAAUCAACGAUAAUAAAUCACACAAAAAAAUUUAAAAUGCAAGAAGAAGAAGUGUUGAAGAUUAAAAAAAUUGUGGUUGAAAAUGAGAGGAAACUCCUCUAUUUAUUGUCAACAAAGGGUAGUAUGAACAAAUAUUUUUUCUGUCUUAUCUGAGUUAUUAUGACCUUUCAAAGAAGUUACAACCCUUUCUAAAAGUCACGACUAAUUGAAAAAGUCACAAAUCUUUGGAAAAGUCAGAACCCUUUGAGAAAAAUCACAACUCAUCGGAAAAGUCAUAACCUAAGUUAGGGAUAUUAUAGUAAUAUAACAUUCAAGUUAGGAGUUCAUGCUUUUAAGGUAAUAUAGAUAUAGAUAGAUAUAGAUAUAGUUCAUGUAAGUGGUUCAUGUAUUGAGUAAAUGGAUAAUCUCCUAAUUCAAUGGAUUCAUAACAGAUUAAUUAUAUUUGGAAAAGCCCAAAAAAUAUGAAGAAGAAUUGAGGAGAAUUGGUUAAGAGAACAAAGAUCCACCAAAGAUUAUUUAUUAGUAUUCAUUGAAUUAUGUUGUUAAUUAAAAGGUUACUCAGAUUUUUGAAGUUACAAGAAACUUUGUAUGCAUAUUAAUAGAUUAGUGGAAAAGACUUUCCAUUAUGAUUAUUUAUUUAAAAAAUUAAAAGUUAUAUUAUUAUUAUUAUUAUUAUUAUAUGAUCAACUAUGAUUUAAUAUCUUCCCACUUUUAAUAUUUAGUAUAAUUAUCAUUAUUAUUUAAUAUUCUAUUACUUAGAUAUUUUAUAAUAUUUUUAUUUAAUAUAUGGGUCAAAUGAUAAUCCAACUUUAUACUUUGGAGCUUCCCACUUUUAGUAAUACUAGUUUUUCGACUCGUGCAUUGCACGUGGUUAUCGUUUCAGGGUAUACAUGCUAUGGUAAAAUACUAUUAAUAUUAUUUAAGCAUAAUUUUGUAUAGUUAAUAAACUUUACACGAAAUAAUAUAGUAGAUUCUUCUAUGAAUACUCAAUGUGGAUCGUUGUAUCUUUAGUUAUUCAGCCGAACUUAUGAAGACGGUCAAUAAAAGUGUUAUUAGAUAAAUGCAAUAAUUGUUUAUUUAUUUCAAUUUUAUGAAGCUUAAAUAUGAAAAUAAUCAUAUCUCACUAACACUUUCUAAUAGAGAACAUUCCUUGUGUAUUUUCCUUGUCGUCUAACCCAGUUAUUUUAUCAUAACCAAGACCUUCAUCGUCAAUUCACUACACCAAAAGAGGUCUUUAGCGGCAAUAAUUUUUCCUUUUAGUGGCAAUACUUAUUACCGAAAAAACAUUUAGCGGCAUUUAACUAAAUGCCAUUGCAUCCAAUAUCGCUAAAGCUUUUAGCGGCAUUUAUAUCGAGUGCCGGUAAAGACCAAUAUUAUUGCCGCUAAAAGUAAUUACUUUUUGCGGCAUUUAUUCAGAGGCAAUUACUAUUGCCGUUAAAACUACCUUAGAAAUGCCUAUUUUGUGGCUUUCGCAAUUGCCGGUAAAAGAUACAACAAUUGCCAGUAAAGGAGACUUAUUUUAGUUGUAUUUACCAUGAAAAAAAAAAUUAGCCAUUAAUUCACCUUAAUCCACAUAUUUAGUCAAUCACUAUUUUAAAACUACAAAAACAAAAUUCACAAGAGAAAUAAGUUCAAAGGCAAUAAUAGAGGAAUUUACCCAAAUUCAAAACAAUGCCAUUCACUUAACAACAUUCAAACUCAAUACAGCCACUUCUUUGUCUACCCGUGGUAAAAUAUUUUUAUGAAUCAUCGAAAAGAAAAGAAUGCAUUCAAUAAUGUAAAAACAAAGAAAUUGAUCAACACAUUUUUACACUAGUUAAACUGUGGCAUCUUCCGGGAUCACGAGCAUCUGCAAUCUGUGCCAAUUCUUCUGUUUCUGCUAACACUUCAACAUCAACCAAAAUUAGAUCUGCCUUGAUCCAACACCAGGCUCUUGUUUCAAACUAUAAAUUUCCUAUGUCAGUCAAAAGUUUUGAUACCUUGACUGGUUACAGAUUCAAAUUCUCAAACUUCUGUCCAUUCAAAGUUCUCUCCAUGUUCUCUAUACUUUAUAGCAUAUCCAACAAUUGCCUCAGCCAAUGGAUGCUCACUAUUUACCUAAAUAGAACCAAGUGACAGUUAUCAGUCUCAUAUGUUAGUAUGGACAAAUCAAGUUGUUCCUCUUGAUAAAAGAUUCUAGUUAAUAAAAAUUGGUAUAAACUGAUCUAGAGGUAUAUUGUGCCACUACUUUUAGCUGGAUACUAUGUGACAUAUGCAAGAUCACAGAGAAAAACUUCAUAGAUUAGAUGUCUAUAAAACUAGCAGCGCAAGACUAGCAUAAGAAACAAAGUGAUAGAAGUUGAUCAAUCUCAUCUCCGUUCAAUAAUAAAAGCUUUACCAUAUCGACAUGAUUUUCUUAUAUUGCAACGUGGAUAACAGUUGAUCUAUGUUGAUCUUUUGAGUUAACAAGUAAUCCAUGUUUAAAUAGAUGCCCAAUGGUACAUGAUUUCAAAUAUGGGAUGGUGUUUUGCUGCUAUAGCUUCCCAUAAUGCGGUGUCACCAUUUAUAUAUGUUAUUAAUGGAAUAAAUAAUUAAGAACUCAUAUAACACUUGGCCUGUCAAAAAAUUUAACUUAAUUUUACAGUGACAUUUAUUGAGAUUGUCAUACCUUGUAAGUGUAUGUUACAUCCUGACUGAGAAGCACCAUUACACGUUCUUCGUGCCCUUUUAAUACUGCUAUAUGCUGAUGCAAUGCAGAGAGAGCAUAGAUGUUGACAAACUCAGAUACAACAGGUAUAUUGAUAGCAUAAGUAUAUGAAAAUACUAAGAUUGAGCUCUAAAUUGACACAUUUGAAAGAUCACUAAUGAACUUGAAGGAAGUUCUUCAUCACGGUGAUGUUAUCCUCCUGCCUGCUCUUCAUCUCUUCAAUCAAAGAAUUAACUAUAUAUAAACACAACAUGCAGUUUUAGUUAGUUUCACGUUCCUUGGCUCGGAAAAAUCUGCCCUGGCUCGAAAACCAGUAGUGCGAGACUAAACAGGGACCGGUAAGCAUGGGUCACCACCUUCAUUUAUCCAAUUGGCAGAAAAGUAGUGCAAGACUAAACUGGAAAUAACUGGUCCUGCAACAAAUGCAAACAGAUAACGGACAUGCCUAACUAUUUUGAAAUUAACAAACAAAGGUGCUCAUUAUAACAGGAAAAGGCUUCUAAUGAAAUAAAUUGCAGAUAAUCAUUUCAACGAACCACAUAAUAAUAUUGUUCAAAGAAAAAGACAUAGUUUUAUGGUCUAAAGAGCCAUCAAUUCUCUUCUCAUAUUUGUUUACUUCCAUAGCAUUCAAGAGAGGCCCCAUGGUGGAGUCGGAUGUCUUCCCGAAACGAAUGAUAAUACAAAGGGCAAGGAUAAGUUGAAAUAGCCAGGAUCAUAUAAAUGAUAUUUCCCAUGGGCAUUCUCUUGGAUAUUAACAACAAGCAUUAGUUAUCAUCUUGAGAUUAUCAACACUUUCUAGUGUUUUACUUGUAACAAUCUGCACAUAGGGAUUAGGAACUUUUUCUUUCAUUUGUAGCAAGUUAAGUCAAAUCUCAAUCAAUGGCAGAUCCUUAACAUAUUAUUAUAUUGUAUAAGAAUCACUCUGUUGGACACCAAUUGACGCAAGCCAGCCUUCAAGAAUUGGACUGAGCUAUUCAACACAGUCUAAAAUUUUAUCCUCCAAAAGGUCAAAACUUUUCCUGCUUAAAGUCUGUUCUUUAUUGGAGUUCCCGUUUCAGAUGUACGAUAGCGAGUCAAAGAGUUAAAAUGGUAACAUGGUCGAUCAAAUCAUCAAGCAUGAAACCAAAAGCACCCACAAUACAUACAUUCCAUGAAUAUGCAUUCAAGUAUAGAUACAUCCUUAAAAGUAUGACACCUAGAAAUGAGACAAAUAAAGCAUUUCAUUUCUCCCAUUCUUCUAUUUGUUUACUCCAUUUUCCAUUUCAAGUAAAAUUAACUACCUUAAUCAAUUAUUGGAACUUUUGUUCAAAGAUCACCAUCAAAAGCAGUAGAUACAAGGCAUACAACCUCAUCCACUAUCAUACAAACUGGGGUACAACAACCUGUGAUGCUGUAAUUAACACAUUAUAUGAAAAUAUUAAGAUUGAGCUCUUAACUGAUAUAUUUGGAUAAUCACUAAGUAGCUACAAAUGAACCUGAAGGAAGUUCUUCAUCAUGGUGAUGUUAUCCUAGUUACUGAAAAAUUGAAUUUUAUAUGAAUAAAUAAGGUUUCAAUUAACUACUAAGUUUAGUUGUUUACCUUCAAAUAGGAGAUCAAAAAUCAAACUCCACAACAGCUGGUUUGGUUGCUAUUUGCAAUUCUGCACCAAUUUUAUUGGACACAAGAUCUGAUAUAGAAACACAUGCAUCAAUUCAAACAAAAUAAAAUAUAGAACUCUAGAACAUACACACAUACAUGGCCCAACAACUGAAUAAAAUGGAUAUUAGUAGUCACUACACGGCAUGGUCGUACAGUUCGAAUUCAAUCAGAUCGAAUAUGAGGCAAUUAGAGAUGAUGAGUUUGCUUACACAAAUACAGACUGUUGACGGUGAGCUCUGGAAGAGACAUCAAAGGCUUUGAUUCGUCUUUCUUCUUAUCAAUAGCACCGAUGCACUAAAUUCCACCGCGUUGUGCUGAACUCCACAAUCGUUGUGUCAGAUUCCACCGCUGUUGUGCCAAACUCCACUGUAGUCGCGUCAAUUUCUAUCGCCGUUGUGUUGAUUUCUAUCGCCGACCAUUUGAAUUUCGUUGAAGGACGAAGAUGGAGGAAAAUUCAAAGUAAAAAGGAAUUGGGGGAAAAUUAAAAAAUAUAACAAAUCGACUUUCAUUCUAUCCUCCUUUACUGGCUAAAGUUUAAAUGCCGGGAAUAGUAUAGUUAAUAUAAUGUAUUAGUGGCAAUUCACUUAUUGCCACUAAAUAAAUGCCACUAAAAGCAUCUUUUGUUGUAGUGAUUAUUGUUUUUCCUCCUUAAAGGACAACAUAAAGUUGACCAUUUUUUAAAAGCAUGUGUAACUUAUGCUGGGAGCUGCUGUUUAGAUUUGAUGAGGACAUUUAAAUAGCUUUAAUAAGGCAUAAUUAGAGAGUUUCAAACUUAGUGAGCGAACGAUUCUAAUAACAUAUUAGAAGAGUGAAAUAUCACAUUCGAUUCAAAUAUAAGGAUAGUUGUUAAGUAAUGAGAUUAAUAUUAUUUAGUUCAAACUAAGUGAACAAAGAAAUAUUAGCUAGAUAGAUUGCAUUGCGUAAAAUAUUAGGAUACCUUAGGUAGUAGCAAGAGAAUAGUAUUAUUCUGUGUUUAAAACAAAGAGUAUCGGUAUUAAUAAUAUGAAAAAUAGUACAAAAUUAAAGAUACACACAAUUGAAAGGCGGUACACAGAGUAACAAUCAAGGUACAAAUAUUGGUUCAAUACAACAAUGACAAUAACACAUUAAGACAAUCGACACACACAUUAACACCUUUUGGCACCAAUAAGCCAAUUGUUGUUUGCUCUAGCAGUCCAUUUUUAGAGGACCAUCGACAAAUCCCUGCUAUAUUUCAACCUCGGCAUUUACGAAUCCCUCUCAAGCCUCAUGUUUCACUUUUUUUAUCCAGUGAUUGAGUAGAUAACUGGUAAUAUGAGCAGAAAACAUUAAGAAAAAAAGCAGAGAAAAGGCAACUGGAAGCAUAUGAAAUCAAGGGAUUUAAAAGUACUCAAUUUGAUUCUAAGUGGGAAAACACAGAUGAGGAGGAGGGUGACUUGGGUGAACAUAUAUGAACUUUCCGACAAAAGAGUUAUUGCUGCUGCAUUAGGAUCAGCCCUGCGAUAGCAACUGAGCCAACUGCAUAUACAUAAUGUUAAUAGAUCAAGUAUUGUGCAACUUUCUUCAAAAUAGUAAAACUUUUCCCAGAACCUAAUAGGUGCUAAAAUUUGAGAACUUACCAUUCAUUUUACGAUAAUAUUAAACUAUUAAACAUCAAUUCUUUUCAAAGAAAAUUUUCGACUGACUAUCAUGAAUCAACAACUAGGAGAACUAUGUCACCAUUAAUCACUUAAAAGGUUGUUUAUUUCACAGAAACUACAAAACGAAAACGAAGGAAAAGAUAAUUGAGAGAAUUGAGAAGAAGUGGGUGGAAGACAAGUACAUGACAAUUGAUCAACGACCGGUCCUUAAAAUUCCCAAAGAGCUAUCAUGGACUUUUGCUUUCCCUUGUCACAAGAGUUAAAUGACUGUCAAACCACGACACCGGCCUAUGAAUAAACGGAGAACUUCUAAUCAGAUACAGGAAAAUGAUACGGCUGAUUAAAAUCUUUCAUUGUCGAGUUUUUUCGCAAUCAUUUUCUAAGUUAUAAACUACGUCGGCUACCCAGAUUUCGUACACACCGGAACCUAACAAUUGAUCAAGUAUUCCAGCAUCAAUAACAAAGCUCAAAUUCAUAAGCUUAGUAAAAAAUAAUAUCCACAAAUGCCUUCCAUUACAGGUCUUUUGACGUUCACCUGGGAUGGGCAAUUAGUAGCAACUAGUGCCGAUAAAAUGAGCUCAUAUUUUGGUAACCUGCCCAACCCCCCAUAUUUUAAUGGGUUGGGUGAGUGAUUUUUUACAUGGAUAAAAUAUGGGUUGAUACCCAUAUUCAACCCAUAAAAAUAUGAAAUAUGGGUAAACUAUGGGUAAAGUAUGGAUUAGCCAAAUGGGUUAAACUUCUAACUUUUUUUCACUCAAAAUUCAUGAUAUCACCAAAAAUAUUGUAACUUCUCUUCCUCUUUAUGUUCUUAUAUAAAAACUAAUUAUUUUUCUCUUUAAUUGAAAAGGUGAAGACGUUGGCCUUCCAAAAAUAUAUAUUUUAAAUGUACAUUUCUUUUGUUAAUUAUAAAUAUAUUUUUUAUUUGUUUAUUUUAUAUUGGAUAAUAAAUAAUAGUGUAAAAUAAGCAAAUCAUGUAUUAGUAUUGACAUUGCUUAAAGUGCAUUAAGCAUGUUUUAGUCUUAAAAUGCAAAUAUUCAUUUAUUUUGAAAUUAAAAAUAUGUUUCCCUUGUUAUUACAUAAAUUGAUUUUACAUUGAAAAGUUAUAGGAUUUUUUUUUACUUUUAUGAUAUAAAAAAACUAAGUGAAGCAUUUUCAACAUUUUUCAUCUAAAAAAAUGACUAAAAUAUUUUCUCCAUGUUGAAUUCUUAGGUAGAGUACUAUGAACUCAUGAAAAUAUGGAUAAAAUAUGGAUAAACUAGUAUUUUACCCAACCCAUUUGUUACCCAAUCCAUUUUUACCCAUAUCAAAUAUGGGCGGGUUGAAUUAUUACCCAUUUUCAACCCGUCCAAAUUUGACCUAACCCGCCCAUUUGCCACCACUAGUAGCCAGCAAAAUUCCAAAGAAGUUGUUGACUGGUGAGCAUUCAAGGGGGCAUUUUACUUCCUAUUGUGGUAGAAGAAUAGUUCCUUAUAAAAAAUGUGUAACUUACAUCCUUGCUUAUUAUAGCUACUACUUAUAUCAAGUUAGAUUCAAAUAGUAAAGUACAAUCUUCAUCUUGUCUUGUAGUUAAAGUAGAAAAUACACAACACGUUAUGAAGUGAGGUUUUAUACCUGCAUUAGAUGGUUUGGAAGCAGAUAUUAAUUCAUGCCAUUGGAGGGAAAAUGUUGUAAUCCACAAGAGUGAAAUCAUUAAUACAUAGUAGCAUCUCCCACAUCACCAGUCGCACUCGCAUUGUCGGGUGAGAUCCUGAAAAAUAGUAGCCACAAUAUUGUCCUGUUGUGUCUGACAACCCAUAGGGUGCUGUGAUCACUGUUGCAGAACCAAUAUUAAGAUCUGUUAUUCAAAUUUUCAAAUACGAGUAGGAAGGUCUAUUAUACUAAGGCAAUAACAGGGAAUAGAGGAUGUAACAGGGUAUAGCUAUUCGUUUAUUGCUGAAGAUGGAUGUUUGUUCUAAUACUGGCAAUUUAUUUGUUGCAGAAUCUGCGCUAUAGAGUUUUAAAGAGAGGAUAGUGAGAAGUUGCAUUUGUUGGGGGAUGGACGCUAGUGACUGUCUAGAAUGCAAGAGUUGGAAGUCAUGUCGCUUCGUGAAGGAUUGUGUUGAGUGGCAAAAGAAUAUGGUAAUGUGAGGUGUUUUUAGUUAAGGUUUUCUUAAGUUAGGGGUAUUUGCAUAAUUUAAAUUUGUAGUUAGAGAGUUCAUGCUCUUGUUUUAUGCGUCUGUAAUAGCCUAUGUGCCCAAAAAAAGAAUGUGCUAUGCCUAGCCCCUUUUCAAUAGAUGAGAUUUGGAUAAAAGGGCUUUCUUUCAAGUCUUACGUAAGUUCAUCGAUGUGUACACCUAGGCUGUGAAAGAGAGAGCGGAUCAGGAAUUAAAUCAGAUGCAUCUAAUGCCCUUGCCCUACGACCUAUAAUGCUAGUCACUAUUCCCAUUGGAGCUACGAAGUAUGCUCCACAACACAAAGCUGCGAAGAACAAAUAGAGUUUGCUACAAAAGCCGGCUAACGGGGGAGUAAAUGAGAUGACUUGUUCUGUAGAAAGACGAAAGUUGAUUCGCGAAGAACCAACUAGCUUUGGGUUUGAGUGGUAUUUCACCCGGACAAGGUUCUUUUGCUUCUAAUCUCCAAGGCAAGCGAAUGAUGAUCCUUGUGAAAUAGGGCUUAGCUCAAUCCCUCCAUCAAUCAUAAAUCCUUCUCUUAGCUUAGUCAAUGUCUUAGUAUGAAAAAAAGGAAAUUUCGUAGAGAAAAGAGAAUAGACUAGUCAUUGCACUAAAAGUGUCUACGAGCCUCCCACUUCGGUACCCUCUCCUUUUUUACCAGCCGAGCUGCCCUGUAAACCCUUUGCGGUGCUUCCUUCCUAGCUGUUCUCACGGAGCUUGGUUAUAAUUUAGGGCCAGUAGAUACUAGUAUAACGUCUCUUAUUCAUAGAUUUGUGCCCGCUAUCAUACAGUUGGAUACAAAAUUAUCUAUGUUUGAAACAUGAAUUAAAGUACUAGAUCUUUUUUUAAGGUAGUCAUACAAAUUGCAUAUCCAAAUAAAUCUUCAACUUCAUCUCUAAUGAUUUCAUAUCACAUGAAAUAUUUUGUAUUUUUUCCUCUUUAGAAAGAAAAAAUGUAACCAUGAACGAUUGGGGAAAAGAGAACGUUACCUUUUACCAAGUGGUGCUCUUUCUUUUACUAAAAUUAUUUUUUCCAUGUAUUUAAAGAAUGUACCAUAUCUAACUACUUUGAUGCACUUGAAUUUCUUGUUAGAAAAGAAAAAACAACAGAGUGUAUCUAAAUGUACUUUGUUAUUUGCAUAAGGAAGUGUUUCAUAUAUGCUUUAAUGUUAAACAUGAGCACAAUGUCAUAUAUCUAACUUAAUAUUAAUUAUGGGUUCGAGAUAGAGUAUUUAUUGGAAUUUAGAUAUUUUAUGCACAUAUAUCAAUGCCCCAACUGUGUGUCAAACUUUCGAGUUUCACUUGAACUCAUACCUUCUUAACUACUCCAUUGAUGAUAGGGGUCUUUAAUUUAAAUUAAGUUUACAAACGCAAAGACACAAUAGAAAACUUUCUGCUUCACCAUACAAGCACAAUUUCAAUAUAUGUUCACUUGAUCCACAUGUGAAAUGAGAUAAUUUAAAGCAUACAUAUGAUGUGCAAUAUAUUUAAUACAUAGAUGGUUGUUUAGGGAAGAGUGAUAGAGAAUGGAUUGAUUUUCAAGUAGAAGGUUCACGAGUCUAAACCAAGUCAAUGAAGAUAGAUUGACAAAGAAUCUAUUUUGAUGAAUUCGGCAGCUCAGGGAAAAUUGCAUCAACAUGGCGAUGAUACAUUGUAUCAGCAAGCCAAAGUUUAGUAAUGUAAUGAUGAGACGAUGUACACCUGUGAACUUCUUCAAUAAUCCAGAUGGUUGCUUCAGCUUUGCCCAGAUCGAUGAUGGUAUCUAAUGGAACAUCUUCAUUAUCAGCACCAAGCCUCAUUUGAUCAAACUUCUUCAUUUGGACAUUUGUCAGGUAAUGUAGGGGUUGCCCAUAGAACUCAUUCAUGGAUGCAGCAAAUCCAACCCAUGAGGUGAAAGGGAUAACAAAGCCACGUUGUGUGGGCAUAGGGACCACCUUCAUGUACUCUUGGU